rnacentral:lncRNA from 1 species
CUUAUUAUCUAAUAUAUACUAUUGUAGGUGGAGAAUCAACAAAAUUAUCAUCACUAUCACAACUAAUAUAUGUCCUAAUCAGUCGAGGUUCACUAUGCACAGUUCUCUUCGUUCGAAAUAUUACACUGUUCUUUGGAGGUUGAUCAACAAAAUUGUCGUCGCUGUCACCGGUAUCAGAGAUUGUAGUUUUUGAAACCACGUUCACUCGUAAUUGAUUUACACUUGUACGCAAAGCACAUUUUCGGCCCGUACUUAAUAACUUGGAGUGCGAUUUUCUGUACAUGCUUUGAAACUCGACCUACAAUAUUUAGGAUCAAUUACACAAUAUUACACUUAGGAGUGUAAACGAGCCGAACACGAGCGAGCUGGGGUCGGCUCGUGUUCGACGAGCUGGCUCGUUAAAGUAUCGAGCCGAAACAUUCAGCUCGUGUUUGGCUCGUUUAUUAACGAGCCGAAGACGAGCUGGCUCACGAGCCGAAACAUUCAGCUCGUGUUUUUCCAUGACGAGAGCAUGCGAUUAUUACAUAUGUAGCCUUACCAUCGGUCAUUUUUGUUGACCUCUUUACAACUGCAAAUUCUAUUUCUUGUGCAUAAUGCUUAUAGAAAUUAAAAAAGGCAUCAAAAUUGAUAAAAGUCAGUCCAAUUUCUGGUGCCGAUAUAUUUACAUCCCUAACCUCACUGUUUCUUUCUUCAUCCAUCUCAAAAAUAUUAAAUCCAAAUAAUCACUCAACUAAACAAAUUUAAGUAAAUUGCUCACCUGUAAGACAUUAUAUAGAGUUGGAAUACUAAAUUAGAAUAAUAGUGAGCAGGAAAACUAUUUGUCAAAAUUUAGACAUCUAAAGAUUCUACUAUGCCCUAAAAAUAUAUUAUCUAUUAACAUAUAGAUCAUACAUCAAAUCAGUGAUGAAAUUAAUCAAAUAAUUCAUCACAAUUAAAAAUAAAUAAUUUACUAAAAAAUUAAACAUCUCAUACCUGGUUAUAUAUGUGGCAGUGUACGAAUCGUUGAGCUCGGGGUAAACCACGUCGUUCAAUUUUGCCGCAUCCUCGAUUGUCGCCUCCGUACUUGCCGCGUCCAAUUUGAUCGCAGAAUCCGCCUUCGCGCUUCUUUCUCUUCCUCUCGUUCUCCCUGUUUCUAGCACAGCACAACUCCUCUCGCUCCCUCUCGCGCCCUGCCCUCGCUCUCUCUCGCGCCCUGCUCCCGCUCCCGCUCGAGCUCUCCUCUCUCUCUCGGUCGCUCGCUCGCUCGCCUCUCUCUCUUUAGGUCGCUGGCUCGCUCGCUCGCCUCUCUCUCUCAGUCGCUGGCGCGCUCGCCUCUCUCUCUCUUUAGCUCGCUGGCGCCAAAAAUUAGGGAAAAAGAGGGAAAAGGUGAGGGGCUAAAAUGUGGGAGUGAGGUUAACACUGUUUUUUUUUUUUUUAAACCAAGUUUAUAUCACCCGUUGGAUCAAAGAGUUGUAGGAUCUACAACUCAAUAUGGGGUGUAUGGGUAGCACGACUCACAUUUUAAACCACAGGGGAGCAAAUUGAGAAACUACGAAACCACAUAGGGGGUUUUUAAAGUUUUCCUUCUUUUUUUUGUACUUUUGGCCCCUAACCAUGCCAGACGUCCUUACUUUGAAAAAGUCUGCAAUGAAAUCCUUACAUUGCCAACGUAGUAUAUCCGGCCAAUCAAAAUACAUCUCUAGAGAUUACCUAUCUAAUCAUGUGUCACGCGCUCAGCACACAGCAAAAGUCUCCGGGCGCAUCAACAAAUUCGUCACAUGUGCGAAAAUGUAUCCUGCAUAUGCGAAGCGUUCUAAAACUCUAUCAGCAGGCAACAAUUCUAACAAUCCAUAAUUAAACAAGUCCUAAAAAUUUAUAGCUAACAAGUAUCACUGCAAAAAAUAAAACUAGACCAAUCAAAUUAUUACUAUAUACAAAUCACUACAACUAACAACUUCAAAAUAUAAAUACAAACAAAGGACCCUAAGCAUCACCAGUCCCAAACCCUACCAAAGUGCUACGCUAGCUUGUGGUCCUCCUUUAUCGCCGCACCCAUUGGUAUCUACUACGUGAUCUUCUUACCUCAGUCGGAUGCCGGCGCUAAGGGGUCUGAAAAGUAAACCACGUGAGGUCGUAAGAACUACUGAACAGUAGUCUCCAAUAGUGGGUACAAUCGAUGACAAUAGCGGCCUACCUAUUAGGUCUACUAGAGGUAAAAUAUAGAAAAUAAACUGAAUAAGUACGUGAAAUAACUGAACUAUAUACUAACAAGUCUAUCAUGCCUUUAGUUGAUAAUACAAAGUAGUAAAUGACUGCCUCAUACAUUAGUUAAAGUAUUCAUGAUAAAUGUACAGUAUAACCCUAUCAAAUACUGACUGAUUCAAUAGUCUGCUCAAGCCAACGUCACCUCGUAUCUAGCCCUAACUUAUAGUGGUCCGCUACACAUAAGCUACUAUUGUCAUGCCCGGGCCGCAGCGGAAGCCUGCCCGAUGCGUGCAUCGAGCGUCCCCGAUGCUUACAAGGCGUCUACAAAAAUAAGGAAUAAAUAAGGAUAAAUUCCUAACAAGGCUAUCAGAGCAAGAAAAUAAGUCUACUAGGAAUGUCCACAACAAUAACAACAAACUCAAGAUAUACAAUAGUUCUAAAUACAAUUAAAUACAUAAGACAGCUAGAAAAUCUCUAAAUCAGUACAUAAUAUAUCUUUCAACUAUAACAAAAAAAAAGAUGAUAACGGGUCCAUCUAUGAUCACUCCGCAAAGGCUCUAGCUAGUCGCUAACCCCUUGCCACGAUCGCUAACCUCUCCCGUUGCGAAAGGCUCUGAAACAAAAAUAAACAACCAAUAGGGGUGAGAACUAUUAAACAAUAGUUUCUAAUGGGUAAGCCGCCAAGAGUGGCGAAAUACACCACUAGAUCAACUCAGACAUGCUAUAAUACAAUAGGUAAACAAACAUAAAGUUAACAAGUAAAAUUAAACAGUUUCAUUUCAAGUCAUGCCUCUACUUGAUGAAGUUAACUAUCAUGUAUGUGAUGUUCUAAUGCCACAUAUUCAGUUAUAUGUUUAUGCAGGUUUACAUGCAUAUUCAUCUUUACUAUAAUACCGCAAAGAGUAAAUUAUGCCUUUCAUUUUCAUCAAAUCAUGCAUCUAUACUAAUCAAUAUAGGUGUGGGUUCACUACCACUAAAGAUGUCAAUGUCAAUAAUGACUAACAUAAAGUCUAUUGCUAGAAAUGCAUCAAAAAAGCCACGAGAUAGUAACCCACUAGUAUGUCCAUCUACUAUAUAUGCAUCAACCACGUUGAUGUUCAAUAUCAAGUUAAGUCUCAUUACCCAAUUAACGAGGGACUUACUCGUAGUAACGUCCCGACUCGUGCCAUACCUAAUGGCCCCGUAGUAGCAUACACUCCUCACGGCGGUCCACUUCGGUGCCCAAUCCCGCACGGGCGAUCUAUCGUCGCAAGGCCAACUCCGGAGUGCCGGCUUGUAGGGAGCGACCCUCACAAGCAUGUGCAAAUGAGCACAAUGGCAAGCAAGUGUGAUCAUAGCUAGCGUAGGGUCCACAAAUCGAAUACUCAAUCAUCAUGUCUAAAACAUGAAAUUUCACUCAUCGACUCGACGGUCGGAUACUUGAUCUUUCAUAUCAUGAUUCGUUCACAAUUACUUGGGUGGUAUGCUCCUACCAACACAUAAUAUGCCUCAACUAUGCAUUAGUUCAUAUUUCUAUAUCCUAUGUAGAAUGAUUCACUAUUUUAGUCAAAACUCAAUAAGGUUCCAUAAACAUGCAAUUCCCACUAUAGUUAAGGAAGUCAUUUUCUCAUGCCAUAUGCAAAACUAUUACCAAAUGUUCACAAGAUUCAUAAUGUAUGUCAUGCAUAUCUUUUUCUACCAAAGUCCCCACUACAUGGAGUAGAAGUGUCAUCAUGCAAGCAAUUUCAUUCUCCUACUAUUAUAUGUCAUUAUCCCUACUAUGGAUUGCCCUAAAGGCGUUGAAAUCUUAUUCCUCAUGUCUAAAACAUGAAAAAUAAUUAACGAUCUCUAGGUCGAACACAAUAUCAUAAGGUCAAGAUCUAAUUGUUCAACUAGGUCAAAUGCACCAUACUUAGCUUCAUGUUUACCUUAUCAUGCACCAUGUCACAAUGUCACAUUUACUUUGUCUAUAACAAAUAUGUAGUCAAUAUGCAAAUUAAACACUUUUCUAUUUCAUUCACUAUGGAUGCACCCAAUGAUGAACCAUUAGUCCUUUCUAACAUACUUCCUAAGAUUACAUAAGAGAAAGUUAUCAUGAAGUGCUAAUUAAUGCACAAAUCCACAUUGUAAACCUCUACUUUAUAGAGCAUAAAUUUUCUACACAUAAUAUGUAUGAAGCAUGUAUUCAAAAAUUCUAUCAUAUCAUAUUUAGAAUGAAUAUGCAUCUAAUUGUGUCUUAAAAUCAUAGGAAAGACAUUGAGAAAGUUCACCCAUUUUAGUGAGGUCAAACCCACCAGAUACUCCUCGAACCCUUUCGUUUUUUCGAACGAAGUUGUCCACCAAGCUUCUAGCACCCUAAAAGAAUUUCUAAAAGGGUUACAAGUUUCGAACGAACCUCAUACAAAAAUAUCCAAAAAUCAAGUCUAAAUAGGUAGAAAAAUAUCUUUACCCAAGAAGAACUUGAUCAAAAUCCAAAUUGAAGUUACAAAGUCUCAAAUCCCACCUAAAAAAGAGUUCUACACUCAUCAAUUAGGUUCCAAAAGCCUCAUAACAAGAAACCCCAAAAUAAACCCUAUUUCUUCCAAAACUAGAUUUUUAUCUACAAAUCUUACAAAAUUCACCAAUAGAUAUUGCAAGAUGAGUAUUAACCUUAAGAAAAGCUCCAAAUCAAGCUAACUUGAGCUAGGGUUGGAGUGUAACAUGCCGAACUUUUAUAGUUAGGAAGUUAUGGCAGAUGUUAGUUUGGAAAGCUGUUCAUGGUGUAGUUCCGGUGACGUUCGGGAGCAUCCGAGUGUUUUCGGUGCAUGAUGGACACGGAAACGGAACUCGAAUAGCUAUGUUAAACUUUGAAUUAAAUCCGACAAAGCGUGGAUGAAAAGAGGAUCUAAACGCGCUCAAAAAUAUGUUUUAGGGGUCUCGGAACGAUUAGAGAUGAAUCGGAGGCCCAACGAGUGAAAACGAAGCAAACCGGAGAAAAUUGGAAAAAAAAAAAAGGGUUGAUUUUUGGGUUUUGGACCUACGGGGUCCGGACACUAGGGCCAGGGUCCGAACCCCGAGCCCGAAAACUGCCCGGGUGGGCUAGGGCUAUUUUGGUAAUUUGAGGGGUUGCUUUUUAAAAGAAGGCCUCCACCCUUCUUCUUCCUCCUUCCAGAGCAAACCCACACACGCACACACCUUGGGGUAGAGAGAGAAGCUCCUCUCUCUCUCUCUAGCAUUCCCACUUUUCCUCUCUAGAUCUCUCUCUCAAAUUCGCUGGCUUGGCGGAGAGCGAGCUUGGGAACACGUUGGGAGCGACGGAUCGAGUCUUCGUGCGCCCGGUUGAGCGGCGUGCUUCCGACUCGAAGUUCGCAUUUUGGUGAGUGUUUAGGAUUUUGGUUAAAUCCUUUGAGCAUGGUAUGUUAGUGAUCCCUAGACUAUUCUAAGCAUGCUCUCCAUGAAUUUCAUAGGGUAUUUGGAUAAAUGGGAGAUCUAGGGCUUAGAAUGGGGGUUUUGGGCAAAUAAGGUUUUGAUCUAAAUCAACCCUAUGUUUCUCUAAUUAAAGGUUAGAGAAAAGGGUCCCUAACAACUCUAGGUUGCGGAUUGACCGGUGUUCGGUGAUAGAUUGUGAGUUCGAGCCAAACCGGAUAACGCGUGCCGCAGGAGGCCGAUUGCAAGUGUCAACAAACAAUCGGAGAGCAUUGCGAGAUUGGUUGUGCUUUACCGAAGUGAUUAGGUCACUUCCAUGUCAAAGUGAAGUGUGGUUUGUCAUUGAUGCAUGUAGCGGUAGUUAAUUACAUAUAUGAAUACAUAAGGUAGAUGCCAUGUGAAUGCAUGAAAUGAUAUGUAUUAACUAUCCUUGAUGACAAAGAAUAUGCAUGUUGGCAUAUUAUAGCAUUUGCUAGAAAGUAUAUGCAUGUGGAUUUAUUGUGGAAUAUUCUAGAAAGUAUAUGUAUGUUGGCAAGUUGUAGAAUAUGCUAGUUCAUAUAAGUUGAACAUGGGUCGAUAAUUCUAGGUUGAUUAGAGAACUCGACAGUUGGAAAAUAAGAACAUGAAAUCUAUGAAUCCUAGGUGUGGACAACUAGGAUGACAAGUAGAUCAAAUAGAUCGAGUGGCAUGAACCUAGUGUCAUUGAACAUAGGUUGAACAAGUAAACCUAGAGUCGAGAUCUAGGUGGAAAUGACAUAGAACCUAGCGUGGUUGAACCUAGGCUGUGGAUUAUAGUGGUAGCAGGGCCACUAGGAUGUGCAUGGGUCGAACCUAGAUAGGUCGACAGCAUAGGGGGUGUGACUACCCUUUGUAAGAUAUGGAUCUCGAGGAUCUAAAAGGUAAGUAACACCUAGAGGGGGGUGAAUAGGUGUAACAACGGCAAACUCAAAAAUCUCGAUGCGAAUAAAACAAAAUAGCGGAAAAGAAAACAGCACACCGAGAAUUUAACGUGGGAAAGCUCCAAAUCGGAGUGAAAAACCCACGGGACCAAUCACGCAAAGAAAAUCCACCAAGAAAACAUGAGUACAAGUGAUUUUGACCAAAACACACGACUCAAUUUACCGAUUUCCCGUAGAUGACGAUCUUCGCCGGUACUCGAUCGAUAGGAAUCCUCCAAUCGACCUUGCCGCAACUCCUCGCAGCGUCAACGCCUCAAUUCCUCGAAGCGUCCACCGAAUCCUCGGCUUCACGCGAGAUCCACGCGUCGAACCUCCUUCCGGAGCUUGUAGAAUCGAAGAUUUGUGAUGAUUUAACCUUUGAAUACCAUAAGCUAUGAGGGUUCACCUUUAAUCAAACAUCUACUUGAUUCUCGUAUGGGUUAUCGAGUAAAAACAAAGAAUCAAGCCGAUUGUUGAUUGUUGGAAACUCGUUAUGUGGAUCAAAGCAUUGAAACGGAGAAAAUCAGUUUCUAGGGUUUUUAACCAGUAAAUAUUCAAAGCUCUCUCCUUUUAGAUGACCCACAUAGCUUAUUUAUAUGUUUAGAAGACUUAGAAGUAGACUAGGAUUGUAAAAACUCUUUUUUAAAAACCUAUGUCGUCCUAAGAGACCGGUCCUCUGGAGGAGACCGGUCUGUGAGAGACCGGUCUCUCAAGUGAGGAACCAGUCCCUCGCUGCGUGACCAAAAUCACAACGUUCGGGAAUCGGUCUCUCAAGCUUGAGACCGGUCCCUUGCUGCGCGACAGAAAUACCAAUGUUCGGGAACCGGUCUCUCAUCACAGGGGACCGGUUGCAUCAAGGUUCACGUAGUGAGGACCUUAGGGGAACCGGUCUCUUGAACUCUGACACCGGUCCCAGAACACAGAAAAGUUCAGUAAAGUAGUUUUAACACCAUCUAAGCCUUCUGAACUUAUUCUAACUAGGUAUCUUCACCACAAAUGAUCUUUUCUUCAUACCUUAGGUGUCGAGCUUUCCGAAUGAGUCUUAUUUCUUCAAUUUGAAUCUUUUCUUCAAAACUUCUGCGAUCAACUCUUCAAGACUCCAACCAACUUUACGAAAUUCGCCAACCUAUAAAAUCCUUAACAAUCUCCCUCUUUGGCGAUUUUGUGACAAAAUAUACUAUAAAUUCGUACACAACGCAGAAAUAAUAAAAAGAAGAUCAUCGCAAUCACCAAACGAUAAUCUCCUGCAUGAUCGAUCCAAUAAAUAAAAAUUACAAUUUUCAUAAUCUUAAUACAAACUCUAUGACUUAGACAUGGAGUCUUGAAGUCUUGAAUUAUUCCUGCAAAAACAUUCUCAAAACAUAAUUCAAAAUUCUAAAUCAGAUCAAACAAAGUAUCAAGUCAUAGUUCAUAUAUCAAACACCUAAAGCACUAACAAACAAAUUCAUCUAAAGUUCAUCACUAAACAAAUGACCAUCAAAGCUAAAUACAUCAUUAUCAAGAUCAAGAGCAAUCAUCAUCAAGACUAAAAAACUAACUAAGCAUAAAAAUGCAUCAUCAUUGCAUCAUCACAUCAAAGACCACCAUCUCCAUCUCCCCCUUUUUGUCAAAAGCGCAAAAAUGACAAAAGAAGAGAACCCAGUAACCUAAUUCGACAGCAUCCUGGAGUAAAAUCUGCUCCGGCAACAGCCUAACUUGUCAAAAAUCAUAUUAAAUAAGCGCUUCAUCUUGCUUACAUCCUUCCGAAUCGCAGCUUGCUCCGCAGACAAUUUCUAAAGCUCCUCAGAUAGACUGUUGCUCACUGAUACACAGAGGAAACGGAGAUAUCUUCCUCAGAAACGUCUAAUAAAGGACGUGAAAAGUAAAGCAGUAGCAGGAGGUGGAGCACAGAAGGGGAAGAUGCACGCUGAGACGGUUAACGAAGCGGCACCGAGACUUCACAAAUGUCCGUUCAUUUAUCCGAACGACCACAACUGUGCUCAUAAGAGUGUACACACGACAUCCACAUCACGAAGUCCAGCAGAAUCUCAUGAUUUAUCAAGUGAAAUGCAGCCUUUCAUUUUGUCCAAAGUUUUGAUGUCUUUUGCCAUCCUCCGCAGAUUAAGAACGGAAUAUUCAUGUUAAUAUUCUUUGCACUCACAAUAUCUGGCCUGCUCGCAGUCAAGUACAAAAGUGCUACCAAUCAUCUUCCUGUAUUGUUUCUCAUCCACACUUCUGACCUCUGAAUUCAAUCCCAGUCCUUUGUUGCUUGACCAGCAUUGGAGAGUCAAAAUCCUUUGCAUUUUCCAAUCCAAAUUUUGAAUCCUAGAUGUGUCCAUCAAGUCCAUGUGAAGUAACUCUAAAGGCUUAGUUGUCCCCAAGUGGUUCAAGUUCUUAUAGUGUGGAUCUAGUUUGUUCCCAAUUGCAACCCCCACACACAGUGUUCUCUUUAAAAUCAAUCUAGGUACACCUCUAACUACCUCCCUUUGGUUAUCUUUGAUAGCUCCUUUAAAGUUAUGUACCUACUAGUCGUUCAUCGCCAUAAAGUUUCAGUUUCUAAUGACGCUAGGUUACAAUGUUCAGCUGGACGAACUAGAAACUAACAUAACAAUUUCUGAGAUCUAAUGCCCUUAAAAACAAUUUUCAUCACGAGUCACAUGGCAUUCUUUAUCAGAAAAGUUCACAGAAUACCAUCAUCACACAGUUGGCUUAUGCUUACGAGAUUAGAUUUGAGCCCUCAACAUAAAAAAUAUCGUUCAACGUAGGGCCAUCUGAAAUAGUCACUGUUCAUUUUCCAACAAUUUUUACGACGACCGUCCCCAAAAACAACAAGUCCUCCGGAGAUUUUGGUCAAAGAAGUAAACCAAUUUUUAUCUCCGGUCAUGUGACGCGGAACAGCCACUAUCCAGAUACCAUGAUAGUUAUCGUAAGCAUGAAGCGAAGUGUGAAUGACUAGGCAUGGAAGAGUUCACCUUGCGCACCCAAACCUUACGUGUUUUGGGCUUGUCAGUUCGCUUGCUUUUUGUGAUCGUGGCUUGUCGACGAUUUAAUUGACUUCUUCUUCAUAUCCUCUCUCUUUGGUUUCCAUGCCUGUUUUGCCUUUGAUUCCGAGCAUUGGUGUACAUGUUCAUUUCUUCUUAUAAUCAACCUUCUUUGGAGUCCAAGUUGACUUCCCUCUUGAUUUAAGAUCAUUCUUCAUACGUGAUGUUCUUUGAUUCAAGGCGUUGAUGAGCUCAUUCCUUUUGUUUGCAGAACUUCUUGAUGUCCUAGAGCACCACAAACAUGCAAGCUUUGUAGUCAAAUUGUUUUGAGAGGGACGAACUUACCAUAAGAGCUUAGGAACAGCAGUGAUGAAUGUCCGCCAUCUUUCUUUGUUGUUUGGUCAACAUAGGUCCUUCGUACCCAAGUCCAAGUUUUUUUGUUUGACAAGUCCAAGCAUCUUGUCGAUUUACUUGAUCCAGACGAAAAUUGUUCAAAUCUGACUUUAGUUGAAUAAUCGUCUUGGUGAAUUCCAUAUUCGCUUCUCUACUUCCGAGUAUUGCUUGUGAGAAAAGUGAUAUCUCCCACUUGAGUCUCUUUUUCCUUUUCAAGUAAUGAACCACUUUUCGAUCAAUGAAUUAUAGCUUUGUCAAACCAUCUCUCUCUUGUUCUAAAUCCUUUGUUAGAGAGGCCAACUUUGAAUUUUCUUGUUCCAACUCAUUAUAGGCUUCGCCGCUGUCUCUUGUUAUGUUUAGCCAUCUUCUUUGAUUCAACAACCAAUUGUUGAUAUGCGCGACCAAUGUCAUCAUUCGUCCGAUUCUUCAUCUGAUGAGUUCUCCGAAGAAUGUACUUCUCUUGUAUAGAUUCGUAGAAUCGAGUCAGCAGAUGCUAACACAUAGAAAGUUGAAUCCUGUGCAAUAUGUCCGUGGCAUUUACAUCCUCUUCACUUGAAAGUGGAAUCGUCAGAUGAGGAGUCGUCCCAAUGAUAGCUUGCAUCGCUUUCUUCUCAACGACUUUUAUUAGGAAGUCAGAUGCGAUAUGACUAAAGCCUCUACACUUGUAGCAUUGAAUUUGACCUUCACUGCUUUUCUACUCUUUUGUGGAGUUCCUUUUGAGAGUUAUCAGAUUCUGUAUUUUGAUGAGGAAGAGGAAGACGAACCCCUUUAGAUUUGUUUGUCUUGAAAGAAGUAGACUUGGGAGGAAACUUCUUUCUAAAGUUCCGACGAAACUUCUUUGUAAGAAGUGCUAGUGCUUUUCAAAGUCCUCCAGGCUUUGCUCCGACUCUGAAUCUGAUGAAUUGAAGUGACAUCUCCUUUUUGAUUUUAGAGCCAUCCCUAAGGCUUUAAAAAAAGACUUGAGAAGACGAAUUAGAAGGAAAAGUCAUUUCAUAAUUGUAAAGAGCACCUACUAAUUCUUCUACUUGAGUUCAUCAGGAUGUUUGACCGUUUCAAUAGCUGCAACCUUAGGACGGAAUCGUUCGGGAAGGGUUCUCAAAUUUUCGAAUAAUUUUGGAAUCGGAAUUUUCUCGCCCAAGUAGCACACAUGUUUACAAUGUCUUGCAGACGAGUAUAGUACUCGGUAAAAGAUUCAUGUUCUUCCAUACGAAUGGAAUCAAAUCUACUAGUAAGCAUUGGCAAUUUUUUGAAUCUUAACAAGCUUGUACCCUCUGUGUUAACUCCAAAUGUCCCAAUCUCUUUGGCGGUUUCGCACGCCGAGACGCGAGAAAAUUCAGUUUGGUUUAAAGCAUUGAAUAAAGCAUUGAUACCUUUUCGUUGAACGAAGAUAGUCAUUUUCUCUUUCGUCCAUUUAUUCCUAGGUUUCGCACGGUAACAUUCUCGACAACUUCGGUAGGUUUUUCCAUUCCAAUUCAAUGCUUGCCAACACCGCUCGUCGAUAGCAAUAAGAAACCCCUCAUACGGACUUUCCAAUAAAUAGUUAGUGCCAUCGAAGAGCGGAGGUCGAUUGAUGUUACCGCCCUCAGCCAUGAAUUACAACCUAUACCCGCUCUGAUACACUUGUAAGAUAUGGAUCCCGAGGAUCUAAAAGUAAGUAACACCUAGAGGGGUGAAUAGGUGUAACAACGGCAAACUCAAAAAUCUCGAUGCGAAAAAACAAAAUAGCGGAAAAGAAAAACAGCACACCGAGAAUUUAACGUGGAAAAACUCCAAAUCGGAGUGAAAAACCCAGGACCAAUCACGCAAAAGAAAAUCCACUAAGAAACAUGAGUACAAGAUUUUGACCAAAAUACACGACUCAAUUACCGAUUUCCGUAGAUGACGAUCUUCGCCGGUCCUCGAUCGAUAGAAUUCCUCCAAUCGACCUUGCCGCAACUCCUCGCAGCGUCAACGCUCAUUCCUCCUGAAGCGUCCACCGAAUCAUCGGCUUCACACGAGAUCCACGCGUCGAACCUCCUUCCGGAGCUUGUAGAAUCGAAGAUUGUGAUGAUUUAACCUUUGAAUACCAUAACUAUGAGGGUUCACCUUUAAUCAAAAAUCUACUUGAUUCUCGUAUGGGUUAUCGAGUAAAAACAAAGAAUCAAGCCGAUUGUUGAUUGUUGAAACUCGUUAUGUGGAUUCAAAGCAUUGAAACGGAGAAAAUCAGUUUCUAGGGUUUAACCAGUAAAUAUUCAAAGCUCUCUCUUUAGAUGACCCACAUAGCUUAUUUAUAUGUUUAGAAAACUUAGAAGUAAUUAGAUUGUAAAACUCUUUUUAAAAACCUAUGUCGUCCUCAGAGAACCCGGUCUGUGAGAGACCGGUCUCUCAAGUGAGGAACCGGUCCCUCGCUGCGUGACCAAAAUCACAACGUUCGGGAACCGGUCUCUCAAGCUUGAGACCGGUCCCUUGCUGCGCGACAGAAAUACCAAUGUUCGGGAACCGGUCUCUCAUCACAGGGGACCGGUUGCAUCAAGGUUCACACAGUGAGGACCUUAGGGGAACCGGUCUCUUGAACUCUGACACCGGUCCCAGAACACAGAAAAGUUCAGUAAAGUAGUUUUAACACCAUCUAAACCUUCUGAACUUAUUCUAACUAGGUAUCUUCACCACAAAUGAUCUUUUCUUCAUACCUUAGGUGUCGAGCUUUCCGAAUGAGUCUUAUUUCUUCAAUUUGAAUCUUUUCUUCAAAACUUCUGUGAUCAACUCUUCAAGACUCCAACCAACUUUACGAAAUUCGCCAACCUAUAAAAUCCUUAACACCCUUGAGACUUGGAAAGUGGAUUCCGGAAUCCCGGGACUUGUGGAACUCGAUAGUUCUUGGCCGCGGGGGCUGUGUGGCAUAUUCCCUUCCUACCGGAAGAACUUCGAUGAUAGGAUUAUAGAAGAUUCUUGGCUGCGGGGGCUGUGUGGCAUAUUCCCCUCCCACCGGAAGAAUCUUGGAUUGCUAGGGUGCCUGUGGCAUAUUCCCCUCCCACCGGAAAGAUCCCUGACCACAGGUGUACGCGGUUCUUUGCGACCCGUUGGGCGAUGUGGUUUGUGGAUUUAGGGCUGAGGUGCAUAUGAGACAUCCUUUGCCUCCGGCCCGACAGAGCGCGGUAUUCCGCAGAUGAUUGACUCGAGGCCGAGUCGGGUGGCUAGCUUGGUUAAGAUAGAUGAAACCUUAAGAGCAAGUGGUAAAUGGCAUGGAUCUAAGGUAGUAGAAAUCUUAGAAGCUAGUUGGAUAUGAGCUAUGGAUAGCGAAAUAGAGAGUAGUAUCGGUUGAUCGACUUAGUUUAUUGUAUUGUUGCAUGAUUUGCAUAUUGCAUGUCUUGAGGCAUAUGUAUGUAAUUUAAUAUUAUUUGCAUAAAAUAUCUGUUGGACUAACAUGUUUGCAGUGCCUCCUUUGGACCUGGUGAGUCGAGCUUUUCCUUUCGGUUGCCAUACCCACUAGGAACUAUGGACAUAGUUCUCACCCCACGUUAUUUUGGAGGAUUUCAGGUUCACACGCGAGCAGCGCGGCGGCACGAGAAAAUGGCGUAGCUCCGUAGAUAGUGCCCUACCAUUGUGACCAGAGAUAGCGGUAACCCGAAAUGGUCUAGCUUAAGGGUGGAAAUGAAAAGAACAAAUUUGUAAUAACUAGAUUGUAUUUGGAGGUUAAUGUAAUGUAAUGUAAAACUGAGAUGAAUGCUUGUAAUACUUUAGCAUUUAUGUUUUGGAUACCUUCUUUAUGCAAUCUGUGUUUGAAUAUUGUUCUUGGUUGGAACCUCGUGUAUUGUAUUGAUUGCGACGCCUUGAACGUACAGGAAAAACUCUGUCCGUUCGGCGGUCUGCUGGCAUGCCCGAAUCCGACCAAACAGGCGUGUCUCGGGGGCGUGACAGAUUGAAUGGUAUCAGAGCAUAAAGAGAAUAAUAGAAAUGAUUUAGAUGGACCUAGGAGACCCUAGGAUAGUAAACCAUAGAGGUUAAGGCUUGUGAGAGACGAGGACUUGUGACUUGCGGCGAAAGGUUAAUGGAUUCGGUUGUGUUGUACACCUCUAAAAUAGAUGUUAGAGGUAGAUUCAAGGCGNACCUAGGAGACCCUAGGAUAGUAAACCAUAGAGGUUAAGGCUUGUGAGAGACGAGGACUUGUGACUUGCGGCGAAAGGUUAAUGGAUUCGGUUGUGUUGUACACCUCUAAAAUAGAUGUUAGAGGUAGAUUCAAGGCGUGGUGUAUUCUCACCCAAGUGUGUUCAUGUUGGCGCGCGACAACAUGAAACCGAGUGAUGAGAAUAGAUGUCUUUGCGUGACUUUCGCCCAAUUUGAGUCGGUGUUAAUUGUUUCGUGUUCGACCCAGAGAGUCAAGGAUUAACUGAGUUGUCGUGUUUCAGGAAAUGAUGGCACCGCGUAGGCGAUCUUCAUCUAGAUCGGCGUGGGAUAGGACAAGUGAUGUCCUUGAGCAGUCCGAGGUGAGCAGAGACUUGGAACUUCACGAGCAGUUCGCCACACUCGGGGAGUGGUGAGGCAACAAGUCGAUGUGGUGUAGCGACAGGAGGAGGCUGUCAUGCACCAGGAGGAGCGGUUAGAGAGACUCCAGGAAACGGUGGAUCAGCUGGUGACCGCACCAGUUUUGGCUCGUCAAGUACGGUCGGGAGUCGCGGCGGAGGCAUUUCCGUCGAGGUCGGGCAAUCCGACUUCUAGCACUUCAGAAGUGGAGGCGGAGAGGGAGCGAGCUUUGGCGGCCCUCAUGACCUUCAAAAAAUUUGAUCCACCUACCUUUGAUGGAGAGGAUGUAGAUCUGUGGACCGUGGAGUUGUGGAUCGACUCCAUGGAGACUCUCUUUGAGAACCUGUACACUGUGGAGCGGGACAAGGUACACUUGGUUGUGCAUUGUUUGCAACAGUCGGCGAAGGUGUGGUGGAAAGGCGUGAGCGGAACCAAUCGCCUAGUCUCCCUCCUAUGACUUGGGAAGAGUUUCGGGGAUUGAUAUUCUCUACCUAUUUCCCCGAUAGUGAAAAGAGAAAGCUUCAAGAAAGAUUUAGGAAGCUGCGGCAAGGAGACCGCACUGUGAGGCAAUACGAGCGGGAAUUCUCCUGUAUCGUGAAUUGUGUCCCAAAUGUGGUACGGGAUGAUAAGGAUAUGGCCGAUUGCUUUGUGCAGGGACUUCAGCCGGACAUUUUCAAAGUUGUACACAAUCUGAAGUUGUAGACUUUUCACGAAGUCUUGGAUCGUGCCUUGUGGGUGGAACAAGGCAAUGCAUUUGUGCGGGAGGAGCGCGAGUCUUAUUACAAGGAAAAGAAAAAAGGACAGCCAACGAGUGGAUCCGGUGGCAAGUCAAGUUCUCAACAAACUUCGAUGUGUUCGCGCUCGCGAUCCCGAGCCCCGGGGACUUACCGCACUGGGUCCUCGGCAAGAUGUGUUGUUUGUGGGGGUCCUUAUUACCCACAACAGUGUGAGCAGCGAGAGGGCAAGUGCUAUAGGUGUGGGCAAACGGGCCAUGCGCGGGACGAGUGUCCGCAAGGUGAUAGCCGGGCCCUGACACUGGCGACGAUCUUUUUCUCUUCGGGACAGCCUGCAAGUGUGUCACCUGCGGCAUGGUCGGAAGAGUGGGCGUUGAGGAUGAUGCAACCGGAGAGUUCACGGCGGAUGCCAGGUGGCCAUGGAUACCCGACCCGGGUUGUGGAGCCUGCUGCUACCGACGAUGUCAUGGCAGGUAUGGUUUAGUUGAAGCAAACAUAUGUUCCUGCAUGACGUAAAGCUGGUGCAUUGCAUGCAUUUAUCAUGUGGUCAAUUACUACUAUUUAUACAUUGUAUAAUAGGGACCAUGGGGACGGGUAGGUAUAGAUACUCGGGCAUGCUCACGCAGUGAGAGCGUAGCACCUGCCGGUGCAGGUAGAGAACUAGAUGGCACUAGCAAAUUGCUAGUAAUGGUCUAAUGGUGAGACUCGUGGUAGAUAUGGAAUUGGCGGACCGACUCUCAAAAUAAUGUGAGUUGCUGAUGGCGAGUGUCGAGUCGUGAUGUUCAUAGAUCUCUUGAGAGUUCGAAAAUUUUGAAUGUUGCUCCAGUAGAUCGAACAGUGAAAGUGGAAUCACUAUUGAGAGAAUAAUUAGUUAGUGGCCUAGUUAGUGGCCAAGUGCGGGCACGUGGGCCUAGUAGUACCUCGAAUUGAGGUAGGUGAGUCGUGCUCGUGUGGUCGGUAUGCAUAGGCAAGAUUGCCUAAUGCCGGACUUAGUGUGGAAUGCUAUAGAGACGUGCGACGCUCAAGUGUAGGUACUCGUGUAGUGAGAUCAGUCGGGAGAGUGAGUUGGCAGUAGCACUUGAGCAUUACUAAGUGUGAAGCGUGCCAUGGAUCACUCGUAAGGCUGGUGGCUCGCACUAGGUGCUUAGGAGCCGGUAGUGGUACGUGUUGCUUGAUAGAGCGUGUCGUGUGAGACGACGGUUGUGGGUAUUGCUUGAGGACGAUCCGUGCAUGGACCACUUGUGUACUACAGAGCCUGGGGCCAUAUGGGCAGGCGCAGUCAGCUGUGUGUGAUAGCGGCACGGUACUUACGUGUAGGGCAGAGGUUUGGUCCGGGAGGUAGUUCGAGCUUGGACCCGGCUACGUGGAAUGCCACAUGUUAGAUCGUGUGAUCGAUGAUGCACCGAGAGUGCGGCUGUGACCCAACCCGAGGAUUUGUAGUGGUUUAGGGUCAUGGUUGCUCCUGGUUGGAGUGUGUGCGAAUUCCCAAGUGAGAAUUUCGCCCAGUAAUGAUGAUUGGGUCUACGCUUGCGAGCGAGUAACGUCGCGCGUAUUGCGAUAGGUUUAGAUUGUAGGCCUACGUAGGAUUGGUGACCUUUAGUCCACCUGUGGAAACCGAAGUAAGCGAUUUGGCCGAUCACUCUGUCGAGGAGUUUGGCUUGGAUUCACGAACAGAGUGUUCAUGUGAGUUUGUUGUAAGAACGAGUUGGUGUUGGCCUUGGCAAUUGAAAGAGAAAGUGAAGUGGUCUCUAGGAGACACUUGGAUCAUGGAUAGCCACGCAGAAUUGAGACUAAUGCUCUUUAGAGGAUUGACAUUGGAGAUGUGCCGGAGUGUGCCAUCUCGCUAUAGAGCAAAAAUUCGAUUGUGAUGGGAACUCUCGCGAUUGGACGAUGCACCUCUGAUAUUGCUUCUAAGCAAUGCCGAUGAUCGAAGGAUUCGGUGGAAUUGUGAAGGAGUAGGUCCUUCUUGUGCUGGGUAGUGAGUGGUGUUGGAGCGUGUAGAGUCGUCGAGUAUUGACUUGCGCUGCCACUAUGACUCGCAAGACCCAUGAUGCACUUCUGGUAUCACAUUCCGCUAUUGUGAUUGCGAUUGAACCCACAUCUUUCGGUAUGAGCCGCUUAAGCAGUCACAAUAGUGUGAAGCCGCUCUGGAGUGGGAAAGUGCAUUGGUGUCCUCGAUUGCUCGAUAAGUCGAGUUAAAGUGUGGUUUAGAUUUCGAGGACGAAACUCUUUUUAAGGAGGGGAGGAUGUAACAUGCCGAACUUCUAUAGUUAGGAAGUUACGGCGAAUGUUAGUUUGGAAAGCUGUUCAUGGUGUAGUUCCGGUGAUGUUCGGGAGCAUCCGAGUGUUUUCAGUGCGUGUUGGAUGCGGAAACGGAACUCGAAUAGCUAUGUUAAACUUUGGAUUAAAUCCGGCAAAGCGUGAAAGAGGAUCUAAACGCGCUCAAAAAUGUGUUUUAGGGGUCUCGAAACAAUUAGAGAUGAAUCGGAGGACCAACGAGCGAAAACGAAGCAAACCGGAGAAAAUUGGAAAAAAAGGGCUGAUUUUUGGGUUUCGGACCUACGGGGUCCGGACCUCGAGCUCGAAAACUGCCCAGGUAGGCUGGGGCUAUUUUGGUAAUUUGAGGGGUUGCUUUUUAAAAGAAGGCCUCCACCAUUCUUCUUUCUCCUUCCACAGCAAACCCACACACACACACCCCUUGGGGUAGAGAGAGAAGCUUCUCUCUCUCUCUAGCUUUCCCACUUUCCCUUUCUAGAUCUCUCUCUCAAAUUCACGGGUUGGCGGAGAGCGAGCUUGGGAACACGUUGGGAGCGACGGAUCGAGUCUUCGUGCGUCCGGUUGAGCGACGUGCUUCCGACUCGAGGUUCGCAUUUUGGUGAGCGUUUACGAUUUUGGUUAAAUCCUUUGAGCAUGGUAUGCUAGUGAUCCCUAGACUAUUCUAAGCAUGCUCUCUAUGAAUUUCAUAGAGUAUUUGGAGAAAUGGGAGAUCUAGGCGUAGAAUGGGGGUUUUGGGCAAAUGAGAGUUUUUAUCUAAAUUAACCCUAUGUUUCUCUAAUUAAAGGUUAAAGAAGGGUCCCUGACAACUCUAGGUUGCGGAUUGACCGAUGCUCGGUGAUCGAUUGCGAGUUCGAGCCGAACCGGAUAACACGUGCCGCGGGAAGCCGAUUGCAAGUGUCGACAAGCAAUCAGAGAGCAUUGCGAGGUAGGUUGUGCUUCACCGAAGUGAUUAGGUCACUUUCAUGCCAAAGUGAAGUGUGGUUUGUCAUUGAUGCAUGUAGCGAUAGUUAAUUCCAUAUAUAAAUGCAUAAGGUAAAUGCCAUGUGAAUGCAUGAGAUGAUAUGUAUUAACUAUCCUUGGAUGACAAAGAAUAUGAAGUGUGGUUGGCUUUAUUAUUUUAUUUUAUUUGUUACUGUUUUUUUUAUCGUAUCGCACGCGUCUGUUACGCGCGCGCGCUCGUGCUUCGCUCACUCUCAUGCGCAAGAGGCGGAGAGACGUUGCAUCGUAGAACGUGGCCAACAUUCUAAUUUUUACCCACUUUAUUAUAAAGCUUCACUAUUCACCUGUUUACACAUGACAGUGAGAAAGCUUGUCUUCCAUAGAAACAAAAAAGAAAUAUUGUGGAGAGUUAAUCAAAUUCUCUUUUUAUUUUAAUAUAAUUUUGGCUUGAUAUUUUUUUUAUCAUCGGGUGUUGAAAGAAGCUUCGUCAACCUCUUCCGCGUUCGUGUCCGUAGGAGGAGAAAUUCCGGUCGUAUCUUGGGGCGGUGUUUUCGGUUAAUCCUGCACGAAGGACAGGCAAACGCCUUAGGGUAGUGCCUCGCACGCUUCCGGAGCUAAUUAAUUUUGGAUUUCCUUUUCUGGGAUAUAGCGAAUAUCUGUAAGUUGAUUUUAUUAAUUCCAUCACAAAAUUAGUUAGAUUUGUAUCACAAUCGGAUUUUCGUUGCAGUUUUUUCCCCAACAAUCUUAGGCGUAUUUCGAUUUGAUUGCGAUUAAAAUCUAACGAGUGCUAAUCCGGAAAAAAAAAAAGAGAAAAAAUUAUCGUGCAUAUUAUUGUUUGACAACUUGUUUGUAUGAUUGACAUACAAAUAUAAAUAAAUUGGGAUUAGCAUUCUCAAAUUCUAAUUGCAUAUAGUUUAUUUGCAAAUUAUUACUUCUCUUAUUUGCUUUGGGGUGUUUUUAAUUAGGAUUUAUAAAGGAUUUUACUGUUCUACUAUAGGUUUUAAAAAACAUAUAUUGCUACAGUAAUUUUUAUGUUAGUUGUACGGAUAUUUAAAAAAUUGCUACAGUAAUUUUUUAAAAAAAAAGGUUGCUAAAGUUUUUUCUUUUGCACAGUUUGGAUCUUUUUUUAAAACUUAAUUUUGAAAAAAAAGGGUUUUUGUUAUAGUAAAAAUAAAUUUUCCCUCGUAUCGUUUUUUGAGUUUGCUACAGUAAAAUUUUUUUGAAAGAAAAAAAAAGAAAACAAAAAAUCUAUUUUGAGUAGGAAUCAAACCAUCAACUGGUUAGCUCAACUACUUUAUAAAAUCAAGCCCUCACCAGCAAGCCCAAUUUCAAUUUUGUAAUCUUUUUUGUUUCAGUAUUUAUAUAUAAUCUGUUUGCUGCAUAAAGAGUUUUUGAUUGCAUAUAUCUGUUCAAGAUUACUUAAUUGAAAUCAAACAUUAAAUUGUUUGGGACAUAUAUUUGCUGCUGAACGAACUUUUAUAAGAGAUUAAGUUUAAACACUUAAAUCCUAAAAUAUUAUGGUUGACUAGGGUAAAAACUUUAACAACAUGUUUGUUUUUCUAAAAAGGUUUUUUGAACCUUUUUUGCAGCUCUUUUCAAUCAUCCUUAGUUUUCUUACUCCCUCAACUAGAUUGUUUAGAAUGGCUUUUGAUGAUACUUCUAGCCUUAAACCAGAAAAAUUUAAAGGGAUAGGAUUUUUGAGGUGGCAAGAACAGUUAGAGGCUUGGCUUAUCACCUUAGGCCUUAUAACUGUAAUUGGAAAAACACCUCCUUAUCCUACUUCUAAAAAUUCUUCUGGUCCUCCCAUAGUAACUCCUCCAUCAGAUUCUUCUAAAUCUGCUACCACCUCAGUUACAGAACCUAAAUCAGAUAAAUCUCCCGAGGAAAUUGAAUUUCACUGAAGGUUUAGAAUACUUAGCUGCCUAUUUGACGAAUUUUAUGAACCUAUAGGAAAUAUCAAACUGCCAAAGAUUUAUAGUUUGUCCUAGAAGAUGCCUACAUUAGAGAUAAUAAAGGUGUGGCCAGAUUUACCAUUACCGAUUUUAACAAUUUUAAAAUAGUAGACAACAUUCCUAUAAACGAUCAAAUCCACCAAUUUCAGAAUUUUGUCCAAGAGAUUCAUAGAAAUGGAUCAACCCUAGAUGAAACCUAUCAGGCAACCUGUCUAUUGGAUAAAUUACCUCCUUCCUGGACCAAAUUUGCCCAAGAUCUUAGACGUUCCAAGGAAACUCUUAAACUUAGAUCGGUAAUCCAAGCUGUUAGAAUAGAAGACCAAUAUCGACUUAGGGAGAUUAAACCGUCCAAUAACCGAUCAAACAUAAACCUGACCAAGAUUCAGAACAAGAGCCAUGAGCUUAAACCCAAAGGUAAAAAUUUUAAACCUAAAGGUAAAAGUUUUAAAGGUAGGAACCCAAAUCGAAACUGGAACCAUACCUAGAAACCCAAUUUGAACCAAUCUAAUGGGAAUAAGAAGAAGGAUGGUUUCUGUUAUGUAUGUGGCCAUGACAACCAUUUUGCUUCAAAAUAUUUUUAUCGAAAAAAAAAGAAGGUUGUCUACAAGAAGAGCCAAAACAAUCAGAACAAAGGUUGUCUACAAGAAGAGCCAAAACAAUCAGAACAACUAUCCUAAACCUCAGGUCAACAUGAUUGAGGGUGAACCUUCCAACUCCACUUUUAGGUCAGUCUCCUUUGUACCUAAUGUUAACCUUACCUAUUAUAAUUUGGAUUGGUAGUUAGACUCUGGAGCCAAUGUCCAUGUUUGCACUAAUAGGUCCCUAUUCUCCUCUUAUCAGGACACAAGUGGAGGAUGUGUGACUGUUGGAGAUGGAAAAGCUGUCAAUGUGUUGGGGAUCGGAACAGUCAAGCUGAAGUUAACUUCAGGAAAGACUUUAAUCCUUCAUAAUGUGCAGCAUUCUCCUGAAAUCCGACGAAACUUGAUUAGUGAAUCUUUAUUAGUGCAAUUAGGAUAUAAGAUUGUAUUAGAAUCCAAUAAAGUUGUAAUUUCUAAGGGAGAAAUAUUCAUUGGAAAAGGUUUUGUAUCUAAGGGUUUGUUCAAACUGAAUGUACUUUCUUUUACCGAUAAUAAAAAUUCUUCUUCUUCUACUUCUUCUACUGUUGUUUUGAAUACUGAAUCUUGUGAUAUAUGGCAUGACAGAUUAGGGCAUGUGAAUCUUAGAUCUAUUAUGAGAUUAUCCAAUCUUAACCUUGUACCCAAAUUCAAGAUUGAUCAUAUAUCCAAAUGUGAGAUUUGUACCCAAGCUAAGCAGCCUAGGAAACCUUUUAAAUUUGUUCAUCAUAGGGAUACCCAGCUUCUUGAACUAAUUCAUAGUGAUGUUUGUGAUUCCAAUAGAGGUCCUACUCGUGGAGGAAGUCGUUACUUUGUGACCUUUAUAGACGAUUACUCCAAAUAUUGUUACACCUAUCUCUUGAAGACCAAAGAUGAAGUCCUCUAUAAGUUUAAAGCCUUUAAAGCAGAGGCUAAAAACCAAUUGGAGAAGAGAAUUAAAAUUUUAAGGUCUGAUAGAGGAUGCGAGUAUACUUAAAAUGAGUUAAAUUUGUUCUGCGAGGAAUAUGGAAUAAUUCAUGAAGUAACUGCUCCAUACUCACCUCAGUCUAAUGGUGUAGCUGAAAGAAAGAGCCGAACCCUGUUAGGCAUGGUUAAUGCUAUGAUUUUAAGUUCUAGUGUAUCUCAGAACUUGUGGGGGGAGGCUCUUUUAUCAGCUUGUUAUAUCCUCAAUAGAAUUCCUUCUAAGGAUAGAACCCGGACACCUUAUGAACUUUGGAAGGGAAGAGCACCUAGGCUGAGUUACUUCUGAGUGUGGGGGUGCUUAGCUAAGGUGUCUAUUCCUGAACCCAAAAGAAAGAAGAUUGGUCCUAAAACAGUAGAUGCCAUUUUCAUUGGAUAUUCUCUAAAUAGUAACACCUACAGAUUGCUUAUAACCAACUCUGAGAUUUCUGAGAUUUCCAAUGAUACCUUGAUUGAAUCUAGAGAUGCAACAUUCUUUGAAAACAUCUUUCCUUUCAAAACUCGCAUCUCUAGAUCAGCACCUGAUUAUCAACCUACAGUUGAUCAUGCAUCUACAUCUGAUGAUUUAUUUGCAUCUGAUUUAUCAUAUAGUUUAGAUCCUGUAGAACCUAACCCACCAGCUGAACUGAGAAGAAGCAAAAGAGCUCAUAUCGAGAAGAACUUUGGUGAAGAUUUCUUUACUUUCUUAGUUGAAAGUACACCUUCAUCAUACGAGGAAGCUAUGAGUUCUUCUGAAGCUUCUUUUUGGAAGGAGGCUAUAAACAGUGAGAUCGAGUCAAUUAUUGGCAAUAACACUUGGAUCCUCACUGAUUUACCUCCUAGAAACCAACCCUUAGGAUGUAAGUGGAUCUUUAAAAAGAAGCUUAGGACCGACGGAUCGGUAGAAAAGUAUAAGGCCGGCUUGUAGCUCAAGGUUUUCGACAAAAAGCUGAAGUUGAUUACUUUGACACAUAUGUGCCUAUUGCUCGCACUACUACUAUCCGAGUCAUCCUUGCAUUAGCAUCUAUUCAUAAGCUUUUGAUUCAUCAGAUGGAUGUCAAAACGGCUUUCCUUCAUGAAGAUCUUGAAGAAGAAAUUUAUGUGACUCAACCUGAAGGUUUCUCUGUGCCUGAUCAAGAAAAUAAGGUGUGUAAAUUAGUCCGCUUUUUGUAUGGACUAAAACAAGCACCUAACCAGUGGCACGAGAAAUGCGAAAAUGUUAUUGAAUAUAUGGAUUUCAGACAAAAGAUUUUGACAACUGUCUCUAUUUCAAGAGAUUUGAUGAUCGUUGUGUUCUUCUUUGCCUCUAUGUUGAUGACAUCCUGAUUCUUGCACCUGAUCUUGAUCUGAUUAACCAAGUUAAAUCCUUUUUAUCGACUCAUUUUGAUAUGAAGGAUCUUGGUGAAGCAGAUGUGAUUUUAGGAAUGAAGAUUCUUAAAUCAUCUAAUUUUAUUCUUUUAACCCAAUCUCAUUAUACCCAAAUAGUUCUUGAUAAAUUUGGAUAUUCUGAUUGCUUUCCUGUUUCUACUUCUUUUGAUCCUAGUGUUCAACUUGUGAAGAACACUGGUAAUUCUAUGAAUCGGGAGAGAUAUGCCCAGAUUAUUGAUUAUUUGAUGUACCUAACCAAUAGGACUAGACCUAAUAUUGCCUAUGCCAUAUCGAGAUUGAGCAGAUAUACUAGUAAUCCUAGUAUAACUCAUUGGAUUACUUUGGAAAGAGUAUUUCGUUACCUUAAAGGUACUAUCUCUUAUUCACUUUAUUUUAUUGGCUAUCCUGCUGUAAUUGAGGGAUACAGUGAUGCCAAUUGGAUUUCGGAUUCUUUGGAUAUCAAAUACACUUCUGGUUAUGUUUUCAUUCUUGGUGGAGGUGCAGUUUCUUGGCAAUCCACCAAACAGACUAUAAUAGCUAGAAGUACUAUGGAGGCUGAGUUAGUUGCUCUUAAUACUACUUGUCUUGAAGCCGAGUGGCUCAAGAACCUACUGUCAUCGAUUCCUUUGAUUUCUUCUCAUAUUCCACCUAUUUCUAUUCGAUGUGACUCUCGAGCUGCAAUUGAUUUUUGUAAAAAGAAAUUGAUAAAUUCUAAAGCUAGUAGACAUAUUAAAUUGAGACAAAAGUCUGUUAGAUGGCUAACCUCUCGUGAUAUUGUUUCUUUGAGUUUUAUCAGAUCUGAUCAGAAUCUUGCAGAUUGCUUGACAAAAGGCCUGAAUAGGACUAAGGUCCUGGAGUCAUCGAGGGGGAUGGGACUUUGCCGGUAAAAGGUCAUCCUGCAGUAGGAACUCAACCUUUGUGAUAGGAGAUCCCUUGAAGAAGGUUCAAUGUGGUAAAAACAAGCUGCUAGGUUGGCCAAAGAGCACUUUCUACAGUUUAUAUAGAGGAGCUUUAGCUCUAAUCCCAUCCCUAUGGUGAAUAGUGCUCUGUAUAGUGGUUCAGGCUGAGUUUAUAGCUCUUAAUGGGAUCCGAGGCGAUAAUUUCCGCGAGAUGUGACUCUACACACAUCCCCGGAGAAAACCACCUAUAUAAGAGUAUCCAUAUGUGGCCGCGGCUGUGGGAUGUGGGCUGUCCAUAGAAACUCUUAUGAAAAAUCAAGGUACUAUGCAUGGCCAUUAACGCACAGACCCGCGACGGAGAAUUCUGUACUAUGUGUAUGGUAGUUGAAGUCAGGGUCAAAGAAACGUAGUUCAAGACCUGGUUCACUCCGAUUCUUUCUGAUGAAAACUAUUUACACUGAGUGAGGUUAAGUCUCUUAAAGACAUCUUACCUAUUGCAUAGUAUAAACACCCGGUGAUCUAUUUAUUUAUUAAUUUGUUUUCGAGUUUAAUUCCCAUUUUGAAAUUUUUGAAUUUUGUGGGGGAUUGUUGAUGAAAAUUCAAAAUUCUUUAGUAUUUAUUUAUUAUUUUAUUUGAUUUAUUUUAUUUUAUUUAUUAAUUUUUUUUUAUCGUAUCAAACGCGUCUGUUACGUGCGCGCACUCGCGCUUUGCUCGCUCUCAUGCGUAAGAGGCGGAGAGACGUUGCAUCAUAGAACAUGGCCAACGUUCUAAUUUUGACCCACUUUAUUAUAAAGCUUCACUGUUCAUAUGUUUACAUAUGACAUUGAGAAAGCUUGUCUUUCGGAGAAACAAAAAAGAAAUAUUAUGGAGAGUUAAUCAAAUUCUCUUAUUAUUUUAAUAUAAUUUUGGCUUGAUAUUUUUUUUAUCAUCGAGUGUUGAAAGAAGCUUCGUCAACCUCUUCCGCGUUCGUGUCCGUAGGAGGAGGAAUUCCGGUCGUAUUUUAGGGCGAUGUUUCCAGUUAAUCCCGCACGAAGGACGGGAAUACGCCUUAGGGCAGUGCCUCGCAUGCUUCCGGAGCUAAUUAAUUUUGGAUUUCCUUUUCUGGGAUUUAACGAAUAUCUGUAAGUUGAUUUUAUUAAUUCCAUCACAAAAUUAGUUAGAUUUGUAUCACAAUUGGAUUUUUGUUGCAGUUUUUUCCCCAAUAGUGAUUAGGUCACUUCCAUGCCAAAGUGAAGUGUGGUUUGUCAUUGAUGCAUAUAGCGGUAGUUAAUUACAUAUAUGAAUGCAUAAGGUAGAUGCCAUUUGAAUACAUGAAAUGAUAUGUAUUAACUAUCCAUGGAUGAUAAAGAAUAUGCAUGUUGGCAUAUUAUAGUAUUUGCUAGAAAGUAUAUGCAUGUGGAUUUAUUGUGGAAUAUGCUAGAAAGUAUAUGUAUGUUGGCAAGUUGUAGAAUAUGCUAGAUUCAUAUAAAUUGAACAUGGGUCGAUAACUCUAGGUUGAUUAGAGAACUCGACAGUUGGAAAAUAAGAAUAUGAAAUCUAUGAAUCCUAGGUGUGGACAACUAGGAUGACAAGUAGAUCAAAUAGAUCGAGUGGCAUGAACCUAGUGUCAUUGAACAUAGGUUGAACAAGUGAACCUAGAGUCGAGAUCUAGGUGGAAAUGACAUAGAACCUAGCAUGGUUGAACCUAGACUGUGGAUUAUAGUGGUAGCAGGGCCACUAGGAUGUGCAUGGGCCGAACCUAGAUAGGUCGACAGCAUAGGGUGUGUGACUACCCUUGAGACUUGAAAAGUAAAUUCCAGAAUCACAGGACUUGUGGAACUCGACAGUUCUUGGCCGCCGGGGCUGUGUGGCAUAUUCUCCUCCCACCGGAAGAACUUCGAGGAUAGGAUUAUGGAAGAUUCUUGGCCGCGGGGGCUGUGUGGCAUAUUCCCCUCCCACUAAAAAAAUCUUGGAUCGCUAGGGUGCGUGUGGCAUAUUCCCCUUCCUAUUGGAGGUUUUGUGCCGCGGGUGCGUGUGGCGUAUUCCCCUCCCACCGGAAAGAUCUCUGACCACAGGUGUACGCAGUUCUUCGCGACCCAUUGGGCGAUGUGGUUUGUGGAUUUAGGGCUGAGGUGCAUGUGAGACGUCCUUCGCAUAGAGCCCGAUAGAGCGCGGUAUUCCGUAGAUGAUUGACUCGAGGCCGAGUCGGGUGGCUAGCUUUGUUAAGCUAGAUGAAAUCUUAAGAGCAAGUGGUAAAUGGUAUGGAUCUAAAAUAGUAGAAAUCUUAGAAGCUAGUUGGAUAUGAGCUAUGGAUAGCGAGAUAGAGAGUAGUAUCGGUUGAUCUAUUUAGUUUAUUGCAUUGUUGCAUGAUUUGAAUAUUGCAUGUCUUGAGGCAUACGCAUGUAAUUUAAUAUUUGCAUAAAAUAUCUGUUGGACUAACAUGUUUGCAGUGCCUCCUUUAGACCUGGUGAGUCGAGCUUUUCCCUUGGGUGGCCGUACCUACUGGGAAUUAUGGACAUAGUUCUCAUCCCAUGUUGUUUUGGGGGAUUUCAAGUUCACACGCGAGCGGCGCGGCGGCACGAGGAAAUAGCGUAACUCCGUAGAUAGCGCCCUACCAUUGUGACGAGAGAUAGCGGUACCCCGAAGUGGUCUAGCUUAGGGGUGGAAAUGAAAAGAACAAAUUUGUAAUAACUAGAUUGUAUUUGGAGGUUAAUGUAAUUUAAUGUAAAACUGAGAUGAAUGCUUGUAAUAGUUUAGCAUUUAUGUUUUGGAUACCUUCCUUAUGCAAUCUGUGUUUGAAUAUUGUUCCUGGUUGGAACCUCGUGUAUUGUAUUGAUUGCGACGUCUUGAACGUACAGAAAAAAUUCUGUCCGUUCGGCGGUCUGUUGGCGUACCCGAAUCCGACCAAAUCGGAGGCAUGACAUGGAAUUUAAUUCUCAACAAAGCUCUCUUCUUCACUUCCAAACUUCUUCUAGGGUUCAUCAAACAAGCCACCAUGGAAAGGAAGGAGAAAACAAGAUCAAAACCCAAAUCAAAAGGGGUUUGGAGAAGAAAUCUAGAGAGAGAAAAAAGGGGUUUGGAGAAGAAAUCUAGAGAGAGAAAAGGGAAAAAACCCUACCUCUUCCUUCCUCAACCUCAGCAUAAGAGAGGGGCAUGUGGGGGAGAGGAUGUAUUUUAUACAAGUUGUAACAAUUCCCUCAAAACCUUUCAAAACUUCAAAAAUUGCAAACUGCACGAAAUGCAGUUUCUGCACUGCGUACCGGUACUCGAAGAUGAGGAUUCAACUUCUUGUUCUAAGUUGUAAAAAAGUAUCUGCUUUGGGAUAUCUCAGAAAUUGUUCUGUUAUAUGUUGGUAUCUAACAAUAUUGAACGUAAGAUGAGAUCCUAGUUACAAUAUAAAUGUAGAGAUUAGAGGAGAUUGCUCUCUUUUAGCUAACAAAAAAAAAGAAAGAAUAAUAUGAAGCUAGAGCCUGCAGAGAUUAUGAGACAAAUAAAUAUUUAGAGAAAUUAGAUGAUUAUUCUUUUUAUACUGCAUUAGGAAGACAAAAAAUUAUUUAAUGAAAGAUUAAAAUUAAUAAAGCAAAACUUAAAAUUUUAUAAUAGAUCAAUGCACAUGAUAAAUUAUUUAACACUUGAAUUCUUUUAUUAUAAUCAGAUUCUAAUACUUUAAAUAUGGAAUAGUAUAUAUGAGAGAUCAAUGAGUUUAUUGAGAAUUUGUCCACAAAUGGUGUGCUAUUUUUCGUAUAAAUAGCUUUUGUCCAAUUCCAGCAUAGAUCAUAUAACUUCAACUUUGAACAAUCUACUAUAACUUACUAUAAACGGUUAAUUUUUAAACAUUUUACUUUAGAAAAUGAUAUAUGAUGGAAUAAAAAAUUUCUUACAUAUUGUCCAAGUACUUCAAUGUGUGUAUUCUUAUAUAGGAUGAAUGAAUAAACACUCCUUGCCUUUUAGGCCUUUGGUAAAUAGUUUCAUGAACUUUUAUUUGUGGAAAUUAGUUCUUCGAAAUUUUAUCAAAUGGUUCAAUUAAUUAUUGAUCUCAAAUAGUUUAAUUGUUUCUUAUCCUCAAAUAAAAUUAUUAUUUAAAUAGCUUGUGCUGGUGGCAUGCUUUAUUGGUAAUUUUUAAAAGAUUUAAAACAUAAAAAAUAUACUUAUCUUUUAGAAGAUAUAAAAAAAGCAUCAAAAUUCAAGAAUUUGGUGGAUCCAUUUUAUUACUUAUUUAAAGCAUGAGAAUAAACAAAAUAUACUUUGCUGUACUAUGAAGCUUUAUAGGAUCAUACUCAGAAAAUGUGUUAAGAAUUAUUGUUUAAUAAAUAAUUUUGUUUGAAACAAAGAACAUAUUAAAACUAUUUUGUAAGGCCAAUUAAAAAAUGUAAAAGUUUAAAAGGCUGUUUGCCAAACUAUGAAGUUCAUGAAACAUUUAUUUAUUUAUCCUUUUCUUAAAUUGAAGUACUAAUUCAAACUUUCAAUCUCAUCAAACUUUUACUCUUAGGUAAAUUUUUACAUACUCUCAUAAAAUGAAAAAAAAUGUGUCGAAAUUUUACAUAUACAAGAAAUUAUAAUAUAACAAAAAAAUAGAGGAUCUAUCAUAAGUAAUUCCUUUUAUAAAACUCUCAUAAUUAAUUACUUCAAUAUAACAAAAAUAUCUCAUCCCUUUUAUUUCUUUACUGACAAUUCAAUAAAAGUUGAAUAUAGUUACAUACUAAUUAACUUAUACUGUUUGCAAUUCUAGGAAAAAAUAUAGAAAAUCCACAAAAGACCCACAUCCAAGGCCAUGUGAUGAUCUGAGAGAGAAAGAGAUAGAUAGAGAGAAAGACCUAUUUUUACGAGAAACGAUGUCAAAUGGCAAGCGCGUAACGAGGACCACUGGCAAUAAGCAUCAAUUUCUAGCAGCAAGCCGAUAACGUGAACCACCGACAAUAAGCAACAAAAUAUUUGAAGUACCAUACGAGAAGAAAAAUAAGAAAGCAAUGAAAAUCGGGGGGGAGAAGUCACUCAAAAAAAUUAGAAGGGAAGCUAUGCGUGCUGGAAAUAAUUUCAGAAACCGCUUGUAAUUUCAGAACCCGCUCGUGAAGUUGAGGGCGUUAAUUGAGGACGAAGGAGCAAGCUAAUUAAUUAAAGAGUUUGUCUAGGAUUUUUUAAUUAGGAAUAUGAUAUUCUCGUCUUCUUUAGUUUUAGUCAUUUUUUAUUUAUAUAUACUCUAUUAAAGUAGGGCUACUAUACUCUUAUGAGUAGAAAGCCCUUUGUACUCAUAAGUUAUUUUCGAUGAUGGAGCUUCUGAAUCGACGAUCCAUUCCGUUAAAUAUGAUCUAAAGUAUUUGAAACUUCUAAAAAAUAAAUUUCGUAAUUUUUCGAAAUCAUAAUAAAAUCUAUUAAGCGAGUAUAAAAUAAACGGUCAGAAUUGAAUGACGUCCUAAAAAUAAAUGAUCGAAUCAUUUAAUUUAAGAUCAGAAUUACUGACCUAUAUCUAGAUAGUAGAUAGAAUUUUCUAUAAAAAAUUCAACUAAUUUCGAUUCUUUUACACCUUUAAACUAUCAAGUAUUCCAAACCGCUCGUUAAAAGUUGUUAAUUUUGAGAUUUUUUUUAAUCAUAAGGUAAAUAAUGUCAAAAAAUUAUAAAAUUUGAUUUCUAGAUAUUUUAAAUGCCCUAGAUAAUAUUUAACGGUAUGCAUUGUAAAUUCGAAAGCUCUAUCAUCGAAAAUGACUUAUGAGUACGAAGGCUAUCGUACUCAUAAGAAUGUAGUAGUCAGACUCCACUCUAUUAUUGUAUAAUAUAUAAUAUCAAGAGUAUAAAUAACAUAUCUGAAAAUGUAUUGUUAAAUUAACACUAAUAUAUCUAUCUGUCAAAACAAUAAGGAUUAAUAUACUAGCCAAUUUAUUACAACAAAAUUAAUUAACGAUAGCAAAUAUGAAAUUACAAAAAUACGGCAGUGUUAUAAUAUUUUCUAAUUACACCUGAAAUUGCUGCUAAGAAAUAAAUAGCAGCGGUAAUUAUAAAGGUUGCUAUAUCUUUAGUUUAGCGACAUGUUUUAAGCCUAUCAUAAAAGAAAUUACCGCUAUAUGGCUUAUUUUUUAUAGUGUUUCUCAAAUUCUUCAGUACCCUCACCUUUACUGCCCUGCUUACGAGAACGAGGAAGGCCGAAAAAAGUGCAGCGGACGGUGGAGAUAUGGGCGAGGUAAGGUGGAGAAGUGUGAUGACCACGUAGGGGCUAGGGGCGACGAGGAGAAUGCAAGAGAGGAAGUGAGAGAAGAAAGAAAGGAAAGAAAAAUAAGGGAGAGAAUUAGGUGUUUUUAUAAAUUUUUUAAAAAUUUUGUCCAAAUAUACAAAUUAAAAAAUAGACUGAUUUUAUAAAAAUACCAAAAAAAAAGGGUUAAAAUAAGUGGAUAUUUUUUUUUAGUUAAAUUAAAAAUAAAAAAAUGCGCAUGAAAAAUAGCUUAAAAAAAAGGCCAAUUUGCAUAAAAAAAUCACUUAUUUUGGGCUUUUGCAAAAUUGGGCCACAUUUUUCAUUUUUGCAGAUUCGGUCCGCUUUUUCAGCAAACUGACCAAAAUACCCUUAUUACUUUUUCUCUUUCCUCUUUCUCUCUCUUCUUCGUUUCUCUCGUUCUUUUUUUUUUUCUCGCCGGUAGAGCGGAGGUGGAGCGGAGGUAGAAACGGUCCGUCUCGCCUCUCACCGUCAUGCUCUCGCCCUCGCCCUUGCCCUCGUCCAUGCACCUCCCACCUUCCUCGCCUCCGACCCCGUUAAGGCCGCGCCGCGACUUUUUUUUUUUGCUUUUUUCUUUUCUUUUCUUCUCCGACUCUUCUCCACCGUCUCCGACGACGACGCCUCUCGCCCUUCCCCGCCCUUCUCAUCUCUCCCUCUCCCUCAUUUUCUGCCGCCUCCGAUGACGAUUUAUCUUCGCCGGCGCCGAUGUCGAAACCGUAGAGGUCACUGCGGCGCUAUAGCCUCGGAGCGGGGGGUCCUUAGCGGCGUCGUCACCGGCGCCGUCACCGGCGCCGUAGCUAUUGGCAGAGAAGGUGACAAAAAAAUUAUAGAAAAAACAGAAAAAAAAAAUAAAGAUAAAAAAUUAUAUAAAAAGAAGGAUGAAGAUGAAAUUACAUCGUUAAUUACAAAAAAAAUUAUAAGUUGCACUAUUUAAGAUGUAAACUGCUGCUUUAAGAUAAAAAUUAUACUCUUUGAACGAAAAUUAUACUAUUUUUUAUCUUAAACUGCAUCCUUUUAAGUGAUAUUUAUACUGUUUCUCCUCUUGUAUCCAUGUUUCGCGCUAGUUGUUCACUAUUUCUCCUCUUAUUUACACAGAAAUGGUGCAACAUAGAGGAGAAACAGGUGCAAUAACAGGAGAAACAGUAUAAAUAUCUCUUAAAAGGUGCAGUUUCUCCUCUUAUUGCAUUGUUUCUCCUCUUGUUGCACUAUUUCCUGUUGUUUACACAGAAAUGGGGUGCAGCAAGAGAGAGAAACAGUGCCAACAAAGAGAAGAAACAGUAGAUAUAUCUCUUAAAACAGUGCCAGUUUCUCCUCUUGUUGCCACUAUUCUCCUCUUGUUUACACAGAAAUGGGCCAACAAGAGGAGAAACAGUAUAUAUAUUCUUAAAACAGUGCAGUUUCUUUCUUCUUGCACUGUUUCUCCUCUUGUUGCCACUAUUUCUUUUCUUAUUUACACAGAAAUGGUGCAAUAAGAGGAGAAACAGUAUAAAUAUCCUUUAAAAGUGCAGUUUAAGAUAAAAAUAGUGUAACAAGAGAAAAUUAUGCAACAAGAGGAGAACAGUGCAACUUUUGUUUUAAGGAUGUUAACUUUCAUCUUAAUGGAUGCAGUUUACAUCUGAAAGAGUGUAAUAAGAGAGAAACAGGUUAAAUAAUUUUUCAAGAGUGUAAUUUUCGUUUUUAGUGUGGUUUUCAUUUAAAAGCUGCAGUUUAAUCUUAAAUAGUGGUAACUUAUAAUUUUUUUUGCAUAGUAACGAUACAAUUUGAUGUUCAUCCUUCUUUUAUAUAAUUUUUUUAUCUUUAUUUUUUUUUUCUGUUUUUUCUAUAAUUUUUUUGUCACCUUCUCUGCAACAGCCACGGUGUGGCGACGACACCGCUAAGGACCCGCUCCGAGCCUGUAACGCGCAGUGACCUUCACGGUGUCGCGUCGGCGCCGGCGAAGAUGCAUCUCGUUGGAGGCGGCAGAGAAUGAGAAAGAGAGAGGGGGAUGAGAAGGUGGGAAAGAUGAGAAGGACGAGAGAUGCAUCGUCGUCGGAGACGGGGGAGAAGGUCGGAGAAGAAAGAAAAGAAAAAAACAAAAAAAAAAAAGUCGUGGCGCCGGCCUUGGGGGGUGGAGCGAGAAGGUGGGCUUGCUGUGGACGAGAGCAAGGGUGAGGGCUAAGAGAAUGAAGUGAUGAGGCAAGACGGACCGUUUCCGCCUCCGCUCUUGUAACGCGCCCAACUUCCCACGGGUCACCCAUCCUAAGGAUACUCCCGUACCUAGCACGCUUAUUCUCUUAACUUUUUGGGCCUUUCACCACCAAAAUGUUAAGCCGGCGUUAAGAGUUUAAUCCUAUUAUAAUCUAUUAUAGGACUAUCUGGGGUCUCACAAUCUCCCCUCCUUUAAGCCCUGACGUCCUCGUCAGGCUCAGACUCACAAGUACCAGGCGAUGUGAGACUCAUCUCGCUAGCCCGUCAUCCAGAUCCUGGCUCAGCCGAGAGUCAUCUCACACUUCCGGCUGGUAAUUGGCUCUGAUACCAUCUGUAACGCCCCAACUUCCCAGGGGGUCACCCAUCCUAGGACUACUCCCGUCCUAGCACGCUUAAUUCUCUUAACCUCUUGGGCCUUGCCACCACCCAAAAUGCUUAAGCCGGGUUAAGAGUUUAAUCCUAUUAUAUCUUAUAUAUAGGACUAUCUGGGGUCUCACAGCUCUGCCGGCGAGAAAAAAAAAGAACGAGAGAAACGAAGAGGAGAGAGAAAGAGGAAAGAGAAAAAGUAAAAAGGGUAUUUUGGUAAGUUUGCUGAAAAAGUGGACUGAAUCUGCAAAAAUGAAAAAGGUGGCCCGGUUUUGCAAAAGCUCAAAAUAAGUGAAUUUUUUAUGCAAAUUGGCCUAAAAAAAAUAAUGAAACACAAAAAGGAAACAGAAGAAAAUUGAGAAAAUCUCCAUAAGGGCAGUUCUCACGGUGCAACAGGAGGGGAAAAACGAGAGGAAAAGGCGAGAGAGAGAGCGAGAGAGAGCGAGAGAGAGAGAGAGGAAAAGAGUAGAAACACUCAGGCGCACGUUCCUGGGACGACGAGUCGCUCCUCGUCGGCGUUUCUUUCUCGAGGACUCCGCCGCGACCGAGUCGCCCUCGUCUCCCUCCCCGCCGCCCCCAUCUCCUCCCCGAAUCUCGUAGAUCUCCCACAGGUGACUCGGCAAUCCCUCAUUCCUCCUCCCUCACUUCUUUGAUCUCGAAACCCUAACUUUCCUUUCCUUUCUCCAUUUUUGAGAUCCCAGGCUUUCUUCCGCAGAUCGAGCAUGGCGAGGUAUCAGGUGGAUGGUAAGGUGGUGCAGGGAGUGGACUUGUUGAGGAAGAAGCACUGGGUAUGGCGAUUAGACGUGUGGCCCUUCGCGAUUCUCUACUCCUUAUGGCUCUUCCUGGUCGUCCCCAGCAUCGAUUUCACUGACGCCUUGAUCGUCCUCGCGGGGAUCGCCGUCGUUCACAUCCUCACGCUACUCUUCACGGCGUGGUCCGUCGAUUUCAGAUGCUUCGUUCAGUUCAGCAAGGUGUGCUGGAUUUCUCGGUUUUGAUAUACAAGAAUGGAUCUGAACUUUUUAUUUGCGCAACCAUGUCUUAGGUUCAAUUUGUCAUAAACUCAGCUUUGAUUGGCAGGUGAACGACAUCCAUUCUGCGAAUGCGUGCAAGAUCAUCCCUGCCAAAUUUUCCGGCCCGAAAGAAGUCACGCCGCUGCAUUUCCGGAGAACUGUAAGUUUACUGUUAUAUUUUUGUGCAUAUCUGGACAACCGUGAGGCAAGUCAAUUUGUAAAAUGGAUAAACUAAACUUAUUUAUGCAAACGUUGAAACCCCUUUUCUGCUAUAUUUGUUAGGAGUUGUAUAGGCUGGAAUGAAAUUCUCUUAUGAAGUUUUAAGAUCAAGUUACAUAAUCCUACCUUUAUAACAAAUAGUGCAUACACCCAUAUGUGCAUCUGCAAAUGUGAAAUGUGGUUACUUCACCACACCGCAUAGACUGCAUUUGCAUAUAUGGCUCGGGCAGCGAGCGCCAUGUAAAUAAGCACAUGAGCAAGCUACCUAGUAUCUUGAACUUAAAAUGUGUAUAGGUAGAUUUAUCAUAACAUGUCUAUAUAUUAGCUACUUAUGCAUUUUAAUCUAUUUGAUAUAAAAUGCUUUAUAAAUUUUCAUUACUUGUUAGAUUUUAGACUGAAUUCUUUUUACAAAAUAAGGUAUUCGAAAUGUGACAUUAUUUUACAGUGCUGGAAUGCUCUGUAACACUUUUUGAAUUCGUGAUUCUUAAAUUUAUUGUAUUUAUGUGGACUGCAUAGGCACCUGUAUAUGCGACCGCCUCCACAUGGGCGCUAUGUGAUACCUUAGCUGCCUGCAUACUGCUUUAUGCAUUUUAGAACAUAUAAUAAUUUAAUUAGAGCUGCUGAACUUGUAAAAUUACAAAUGCUUCUGUCCUCAAGAGGGACUUCAUAUGUUUUUUUUUUUUUUUUGGUAAAAUUGAGUUUAUAGUUAUUUUUGAGAUGGUGAUGCUACUGUUUUUAGAACCUUUUUCUUCUUAUUCAUGCAAUCUUAUUCCUACAUGUAAUUGUUCUAGUUUGAUGGUGAUAGAACAAUGUGGUGUAUAUUUGAAACUGAUUUCUAAAUAGACCAAUUUUGAAAUGAAAUAUUCAUCAAGAGUUGUUCAAUCAUAAAGAAUUUAGAAAAAGAUAGCAUCAAAUGUGCUGCAAAGCAAUUUUUGAUGCAGCAAUCCUUACUAAUAAUUUAUGCAAAGAUGAAAACCCAACUAAAUUUUGUUUGUUUGAUAUAGACCUUUAGGAAAAGAAAUAACCAACCUAGAAAAUAAUAAGUUCAUAUACAUUUUGGUAGACAAAACACUUUAGGAUAAGGAUAAUUUUCUGUAGAUUAGUAGCUUAGGGGUUUAAGUUUGUUGCUGAAAUUGGAUAUGGAAAGUUUCAAAAGUUUAAUGCAAGGAUUUCAUCCCUUUAGUUUUCUAAAGAAGAUUGUAAGAUGUGCCAAUAAGAAGUUCCCAAAUAGCUUGAAAUAGAUGGGUAUAGUGUUCUGAUAGGUUGCUAUGGAUGCAAAUAUUAUUACUCACUGACAACUUUUCGAUGCAAACUAAGGGUUGCAAAAUCUGAAUUUUCAACUUUGUUUUAGUCUGUUGCUAUCCCUUGAAAUAAACUAGGUUCAAUUUAUUGAUGCUGGAGAAAUUUACUACAAUUAAAGCAAGGAAGCUAGAAAAUUUCAGCAAGACAAAAUUAAAAACAAAUUGAAGCAAUAUUAAGAUGGUAAUAAACAUUCAAUAUAUGAGAUAUUAAUGACCAAGUGAAAAUACAUAUAAAAGUUUCAAAUAAAAAGGUAAGGUUUUAUCGGACUUGAAACUUUUAUACUUGGUUGUUUCGGCAAAAAUGGUUGGUAAUAGUGGAAGGCUAGACUGAAUGGGAUAAUGGGAUACUAAGAUGAGGGAGAAGGUAAGAUGCAAGAAUUGCACCGAUUAUACAAUUGCUGGGGAUCCACAAUUGACAAGGAGGCGAUAUACCAUGGGUAGAACUUCUGCAAUGGGGAAGAAAAAGAAAAGGUAGGGAUUCAAAAGAAGAGGAGGCAGGAAUUCGAAAGAAGUGGAUGUAGGAAUUUGAAAGAAGAGGGGUAGGAGCAGAAGCCAAAGAAGAGGAGGCAGGGAUUCGAAAGAAGAGGAGGGGGUAGGAGCAGAAGACGAUCUUGCCUUGAGGAGGAAGCGACAACUAUCAAGUUGAGAAAGAAGACGAUCUCGACGUGAGGAAGACGCGUUGACGAUCGCACUUGGAAGAAGGUCACCAUGGCAAUGGCAAACAAGAGUAGGAAUUUCUAUUCAUCAAAUCUGCCUCACAAAACAAUGCAACAUCAAGAACCAGGUAUUUAUAGUGUCAAGAGCCAUUCUUGUAAUAAAUUUCUCGUCUCUUUGUCCUCAACACAGCGUGGUCUCCCAAGAGUCUUCCGAGGAGAGUGGCAUAGAAGACGAGGCAAUUUUAGGAACCCGAAAGGUCUUUGGGGUUUUGGAUUUGUUUUUAGUGGGAAAUCAGGUUUUGGGCUUAUUUUUAUUGAAGAAAAGGGGUUUAGAUUAGCUGAACCAACUAAAACUAAAUAAUUUAAACCCAAAUUAGACACAAACUUGUAAAAUUACAUUAAAAAAUAAAAGGAUUUUUAUUUUCUGCAUCAUUUUUCUCUGGAAGGAGAACAAUGCAUCAAAACUGAUAAUAAGUGAAUUUGCUGUUUAGAAAAAGGAGACUAAAAAACAAUCAUUUUUGAAGAAGCUUUGAGGGAUUUUGACUAUAAGAGUUUCUUAGGAAGCAAUUACUAUUGUCUUAAAUUUACUUAUUUUGGGAACAACUACAUGCAAAGAGAAGCCUUGUAUCUUAACCUAUUCAGCCCUUAAAUUUAGGGGCAGGUCUAGGUUUUCCUCACUGGAGGACCCAAGUAAUUUCUAAACACAAAUGGAAAAAUUGUAAAAAUAUUUUCAUAAAUAAAAUUUCUGAUGAUGAUAAAUGCACAAACUAUGUUAUGUAAAUAAUCAAACAAAACUUAUUUAUGCAUUCUUGAUCAAUAGUAAAUAGUUGAACACAAUACUAGUUUUUCAAAAUAGCGAUACAAAAAUUGGAGAUGGUUACAUUAUUUGUGAACCAACAUUAAACCUAAGAAGAAAAAAUAGAGUGCGAGGAGACACUUGAAACUUUAUUUGAAGAGAUGAAAGGCUAGAAUGUCUUUUAUUCUUACUCUUAAAUUAUUCCCUUAUUUCAUUGGGCUUUAAUAUUCUCCUUUUUAUGCAAGACGUAGUCAUGUAAAGGUGGACGUGGGAGCUAAUGACAUAAAGGGAGGAGAGGAACAAAAAAAGAGAAAUAUACUGCCUAGAAGAUUUUAUCGGGCUACCUUUUCCUUUUUUUGUUUGAGGAUUGUUUUAAAAAAUCUGUUAAAAAUUAGAAUAAUUUUGUUCUUAUCUUUUUUUGAUAACUUAGAUAGGGCACUAUCUAUAUAAAGUUUGUUAAUCCUUAUGGUAAGUUUUAUUAAAAAAAAAUCUUUUUGGUAAGUUAUGAAUGCCUUACUUUAUUCCAAAUCUUCUCGUUCAAUAUGUGUCGAAUCAUACCAAAUUUAGGAGGGCUCCAUAAAAUCAAAUAAUGAUGAACAUGGAGUGAAUGAGAUAAUUAUGAUUUAGGAAGGUAAGAUUCAUACCACUGUUUAAUUGGUGUGGGAUUCUUUCACUAAAGUAAAUAUGGGAUGAACAAGUAAUUGGAGUAAUAAAAGAAUCUACGUAACUACUUGGAGAUUUGUGGCUCUGGCCUGCCCACUUGAUUCCAUCAUUGCUUUUAUUAAAUUGGCUAUAGCGAACAACGAUUGUUGUGGCACCAGCAUGGGGCAUGCUCAUGCGCCAUCAGCACGACAUAGCAUGCCGGCACACUUGGGCACACACCCAUCUUAUAUGUGGCAUGGUUGGUGCAGGUGGCAUGAGCCUAUCAGCACGAGCAGCACAAGCGGCUUGCCGUGUUAGAUUCUGCUGACUGGCAUGACAAUCCUUGAUAGGGAAUGUUACAAAAUAAAAUGGGUAAAUUAGAGUAGGGAUAAGCUAGCAAUAAGAGAAGUAAUUUGUCCUAGUGUAAUAAUGUAGUUGGUUGAACCAUGGAUAGUUUCCUUCAGAAUGUACACAAAGAAACCAAAUUUUUACAGAAUUUCUUGAUUCUAGAACAAAGCCUUCAAAUUACUUGAUUGACAGCCAGGAUAUACAAUUAAAAUGGCUGUGGUAACUUAAAGAAUAGCAAAAACUAAAAAAUGAUGAUGAAAAUAAUUUGACAGAUUAAGGAGCGACAACAUUAGUUUUCACUUAGUGGUUGGGAGAGAAGAAAGGUGGUUGUAGAAGUAAAACUCAAUGGUAGGUGGAGAAUCAGGUGGUUUCCACUACAAUAAUGGAUGAAGGUUAAAAUCAUAUAUUUGAAAUUAUCAAGAAAUUAACUAGUAAAUAAUCCGCUGAAAGAAGUUGUACAAUAAUGGAUAAUAAAGGGAAAGAUAUACAAUUAUAGGACUUCCAUACUGGAAUAUUGGUUAAAUCUAAGCAUUAAGCUGGAAUGGAAAUGUUUGAAUGAAUAUUUCUUCUAUGCAGAUUUCAGUGCCAUCAUCAUCUUCAACGGCGAACAAAGAAGAAAUCUAUUUUGAUUUCAGAAAGCAACGCUUCAUUUUCUCAGCAGAAAAGGAUACCUUUUGCAAGCUUCCUUACCCUACAAAGGAAUCAUUUGGGUACUAUCUCAAGAGUAGUGGACAUGGAUCAGAAACUAAACUAACUGCUGCUACGGAUAAGUGGGGAAGAAAUGUGUAAGUUUUAAUUACUCAUUCUUUUUUUUGUUAAUUAAAUUAUCCAAUAUUCAUAAAACUAAGAGAUACUAAAAGAUUUUCUAGGUCAAGGAUUUAAAUGCCCAUCGGCAUGGGCUGCAUCUAUUGUGCCAUAUCGUGCCAACAAGAUAGCGGCACGAUACAGACCCUGUGUCAAUGGCAUAGCUCAAAACUCUCUUUUCUUUAAAUUAGUAAGUAAUUUUCUCAAUAAAAUUCAAAAGAUUUGAUAAGAUAUAUAAUAAGCAAUUAGAAUAUUGUUUUGCUAAAAAAAAAUAAAUAUUUCAUGCCAUUAUGUAUCGGCACACAUGUAUUUUUUAUGACCGGCAUGCAUUGGCACGGCCUGGCACGCAUCGUGCGGUAAGUAUUCGGCACGACCCCGUACCUCACACUUAAAUUCUUGUUCUGGGUUAUAUGUUAAUGUAUAACAGAAAACAAAUUUGAGAUCUACAAAAACAAACCAACCUAAAGCUUCUUUUUUGUGUGAGUCACUAAAAUCUGUCUCAUGGGGAAAUACACUGACUUUGAAAAUGUUGGAUGAUUUAAAUCGAAGAAUAAUGUUUUGAUCGUCAUAGGUGGGCAUGUGCCGAUGAGCACUGAAUGUGGAAGUUCUGUGCACCUGCUUGUCCGCAUAUCUAUGUCACGUGCUUUGCAAUUGUUAUCUAGUAUGGGGACACACCAUGUCAAGCAAAAUUUGUGGCUUGGAUAUAGUCAUGCGGCUCAUUACCUCAUACGGCUUCAUUUGGCCUUUUUAAGAGAAUUUCUAAGAUUUUCUGCCCACUGUUUCUUAUCAAGCAACAUUACUUUUUGUUUUGUGAUGAUGGCGAGUGCCAAGUUUUCUACCCACUGUUGCUUAUCAAGCGACAUUACUUGUUGCUAUGUGAUGAUGGCAAGUGUCAAGUUUCUUGCACCCCUUAUUUAUAAACAGUAGGUGUUUCCAAACAAAAAUAGUCUUCUUUUUCCAGUUCCGGAUUAAUUUUUGAAUUUUAAGUGUAUCAGACAAUUUUUCAUCUCUAUAGUUUAUACCAUGCUAUGAUUAUUUGUUGUAGUCCUAUUCAUGUCAAACAUGGACCUUUGUGCCGUUGACAACUUUGUGCUUAUUCUCAUGUCAAGCGUGCACCUUACUGCCGUUGGCAACUUUAUGCAUCAGAUUGACAACUUUAUGUAUCAUCAGGCUGUCCUUUUUUUUCAAUAUUUUAAGUAGUUUUAUUAGUUUACACGGGGAAACUAGAUGAAUGAUCAUAUGCCAAACAUUAAGAUUUGAACAGCAGUUGAAUUAUUAACAAAGGUGCGAACCUUUUGGCAAAUUACUUCUAUACUCAGUUUAGUUCAAGAUGGUUCCAAUAUCUAAUGAUAAGUGAUUUGAAAGGAUAGAGAAUAGAUAAGUAAUUUAGAAGGUGUAAUCAGUUUUACAUUCUUUGAUAGAGUAGCUUUCUGAAAGCACAUCAGAUGGUGCCCCUAUUAUUCUAACUUUUUUCUGUUGGGUCCUACCUACGAUGGAUGUCUAAAGAAUUUAUUCAUAAAGUUGUGCUUAAUAUACAAUUUUAUAGAGGAGGCCUUGAUUUUUGUUGGAGGCAAAGUCUAAUUGCAUGUUGAGACCUUGCAUUGACAGCAUGAACCUGCAAAAUACACCUGUAAAGCUAGUAAGUGUUGUAAUUGUCAUGUUCCUAUCAAGUAUUAUCAUGCUAUAUGUUCAGGUCUUAUUUACUAUAACAUAGAUCAUGCAGUAACAGAGAAGGAAAAUAUUUAUUACUAGCUCAAGUUUACCGAGCAAAGUGCUUGCCAUAAUGAAGAAUGUUGUUGUUGCAGAACUUUUUCUAGGAGUUGGUUAAGUGAGAAUCGUGGAAAGCCUGUUCAGCUUAGUAUCGCAGCAUGCAUUUUAGAAAGCCUCUUCAGCUUUCUUCUUAUUGGAUUUAGUUUCGCUUAAUGUAAGCGGCAUAUUAGAUUUAUGCAGUCACUGUUUUAGUCCAUUGUGCUGCAAGCUUAGGACUGGGUGUAAAGUUGUUAACCUUGUGGAUGUGUAAUUUUGUGUACUUGCCUUAGGUUCUAAUUUAUUGCUUUUAUUCAUUUGUAACCAGUUGGUCUCAAGAGCACACUGUUAAAUACUAGUCAAGGUUUGACUGGCUUCUUUUUCCUAAAUGUAACUGCAGAUUUGAGUAUCCACAGCCCACAUUUCAGAAGUUAAUGAAAGAACAUUGCAUGGAGCCAUUUUUCGUCUUUCAGGUUUAUAUCGUUUGCAGUCUUUUGAACACCAGCAGAUCAAAGUUCAAUUUGCUUGUUUCUGAGCUCUUUUUUUUUUUUGUAGGUCUUUUGCGUGGGCCUCUGGUGUUUGGAUGAAUAUUGGUACUACAGUUUGUUCACACUUUUUAUGCUUUUCCUAUUUGAAUCGACCAUGGCCAAGAGUCGGUUAAAAACUUUAACGGAGCUUAGGCGUGUAAGAGUUGAUAACCAGAUUUUGUUAGUGCAUCGAUGUGGGAGGUCUGAGUUUGUUCUUUUGAGUUAGUUAUUCGUUUCUUCGCAAUGAAGAGAAAUAACAUAUUCUUGAUAACUCUUUUCUUUCUUAGAUGGGUGAAACUUCCGGGGACAGAACUUGUUCCAGGAGAUGUUGUCUCCAUAGGACGCUCUUCUACUGGUGAAGAUAAAUCUGUACCAGCAGACAUGCUAUUAUUAGCCGGAAGUGCCAUAGUGAAUGAAGCUAUUUUAACGGGCGAGUCUACUCCACAGUGGAAGGUCAUUUUCUUCCUAUUGUUAACUUUUAACUUUCGUGGCAACUUUUAUAUUUUAAUUUGAAAUUCAUAAUGAGUAUCAGGCUUAUUUAUAAUUUCCUUACAUUUUAUUCAACUGAAAAAGGUAGAUCUUUGAUAUGUGAAGUUAUAUUCCAAUAUGAAGUAUUGAAUAGGCAUAUAUGACACACAUUAAGUGUUUUUUGUGUUGCUCAUAAAGUGCUUUUACACUUUUGGCUUUGUUCUUUUUUUUUGGCGCAUUUCACCAUCCAAUUGUGUAUCUCAUGCUGUACUUGUGCACAAGGCUAUUUGGUGUGAAGUUUGAAUUCUCUAGCCUGAACUAGAUCAUGGAGGAGCUACUUUUUUCAGCAAUUAAGUAAAUCGAACUGAUCUGAUUCUUAGAUCUGAUAGCUCAUGUCAAUGGUAACAGAUCUUGGCUCAUGCAAUAUAUACUUAACAUGAAAUGAUCAAAUGUUUGAAAUUGAUGACAUUUUUGAUAUGUGAUGCUAAUUUCUGCAACCUAGGGUCAAUUUAGAAAAACUAGUGUUGCUAUCAUUUUAGUUGUUUUGGAGUUACUGCAUUUUGUAUUUUGUAGUUAGUACCUAGUAGCAAUUGGUGGGGAUUUACAGGUUCAUAUUAGUUGUAAUAUUGCAAACUUGCAGGAUUAAUAGGUAAAUAAGUAAAUCUCUAUCAUGUGCUUCAACAGUUGCCUUUCGUGUCUAUUGAUCUUCGAGAAGUAGUGUUGGAGUAGAGAUUAGACUUGCUCCUAGCAAUUCAUCAUCUUCACUCUUAUUUAUUAGAUUAAUUGUAGAAGUCGUAGAGAACUAGUGUAUUGAAUGAAAGGAAAAAAAUGUAGGUAUACAGAACUUUUUUCUUGUGGCAUAUAGAGUCUGUGCAAGAGUCUUAUUUUAAUUUCUUACUUCAUGUGUGCCUUGUCUAGUUGUAAUCACCUUUUGUCACCAUUAUCUUGUAUCCUGUAUGCUAUUUCUUAUUCUUUGCAAGUGUCUUUAUUUCCUUUUUGUUUAUUAUAAUUUUCUUUUGGCUAUUCUUAUUUGCUAUGUAUUACUACAGACUUCAGUUUUUGCUUGCACUGCGGAGGAUAGACUAUCAAUUAAACGAGAUAAGAAUCAUGUCCUAUUUGGUGGAACAAAAAUAUUGCAGCAUACUCCAGAUAAGGUAUGCUGUUGAGGCCAUCAAGUAAUAAAAUAAGGCUAUUUAGAAUUGCUAACUUGUUUUUUCUCAAAAUCUAGUUAUUUCCACUGAAAACUCCUGAUGGGGGAUGCUUGGCUUAUGUGCUGAGAACUGGAUUUGAGACAAGCCAGGGCAAGCUGAUGCGGACAAUCUUAUUUUCCACCGAAAGGGUAAGUUCUGGUCUCCAGUCAGGAAAUGGUCCUAGGAUGAUUGGGACCCAAUGAUACCUAUUAACUAAACAUUUGUUUUGUUUUUUCCUUUUAUUCUAGGUGACUGCAAAUAGCUGGGAAAGUGGCUUGUUUAUUCUUUUCUUGGUUUUCUUUGCCAUCAUUGCUGCAGGCUAUGUGCUCAAGAAGGUAAAGCCUUCAUUUACCUUGUGACAUUAUAUUUUUGGUGUUAGUUGAACUAAUAUUAUUUUAGUUAUUUGUUAACAGUUGUCACUCAUUUUUUCCAGCAAUUUAAAAUAUAUUAUUUGCUUACCCACCUUUUUGAACUGUUUACAAUUAGGGUCUGGAGGAUCCAACAAGGAGCAAAUACAAGCUUUUCUUGAGUUGUUCAUUGAUUAUCACUUCUGUUAUUCCCCCAGAGUUGCCAAUGGAGCUAUCAAUAGCAGUCAAUACAUCUUUAAUUGCAUUAGCACGCCGUGGUAUUUUCUGCACAGAACCAUUUAGAAUACCCUUUGCUGGGAAGGUUAGCACGUGGCACUUCAUUAGAGCUCCUGCCGGAUAGAGCUAGUUUGAUAAAAUUUAAUGCUGUCAACAUACUUUAUUGGUUGCAGGUUGACAUCUGUUGCUUUGACAAAACUGGAACUCUCACAUCAGAUGAUAUGGUAUGCAAGUUGGAGUUUUAACUAGGAUUCGAAAUAUUUCUUGGCAGCUAUGCAUUAACAAGAAGCUCCUUAUAUAUUUCAGGAGUUUCAAGGGGUGGUUGGCGUUGAUAAUAAUGGAGAUUUAGUAUCUGAUACUACUAAAUUGCCUCUUCGGACUGUUCAAGUGUUGGCGGCCUGUCAUGCAUUAGUUUUUGUGGAGAAUAAACUGGUACAUCAAUAAGCAAUCUUGAGCUUCUCGUUGAUAUUAUAUCAUGAUUAAUUAUUGCCGAGAGCAUCUGCAAAAACUGUUCUAGUGUUAAUACACUUUCUUGUGCAUGUAGGUAGGUGAUCCUCUUGAAAAGGCUGCGCUAAAAGGAAUAGACUGGAUAUACACCUCUGAUGAGAAGGCCAUGCCUAAAAAGUAUGCUGCGAUGUCCGUAAAUUCUAGAUACUUUUAUGCUCUUCAUUCUGAUUGGUUUUGCAUCAUUACCCCAAUGUUUGUAAGUCGUAGUGAUCCUAGUAGAUUGUUGAUGUAUGAACAACGGUGUCUAUUUAAUUGUAUGAUUGGAGGGUGAAUGUUUAAUUGCCGUCCCCCCUCAUUUUGAGCUAGCUACUUGUGUUUUCAGCCUCGGCAUCCUAAUCUCUUGGUACAAUGAAAAUUGAUGCAGUACUGGAUUCUUUUGGCUGUACAUUUUGAAAUGUAUUUUAUCUGAUAUAUUUUUUAUUCCAGGUCAGGUGGACAAGCUGUGCAGAUUGUUCAUAGGUUUCAUUUUGCAUCUCACUUGAAAAGAAUGGCAGUCAUUGUCCGUGUUCAGGAAGAGUUCUUAGCAUUUGUAAAGGUUGGUCAUGGUAGCAAUACUCAGGAAUUGUCUUCUGGAUUAUCAUGUUUAAUUGCAAUACUUUUUGCCUUAAGAUUAAGUGUUCAGUAGGUUUCUUGGGUUAAAUAUGGUCCGUUCUUCUUUUUCUUCUUUUUUUCUUUGUUUGGUUGCCUCUUGUCAUUGGAGCCUUUACUCCUGAUCUUUUUUUCAGUUGGUUAAUUUUGCUAGUUAGAAUAUUUUCGGAAGAAACUUAUUGAUGAAACGGUAUAUCUUUCUCUUAUAAAAAGUUUGAUCUUUUAAUAUUUGCAUAAGUUUUCCCCGGAAUUUCUCCUUAAGGCCCUGAUUGGAUGUCGAAAUAAGUUAUCCAAGGAUAACUUAUUCGGUAUAAGAAUUUUCUUGUAGGAUUGUUAGUAGGAAGUUGAUUCUUUUGCUUCUUGAAAGGUCUUGCUAUCCAGCGUACUUAACCUACGAGGUGAUUUAUUUUAUUCUUAAAAAAAUGACUUGAAGGCCGAAUAUGAUUCCAUUCCGAACAUCUGAUCACACUUCUCAUCAUCCCAAUGUAUAAACUUCUUGAGUAAAUCAAGAAGAUAUACUGAACAAGAUACAUGCAUCCAAACAGGGCCUUAGUUCUUUAAUUGCAAAAUUACCAAUUGGUCAUGUACAAAUUUCUAUUUAUCAUUUCCAAUAUGCUGCUGUAUUGCCUUCUCUCUUUCUCAUCUCUUUCUUCUUGUCUUCAUUUGUGUGGACAUGCGCAUUUUGGGCCUGGCCCAAGUUCUCUGGCAAUCUUGCUGUGAUAAUCGUCUUAUCUGAAACCUUAAGUUUAGGAUGGGUCUAACCUUGAAAACAUCUGAAUUUAUUCCUAAUAAACGAGCUCAAAUUGGGCCUGGAUUUUGGAUCAAAUAUAAUGUACAAUCAUUUAUAAUCCUUGACUAAUAAACUAAAUUUCAGUUUGGGCCUGCUUUACUUCCUAGCUUGGUUUAUUGAUUAGUUGUCAUCCAUGAUCUUUUUAGUAACUAAUCUUCAUUAUGUUUGCAGGGUGCACCAGAAACUCUUCAAGAAAGGAUAGCUGAUUUGCCUGCUACAUAUGUGGAGAUCUACAAGAAAUAUACUCGUCAAGGGUCUCGUGUUCUGGCUCUUGCGUACAAGACUCUUCCAGACAUGACUGUAAGCUAGCAUGUUAUGAUGUUUUACUUUUAAAUGAGACCUUUGUUUGAUUUGAAACCUUAACUGCUUUUGAUUGUUAGGGAUGAAUAACAUAAUUAAAAAAGGAAUAGGCUUCAUUGUGUCUCAUAAUAGUUUAGUGUCAAUUACAGGACAAAUGCAAAAUGGCCGUCUCAUUUAUUAAAACAAAGCAUGAUGCAUUGAUUCUAAUGAUGAUAUGUCUCUAAAUUUUCAAUUUUCUAAUUAUACUUGAGCCAAACAAAUUAUGGAUGGCUCUAUUGUUUACCUGGAAUGGGAUACACUCUGAUACGUGGUACGAGUAUAGAGACGUGGUAUGCUAGUGUCUCAGGAACAUGGUAUGAGAGGGGUAUGAUUAGUUUGAACGAUUUUCAUUUGGAACAUUAAUAUGGAUUGACAUAUAUAAAAAGUUAAUAACUUACCUUUGUUACUAUAUAGCUGUUUUCUUUCAUUAAGAUCCGAUGAGGUAUUGUUUUCUUCUAACCAAAACCGGCUCUCUUUUUUCAUAUGAAUAUGAUUAUUUUGUAUUAUUUUUCCUUGUAAAACACAUUUGUUUAAGGUAACCUAACAAACUAGAUCUAGAAAAUUGUAUUAUUCACUAUUCUUGGUUUGUCACGUUCUACUAUUUGGAUUGAGAACCCAACACGAAUCAGAAUGUGUGAUCUUUAUUGCUUUUCGGAGAGGGGUUUUGCAAUCCCGAUAAUUCGGUGCUAAAGCAAACGAUCCAUGAUUUGAACCAAAUUGGUUCGGCAGUGAGACCGGUUCUGGCAUGCAGUUUGCAGUUUUCAGACUGAUUCUUUAAAUGUAGUUUAUUCAAAGUAGUUUCAGAAAUUUUCUAAACUUAUUAUAAUACAACUUGUUUAGGGACUUUGAAAUUAUUUAGAGGAAUGGAGUACCACAGAUCCAAAUUAUAGUUCUAAGCAAUAAUGGAUGGUCUUCAGACUCCUUGUUUGGACCACUUAAUUGGAUAAACAUGAAAUUUUAGAGGCAGUCUCUGUUUAUUAAAAUCAAGUUCCAGUUAAAAAUUGUGAUUUUUUGCACCCUUUUCACUUGCUAGCCAAAAUAUAAUUCUGAUCGAAAUUAGUGCCUUUUUCAGCUGCUUAAAAAGCCAUAGUUAAAUCUUAUUUAGUACUGAUUACGUCUGAGAUUGUGCAUAUAUCGGUGAUUCUGCGUGUAUAAACAUCUCUAUUGUUGAUUAAUUUGUAUGACUUGGUUGUCAAGUAUUAUUUAUUUUGUAAUCUUUAGUGAUGAUGAAAGGGCGUUAGUCAUUGGAUAUACACAUUCCUUUUUGUUUCAUUUUCCAUACUUUGCAAUUUGGGAGCCGUGUUGUUUGUAGUUUGUUUUGGUCAAUUUAGCCUCUCCGUUCUUUGAUGUUGACUAGCUUCAUAAUACAGUAUUGAGUGUUUUUUUUCCAUAAACCAACUAAACCCUUCACCAACUGCUUGAAUUUAUCUGUUUGCAUGCUGGUCCACUGGAUAAGAAGCUCCUAGGAUGUAGUUUACAUUGGAACAUGACUUAACUUUUAAUAUCCAUUAUGAAGUUCUUGAAUCUUGAAAUUUUGAGAACAUUUAUGAUUUUGUUUGUGUUUCAUUUGCUGCCCUGUUGUCCUACCCUACAGCUCUCUGAUGCCUGUUAUAUUGUUGACAUCCCUUCUUGAUUUCUUUGUAUGAUUACAUCAUCUAUUAGAAUAUAUGAAUUCUCAGUAUAGGUGGGUCACAUCAAAAAAAAAAUAAAGAGCCACGUCACCCAUGAUCAAUGAACUAAUAAGUUGUCAAAUGUCCAAUAAAAAUUUGGAUGCACCGAUUGCACCGUAGGCCAACUCUAAAAUACGCAUUAAAAAUAAAUUUAUACUAUACAAUAAACUAUUUAAAUAUAUUAUAUUAUAUUAUAUUUUACAGUACUAAUUAUGAAAUAUUUUAUCAACCAUUUAAUAUACUGUGCGGUAUAUGGAGUCUUAGUAUACACGAGUUGCAAGCAAAGAUUUAUCCUCUUUCUUUCUUGAAAUUAUGAGUGCAUCCUAUUAAGUAUUCUCUAUAUCAAGUGUAUAUAUAUACAUCACCACACGCUUAAAGCCCUUUAAUAGAGAUUUUAAAAUCUAAUUUGUUAAAUAUAAUUUAAAUUAUUAGACUUUGUAGAUCAUAUGUAUUUUAAGUUUUGAUAUUAAAAUAUUUGUUAUUAAUAUAAGUUGCGGUGUAUGGAAUGUUAAUAUACAUCAGGUGCAAGCAAUAAUUUCUUCUUUUUCUAAUCAAUUUUAACAAGAUAAAGACAUCUUGGUCUUUUCGGCAAUUUAAAAUAAGUCCUCCAAUUUUUAUUUUUUAGUUAAAAAAUUAUUUAUGGGAUAGCAAUCAAAACUAUUAAAUUUAAUUGAACUUUCCAAAAAUGUUAUUAGAAUAAUUUAACUCUUCAAAUACUAAAAAAUAAAAAAAUUAUUAAUAAAAGAAGUUAUUUUUUAUAAUGUACAUAAGUUUAUUUUAUAGAUUUUUUUUCCUUAAUUAUAAUUUUUCAAUCUUAAAGUUUUAAUAAUUAUAUAUUUUCAUUGGCUAAAAUACUAUCCGCCGCGAAGCACGGGCUCUGCACUAGUAAAAUAAUGAAACCUCAGUUCAAUACAGGUGGCACUAAGGGGGAGUGGGUAGGGAUUGGGGGUGCGGGAGGGGUCCAGCCAGAUAGGGUGAGGGUGGGUCUGGCCCUUUUUUCUCUCUAUCUCUCUCUCCACUAUUAUGGACAGAGUGAUUUGGGCUCUUUUUUUUUUUAAUUUAAUCUAAUUCUUCUUUCUCUCAUUAUAAAAAUUUAAAAUAUAUAAAUUUGUACACAUAACUUUUAAAUAGUUUAGAUUUCAUGCAUUAAAUGUAAAUUUUGAUUUUAUAAUAUUGAUCACUUAGAUAUAGAUUGUACAAUAAAAAAUAAAAGAGAUUGAUGGAGUUUUUAAGUUAAUUAUUGAUUUUAAUAAAUUUUAGUUGCAAGAAUCGCAUGAAGUAUACUAGCUAAAUCUGUAGAACUAAACAAUGUAUUCAAAUUUUGAAGUCAAAAGUAGCAUUGAUUGGCUCAAAUCUAACAUAUAGAAAGGUUGGAUAAUAAAAACAAAAUUUUGAAAGGUUAGAUAGCGGAUUCAAAAUAGUUCAUAGCUCAGAGAAGUUUUAUAUAUUUUCACUUUGAUUUUAAUAUCAAAUUUCAAUGCCAUAUUUCUAGUAUGAUGAGCGAUCAAUUUCACAUUUAAAAUUUUUUGGAAUAUCCAAAAUGCGAUCGGUCUACUUUUAAUUUUAAUAAAUAGACAUUCUAAAAUUUAUUAGAUAGUUUAAUAUAUUCUUUCCUCAUAUGAAAUUACUAAUUGAACAAAACCGAUUAAUGCUCAACUUUGUUUUCGUUUGGAAUAAAAAUAAAACAUAAAAAAAUGAUAAAUUAUGCUUUUGGUCCUCAAACUAUAAGACGUGUGAAACUUUAGUCGAACUUUCAUGCGUUCUAAUUUCUUGCUCAAACUAUGAAGCACAUGAAGUUUCCUCGAAUUUUCAUGCGUUAUAAUUUCUUGCUCAAACUAUGAGGCACAUGAUGCUUUAUUCCUUAAACUUUAAUCCUUAAUUUUUACUGCUGGUAUAUAUAUAAUUUAUCAUUCUUAUGAUUUUUUCUUUUUUUUUUUUUUAUCCUUUAUACUUUUAUUAUUUUGUUUUUACUGCUGCAACUGCUGUUUCUUCGUUAAUUUUUUCUAUUUGUAUUCUUUUUUAUUCUUUGACUCUUUUUUUUUUUAAUUUUUUUUGUUGUUUCUUCUUUUUUUUUAACUUUAUUUAUUUACUUAAGCGUGGGUGCCUUCACUAGUUUUAUUCUUAAGUUCAAGUCUGAAGGACAUUAGUUGGGAUUUGACAUUUGAACCAUCAUUACCAUCUAGAAUGAGAAGCUAUGGACAAUUUAAAAAAGAAGGCUCCAUAUCUAACAUUUUCUUUACUAGCAGGGGUGGAGCUAGAACUUGUAUACAACAGGGUCAAAACAAGAAGCAAAUAGUGCACUAACUUUUUUUUAUUCUUAAGAUAAAUUUGAUCUACAUAUAAUUUAAAUCCUAUGAAUCAUAAAGUUUUAUAUUCUAAAUAGAUAUUAAAGAUUUUUAAAUAUGGAUUUUAGCACUAAAAAUUGACAAAACUUGCUUAUGUUGGUGGUUGGUAAUAACUCUAUAAUGGAAGCGUCUAAGAGUUAAUUGUCCAACUGUACACAAUCUUUUUUUUUUUUUUUUAAACCACUUGCAUUUUUUUUGUCUUUUAGUUUCUCUAUCUUAACCAAUGUGACUUUAUCCCAAAGCAGGGUGGGUACAUGCCAAUGUAUACCCACUCUUCCCUCAGCCCGUGUACCAGACAUGACAUUGAGAUCUAGUAACUAGUGCCAAUUUAAAUGGCCAUAAGGAAUUUACAAGAUAAGGGCAUUCGACGAAUUGUAGGCUCCAAAAGGGAUGGCUUUGUGAAUGUCAAGUUAGUAUUACUGUGCAACAAGCAUCUCAAAUUACUUCCGAAAUCUAGUAUUAUUCUUGCCUGCGUCUGCUCCUUUAAGGUUUUUCCUUGAAAGGAAAAAAGAGACCUUUGUUUCCUGUAGAUUGCCUUCUAUCAUAACAUAUCUUUUUGGUGAAUCUAAAUCUAUGAAAAUCACUGUUAUAUCCAUGUAAAUGUUCCGUUUUGCUUGCCGUCACUAUCCAUUUUUUGCACGUUAUCUAAUUUGACCUUGGUUGUGGCAAAUCAGGUUAGUGAAGCUAGGAGCCUGGAUAGAGAUUUUGUUGAGCGUGAUUUGACCUUUGCUGGUUUCGCGGUAAUGGAGCCCACAGUCCUAUAAUUUGCAUUCUUUCUAUUGACUAUAAGUUGUUUCAAACUUUUCAUUUUCUAGGCUUUCUGGUAUGUUGAGACUAUUAAAUAUCUGCAGGUAUUUAACUGUCCUAUCAGGCCUGACUCUGGUUCCGUUUUACAUGAACUGAAAGGAUCAUCUCAUGAUUUGGUAGGUUCUUUGAUCCGUGUAUCGGUUGAUUUUGCUUUGAUUAAACAUCAUUUUAUUUAAAAUCUUGUUAAACAUGCUCUAGGUAGCUUUCAUAAUUACAAAUUAGCAUAUUUUGUUGAAUAUAGGACUCCUACCUGUAAGUGUAAAUGUUUAUUGUAGUUCAUCAGAAAUGUCAAUAAUUUUAUGAUUUUUUGCUUGCUUCUGAUUUUCUUUUAUAUUAUUGUUAGUAUCUUUUUUGAUUCAGUUUUUUAGGCUUAAUUUUUGGAGCUUGACGUUUUUAACUUUUUUCUUUUCACCUUAUAGGCAGUGUGAAUAAGAAAAUUGAAUUUCAUCCGAGUAUUUAGCAUAGAGAAUGGUUCUUUGUUUCCCUGAUGAGUAUUUAUCGUAACUGCUGUAGAAAAUCGUGGGCACUUGUUUGCAUUCCUUCAAGCUGUACACUAACUGAUAUCAUGAUAUUAGGUUAUGAUUACUGGUGACCAAGCUCUGACUGCUUGCCACGUUGCUAGUCAAGUUCAUAUAAUUUCCAAGCCUGCUUUGAUCUUGGUACGCAAAAAGACUCGUGAUGAUUUUGAAUGGCUUUCCCCUGAUGAAUCUGAGACAACCUUGUACAGGUAAAGAAGUUCUAGGGUGGUUUCUAUCUUGUUUGGUUUAAGCUAAUUGGUUUUUAAUACGAACUACAGUUGGUUUUAUGAAUAGUCUGGUUGUUUUAUUACUUUAAUAUCUUUUUUAUUUUUGGGUGGUAAUCUUCCCCUAUUUUGUUUUAUGAGCAUGCUAUUCUUUUUUUUCCCUAUCCAAUAUCUCUGAAGUUGAUAACACUUACAAAAUUGUAACACCUGAGAGUUAUCAUGGUUACAGUGAGAAGCAGGUGGAAUCAUUGUCAGAAUCACAUGACCUUUGCAUAAGUGGAGACUGCUUUGAAAUGUUACAGAGGACUGCAGCUGUUCUUCAAGUUAUUCCGUAUGUGAAGGUUGGUAGGAACUGUUUAAUUUUUUGUGCAAACGGAACCUGUUUUGUUGUUUCGGUGUGUUGAUCUUAUUGCAAGUAUCAAUUUGUUUCAGGUCUUUGCACGUGUUGCUCCUGAACAGAAGGAACUCAUCUUGACAACUUUUAAAACAGUUGGAAGGAUGACCUUAAUGUGUGGAGAUGGAACCAAUGAUGUUGGGGCACUGAAGCAGGUAAAAAUGUAUAUUUUAUUAAAUGCCUUUCACCAAUCAAAUUAUGGCACUGUGCUGUUGGGUGGUUUUCCUUAUCCAAAAAAUCAAUCUCCGUUUCUCUUUUUUAUUUCUGAACCUCACAAUAAAAGUAUUAUAAAAUGUGCAGGCUCAUGUCGGCAUCGCAUUGUUGAAUGCUGCACCGCCGGCACAAACAGGAGAUUCUGCACCACAAUCACAGCCACCGAAACCUGAAAGUAAAUCAGGAAAAUCAAAGAAACAGAAACCCACUACUGAACUGCCUCCACCAUCUCCAUCUGCAAAUAGUAGUUCCCCAGGGCCAUCGUCAAGCAACCGCCACCUCACCGCAGCCGAGAGACAGCAGCAGCGUCUGAGGAAGAUGCUGGACGAGAUGAAUGAGGAGGGUGAGGGCCGCUCUGCGCCAAUUGUGAAGCUUGGGGAUGCCUCCAUGGCCUCGCCCUUCACAGCCAAGCAUGCGUCGGUUGCCCCCACCCUUGACAUCAUUCGCCAGGGCCGUAGUACCCUCGUCACCACCCUCCAGAUGUUCAAGAUCCUAGGCCUCAAUUGCCUCGCCACUGCCUAUGUCCUCAGUGUCAUGUACCUGGAUGGUGUCAAGCUUGGCGAUGUCCAGGCCACCAUCAGCGGUAUCUUCACUGCCGCCUUCUUCCUCUUUAUUUCCCACGCCCGCCCUUUACCAACACUCUCUGCUGCCCGCCCGCAUCCCAAUAUUUUCUGCGCCUACGUCCUCCUCUCUCUCCUCGGUCAAUUUGCAAUGCACUUGCUCUUUCUGAUAUCGGUUGUUAAUGAGGCCUCAAAAUACAUGCCAGAGGAGUGUAUCGAGCCGGACUCGGACUUCCAUCCGAACAUGGUGAACACAGUCUCGUACAUGGUCAACAUGAUGAUCCAGGUGGCUACAUUUGCAGUGAACUACAUGGGCCACCCCUUCAACCAGAGUAUAUCGGAGAACAAGCCUUUCAAGUAUGCACUGUUUGCUGCAGUAGGUUUCUUCACAGUGAUCACGUCGGAUAUGUUUAGGGACCUGAAUGACUGGUUGAAGCUCGUGCCCCUGCCGGAGGGGAUGAGGGCCAAGCUGAUGUUCUGGGCUAUACUCAUGUUCCUGGGUUGUUAUGGGUGGGAGAGGCUGCUGAGAUGGGCCUUCCCAGGCAGGAUGCCAUCAUGGAAGAGGCGGCAAAAGCAGGCAGUGGCUGCCUUGGAGAAGAAGAAUUUAUAACAUUUUGUUCUGUUUCUCGUUCCAAUAUGUUUUGUUAUUGAAGGGGCAAUUUUGAUGAUGGCAGCACUAAAUUCACUUCGUAAGAUGGUGGAGCUGCUGAUUUAGCACUUUCGCGUUCAAAGACUUUGGCCCUCCUUUCUGGUUAGCAGGACAAUUUUGUUCAGUUGAUCUAUCAUUUGAUUCACUUAAUUUUCCUCAAGUUUUGGAAAGUUCUUACAACGACUGUUGGGAGCAUUGCUGAACUUGGUGUAUCAUUAAUCCUUCUCACAGGUCAUAUAGCAACCUUACGUAAAAAAGCAUUUAAUGAUAAAGCUAAAGAUGUUUUAAAUCACUGAAGUAGAGAAGGCCUGUACUUUGUUGUAAUAGCUGUUUGUCAAUUUCGUGGAGGUUUCUUGAUUGUUUGGUUGUUAUACAUCUUUUCUUUUCUGUGUAGCAGGAUGGAUGCAUCCUCGUAGUAGCUAUGUUUUGUUAUUUGUCUCUUUUGUGAUUCCUCUUUAGAAAUUUGUGAUAAUUGAUGUUUUUCUUCUAAAUAUUUAUUGAUUUGCACAAGCAGCAGCCUUGUGAAUGAACUCAUUAUAGGGGUGGAAACGAGCCGAGCUCGAGCGAGCCUAAUUUCGAGUCGAGCGAGCUCGAGCCCUAAACGAGCGGCUUGAAAUUCUCAAUAUCAUACGAUCAAUAGUUUAAUUUAUAUAGAACAUUAUUUAUAAUUUGAUACAAAAAUAUAUUUAAUAGCUCAAAGUACAAAAUAAUUAUAUAAAAUAUAGUAUUAUAAUAUGAAAAAAAUAAUUUAUGAGUUGAAUAUCUAAUCUUUUCAGGCUCACAUGUCUUUUCUUCCGCCUUCAAUCUUCAUAUUAUUCAUUUUCAUUUAUGCAGUCAAAAAUAAAUAAAUUACAUAGAUAAAUAUUUGAUUAAACUAUCCAAUCAUAUAUAACAAAAAUUAAAAUUUUAUAUGAAUAAUAAUUUUUUACUUUAAAAAUAUUUUGUAUAUUUUCUCAAGCAUACAAUUAAUAGCAAGGUAGGCAACGGUAAACAUAUACUGUUACUUGGUAACUUGGAGGGCUUCCGGCUUGGCCGCUUAGGGUGAAAGACAGAAAAAGAGAGAGAGAAACAUAUUGAAAAUUUAGAAUUCUGUGAAAAAAAGAAAGAAAGGAAAAAUGUAUAAAUUUACUGAAAUUUUGCUCUUUUAUUUGUCUAUUGGGUUUAUUUUUAUGGGCCAACAAUAUUGGCCCAAUUUUAACUAAACUCCGAUUAUUCACUCAGCCUAUAUAUAAUUAAAAUAUAUUAUAUUUUUAUAUUUUUUAAUAUAUAUAUAUAGAGUUGACUUGAUACUUUUACAAGUAUCACCGUCAUGGUGCUAUUAGUUUUAAGCCAUUGGAUAUACUUUUUGAUUAUUAAUAGCCCUUGGAUUAAAUACUAUCCAUCUACCACCACCUACACCACUACCACCAUCAUCUCAACCUCACAUCUUCUCCAUCAAGGGCUAAAAACAACAAGUACCACCCCCAUGAUACUUUUACAAGUAUUCUAGCUACUCUAUAUAUAUAUAUAAUUAUAUAUAAUAUAUAUAUAUAGAAUGAGCUAGAAUACUUUUAAAAGUAUCAUCCCAUUGUGCUUUUAGGUUUAAAGCUCUUGGAUCUAACCCUUGAUUACUAAUAGCCAUUGAUCAAACACUAUUCACCUACCAAACUACCACAUCAUCACAAUCUUAAUUCCCAUCCAAUGGUUAAAAACUCAAAGCACCACCUCAUUGGUGCUUUGGAGUAUUCUAGUUCAACUUCUCUUUCUCUCUCUCUCUCUCUCUCUCUCUCUCUCUAUAUAUAUAUAUAUAUAUAGUAGGGCUACUAUACUAUUAUGAGUAGUGGGCCCUUAGUACUCAUAAGUUGUUUUCGAUGAUGGAGCUUCCGAAUUAACUAUACACUCCGUUAAAUAUGAUCUAGAUUAUUUGAAACUUUUAGAAAAUAAAUUUCGUAACUUUUCGAAAUCAUAAUAAAGUCCAUUAAGCGGGCAUAAAAUGAAUGGUCAAAAUCGAACGACGUCCUAAAAAUGGAUGAUCGGAUCCUUUAAUUUAAGAUCGGAGUUAUUAAUCUUUAUCUAGGUAGUUAAUAGAAUUUUCUAUAAAAAAUUCAACCUAUUCCGAUUCUUUUCCACCGUUAAACUAGCAAGUAUUCCAUACCGGCCGUAAAAAAUUGUCAAUUUUGUGAGCUUUUGAUCGUAAGGUAAAUGAUGUCGAAAAAUUAUGAAAUUUAAUUUCUAGCAGUUUUAAAUGCACUAUAUAACAUUUAACUGUGUGGAUUGUCGUUUCGGAAGCUCUAUCAUGGAAAACAACGUAUGAGUACGAGGGCGAUCGUACUCAUGUGUAUAGUAGCCGGACUCUCUCUCUCUCUCUCUCUCUCUCUCUCUAUAUAUAUAUAUAUAUAUAGUGUAGAACUAUUAUGCUAUCGAAAAUAUAGAGAAUUUGAUGCUUUCGAAUUUUUGACCCUUUAAUUAAGAAUUGUAUGUUUUGGAUGAUUGCGGUCCCCCUAGGAUUAAAUAAUAUCUCUAGAAUUGAGUGGUCCCUACAAGAUAAUAAUAGUAUUAAUUUAAAGAAAUGAUUAAAGGGGUUGAUCUAAGAAUCAAAAAAUCGAAAGCACCAUAUCCUCUAUAANUCAAUCUAUCCACAAUUACCCAAAUUGCAUCAUGACCUGCCUGUGAGCGAGGUAAUCCAACAAUAAAAUCCAUAGUAAUCCUCUCCCACUUCCACACUGGUGUGGGUAAACUUUGUAGUUUCCCUGCAGAAAGUCGAUGUUCAGCCUUAACCUACUGACAGGUUAAGCAUCUGGCCACAAAAUUAGCAACUUCCUUUUUCAUUCCAGGCCACCAGUAAGUUGACUUCAGAUCUUUAUACAUUUUUGUACUCCCAGGGUGUAAAGUAUACGGUGCCCGAUGUGCUUCCUUUAAAAUCUCCUCUUUAGUAUCUGGAUCGGCAGGCACACAAAUUCUAUCACCGAAUUUUAGCAAUCCCUGAUCAUCCACUCGAAAAUCGCCAAUUGGAUCAACAGUGAUCUUUGCUCGAAUCUUUUGUAGGGACUCAUCUUGAGCUUGUUUUUCUUUAAUUCGAUCGAUCAGGGUAGGUUGCAUUCACCAAUGACAUAAGUCUCCAAGGUGUAUCAGGAGCUACAACUUCCAAACUCAAUUGCUCCAUUUCCUUUACCAACAGGGGUUGCAUAGUUAUCGACAUCGCCAAAUUUUUCGUCGAUUUUCGACUUAAAGCAUCUGCUACAACAUUAGCUUUUUCUGGAUGAUAAAGGAUAGUCAAAUCAUAGUCCUUGAGCAACUCCAACCAUCUACGUUGUCUCAAGUUUAAUUCCUUCUGCGUAAACAGAUACUUUAAGCUUUUAUGAUCAGUGUAGACUUUGCAACGCUCGCCGUAGAGGUAGUCACGCCAAAGCUUUAAGGCAAAAACUACAGCAGCCAGCUCUAGAUCAUGCAUAGGGUAGUUCUUUUCAUAAUCCUUUAAUUGGCGAGAUGCAUAAGCAAUUACUCUGCCAUUUUGCAUCAGAACACACCAUAAUCCAUUCAACGACGCAUCGCUGUAAAUCACAUAAUCUACUCCAGUAACAGGUAAUGCCAGAAUCGGGGCGGUGGUCAAUCGUUCCUUCAGCUCUUGAAAGCUUCUUUAACAAGCCUCAUUCCACAGAAACUUAGCCCCUUUAUGCGUCAGUUGGGUAAGCGGUGUAGACAUCUUUGCAAAUCCUUCUACAAAUCUUCGAUAGUAUCUUGCCAAACCAAGGAAACUCCGAAUUUCUGUGACACUGGUCGGCCUAGGCCAAUCUUUAAUCGCUUUAACCUUCUUUGGAUCCACAGCUAUCCCAACCUCUGAAAUGACGUGACCCAGAAAUGCUACUUCUCGAAGCCAAAAUUCGCAUUUCUUUAACUUUGCAAACAGUUUCUUUUCUCGAAGUACUUGUAACACCACUCUUAAAUGGUUUUCAUGCUCCUCAUCACUUCGAGAAUAUAUUAGGAUAUCGUCGAUGAACACGACCACAAACCUGUCCAAAUAGGGCUUAAAGACACGGUGCAUUAAAUCCAUAAAGACUGCUGGGGCAUUUGUUAGUCCAAAUGGCAUAACUGUAAAUUCAUAAUGCCCAUACCGUGUUCUAAAAGCGGUCUUGAAAACCUCUUCAGGCUUAAUCUUAAGCUGAUGAUAACCUGACUGCAAAUCAAUCUUUGAAUAUACUUUCGAUCCUUGCAGCUGAUCGAAUAAAUCAUCGAUUCUGGGUAAUGGGUAUUUAUUCUUGAUUGUGACUUUGUUGAUUUCUCGAUAAUCCACACACAAUCGAAGAGAUCCAUCUUUCUUCUUAACAAACAACACCGGGACUCCCCAGGGAGAUACACUCGGUCGAAUAAAACCCUUAUCUAACAAAUCUUGCAAUUGUGCCUUCAGCUCUUUCAACUCAGCGGGUGCCAUCCUAUAGGGUGCUUUUGAGAUAGGGGUAGUCCCAGGGACAAGAUCAAUAACAAACUCAACUUUCCUAUCAGGUGGCAUACCCGGCAACUCAGCUGGAAACACAUUCCCGAAUUCUCGCACAACUGGGAUAUCUUCAAUCUUGACGGCUUCUACGUUACUUACAGAAAUACUAGCCAAAUAGGCUACACAACCCCUCCGAAUCAAUUGUUGCGCUCGCGAAGAGCUAAUAGUCAUUGCGAACAAUGAACUCUGACACCCUUUAUAAACAAACUCUUGCUGACCCGGUUCCCUAAAGGUCACCGUUCUGUUCGUGCAAUCAAUAGUGGCAUAAUACUGAGUCAACCAAUCCAUACCCAAUACUACAUCAAACUCCCCUAAUUUGUGUAGUGCCAAAAGAUCCACUGGCAUAAUCCAGUCGCCUACCCGAACAGGGCAGCGAGGGCAAAACUCACGAACAUCUAGGGUAUGGUCGGGUACGAUCACUCGUCCCAGAUGCAAAGUAGGUACUACUUGAAUGCUAUGCAACUCGGCGAACUGCCGAUCAAUAAAAGAAUGCGAAGCACCAGUAUCAAAUAAUGCACGAACACGAAUAUAUAAAGCAUAAUGAUACCUGCUACGACCUCCUCUGCUGCUGCGGCCUCCUCAGUCUGGGCGGCAUACAUACGCCUACUCGAACCCUGCCGAGAACUCUCAGACGGCCACUGUCCCGGUGAUCGUCUAUAUUGAGAUGGUGCUGACGGGGUCCCCUGGCUCGGAGCUGAAGAUGCAGGUGUUGAUGCUGAUGAGGGUGCAGGUGAAGAACCUCUCGGGCACUCUGAGCGAAAGUGGCCCUCCUGGCCGCAGAGAAAACACCUGCCCCCACGUUGUGGACACUGUGGUGAAAAAUGAGGCCCACCACAAAUGACACAACGUGGCUGUCGACGACGCUCAGGUGCUCCACGGGGUGCUAAAGAACCUUGACCUCUCGACUGACCCGGCUGGCCCCUCGGAUACUUGGGCGGUCUCCUGAAGGGUUGCUGACCAUUGCUCUCAGCUGCUGGCCUUUUUCCUUUAUUUCGAUCAACAGCAUCUCUUUCCUUCAUAAUUCCAGCCCCCUUCUCCAUAAUAAAAGCCUGGUUCACUACUUCCCUGUAAGUGGAACGGUUUGACGCCUGGACCAAUCUGAAAAUCGCAGGCCGCAAACCUACCUGGAAAAUCUGAGCCUUGUCCUCAUCAUCUCUGACCACAAAAGGAACACAGUGCAGUAAACGGGAAAACUCUCGCUCAUACUCAGCUACUGUCCUGUCCCCCUGCCUCAGAUUUCUCAAAUCCCUUUCCAUUUGCCUCUUUACACACUGCGGAAAAUAGGUUGUCAAUAAUAAUUCCUUGAACCUGUUCCACGUGAUAGCGGACAAAUCAGUACGGGGAUCCUCACGAAUGUCCACCCACCACCUGUAAGCCUCGCCGUCAAGGUGGUGUGUCACAAACCAAACCCAAUAUCGCUCCUCGACGAACGUAUCAUAGAAUAGCUUCUCCAUAUGCAUUAGCCAUUUCUCGACCACCCAAUGAUCAGCUUUUUCUCCGUCAAAAAAACGAGGGUUGCAACGACGGAAUUCAUUCAAUUGUUCCAUCAUCCGCUCUCGCUCCUCAGCCCCCACCAUCUCUGGUAACACUGUCCCUGAUGCCGCUACAUGUACUGGUGGUGGUACUACUGUCUCCUGUCGGGUCUCUACCCUCGGAGCUACUAGGGGUGUAUCUGGGACUGGUGACUGUGCUCUCACUAUCGCAUCCCUGUCUGGUACUGUGGGUAUAGGAUCAGGAAUCUCUCUGUCGGUCGUCUGCCGCAAUAGUAAAUCCUCUAACCUCUUCAUCCUGUCCUCCUGCCGACGCGUGGCAUCCAUCUGCUGUCGCACUGCCGCAGCCUGUUGAGCAACCAAAUCCGUCAGCUUCGCAAGCUGAUCCUGUAACUCAUGGAUCCCACUAGAUCCAGAAGUAACGGAGGUCCCCACUUCCUCUGCAUCCGCCGCCUUAGCAGCCCCGGCGGCUUGCGAACGAGUCAAAGGCAUCUUGAGCUGCAGCACAAAAACAACUAUAGAUUAAUAAAACCUAUACUAUUGAACCUUUACUUCAUGUAUAAACCAACUAAUUAAGCGAAAGUAAUGAAAUGUAACGCGUACUAACUUCCGAUGUCACGUUGUCGGCCGCCAACGUGGCCCUUUGCAAAGUUAGUAAUUGCACAUUCCGAUCAAACUCCUACCAUUCGAAGUUUAUAAAUUACCCAAUCGAAAUACUUUCGCUAACAACAAACUCAACUUGACCUCGUCUCCCACGAGCCUAUCCUUAUAGUCAAACCAGCCUAAGAUUUGCUAGGUCUACUAAGACUCAACCCUAGGCUCUGAUACCACUAUAAUUUGUCAUGCCUGGGUACCAGCGGAAGCAUAUCCGGUACGUGCACAGACCCGCCAUACACCUGCAGUAUAUAAGGCGUCUACAAGAAACAAGUCGAUAGGAGUAAAUACAUAACAUAAUCCUAUCCUGAUAUCAGAGUAUAGUAAAAGUCACAAAGACUAUCAACAAAAGAACGAGAGUGACCAACUCAAAAUAUAAGUACAAAAGAAAGUACUAAAACUGCCACAUCUGGAUCCAAAACAUAUAUACAACACAGGGUACACAAAAUAUCUGUACAAUGGUAGUCUCUCUAUAAACUGGACAUCACCCUCGGCCGUAACCCGAGUAUCAAGGUGAUCGACUAGCACGCUCCUAGCAAUGUCUAGCUAGACGCGACUCCCUUGCCACGGUCCCUAGCCUCUACUGUAGAUGGCUCUGUAAAAACAACAAUAAAAAGGGCGUGAGAACUAUUAACAAUAGUUCCCAGUGGGUAAGCCGCCAGCCUCGGCGAAUUACACCACUAGGCUCAUGAUGUACUAAAUGAAAGUAAAAGCGAUAAUUACAUGAUAUAUAUAUGCAAUGCUAACAGGCAAUAGGCAUGUAAUCACAUGUAAUCAUGAUUUCUGCAGUAAUGAAUCAGUUGAGUAAUAGAAGCAUAGCAACUACUAUAAACACAAGCAUGAACAUGGAUGUGUAAGUAAAUACUGUACACUAUAACUGAUGAGCAUUCAUUACUGUCCUUUGUCAUUUAGUACUUUCUUUUCAUUCAUAAGAAUCUACCCAAGGUAGUCCAUCUUGCGCCGCGCCUAAUGGCCCCGUGGUAGUAUACACUCCCCACGGCAAUCCACUUCGGCACCCAAUCCCGCACGGGCGAGCAACUGUCGCGUAGGCCAACUUCGGAGUGCCGGUUUGUAGGGAACGACCCUCACAAGCGUGUGCGAAUGAGCACGAUGGCAAGCAAGCAUAUUCCAUUGUCCACAUGUCUCAAUUAUCAUGUUUUCAUUUGUAAUGUUCUCAGUCUCGAUCCUUGAUCGGAAAUUUCAAUAUCACAAAUAGUAAUAACAACUAGAAUCCACUAGUUUAGUAAGCAUGCAAGAGUAAUGCUCAUUUACACCUGGCAUUAGAAUCUUUUCACUAUCAUGGCACUACCAAUAUAGUCACAAAGCAUGUCAUAGUUCUCUACUUUAUAAGUGCAUCCUAUACUUGCGCAUAAGGUAUUCAACUGAAUUGAAUAUAAAUAUAAAUACUUUCAUGUAUAUACGUUCUCUACUUUAUAGAGAUUUCAUUCUACUUAAGCAUCAAAUAUUACGGUGCCAUGUUCCAAAUUCUCUAUCAAUCACAUAAUCACUAAAUGCACCUAUGCGAUAAUUCUUUAGGUACAUAUAGAACAUAGGAGAGCUUCACUUGCUUUUGUUAGGUCAAACCCACCUAUCACUAAGCUCAAAACAGCCCAACAGAAGUUCCAAACAUAGCUCAAACGAUCUCCGGACCUGCUGAAAACAAAGCAUCAAAACUGCGUCGAAACGAUUACUUAAUAAUCCAAUUUCGGCUCCAAUCGGACAUAGUACAAAGUAAUAACUUAAUUCCCUGCUUCGGCUAGCUUAAUACCUCAAGAAGAGUCUCCAAGAGCUCUCUCAAGUCAACUAAAACGAUCCAAGGCUCGAUCGUACUCUCGCUGCGAACAACAUCGCAACGGCAUCAAUGUAGUCGAUUAUAGGCUAAUACAAUCGAAUUCUAGCGAAAUUAAAUUUCUAGCUGGAAUUCCUGCUUACCCCUUGUUAGAACACCUUUUAAUUCAGUCCCCAAAGUCACCAAUUAAGCUUAAUUUGGUUCAACAACCUGCUGCGAACAGAACAAUUUCCAAACUGCAUUAGUUAUGCAAUUAAACUUCAUAUAGCUCCAACUAGCUUCAUAAUGAACUAAUUAUCUCUAUUAACCUUCAAAGAAGCUUAUCCCUGAUCUAAGGAGGUUAAUUCACAGCUAAUUCAUUCAUCUUUAAUUGCUGAAAUCUCAGUUUAAAGCAGUUGGAAGCAAAAACCUGAAAUCAAUACCCAAAUCGACUAAUAGAGCGCCGAUAACGGGAAAAUCUCGUUCGUCGUCUCAGUCGACGACGCCCUGUCGUCCCAAUAAAACCUGAAAAGUGGAGAACAAGAAUAGAUAAAGUCAGGUCGUGCUGGUCCCUACGAACGACCUCACACGAUCUCGACUCCCCUCGACGGAACGUGGAAAGAGAGAGAGAGAGAGAGAGAGAGAGAUCCUAGAAAGAGAGAGAUGUUCCUAAGUUGCUAAAGCGAGCAAAAGCAGCGUAGCGCGCAAGAAGCGACCACCGCUCGCAGCGUCUCGGAUGCACCAGCACACCCCCUCACAAAACCUUCUUAAAAGCGUUGGGACCUGGUCACUCCACGACCAACCUUCGAACUCUUCCAUUCGCUGAGNAAACAGUUGGAAGCAAAAACCUGAAAUCAAUACCCAAAUCGACUAAUAGAGCGCUGAUAACGGGAAAAUCGAGUCGCUUACCUUCUCAAGCUUCCAACCAGCACCUCACUGGUCCAGGGCUACGAAAAUUCUUCCAAAACACUCCCCCACAUGACCACGUAGGCUCUGCGACGCUCGCCACCAGCGAAGAACGCGCGAUGCGACGAAAACGAGCGAAAUCGUCGAAUCCUUGUAGAGAGAGAAAGAUCCUAGAGAGAGAGAGAGAGAGAAAGGUGCAGGGUAGCUCCCCUGAGCUCUAGCACACUCCAGCAAGCAUCCCUGGUCGUGCUGGGCUGAAAUAGAUAAGAACAAGAGGUGAAAAGUCCAAAAUAACCCUGCUGUCCCGUAGUAGCUGACUCUGCUGCUUGCUGUACCGGUACAGCAUUAUGCUUGUACCGGUACACCAAUGCAGAAAAUGCCAAUUUCGCGAUUUGAAUGCACUUUCUCACUUCUAGCUUUCCAAUCAUCCUCUAACUUGACCAAAAACUUGUCCAAGCCUUUUAGAAUAUGUAGGAUAGAUCCACAUAUCGUUCCUCACACUCGAAUUUCGCAAUUUGCAAAAAUUCAGUGUAUUACAAUAAUGCUAAUGACUCAAGUGAAAACAAAGUGGAGUGUAAAGAACACGAAUGCUAGAGAUAGCCAAAAGUAAAGACAUGUACAGAACAUGAUUGCUAGAGUAGCAACAUAAAGUGACGUAAAGAACACUAGAGUUAGUGUAAAGUCAAGAUUGAACAUAUAAUCCUUUGAGUUAAGGAUUCGAUCAUACUUGCUAUGAGUUCCGUGCUCGAGGGCGGUCGCUCCCCCUCGGGCGAUGCGCUCCGGAGUUAUGCAUCACGGGUUGGAGUAAACCCGAAGGACGGUCCUAGCGGGUGAGUUCCUACGAUGAUGGACUUAAUGUGAAGCAAGUUAAUAUGGCGAAACCCCCGGGUUAGCCUUCAGAUUAAAGAACAAAGAGUAAAGAACAGAGAACAAAGAACAAAGUGUAAAGUGUAAAGAAUGAAAAAACUUGCAUAAUUUGCAUAUGUUUAAUGUUGAGCAUAUUUCCUGCUUAUUGUUCAGGCAUAUUAGCAUCAUGUUAUAGAUUGGUUACGAUAUACAGCUUAUCCUUUCUAUUAUGCCUGAGUUAGUCCUAGUGGGAAAGUCGGUGAUGUUGAGGCCGAACCCACUAGGAACUUUGUUGUAGUUCUCACCCCCACUAUUUCCACAGAGCCGGGACCGAGCGAGCCGGCGAGCGACCGAGGUAAAGGUAUCGCGCCUUAGUCAGAGGCCACCAGAGUUGGGUUACAUUUUCGUAGUAGUACCCUUUUAUUAUCUUUUGUACUUGAUGAUUAGUGAUGUAAAUGAAGAAUGUAAAGAACCCUUUUGAGGAUAAUGUGAUGUAAGAAAGAAAUGAUGAAAUGAAAUGUAAGGGAUUCAAAAAUGUAGAAGAUGAAUGCAAUGUAUAUGAUCAAAAAUGAAUCAUAGUACAAGUGAAUGUUUAGUUUCCUUUUCUUUCACUCGUGGCUAUUGCUUACCCUCGUGUGAGCCGUAUUUGUAUGUUUCCGCUAGUGCACUUCUUGUUUGAAAAUGUACAUGUGAUGAGCCUUGGGCGGACAGAGGAAACUUUGUCCGUUCGGCGUCUGUUUGACGUGCUCGGGCCCGCCCAAAUUGGUAUCGGUCCCGGGGCGUGACAUUGGCUAUACCUUCUCAAAUUCAGGAUGGGAUCGUACUCACAUGUAUCGGUUCCGGCUUGUGCGAGGUCGCUCCUCUACAGGCGGUGUACUCCGGAGUAUAGACACCACGGGUGAGAGUGCCCGGCGAAGAUCCCUCGGGUGACAGUGCCUUGUGCCUUCCCUGGUAAACGGGAUGGAUCUCUCGGGGGCAUUUCCUAAUGCUAAUCCCGGUAGAUAGGACAUGUGAGAUGUGAGCUUGGGGCGAACAUGAUGAACCUCGAAAAGAUUGGGUAAAGGCCAAAGUGAAUGUGUGAAAGUAUGUAUUAUGAGCUAUAGAAUUGGUAUUCCAGUUGAGUGGAUUUAUGGCUGAGGUGCAUGUGGGACGUCCUUCACCUCGAGCCUGGAUGCAUGCGGUAUUCCGCAGAUAAUUGACUCGAGAUCGAGUCGGGUGGUUAGCUUGGCUAGGGUAGAGGAAAACCUUAGGAGCAAAUAACUAAUGAUGUAAAGUGACAAGAUAUAUAAAUUAUGGAAAAGCUAUGGAUAGCAUGAUAGAAAGUAAAAUCAUUUAUUUUACUUCUAUAGUUUCAUGGUUUCAUAUUGCAUAUCGCGAGGCAUGACAUGUAGUUCAAUAUCGAAUAAAUGUUUAAGUAUCUGUUAUAUGUUAUUGGACUAACCUGUUGCAGUGCCUCAUUAGACCUAUUAGUUGAGCUUUUUCCUUGGGUGGCCGUACCCACUGGGAACUAUGGAGUUGGUUCUCACCCCACGUUGUUUUGGGGUGUUACAGGUUCACACGUGAGUGGCGCGGCAGCGCAAGGCGAGGGUGUAGGUCCGUAGUUAGCGCCCUACCACCGAGACCAGAGAUAGCGGUACCUUGAGUCGACUACUUAGGGAUGUAAGAAAAUGAAAGGAAUAAGAUUGCAAUAAUUUGUAAUGGAAGCAUGAUUGUAUUUCGAAGUUAAAUGUAAUAUGUAAUUGUGAUGUAAAAUGUAUCUAGUGAAUGUGAAUGCUUAUAAUAACAAGUAGAUUAUGUUUUUGAUACUUCCUUAUGCAAUCUUUGAUUGAAAUGUGUUCCUGGUUGGAACUUCGUACAUUGUAUUGAUUGCGACGCCUUGAAUGUACAGGGGAGACUCUGUCCGCGGUACAGGAAAAACCCUAUCCGUUCGGCGAUCUGUUGGCGUGCUCGAUGAAAGUUUUGAGGAGCCCAAGGAUCUAUCUAGAUUGUAUCUAUCACCUAGAGGGGGGGGUGAAUAGGUGUAAUGGCCAAAAACCACAAAUCUCGAUGCAAUAAAAAUAAAUGCAGAAAAUAAAAAGCACACCGAGAUUUAUGUGGGAAAACUCCAACUUGGAGAAAAACCCACGGGACCAACACGCGAAAAAACAAUCCACUAAGAGCAAAGAUUACAAGGUGAUUUACCGACUCUACGGACUCAACCUCUCUUGACCUCCUAUGGAUCUCGCGCAAUCCUCUGGGUUGUCCACGCCCUCACGUCCGAAUCCACGAACGCCCCCACUUCGAAUCCACGAAGCUCCAAUCACGCCGAAUCCACGACGCCACUCGAAUCCACGAGCCCACGAUCCGAAUCCACGAACCGCCGUCAAACACGCCGAAUCCACGACGCCGUCAUGAAGAGCAUCAUGAUUAUGGUGAUCCUUCGCUUAGGAGUAUCGUAGAAAACCANNNNNNNNNNNNNNNNNNNNNNNNNNNNNNNNNNNNNNNNNNNNNNNNNNNNNNNNNNNNNNNNNNNNNNNNNNNNNNNNNNNNNNNNNNNNNNNNNNNNNNNNNNNNNNNNNNNNNNNNNNNNNNNNNNNNNNNNNNNNNNNNNNNNNNNNNNNNNNNNNNNNNNNNNNNNNNNNNNNNNNNNNNNNNNNNNNNNNNNNNNNNNNNNNNNNNNNNNNNNNNNNNNNNNNNNNNNNNNNNNNNNNNNNNNNNNNNNNNNNNNNNNNNNNNNNNNNNNNNNNNNNNNNNNNNNNNNNNNNNNNNNNNNNNNNNNNNNNNNNNNNNNNNNNNNNNNNNNNNNNNNNNNNNNNNNNNNNNNNNNNNNNNNNNNNNNNNNNNNNNNNNNNNNNNNNNNNNNNNNNNNNNNNNNNNNNNNNNNNNNNNNNNNNNNNNNNNNNNNNNNNNNNNNNNNNNNNNNNNNNNNNNNNNNNNNNNNNNNNNNNNNNNNNNNNNNNNNNNNNNNNNNNNNNNNNNNNNNNNNNNNNNNNNNNNNNNNNNNNNNNNNNNNNNNNNNNNNNNNNNNNNNNNNNNNNNNNNNNNNNNNNNNNNNNNNNNNNNNNNNNNNNNNNNNNNNNNNNNNNNNNNNNNNNNNNNNNNNNNNNNNNNNNNNNNNNNNNNNNNNNNNNNNNNNNNNNNNNNNNNNNNNNNNNNNNNNNNNNNNNNNNNNNNNNNNNNNNNNNNNNNNNNNNNNNNNNNNNNNNNNNNNNNNNNNNNNNNNNNNNNNNNNNNNNNNNNNNNNNNNNNNNNNNNNNNNNNNNNNNNNNNNNNNNNNNNNNNNNNNNNNNNNNNNNNNNNNNNNNNNNNNNNNNNNNNNNNNNNNNNNNNNNNNNNNNNNNNNNNNNNNNNNNNNNNNNNNNNNNNNNNNNNNNNNNNNNNNNNNNNNNNNNNNNNNNNNNNNNNNNNNNNNNNNNNNNNNNNNNNNNNNNNNNNNNNNNNNNNNNNNNNNNNNNNNNNNNNNNNNNNNNNNNNNNNNNNNNNNNNNNNNNNNNNNNNNNNNNNNNNNNNNNNNNNNNNNNNNNNNNNNNNNNNNNNNNNNNNNNNNNNNNNNNNNNNNNNNNNNNNNNNNNNNNNNNNNNNNNNNNNNNNNNNNNNNNNNNNNNNNNNNNNNNNNNNNNNNNNNNNNNNNNNNNNNNNNNNNNNNNNNNNNNNNNNNNNNNNNNNNNNNNNNNNNNNNNNNNNNNNNNNNNNNNNNNNNNNNNNNNNNNNNNNNNNNNNNNNNNNNNNNNNNNNNNNNNNNNNNNNNNNNNNNNNNNNNNNNNNNNNNNNNNNNNNNNNNNNNNNNNNNNNNNNNNNNNNNNNNNNNNNNNNNNNNNNNNNNNNNNNNNNNNNNNNNNNNNNNNNNNNNNNNNNNNNNNNNNNNNNNNNNNNNNNNNNNNNNNNNNNNNNNNNNNNNNNNNNNNNNNNNNNNNNNNNNNNNNNNNNNNNNNNNNNNNNNNNNNNNNNNNNNNNNNNNNNNNNNNNNNNNNNNNNNNNNNNNNNNNNNNNNNNNNNNNNNNNNNNNNNNNNNNNNNNNNNNNNNNNNNNNNNNNNNNNNNNNNNNNNNNNGGAUAUCAAAUUACAAUAUUCCGAUUUGACCUAAAAGAGGCUAAUAUGUAGAAAAUAGGUUUUAGAUGAAAUCCGAGCCUCUAGGGUUUCUCAAAUAUUUAUUUUCGUGAUGCUUGAUGAGUUAGAGAAGCCCAACAGCUUAUUUAUAGACUUUAGAAUCAAUUGGAGUCGGAUUAGAAUGUUUUCACGAUUUUACACUGUGUACGCGUACGCGAAAUGCUGUCACCGGUUACACAAUGACGGAACAAAAAUUCGAAGCCAAAGUUGAUGGCUGUACCGGUACGGGNNNNNNNNNNNNNNNNNNNNNNNNNNNNNNNNNNNNNNNNNNNNNNNNNNNNNNNNNNNNNNNNNNNNNNNNNNNNNNNNNNNNNNNNNNNNNNNNNNNNAGGCAGGGAUCACCCAGGCUCGACCUGGGUGACUGCUGCUGGCCGCAGGGAGUUCGGGCAGCUCCGGCGUGGCACGGGGACGGCGGAGGCCGGCGGGGACUGCGCCGGGAAAGGGUCUCAGCCGAGGGAAAGGCUUCCUAGGGUGUCUUGGACCUUCUCUGAUGUCGAAAGCCGAAGGGGUGGUGGCAAGGUGGAGGAAAGAGGUUGACCAAGCAAUUCCGGCGGCCGGGGAAGCUCGCCGACGGCCGGGGUGCGCACACUGCUAGAGCAUGGACCUGCAGAUGGCGGCUAGGGCACAGAUGGGGCGCUGGGUCGAGUAGAUCUAGGGUUUCAUGCAUAGAAACCCUAGAUGCACAUUGAAUACAGAGUGCAAUUUUGCACAAAAGUCCACCGAAGCUUGGUAUUUCAUACCUAGUCCUUUAUAGUGGGUAACAAUCGCGUAUUCGCACCUACAUAUUCGAUCUCGUGCAAUUCGGUACAUAAAAUAUUACGACUUUUGCGAAUUUUCCGAUUUUCCACUCUCGACCCCUUAGCGAACUUAUCGCCAUUCCCAAAGAUCCGUCCAUCGGAUUUCCGAUCGGAUCACGCCAACGCGUUCAGCACGUCGAGGCAUCGAAUCUAGCAUUUCGUUUCGUCAGAUUUGAUCUCCGAUUCACGACGAAAUCCAUUCUCUCUCCAAAAGGCCAAAGUGAUGCACAAUUACAUAAGCAACAUGUAAUUUCAGAUUUUCUCGAAUAUCGUGCGUCAAACUCAAAAUCCAUCAGCGCCACUAGUUCCAGAACAGCUGAACCGGUCGAAACGAGCUAUUGGACUGAUAUGAACGGAGUCCGAUACGCACCAGAAGCCAACUCUACUCCGUGGCUUCUCCGGAAAACCGGAGUUACUAUUCACUUAAGUGAAAACUAAUAAUCGCGUAACUUCUCCGUUUAAGCUCAUUUUCUCCUAAAACUUGACGAGUGCUUAUGUAAUUAAAUUACACACAUAAACAUCAUCAACAGAGAGUUUAGUUGCACUGUCAAAAAUCUCAGUCCUUACAGUAUAAGAAUCUAAUGUUUUGAUGUAAUUUCUUAGAUAAAUUGUUUUGCAGGAAAUCAAGACUUCAAGACUCCUAGUGUCUAAAUCAUAGAGUCUGUAUUAAGGUUGUGAAAAAUAUAAUUUUCUUUUAUUGGAUCGAUCAUGCAGGAGAUCGUCGUUUGGUGAUUGCGAUGAUCUUCUUUUUAUUGUUUCUGAGUUGUGUACGAGCAUGGUAGUAUAUUUUGUCACGAAAUCGCCAAAGGGGGAGAUUGUUAAGGAUUUUAUAGGUUGGCGGAUUUCGUAAAGUUGAAUGGAGUCUUGAAGAGUUGAUCGCGGAAGUUUUGAAGAAAAGAUUCAAAUAGAAGAACAAAGACUCAUUCGGAAAGCUCGGCACCUCAGGUAUGAAGAAUAGAUCAUUUGUGGUGAAGGUACUUAAUUGGAAUAAGUUUAGAAGGCUUAGAUUACUUUAAAACUCAUUUACUGAACUUUUCUGUGUUCUGGGACCGGUCCCAGAGUUGAAGAGACCGGUUCCCCUAAGGUCCUCACUGCGUGAAUAUUGAUGCAACCGGUCCCCUGAGAUGAGAGACCGGUUCCCGAACCUUCGUAUUUCUGUCGCGCAGCGAGGGACCGAUCUCUGGCUUGAGAGACCGGUUCCCGAACGUUGUGAUUUUUGGUAACGCAGCGAGGGACCGGUUCCUCACUUGAGAGACCGGUCUCUCACAGACCAGUCUCCUCGAGAGGACCGGUCCCUGAGGACGACACAAGUUUUUUAAAAAGGACUUUUUGCAAUCCUAGUCUACUUCUAAGUCUUCUAAACAUAUAAAUAAGCCAUGGGGUCAUCUUAAAGUUUAAGGCUUUGAAUUUCUACUCAUUCUAAACCCUAGAAACUUAUUUUUUCGUUCUUAUGGUUCUAUUUCAAUAACAAGUUUCUAAUAAUCAACGAUUGACUUGAUUCUUCAUUUUUACUCAUGAACUUAUACGAGAAUCAAGUAGAUGUUUGAUUAAAAGGUAGACCCUCAUCGCUUAUGGGAUUCUAAGGCUUAUUCACCACAAAUCUUCGAUUCUACAAGCUCCGGAAGGAGAUUCAGCGUGUGGAUCUCGCGUGAAGCCAAGGAUUCGGUGGACGCUUCGAGGAGUUGAGGCGUUGACGCUGCAAGGAGUUGCGGCGAGGUCGAUUGGAGGAUUCNAUAAACUUAGAAAAGAAGUUUUGAAGGCGCUAGUUGAGAAGUUCUGAGGUAAGUUGAAAUGCUUUAGGCGGUUGGAUAUUUUAGGAAUUGUUAGAGGGGGAAACCGCUAAAGCACUGUUUUAUAUGAUGGUACGAGCAUGUGUUGAGUCUUUGUUAUUUUUCUUCUAGUAGCGUUAGUGGUUUGCUGCUAGAGGACGUACUAGCUAGGUUAUUUUCUUUUAAUAUAAAAAGUGUUGGAAUUAUGUCUGAGAUACUAAAUCUGUGAUCCUCAGAACUUCAGAACUAAAGGACGUUUUGUUAAAUAGAUUCUUUAAUGUAGUUUUGUAAUCUAAGAAUAUGACAUUCCUGACUCUAAAAACUGUCACGUUGAUUUGAGAGACAACUACUACAAAUACACACAUUAAAUUAAUGUAUUCGUGAGCAGUUCAAAAUCCGAAGAACAAAGACUCAUUCGGAAAGCUCGGCACCUCAGGUAUGAAGAAUAGAUCAUUUGUGGUGAAGGUACUUAAUUGGAAUAAGUUCAGAAGCCCUAAAUUACUUUAAAACUCUUUUACUGAACUUUUCUGUGUUUUGAAACCGAUCCCAGAGUUGAAGAGACCGGAUCCCCUAAGGUCCUCACUGCGUGAAUUUUGAUGCACUCCUAGUCUACUUCUAAGUCUUCUAAACAUCUAAAUAAGCCAUGGGGGUCAUCUUAAAGUUUAAGGCUUUGAAUUUCUACUCAUUCUAAACCCUAGAAACUUGUUUUUUCCGUUCUUAUGGUUCUAUUUCAAUAAUAAGUUUCUAAUAAUCAACGAUCGACUUGAUUCUUUAUUUUUUUUUUAUUUGUGAACUUAUACGAGAAUCAAGUAGAUGUUUGAUUAAAAGGUAGACCCUCAUCGCUUAUGGGAUUCUAAGGCUUAAUCACCACAAAUCUUCGAUUCUACAAGCUCUGGAAGGAGAUUCAGCGUGUGGAUCUCGUGUGAAGCCGAGGAUUCGGUGGACGCUUCGAGGAGUUGAGGCGUUGACGCUGCAAGGAGUUGCGGCGAGGUCGAUUGGAGGAUUCCUAUCGAUCGAGGACCGGCGAAGAUCACCAUCAACGGGAAUUCGGUAAAUUGAGUCGUGUAUUUUUGUCAAAAUCACUUAUACUCAAGUUUUCUUAGUGGAUUUUUUUCGCGUGAUCGGUCCCGUGGGUUUUUCACUCUGAAUUGGAGUUUUCCCACGUUAAAUUCUCGGUGUGUUGUUUUAUUUUUCGCUAUUUCAUUUUAUUUGCAUCGAGAUUUUUGAGUUUGCCGUUUUUACACCUAUUCACCCCCCUCUAGGUGUUACUUACCUUUUAGAUCCUCGAGAUCUAUAUCUUACAGAACUAGUGCCAUUGGUCAGAAUGGAGAAAAGAGAGUGAAGAAGAAGCCGAAGAAAGCUAGGAGAGACAGAGAAGGCGAAGAGGAUGAAGAAAAACAGAGAAGGUGAAAAAGGCGAAGCCUGAGGGAAAAGGAAGCUUGGUGAAGAAGGAAAAGAGCCGCCGCGUCGAAAUAGUUUCCCGAGAUCGGCUAUAAUGAUGAAAAGAUGGCGGCAAUUAAGGUGACCUAAUUAAUGCCGCACAUAAGACAAAAAGAAUGACAGAAUCGUAACCGUAGAAAAGAAAUGGACGGCCGAGACUAAACCAUAUAGAGGGUUUGGAAUUAAUUGAAUCGAGGAUCGCGCCUCGGAUUACGUCAGCUACUCGUACAGAGAAUUUGAAAUUGAUUGGAUCGAGAACCACGCCUCGGAUCGUGCUUGUUAUUUAAGCGAUGGCGGAAUUUUAGCAGUAGAAAGAAGCAGACGGUUGAGACGAAACCGUACUAGGGAUUUGAAAGUAAUCGCGCCUCGGAUUAUGCUAGCUAUCAAAACGUUACUUCGAAAGCUGCCGAGGGGGCAAUUGUUGAGCCAAUUAGGCGCGGACAGGUGGUACGCCGAUAUUCCAUUUAAAGGCAGCAAUCUUGCUAUACACCGGGAGCAUUGGAAGGGUUUUUAAGGAAUGAACCGCCGCGCAAAUUGAGGGAGGUUACAGUAACCACAAGCAGUUGCAAGCGAUUCCGAUCGGCUGAAAGUGGUCCGAAAAAUCAGGAAUAGUGGCCGAUCAUGUAUAGGUAAUAACUGAUCACAAGGGGCGAUCUAUAAAUAAGUCAAUAACGCCCUAAAAAGAGGUCUUUUUUCUGUGAACAAAAGACCACCCUUAUUUCCCUACAAUUUCCCUCAUUUUAUACGAGUAGUCUACUUGUAACUUUUACUUUCGUGCAUUUAUUAUUUUUCCCUAGGAGUAGUUCCUAAGUAGAACAACCGAGUCUGUAUGCCAUUCGGCACACUUAACCCUUGUACUUUUCCUCAAGCUUAAUUUCUAAGGCUUUCGGCUCUUCAAGCCGACCAACUGGUGUAUGUUUCUUCUAUUCGGCUCAUCUACCGAGUCAAAUCUGUAGCUGGUCCGCACAUUCGGCUCAUUUCAGCCAAACCGAAUAUUUAAUAGAGUUUUCGAAUUCGGCUGAUCCGAUCCCUCGUCAGCCGAAUCGCUUGAUCUAGUUGAAGGGCACAAACUUCGAGGGUCACUAUUCGAAGCUGUUUUUCAUCCCUACACGUUCUUCGAGGAGGAUCUUUGAUCAGGCCAAGGGUCAGGGAAUUCGGCACGCAACACAACCUUUCCUCUUAUGCCAUAUAACUGCAGCGGUAAUCAAGAGCGGAGAAGCAUGUGUUUAUGCAAUUGAUUCCCCCCUCUUUUGAAAUUAUAUUGAUACUCCCAUUUCGGAGGUAAGUGUUGCAGGGCCUAUUCAAAUUUGUAUUUAGUUAUCAUUUGAGUGGAUUAUCAUAUUAUUUACGUAGGAACUAUGCAGAUUUGCAUUCAGUUAUUCAUUUGAGUGGAUUAUCUCAAGAAUAGUAGUCUUAUAUUGAAUAGAAACAAAUAUCCUACUCUGUACAAUAUGUUCAAGUAUUUUGUCAUUUGUCAUCAGAUUAAACUUGUGUUGGUUUGAGUGUUUGACUGCGGUAUCACUGUUUAGCUCACAUAAUCGUCUGAAGCUGGCCCAAUGGCCACAUCCUAGACAGUAAUGUCGAACGCACGGAAGUGUUUGUAUCAUGUUCUAGUAGUUUCUAAUAUGUGCUUGUUCUCCAAAUUACUAGUGAUUUAAUACAGCGUUUAUUUCACAUGUCUUGUUCUGCCCAAUUAUAAUCCCCUUAAAUUUAAUAAAAUCAUCAAAACUACUCAUAUUAUUCAUACUAGUGAAGGCCCGCGCUUCGCGGCGGAAAAUUUAUGCAAUUUUCAAAAUACUUUGAACUAUUUUUUUAUUUUUUAAUUUUCAAAUCUAAUUUUAAAUUUUAAACUUUAAAAAAUUGAAGAGAGGAAAAUUAAAAACAUUAUUUAAAUAUAGAAGGAUAAAAAAAUUUGAAGUUUGAAACCUGAUUUAUUAUAUGUAUUAUUAAUAAAUUAAUUAAUUACAUAUUAUAUAACAUUAUUAAUAAAGGUAAUUAAUUAAUUAAUUUUAUAGAGUUUUGAGAUAAAAAAUUUUAAAGUUUGAAGUUUAAAAUUAAAAUAAAUAUUACAUGUUAAUAUUUAAAUUUAAAAUUUAAAUGGAAAAUAUAAAUUUGAAAAUUAAAAUUUUAUUAUAUGUAUUAUUAAUAAAUUAAUUAAUUACAUAUUAUAUAACUUUAUUAAUAAAUGUAAUUAAUUAAUUAAUUAUAUAUAGUUUAAAGAUUAAAAAUUUUAAACUUUGAAGUUUAAAAUUAAAAUAAAUAUUAUAUGUUAAUAUUUAAAUUUAAAAUUUAAAUAUAAAAUAUAAAAUUUGAAAAUUAUAAUUUUAAAAGUCCCUCUCUCUCUCCCUCUCUCUCUCUUUCUCACUCUCUCCCUUUCUCCCCCUGGCUCAUCCCUCUCUUUCUCUCUCUCCCUCUCUCUCUCCCUCUCCCUCUCUCNNNNNNNNNNNNNNNNNNNNNNNNNNNNNNNNNNNNNNNNNNNNNNNNNNNNNNNNNNNNNNNNNNNNNNNNNNNNNNNNNNNNNNNNNNNNNNNNNNNNNNNNNNNNNNNNNNNNNNNNNNNNNNNNNNNNNNNNNNNNNNNNNNNNNNNNNNNNNNNNNNNNNNNNNNNNNNNNNNNNNNNNNNNNNNNNNNNNNNNNNNNNNNNNNNNNNNNNNNNNNNNNNNNNNNNNNNNNNNNNNNNNNNNNNNNNNNNNNNNNNNNNNNNNNNNNNNNNNNNNNNNNNNNNNNNNNNNNNNNNNNNNNNNNNNNNNNNNNNNNNNNNNNNNNNNNNNNNNNNNNNNNNNNNNNNNNNNNNNNNNNNNNNNNNNNNNNNNNNNNNNNNNNNNNNNNNNNNNNNNNNNNNNNNNNNNNNNNNNNNNNNNNNNNNNNNNNNNNNNNNNNNNNNNNNNNNNNNNNNNNNNNNNNNNNNNNNNNNNNNNNNNNNNNNNNNNNNNNNNNNNNNNNNNNNNNNNNNNNNNNNNNNNNNNNNNNNNNNNNNNNNNNNNNNNNNNNNNNNNNNNNNNNNNNNNNNNNNNNNNNNNNNNNNNNNNNNNNNNNNNNNNNNNNNNNNNNNNNNNNNNNNNNNNNNNNNNNNNNNNNNNNNNNNNNNNNNNNNNNNNNNNNNNNNNNNNNNNNNNNNNNNNNNNNNNNNNNNNNNNNNNNNNNNNNNNNNNNNNNNNNNNNNNNNNNNNNNNNNNNNNNNNNNNNNNNNNNNNNNNNNNNNNNNNNNNNNNNNNNNNNNNNNNNNNNNNNNNNNNNNNNNNNNNNNNNNNNNNNNNNNNNNNNNNNNNNNNNNNNNNNNNNNNNNNNNNNNNNNNNNNNNNNNNNNNNNNNNNNNNNNNNNNNNNNNNNNNNNNNNNGAGUGAGAGAGAGAGAGAGAAAAAGCAAAAAAAAAAAAAAAUGGUCGGCCCCGCCGAAGCCCCCCGCCAAACGCAGGGAGGCUUCGGAGAGAACCCAAGAAUUAUUAUUUCUAUAGAUUCCACCAAAUAUUUGGCUUAAAUGCCCUUUUACCCUUUCACACUUUCAAUUUUUGUAAUACAUGUUGUGAUCAAGAUUCUAUGCAUUUAUUAUUGAUACUUGGGCUUUUUUUGCAAAUAGCCCUUUCACAAAAUUUUAUUUUAAAAUUGGCCCUGUCAAAAAUUUAUUUGCAAAAAUGGCCCUGCCCCCGCCACGCAAGCGUCACAUCAGCGCCACGCGGGCGAGGUAGGAGUUUAAGUUGAACACCAUGAAUGGUUCACCAUGUCCAAUACAAAUAAUUAGACACGGUGAAAGGUUCACCGUGUCUAAUACUAAUACAGCCUUAGCCAAAAAUGACUAAGUCCUAGGUAGUUAUAUUGGACACGGUGAAUGAUUUACCGUGUCCAAUACAAAUAUGUCGAUCUUAGCUAUUUUGUAUUGGACAACCGUGUCCAAUACAAAAACUUUGUAUUGAACACGGUGAAUGGUUUACCGUGUUCAACUUAACCAUCUGGCCCAGCCCCGCCUGCGUGGCGCUGACGUGGCGCUUCCGUGGCGGGGCCAGGACCAUUUUUGCAAAUAAAUUUUUGACAUGGCCAAUUUUAAAAAAAAAAAAUUGUAAGGAGGCUGUUUGCAAAAAAAGCCCGAGUGCUUAUCAAGGCCUUCACAUGUAGAAAGUGGGCACUUAAUCUUACCAAAGCCUUUGACUAAUAUACUUGUCUAAAACAGGUUGCACUGUUAGAUUAGUUGAGGAUUUGGGCUUUUUUUGCAAAUAGCCCCCUAAAAAAUUUUAUUUUCGAAAAUAGCCCUGUGUAAAAAUUAUUUGCAAAAAUGGCCCUGGCCCCGCCCCGUCAGCGCCACGUCAGCGCCACGCGGGCGGGGCUGGGCCAAUUGUAUAAGUUGAACACGGUGAACCAUUCACCGUGUUCAAUAUAAGAUUUUUGUAUUGGACACNUGGGGCAGGAGUUUAAGUUGAACACGGUGAAUGGUUCACCGUGUCCAAUACAAAUAUCAUAUUGGACACGGUGAACCAUUCACCGUAUUCAAUACUAAUACAGCCUUAGUCAAAAAAUGACUAAGUCCUAGGUAGUUGUAUUGGACACGGUGAACCGUGUCCAAUACAACUAACUCGGCUUAGCCAAUUUUUGGCUAAGUGAGGAUAUUUGUAUUGGACACGGUGAAUGGUUCACCGUGUCCAAUAUGAUAUUUGUAUUGGACACGGUGAACCAUUCACCGUGUUCAACUUAAACUCCUGCCCCGCCCGGGUGGCGCCGACGUGGCGCUUGCGUGGCAGGGGCUGGGCCAUUUUUGCAAAUAAAUUUUUAACAGGGCCAAUUUUAAAAUAAAAUUUUAUCAGGAGGUUAUUUGCAAAAAAAACCCUUGAUACUUUUAUAGUCUAAUUUAAUUAUUUUAAUAUAUUUUAUUUGACAAAUUUAGUAUGACUUUAUAUUACUGCAUUUAGCUGGUAUACAUACUCUUAUGAGCAAUGCUUCUAUACACCAACAGAUCUUAGCCUUUAAAUUUUCUAAAAUGAAUGGUGAGGAUGCCUUUUAUUUAAGAGGGUGAUCGCUUUUGUUGUAUUAGGUACCGUUCACCUUCUUAUCGAGGGCAAAAUAUUUUCUCAUAAUGUAAAGUUAGUAUCAAGGGCUUUUUGGGAAAUUUUUAUUUUCAUUCCCAUAAUGCCUCUUUAGUAAAUAUAGAACAUUCCAUUCCAUUUUUGUCCAUUUUGCUUUCCUUUUUGAAGUAAUAGCUAAUCUACAUUUAUAAUUUUUAAUUGAAUUUAUUUGUACCGACCGUCCCUAGAGCAAGUGGCAAAGGGUUUGGUGGUUGGUACCCGAGACCCAAGUUCGAAUCCUAGUUGAUUCACAUUUCCAGCUAAGUUUAUUUCUAAAUGAAAUAAACGAAGCGGGUAGCGUGCUACCUAUCUCUCUAAAAAAAAAUUGAAUUUAUUUGUAUGAUUUGAUUAUAAAAUAAAAUUUUAAAUUUGUCUCAUAUUUAAAAUUUUUUUGCAUAAAAAAUUUUAUGCAAAUAUAAAAAUUGCAAUUAACAAAUUAUAUUAUGCAAUCUCUAAGUAAUUGACUAUGAAAUAUUGUCCCCAAGUGAAUGUUUAAAAAAUUUUGAAUUUGACUUUGUGAUCAAUAGUUCUAACAAAUUCAGUUCAACAUCUUAAUUAAAAUAAAUUAAACUUUUAUAAUCUUCACAAGUUUUAGUAUACAUUACACACUUUAUUCUCAAAUUAUAAGAAGCGUAAUACUUUGGUUGUCCAACUUUAUUCAAAAUUUUUAAAUUAUUGAAUUGAGCUUCACGCUUCAAUUUAGAUGGCUGAAUGAUGAGUUAAAGUUGAUGUGGUCAAAAUUCAUGACAAAACUCUUAAUAAAUUGAAAUUGGAUGGUCCAAACUAAAAUUCAAUUAGAAAGAAUGUAAUAUAUUGAUAUAUAUAUUUUAACUUUUGAACAUAGAUAGUUGAUCCGAAGUUGACUGUUCGAGUUAUGAUUAUUUGAUUGGAUAGCUCAACCAGUGUUAUAUUAAACUGAUUAAUUUAAUUGUUAUUUUAUCAGAAAAUCCUAUGUCAAAAUAGGUGGUAAAGAAAAUUUUUUAAAGAAUAAUGUGGUUACAAAGUGAAAAUUGUGCUAAACUUUGCAUGGGCGCAAAGUGAUGUUUUAGACCAUGGAAAAACCAUUUAAAUUGACCUUAUGAUCCAAGUCAGAUGAUCCAAAUCAAAUGAAUUUAAUGUAUUAUUUAAACAAGUUAAAAACCAUUUUAAAGAUAAUUUGAAAUUUUAAUAGCUAAAAUUAAAUUCAGAUUUAUAAUAUAAAGUUAAUUUUCAAAUAUUGAAACGUUUAGUUUAAAUAGUUAACAAAAUUUAUUUUUUUAACUAUAAUAUAAAUCAAAUCUAAAUUUAAAAUUUAAUUUUAAUCAAUAUUUUUGAACUUUAAUGUUGUUUUCACUAUUGAAUAAACAAGUUGAAUUUAAUUUUAAAAGCCUUUUAUUUAAAUAAAUAAUAAAAUUUGGAUUUAUAAGUACAACAUAAUUUACAAUUUAAAAUAAGUUAAUAUAUUUGAAUUUUCAUGUUAUUUUAAUAUUAGAUUAACAAUUUGAAUUGAAAUGUACUACUCAUUUAAACAGAAUUUUUUUCUUUCUGAAAAUUAAAAUUAAAAUUAAAAUUGAAUUUAAUGUAUACAAUUAUAAAGUUUAAGCUCAAAUUAAAUUUUAAAUUCAAUUUUAUGAAGGUUUAUUACUUAUCAAAUUAGCGAAUAUCUAAUUUGGUAAAUAACAAAAUUAAAUAAGGAAAUAAAUAUUUAUUUAGGGUUUAUCAAAUUUGGUAAUUCGCUAAUAUUUAUUUUCCAAUAUUACCCUUACUAUUGAUCUUGAAUGGUGACUUGUUGAGCAGGUUACUACUGUCUAAAAGUCAAUCUUGCCUUUAAAAUAUGAAAGGCUAGAUUUAAUUUAGCCAGUGUAUUGAAACAUUCCUCUACAUUUAUUAUAUUUUUUUAGACAUGGAAGGAAAAAUUAGAUACUUUUUAUUAGAUUUAUUUUGAGGUCUUUAUAUUAUUUUACAUGUAGUUCGAUAGUUCUUUAUUUUAGUUUCCAUUUAUAUUACUAUCCAUUUGUUUCAAAUUUGUAUUUGUAUGGUGUACUUUAAUUAUUUUUUAUCUCUAUAUUAUACCAGAUGCAUGUAGUUUGAACGUCCUUUAUUUUAGCUUUGAUUUAUAUUACUAUGCUUUUAUCUCAAUUUGUACUUUUAAAGUUUACUUUGCUUACUCUUAUUUGUACUGUUUUAUGUCUAAUAAAUAAAAACACUAUCUUAAGUGGCAUAAAUUAAAUAGAAAGUUAGAAAUUAUACGAUAAUUAACUAUUAUGAGGGAUAAAUAGGUCAUUUUGUAAUUUAAACAAAUGAAAAACUGACAACAAAGAUGUUUACGAUAUUAAAUACAAAUUUAUAGGGGUAAUAUUAAUAUUGACAAUUUUGAAAGGGUGUUUGUGAUAAUUUUCAAAAUUUUGGGUGUUCGAAAUUGCCCCUUUAAUAUAGCAGCGCAAAUGCUACAUGUACAUCUUGAGCCUAGGUAUAAAUCUUUUUACAUCUUAGACUUUCUAUGGUUAGGAUUAGUCGAUUAGUCUUAUCAACGUUUUUUUUUUUAAAAUAAAAUUUAUUUAGAAUUUUAUAGGCUCUAAAUUGAAAUAGUGUAAGAUAUACAACCCUAUAUAGCGUGUGCAAGUAAUUAUUCUAAUAUAAUUUUGUCCUUCUAAUAAACCUGUUAGGUACAGCAUCUGUAGGUGUUAUGGUUUAAUAUCUGAACCUUACUUGCACAACGGCACGAACUUAAUGGAAAAAGAAAUAAAAAAGCAAACAAAAAAAAUGUACUAGGAACCCAUCGACUGAAGGCGAUGUUGAAAUAAGCCCCUCAAACAUUGUUAAUUUUCUUUCACUGACAUGUUAUUAGGGUUUGAGUGUUUUUUCUUAGUUAAGUUGAGAAUCCUGUCUAAUUUGGUAGUUACAUCAGCUAUUACUCGAUAGGUAUAUUUGCUAAAAUGUAAUUUAAAAUAUUUAAUAGAAUUACUUGUCACGCCCUGAAUUUUUUGGUGAAAGCCAAUUCGAAAUCGGAUUAUCUUCGAAAAUACAGAAUAAGUGAAAAAACGCCAUUUUUUUUUUAACUUUGACCCCACGGUGCAACAAACCCGCUACAAAUAUAAAAAUUUUUCGACAUAAACGGAUAGAGUCUCUUCUAUAUUUGCACAAUAUAGCACAUGUACAAUUUAACAACCAUAUCUCUACUCACACACAUAACAACUGGAUGUAUAAGAAGUAUCAUAAUACAUCAAACAGCUAGCCGUCCUUAGUCACAUCCAUUCCACAUUCAUUCACAUUCGUCUUAGAAGUUAAAAUUGUCUCCCACACGAAGACUUCUUUUUUAAAACUUUAACUUUGCAAAAAACCUCGAAAAAUUUAUUUAAAAAUAUUUCAUACACAGAAACCAUUAUUUUAAAAAAUGCUACUACAAAGGGUAGAAAACUAUCGAUGGGAAUCUGAUUCCAAAAUCACAUGUGUUCAAAAAUCACAAAUGUCCAAAACUAUGAGCAUCAAAACCCCCCAUAAGUACAAUAUCCAAAAUUAUAAAAUAUCAACUGAAUCACAAAUAAAUGUCUAGUAGCAGGUGUAGAGGUAAACUAUGUGUAACACACUGAACCUGUGCAAAUUGCAAGGUUCGAGUGUUUGACUUGAGUUCCGAGCUUUGCCACGCUUUGUGGAGGGUCGUAGAAUGUAUUCCGACCUAAAAAGUUCAAAUUCUGAAUUUUGGCAAGUCCUGAGAGUUUUUACUCUCGGGGACCGGUCCCUGGUGGGAGAGACCGGUCCCCUCGGAAUAGUGUCGCGGCCAGGCUUGAGGCAACCGAUCCCUGGCGGAUGAGACCGGUUCCCGAGCACGAUUUUGCGGGGAGAGACCGGUCCCAUGCGGGGAGAGACCGGUUCCUGAGAGCAGGUUUUGCGGGAUGGACCUGAGAGACCGGUCCCACCUGGGAGAGACCGGUCCCUCUGGGCGAAAAUUACCCAAUUUGAGCUGAUGCACAGGAUGGAUUGUUGGGGGACCUAAGUAGAUAUUGUUACUUGGGAGGGCUUAUAGGCCAUUUCCUCUUUCUCUCUCACACCCUCUAGAAAGAGAAGAAGAAGGAGAAGGAGGAGAGGAGGAGCUUGCUUGAGGGAGCUUGGAGCAUCAACCCUUUCUCUCUUUCUUCAUCAUUGGAGGCUUGGAGCUUAGGCUAGGAGCUUGAUAGAGGAUCAAUCUUCAACCCUUGAGCAUUUUGAGCUUGGUUUGGAGCUACCAAGGAGGUUAGUAUGUUUAAUCUACUCUUUGGAGUAUGUUUUGGUAGGUUUUAUCAAAUGAAAUCCUAGAUUUUGGGAUUUAGGGUUUAUUUUGGGAAUUUUUGAUUUGGGGGCUUUGGGACCUAAUUGAUGGGUUUAGAACCCUUGUUUAGGUUGGUUUGAAAGGACUCUAACUCCCAUUUGGAGAUCAAGAGAGCUUCCUUCGCAUUCGGUGAGUUUUUCUCCACCUUAGCUUGAGAUGGUUAAUGAUCAACCUUAUGGUUGUUCAUAAGGUUCGUUUAACUCUUGUUCGUACAUCUUUAGGGUGUUAGGAGACUAGUGGACAUUUUUGUCAGAGCAAACGAAGGAGCGCAAGAGUUGUGGUGGAUUUAGCCUCACCAAAAUGGGAUAAAUCAUUCCUAUAAUGGUUUUUACUUAUCGUAAAAUGAAAAUGCAUGCAUAUUCAUGUUAGAUAGAAUUAUUGAGAAUUUUAGAAUGCUUAAAAUACAUAUGUUAUGUAUAAUGCAUUUUUGGACCUCUAUGUAGUAGAGGAUUUCAUGCUGGGCUCGGCCCUAUGGAUAGCAUUCUUAUUGUAACUUUGGAUCAUGUUGCAUAUAGUGAAUUUGACAAGCUUCAUACACUCUUGGACUUAGAAUUCAUGGUUGGCAUAGAUAGUAAGUUAAUGUUAUAAAGAGACAUUAGGCUUGGAAUUGGUAUAGUAAGCUAAUGUCAUAAAGAGGCAUUAGGCUUGGAAUAUGUAUGGACUUAGUAAAUCUAAGGUCACAAAAGGGUAUUGGAAUUAUUGAACGGUUAAACCUUCACUUGGGACAUUGGACUAGACCUAUGAGUUGCUAGCGAUUAUUUUCAUGGUAGAGCCAUGAUGAUCCGAUCGUUAAGACGAUGACUUUGCUUUCUUGCCAUUUGUGCUCAUUCGCACAUGCUUGUGAGGGUCGCUCCCUACAAGCCGGCACUCCGGAGUUGGCCUUUUUCGACACGGUUCGCGCGUGCGGGAUUGAGACGCCUGUAGGGUCGCGUGGGACAGUCUCAUUCCAGCGCGGGAUGAUGAGCUACCACGGGCAGCUAGGCAGCGAGACGCCUGUAGGGCCGUGUGGGAUAGACUCAUUCCUAGUAUGGAAUGAUGGGCUACCACAGGCAGCUAGGCGGCACAAGCUGGACUACCUUGUGUAGGUCCUUAAUUGGGACAUGGAAAUCGACACGGAGUCGUAUAUGAUAUAAUCACUACUUGAUAGUAUAUCGUAGUUGGAUUCUGUGGACAUUGGGACAUUUAGUAUACUUGGUCGCUAUGAUAGUGCAUACUAGAUAUGUAUUAGACACUUGGACAUUUAGUAUACUUGAUAGUAUUGCUUAUUGCAUUUCUUAUAGCAUACUUCGAUGCCGUGAUACAGCAUACUAGACAUGUUUUGGCAUAUUGGAUCAUAAUAGAAUAGAUGUGCUCCAUGUUCAUAUCAUGUAUACUUGUGGCAUAGUAGUAUAGCAUCUCAUUAUAUGCUUUUAUUUCUGCAGUUAUUAUUUCAUUAUCUUUAUCUGCUCAUGAUUUGGGCCUAGUGGUGCAUUUGGCUAAGGUCAGUAAUUGCCCACUGAAAACUAUAAAUUAUAGUUCUCACGCCUCCUGUUUUAUGUUCUAUUUCAGAACCUUCCACUUCGGGAGGGGCUCGGGAUUGCGGGAAAGGUUACGCCUCGAGCUAGCUAUCGAGAGAUUUGGCGAUAGGUGGUCCACCUCUCUUUUAUUUUUCAUUUGGAGAGGUUGUGAGAGUUUUGUACCUUGUUAUGGAGACCACCAUACUUUUGUAUCUUGAGAUUUAUGAUGUAUUAGUUUAUGUUAUACUUUAGUGUUCAGUUUUCUUUUUCCUACUUGUUGUUAGUCUUUAGCUGCUAGUUGCUCUGAUAUUUAUAGUUGUUCUACUUUCCUGGCUUUUAUAUUUCUAUUGUUGUAGACGCCUUAUAUGUGUAGGCGUAUGGCGAGUCUGGGCACGCACCGGGAGGGCCUAUGCCGGGUCCCGGGGCGUGACACUAUGCUAUCACAUGUAUGUCUAUACUAAGUAUGGAAUAUAGUCAAAAUGCAUAUCGAGAUCGAGAGAUCUAAGACCGCCAACUAGCUUCGGCCUUACGCUGUGUCCCGACUAAUUCCACUCGCGUCACCUGUGGAGAAAAGGUGGUGAAAAACCAACAAAGGGUCUCCGAAAGGGUAACGCAAGCCGUCGAGGCAAGUAUACUCAACAAUAACUAGGUAUAUGUACACAAAGGCCUACGGUAAUUGUCAUGCCUCGGGACCGCCGAUUUGGUCGGUUCGGGCACGUCAACAGACGCCGGACGGACAGCACCUUCCCUGCCCGCCCAAGGCUCAACACAAGUAUUAGUAUAGAGUGCAAGAAUUUACCCAGGAAUUUAAAUUCUAAAUGUACACAAUCGCAAUGGCACAAACAGUGCCAACAACAAGAGCAAGUAAUCCACUAAUAAUAUGAGUGAAAAGAAGAGAGAACUUUAUUAACUAUUACAUUAGUUUGCAUUCUUUUAUAUUUACAUCCCUUUCCAAAAUGAAUACUUGAUCAUUUAAAAUACAUAGCUCUCCAAACCUCAUCUAUAUGAAUCUCUCUCAAAUACAUAGGUGUGCUAAUGCAAAAGGAAAGCUACUACUCUACCAAAAAUCCUCACUGGUCGGGCGCGAUGCUCUUACUCUACCAAAAAUCCUCACUGGUUGGGCGCGAUGCUCUUGCCGCGGUCCUCGCCCGGCAAACCUGUACCUAGCCCUGGAAAUAGAGUGGGGUGANAUGAACUAUACUCGGGUAGUCACUAGCUAGGGGGCGAUACCCUUGCCAUGGUCCUCGACCGCCUCGCUCGGAUCUGGAUCUGAAAAAAAUAGUAGGGUGAGAACUAUAAGAAAGUUUCCAGUGGAUUUGGCCGCCAACCCCGCCGACUUUCUCACUAAGUCUAAAUCAGGCAUAAAUAGAAGAAACAUGUAGAUAGAUAACCAUUCUAAAUAGAUGCAGCCACUAUGCCUGAAUAAGAAUGCUAACAAUACAUGAUGCUCAUGAUGCAUGCCAAUUUCCAUUCACAAUACCCAAUCCUCUCGGCUAACCCGUAGGUUUCGCCCAAAAACUCACCAACUCAAAUCCCUGCUAUCGGGGAGAAACUUCUACAACCCGACAGGAUCGUCCUCUGGGGAAACUACAAUCUAGUGAUGACUACUCUGGAGCUCAUCGCUCGAGAGAGUGCGACCGCCCUCAAGCUAAGACUUACAAGUGAGUAUGAUCCAAUCCACAACUCUGAGGAUGCAAUGUUCAAUCCAAUCUUUAACUAUAAGGAUGCUAUAAUCACAAUGCCACAACGCACUAUGUGUUCUAUUCUCUAGCAUUCAUUAUGCUCACUAAUGCUACAAGGUGCUAUUUCACUUACUUGUUACAAUGUCACCAUAUUCUUUACCUCAACUAGGUUCAUAUCUCAAUUCAUACAUAUAUAGGAUUCACAAAUGCUCAAUAACUCAUAUGCAUCUUUAUACUAAAAGCAUGCAAGGGACAUACGUAUAUGAACAUAUUCUCAUUUUAACCCUAUAAUGCAUGAAUCCUAUAUAUACAUAUAUGCUCAAUGGGUGACAUUUAGAUAUAAAAGGAGAUUUGAUGAUUUCGGAUAGCACCACCCACCUCGUAGGGUUGCUAAGGUGCUAAAAUCCAAGUUCCAGAAUUUUUACUCGCCACAAUCCCCCGACCCUCGGCAAACGAAGCCAAAACGGGGUAUUUCCUCGAUUUCUUGACGUAGACUCGAUAGAAUCUCGAUCCGAAUUCCCCGACGCGUCAGCUUACUCGUCAAUUAGGGCUACAAGAGAUCAAAGCCUAGUUAGAUCUCAUAAUUAGCAAAACCCCAAUUUGACCUCUAGGGUUUCCAAUAAUCCACAUAAACCUCAUAAUACAUGGAUGAACAUGAGCUAAUCUACUGUAAUAGCCCAUAGACACAACAACUAGAAGGGAUUAACUCAAAACCCUAGCUUAACCAUGAGAACUCACCUUGAGUUCAAGCUUUCUCCAUAACCUCUUGCAUAAGUGCUAACUCUACCCUCCAAGAAGUCUUCUUCUCUACCAAGCCCCCUCUUGGGCAAACACUAGUGAGAAAAGGAGAGGAAGAGAGAGAGAAGUGAGAGAAGCUCUAGAGAGAGAAAGAGAGUACUUUUCUCUUUGUUUCACAAGUGAGGGAAAUGAGUUUAGGGCAUCAAACUCAUAUAAAAUACCUCCCCAACAACAUUUGCACUUAGGCCCCUCACCAAAAUACUGUACCGAACAAACCCACGACUUUGUGGGUACGGGGUCCGGACCCUACAAGGAGGGUCCGGGCCCUAAGAGCAUUUCCAGCACGAAUUGAGCUGAAAAUUUCUCAGCUUACUCUCCAAGGUCCAUACACCCUGUUUAUACACUCCGAAACACACGGAAUGAAUAACAGAACAUUCUAACUAGUCCCACUCUGCACUUCGGCCAAUUUGACUGAAGUUCAGUACAACCUGCAGAAGUUUCGAUAUAUUACAGUAGUAAUAUAAGUGUGAAGAGAGAUGAACUAUAAGUAAGCAUGCAACAACCGCUACUGUAGCUAUAGGCAUCAACCGGACAAAAAGUCCAAAUGUACUCAAUCUGUACCGUCGUGUCGGUUUAAGGACCUUAGGCAAGCCACAACCACUGUCUAGCAUAUAACCCUAACAUGGCCGCUGGGGUCACAGAUUGGCAACCAACCAUUUUUUCGAAAAAGAACACUAUCCUGUGGCGGAUCAGCCUACUUGCGUUCGUGAAAUGCUCGCGAGCUAUGACGAUCAAUGCGAAUAUGAUCAAUAGCCAACCGUUUGCGAAUAGCCGACAAUCACCGUCUCUCUGGGCACACCGACCAAUAGGUUAUCGAAGCUGUAUGGGAACACAAGUACCGACCACUCAGGUCAACUAGGAUAGACAAGUUCAAUAUCCUCUCAAGUAUGCAAGUACUGACCACUCAGGUCAACUGGAAACUGUGAGAUCAAUGACACUAUAAGUACACAUGCGCUGACAACUUAGGUCAACUGGAAUAUAAAUGCAAAUGUCUCUACCGCUCUACUUCUAUGUCAUGGCAAACGGGAGAGUAUACUAAAUAGAGUAAGGGUCGAAGUCAUGUGAUAAAGAGUUCAAAUACUGAACUGACUUCGGAUUGAAACACCCACCUGUGUCGCAGUUGUACCUAGCUCCUGUGGUGUACAAAAUUGUCGACCGGACCUACGACAAGUCCUCCGAGUUAAAAACCAAACCUACUGACUCAAAAGACAUCGUUCACAAAUCCAAAAUCACACGCGGGAUCUAUUUUCCAAAACCAAUUUUCGAACUCGCCGGGAAUCCCGAAAACGCACCGGGAUGCUUGUAGGACCCACGAAACGUCUUGAAACAAACCGAAUCAUGCCGCGAGUCGCCCACUGCCCUGAAACACAUCUAUUUUGAGUGUCUUGGCAGCAAACACAAGAACCAAGUUAAUGCGGUCGUCGUCGGUAGAUCAUUUUGUUCUGGGCUUUAGAAAAUGUCCACUUUGGCACCGAAAGCCUCCACUGCUCACCUGUCACCUCCGAACACAUGAGAUGACCCCCAACAGCAAGCCAACAAAACUGCAUUCUACCGGUGAUUUCGUUGGAAAACGCACUAAAACCCCUCCAUCGCUUAUCCACCGCCUCCGGUCUUCAAAUGUGGCGGUAGCAACCAGCCAACAAGGCUUGGCCGAGUCUCUAGGGCAUUUGAUUUGCUAAUGUGUGAAAAAUGCAACAUAAACCACGUCCGAUCGGCGAAUUUCUGCCGAACAAAGUCGGGAAACCCCAUUUUCACUCCGCAACGGCUCUCGGACCUUUGGCAAUCAGUUAAGACGUCGCUAAUAGUAAUUACACAUUCUCCGAGGCUAUGCAUGGGGUCCCUAUGCAUACAACUUGCAAACAACCCAAUAUAGCAUUAAUUACUAUACAAAUAAUAUAUAAACUAGAGUUUUGAGCUCGUUACCCCGAUCCGUGUCGCAAUGGAUCCAACCAACCAGUCGAUUUGAUUUGUCUCGACGUAAUGAUGCUCGUGCUCGCUAUCUCAAGCGUAAUCAACGGUCGGAAGGCUUUGAAAUAGUGAAAAAAACCCCUCUAAUUGUUUGCUCCCGAAAGUGGCCAGUCCCACAUUCACAUCGAAGCUUCGUUGAUCGCAGCACAGGUCAGCAUAAGACUCCACAUGACUCUAGGAGUGCGGUGAUCACGUCUACGGCGUUUGCCGAAGCCUUCGAUGGCUGAAAAAUGAAGAUCGCCCAAAUCAGCCCCUCGAAAUCCACCUUGGUAGCAUCCAAUAGGGUAGGGCUCGGAUCUGGCAGUCGACGGCAUGGUAGGCAGAGCUCCGACAAAGGGAGGGUCAUCGCGGGGUAGUGGCUGGCAGCCUUGGCCGGUGGUGGAAGGCGGCGGCAGUGCAGCAGCAGCGAUGGGGGCCAACAAAGGGCUGUGGCUAGGGCAUCACGGAUCUCUGCAGUGGUAGGUUGGGACAGCGAGAGGCAGCGCCGGUGGACGCCCUGGGACCUCCGACGUUGCCUUGUGGUGGGGCGGCGUGGCGGCGGCGGCUGCCUGGUAGCUCCCACGGCUGCACAUGCUCUGCAGAGCUCCACUCUGUUGCGGCGGUUCCCUGGUGCGUGGCGGCACCGGGGGCAACUCGGGGAGUGUCGCUGGAGUCCGGGAUGAUGGUGGUGGUGGUCCUGGUGGCCGGCAACACGAUUACAAGGGUGCUUGGGCUCUCCCUCUCACACUACUCAAAGUUGGAGAGAGAGAGAAAGAGGAAGAAGAAAGGUUCUUUUUCGUCUUCUUUGGCGGUCGGCGACAACAACGGCCGUGGUGGCUGACCUCUUAAGUUAACAAGGAGGAGAGGAUUGUUGGGUUCUAGGGUUUUUGGGUUCCAAAAUCCCCAAAUCCCCAUUUUAAACCCAAAUACUACUAUUCAUAGAGGUAAUAGCUCCGAAGUCCCCCAACUCUCGAAAUUCACAUUCCAGUCCCUCUCUAUUAAGUUUCUCUCACCAGAAGGUCCCUGCCAACGAGUUUUCACGCAAAACAGAGCACCGAUCUCUUCUAAAAAGCAAGAAGAACUCGGAAUAAAUGCCCUCCCAGCGACAAAAGCUAUUUUUCUCGAAACUGUCUGUCAAAUAUAAAAUCUGUCAGUGUCAUUGGUUUCGGCACAGUUGGACCAUUGAAAAUAAGCUAUUGGAUCGCCGAGAACGGAUCCCGAUUCGCGUCCGAAGCCCACCUCUUUCCUUGGCCAUCACUGGAAACACGGAUAUUCACUUUAAGUUAAAAGUAAUAAUCACGUAAAAAUUUUAUUUUAAAUUAUUUUUUGCUAAAAUUUGAUGGGUAAUUUUAAAAUUAAAAUACACAUGAUAAUACUUAAAAGGGUUAAUUUCAUACAGGUCCCUGCAAACACAGUGAAUUGCAGAUAUAUUCCUGCAAAGUUCAACUUUCAGAUCUUAUCCCGCAAAAGUCCUAAUGUUUUUAAAUAUGUCCCUCUGGUUAGGAUCCGUUAGAGAAUUGUUAAUUUUUUAAUAGUAGAGUUGUGAAAUGAUAAUUUUGCCCCCGCCCUCUUUCUCUUCCUCUUUAGGCUGCGGUAGCGGAUGGCGGUGGCGGCGGCGGCGACGGUGACCUUGGGGAGCUUGUCGGAGUUGCGGCCAACGAGGACGAGGAAAAGGCGAAAGGUGAAGGGGCGGCCGAUGCCGUUGGAGGCGCCCUUGACGACGGUCCACGCGGGCACCACGUCGGCAACGACGAUCGGAUCAUUAACGACGACCAUGAAGAAGAAUGAGGAGGAGGAGAAAAAGAGGGGGAAAAUGAGGAUACGAAGAAAAAGAGGAAGAAGAAGAAGAAGGAGAGGAAGAAGAAGAGGGAAAGGAAGAGGAAGAGGAAGAGGAAGAAGAAGAAGAAGGGAAAAAUUGUCAAUUCACAUUAUUAAUUAAUCAUGAUUAAGUAUUUUAAUUGUGGUUAACUAGAUUUCUCUAACAGAUCCUAAUGGCAGGGACAUAUCUAAAUACAUUAGGGCUUUCGCAGGGAUAACUUACGAAAGUUGAACUUUGUAGGAAUAUAUUUGCUAUUCACCAUGUUUGCAGGGACCUGUAUGAAAUUAACUCUAUUUCAAAAGAUGUCAAACAUACAUAGAAAAAAAAUCUCAAUUUUCACAUCAUCCCCCUUCCCCUCCUCCCCCCUUAAAAGAAGUUUCGUACUCGAAAUUUGCUUACACCUCUCCUAUAAUAAAUCUCGAUACCGAUCUAACAUCACCGACUCUAACCCCCGAGUCACAUCACACUCCUUUUGAUCCAACCCGCAAUACCGACACAUAAGGAACCGUCCGAUUCCAAAGUUGCCUUUCAUCGCGUGCCAACACUAGCACUGGAGCCUCCUUGAAGCUCAGAUCCUUGCGAGUCUUAAAAGUCGUAGGGUUGAUCACGUGGGAGGAGCCACGAAUGUACUUGUGAGGCAUAGAGACAACGAAAAUAUAGUGCACUCGGGUGAAACUUGAAAGUAGAGCGAUCUGUACGCCAUCGGACCAACAUGCUCUAGGAUUACGAACGGUCCAACAAACCGUGGACUAAGCUCGUUCUGCAAACCAAACCGUUUGAUUCCCUUGGACGACGAUACCUUGAGUAGCACAUGCUCAUCGACCCAAAAAUUUAGGUCACGCCGUCAUUGGUGCGCAUAGUUCCUCUAUCGGUCAACCACCGCUAUUUAGUGAUACGAAAUCUCGCCUCUGCGUCCUCCAACAAGUCUGGCCUACGGUUGUAAUGCAAGUGUGAAGAGAGAUGAACUGUAAGUAAGCAUGCAAGAACCGCUACUGUAGCUAUAGGCGUGAACAUGACGAAAAGUCCAAAUGUACCUAAUCUAUACUGUUGUGUCAGUUUAAGAAGCCCAGGCAAGUGUCAGUUUAAGGACCUCAGGUAAGCUACAACCGCUCUGUCUGGCAUAUAACCCUAGCAAUGGCCGCUGGGCUUACUGGUUGGCAACCAACCACUUCUAAGUUUUGAGGAGCCCUAGGAUCUAUCUAGAUUGUAUCAAACACCUAGAGGGGGGGUGAAUAGGUGUAACGGCCAAAACCACAAAUCUCAAUGCGAUAAAAAUAAAUGCGGAAAAUAAAAAUCACACUGAGAUUUACGUGAAAAAACUCCAACUUGGAGUAAAAAACUCACGGGACCAACACGCGAAAAAUAAUUCACUAAGAGAAAAGAUUACAAGGUGAUUACCGACUCCACGGACUCGACCUCUCUUAACCUCCUAUGAAUCUCGUGCAAUCCUCCGGGUUGUCCACGCCCUCACGUUCGAAUCCACGAACGCCUCGCACAUGUCCGAAUCCACCAACGCCACUCGAAUCCACGAGCCUACGAUCCAAAUCCUCGAACCGCCUUGAUCAUGCCGAAUCCACGAUGCCGUCCAUGAAAAACAUCAUGCUAUGGUGAUCCUUCGCUUAGAGUAUCGAUAAAACCAGAGAAGAAAACUCCAAGCGAAAACUAGAUCAAAUCGACAUAUAGAUAUCAAAUUAUAAUAUCUCGAUUUGACCUAGAAGAGGCUUCUUUGUAGAAAAUAAGUUUUGGAUGAAAAACUAGCCUCUAGGGUUUCUCAAACAUGAAUUCUCGUAAUGCUUCAUGAGUUAGAGAACCCUAAUAACUUAUUUAUAGACUUUAGAAUCAAUUAGAGUUGGAUUAGAAAGUUUUUAAAUUUUUACACUGUAUACCGGUACAAAAAUAAGUUGUUACCGGUUACACGAGGACGGAACAAAAAACUAAUAAAGCCUCUAAACCGGUUACAAGGUCAAUGUUGUACCGGAACAAUUUUGUACCGGUACACUUUCAAUGUUGUACCGGUACAAAGUGCAUUUUCCAGAUUUUGCACUGUUUCGGGUUUCACAAAGUUCCAAAGCACUUUCUAAUCCACUAAACUUUGAUUUUGAUGAUUCUAAUGCCUAUAACUAACUAUGAAUCACCAUAACAUGAAAUAAAACUUACCUGAGCAUCAUGAUUCACAUCGUGAGUUAUUUCUAUAUUCUUCGAAGUCUUGAAUUCUUCGGCCUUCGUCAAUAUGCAUCGAUCCUUCAAGACUCUGACUCAAUUCACGAAACUUGCCAACACACAAGACUUAACACCACUUUUUCAAAAAAAAAAAAAAACCAUCCUGCGGGGGAUCAGCCCGCUGGUGUUUGUGAAAUACUCUCAAGCUAUGGCGAUCAAUGCGAAUCUGAUCAAUAGUCAACCAUCGGUGAAGUCAACCAUCAAUAGUCAAUCACCGCCCCUCGGGGUACACCAACCAAUAGGUCAUCGAAGCUGUACGGGAACACAAGUACGAACCACUCAGGUCAACUAUGUUGGACAAGCUCAACAUCGUCUCAAGUAUGCAAGUACCGACCACUCAGAUCAACUGAAAAGUGUGAGAUCAAUGACACUAUAAGUACAUGGGCACCGACCACUCAGGUCAGCUAGAAUAUAAAUGAAAGUGUCACUACCGCUUUACUUUUAUGUCAUGAAAAAUAAGAGAGUAUACAAAGUAGAGUAAGGGUUGAAGUCAUGUGGUGAAGAGCUCAAAUACUGAAAAUGUAUAUAUAUAAGCAGUAAAAGGUACGGAUGAAAGGAACAUCUCUGUGAGUGCACCAUUGAACUGACUUCGGAUUGGAACAACCACUUGUGUUGCAGUUGUAGGUAGCUUCUGCAGGGUACAAAACCGUCGACCGGACCUACGAUAGGUCCAUCAAGUCAGAAACCAAACUUACUGACUCAAAAGACAUCGUUCACAAACCCAAAAUCACUUGUGGGAUCAUUUCCCAAAAUCGAUUCUCGAACUCGCCGGUGUUAGAUGUAUGCCCUAGAAGCCAACCAGGCCGACACACGUAUUCUUUCUAGGACAUAAAUUUAUAUUUGACUUUAAACUAUUAUGAAUAAAUUUGGAUUCUUAUUUUCAUUCAUAUUGUGUAUGUGUCCAUGAAUCGUCUAAGGAAUUAAUAAGAUGAUGACAUAUAUUCUCAAGAGUUGAGAAUUUGAGACAUGUGUCAUUGGUGGUUAAUUCGUAAAUGUUCCCGAUCAAUGGAUCAUCAUGAGGAUGGUGAUUGAUCCGGUGAGAUUGGUGCAUAGGUCGCUUUCCUUUUUGGGUAGGCGGGUCUCAAAUCGACAAUGUGGGGACACUAAAGCGAAUAUGUAUGUGGUUGUUAUAGAACAAGGGUACCGAGCGUGACCAACGCAAGAAGUCACUUGGAUAUCUACUCAUUCAUCAGUAACUUACUCAAUGUUGCAGUAGUGUGACUGGUUCUUUGAUCUGCGGUGCCUCGGCUAUUCACAAUUAGGUUACUGUAGUUUGACUGUACAUACACUUGGUCCCUAGCCAUUCGGAUCCUUGCGAUGCAUGUUGGUUGCAGUAGGUUCAUUGUAGGAAUAGGAUGCGCACUUAGAUGGAAUCUAUCUACCUUGGUAGAUAGGGGUGUUAGUCUUAUGUGAUUUAUGAGACCGAGUUUAGAAGACCUUGGCCAGGGCAGAGUUAAUAGCGGAAAAGGGUUUCCGAUAUUAGAAACUCGAGUUAAAUAAAUUUAACAUAUGACAAACGAUGGGGUUUGACGAGUUAUUCAAUAACCUCCGUCUAGUCGGGACUCAUGAUAGAAGGAUUGUAUCACACGGCAACUGCACCAAGAGGUUCAGUAUUCUAUUCUACUGGAAUGCCACUACAUGUUGCUAGGCGUCACUGGUGGAUUGUGAGACUCGUGAGAAUUAUCUAGAUGAUCGAUAGUUCUCAUUGGGCUGAGUUGGAAUUGUUCCAAUCCACUGAAAGGAGUUUCAAUGAUAUUGUUGAUAGUGAUCAAAAUAUAUCUUAAUACGAGAUAGAAUAGAACCUAUGGGGUCAUAUACAUAAAAGGUUGUGAUUGAUCAGAAAGCUAGAUCGCGAUUAUUGAAUCGCUGGAGGACCUAAUUGUCAAUAUGUUGAUAAUUGGACUAAUUCGUAAUUAUUACAAAUUAGUGCUAUUAAAGUGUAAACGUUAUAAGAGAGGCCUUACUAAUAGUUAGUAAAUUAUAAGAGGACUUAUAUGCAAAUGUUGUAUUAUUAAAUUGAUAUGAUCAAAUUAAUAUAAAGUUCAAGUCGAAUCAGAUUAAGAUUUGAUCGAUCAAACCAAUUAAGAAAAUGAUAAAUUUAAAUCUAGAUUUGUACUUAUCCUUAAUGGUUAUUAUAUUAUUAAAAAGAGGAUUAUAUUCCUCUAUAUAAUAUACGGGAGUUUUUAGAAAACCCUAGCCGUCAUCUCUCUUCUCCUCUCUCUUUCAUCUUCUAGCAAAAAGACGUCCUUUGCAAGGGAGCUAGCACCCCGAUGAGGACAUCAAUCAAAUCAUCAACCUCGUGUGGACACCUAUAGAGGCCGGACGUGUGUGUGGCUUCAAGAGAACUCAAUUCUACGAUCAUCAAAUUGAGGUGAAUAUCUAUCCGCGCAAAAUGUAAAUAUUCGAUCUUGCUUUUCUCCUUUAAUCUUAAAGAACACGAGAGAUCCUAAUUGCAUGAUUUUUGAGAUUGGAUCUUGAGAGUUUUCAAAAUCAAAUUUGUUUGAUUUCUUUUUCCGCUGCGUUUUUACCAUAUGCAAUUUUCUAAUAGCCAGGAUUUGCAAAAACGCACCUAGAUGCCCGUNAGUUUCAGUGAUAUUGUUGAUAGUGAUCAAAAUAAAUCUCACUACCAGAUAGAAUAGAACCUAUGGGGUCACACACAUAAGAUGUUGUAAUUGAUCGGAUAGCUAGAUCGUGAUUAUUGAAUUGCUGGAAGACCUAAUUGUCAAUAUGUUGAUAAUUGGACUAAUUUGUAAUUGUUACAAAUUAGUGGUAUUAAGGUGUAAAUGUUACAAGAGAUGACUUACUAAUAGUUAGUAAAUUAUAAAAGGACUUAUGUGCAAAUGUUGUAUUAUUAAUUUGAUAUGAUCAAAUUAAGAUAAAGUUCAAGUCGAAUCAAAUUAGGAUUUGAUCGAUCUAACCAAUUAAGGAAAGGAUAAAUUUAAAUCUAGAUUUGUACUUAUCCUUAAUUGUCAUUAUAUUAUUAAAAAGAGGAUUAUAUUCCUCUAUAUAAUAUACGGGAGUUUUUAGAAAACCCUAGCCGUCAUCUCUCUUCUCCUCUCUCUUUCAUCUUCUAGCAAAAAGACGUCCUUUGCAAGGGAGCUAGCACCCCGAUGAGGACAUCAAUCAAAUCAUCAACCUCGUGUGGACACCUAUAGAGGCCGGACGUGUGUGUGGCUUCAAGAGAACUCAAUUCUACGAUCAUCAAAUUGAGGUGAAUAUCUAUCCGCGCAAAAUGUAAAUAUUCGAUCUUGCUUUUCUCCUUUAAUCUUAAAGAACACGAGAGAUCCUAAUUGCAUGAUUUUUGAGAUUGGAUCUUGAGAGUUUUCAAAAUCAAAUUUGUUUGAUUUCUUUUUCCGCUGCGUUUUUACCAUAUGCAAUUUUCUAAUAGCCAGGAUUUGCAAAAACGCACCUAGAUGCCCGUAGGACUCACGAGACAUCACAAAACACAUCGAGUCAUGCUGUGAGUCAUCUGCUGCCCUGAAACACAUCCAUUUGUGUGUCCGGGCAGCAAACACAAGCACCAAGUCAACUCGGUCAUCGCCGGUCGAUCGUUUCGCUCCGAGUUUCCGAAAGUGUCCACUUGGGCACCGGAAGCCUUCGCCGCUCACCUGUCACCUCCGAACACAUGAGGUGACUCUCGGCGGCAAGCCAACGAGGCUAGGUGAUGAUUUCUGGGGUGACCACGCAGCCGAAAACUCAUCGCAACGCGAAACUAUGUUCUAUUGGUGAUUUUACUAGACAACGCACUAAAACCCCUCCGCCACAUAUCCACCACCUCCGAUCAUUGAAGGUGGUGGUAGCGACUUGCCAACAAGGUUUGGCGGGGUCUCUAGGGUAUUCGAAUUGCUAACGUGCAAAAACUACAACUUAAAUCACGUCCGAUCAGCGAAUUUCUACCGAACGACGUCGUUGGACCUCGUUUUCACUCUGUAAUGGCUCCCAGAACUUUGACGAUUAGUCGAGAGGUCGCUAACUGUAAGGAAGUGAAUUCUCAAAAUCCGAGAGUUGUACUUCGUCCAGAAUCGACUAAUAGUCAAGUGAGAAUCCUUAUGGAAAGUUAAAGUUGUCCAAAACACAAAAAGUGCAUUGGAAACGUGUCCGCGAGAGUAAACAGUGCGAAAACCUGCACUUGGCAGAUUUACUCUUUGGGACCGGUCCCUGAUAGGGAGAGACCGGUCUCAUCGGCUGGUGGUUGCAGGGUUGCUGAUGCAACCGGUCCCUGGCAGGGAGGGACCGGUUCCCGAACGCGACACCAGCGAGAAAAGCCAAAAUUUGGCUAAGUCCCGAAAAUCCAGCUCUCGGGAACUGGUCUCUCAGGUAGGAACCGGUCUCCCGAGGACCGGUCUCCCGGGGAGAGACCGGUUCCCGAACGCGAAGAGGCCCUCUGGCCGUGAGGACUACUCUCGGGGACCGGUCUCCCCGACGAGGGACCGGUCCCUCUGGGCGAAAACUGCCUAGUGAGGACUGUGUACAGGAUAAAAAGUUGAGGGGAUAAAAUGGAUUUUGUUACAUUAGAGAGGCAUAUGGGCCCUCUCUCUCCCUCAGCCUCUCAUUUCCCCCUCUCUCUCUCAUUCUCUUGCUCUCUCUCUCUAGAAAAGAAAGAAUAAAGGAGAGAAAGAAGAAGAAAAGAGGAAGAAGAAGAAGGAAAGAAAGGAGAAGAAAAAGAAGGAGAUCAAAGGGAAGGCUUUGGACAUCUCCAUCUCCCUCUCUUCUUCCCUUGGAGCUAACCUAGAGGUAAGCUCUUGAACCCUAACAUGUAGAAUCUAGGGUUUUUGGGUUUUGAGCUUUUGAAAUGGGGUCAAAUUGACCUCUUGCACCAUUGUUGGUGGAUUAGAGCUAGAGGCUAGGGUUCUAAAUUGCAAAUGGCAAGAUGUGAACGCUUGGGCACCCAAAAUGAGAGUUUUGGUAAAGUAUGAGAUUGAUCUCAUUCGAGGCCUUGUAAACCUAAUUGCUAUGUGUUUAAACGCGGGGGCCAAGUUGGAAUUUCGAUUCGUCGAGCGGGAGAAAAGCUAUCGGCAAAAUAAGGCCGAUUGAGCAUUGUUUUGGACCAAGGAAGCAGAGACCUCGUCGUAACGUUCGGCGAGAGGCAUUUCUAGAACCUCUACAACGAGAAAAGGUGGGGGGUGUCAUCCCGAAGCAACCGGACUCUUUUCUAUGUCUUAGAAUAACAUAUAAUUUCAUCUCUUGCAUGUUGCAUUGUAGAAUUGCAUGUUUAACCUUCUCCUUAUACUUUCUAAAUGGUAACCUAGUGUGCAUGGAAUGCUAGGUGAAUAGGAUAGGUGAGGAUUGGGUCGGGACAGUUGAUCCUAUAGUGCUAAAGAAAAGAGGUGAACGUGAUGGUUAUCUAGUGACAAAGAGUGGCAUCUAAAUAUCUAAAGAACAAACGAGUAGCAUUAAUGUAGUGUACUUGACACUAGAGGUUUGAGAACCUAGGGAUAGGUGAAUCCCUUAGAAAAUGCCUUAUGGACAAUAAACUUAGUAAAGCUAAGUAUCCUCACAUGGAUGAGGAUGUAGAUAAGUUCGUUUUAGAUGUUGGCCCUAGUUCAUAGGGUAUCCUCAUUUGGAGAGGAUAGAUCUAGCUCACGGUCUGUUAUUUGGGGUGGUAUAGCCAUCCAUAUACUCACAUGGAGAGGAUUGUUGUCAAGUACUCCGGAGUGUCGGGCGAUAGGGACCACAUGGAGGUCCACAGAUAGUCCCGGGUUUGGGGGCACAUGGAUCUUCCCUACCCAAAUGGGAUGGAAAAGUGAGUUGAGGGCGAACCCAAGGGUCUCGCCAUAGAUUGGGUAAAUGGAAAACAAGUAUUGUCAUUAAACAUUAUUAUUCGAACAUGGAUCGAACUUGUUAGCAUGGUAGUAAACCUUUACUAUAUGAUGCAUGCAUUUAUUACACAUGUUAUGGGCAUAGUAGCAUAUAUUUUCUAUUAUGUCAUUUACAGCUUUGAGAUAUCUAUCUAUCUAUCUACUUGUUGUUACUUGUGCCCACUUCCACCUAGUGGGGAGACCGGCGGAGUCGGCGGCCGAGUCCACUGGAAACUAUGGAAGAUAGUUCUCACCCCACUCCAUUUCCAGUGGUAGGUACAGGUUUACCAAGCGAGGACCGCGGCAAGGGCAUCGUGCCCGACCAGUGAGACCGUGGUAGUAUAGUAGCUUUCCUUUUUGCAUUAGCACACCUAUGUAUUGAGAGAGAUUCAUGUAGGUGAGGUUCGAGAGCUAUGUAUUUUGAUGAACAAAUGUAUUCAUUUUGGGAAAAAGAUGUGCAUGUAAAAAGAUGCAAAACUAUUGUAUUAAUUAGUAAAGUACUUUCUUUAUUUCACUUAUUUUUACUUGUGGAUUACUUGCUCUUGUUGUUGUUGGCACUGUUUGUGCCCCGUUGAAUGUGUAUGUUUAGAAUUUGAAAUCCCUGGGUAAAUUCUUGUACACAUUCUUGUUGUUGAGCCUUGGGCGGACAGGGGAGGUGUUGUCCGUUCGGUGGUCCGCCUGGGGCGCCCGAAUCGUGCUAAAUUGGUAGUGGUUUCGGGGCGGGGCAUGACACUAACAGUGAUUACAUGCUGUUCGAGGCUGUGCGUGGGAUCCCCAUGCAUACAACUUGCAAACAACACAAUAUAGCAUUAAUUAUUAUACAAAUAAUAGAUAAACAUGAGUUUCGAGCUCGUUAUCUCGAUCUGUGUCACAACUGAUCCAACCAACCAGUCAAUGAUUCGUCUCGACAUGAUGAUGCUCGUGCUCGCUGUCCAGAGCACAAUUGACGACCGGAAGGCUUCGAAAUAUUGGAAAAACCCCUCCAAUUAUUUGCUCCCGAAAGUGGCCAAGUCCCACACACUCACUGGAGCUUCGUUGAUCACAACGACGGUGAGCACGAGACUCCACAUGACUCCAAGAGUGCGGUGCUCAUGUAUCGGGCACUUGCCGAAGCCUCAAGUGAUCGAAAAACGAAGAUCGCCCAAAUCAGCUGCCACGCUCUGCAACCGCCAGUUUGGUCGGUUCGGGUACGCUUAACAGAUGCCGAACAGACAGAAUCUCCCCUGUACGUCCAAAGCUCAACAAACAUCAAUCAUGUAUAUCUAGUUGCCUAGGUAAACAUAGUCAACAGACAUGAAUCAUGCAAGUAUAAUACAAGCAAGAGCAAGAGAGAAAACUAGCUAUUACAUUCACUUUGCAUUUAACCACCAAAAUGCAUACAUUUGGUUUACAACUUUCAUCUCAUGACACAUAUACAUCCACAAGUAACCUCUCCUAAAAUACAUCAAAUCUCUCAUAUACACAUGGUAUUCUAAUGCAAAGGAGGCUACUAACUAGGGCGCUAUGCCCUUACCGCGAUCCUCCGCCAGUCCGCUCGUGCUAGGCCCUGCAACAAAGUGGGAUGAAAACUAACAAAAGUUUCCAGUGGGUUCGACCGCCGACUCCGCCGAUUUUUCUACUAGGUCUAAGCAGACAUAAGUAGAGAUAUAAACAGGGUAAUGAAAUCUGCUAACAUAGUAAUGAAAUCUACCAUCAUGCUAGUAUGCCUCAACAACAUGAUAUGAAUGAAGUAUAUACUAUGCUCAUGAUGCAUGCCAUUCAUAUACUUGUCACCCAAUCAUUUUGGUUAACCCUAAAGUUAAGCCUCAACUCACAACCAAAUCCCAUAGGUGAGGAGACUCUGCGCUACGCUCACCCGAGACCGUCUGCUGGGUAGGUACGUUAACCCAUCGUGUGACAACUCCGGAGCUCACUGCUUGGGUGGAGCAACCACCGCCAAUCUAGGACAGACUAAGUGAGUAUGAUUCAAUCCUCUCAAAUCAAGGAUACGCUACCAACUAGGGAUAACAAUACACUUGGGAAUCCACCUAUCCCAAUAGUCAUGUCAUAAGUGUCACUACUACACUAGUUUCACAUGCCACUCUUUUAUGUCAUUACAUUAUUCAAGUUCAUCACUUGUUCUUGGCAUUAUAGGAUUCCAUAUCAAAACCCAAUCCUCAUGCAUCCACUAGAUCAUGUGUUCAACUCACAAUUCUAUUUUUACCAUGGAAGCAUGCAAGGAAUUGAAAUACAUUUAGCCACAUAUCCUAUAAUGCAUGAUAUCAACAUAUGAACAUAUAUGCUCAACAAUAAUAACUUAGACAUAUAAGGAAAUCCGAUUGCUUCGCAUAGCAUCCCCCAUCUCUUGGUGAUGCCGUGAUGCGAGAAUUCAAGCCUUGCGAUUUAUAGACGACGAUUCGGCUCGACCCAACGCAAACGAACCGAAAAGUGUACUUUUCUUCAACGACUUGCCGCACGUCCGUAGGAACUUCCAUUCGAGUUGCCCACCAUGUCGGUUUUACAUUCAAUUAGGUUUAUAUAGGCUAAAUUUAGAUCAAACCCUAUUAUGAUCAAAAGCCCUCAUAUGAAACCCUGAAAACCGAUUAUUGCAAGAAUAUACACUACACCUUAUGAUUCAUGCAAUAAUCUAGUGUAGCAACACCUAGGGUUCCCAUUCAACUCAUUUAUAAGGGAUUAUAUCAAAACCCUAACUACAUACCACUAAAUCACAUGAAGCUUACCUCCAACACAAGCUUCUCCUCAAGGCAAGGAGGAAGAAGAUGAUGGCUUGACCUCCAAGCAACUCCUCUCCCAGCUAUCUCCACUACUUGGAGCAAACCCUAGGAGAGAGAGAGAGAAGCUUAGAGAGAGAGAGAGAGAGAAGUUUUCUCUUUGGUUGAGAGUUGUGAGGGAAAUGAGAGAAAUGGGUUGAGAACCCAUCCUUAUACACUCUCAUUGCAUAAUUACACCUAGCUCCUCACACAAUUCAAGUUUGGGACAACCCAUCGUUUUCUCGCGUACAGGGUCUGGACCCUACAACCAGGGUUCGGACCCUGAGAGCACUUCCAGCGUGAAAAAUUCUGAAAUUUCUCCAACUUGCUCUCCAUGGUCCUCUACACCCUUAUAAGCCAUUCCCAUCAUUUGGAAUGCUCAACGGACCCUUCCGAAGCAUCCAAUACCACACUUUGGUCAAUUUCGACCGAAGUUUGGUUUUACCACUACAAGAAAAAGAUUCUUUAGUGGCAUAUUUUAUUGUUGCUAAAAGCCCAAAAUAUGCCACUACAAUAUUUAGCAACAUAUAAUGCUUUGUGUUGCCUAUGUUCAUAUUGGUGAUUCUUUUAGCAACAUUUGUUUGAAAUGUUGGUGAUAUGGAUGAAUUAGCAAUAUUACCCAAUUGUUGGUGUAAAAUUAUAUAUAGAGACAUUUGCUAAAUGCCACUAAAUGCUAUAGGUUAAAAAGUCAAUUGUAUUCACCAAAUGCCACUAAAAGAUGGUAUCGUUUAGAAAAUUAUAUACUAAUUGAUGUUAACUAAUCAUCAUAUAUACUAUUUUCUAGUUAUACAAUUUAUAUUUAGAUAAUUUUUAUUAUAAUACUAUAUUUCUUUCUCACAACAAAAGUUCACCAUCCAUAUUAAGAUAACACAUAAUUUUAAAUAAAUUAAGAAGUAAUCAAUCUUCUAAUAAACAAAACAAAAGUAAGAUUUUUUUAAUACAUUCAAUAUCCACAAGGUACCCAAAAUACAAAUUCUUAGAUCCGUAAGCUAUAAUUUACAAAUUAACUACCCUAUUCUAGAUGCAAAAGUGACGAGAAUACAUAACAAAUUUAAAUAUGAUUGUAAAAAAUGAAAAAUUAAGACACUCUGCUCCUCUUUGAUUCCAAGAAUUUUCGAACCAUACAUUGUCAAACUGCUACACCUCCCUUUAGUGCAAAAAUUUUAUUUACGCUAAUCCUGCAAAAAAAGGAAAAAAAAAAGGAAAAAAAUAACAUAUCAUUCACUAUAGUUAAUAAAUAGCAAUAAAAUGCUAAAAAGGAGAAUUUUGCUAUUUUCACCCUUACAAAAACACACCCUACCCAAACGUUCUUCAACACAUAGGAAUCCAAUGGUUCACUAAUUUUUCUACAAUUUUGGAAGUAGUUUGAUGUGCAUAAUUGGCAAAUUAACUAAUAUGUCUCUGCACAAGAGCAAAAAUUUUCAUGGCUAGAUCUUUAAUAGAGAAUGUGAAACUUUUUUAUAUGCAUAACUCUUUAAACACCUCAACUAAUAUGUGCGAGUAUGACAAAUUAGCACAAAAUAUGAGUUCUUGCUGCUAAUUUUUCAUAUCAUUUUCUACUUUAUAAACUACUGUCUAUGAACACUUUUCCAGAUAUUUGAUCAAUAAGUUUUUUGGUAAUUAAAGUUUCUUUACUACUUACACAACUAACAGCCAUGGGAUCUAAAAAAUAAAAAUAUAGCUACUAUUAGGCAUUUCAUCAAACACCUACUAGACAACUUUCACAUACCAACCUUUACAUAGCAUAGCUAUCAUGUAUUGUACAGUGUGGCAUUUUCAUCAGACAUAUUAGGUAAAGUUGUUUUACUUGCAGAGGUUGUCGGCGAUGAGGGGCUUGUCGUCGUCGUUGGUGCCACAUCUAGCAGGAGUGGGUGGCGUUCACCACUUCUAAGCUGCCAUUGCCGAAACUUACCUUCCUGAACUCCGAGAUUAGUGGGGACGACUCCUUGAAGUCCCCCGCAAAAACCCAUGGGUUCGCACCUGAUUGAGUUAGCGAACUCAAAAUAGAGCCACUCGUAUUAGGGGAAGUAGGGGACAGAGUCAAUGUAGGAGCCGAGCUUGCGAACAUAGAUGGAUCUAGCAGCGAGGUCGAAGGAGUAGUGAGACAACAAUACAAGGAGUAGGGAGGGAAUCAAGAAUUUUGGAGGAGAGAUGAUGAAAUAGGGAAAAGAGAGGAGCAGGGUUGUUUCAAAAUUGAAUGGGAAAAUGAAACAUGGGCGGGAAAAGGAUAAAUAUAAGAGUAUUGGGAUAAUUUCAAUAUUAAGUGACAUUAAAUAUAUAUGCCACUAAUAAGAUAUUAUUAGCAACAUUUGUUAAAAAAUGCUGAUAACUAAAGCAACAUAUAAAUAUAUAUGCCACUAAUGCGGCAAUUUUAUCGAUAUAAGUAUUAAAGUGCUGAUAAAUUAUUCUCUUUAGCAACAAUCAACUAAAAAUGUUGCUAAAUAGUAGUUAUAGCAUUAUUUGGUUAAUUGUUGCUAGUUUUAUGUUGCUAAUUUUCAAACUUGUUGUAGUGUACGCGUCGAGAAUUCAUUACCUUACAUUCUCCCUUCCUAAAAGGAGUUUCGUUCUCAAAACUAACUCAACUCUAAUUUAAACUCAUACCUCCACUUAAAUCUUCGAAAAGAUGAGGAUGAUGUUCCUUCAUCGCGUCCUCAAGUUCCCAAGUGGCUUCACGAUCAUCAUGAUUGCUCCGCUGAACUUUGACAUACGGAGUCUCACGGUUCCGCAACUUCCGCACUUCCCAAGCGAUGAUAGAUACCGGAAACUCCUCAUAUGUCAUAUCCUCUUGAAGUUCCGGUGGUUCAUACAAGAGAGUAUGCUCGGGGUCGUGAACAUACUUGCGGAGAUUAGACACGUGAAACACAUUGUGAACUCCCGCAAGCUUAGCCGGUAUGCUACCGCACCAAUUCGUUCUAACACUUCAUACGGUCCGAUAUAUCGGGGACUCAGCUUUUUCCGAACACCAAACCGCUUCACACCCCUCAUGGGUGACAUCUUCAAAAAGACGCGGUCUCCUACCGCGAAUUCAAGAUCCCGUCGGCGCCUAUUCGCAUAACUCUUCUGUCUAGAUUGCGUCGUCAACAACCUUUGGCGAGCAAGGCGGACUUUCUCCUCUGCCUCCCAUAAAACAUUGGGACCAAAAACCAUUCGUUCGCCAACAUCACUCCAAUGUAUAGGAGAUCAGCACUUCCUCCUGUAGAGAGCCUCAAACAGUUCCAUCUCUAUACUCGCUUGGUAGCUAUUGUUGUAGGCGAACUCGACCAUCAGCAAGUGCUCAUGCCAACCACCAUUAUAAUCGAUUACACACGCUCGUAGCAUAUCCUCCAAAACUUGAAUCGUUCUCUCCGAUUGAUCGUCGCUUUGAGGAUGAAACGCGGUGCUAAAAUUGAGCCGUGUGCCAAGCGCUUCUUGUAGACUCUUCUAAAAGUGUGAUGUAAACCGGGGGUCCCGAUCCGACACAAUCAAUGUUGGUACCCCAUGUAGCCUCACCACCUCAUCGAGGUAAAUCUGCACUAACUUAUCACCUGACCAAGUGUUGUGGAUAGGUAGAAAAUGUGCCGACUUCGACAAGCGAUCCACCACCAUCCAAAUAGCAUCGUGGCCACCCGACGAAUGGGAUAAACCCACCACGAAAUCCAUCACUAUAUCCUCCCAUUUACAAACGAUAAUAGGCAGACUCUGAAGUUUCCCCGUUGGAAAUCGGUGCUCCACCUUGACUUGUUGACACACAACACAUUGCGCCACAUAGUGCCCGAUAUCUCUCUUCAUCCCCAACCACCAAUAGUGCAUCUUUAAGUCUUUAUACAUUUUGGUGUCGUCCGGAUGGACACUAUAGGGAGACCAAUGAGCUUCUUGCAAAAUCAACUUUCGGAUUUCUUCAUCAUUCAGCACACACUAUCGGUUCCGAUACAGGAGCGCGCCAUUGAUGCCUAUAUCGAAAUCACCACUGCGCCCACUCUCGAUGUCGCGUCAUACCUUUUGGAGACUCGGGUCUGCAGAUUGCAAACACUUAAUCCUAUCCAACAAGGUCGGUUGGACAACGAGAGCCGUAAGCAUAGCCGGAACCUCCUGAGCUACGAUCUCAAGAUCAAACCGCCACAUCUCUCUCCAUAACGGCUUUUGAUUCGUGACCAACAUUGCAAGAUUUUCUACUGAUUUCCUACUAAGCGCAUCAGCCACUACGUUGGCUUUCCCUGGGUGGUAGAGAAUAGUAAUAUCAUAAUCCUUUAACAACUCUAACCAUUGGCGUUGCCUCAUAUUUAGUUCCUUCUGAGUGAACAAGUAUUUCAGGCUUUUGAGGUCCGCAUAUACCUCGCAACGCGCACCAUGUAAGUAGUGUCUCUAUAACUUCAGAGCGAAGAUUACUGCAACUAACUCUAGGUCAUGGAUGGGAUAGUUCUUCUCAUAGCUUUUCAACUGGCGGGAUGCAUAAGCAAUAACCUUCCUGCACUGCAUCAGAACACACCCAAGACCUUGGUAGGAUGCGUCGCUAAACACCACAAAGUCCUCUCCUUGAACUGGCAGGGCGAGCACCGGAGUCAAGGUCAAUCUUUCCUUCAACUCUUUAAAACUCCGGUUGCACUCGUCACUCCAUAUGAACUUAGUGCUCUUCUGUGUAAGACGGGUAAGUGGGAUAACAAUCUUCGAGAAACCCUCCACAAACCGUCUGUAAUAUCCCGCUAAGCCAAUAAAGCUGCGGACCUCCAUUACUUUCGUCGGACGAGGCCAAUCCUUGGUCGCCUCAACCUUCCUCGGGUCAAUAGAUACUCCACCCUCGAAAAUCACAUGUUCCAAGAAAGCAACUUCACGGAGCCAAAAUUCGCACUUCUUUAACUUAGCAUAAAGCUUCUCCUCCCGAAGGACUUGUAGCACAAUCCUUAAAUGCUUCGCGUGCUCUUCGUUGCUACAAGAGUAGACCAACAUUGUCUAUGAACACUACGACAAAUCGAUCCAAGAAAGCCUUGAAGACACGGUUCAUCAAAUCCAUGAAUGCUGCCGGGGCAUUUGUGAGCCCAAACGGCAUGACCGUGAAUUCGUAGUGCCCAUACCGCGUUUGAAAUGCGGUCUUAUGCACAUCCUCCGACUUUAUCUUCAACUCAUGAUAGCCAGACUGAAGAUCUAUCUUUGAAUACACCUGAGACCUGUAACGACCCAGCCACUAGCAAUAAUAACUUGUUGGGCCCAACCACUGGCCCAGAAUGCUUAAUCCCAGUUAUUAUUACUAGUGUCUAAGUCUCUUAUAUACCCAAUCACAUCCCCAUUCCUAUCCGAAGUGGAAUUAUUGGAGUGUGACAGAAACUCCCCCUGUUAAGGCCCUGACAUCCUCGUCAGUCCAAUCACACACACAGCCCAAGAUCAGAAGUACUUGGAUCCUCUAGGAAUCAUAUUCUGUGAUUUUUGAAAAUUAUUAUGUAGUUUAUCAACUGGCCAUGAAAUAAAUAGUGACAAACAAACAAUUUUGUAAAAAGAAAGCUUAUACCUUGUUUGGUAUCAUUGUCAUUUUCUUAUUCUUUUUAACAAUAAUUUUAUAUAAUUUGAUGUGUUGGAAAAAAGACCUUUUUUUUUAUUGUUAUAAUUGGUUAGUUUACAAUGCAUCUGGCUAAGUGAAAAGUAAUAAUUUAUUUAAAAAAAAUUGAAGAAAAAAAAAAGUUGCUUCGAAGUUUUUAUUUUUUGCUAUCAAAUAAAAAUCUUGGAUGAAAGGAUUGCAUGCAAGCAAUUUAUUGUCCGCUCCGUACAUUUUUGGAUAUGCAAAAGUUUAUUUAAAAAAACAAGAAAUAAAUAUGAUAAUAAACGAUGCCUUACCAUUUCUUAAUUCAAGAUUGUUAUUGCCGGAUAUAAUCUAAAAGGCAACAAAAUUUCAAUUAAUUUAUUAUUUAGCAUUGUGGAAUGAGCAAAUGACUUCCGUAGUUCAUAAAAAAUUGUGUGUUAAAACAUUUCGGUUUCUAUAUGUGUAAAUAAUUUUUGUAAACUACGAAAUUCUAGGAACUUCAAACACUAGUCUUUGUUCAAGAUUGUCCACCCUCUUUUACAGGGAAUGAUUUUGCAUAAGAAUUAGCUAGCUCCUUCUCAGCGGAUAUAAUUAACAAGAAGGUAAAAUGUAUAAAACUACUUUAGAAAUGACUAUAUCAAACCUUCAACAUUUUGAUUUUACUAAACCUCUCAAACUAGCUUUUUUUUUUUUUUUUUUUGAGAGAGAUAGGUAGCACGCUACCCGCUUCGUUUAUUUCAUUUAGAAAUAAACUUAGCUGAAAAUGUGAUUCGAACUCGGGUCUCGGGUACCAACCACCAAGCCCUUUGUCACUUGUUCUAGGGACGGUUGGUACCUUUCAAAUUAGUUUGAUUUGAGUCAUCUGAUAGUUCUGCAAAGUUAUUGUAUACGUAGGUACCUCCUCUCUCUCUCUCUCUCUCUCUCUCUCUCUCUCUCUCUCUCUACAUUUGUGAACCAUACAUUUAUCCGCUUUCCAUUUUAUUUAAUAAUUCAGUCUCUAUUGCUCAUUGGGUCUUGGUUUUACCUCUUUUAGAACUGUACUAUGGUUCAAUUCAAAAUAGAACAUGGAUUAAAAAUGGAUGAAGACAUGAUAUAGAUAUACAAAUGCAUAAACACAUUGAGUGCAAUUAAGUAAUAGUUUCUCAGGCCGGGCAUAUAGAUAAACUAAGGGUGCGUUUGGUUCGCGCUAUCUUUUAAAGAUUCCUAUUAAUCCAAUAGGAAUAAAAAAAUAUGACGGUGUUUGGCUAAACGCACUAAGUAAUCUAGUCGGUAAUAUUGGAUUCACUUGGGAAUAAGAUUCACCCCAAAGUACUAAUCUCAUUUCCUUGAGGGAGGAUGGGUAUCCUCACAUUAAUGGAUUGGGAUAAUCAUAAUGUAUCUAAUAUCUUUCUUUCUUCCUACCCGCCGGCUAAUUGAUAUUAUUUUUCUUUACACUAUAACCUUAUAUCUCUCUCUAAACUUAUUUUUCUCUCUAAAAUUCAACUUUUUUUUUCUCUCUCUAAACUAAGCUCUCUCUCUCUCUCUCUUUCUAAAAUUUCAACUCUCUCACUCCCUCUAAUUUUGACUAUAUUUUUCUUUCUAUUUUUUUAAUUAUGCUCUCUCUCUAACUUAUACUCUCUCUCUCCCUUUUUUCUAAAAAGAGGUUGAAACUUUUGGUAACAUUAUCUAAAAUUAAUUAAAUAAAUAAAUUGUAUAUUUUUUGUAAUAUUAAAUAACAUGGCUAAUUAUAUUACCGUGCGAACCAAACACAGGAAUUCCACAUUCUUAGUAAUAGGAUGAAUAGGAAUAAGAUUCUCGGAUAUCUUUUAUUCCUAGUAAUCUUUCAUAAUGCGAACCAAACGCACCCUAAAAGUGAAGAUAGUGAAAAAAAAGUCAUUAAGGGUCAAUUUGAGUUUAAGGUAUAUUUUUUUAAAUGCUUGCAAAUUGGGGGUCAGAAUUAUGAAAUCCUAUAUUUAUUUUAUGAUCGAAUACUGACUUAGCAUGUAGAAAUUAAAAAAUUUCAUGAAAAAUUAUAAUCCCUUAAAUGUGGGAUAUUUGAAACCAACCUUCUCCCUUGGCAAUUUGUUCUGAAAGAAAAGUGAUUUAAAAAUACUAAAAUUCCUUUUAGCAAAUUUUAUAUCGUAUUUCAAAAUUUUAAAUUGAGUACAAAGACAAAUAAAGUUAUUAAUCCCCUAAAUUUAAGAAUUUUAAAUAGAUUUCAUAUAUGUCAAUAGUUAUGAUUUUUAUAUAGUUAAUUUAGAGGAAAAUAACAUAUAAAAUUAGUCCUUACAAAAAAAGUAUUGUGGUAAUUUACUGAUAUAGUUGGGUAAUUUUUGUGAACCUAAUAUAUUAACAAUAUAUUCCUGAGUAUUCUAAGAUAUUUACCAAAUAAAAAUAUUUCAUAAAACAAAAAUUCAAUUAUAAGAAUAAUUUUUUUUGAAAAGUUAAUUGCGAAUGAAAAUUUUAAAUUACGUGAACCAAACAAGUAAAAUUAAUAGUUGUUUUCAAAUCAACCAAAGUUCAAUGAAGCUCCAAAUACAUUUACCUACUAAAUAUAUCAUAAUUAUAUUUUUGUAAGUUGCAUUCACUAUGGGCCUGUUUGUCUCUCUCUCUUUUUUUUUCUUAAAUUUUUUUUUAUAGGGUUCUCCAGAUAAAUUUAAUAAGAGCUUCUUAUAAAGGAUAUCAUAUGGAAGGGGCUUGGUGUUGUUCAUUAUAAUUUCUUUUUAAUCUCAACCAUCAAACAAUUAAAAAUAGUAGUUGAAUGAAAGGAGUCCAACUUUUUACAAUAUCUUCUACAAGGAAAUCCUCUUGACAUUUUUGUUUCGUUUCUCUCCUCCGUAUAGUUUAGCACUUUGUCCUUGUAGGGAUAGCCGCAACGAAAAAUGUACACUUUUUACAAUUUCUUCCACACAAUUUCUGUUGGUUUUAAUAGUUGUUGAUUGGUUAAUUUUGGUUGACGUACGCGGGGAAAUUACAAGGAUAUAGCGACGGGUAAACCGCGUACUAGCACUAUCGACAGGGAAAUAUAUACGAAUCCCAUUAUAUUCCCCCUCUUCUAUUUUUUCCUUUCAUUCUUUCAUUUGAUAUCUCUCUCUCCUCCCUCCGUCCAAAUCAGUAAAAUGGCAUAGAAUAGAAUGGGAGAAAUUACUUGUGAUCACGUCUUCACCGUUCUCCUUAACUCUAACCAAAAACGCCACCAGUCAACGUGUCUUUCUAUCUCAAUCUACUUAAUAAGAAACUAACAAGGCAAUUCAUUUGCACUAGAUAGCUGUCCCUAAUAAUAGGCCUCUUCGCCACCAUUGCGUAACUACUAACUAAUAAUAACAAUAAUAACAAUGCUCACACCAAUAUAUGAUAAUAUUCCUCCGUCCUUCUCUCCCUCCCUCACAAUUCUACCCACCUCCCAACUAAAGCUUGACCUUCCCUCUCCCGGCCCCAUUCUUCUUCAGCAUUAAUGGCUUCCUCCUCUUUACAUCUCCUACUCCCCCUCUCCCUCUGAUACCUUCCCCUCCUCUUCGGACAGGACUAGGAUGGCCCACCGUUGCCCUCGCCGUAAUGGGGGCCGCCUGUCCUCGUCCUCGUUAUCCAUCCCAUUUUACUCUUUACUUGUCCUUCUCGCGGGCACCGUUAGUCGUGAAGUGCUCGCCACCAACAGCAUUCGUGUGGACAUCAUCCGUCAGCCUUCCCUCUCCUUCCCGGCCUUUCGUGAGGCCCCUGCCUUCCGCAACGGCGAAGAAUGCUCCUUGUCGUCCCGUGUGGACAUUGCUAUGACCCUCGAUGCCAACUACCUCCGCGGCACCAUGGCUGCCGUCCUCUCCAUCCUCCAGCACACCUCCUGUCCGGAGAGUGUGACCUUUCACUUCCUUGUCUCCUCUCCGUCGUCUUCCAAUCUCCUCGCAUCCAUUCGCACCACCUUUCCCUACCUUGACCUUCGUGUCUAUCGAUUUGACCCUUCCUGUGUUCGUGGCCGUAUCUCUCGCUCCAUCCGCCACGCUCUCGACCAGCCGCUCAACUAUGCUCGUAUCUACCUCGCGGACGUCCUCCCGGCCGACGUCACCCGCACCAUCUACCUCGAUUCCGACAUUAUUGUUGUCGACGACAUUCGCCACCUUUGGCAGGUCGAUCUUGAGGGCCGAGUUAUCGCUGCUCCUGAAUACUGCCAUGCCAACUUCACCAAGUACUUCACGGAUGCGUUCUGGUCGGACCCAACACUUGCUACCACAUUCGAGGGGCAACGACCGUGCUAUUUCAACACAGGAGUGAUGGUGAUUGAUGUGGUGAUGUGGAGGAAGCGAGGGUACACGAGGAUGGUGGAGGACUGGAUGGGGGUGCAGAAGCAAAAGAGGAUAUACCACCUUGGCUCGCUGCCGCCCUUCUUGUUGGUGCUUGCCGGCAACAUAAAGGCGGUGGACCACCGUUGGAACCAACAUGGCUUAGGUGGGGAUAAUAUCGAGGGGAAGUGCAGGAGUCUCCACCCAGGGCCCAUUAGCCUCCUCCACUGGAGUGGGAAGGGAAAGCCUUGGUUGAGGCUCGACUCGAGGAAACCUUGUUCCGUUGAUCAUCUCUGGGCUCCCUAUGAUCUUUAUAGGUCUUCAUCACCUACGUUAGAAGAAUGAGUACUUACUUAUAACUAACUCAUUUUAUCAAGAAAGAGAGAGGAAGCCCUAGGGAUAGUGAAAUUAAUAGUCAUAGGGAGAUUAACAAUUUGAUCACUACAGUAAAAUGAGAAAGAAAUGAAGCACAAAAGUUUCAUUGUCAAAUCUUAGAAAAAUGAAAAAGAGAACAAUCGAAAGUCGAGAUUAAGACGGGGGCGACCUAAAAGGAAAAAUAAGUAGAGAUAUUGGAAGGCAAAAAAGAAACUAAAAAAAGAGGGAAAAAUAUUAGAAAAAUAAAGAAAGAAAAGUUAGUUAGAGGAGAGAAGGAACUCAUUUGAUUUUACAAAGUCGGAAAAUCAAGACUUGCGAUAGUAAACAAGCUAGCGAAAAUGGAAAGAUUGUACAAAGAAAAGAAGAGGAGGUAUCAGAGGGUGUGGAGAAUAAAAUGAAGAAGGGGCUAUGAUGUUCAUAAAACUUAAAGCCAAUUUUUUAAAUAGUGACUAAUCAUUGGAAUCCAUAAAGGAAGAGAUGCAUGGGGAUGUCUUGGUAGGACAUGAAGAUGAGAGAGGGAAUAUAUUGAUUCCUCUAUUCUUUGUUUUUCAUUCUUCUAAUAAUUAAAUUUUUUUUUUUUCCCUUUCAUUCAUUAUGUAGGCUUGGAUGUUGAUGCUUUGAACUUUCAUUCAUUAUUUAGGCUUGGAUGUUGAUGCUUUUGUAUCGUAAAGGCACCAACAGAAAAAGAAGAAAAACCAAUAUUAGUCAGGAUUCAGAUCAAUGUAAUGUUGAUACUCAAGUGCAAAGAAUUGGUGGAUUAUGAUCAUGAGCUAUUGUUUGUUUAAACUUUUAACAAGGUGCAAAAGAAAUUUAUGAAGUUUUUAGUUUCCAUUUGUAGUGGGGCAUUUAUUUAUGUACCCUUGCAAGUCUAUCAAGUCACGUGAAUACUCCCGUAACAAAAAUCUUUGAUAUUCCCAUUUACAAUACAAUUUAUUACAAAAAAAUUGUAAGUAUUAAUUUCUAAAAACAAUGAUUUAAAACUUCUAUUUAGCCCUUGGACCUCCUGGGCAGCCUAAAACUCUAUGGGCCUUUCUUGGGUGCCCGUGUUUUGAUUUUCAUAUAUGAGGUUUAGUUCCAUAUUGAAAAUUAAAGACAUGUUGCUACUCUUUAUAUACUCUCUCACUCUCAACUUAGUUGCUUUGGAGAAUAUGAGAAAAAACCUCUCAACUUAACACACGCACGGCACAAGCAUGGGUCGGGUCGAGCAGCGGCACAUGCUGUCUUGGACUCGGUUCACUUAGUCAUUGUAUUUUAUUUUUAUUUUUUAGGAUUUUUAUUUUGGAGCUCAAUGAUUAUCUUACCUUGGUAAGGGCCUUAUCUGGAUUUUGUCCAGAUCCGGUCCAACCUCGCUAAGGGCCAACGGCUUAUCCGAGAUUGAGCCGUUGGACCCUUACUAUUGGACCCUUAUCGUUGGACCUUACCUAUAUACAGAGGAUAUGGUGCACUUGAGGUGCACCAGAAGCAUCAACCCAGAUCUUCAUCUUCCUCCUCUCUUACACUGAGCAUUCUAUCUCUUUACAUCUUGCUAUUUUGCUGGAUCCUUGAAAGCUACUUCGGUUUGUGUUGCGCCACCCUGAAGACGUGCCGAUAGGGUGGACGGUGAUUCUUGUAUCGCUAGGAGUGAUUUGCCGGAGCUUUGCACGUGGAGGGAUAAUCUCGCUUUUAGGACAGUGCUUUUUCACGGCUUGACUCACGUGCCUCAUCUAUUCUCUUCUUCAUAAUAUUUACUUAUUGAUUCUUGUUUGCGGUUUUCAAAACUGAAGUUAAAUUAUUUUCGUUCAAAAUUAUUUAAAAGGAAAUUUUACUAACAAUUUAGAAAGAUUUUUUCAACAAAAAAUUCUCAUAUUAAAUAGUUAGGGCAGCCAUGAAGUUCAAUUAGUGCUUUGGUUUUGAACUAAAAAAGAAGCUACAUGCGAAAGGAUAUUUUUAUAUCAAACCUUUUGGUGCACUACAGUUAGAGGAGGCGAAAGUAGGUUGUCAAAAGGCAAAAAACAGGCCAAUCCGAGCCUAUAGCCAUGUUAAUUUAAGAUGACUUGAUUUAAAGCUGUAAUUUUGUUUUCCGGUGUUGAGUUCAAUUUUUUAUUUAAUUUGGGCCAAAUUUUGCGCAUUUCAUAUUUAGUUUGGAUUUAAUUAACUCUAACUUAAGUUCGGUCUAAUCUAAUAUAAUAUAUAAAACCAAAAAAUUUAGAGUCCGUACGUAGCGGUAUCGCCCGUCUAAAAACAUGUAAAUUUUGCCAAAAUAACGAUAAAGACAAUUUUUUGUUGAUUCCAUGUUGUGAAAUUAUGCUCUUUUCAAUUUAGUUUUCUUAGCAUCCCUUCACGAAAGGAUAUAUAAAUUAUUUAAAAAUUACAUAGUUAUAAUGUCACUCUCCGGACUUCAGCAAAACCCUCCGUCGACAUGUACUGCCUUGAUUCGCCGCAUGUACAGGCCUUUUCUAUACGCACGAAACGAUAAUCAACAAAUACUACAUUUGACUCAUAUACAAUGCGCAUAUAAGGAAAACAUCUGUAAAGGAGUAUUAUCAAACAAUAAAGCAUAAUUAUUCUAUUACAUUUCCAACCCCAAAAUAAAGUUCAACAACUAGUCCAAAGGAGAACAUUCCAAAAAUAUUACAUCUAUGUUUGCAGGGUCCCAAUUCUAAUUUGUAUUAAAAUGAGCAGGGAGCUAUCGACUAGCGAUGCCCUUGCCUGGGUAUCCCACAGGAGAAGAAGACUCCGAAAAAAACAACGACACGGGCAUGAGAACUAUAAAAAAUUAUUUUCAGUGGAUAUAGUCGCUGAGAGGGGCGUUUUACGCCACUAGGUUUAAUGUUGGGAUGCCGUGUCAAGUAGGAUUUUUUACCAUAAAUCCAUCUCAUCAGAAAAAACUAGCACAACCAUAAAAAAAAGAAAAAAUAAAGAUGAACAUACAGGUGAAAUAAGAUUCACUAACCAAGAAAAGAAUUACAUAUGACUCAUUAUAGAUAUUUCUUACUUACAUGCAUUUCUAUUGUAGUAAUAGUUGUUGUUUAUUAUUACUUGCUAUUAAUACAUUCCUUGGACCGAGUGACCGUAUAACGUGACUUUCAGUGGUUGCAGCCAUUGAAAAUUUAUUUAAAGUUCUCACCCUUUUGUUGUUUUUUUUUUUUUCAGAUUCUAUUAACGCCGGUGAGGAGAAGACCACGGCAAGGGUGUCUCGGAAUAGUUAGAUUGAGUAAGAGAUUUAGAGUGUACCCUUGUAUGAACAUGAAAAGACUUGUAUUAUUUUGGAAAGAUAUUAAAUAUUGUCAACUUGAAGAAUAUGGUUGUAGUAGCUUUAAAAAUUUAGAAGUAAUCGCCUUGAUGCUUUUUGUACCCUUAUCAUAUAUGGCAUUGUACAAGUUGGUGCAUGAUACUGCUUCGUGUGGAUAAGAAAAGUCUUGCUUGUAAGGGGGCUCUGUUCACUACAACAAAAAUGCUUUUUAGUGGCGACUUUUUGGUGGCGACAAGUACUGUCGCCACCAAUGUAUUAAAUAUGACGGCGACAUAUAGGAGUCGCCACCGAUACGAGAUUAUUGGCGGCGACAUAUAAAAGUCGCCACCGAUACAGUAUUAUUGGCGGCGACAUAUAAGAGUCGCCACCGAUAUAGGAUUAUUGGCGGCGACAUAUAUGAGUCGCCGCUGAAAAAUGAGCAUUAGUGGCGAUAUUUGUCGCCACGAUAUCUCCUUAUUUACCGCGCCGCAUGUUCCCUCUUUUUUUUUCAGCACUCACCUACCUCUAUGCCUAAAAGACCAAUUUACCCUCACUUACUCUAUGGCGGCGACAUGUAAGAGUCGCCGCCAAUUCAUAAAAAUGGCGGCGACAUAUAGGAAUCGCCACCGAUACGGGUUUCGUUGGCGGCAACAUAUAGGGUCGCCACCGAUAUUGGAUUAUUGGCGGCGACAUAUACGAGUCGCCGCCGAAAAAUGAGUAUUAGUAGCAAUAUUUGUCGCCACAAUAUCUCCUUAUUUACCGCGCCAAAGUUCCCUCCUUUUUUUUUCGGCAGAGACCUCCUCUAUGCAAAAAGACCAAUUUACCCUCACUUACUCUAUAUACAUUGCAUUAAAUUGUAGGGCUUUAUUGUCUUUUUAUAUUUAAAAAUAGUAAAAAAUUUUAACCUUACUUCUAAACCCAUCUCAAACCAUGGUCUCGAUCACUUUCCUCUCUUUCUUAGCCUUUCCCUAGCUCUUCGUCCCCUCCGCCCCCUCCACCCGCGUUUCCAGCAAGCCUCGCGCCUCCGCCAAGCCCUGCGCCUCCAUCCGUCUUCAUCGGAAGCGAGCCCCGGGCCUCCGCCGCCUGUGGCUCUAGCACCCCCACGGGGGGCUUCGCUGCAGGCCAGUAACUUCGUCCCCUCCGCCCCCUCCAUCUGUGUUUCCAGCAAACCUCGCGCCUCCGCCAAGCCCUGCGCCUCCGUCUUCAUCAGAAGCGAGCUCCGGGCCUCCGCCGCCUGUGGCUCUAGCACCCCCUCGGGGGGCUUCGCUGCAGGCCAGUAACUUCGUCCCCUCUGCCCCCUCCACCUGUGUUUCCAGCAAGCCUCGCGCCUCCGCCAAGCCCUGCGCCUCCGUCUUCAUCGGAAGCGAGCCCUGGGCCUCCGCCGCCUGUGGCUCUAGCACCCCCACAGGGGGCUUCGCUGCAGGCCAGUAACUUCUUUCCAGGGUAAAUUACAGAAGCGCGACUAAGCAUUCGAGUUGUUUUAAGGAAUUAAGGAUAAUUAGGACAUCCUUUGUCUUCCUGUGUGCAUGUGUUCUUCUAUUUUCUUGGUGCAGGUUUAGAGAAAGACUCCAUGUAUUGCAUUUUCUUUCUUUUUAUUUUCUAUUGCCAGAUAAGUGAAAAAUGUUUAAGAAAAAAAUUCUCCUCUUUUGGAGCAAAUUAAGAGGUUAAUCUUAAAUGCUUCAACUCUGUUUCCCCUCACUUUAUCUGCAUUUAUCCUAAAGAUAUUUUAACAUUGUUUGAUUCCUGCGCAAGUAGCAAACCUCAUCGCAUGGUGAGGUUGUUUUGUUUGUGUCUUAUCUGAUGAAGUUGUUAAGCUUUUUUGAAGUAGCUUAAGCACCUAAUCUGAAAACUGCUUCUUUGAAGUAGCACCUUACGGCGGCCUCUGCCGCCUGUGGCUCUAGCACCCCCACGGGGGGCUUCACUGCAGGCCAGCAGCACCUCACGGCGGGCUUCGCAGCAGGCCAGCGCACCUUCGCUGCAGGCGAGCCGCAGGUUCAAGCCGCACCUUCGCUGCAGGCUAGCCGCAGGUUCAAGCCGUCACCUGCGCGUCUACAGAUCCGACCCAACUCCUCCACCAUGUAACCCUCCCUCCCUCUCUGUGCCCUAAUUUUCUAAUCUAUUUUCCCCUGUUUUUUUUUCUUUUUCUUUUUCUCUUUAAAUUAACUGGGAAACCAUCCCACUAUCCAGAUCUACGAGGUGUCAUCGUCGUGGUGGAAAUCGCUGAGAAAUCGCUGAAGAAUCGUAGGUUGCUGAAUUGGAGUAGUAAAAAUUACUAAAUCACUCUACUCUUUAAUAUUUUGCCUCAGUUUUUUUUUUUUUCCCUAAUAUUUAAACGUUAAUAAAUGUGGGUCGGGUGGUGCACGAAAAGGGGCUUUUNUUCCUAGCUCUUCGUCCCCUCCGCCCACUCCACCUGCGUUUCCAGCAAGUCUCGCGCCUCCGGCAAGCCCUGUGCCUCCGUCUUCAUCGGAAGCGAGCCCCAGGCCUCCGCCGCCUGUGGCUCUAGCACCCCCCACGGGUGGCUUCGCUGCAGGCCAGUAACUUCGUCCCCUCCGCCCCCUCCACCUGUGUUUCCAGCAAGCCUCGCGCCUCCGCCAAGCCCUGCGCCUCCGUCUUCAGCGGAAGCGAGCCCCGGGCCUCCGCCGCCUGUGGCUUUAGCACCCCCACGGGGGGCUUCGCUGCAGGCCAGUAACUUCUUUCCAGGGUAAAUUACAGAAGCACGACUAAGCAUUCGAGUUGUUUUAAGAAAUUAAGGAUAAUUAGGACAUCCUUUGUCUUCCUGCGUGCAUGUGUUCUUCUAUUUUCUUGGUGCAGGUUUAGAGAAAGACUCCAUGUAUUGCAUUUUCUUUCUUUUUAUUUUCUAUUGCCAGAUAAGUGAAAAAUGUUUAAGAAAGAAAUUCUCCUCUUUUGGAGCAAAUUAAGAGGUUAAUCUUUAAUGCUUCAACUCUGUUUCCCCUCAUUUUAUCUGCAUUUAUCCUAAAGAUAUUUUAACAUUGUUUGAUUCCUGCGCAAGUAGCAAACCUCAUCGCAUGAUGAGGUUGUUUUGUUUGUGUCUUAUCUGAUGAAGUUGUUAAGCUUCUUUGAAGUAGCUUAAACACCUAAUCUGAAAACUGCUUCUUUGAAGUAGCACCUCACGGCGGGCCUCUGCCGCCUGUGGCUCUAGCACCCCCACGGGGGUCUUCGCUGCAGGCUAGCGCACCUGCGCGUCGCCUCGUCGAGCCGCACGUGCGCGUCGCCUCGUCGAGCUGCACCUGCGCGUCGCCUCGUCGAGCCGCAGGUUCAAGCCGCACCUUCGCUGCAGGCGAGCCGCAGGUUCAAGCCGCACCUUCGCUACAGGUGAGCCGCAGGUUCAAGCCGCACCUUCGCCGCAGGUUCAAGCCGCACCUUCGCUGCAGGUGAGCUGCAGGUUCAAGCCGCACCUUCGCUGCAGGCUAGCCGCAGGUUCAAGCCGUCCCUGCGCGUCUACAGAUUCGACCCAACUCGUCCACCAUGUAACCCUCCCUCCCUCUCUGUGGCCUAAUUUUCUAAUCUAUUUUCCCCUAUUUUUUUUUCUUUUUCUUUUUCUCUUUAAAUUAACUGGGGAAUCAUCCCACUAUCCAGAUCUACGAGGUGUCAUCGUCGUGGUGGAAAUCGCUGAGAAAUCGCUGAAGAAUCGUAGGUUGCUGAAUUGGGGUAGUAAAAAUUACUAAAUCACUCUACUCUUUAAUAUUUUGCCUCAGUUUUUAAUUUUUUUUUCUAAUAUUUAAACGUUAAUAAAUGUAGGUCGGGUGGUGCACGAAAAGGGGCUUUUGCCACAACAACGUGAGAAUUCAAUUAUUCGGAAAGCUUUAUGAAGUAGGAGGUAAUAGUGUGGUGAUAUUUUGAGUGCAGAUAACAAUCCAAGGAAUUGCUAGUUAGUAAGGAUUUUUCUCUUGAUAAUUCUUCGCCACCAGAAAAAAGGAAAAAAAAAAAAAAAUUUUGAUAGGAGCUAUAAUUCGCGCCAAAGAAAUGAUCGCAGUAGAAAAAGGAGUGGAAAUUUUUAGGAUAUGUUUGGAAAUUGGAACUGGAGGAAAAUAAGAUUGACAGGUUAAGGAAUGCCUAAUUAAUCGCAUUUAGGUGCGCAGUUAAAUACGUACUUUUAGUGUCUGAUAUUUGAUAGUGUUGCUUGCACAUGAAAUCCAUGCUGUUGGAUGGUGUUCAUUAUUAUGAAAUGCUAGUUUAAACCUAGAGAUUUUAAUAUUUCUUGCUAGGCUACGAUUUUCUAAGUAUUUAUGUAUGUGUCAGUCAUGUCAAUCUUGGUUAGUAGGAAAGGUGCAUUUAAUGGUACAAGUUUAACAUUCGAUGAGCUUUAUGAUUUAUAAAGAACUUUCGAGAUGCCUCAUAAGAAUUUUUGCAGUUAUUAGUGUGGAGGCAUUGGGUAUUGAAUUUGUUGCCUUAAGGUUCAGACAUCACUUGGUUCAUCACCUAGAAGUUGGAGACUUUAUCUGCCUCUCGUUAUUGCUCAGUUGCUUGAAAAUAUCUUGAACCACUUAAAAUCUACUUGUAAUUGUGGUAAAGGCGUUGGAAUGAUCGGUUUAGUUAUGGUUCCUAGGACCCUUACCAUUUCUCUUGUGCAUCAUUUUAUAGGUACAGAUCGUCUGCCGAUUUUGUUGUGCAAGUUGAUGAUUAAAAUCAUGUUAUAAAUAUUAUAGAAUGCUUAUCAAGUAGAUUUGCAAGGUUUCGACAAUUUAACUAGUUACAUUAAUGUGCUAUCUGUAGCAGGGUAUUGAUACUCUUGACUUGCACGCCUAGUUGAAGCUAAGGAACUACUUAGACAAACUGUGAUAGUGCAUGAAACAUGAUUAUGCUGCUCCCAACAAACUUCUACUUUACUGUAAAGCGUCUCACUUCAUUAUAGCGUGCAUAUUGCAGAUCGAUUCUUUGUCCAUUUUAGAUUAGGUAUUCGUCUAUUGCCUCACUAUUUUCUUGGUGGUCAAUAUAUUACUUAUUUUGUGUCUGCCUGCAUGAACAUAUGUAGCGACAAUAUGCAUUAUUACCUCGUCAAUGAUUUGAUAAGAAGUGCACUCAUUUUAUAUGUUGUUAAAUGCUGUAGAAUUGAAUUUCUCACCUAAUAGGUAAUGGCAUAAUCACUUUUCUCAAUGGCCGCGUGCACCAUUUCAAAAUUUAAUAUACGCUGUAGCUAUCUCACUAGUGAUAUUAUAGAACAAAGAUAUAAAUGUUACCCUUGAUAAGUAUUGUGGCCUGGGCCAAUUAAUCCUUUUGGAAAUUUUAGAUCAGUGCAAGUAGUAAUGCUGCUGCUUUCAAUCCUAUAUUAUUUUUCCACUAGUUUUCUGUCCUUUGCUUUGAAAUUUCCUUUUUAGCAGAUGUAAUGUGACCAAGAACUGAACUUUUAUGGCUUUUUCUCUUUUAUAGUACCGCUGAGCAUAGUUCGCGGUGAUUACCAUCAACUGGACAUGUGGUUUAAUGGGAAAUCAAGAGUGGAUUCGUCAUCUUUCGGAAGAUUGUCUACAAUAUUUAGCAAUGCCAUGUUAGUUUUCAUUGACGUUUUAUAUUUAAUUAUGUAAUGGAUCAAGUACCUGUAAGAUGUGGUUGCAGAAACUAAUUUCUUCGUGGUUUAGUGUCAAUUGUGUCAUGGAUGAAAGUUUCACAUGUGCACCUUUCUUUUUCCUAGUGCUACUGCUGCCCGUUCCUUCAUCCUUGAUUUGUUUCGCCAAUACUUCUUAUUUGAUUGUUGUUUAGGUAGUGCGGUCCAAUCAUAUUUAGAUAUCCUGUGUUGGAUUUCAUCAUAUUAAUCUUAGUAACACCAACUAAGUGAUGUUGUUUUAUACAUCAACAUGCCAUUUUGGGCUGCUAUGACCAAAAUGGCAUGUUGAUACAUGUUAGGCCAAUUACAAAUAGCAUGUUAGUUAUGGUGGCAAGAAAACAACUAGUUUAUGCAUGUGGAUCUUUGAUAGUGAUUUGAAUUCGAUUGUACUUAAAAAAUCUAUUCUUGGUAGCCAGGCACUUGAUCCACCAUUUCUUUGUGUGUUGCACAGAUGUGCUGGUUGGAGCAUUCUUUUAUUUAUAUUAAAUAAAACUUUAUAUGUUAGUCUUGUAUACGGUUAUGUGAUUUUUGUUAUUUGUUGUAUUGAUUGUGUGUUUUUCUUCUGUUUGUUUACUCCACCCAAGGAUUUAAAGAAAAAAGAGAAGGAACUCCAAGCAAAGGAGGCAGAACUAAGCAAGAGGGAAAAGGUAUUUGCCAUUGAAGUUCUGCCAGAGACUAGUCUUGUAUGAUUUUGAAACUUCGACAGUUCCAGCAUUACUUCUUUUGCAGAUUAUAGUGUAUCAUUAUGGAUUGUAAUCAAGUCGGUAGAUUGGAUGACACAUCAUUCCCUAUAUAUAUAUAUAUAUAUAUAUAUAGGGAUUCUUUAGUAAGCAAAUAGGAUAUAUAUGAUAGACCUCACAUGAAGCUUCUAGAUCUAGGUGGGAUUUUUGUAUCAAUUUGUUUUCGAAUCAGAGGACACCCUUUGAAUUUUUUUCUCAUUGCAAGUUUCGUACUCCUUUUAUCACCUUUUCAAGUCAUUGGUUCCUCAUUCAUUGGUUCCUUAUUGCAUUAUUUGCAUGUGCUGCUCAGGAACUUAAACGAAGGGAAGAGGCUGCAGCACGCGGUAUGUUCUCAUGGUUCAUUUUGUCUGACUGAUUUCGCAAUAUUUGAUCCAGCUACUUUUUUUCUAUCUCUUAUAGUUCUUUGCUUGGUAACCAGAUUCUUAUUCUGAUGAGUCAGGUCCGUCCUGUGUAGUUUCUACUUUGGCAAGUUUUAGAGAAAAAUUUAUGGGAAAAGCACAACACUGGCUGUGCUUCAUGAUUAGGAGAGUUGGCAGACAGAAUGAUAAAUAUAUUUUAAAAAUGCAUAUAUCUCUCAGAAGAGGAUAUUCGCAUAACCAACUGGUGCACAGAAGUUUUUAAAUUUUGAUUUCAAAAAUUAAUUGUUGCAUUAAUGAUGUGUAUUGAUUAGUCUGGUUUGAGUUUUGAUAAUAAUCAACAAAAUAAAAAAUCAGUAUCUGUUAAUUUCAAGUAUCUGUUACUAUCUUGUAAUGAAUAUCGACAAUCGGUUAUACCAAAAAAUGAGAUUAUUUGACUGUUGUUUACAAUGAAGCAUAGAGCAGGAACAGUUCGAUCAACAGCAAUCAAUUUUGUGAAGAAAAGUAACCUAUAUAACUGUUACUAAUCUGAUCUUUUUUAAGGUGCAGUAAUGGACAAAAUACAUGUGCUUACAUUUCUGAUUUCUAUUUGGCCAUUUCAUAAUCUUUCCCAUGCAUAUUUGUCGAGAUCUGUUCGAUUUAAUACCUUGAUUUCCAGUCUUAUGUUCUAUGUGUUUUGUUCAUCCCUCUCAACAUCGUCAUGUCCGGUGCAUUCAUCUUGUUGGCCAUAUUGUUUCUUUAUAGCUGAAUGUUUAAUACCAUGUACUAUUCAAGUUGGCUAUAACUCUCAGGUUAAAUGGAAAUUUUCCUAGUAGAACAUGUUUAUUGGUUAUUGAAAUUUGAUAUUUUUUAUGUUACUCAUCUGGCACGCUUUCUUUGUCCUAUGUUUUUCCGAGGAAAGAGAAAUGAUAUUUAACUAGUAAUAGUGAGGUAAUUUAUGUCGUUUUAGUUGUUAGUUACAGUAAUGUAAUUUCAAGGAUAAAUUGUAUGUUUGGUCCUCAAACUAUGAGGUAGGUGACACUUUAGGUUCUCAAAUUUUAAUUUAUUGUAAUUUCUGAUUCGAACUUGCAGACUCGUUGCAAUCAAGUCCAAUAAUCUAAUUUAGUUGACUAAAGUUUAACGUGCUGUUGAUAUAAAAGUGAUGUGAUAUCUAAAUUAUUGAUGCCUCAUCGGUCACAACAUGCUACUACAUUGCCUCUAUAUUAGCGAUAAUAAAUAUUUAGCCAACUAAAUUAAGUUAUGGUAUUUAAAUGCAACAAUUUUGAAAGCUUGAAAUAACUUUGAUGAACAGUACGAUUUUAUUCAUUCGGAAUUUUGAUUACUUUGGCCAAAAAAGGGAUCAUAACUAAUACCGUACGAUUAAGAAAAUAAGAUUUGAAGCCCUUCAAAUCUGAUUGUUUUGUUUGUGAUUGAAACAUGAGCUGAAAUAAACGUUACUUGUUACUUCAUUCGCAUUCGUAUCCUGUUUUGUAAUUUCUUUUUAUGUAAUACUAGUCAUAUUUGUAAUUAUUAUUCUAAUUUCUCAAAGUUACUCAGUUUAUUUGUUACUCUUAAUGCUCAAUAUUUGGUUACAUGAAUUGAAUUAAUGUCGGUUUCUGUCUGUUAUAUAGUUCAUAGCCAAUAUUAUUAUCUACGUACUUGGCCUCUUUAUUUCUAUAUUGUUUGCAUUAUCAGUCCAGGGAUCAACAAAUGUUGAAAAGCUAAUUUUUAUUUUUAUUUUUAUUUGCAGAUUUAUAAGAGGUGGUGACGAGAAAUAUUUUGGCAGGUCAUUGGCGAUGUAUUGAAUCAAGUUUAAGAAUUUAGAUAUAUUUUGAAACUUUACAUUUGAUAGCAUGUGGAAAUGAUCAAAAUACUAUUAUUGUGUUUUGUUUUUGGUUGUGUUGGGUGAUUGUAUUACUUAUAUAUGAUGAUUCAGUCUUACUUAUAUAUGUUGUCCCAAACUUUUAUCUGUUGUGAGAGAUACUUCGAUGCAAAAUGUAGGAUUUCUGCUUGUUGAUCUGUGAUUUGUUUGGAAAGCUUUCUAUCAUAUUUAUGAGAAUUGGCUCUUUUUGUCCUAAAUUUUAUUUGGUUUUGAGAGAAUUAAAUUGAAAUUAAAGGUUAAAAAUUAAGAAUGAGAAAUUAUGUUAUUUUUUAGCAAUUUAUAUUAAAUUAAUAAUAUUUAUUACUACUAAUUAUUUUUUAAAAAAAAUUAAUUAAAAAAAAUUAAUUUUAUAUCAGAAAAUGGUGGCAACGACAGUCGCCACCAUAAAUUGUAAAGUUUUCGCGGCGACAGUUCAUCGCCGCUAAUUAUAUACCUUUAGCGGCGACAAACUGUCGCUACCAAAUAUUCUGGUCCGGGUUGUUUUUUCGUGGCGCUGAUAUGUCGCCGCUAAUUAUAUAACUUUAGCGGCGACAAACUGUCGCCAUCAAAUAUUCCGGUCCGGGUUGUUUUUUCGCGGCGCUGAUAUGUCGCCGCUAAUUAUGUAAUUUUUAGCGGCGACGGUACGUCGCCACUAAUUAUCGACUUUUAGCGGCGACACAUUGUCGCCACUAAUUAUCUACUUUUAGCGGCGACUCAUUGUCGCCACCAAAUAGUUUUACCGACGGGGCUUUCGGCGGCGGCGUGCGGCGACCGAUUGUCGCCGCCAAAACAUUUUCCGUGGCGACAAUAUUAGUGGGUUAAUUUAAAUGGAUUUUAGCAUCGUGCGAGACAUAGUAUAAUGUGGUUCUAUAUUAGAACUCUUACUCAUGUAUUGCAAGGUAACACAUAAACUAGUGUGAUUGCGACUUAACUGUAAUGAUAGGAUAGAUGUACAUUUUGGUUGCACAUGUUUAAUUUGAGACACAGUAGAAGACUUAUUUAUGUUCUUUCAGAAGUUUAUUGUAUAUGACUCCUUAUUGCUUUUAUAUUAUAUAUAGCCUUGUUUUGGCUAGUGGAGAAGAGCGAGCUUAGUAAUUGCCAUGGGAAACUAUCAAUUAUAGUUAUAGCUCUUUUCGCGAUGUUUUUCAGAGCCUUCACUCAGGAGAGGGCCAGGGAUCGCGCGAAAGGACGGUUAUCGCCGAGGUAGCGUGAGCUACGAGGAUGUUCGAUAGUGUGGUUAACUCUGUGUUAUCUUUUUGUUGAGAGAGUUGAGUUGACCCGGCAUGUAUAGGAGACCACCAUUUUUGUAAUAGAGACAGAUUUUACUAUUAUGAUUUCCUUUAUUUUAUCAGUAUCUCUUAAUGGGUGUAGAUGUUAUAAAUAUAUUUGUCUGAUUCAUUGAGUUAUGUUAUUUACUCUAUCUACUUGUUUAUUACUUGCUUUUACAUUCUCGCUUUAUGUAGAGCCUUAUAGUGUUGAUAUGGGGGUCUGGACUCGGCCCAUAGGAGGCCUCGCCGGUCGGGCCUGAAUUUCAGUGCCGUAACCCAACGUCAGAGCAUAAUAUGCUCGAUCUUGCUUCAGUUGAACCAUGCCUGGUACCAGUUCAACAAUGAGUAAACUCUCAGUUUGUACUCCCGUUACGACGGUUCCUGUCUCAAUUCCUAAAUCUUCCUUUCAUCUUUCUUUCCUGUCCCAUACUGGAAGUAUCGUGAAUACUAUCUCUCUAAUCUCCCAUAGGAUAAUCGAUGAAGGUGUUAAACCAUCGGCUUUCUUGUGCAUUUGCCACCAUAUUAGGCAUAAAAAUUUUCAAAACAUGCGUGAAAUAACAUGAACCUUAUCCUUUUCCAAGGUAUAUAUAUCUAAACAAGGAUCAUCGAUGUGUAACCGUCUCCAGUAUCCAAGGAUCGGCUUUUUUCACCGUUCGACAUCGGGGAAUGAAACCGAUGAAACACCGUCAGUACUAUAAGAUGACUCGUGCUCGGCCUUGUCGCGGAGAAAUCAGAACUAGAAAGGCCAGGACCACAGGGGAUAACAACUUGGAGGAGGUGGCGAUUACAUUGGCGGGAUCCGGGUAGGUAACAUCCUGGACUCCCAGAAGAUCUGUCGUCGCUGUUGCGACACAAUCCGUGUAGCUUUUUCUAUUUCUCGUUCUUGCAUAACCGAAUACGCGCUACUGAGCCAGCAAUCUAAACCUCAUCAGGAUCACAGAUGCUCUGGCCCACCUCAGAGGUGGAUGCGGAUUGAAUUCUCGUCGCACGCCCGGUGGCAUUUCUCUGAAAUGAACCAUUCAAUUAUUAGACAACCAAUCAGCGAAAGCAUUCAAGUGCAUUAUACUCAACUUAGUUUAUGUUGUGCAUUCAACAUAAUCUUUUGGUUGCAUAUAAAUACACAACUCGUCAGGCCCGUAAUUAAAUUAAGACUUGACUAACAACUAACUCAAUUGUUUGGCUUGUAUUAUUAGAUUCACGCCACUCGUCGUUGCCUGGCCUAGGUUUCCAAUCCUAAGUCUUAAGGUAACCCUAGAUUUCACUAUCACUUGCUCUAUACACUCCUAUCUGUCACGUUCCGUUACGCAUUUGGUUCGAUACCGGGUCAGCGCCAGACUGCGAAUGACGACAACUCGUUCGCCAAGUUAAAAAUGAGUAAUGUAUAAGAAAUAAAUAAUUCCAGGACAUAUUUAAUAUACAUGGCUGCCGAAGGCAAGCAACAAAACAAGUGAUGUAAACUACUGUACAACGAAAUUACUGUAAAUUAAAAUUUUACAGAAUGACUGUAGUAAGACUGGAAAAUUUAUUUAUACAGCUUUUAUAUAUUCUUUACAUGUUCUGUACAUCAAAAGGAUGAACAUGAACUUCAAAUGGUAAUGCCUAAAACUCUGGAAUGUAGCUAGAAUAAGGCAGGCCGCCACGGGAUCUCGGCUCGAAACUGCACUGUAACUGUAUGGUUAAGUGGCUGUGAGAAUACAAGAGUUACGUGGUUGGCUGGCGCUUCGGCGACUACCCACUAGGUAUACUCAGGAUAUGUAGGCAAGAAAAGUAAGCAGUAUACCAACUAUAAAUAUAACUGACUACAAUGCUGUACAAGACUGAAAAGAAAGUAACAAGAUAUGAAAACUGUAAAAAUGAAUGCAUGGUGUGUCAUUAACUUUACCCAUUUUUGGUAUAAACCGUGCUGGUUAACACUGCGAAAGUACGUUAGUCCUGGGGGCAGUAGUUAGCUAAAUUACCAAGCAGUGAGUUAACUUUGGUAACAAAUAACUCACAACGAAAUCCACGGGCCUAAGCUGACCAUCCGAUGGGAGAUCUGUCGGCAGUAGUUAGUCCUGGAGAGUACGUUAGCACAGUGAUACUCCUGGCUCAUGCCUGGGGAAGCGACCCACAGUAAGAAAAAACUAUGUGAGUAGUGAUCUUGAUGCCCCUUUAGGGAUUCACUGAAAACAAUGUCACAAUUUAACGCUAACUAGUUCUUUGAUUAUGUUUCUAAUUGCGAUUUUCGAUGAUACCAAAUCUUAGUCAUGUUGUCCAAGUUACUAUUGUUUGGCUUUAAAGUUUAUACAUUCAUUAGGGUUCUAUGUCAUUUAAUGUUUCCAAAUUUUAUUUGUGAUUAGGAUUCACAUUUUCACUAGUCAAUGCAACACUAAUGCAUACUACAAAUAUAAAUAUGGCUCAACGAAGAAUUAUGGACUAAAAGGUGAUUCAAAGAGUUCGGAUAGCACCACCAUGUAUGGUGUAAUCAUAGAAUCCAAGUCUCGGAAAAGUCGACGACUAUCUUCGCGACUCGUGAAAGUAGGUAGACGGUUUAUACAUUACCGUGCAGAUCGACCUGUCGGAAAGUCCAAAUUUAGAUCUUGGGCAUGUUACUAUUCAUUAUAAAGGAAUUAGAAAAUGAUUAAAUAGAGUCAUUACUCAUAUAUUUACAAGGUAGAUUUCAAUUGCUAUAUAAAGAGGGAAUAUAGUCGAAACUUCUUUUGGCGAUAUCUUUUGCUAGGUUCGGUGAGGUCAUUGUCCGAACGAUCUUCGGCAACGCUUUUUUUACCCUCAAUUUGGUUAUACACGCGGUCAAUUUGCAUUAGGACUUUAUUUUGCAAGUGCAUUGCUAGUAGGUCGUUUUAUUUAACCGAUUUUUAUAGAAACCUAAUUAUUUUGAUCUCUAUUUCACGUUUUUUUUCUUAUUUCUUUUUUCUUUUUUUUGUUCUUUUUUUCUUUCCUUCCUUUUUCUUUAUUUUCUUAUUUCUGGUUUUUUUUCUUUUCUUUUUCUCUGCAGCCCUGAGCUGAGCAGCUGCUGAUGCUUGUUGACUGGCUGACUGCUGGCCACCAGACCAGCUAUGUUGCUGAGACGAGAGCUACUGACUGCUGCAGCAGCUCUGCCUGAUGACUGCUGCAUGCUCUGCUGCCUGCUGCGAUGUGCUGCUGCUGCUGCUGCUGCUGUGUGGCAUGCUGCUGCUGUGCUGCAAGCUGCAGUGUGCUGUCCUGCCAUGCUGUACUAAGCAGUAAAGUGCUGCAGGUGCUUGCUGUUGCUGCUGCAAACUAGCCUGUGCUGCUGUACUACCAGUACCAGCAGGGAGAUGGUGAGAGAAAGAGAUAACAGGAGAGAGAUAUAACCAAAUCAUCGGUUCUUUUUUUUUUUAUUCUUUUCUUUUCUUUUCUUGCUUUUCUUUUCACUUACUUCUCUUUUCUCUGUCUCUGUCUCUCUAGCUAUUGGAUACAGAGGGGAGAUAAGGAUGGAUAAGGCUCCCUGCUGAGUUUAGUGGAAAUCAUAAAUGCCAUUGUGUAAUUACCAAUUGAGCCCUCGAUAAUUUCGUUUAGUCGCACGGAUUAAUACUUUUGCAGGCUUCUAAAGAGUCCGAUUGAGCCUCAAAUUUGACAGAAUGCUGUUUUUAUCUUAAACAAGUCCAUAAAUUGUUAAAUUUCUAGUUUCACCCGUUUGGUCUGAGAACUGUCCCGAAUGUAAUCUUUCAUCAGAUACUUUCGGAUGCUAUUCUCUCUCUACAGGGUCAGGAAUUUUUUAUAUGAAACUUAAAAUCUAGCUAUAAAACUAUGUGACAUCUCCGCAAAAGUUUCAUAAUUUUUACCUGUGCUUUUGUCUGUUAAUUUCUCUAGUCCCGUCUUUACAAAAAUUUAUAAUCUUUCGGUUUGCGCUCGAUUUAAACGAGCAUUAAACUUAUAUAUUUACACCUUAGUCAAAUAAUGUGUUAGACGAUUGUAUUUAUUUUGCUCACUUUAAUUCUUUAAUCAAACUUAGAAGUCGGAAAUCCGCAAUUCCUUUAAAUAUUCGUUUCGCCGGCCCAAUUUGCGCCGAAACUUAUUUUAUCUUUGAAUUAUUCUCACGCGUCCAAAAUCACUCGGGGAGAGUCAACUAGCUCAAUCCUACUUGAUCCUGGAUCAAAGUUGAAUCGCAACUCCAAGGAAUGCCAUAUAUACAAGCUAGCGUGGGCGACGUUUUCAGCUGACGAAUUUAUUACAGAAAUGGGAGUCGUGGUACGACAAUAUGCCACCAUUAAUGUUAAAAAUGCUGAAGUACUUAUGUUAUAAGGAUAAGAUGUGGGUAAUUUAAUGGUAUGAUAUUCAUUUUAAAUUAGUUUUUAACAAAUUAAUAUAUUCUUGUUUGUUAUUUAAAUACAUAGUUAUAUGAUAUGCUUUGAUUAGUUGUAUGUAUUUAUGUUUUUUUAGGAAAUAUGAUGGGAUGCUGGUUUUAGAGAUGAAGUGAUGUAUAAUUUCAAUCAUAUGUAUAGCGAUGGGAACAUCGAGAGCAUCGAUUAUAAGUCGAUUGCUUGACAGGGAUGAAGAUGGUUAAUUGUUCCAGAUGUAUAUGGAUUCGAUGGGCAGUUUAGUUGAAUCUUUGGUUUGAAUAUUUAAGGUUAUUAAUUUAUCAUAAUGUUAUUAGUUGCUGAAGAUUUAUAUUUUAAUGCAAAGUAUGACAUCUACUUAAUUUUUUGGUAGAGUAAUGUCCCCGGCUGCGAAAUAAGCCAAUUCGAGCAACAAUGGCUAGCCAAUGUGUGGAAGGAAAUCAUUCGCUAGGUUUUAUAUGUAUGGUGAUUUUGUCAAUUAAUUCAAUUUAUGGUUAAAUUUUAUAUUAUAUUAAUUUAAUGAACAAGGUUUUAUUUUAAUUGAGGAGGAUCCAAUAACGGAGGUUAGUCAUGUUUAAUGAAUACUGGGAGGCUAACCAUAACGAAGAAUGAUAAUAUUGUGUUUGAUCGGCUAAAAUGCUUAUGGUUAUAGCACAUCUUUGUAGCAUCAACUUUACUAAUUUUUAUAUAUACAUGUAUUAGACUGUGAAAUCUUAGAAUGAAAUUUAGUUUAGUAUUUAUAUAAUUUUUAUAUGUUAGAUUGUGAAGACGAGCAUUUUUUUCUAAAUAUAAAUAUGUUUCAAUAUUAGUUUUGUAUUCAUUGGAAUAGCAGAAACAAUUGAGAUGUUAAGAAAUUCACAAAGAAGUUAGGGAUCCUCAUAUCAACGGGUGAAGAAAUUUAACAAAGACUUUUGGUGCACGCUCGGAUAUUUGUGGUUAGGAUGUGACUAAGCACUAAUUAGCAAGAUUUGAAGCUUAAAGCAUCAAAGGGCUAUGAUAGAGGGACAAAUAGAAGAAUGAAGAAUGAGCUGAAGCAAUCAGAGAGGAGAUGAAGACGAGAAGACGCCUACAAAGGAGAAAGAUGAGAGAGAGGAGAGGUUUAAAAAGAAUUGAAGAGAGUAAAGCACUUCAGUAAGAUGAGAAAGAGUGAGAGGUUUAAAAAAGAAAUUGAAGAUAUUAAGACCCACUUUAAAGCUGAAUUUAUGAAACAAUUAAGAUAAUUGUUCAAUUUAUUAUGGAGCACCGAUACUAUCUCUUCAUCAAAAUCAAUUAGUGAAUUUCUUAAUGAAAGGUAACUAUAUAUUCUAUCUCCGUUAUUCUUUAUUUUUAUAUUUUUGUGCUUUAAAAGUAAAAUUCCAGGUGAUGUGCAAUUAUCUUUGAUGUGCAAUUCAGUUAUUUGCUCUUGUUGCAGAAGUAUGCUAGUUACAUUUAAUAUGUUUAAUAACCUUAAUUGUUUCUUUUUUUUUUUUUUACUGUUGCAAAUUCAUUCGAAGGGAAGUGCCUGGAUUGAUUUUUACUUAUGGGUAUAAGCGAAGUAGAAAGUGUAGUAAUGGUUCAGCAAACAAGUAUAGAUGAUUUGAGGAAUGUGAGUAUAUAUAAGCUAAUUCUAUGUUAGUGUAAACACUUAUGUUAAGCCUGACAAGAUUGAUAAUUUUGCAAUGGAAUAAUAGAAAUUACAAAUCAAAUGAUAGUUUCGAACUAAAUCUUAAUUUACUUUCAUUUGAUAGUGGAUGUGUGUGUGUGGACUGUGUGUGCAUGUGUGUGUUUUGUUAUGUAUUCAUUCAGUGAAACAUGUCAAAGGAUAAGAGGAUUUGGGAGGUAGUGUGGAAUAUUGAACAUACAUUGAGUUGCAUAAUUAAAGCUGACUGACAUACAUAUGAUCACACUUUAGUGUAUACCAAGUUGAAAUAACUACAAAAAUGAUUCAGGAUUUUAAGAUUAGGCCAUUGAUGUAUGCUUAAGGACAAUAUAGUUUGGACUCUGUUUGUUUUUUUUUUGAAGAGAAGUUGGUUGUUCAUGUGAUAUAUAGCUAGUUUCUUAAGUCUAAUAUAGAACACUUGAUAAUUGCUUAUGCAUAGCAUUUGACAAAUUAGCACAGUGGAGUUCUUUUUUUGUUUUUGUUAUAUUACUUCAUGUUUCAAGAAUAAUGUUUACAUUUGUUUACCUUAUUUUUCAUUAUGAUGGAUGUUAGCUUUGCAGAGAAUCAAAGAGGGUUCGAAUGCUGAUGUUGUUUGAAUAUUGAAUAUAGGGUUUUAGGGUUUGUUCUGUGUUUCAGAUUCGUGCUUCAUUUGGGAAAAUGGAAAGGUCAGUGAAUGUUAGUUGACAUAGAUCAGAAUAGAUUUAUAGUUUGGUUUUUGAGGCUAAAAUCAUUUUAUUUUUCUUCUCUAGCCACAGAGGAUAUAGACUUUCAGUUUUUAAAGUGCUUGGCUUACUGAUUCUUUAUUAAAGAUUCCGGAAGUCAGGUAAACGAGUAUAUUCAACAAGCACAAGCUAAACUAAUUAAUGAUUUUAAGCAUAAACUUUCAGUAUGGUUCUCUAAAAUUGCUUCAUGAAAUGCAUGCUGUUCUAUCACCCCCUAGAGAGCUAUAAUCAUGGGUUGUUUUAGAACUUCUUGAUUUUACGUGGAAUUAGAUGUUAUUUAUAAAUUGUUCUUCUAGAACUGUUUAGUGAAUUAUAUCAUUCCUGGGGCAUGGACUUCGUCUUGUCAAAUUUCAGGAUCUCCUUGUACUUAUUUGCAUAAUGUAUGAGUAAAUUAUUGCUUUUGUUUUUUUUCUUUUCUUGCCCUGAGAAAAUUAGUAUGGUGAAAUUAUUUUGUUCCACUUUUCUUUUUUCAUGUUCUCUAAAAACAAUACGGAUGCAGUUAAUUUAUUAAUACAUAUCUAAUGUUUAUGAUAUGAGCUAAAGCAGUAUAUUCUGUCAAGGUCCUGUAUUCUGAUUGAACAUUCGAUUAGUAAGUGUUUGUUGGGCGAGAUUCAAUUUUAGAAGAGUUGCAUGGAAUCGACAAUAGGAGAUUGUUUCACUUAGAGGAUACGAAUUCAAUGCUUGUAAGUAAGUAGGCAUAAACCCUGUCUAUUGCGCGACAAUUAGCUUUUUAUGUUGCUUUUGUUAUGUAGAAGUCUAUACAGAACAAUUUUUAUUUAGUAAGUCAAGACACUGAAACUAGAUUAACAGAAAGAUCCUUAAUUGUGCGUAAGAUGAUGCUUUGUUUACUGUUGGACCCUUUUCUAGGAAUUUUUUAUCAUGUGUUAGGAUCUCUGGGAUUUAAUGUAUGAUAAUCGCCUCUAAAGUUUUAUUCUUAGUUUCAGUUUUGAGAUGGGCUUUAUGCAAUUCUUUAAUAUUAUUCAAUUUUAUAGUAAGAUUUUACUGCUAUGCUAAAUUGUGAUUUUGGCCAAACAGUAGUAGGUCUUGCGGAUUGAUUUCGGAUAUAAGUUCAGGACAACGACAGAAUAGGUUUAUGAACAUGCUUAAACAUUAAAUGUCUAAGUGUCAUAAAGGGGCACUAGACCUAGAGAAUGUUGGAACUUCAUUUGUGACUUAGAACUAGAUCUUCGAGAUGCUAGUGACUAUACCAUGUUAGAGACAUGAGGGUUGGAUACUUGAGCCAUUGACUACGCUUGUUUGCCAUUUGUGCUCAUUCGCACAUGCUUGUGAGGGUCGCUCCCUACAAGCCGGCACUCCGGAGUUAGCCUACGCGACUUUUGUUCGCUCGUGCGGUAUUGAGAAGCCUACGGGGUCGAGUGGGACAGACACAUUCCAAGAGUAGGGAUGUCGGGCUACCACAGGCACUUAGGCGGCACAAGCUGGACUACCUUGGGUAGGUCCCUUAUUGGUAAUAGGAACCGACACGAUAUUGAGUGUGUGAUAAUCACUACUAGACAGAUAGUAGUAGCUUGUCACGCCCCAGGAUCCCUCUUAGUCUAAAAGGUAGCGGAAAAGCGUCUGAAUUUUUUUUUGAAAACCUGACCCCAGAGUGUGCCAGAUCCGCCACAAAUACAGGAGUUCCACUGUUCACACGGACAGAGUCUCCCCUGUAUUUGCACGGCGUCGCACAAGUACAAGAGUUCAAUCAUACAACAACCACAACCAGAUGAACAUACAAAUAACCACAGAUAUACAUUCAUACACCAUUCACCACAGAUUCACAAAUAUACAUUCGCUAUUUAAAUAUAAAUCCACAGAAAAUCUUUUGAAAACUGUUCCCUACACAGGAACUUUUAUCUUUUCAAAACGCUACCACGAGGGGUAGAAAACUAUUUUUAUUUCAAGAAAACACAAAUUCCUUUAUUACAUUCCAAAACCAACUGAAAACUCAGAUAUCCAAAUAGUAAAAUAAAACUGAACCAUAAUAUGUCUAAGUUAGUUAUUUAUUUAANNNNNNNNNNNNNNNNNNNNNNNNNNNNNNNNNNNNNNNNNNNNNNNNNNNNNNNNNNNNNNNNNNNNNNNNNNNNNNNNNNNNNNNNNNNNNNNNNNNNAAGAGCAUCAUGAUUAUGGUGAUCCUUCGCUUAGGAGUAUCGUAGAAAACCAAGGAAGAGAACUCCAAGCGAAGCGGAGAUCAAAUCGACAUAUUGAUAUCGCGAAACGAUAUCUCGAUUUGAUCUAAAUAGGUUUAGAAUAAAAUCCGAGCCUCUAGGGUUUCUCAAACAUGUAUUCUUAUGAUGCUUAAUCAAUUAGAGAACCCCUAUAGCUUAUUUAUAAACUUUAGAAUCAAAACAGAGUAGGAUUAGAAAGUUUCUUUCCAAAAUCAGCACCUUGUACCGGAACAAGGAAUGUUGUCCAGGGUACACCAUGACGGAAGAUUUUUCUGCGAAGCUCCUGUACCCUGGAUAGGCUGUUGCUUGUUCCGGAACAGGGCUUGUACCGGUACAGCAUGAAGCUUGUACCGGAACAACCAUCAAACUUUCUGCCAACGUUGAUGGCUGUACCCUGGACAGAAAAUCCUUGUACCAGUACAGCAAUGCAAUUUUUGCUGAAAAUGCAUUGUUUUGGAUUUUACAAACUCUUAGAAACUUUCUAAUCAAUUACAACUUGAAAACAUGAUUCUAAGAUCUAUAAUUAAGUAUGAAUCACCAUAAACAAGAUUUAAAGCUUACCUACGCAUCGUGAUUCAUGUUUUACGUGUUUUGCAUCCUUUCCGAUUCUUCGAAGUCUUCGAUUCUUCGAUCUUCAAUACUCUGCUCCGAACUUCUUCAAGACUCCGACUCGACCCACGAAACUUGCCAACACAUAGGACCUAACAAACUGUAAAGAAGCACAAGAACCGACCACUCAGGUCAACUAGGAUGGGACAACAUCGACAUCCUCUCAAACAUAUGCAAAUACUGCUCAAUGAACCACAAGGACUGACCACUCAGAUCAACUAGGAUAUGAAACUCGACCAAUCACGUCACAAGUAUAGGAUAUGAAACUCGACCAAUCAUGUCACAAGUAUAGGAUAUGAGUAAAGUAUAAUCAUCCGUCGGCAACUAACCGACAAUCCCACCCCUCAGGGUAUACCGACCUCAACGGUCAUCAGACAACAAAGGUCGAGGAACUCACCGAAUAGGUCACAAAUACUGAAUACUAGAAUCGACCGACUAGAUCGCUAAUCUCACAGAUAAUCACAGAAUCGCUCUACUAUAAAUAUGAAACAGGGUAUGCAGAAUAGCUAAGUAGAGCAACAAGGAAACAUGGUAUCACAUACAGAUAGACUAUACUCCUACACAUGAUACUAAGCAUGGAAACAUCUGAGUAGAGUAUAAUCAAACAACGUGGGUGUAAUGUAAACAAUAGAGGUGCAAAGCUCAACAUAUAAUAUAAGCAUGGAUAAUAACAAAAGAGCAAGGGUAAGAAACCAUCACCGAGCGUGCACCACUGUACCAACGUCGGAUCGAAGUACCCACCUGUAAGGAUGUCGCGCCUGUCUCCCAACUGCGAAAGAAUGACAACCGGACCUACAGAGGGUCCACCGGGUUAGUAUGUAACCCACAACUAAUAUCCACUAAAUCCACAACCCUCAAACCCGUAUCGUUAACUCACAAUUCCAAAAUCAUAGCCCCUCGGGAAUCGGUUUCCCGAAACCAAUUACCGAACAAACCGGAAGUCCCGAAAACCGCACCGAGACUCUGUCGGGACCCACGGACUGUCCCGGAACUCACCGACUCGCACUACGAGUCACCCGCUGCCACUAAAUACAAUUUACAUGUGACAUGGCAGCAAAGACCUUAACUCACUCCAAAACGAUUAUCGUCGGAUAAUCGUUCCGAACCGGGUUCCCGGAAGUGUCUAUUUCGACACAGAAACCCACUGUCGCUCACCCGUCAUUUCCGAACCCUUGAAAUGACACGGGUGACCAGCCAACAAGGCUCAGUGACUACACAAUAGCUCACAAAGCACCGUCGGAACAAUUCCGAACCGAACCCGCAUUCCGUCGGCGGAUUUUGCCGACAAACGGACCGGAAUACCCCUUUUCGAUCUUCGCAAAGGUCCGGGGCCUUGGACAAUCACUCCAGAGGUCACCCACAACUCAUCCAUGCUGCCAACAGCAGCCGCGGCGAACAAGGUUCAAUAAAAGCCCGUCCGAAUACCCGAAAUCGCAUUAUUUCAUGCGAUUUCGGCGCUUUUAUAGUCCGUCUGCACAAACCAGAAGUGAAACAGCGAAGCCGAGACACCCGCUGACAGGUCUCGGCAUGCCGGAAACCGUGCUCACCUUUCGAAGCAAUUUCGGCCACAGAGGGAAGCGCACGAGCAAUGCGAAACUCUGCGAGACUGCGCGCACAGCGCAAAGAUUGCGAUUAACUCGCUAACCAGGGCAUCAUUGCCGCUGUCGGAGGUGAGCACGAUGUUCAGCACGAACCCUAGAUCAUCGUGCUCACUUCCCGGGGUGUCGGGGAGUCAUUGGAUCACCGGAAGGGUGGCCGAAAAGCUAAACUACUGUGCUGGAACACAAAACGGCCUUACCGGAUCCGAGGAGGGCUAGGGUUGGUCGCCAGCGACCGGGAGGCGGGCGGCCCGGCCAGGGAAGGGUGCGGCCGGUCGGUGGGGUUCGGGGCACCUGCUGGCCGGCGGCGGGAGCUGGCCGGUGGCACGGCGGCGCAGCCCAAAACCGCCGAGUUCCUCUCGGGUUCGAGCUUCCCGGCGGCGCGGCGGCGGCCGGAGGAGGUCGGGGCGACGAGGAUCCGGUGCCGGAGACCGAGGGGAAGGUGGUGCACCCCUCGAUGGGCAGUGGCAAUGCUUGGGAGCCGAGCGGGCCCGACCUCGGCCCGCACGGGUCUGGGCGGCCGCAGGAGGUUCCAGCGGCGGCUGGCAGCGUGCAGGGAAGGCGGGACGGCAAGCGGGAGGUUGCCGGGGGUCACCGGAAGGUGGCGCGGCCGAUGGGGAGCGACGGUGGCGCGCCUAGACCGAGGUCACCCAAGCUCGGCCUGGGCUGACCGCAGAUGGCCGCAGGGGACUCGCGGGGCUCCGGCAGGGCACGGGGAUGGCCGGAGUCGGCGGUGAAGAUGCCGGAGAUGGGUCUCGGCCAGGGGAUGGUGAAGCUCGGGUGAAAAAAGCUUCCUUUGCAACUUCGGCGAAGUCAGAGGAGAGGGUGGCCGAGAGAGCAAGAGAAGAGGUCGGGGUGGCUUUUCCGGCGGCCGGGGCGUGCGCACGGGUUGGGCAAGGAGAAGGUGGGGCGGCUAGGGCUCGGUUCGGCUGAGGAGAAGGCCAAAAGCUAGGGUUUCCUCACGAAACCCUAGUGCAACUACUAUUUACAUAUGCACAUCUGCAAGAUAGUCCUCCCAGGGAUAAUAUUCUCAGUCAAGUCCCUCACAGCAUGCGUAUUUUACACAUACGCACCUCCAUGUCCGAUCUCACGCAAUUCGGCACAUAAAAUAUUAUGACUUUUGCGAAUUUCCCGAUUUUCCACUCUCGACCCCUUAGCGAACUUCAUGCAAUAUCCGGCAAUCCGUUCAUCGGAUUUCCGAACGGAUUGCACCAUCGCGUUCAGCACGACGAAGGCAAUGAAACUACUAUUUCGUUUCAUCCGAUUUACUUGCCGAUUUGCGACCAAACCCAACUGCUCUCCAACUAAUCCACAAAUUACACAUAGACCAAUGUAUAAACCCUAAAACCUUUAAUCCAAAUUCAAAUUUGAAUUCGCUACCACCAGUAGGUACCAGAAACAACUCUCACCUAACCCCAGGUCACAAACGUAGAGCACGAGGAGUCUCAUUACGCAAGAACAGCAAAGGGCGAAAAUCCUCUUUUCGAUAAAAUCCCUUUUUCUUGAAAAUCGUGCAUCAGAUCUGAAAUCCGUCAGUGCCAUUGGUUCCAGAAUAGCUGAACCGAUCAAAACGAGCUAUUGGAUCGCUAUGAAGGGAGUCCGAUACGCGUAGAAAGCCAACUCUACUCCGUGGCUUCACCGAAAAACCGGAGUUACUAUUCACUUAAGUGAAAACUAAUAAUCGCGUAACUUCUCCGUUUUAGCUCAUUUUCUCAUGAACUCUGAAACUGGAACGAACAAACGGUAAACACGAGUAAGCGUGUACGAACACUCCCAGCGAGGGAUGUUCGGCCGUGAGGCCUCAAUCGGAUACGCUGAAUACAAGCGAGCACGUCAUAACUCUUCGGAUGCCCCAGCUCACCCUGUCUGUGUAAGGUUCUCAUUCCUACAGCCCGAUGGUGUCCGUGAAUCCGCCGUGUUCGACCUGAUGGAAACCAUCCAGGAAUUAACCUUUACCUUUAGCUGUGCCACAAUUCUUACUUAUUAGUGACGAUCUAUCCGAAUCAUCAACCCAAUGAACUGUGCGAGUACUGUAUCGUAACCCUAUAUAUAUCAUAUGAACGGACAAAGUUAGUAACACAGUAUCAUAUGACCCAGCGUACUAUCUCGAGUAAGAAAUACGUACUGUAGAACCUGUCAUCGUAAAUGAACAACGGUAGCCUGCAUGAACAAAUACGAUCUCAUCUACAUGUAGUAUGAAUGUAGUACGACAUUCCUGACUCUAAAAAUGUCACGUUGAUUUGAGAGACAACUACUACAAAUACACACAUUAAAUUAAUGUAUUCAUAAGUAGUUCAAAGUCCUUNNNNNNNNNNNNNNNNNNNNNNNNNNNNNNNNNNNNNNNNNNNNNNNNNNNNNNNNNNNNNNNNNNNNNNNNNNNNNNNNNNNNNNNNNNNNNNNNNNNNNNNNNNNNNNNNNNNNNNNNNNNNNNNNNNNNNNNNNNNNNNNNNNNNNNNNNNNNNNNNNNNNNNNNNNNNNNNNNNNNNNNNNNNNNNNNNNNNNNNNNNNNNNNNNNNNNNNNNNNNNNNNNNNNNNNNNNNNNNNNNNNNNNNNNNNNNNNNNNNNNNNNNNNNNNNNNNNNNNNNNNNNNNNNNNNNNNNNNNNNNNNNNNNNNNNNNNNNNNNNNNNNNNNNNNNNNNNNNNNNNNNNNNNNNNNNNNNNNNNNNNNNNNNNNNNNNNNNNNNNNNNNNNNNNNNNNNNNNNNNNNNNNNNNNNNNNNNNNNNNNNNNNNNNNNNNNNNNNNNNNNNNNNNNNNNNNNNNNNNNNNNNNNNNNNNNNNNNNNNNNNNNNNNNNNNNNNNNNNNNNNNNNNNNNNNNNNNNNNNNNNNNNNNNNNNNNNNNNNNNNNNNNNNNNNNNNNNNNNNNNNNNNNNNNNNNNNNNNNNNNNNNNNNNNNNNNNNNNNNNNNNNNNNNNNNNNNNNNNNNNNNNNNNNNNNNNNNNNNNNNUCCUGGAUCAACCUAAAAGAAUGUUAUCUCCCAGAUAUACUGGGUAGGUUAGAGAGAAGUGGAGUAAAGAGAAGAGAGUUGAGAGAGAUGUGGGAACUAUCUCUUCUUCUUCUUCUUCCUCUUCCCCUUCUUCCUCCCUUCUUCUUCUUCAAACUCUCGAUGAUCACCUGAACCUCGUAGAAGGAGUGGGAUAGAAGUAGGAACCACGAACCAUGAACCUGAACCUCGAACGUUCUCUCUUCUAGAAGUGGGAAACUCGAACCUAACUUCGAAGAAUCUCCAACCAUCGGGAAAGAGAGGUAGAUCUGAAACCUAAACUCCAAAAGAACACAACCUUGGGAUCUUACUCUAAAAUCCCAACUAAAACCCUGGAAAACUAGAUCCCGAAAACCUCGAACUAGUGAACCUAAUCUCGGAAGGAAACCCAACCUAACCUUCCCUAAAUCGAGAAAAAACCUCGAAUCCUUCUCUAAAACGUGAUCUCCAUUCAAAACUGGGAUAAAAACUCUACCAAUUACAAACUAGGAUAUCAACUAGCAUUACGGGCACAUAGAGAAGCGAGUUAUGAAAGUCCCAUAAAACUCUGAGCACCUGUUGAGUCAAAAAUCCAAUAUUGCAACAGCCCGGUCUGGGCAGUUUUCGCCCAGAGGGACCGGUCUCUCCCCAGCAGGGACCGGUCUCUUGCUGCGAACCCGAGAAACCAACGUUCGGGAACCGAUCUCUCCCUACGCGGGACCGGUCUCUCACUGCGUAGACGCGCUCGGGCGCCCGCCAGGGACUGGUUGCCUCAGGGCUGCCGCAACACUGCUCACUGCGGGACCGGUUUCUCCUUUCAGGGACCGGUCCCCGAGAGUGAAAACUCUCAGGACUCGUCCAGAAUUCAGGUUUUCAAACUUUUUAGGUUGGAAAACAUUCUACGACCCUCCACCAAGUGUGGAAAAGCUCGAAACCCAUCUUGUCACUCGAACCUCGCAAUUUGCGAAGGUCCAGUGUGCUACAAUAAUUUAGAUACAUCACAUUUGUUUACUAGUGUGAUUAGUAUCUUGAUAGUGAGGGUUCCGUUAUUAGCUCACUACAAUUGGUAUCAGAGUAUCAAGGUUGAGUGCAAGGUGUUCGAUAAAUUGUCUCAAUGGCAACAAAUCGAUUAGAAGUGGACAAAUUUGAUGGAAAGAGAAACUUUGAACUUUGGAAGUUAAAAGUUCAUGAUAUAUUAGUACAACAUGGGCAAUACAAAGCUCUACUUGGGAGAGAUAAGAAACCGGAAUGGAUGACCGAUGAUGAAUAGGAGGAGAUGGAGAUGAAAGCUUUAGCCACCAUUCGCAUGUGCUUGGUGGAUGAAGUUCUUUUCAAUAUAAUUGGAGAGAAAAUGGCUUUUGGAUUAUGGGCAAAUUUAGAGAGCUUGUACCAAAACAAAUCAAUUACCAACUGGAUUUUCUUGAAGAGACGGUUGUACUCUUUGAGAAUGAAAGAAGGCACCAAGGUCUCCGAUCACUUGAAUGUAUUCAACAACAUUAUUUCUGAGCUUGAGAGUAUCAGGGAGAAGAUGAAGGAUGAAGAUUGUUAAGGAUUUUAUAGGUUGGCGAAUUUCGUAAAGUUGUUUGGAGUCUUGAAGAGUUGAUCGCNAGAUGGCUCUUUGAGAUUUAGGAACCGGUUAUGCGUUCCUAAGAAUCCAGAUUUUAAAAAUAAAAUUUUGAAGGAGGCCCAUUAUUCGGGAUAUUUAGUGCACCCUGGAGGAACAAAAAUGUACAGAGACUUGAAGAACAUCUUCUGGUGGAGUGACAUGAAAAGGGAGUUGCAGAGUUCGUGGCUAAGUGUUUGACUUGCCAGCGUGUGAAAGUUGAUAAGAAGAGAUCAGCCGGCUUACUUCAGCCCCUUCCUACUCCUGAGUGGAAAUGGGAGAGAAAAACUAUGGAUUUUGUUACUCGACUACCUAGAAGUGAGAAGGGCAAUGACGUAGUUUGGGUCAUAGUUGAUAGAUUGACUACGUCAGCGCACUUUCUGGCUGUAAAGACGGGUAUGACUUUGGAGAAACUAGCGGAGCUCUAUAUUGCACAAAUAGUAUGUCUACAUGGUGUUCCAGUUUCGAUCGUGUCUGAUCGUGAUUCAAGGUUUGUGGCUCACUUCUGGAAAGGAUUACAUAAAGCUUGCAUGCCUGCAGGUCGACUCUAGAGGAUCCCCGGGUACCGAGCUCGAAUUCGCCCUAUAGUGAGUCGUAUUACAAUUCACUGGCCGUNAGAUGGCCAGUCCGAGAGAACGAUUCAAAUUUUCGAAGACAUGUUACGUGCUUAUGUAAUCGAUAUGAGAGGCUCUUGGAAUCAUUACCUACCAUUGGUCGAAUUUGCCUACAAUAAUAGCUUCCAGGCCAGCAUACAAAUGGCUCCCUUUGAAGCCUUGUAUGGACAGAAAUGUAGAUCCCCUCUAUGUUGGGAUGAUGUUGGUGAGAGAAAGCUACUUGGUCCGGAGAUUGUGCAACAAACUAUUGAGAAGGUUCAUUUGAUUAAGGAGCAUCUCAGAGCAGCUCAGAGUCGGCAGAAGAGCUACGCUGAUAAUCGAAGACGACCGCUCGAGUUUGAAGCCGGAGAUCGUGUCUUCUUGAACGUGUCACCCUCAAGAAGUAUUAUGCGCUUUGGAAUCCGUGGGAAGCUUAGCCCUCGUUAUGUGGGCCCUUUUGAGAUACUUGAAAGAAUUGGUGACGUAGCGUACAGACUAGCCUUACCGCCUUCUUUAGCUGGAGUGCACAACGCCUUUCAUGUAUCUAUGUUGAGAAAAUAUGUUCACGAUCCGAGCCACGUUGUAGAGCCGAAACCUUUGCAACUUAGAGAAGAUCUAUCUUAUGAUGAACGGCCGAUACGUAUUGUGGACCGAAAAGAGCAAGUUUUGAGAAGACGGGCCAUUCCAUAUAUUAAAGUCCAGUGGAGCAACCAUUCCGAACGAGAGGCUACUUGGGAACUUAAAGAACAGAUGAGGAAGAAGCACCCUCAACUCUUCGAGAGCUAAGGUGUGUUAAGUUUAGAGGACUAAACUUCUUUUAGGGGGGGGUGGUUGUAACACCCCACACUUUUAACUUCUUAUUUUGACUCCUUUUCUUUUGAAACUUGGACUUUUUUGUAAAUAUUAAGAGUAUUAGGGCUUGGCAGCAUUUUGUUUAUUUAAUCCCUAAUUUAAUUAGAUUUUUUUCCUUUUCUUUUAAUUCCGGAUGAACCCCUCCCCCAACCCGAUCAACCUUUUUCGCCUUUCCCGUACGACACUUUCUCUCUCCCCUCACCGCGUCCGUACGACUUCUGCCACUCCGCUCGUGCGCGCGCGACGCCAUCUGAUCCCUACCGUCGUCGCCGUCAUCCGUAGCGGCUUCCGCCGCAAUCCUCUUUGAUCGUUAUUUUUGGUUCGCUAUCGACGGAAUCUUGCCGUCGUCUUCACCAUUUCGAGAAGGUUUUUCUCUUUCCCUCAUUUUACCUCUAUAUCGAAUCUUGUGAUCAUCCAACCUCUCUAUUCAUCGUUAUAUUAUUAUUAUUUUGAAUACUCGUCUCUUAAUGGUUGAAAAUUGAAACCAUUAAAAUCCGAUUUCGUUAUAUCUAAUCUUCAUCGUUUGAACAGUUUAGUUUCAUAUCUUGUAUCCUCUGUAUGAUCUUGUUGCAUAAAACUUCGCACAUUCUACACAUUUUUGGAAUGCCCAUUAUAUGUUCGAUGAAACGCCUUUGAGAGGGCGAAUUUCGUUUUGUUUCUAAUUUCGAUCUCAUCUAAUUGUAAUUUGCCUAUUAAUAUUCCAACAUCUGAAAACCCUCUGUUUGAGCAUUGAAAUCUUCGUUUAUUAUUUAAAUUUCCGUUCAUGUUAUCUUCUUGGAAUAAUUUAAAUUCUCCAAAAACUCCUUCAUCCCUUUGAUCACUAUUUGAGGUUCGUCGAAUUUAUUAUUCUAAAUCCCUUUGUGCUCCGUCCCGACCUAUUUGCAUACCAUUAUAUUCUCUUUGCAUGUUCAUUUUAGUUAGCUUAUAGAGAAUCGCAUGUUUCUAUUUUAGGUUUCGAUGAUUAAUUUUCUGCGCAGUUUCGACUGGAUAAUUUCUCUCUUUAAAGCUGCGUUAAGGUAAGCGACCGGACACCCGUUAGUUUUUCGUAAGAUAAAUUAGGAAAAUAUUCCGAUUGUACCAAAUCUUAUUUUGUAGAUUUUAAAAUUAAGGGUUAAGCAUAUUGUUUAAUAUUUCUGUAAAUUGAGCUUCAACUGUAAUUGACAGGUCCUUUUAGCAAAAUGAACUUUUGAAAUUUGAUAAUCUGUUUUGUAAAUUAGUGACUGGAUAAUUUUUUUAAUUAUAAUGUCUCAUAGUAUUCUGCUAUGCUAUGUUGGCCAUGUCGACAUGUAUUUUGUUAUAGAAGCAAGCUUCGUCUUUGUAUUGCGCCUUCGGGUGCCUGCGCCUAUCCGCGCCUUUAUUUUGUUUGCGCCUUCGGGUGCCUGCGCUUAUCCGCGCCUUUGUUUUGUUGCAACUUCGGGUGUCUCUGUUUUGUUUACGCCUUCGGGUGUCUUUAGAUCUCGCCAACGGAUCAUAUGAUAUAGUUAAGUGCCGGAGACUUAAUGUUUACGAUUAUCUUUUGCAUGUUAUCUAUCUGAUUCUGUAGCCUUGUAUAUUUACUAAUUUAGUAGAUAUGCGGCAUCUGUUAUGCCUCGGGUUUGGGGCGUGGCAAUAAGGGCGCACAAAGAGAAGGGAUUUCUAUAACUGAUUCAGUAUUUUUAAAGGGAAGAGAGAAACUAAUUGAACUAAAGGUCUCAAAUGGCUACCGAACUCUAGAUCAUGAGCCAAAUUAGGAGGAAAUUGAACUACCUAAAGCUUGCUGAUAAAUAAUAACAAAGACACAGAGACCACGUGAAAACCUAAAAUCUAAUCAAUAAAACUCAAUGCUCCUCCUUUCGAAUAAUGCUCUUGAACCAGUAAGCCGAGUUCUUAGGGUAUCGCUUGAGCGUGUUGAAAUCAACGUAGACUAGGCCGAACCUCGAUGUGUUCCCCAACUGCCACUCAAAAUUGUCGAGCAGGGACCACGCAAAGUAGCCGAUCACAUUGGCGCCCUGCUCCAUCGCACUGCGUAGUUCGGUCAAGUAGCUCCUGUAGUAGUUGAUCCUUGUUGUAUCCUCCAAUGCGUGAGGAAGAGUCACGUUACCAGCUUGGUCCAUUCCUGCAUUCAUCGUCACAAACAACAAAGCAAAGUUUAGUUAAUCAUUAAUUGCCGAUAGAAGUGAACAUAGAGAGAGGGUUAGAAUUGACUUUUAAGUUGUUAAUACCAUUUUCAGCAAGAAUGAUUGUUGGGCUGUUAUAUGCCUCCUUAACGUAAGUCACAGCUUUGUAUAUUCCCCAUGGAACAAUGUAAAGCCAAUAUGAAUUUGCCUGCAUCAAUAAAUCCAAAACUAAUUGAUUUUCAAAAUUCCUUUCAUGUAUGCUAAAUAAAGAAGAUCACGACGUUGUGUAGGUGUCACCUUCUUGUGCUAAAAAACAAGAAUGAUUGAAAUCUAUGAAUGAGAAGAAAUGAAGAUAAUACAGAACUACGAAUGUAAAAGAGAGAGAAAAAAAAAUGAAGAUAAUACCAAACUAUGAUUGUGAAAGAGAGUGAAUAAAAAUAGUCCUUCACAUCUAUGGCUAAGUUAAAUAGUUCAUAAGUCAAUAUCAAUGCUAGUAAUGAGUAUAAAAUUACCAGUUUUCCGAUUUCCACACCAUUACGAUCAUCUACAAAGGAAAGUUCAGAAAUGGAAGGGAUUAGUAUAGCAUUGUUAAAACACCAUCAGCAUGUACUUAAGUCUAUAUAAUCACUCGAGAGGCCAGAGAGAACUCACAAAUAUAAUUAACAUGCCAGUCAUUUGAGUAGCUGACUUCCAUACCACUGGUCGGUUUUUGGUCCCCCAUAUAGUAAGCGGUGUACUGAUUGAUGCCCACGUAAUCGAACGAACCUUUAACAAUCUUAACCUCCUUAGCAGUGAACUUGGGCAACCUGUCCUUGACAAUCUCUUGCAUUGUGUUUGGAUAGUGACCAUACACAAUCGGGUGAAGGAACCUGCAAUAGAUUGAAACCGUGUUUGUAAAUACUCAAUUUUCUUAAUGAUGAUGACAAGUUAGGUAUUAGUUAAAAUAUUUUUGUGAUUUUACCAUCCAAGAUGGAAGUCUCUGGCUCUUUGAGCGGCUGCUUUGUCCUCUGCAGAGUAAGUAUGAGGCUCAUACCAUACAAAGUCCAAGAGUAUUCCAAUCUUUCCCUUUUGAGAAGCCUGAAAAUAGUUAAUUUUCAUAAAUAUUCUGUCGCUUUUUGAUUAACUAACAGCAUCUAAUAUGACAACUGAGAUAGCAGAGCAAUUAGUCGUGCCUUUCACAUGAAAUACACAAGAAACGUUUCCAAUGUAACUAACAAAAGUUACUAUAUGAUUUCCUACGUAACACAAGAAAGGUUUCCAAUGUAACUAACUGCAAGUUGUUCUAUGCUUUCCAAUGUAACACAAGAAACGUUUCCAAUGUAAAAAACAAAGUUGUUCUCAGCUAGAAAUUUGUCCAGGGAAUCUCCAAACAACAAGAUUUUGUUCCAGCAUCCUCUUAUUAAUAAGCCAUUUUUCAAGCUCCCAACUGAGAACAACUUCACAAUAUGAAUGUAAGGAGUAUUCACUAACAAACUUCCUUUUGUGACUUCCUUUUGUGUGUGAUCUACUCUCCAAGAAAAGAGAAAUCUUGUAGGUCAAAUUAGGAAGAAAAUCAGUUCUCAAACUACUGGCAAGCAAGUACAACAAACAAAUUAUUUUGAAAAUAGAUCUUGAUUGACACCUUUCUUGAUUUGUAGGCCCUAUAAAAGUUUAGAAGUUGCAAAAGAAAAUUUCUGAGGUGUAAGAAUAUGAAGAACACCAAGCUGAUAGAGAAAUCGAAGGACAGUUACAUGCUCAGACAUAUACCUGAUACUUCUCACGAUAUCGCUUCACCGCAGCAGCAUGAGAUAAGAUGAGAUGAUGGGCCACAGUGUAGGGCUCUGUACUUGAGUUUCCCCCUGCUUUACAACCAGUACACCUUCCCGGGGCAUGCAAACCGUUAUCAUACCCAAGAGCCGCCACGCACCUCGGCUCAUUCAUUGUGAACCAGUUUUUCACUCUAUCCCCAAAUGUCUUGAAGCAAAAGUCGGCAUAGUCCGCGAAUGCAGGCCUAAAUCAACAUGUCGCGAACACAAAUAUCAAAAUACAGAUAUCAAAAACAAAUAACAAUAAUUACAGUAAGAAAAAAAAAUGAAUGAGAAAAAAAGCUAAUCCAUCUUUGCUUACAGGACAAAUUACUUUUAGGCCCUGUUUGGAUGCAUGAAUAUCUUGUUCAGUAUUUCUCCUUUGAAAUUUCUACAUUUGAUUUAAAGGGAGUGCAAUCAAAUGUUUAGAAUUUGAUACUAUAUUAGGCUUUCAAGUCAUAUUUUGGAUAAGAGAAAUCACAUCGUAGGUAAAAUACGCUAUCCUACCAAAUUAUGGAUAACAAGCCCUUCGAAGGAGUAAAAAUCAAAUUCCUUACUUACAAUCAUGUUACAAAAUUCUUAAACGGAAGAAGUUAGUUUUUGGAUAGCUUAUUCCGACAUCCAAACAAAGCAUUAUGCAGACACCUUGGUCAUACUAUUAUGAAUAAGAAUUAUUUUUACUGUGAAUAGAUAAAAUGUAUCUGGUUAAGAUUUGUGAAAUAUUGCUCUGUCAGUAGCAAAACUAGCUCUAUUAAUAUCAAUUCCCGUCUGUAAAUACAAAUUGCAACUAACGGGACCAUAAUGCUAGAAUGAGUCAAGAAUAAGUAAUAGAAUAGGGAAAGAGAAACGAUUAGCAGAAUAGAACAAUACGGUAAUAGGAUGUAAAAAAAAAAACACACACACACAACUCGAACUUACACUAUCUUCGGGUUUAACCAGCCAAGAUACUCCUCAUGAAGCGCCAAUGGGAGAUCAUAGUGGUAGAGAUUCGCAUACGGAGUGAUGCCUACAAAAUAAUGAAUAUUUCUCAGUUUCUCAGUUUAGUAUAUCAUUUAAGAAUUUAUUGACUUAAAAUCAUCUACUUGAGAACUUUACUUAAAAAAGAAAAAGAAAAAUGCUUCAGAGGGAAUGUACCUUGCUUGAUCAUGUAGUCGAUAAGCCUAUUGUAGUAUGCUACACCCUCCCAAUUGACCUUCCCAACCCCCUCUGAAUAGAUGGAGAACAAGUUUCAAUAAAGAUAUUUGCAAGAACACAAUGCUAUUUCUGUUACGAAUAUGAGGGGCUGUUUGGUUGCUUGCAUUUCAAGUUGCAUUACAGAUGCAACUACUUAGAAACCUAAAUAUUUUGCUCGGUUUGCUGCAGGUGCAUCUGCGUGCUGCAGUUGGAGGCCCAACUGUUGUAUUUCAAACUACAUGCACCUCCAAAUGGUGCCGAAAUACAAGUUUAAAAGAUCACUAAUUGUUGGUACCUGGGAAAAUGCGGGACCAGGAGAUUGAGAAGCGGUAUGCAUCAAAGCCCAUCUCCUUCAUUAUGUCUACAUCUUCCUGUGCCACAAGAAAGCAGAUUAAUCGAUACAAUAAAUAAGAGAAAAAUUAUGAUCCUCGAGGAAAGAACAUUAAAGAAGAAGCAGAUUCUUCAUGCUUAGUUAGUUAUGAACCAAUUUGGGACCUGAAAUUUAAAUUGGGUUUGGGGAUUUUAAUUUUAUCCCAGUUCGAUCCCAUUUUGCAAAAGGCGCAACAGAGAAAGAAACAAUUCAUUUUCAUAAUUACCUUAUAGCGAUGAUACUCGUCGGUUGUGACAUCGGCAGUAGCAUUAUUCGGAAUAUUACCUGCCCAUAAACAAACAAAAUAAUACUACAUAAAUAAAAUACAGCAUAACCAUCAUACAUAUUAAUAUAUAUGAACUAUUAUUUAAUUAACAUGUGAAGAAUAUGACCUGGGAUCUUAACAAAUGCGUCCCAAAUGCUAGGUCCCCUCCCAGCCUUGAGGGCCAUCCCUUCGACCUGGUACGCCGACGACGCCGUGCCGAAGACGAACCCCUCCGGGAAGCUCGCGCGGCUCAGCCCGCCCGUCCCGUUGUAUUCUGCCGCAGAGAAGCGGAUCGCCCCCGCCAGCACCCCGAAAAGGAAGAAGAAGAAGAAGACCGCACUCAACUUCUUCUUCAUCUUCAUCUUCAUCUUCAUCUUCACGGUGUGUCGUCUGCUUAGCAGCUUACUAAUCUUGCUCAGUUGAGUUGAGUACUUGAGUGGCAGUACAGAUAGUAUAAUAAUUGAAGAGUGGAGGGUCGUACUGGUACCGUCCUAUCUUCUUUUAUUUAUAGUAGAAAGAAUAUAAAAAGCGAGAUAAAAACAGAUAGGCAAAAGUAAUUUCGCUGUAAUAACAGAGCCCUAUCUGUGGAAUCAUGUUAGGUACAGUUUCCAAAUUGACAGGCAUGGAAAAUAGGGAUCCGAUAACAACGCCACCCAUUCUCCUGUCUCUUCCUCCCGUGAAUUUCGAUACCAGGCAAUACGAUUCGUACACCAAUAAAAAAUAUUUAUACAUACAGUCAUAAUUAUUUUAAUUUAUUUUAAAUUUAUAUAAAUUUGUAAAUUAUAUUUACCUAAAAAAUUAUAAUAAAAACUAUAUUUUAUAAACUUAUACCUUAUAUUUUACUAAAAAAUAUCUUUAAUAUUCUAUAUUAUCCUUUAAUUUUUUUAUACAUCGAAUAUUUUUAUAAUUUUUUGAAUUUUGAUGAAUCCAUAAUUUAAGUAUGUAUUUACAUUAAAGUUAUCAAAAUUUAAUUUAUAAUUAUUUUAAAAUUUAAAAUUUAAUUUUGAAUUUUAGUUUGUCGAUUGACCCAUUUUUAAUUUGUUUAUGAUUUUUCUUUUUUCUUACGUAAAACAAUUAACGUAACGAAACAAACUUUUAAUUCUUUUCAAAAAAUAUGGAUAGUAGUAAAAUUAACACAUGAUAGCAAAUCAGAAGUGCUCCAAUCAGGAUCGUCGAGAGCUUCUCACUAAAAUUCUAUCCCUGUUCAUCUGAUCAGAGAAAUUUCUCUACCGGUCAUAUCAAUAUGAUUGAUAAAAAAAAAUCCCACUCAUAAAAUAAAUAAAAUAUAAGAUAUAUAUCCAAAAUGAAAUAUGCCGUUGGCAUUUUUCUUUCCAUACAGAGUUGGAUUUUCCAAUGGCGUCUUAACUUCAAAUUUUUUAGUUUUGAAUUUUUAUUUUUUUACUAUUUUUAAUUUUUGAUUUAAACUUUUAUCUUUUAUUAAAUUAUUAUUUUUCGUGUUAAAUAUAUCAUAAAUAUGAAAUAUGCCGUUGGCAUUUUUCUUUCCAUACAGAGUUGGAUUUUCCAAUGGCGUCUUAAAUAUAAAUUUUUUAGUUUUGAAUUUUUAUUUUUUUACUAUUUUUAAUUUUUGAUUUAAACUUUUAUCUUUUAUUAAAUUAUUAUUUUUCGUGUUAAAUAUAUCAUAAAUAUAUAAAAUUUCGUCCCGUUACAAAUAGGUAUAGUUAUUCAACUUAAAAUUUAUAUAUAUUUGGUAUCUAAACUUUUAUUAGGGCAUGUGUGGUUCGAGGUAUUUUAAAAAACUCUAAAAAUGAGGAUUAAGAAUUAUUAAUUUUUAUGUUUGAUUAAUUACAGAAAUCUAACUUGAUAGAAAUUUAUACUUUUUCUGAAUUAGAAACGUGAGAAUUCAAAGCAUGUCCCAUAAAAUUUUAAAUUUUAAAAGCCAAAUAGGUCCUUAAAGUAUGUAACGAACCACUCAGUUGUAGUUCAUCCAUUUAUGGCGAUUAACAGUAGUAGAAUAGCUAAAAUAAAAUAAAAGACCCUUAUUUUCAAUAGUUGAAAGCGUGAUUUUUUCUAAUACCAAUUGUAUAAUCUAAGAUCUAAAAUAGAACAAAAUAAUAUGGAAAAAAAAUAUUGGAGGAGGAAGAAGAUAACUAAACUAAUAAGCAACUAAUUAUAUUCUAAACAACACCUAUGCAGCGUCUACUAUGAUUUAUUCAUCUAAUUAAUUAACCAAUGCCUAACUAUAUAUAGCCAUCAAAUCAUAACAGAUAAUAAAUCCAACUUUUACUUUGGAUAAGUACAAAUCCUAUUCAAUGUAUAAUUUGAAUAUACUCUAUCUCUAACUAAAUUUUAAAUUAAAUUUGGAUUAUUAUUUCCAACAUCCUUCCUUAAUCCAAACUUUAUUUUCAAGCUGCGAACUCCGUGAAAUGCGCAUUUUGAUUUUGCAAUCUCUGUCGCUGUUGUUGUCGUCAUGUUCGAGUUGUGCAGUAUGAUGCCCGUCCAAUAAUAUUGCCAUGGUUGAAAUCUUGGUCACUAAUAAUUUUUAUCAUAUGCAUCAGUCUUUACAAAUUGCCAAUACCUACAAAUAUCUUGAAAAACAUGUAAUUUUGAAAAAAUUGGAUUGAGAUGAAUUUUGUAAUUUUGUGGUAGCCGAGAAAAGUCUGAUCGACACAGAUGUUUAUUCGGUACAUUGAUCUCGUGUGAAUUUUCAUAUGUUUUUUGGUUUCUUUAGUCUAAUUUGUAAUCUGAGUCUUCGAUCACAUCAAAAUAAUGAUAAAUUUUCUCCCUGCUUUACUGCAUAAUUUCUUCAUCAACAGAAAUUUCUUCAAUCAUAUUAUCAUUGUGAACUUUCUCGUCAGCCUAAGUCGCACCAUUUUGAUCAACAUAUUUUUCACGAAUCUGAUCUUCUUUAUGAUUUUGAUUAUAUUCUUCUUUCCAAAUUGAGGUUUCUGUAUUUCGCCGUUUGGUUGAAUUUCUUCUUUUUCUUGAAUUUCAUUCUCUUCCUACAAAUAUUCUCCUCCAAUUUUCGAUAGUAUUCUCCACGCUUCUCGUGCCACCUUUAUCGUUGAAAAUUUUCCAACCAACGAUAAAUCCACUGCUUGAAAAAUAUAUGAUAGAACUUCUCUAUCUCUUUUUCUAAAUUUUUAUUUACCAAAUUCUUUUGCAUAAUUUUUAUUCUCCAGUUCAUCCCACAAAUCUUAGGAUUCAAAAAAACAUCGAAUGAUGAUUUUUCAUCGUUUAAAGUUCGUUCCAUAGAACUUUGGUAAGUUAGGUUGAAUAAACCAAUCUAAAUCCAUAAUGAAAACUUGAAAAUCUGAAAAAUAAGUUUCAAAUUUGUAACUUUCAGUUUGGAUGACGUCCUUAGUUCAUCGAGAUCUCGUCGAAUUUUUUGUAUUUCGGCUUGCUUGCCAAGUGUCACGCCCCGCAACUGCCAAUUUGGUCGGUUCGGGCACGCGCACAGACUGCCGAACGGACAGAAUUUUUUCUGUACCCCCCAAGACUCAACAACAUCAUGUACAUUUAGUUUUGCCCAGGUAAAAACAAAUAACAUAUAUGAUUUGCGCGAGAGAAAUAACAAGAGAAAGAGAGAAAUUUAACUAAACUGUUACAUCCACUCAUUUACUUAACAUUUACAACUCUCCAAAAUACAACUGUUUGAUUUAUACACGAGUUUUCUCACUACAUAUUCUCUCCAAAAUACAACAUAACUCUCACAUGGUAUGUACAAGAUAUACUAAUGCACGGGAAGUCUGCUACCUAGGACGCGAUGCCCUUGCCAUGAUUCUCGGCCACUCCGCUAAGACUAGGAUCUGUACAACAAUGGGGUGAAAACUAAAAGAAGUUUUCAAAGGGUUCGGCCGCCUACCCCGCCUAUUUUUUCACUAGAUCUAAGCAGGCAUAAGUAGAGGAAUAUACAAGAAUAAUAAAUACUAACAUACUAUUAUGCCUCAACAAUAUGAAAUGAAAUAAGUAACCAUUAUACUCAUGAUGCAUGUCAUUCAUAUGUUUGUAACCCAAUCUCACUGGCCAACCCGAAGGUUAAGCCUAACUCACAACCAAUCCCACAAAUGAGGAGACACCCAACUCACUCAUCCGGGACCGUCUGCUGGUUAGAUACGUUAACCCAAAAUGUGACAACUCCGGAGUCCACUGCUCAGGUGGAGCGACCACUGCCAAGCCGACAGACGCUAUGUGAGUAUAAUCUAAUCCUCCAACUAGAGGAUACCCUACCAACUAGGGACAACAAUACUCAGGGAUCUAUCAAUCCCUAACAUCUAAUACCAUGAGUGCUAUCAAUUUCUCUAGCCCAAAUGCCACCAUAUUGUCUAUGUUCACCUUCGGUUCAUGUCAUUAUAAAGAUUCCAUUAUUCAAGACCCAAUCCUUAUGCAUAUACAACUGUGUUCCAUCUCACAUUUUCUACAUUUACCAUAAAAGCAUACAAAAAAUGAGUACAUGACAUACACACUACUCUACAAUGUAUGAGUCUACAUUUAAACAUUAUAUCCAUAUAUGGCCAACAAUAGUAACAUAGACAUAGGGAGAAGUCCGAUUGUUUCGGAUAGUACCACCCACCUUGGUUUGAUGCUAAGAGGCGAGAAACCAAGUCCCGCGAUUUUACGAUACCGUCUUUGCUCGACCCAAGGGUAACAAACGGAAAACGGUGUUCUUCUCCAACGGCUCGACGUAGGCUCGUAAGAACUUAGUUUUGAACUUCCCAACAUGUCGAUUUAUCCUUCAAUUAAAGAAUUAAGGAAUCAAUUUCACUAUAAACCCCAUAUCUACAAAAUCCCUAAUUUCAACCCUAGGAUUUCCUUUAACAUGGUGAAGAACCAAUCCCAUGAGAAACCAUGGAUCAUUCUAGGUUUCUAAUCCACAAGAACCCUAAAAACAUAGAUCCUGGGUCAACCAAAGCAAACCCUAGGUUAUACUUGCAAACCCUUACCUUGGUCACCUCUAAACCUCAAGCUCCAUCUUGUAGAAGAGCCUCUUCUACUCCACCAAGCUCCAAAAUCCUUCCAAAUCCCUCCAAUCCAUCUUGUUGGAGAGAUCCUAGCGAAAGAAGGAGAGGAAGAUGUGAAGAGGGGAAGAAAAAGGGUGUUCUCAGCCUGUGGAGAAGAAAGAAGGGUGUGGGGGCUAUUUAUAAGUUCCCACAAUUGCAAAUAGGUCCUUCAACAAUUUACAUUUGCAACCCUUCAAAAUAUGCACAUUUUACACUGGGUACUGGUACACGGGGUUGGAUACCGGUACCCCCGGGUGGACAUCUCAACCCGAAAGCUGCCUUUCUGCGCAGGCCGCUGGAUACCGGUACACGGGACUGAGUACCGGUACGCGGGUACUCCAGUACCAGUACGCGGUUUCCAAUACCGGUACAUAGCUUCGCUGCAACCAAAGCCGAGAGCAACCCUUCUCGGGUUAUUUGUUGGGUACCGGUACACGGCCAUCAGUACCGGUACCAAAGCUUCCCAGUACCAGUACUGCCUCAAUUCAAUACCGGUACACAGGGCCCCAAACUCAAACCCGAGAGCAGACUUUCUCUGCAUCUAUAUCAGGUACCGGUACUAAGCUACAUUACCGGUACACAGUUCCCAGACUACAAUUUUCCCAGGUUUUGAGUUCGUUUUCUCGUCGGAUAAUGGUAAAACCUCUCAGACACUAUCCGGGGUCUCUUUUAACAAACUGAAACCCUUCGGGACCAGAUACAGAGCAUGUCCCUAGGCUCACUUUACCACACAUUGAUCCAUUUGAUCAAGGUUGGUACGAUACUCCGAGGAGCCGAUACCUUACACCAAGCUCUUCUCGCUAUCUAGUCAAGUCUUCUUGAGUUUCUUCACAGGCUCUCCUUGCUCUCUUUUCGUCAAGCAUCACAACCACCUAUUAUCGUUUGUUGUGCGAAGUCCAACUUUUUCAAAGUGAUUUCUUUACUUUGGUUUCACUGAACGUCACCCUCGUUGAUCAUCUACGAGUCACUUGACUUUGCCGUAGCUAUCCGGUACAUUGGAUCUAUAUUCUUUUCGAAUACGCUAUCAUCUGGUUUAUAAGCCAAAUGGUACUUUCCGGCUCUAAUACCACUUGUUGGAAGCGUGAUUUUCUCUGAUACUAAUUGUAUAACCCAAGAUCUAAAAGCGAAUAAAAUAAUAUGGAGAAAAGAUAUUAGAGGAGGAGGAAGAUAAUUAAACUAAUAAGCAAUUAAUUACAUUUUGGACAACACCUAUAUAAACAGCCAUAUCUACUAUAACUUAUUCAUCUAAUUAACCAAUGCCUAACUAUAUAUAUGUAGAGACCUGGAAUUUUAGCUGAGGCUUGUCGACAGCUCUGGAGAGUGUCGGGACAAGUCCGGGUCGCGUUGGCGCGAAGUGGACGCCAAACGGGCCUUGUGGGAACUUGAGAGUAGCGUGUAUCUUGAAGAUCUGCGAAAUAGCAGAUUUUCAGUGAGCUAUACCGGUACAAAUCUGGGUUUGUACCGGUACAACAUCGAUUGCUAUACCGGUAUAACCACUAGGGCUAUACCGGUAUAGCCCCGCGCAGCUAGGCUCUCGGGUUGCCUGUUUGUACCGGUACAGGGGGGGGUUUUGUACCGGUACAAAGUGGAAGCAGGGUGCAAGUUGACUUUUUGGCCAUCUUGUCAUAUCACCCCCCUUUAACCCUUACCUUGGAGCAGAGAGGAGAGAGAGAGGGGAGCUUCUUCAUGCUGCUGCUGUGCUUCUUCUUCCUCUCCUUCUACUUCCCUUAGCAACCUAGAGUGUUGGAGGAGCUCAAGAGAAGCUCGAGCUUCGUCGACGACGCGCCGCGGAGCGGAUCGAGCGAGUUUUCGACGAGGUGACGCUGCGAGGAGGCCGUGCUACAGCCGAUCCUUGCCAUCCUCGACGAGGUGCUGCUCGCAGGGAGGGUUUGUCGAGGUGAGUGGCUCCUCGAGAUCGCUUUUAUGGCUUUAAACUUCUACGAUUUUCGAACUGCACUGCUGCUGCUGCUGAUUCCAGCGUCGACCCGCAGAGUUUUGACUCGUAUUCCGCGCAGGAGCAUCGGAACGUGACGCGACUUGAUUCGUUGGAACCGAGACUUCGAGACGAAUCCAUAGGAUCCUAAAUUGUAAUCCAAUUAAUAAACUAAACUUAUCUUAUAUAAGUAUUCAAUGCGCAUAAAUACAGAAUUAACAUAAUUCAAAAUAUCAUUAUAAAAUAUACAGUGCCCCUUGAUUUCAAGCCAACACAUAUUCUCAUGGAUGUUUUUCGGGACUUUCUAUAGGUCCGUCUACUCACUGCAAACCAGCGUCAAUCAGCCGAGCUACUAGAACCUACAUUACACCGCGUUCGGCGUGCCGGAGGCCGUGCUACCCUUCGGAGCACUGCGACCACAGUGGAAAGGCGCACAGCACAUGUGAACUUCAGCAAAAUACAGCGAGUCACUUUAAUGCGCGUCAAACCAACGCAAACCGGAAACGUUCCCGACGGAGGGAGCACGAUGUUAGCACGAAGUUAAGAUAUGUGCUACUUCCCGGAUCAUCGAGUGUGCUCGACACCAAGAAGAGGUGACCGGAACCCUAAAAACAACUAUGCAGAAAGCUAAUACGUUAACUCACCGGAGCAUAAGGUAAUGCACGGGAACGGCCUGCGCGCGCGGCCGGAUUGGCUACCAGCCAGGAGGGUGAGGCCAGAGCGUGAGGCCAGGGCGCAGCGUCGCGCCGACGUCGGGCUGGCGGAAGGCGGCGGACGCUGAUCCUAUUGCCGCACAACCCGAGAGAGCUCACGAAGCUCCUCCCCAGUUGACAGGGUUCCGCGCGACAGGCGGGCCGGCCGGCGCGGACGGGAGUGCGGUCCGGCCAGGCGGAGACCGGUGCUCGCCGCGCCGCCCUGGCGGAAGCGCGGCCGCAGAUGCUGGACCAAACGAGACCCACACGUUUACCCACGGGACAUCACUAAGGUAAAGCGCCACGCCAAGGCGGAGACGGAGGAGUCGGGCGACGGCGCCAAGUCGCCGAGGUCGACGGGAAGGUCGCGCACCAUGCCGCGGGCUGGCGCCACGCGCGGUGGUCGAAGAAGACCAAGUCUUCCGGCCGUUAAGUCUGAGCGAGCCCAGAGAGGGAAGAGAAGGCGGCCGGCACCGGGGUCGACCCGACGCAGCGAUGGCGGCGCGGGGGCACCGAGUCACAGCAGGGCGCGCCCGAGAGGAACGGCGGUGGCUGCGCGAGGCAGGGAUACCCCAGCUUCGCUGGGUGGUGUCCCCUGGGCGCCGCAGGCGGUACGACGGUCUCCGGGGCACCGCGAGGGGGUGUCGGCGGUGAGGGUCCGCCGGGCGGGAAGUGGCUCGGGCGUCGGGGCUCACCUCCACUUGAGGCCUGGCGUUCAGGGUGUGGGGUACAUCCUCGGCCAGGUGGAGGAGAGGGAGGGAAGGUUAGAGCUUGNNNNNNNNNNNNNNNNNNNNNNNNNNNNNNNNNNNNNNNNNNNNNNNNNNNNNNNNNNNNNNNNNNNNNNNNNNNNNNNNNNNNNNNNNNNNNNNNNNNNNNNNNNNNNNNNNNNNNNNNNNNNNNNNNNNNNNNNNNNNNNNNNNNNNNNNNNNNNNNNNNNNNNNNNNNNNNNNNNNNNNNNNNNNNNNNNNNNNNNNNNNNNNNNNNNNNNNNNNNNNNNNNNNNNNNNNNNNNNNNNNNNNNNNNNNNNNNNNNNNNNNNNNNNNNNNNNNNNNNNNNNNNNNNNNNNNNNNNNNNNNNNNNNNNNNNNNNNNNNNNNNNNNNNNNNNNNNNNNNNNNNNNNNNNNNNNNNNNNNNNNNNNNNNNNNNNNNNNNNNNNNNNNNNNNNNNNNNNNNNNNNNNNNNNNNNNNNNNNNNNNNNNNNNNNNNNNNNNNNNNNNNNNNNNNNNNNNNNNNNNNNNNNNNNNNNNNNNNNNNNNNNNNNNNNNNNNNNNNNNNNNNNNNNNNNNNNNNNNNNNNNNNNNNNNNNNNNNNNNNNNNNNNNNNNNNNNNNNNNNNNNNNNNNNNNNNNNNNNNNNNNNNNNNNNNNNNNNNNNNNNNNNNNNNNNNNNNNNNNNNNNNNNNNNNNNNNNNNNNNNNNNNNNNNNNNNNNNNNNNNNNNNNNNNNNNNNNNNNNNNNNNNNNNNNNNNNNNNNNNNNNNNNNNNNNNNNNNNNNNNNNNNNNNNNNNNNNNNNNNNNNNNNNNNNNNNNNNNNNNNNNNNNNNNNNNNNNNNNNNNNNNNNNNNNNNNNNNNNNNNNNNNNNNNNNNNNNNNNNNNNNNNNNNNNNNNNNNNNNNNNNNNNNNNNNNNNNNNNNNNNNNNNNNNNNNNNNNNNNNNNNNNNNNNNNNNNNNNNNNNNNNNNNNNNNNNNNNNNNNNNNNNNNNNNNNNNNNNNNNNNNNNNNNNNNNNNNNNNNNNNNNNNNNNNNNNNNNNNNNNNNNNNNNNNNNNNNNNNNNNNNNNNNNNNNNNNNNNNNNNNNNNNNNNNNNNNNNNNNNNNNNNNNNNNNNNNNNNNNNNNNNNNNNNNNNNNNNNNNNNNNNNNNNNNNNNNNNNNNNNNNNNNNNNNNNNNNNNNNNNNNNNNNNNNNNNNNNNNNNNNNNNNNNNNNNNNNNNNNNNNNNNNNNNNNNNNNNNNNNNNNNNNNNNNNNNNNNNNNNNNNNNNNNNNNNNNNNNNNNNNNNNNNNNNNNNNNNNNNNNNNNNNNNNNNNNNNNNNNNNNNNNNNNNNNNNNNNNNNNNNNNNNNNNNNNNNNNNNNNNNNNNNNNNNNNNNNNNNNNNNNNNNNNNNNNNNNNNNNNNNNNNNNNNNNNNNNNNNNNNNNNNNNNNNNNNNNNNNNNNNNNNNNNNNNNNNNNNNNNNNNNNNNNNNNNNNNNNNNNNNNNNNNNNNNNNNNNNNNNNNNNNNNNNNNNNNNNNNNNNNNNNNNNNNNNNNNNNNNNNNNNNNNNNNNNNNNNNNNNNNNNNNNNNNNNNNNNNNNNNNNNNNNNNNNNNNNNNNNNNNNNNNNNNNNNNNNNNNNNNNNNNNNNNNNNNNNNNNNNNNNNNNNNNNNNNNNNNNNNNNNNNNNNNNNNNNNNNNNNNNNNNNNNNNNNNNNNNNNNNNNNNNNNNNNNNNNNNNNNNNNNNNNNNNNNNNNNNNNNNNNNNNNNNNNNNNNNNNNNNNNNNNNNNNNNNNNNNNNNNNNNNNNNNNNNNNNNNNNNNNNNNNNNNNNNNNNNNNNNNNNNNNNNNNNNNNNNNNNNNNNNNNNNNNNNNNNNNNNNNNNNNNNNNNNNNNNNNNNNNNNNNNNNNNNNNNNNNNNNNNNNNNNNNNNNNNNNNNNNNNNNNNNNNNNNNNNNNNNNNNNNNNNNNNNNNNNNNNNNNNNNNNNNNNNNNNNNNNNNNNNNNNNNNNNNNNNNNNNNNNNNNNNNNNNNNNNNNNNNNNNNNNNNNNNNNNNNNNNNNNNNNNNNNNNNNNNNNNNNNNNNNNNNNNNNNNNNNNNNNNNNNNNNNNNNNNNNNNNNNNNNNNNNNNNNNNNNNNNNNNNNNNNNNNNNNNNNNNNNNNNNNNNNNNNNNNNNNNNNNNNNNNNNNNNNNNNNNNNNNNNNNNNNNNNNNNNNNNNNNNNNNNNNNNNNNNNNNNNNNNNNNNNNNNNNNNNNNNNNNNNNNNNNNNNNNNNNNNNNNNNNNNNNNNNNNNNNNNNNNNNNNNNNNNNNNNNNNNNNNNNNNNNNNNNNNNNNNNNNNNNNNNNNNNNNNNNNNNNNNNNNNNNNNNNNNNNNNNNNNNNNNNNNNNNNNNNNNNNNNNNNNNNNNNNNNNNNNNNNNNNNNNNNNNNNNNNNNNNNNNNNNNNNNNNNNNNNNNNNNNNNNNNNNNNNNNNNNNNNNNNNNNNNNNNNNNNNNNNNNNNNNNNNNNNNNNNNNNNNNNNNNNNNNNNNNNNNNNNNNNNNNNNNNNNNNNNNNNNNNNNNNNNNNNNNNNNNNNNNNNNNNNNNNNNNNNNNNNNNNNNNNNNNNNNNNNNNNNNNNNNNNNNNNNNNNNNNNNNNNNNNNNNNNNNNNNNNNNNNNNNNNNNNNNNNNNNNNNNNNNNNNNNNNNNNNNNNNNNNNNNNNNNNNNNNNNNNNNNNNNNNNNNNNNNNNNNNNNNNNNNNNNNNNNNNNNNNNNNNNNNNNNNNNNNNNNNNNNNNNNNNNNNNNNNNNNNNNNNNNNNNNNNNNNNNNNNNNNNNNNNNNNNNNNNNNNNNNNNNNNNNNNNNNNNNNNNNNNNNNNNNNNNNNNNNNNNNNNNNNNNNNNNNNNNNNNNNNNNNNNNNNNNNNNNNNNNNNNNNNNNNNNNNNNNNNNNNNNNNNNNNNNNNNNNNNNNNNNNNNNNNNNNNNNNNNNNNNNNNNNNNNNNNNNNNNNNNNNNNNNNNNNNNNNNNNNNNNNNNNNNNNNNNNNNNNNNNNNNNNNNNNNNNNNNNNNNNNNNNNNNNNNNNNNNNNNNNNNNNNNNNNNNNNNNNNNNNNNNNNNNNNNNNNNNNNNNNNNNNNNNNNNNNNNNNNNNNNNNNNNNNNNNNNNNNNNNNNNNNNNNNNNNNNNNNNNNNNNNNNNNNNNNNNNNNNNNNNNNNNNNNNNNNNNNNNNNNNNNNNNNNNNNNNNNNNNNNNNNNNNNNNNNNNNNNNNNNNNNNNNNNNNNNNNNNNNNNNNNNNNNNNNNNNNNNNNNNNNNNNNNNNNNNNNNNNNNNNNNNNNNNNNNNNNNNNNNNNNNNNNNNNNNNNNNNNNNNNNNNNNNNNNNNNNNNNNNNNNNNNNNNNNNNNNNNNNNNNNNNNNNNNNNNNNNNNNNNNNNNNNNNNNNNNNNNNNNNNNNNNNNNNNNNNNNNNNNNNNNNNNNNNNNNNNNNNNNNNNNNNNNNNNNNNNNNNNNNNNNNNNNNNNNNNNNNNNNNNNNNNNNNNNNNNNNNNNNNNNNNNNNNNNNNNNNNNNNNNNNNNNNNNNNNNNNNNNNNNNNNNNNNNNNNNNNNNNNNNNNNNNNNNNNNNNNNNNNNNNNNNNNNNNNNNNNNNNNNNNNNNNNNNNNNNNNNNNNNNNNNNNNNNNNNNNNNNNNNNNNNNNNNNNNNNNNNNNNNNNNNNNNNNNNNNNNNNNNNNNNNNNNNNNNNNNNNNNNNNNNNNNNNNNNNNNNNNNNNNNNNNNNNNNNNNNNNNNNNNNNNNNNNNNNNNNNNNNNNNNNNNNNNNNNNNNNNNNNNNNNNNNNNNNNNNNNNNNNNNNNNNNNNNNNNNNNNNNNNNNNNNNNNNNNNNNNNNNNNNNNNNNNNNNNNNNNNNNNNNNNNNNNNNNNNNNNNNNNNNNNNNNNNNNNNNNNNNNNNNNNNNNNNNNNNNNNNNNNNNNNNNNNNNNNNNNNNNNNNNNNNNNNNNNNNNNNNNNNNNNNNNNNNNNNNNNNNNNNNNNNNNNNNNNNNNNNNNNNNNNNNNNNNNNNNNNNNNNNNNNNNNNNNNNNNNNNNNNNNNNNNNNNNNNNNNNNNNNNNNNNNNNNNNNNNNNNNNNNNNNNNNNNNNNNNNNNNNNNNNNNNNNNNNNNNNNNNNNNNNNNNNNNNNNNNNNNNNNNNNNNNNNNNNNNNNNNNNNNNNNNNNNNNNNNNNNNNNNNNNNNNNNNNNNNNNNNNNNNNNNNNNNNNNNNNNNNNNNNNNNNNNNNNNNNNNNNNNNNNNNNNNNNNNNNNNNNNNNNNNNNNNNNNNNNNNNNNNNNNNNNNNNNNNNNNNNNNNNNNNNNNNNNNNNNNNNNNNNNNNNNNNNNNNNNNNNNNNNNNNNNNNNNNNNNNNNNNNNNNNNNNNNNNNNNNNNNNNNNNNNNNNNNNNNNNNNNNNNNNNNNNNNNNNNNNNNNNNNNNNNNNNNNNNNNNNNNNNNNNNNNNNNNNNNNNNNNNNNNNNNNNNNNNNNNNNNNNNNNNNNNNNNNNNNNNNNNNNNNNNNNNNNNNNNNNNNNNNNNNNNNNNNNNNNNNNNNNNNNNNNNNNNNNNNNNNNNNNNNNNNNNNNNNNNNNNNNNNNNNNNNNNNNNNNNNNNNNNNNNNNNNNNNNNNNNNNNNNNNNNNNNNNNNNNNNNNNNNNNNNNNNNNNNNNNNNNNNNNNNNNNNNNNNNNNNNNNNNNNNNNNNNNNNNNNNNNNNNNNNNNNNNNNNNNNNNNNNNNNNNNNNNNNNNNNNNNNNNNNNNNNNNNNNNNNNNNNNNNNNNNNNNNNNNNNNNNNNNNNNNNNNNNNNNNNNNNNNNNNNNNNNNNNNNNNNNNNNNNNNNNNNNNNNNNNNNNNNNNNNNNNNNNNNNNNNNNNNNNNNNNNNNNNNNNNNNNNNNNNNNNNNNNNNNNNNNNNNNNNNNNNNNNNNNNNNNNNNNNNNNNNNNNNNNNNNNNNNNNNNNNNNNNNNNNNNNNNNNNNNNNNNNNNNNNNNNNNNNNNNNNNNNNNNNNNNNNNNNNNNNNNNNNNNNNNNNNNNNNNNNNNNNNNNNNNNNNNNNNNNNNNNNNNNNNNNNNNNNNNNNNNNNNNNNNNNNNNNNNNNNNNNNNNNNNNNNNNNNNNNNNNNNNNNNNNNNNNNNNNNNNNNNNNNNNNNNNNNNNNNNNNNNNNNNNNNNNNNNNNNNNNNNNNNNNNNNNNNNNNNNNNNNNNNNNNNNNNNNNNNNNNNNNNNNNNNNNNNNNNNNNNNNNNNNNNNNNNNNNNNNNNNNNNNNNNNNNNNNNNNNNNNNNNNNNNNNNNNNNNNNNNNNNNNNNNNNNNNNNNNNNNNNNNNNNNNNNNNNNNNNNNNNNNNNNNNNNNNNNNNNNNNNNNNNNNNNNNNNNNNNNNNNNNNNNNNNNNNNNNNNNNNNNNNNNNNNNNNNNNNNNNNNNNNNNNNNNNNNNNNNNNNNNNNNNNNNNNNNNNNNNNNNNNNNNNNNNNNNNNNNNNNNNNNNNNNNNNNNNNNNNNNNNNNNNNNNNNNNNNNNNNNNNNNNNNNNNNNNNNNNNNNNNNNNNNNNNNNNNNNNNNNNNNNNNNNNNNNNNNNNNNNNNNNNNNNNNNNNNNNNNNNNNNNNNNNNNNNNNNNNNNNNNNNNNNNNNNNNNNNNNNNNNNNNNNNNNNNNNNNNNNNNNNNNNNNNNNNNNNNNNNNNNNNNNNNNNNNNNNNNNNNNNNNNNNNNNNNNNNNNNNNNNNNNNNNNNNNNNNNNNNNNNNNNNNNNNNNNNNNNNNNNNNNNNNNNNNNNNNNNNNNNNNNNNNNNNNNNNNNNNNNNNNNNNNNNNNNNNNNNNNNNNNNNNNNNNNNNNNNNNNNNNNNNNNNNNNNNNNNNNNNNNNNNNNNNNNNNNNNNNNNNNNNNNNNNNNNNNNNNNNNNNNNNNNNNNNNNNNNNNNNNNNNNNNNNNNNNNNNNNNNNNNNNNNNNNNNNNNNNNNNNNNNNNNNNNNNNNNNNNNNNNNNNNNNNNNNNNNNNNNNNNNNNNNNNNNNNNNNNNNNNNNNNNNNNNNNNNNNNNNNNNNNNNNNNNNNNNNNNNNNNNNNNNNNNNNNNNNNNNNNNNNNNNNNNNNNNNNNNNNNNNNNNNNNNNNNNNNNNNNNNNNNNNNNNNNNNNNNNNNNNNNNNNNNNNNNNNNNNNNNNNNNNNNNNNNNNNNNNNNNNNNNNNNNNNNNNNNNNNNNNNNNNNNNNNNNNNNNNNNNNNNNNNNNNNNNNNNNNNNNNNNNNNNNNNNNNNNNNNNNNNNNNNNNNNNNNNNNNNNNNNNNNNNNNNNNNNNNNNNNNNNNNNNNNNNNNNNNNNNNNNNNNNNNNNNNNNNNNNNNNNNNNNNNNNNNNNNNNNNNNNNNNNNNNNNNNNNNNNNNNNNNNNNNNNNNNNNNNNNNNNNNNNNNNNNNNNNNNNNNNNNNNNNNNNNNNNNNNNNNNNNNNNNNNNNNNNNNNNNNNNNNNNNNNNNNNNNNNNNNNNNNNNNNNNNNNNNNNNNNNNNNNNNNNNNNNNNNNNNNNNNNNNNNNNNNNNNNNNNNNNNNNNNNNNNNNNNNNNNNNNNNNNNNNNNNNNNNNNNNNNNNNNNNNNNNNNNNNNNNNNNNNNNNNNNNNNNNNNNNNNNNNNNNNNNNNNNNNNNNNNNNNNNNNNNNNNNNNNNNNNNNNNNNNNNNNNNNNNNNNNNNNNNNNNNNNNNNNNNNNNNNNNNNNNNNNNNNNNNNNNNNNNNNNNNNNNNNNNNNNNNNNNNNNNNNNNNNNNNNNNNNNNNNNNNNNNNNNNNNNNNNNNNNNNNNNNNNNNNNNNNNNNNNNNNNNNNNNNNNNNNNNNNNNNNNNNNNNNNNNNNNNNNNNNNNNNNNNNNNNNNNNNNNNNNNNNNNNNNNNNNNNNNNNNNNNNNNNNNNNNNNNNNNNNNNNNNNNNNNNNNNNNNNNNNNNNNNNNNNNNNNNNNNNNNNNNNNNNNNNNNNNNNNNNNNNNNNNNNNNNNNNNNNNNNNNNNNNNNNNNNNNNNNNNNNNNNNNNNNNNNNNNNNNNNNNNNNNNNNNNNNNNNNNNNNNNNNNNNNNNNNNNNNNNNNNNNNNNNNNNNNNNNNNNNNNNNNNNNNNNNNNNNNNNNNNNNNNNNNNNNNNNNNNNNNNNNNNNNNNNNNNNNNNNNNNNNNNNNNNNNNNNNNNNNNNNNNNNNNNNNNNNNNNNNNNNNNNNNNNNNNNNNNNNNNNNNNNNNNNNNNNNNNNNNNNNNNNNNNNNNNNNNNNNNNNNNNNNNNNNNNNNNNNNNNNNNNNNNNNNNNNNNNNNNNNNNNNNNNNNNNNNNNNNNNNNNNNNNNNNNNNNNNNNNNNNNNNNNNNNNNNNNNNNNNNNNNNNNNNNNNNNNNNNNNNNNNNNNNNNNNNNNNNNNNNNNNNNNNNNNNNNNNNNNNNNNNNNNNNNNNNNNNNNNNNNNNNNNNNNNNNNNNNNNNNNNNNNNNNNNNNNNNNNNNNNNNNNNNNNNNNNNNNNNNNNNNNNNNNNNNNNNNNNNNNNNNNNNNNNNNNNNNNNNNNNNNNNNNNNNNNNNNNNNNNNNNNNNNNNNNNNNNNNNNNNNNNNNNNNNNNNNNNNNNNNNNNNNNNNNNNNNNNNNNNNNNNNNNNNNNNNNNNNNNNNNNNNNNNNNNNNNNNNNNNNNNNNNNNNNNNNNNNNNNNNNNNNNNNNNNNNNNNNNNNNNNNNNNNNNNNNNNNNNNNNNNNNNNNNNNNNNNNNNNNNNNNNNNNNNNNNNNNNNNNNNNNNNNNNNNNNNNNNNNNNNNNNNNNNNNNNNNNNNNNNNNNNNNNNNNNNNNNNNNNNNNNNNNNNNNNNNNNNNNNNNNNNNNNNNNNNNNNNNNNNNNNNNNNNNNNNNNNNNNNNNNNNNNNNNNNNNNNNNNNNNNNNNNNNNNNNNNNNNNNNNNNNNNNNNNNNNNNNNNNNNNNNNNNNNNNNNNNNNNNNNNNNNNNNNNNNNNNNNNNNNNNNNNNNNNNNNNNNNNNNNNNNNNNNNNNNNNNNNNNNNNNNNNNNNNNNNNNNNNNNNNNNNNNNNNNNNNNNNNNNNNNNNNNNNNNNNNNNNNNNNNNNNNNNNNNNNNNNNNNNNNNNNNNNNNNNNNNNNNNNNNNNNNNNNNNNNNNNNNNNNNNNNNNNNNNNNNNNNNNNNNNNNNNNNNNNNNNNNNNNNNNNNNNNNNNNNNNNNNNNNNNNNNNNNNNNNNNNNNNNNNNNNNNNNNNNNNNNNNNNNNNNNNNNNNNNNNNNNNNNNNNNNNNNNNNNNNNNNNNNNNNNNNNNNNNNNNNNNNNNNNNNNNNNNNNNNNNNNNNNNNNNNNNNNNNNNNNNNNNNNNNNNNNNNNNNNNNNNNNNNNNNNNNNNNNNNNNNNNNNNNNNNNNNNNNNNNNNNNNNNNNNNNNNNNNNNNNNNNNNNNNNNNNNNNNNNNNNNNNNNNNNNNNNNNNNNNNNNNNNNNNNNNNNNNNNNNNNNNNNNNNNNNNNNNNNNNNNNNNNNNNNNNNNNNNNNNNNNNNNNNNNNNNNNNNNNNNNNNNNNNNNNNNNNNNNNNNNNNNNNNNNNNNNNNNNNNNNNNNNNNNNNNNNNNNNNNNNNNNNNNNNNNNNNNNNNNNNNNNNNNNNNNNNNNNNNNNNNNNNNNNNNNNNNNNNNNNNNNNNNNNNNNNNNNNNNNNNNNNNNNNNNNNNNNNNNNNNNNNNNNNNNNNNNNNNNNNNNNNNNNNNNNNNNNNNNNNNNNNNNNNNNNNNNNNNNNNNNNNNNNNNNNNNNNNNNNNNNNNNNNNNNNNNNNNNNNNNNNNNNNNNNNNNNNNNNNNNNNNNNNNNNNNNNNNNNNNNNNNNNNNNNNNNNNNNNNNNNNNNNNNNNNNNNNNNNNNNNNNNNNNNNNNNNNNNNNNNNNNNNNNNNNNNNNNNNNNNNNNNNNNNNNNNNNNNNNNNNNNNNNNNNNNNNNNNNNNNNNNNNNNNNNNNNNNNNNNNNNNNNNNNNNNNNNNNNNNNNNNNNNNNNNNNNNNNNNNNNNNNNNNNNNNNNNNNNNNNNNNNNNNNNNNNNNNNNNNNNNNNNNNNNNNNNNNNNNNNNNNNNNNNNNNNNNNNNNNNNNNNNNNNNNNNNNNNNNNNNNNNNNNNNNNNNNNNNNNNNNNNNNNNNNNNNNNNNNNNNNNNNNNNNNNNNNNNNNNNNNNNNNNNNNNNNNNNNNNNNNNNNNNNNNNNNNNNNNNNNNNNNNNNNNNNNNNNNNNNNNNNNNNNNNNNNNNNNNNNNNNNNNNNNNNNNNNNNNNNNNNNNNNNNNNNNNNNNNNNNNNNNNNNNNNNNNNNNNNNNNNNNNNNNNNNNNNNNNNNNNNNNNNNNNNNNNNNNNNNNNNNNNNNNNNNNNNNNNNNNNNNNNNNNNNNNNNNNNNNNNNNNNNNNNNNNNNNNNNNNNNNNNNNNNNNNNNNNNNNNNNNNNNNNNNNNNNNNNNNNNNNNNNNNNNNNNNNNNNNNNNNNNNNNNNNNNNNNNNNNNNNNNNNNNNNNNNNNNNNNNNNNNNNNNNNNNNNNNNNNNNNNNNNNNNNNNNNNNNNNNNNNNNNNNNNNNNNNNNNNNNNNNNNNNNNNNNNNNNNNNNNNNNNNNNNNNNNNNNNNNNNNNNNNNNNNNNNNNNNNNNNNNNNNNNNNNNNNNNNNNNNNNNNNNNNNNNNNNNNNNNNNNNNNNNNNNNNNNNNNNNNNNNNNNNNNNNNNNNNNNNNNNNNNNNNNNNNNNNNNNNNNNNNNNNNNNNNNNNNNNNNNNNNNNNNNNNNNNNNNNNNNNNNNNNNNNNNNNNNNNNNNNNNNNNNNNNNNNNNNNNNNNNNNNNNNNNNNNNNNNNNNNNNNNNNNNNNNNNNNNNNNNNNNNNNNNNNNNNNNNNNNNNNNNNNNNNNNNNNNNNNNNNNNNNNNNNNNNNNNNNNNNNNNNNNNNNNNUGCCCGAUUCGAGAGAGGUUUGCUCUGUCGAAAUCCCUUUUUACUGAGUUGCUGUUUGCCUAGCAGAAUUUCAGGGAAAAACUUUUCCGGCGACGGCGGCGGCUGCCGGCCGCCGGGGUGCAAGCACGGCGUGGGCAGGGGGCCUCCUAGGCGGCUGGUGCACAGGGAGGGCUAGGGUUAGGGUUUCCCAUGAGCAAACCCUAGAAAAAUCCUAUAUACAAGGUGAAACAUUGCAAGGAAACCCCUCAAGGAUGGAUAAUUCCAAACCCAGUCCUUCACAGCGCGAGUAAUACACACUAAUACCCCUCCAAGAGCGAUCUCAAGCGAAACGGCACAUAAAAUAUUGCGACUUUUGCAAAAAUACCGUUUUCCCCACAACGACCUCUCCUCGAACAACGCGCGAUAUCCGCAGAUCCGUCCGUCAGAUUUGCGAACGGAUUGCACCAGUGCGAUCAGCACGACGGAGACAACAAAGCUACGAUUUCGUUUCGUCUCGAUCGACCACGGAUUCACGACAAAAUCCAACCUUUCGUUCCAAUCGAAAGAAACACACAAAAAUACAUAUAAAACAUGUAUUUUUGGAUUUUCUCGAAAUCCGUGCGUCAAACUCAAAAUCCGUCAGUGCCAUUAGUUCCAGAACAGCUGAACCGGUCGAAACGAGCUAUUGGACUGAUACGAACGGAGUCCGAUACGCACCAGAAGCCAACUCUACUCCGUGGCUUCACCGAAAAACCGGAGUUACUAUUCACUUAAGUGAAAACUAAAAGUCGCGUAUCUUCUCCAUUUUAGCUCAUUUUCGCCCAAAAUUUGACGAGUGCUUAUGUAAUUAAAUUACACACAUAAACAUCAGCAACAGAGAGUUUAGUUGCAUUGUCAAAAAUCUCAGUCCUUACAUUAGAUCUAAGCGAUAAUUAAGCGAUAAGCAAAUCACCGCUUUCUAACUAUGGCAAAUCGUUCACUGCUUAGUUCAAAACAUUAAAAUUGUUUGUUGUGUUUUAUAAAAACGGUAAAUUAUUUAUCGCCUUUAAAAGUAAUAUACAUCUUUUGGAGUUCAUCUUAAAAAAUAUAAUUUACGUAAAUGAGAUGAAUAAUUUAGACAGUAUAUAUCUUUCGAAGUUCAAACAUAGAAAAAAAAAAUAAUCUACGUAAAUACAGUGAAUGAUUUACUGCUUUUAGAAAAAAAAAAAGAAAAAAAAAAGAGAAUCAUCCACAAUUUUAGAAGACGGUGAAUCAUUCAUUGAUUUGGCCUUAUUUUAUGAAUAAAAAUUUUAAAUGCCUAUAUUUAUAAUUAACAAGUUUUAUAAAUUUACUUGCCCAAAAACUUCUUGCUGGUGUGUAUUCUUUGUUAUUUCAUGACCCUUUUGAUAAUUGUUAGCCAAUUUAAGUUGGUAAAACGUAAGCAUAAAUCAUUAAGCAUAUAAAUGAUUAAUGUAAAAAAUGAAAAGCGUGGAUGGCAAUUAUAAAAUAUUUAAAAUUAAGAUGACUACUUGAAAUUGGAAGAAAGUUCUUCUAGUACAAUAAUGUCGAUUUGAAAAAUAAAUUUGCGGGCCAUUUUAGAAUUUUAUCAAACAGUCGCCUAGGUCCCUUUUCUUUUAUUAUUAUUAUUAGGCUAAAUUAUAAAUUUUUUUAAAAAAUAUCUAUUUUUUUACUUUUCAUUCUUGAUCUUUAAAAAUCUAUAUUUUAUUUCCUUAAAAUUUUUAAAAAUAUUUUUAGAAGAGUACGACAUUAAUGGAGAGGAUAAAAUGACCAAAUUACCCUUAUUAUUUCUAUAAGAAAUUUUUUUGAAAUAUAUUUAUAUCAUUUUGAAAAAUAUUUUUGAUAUAAAUUAUAAAAAAUAGACGGAAUUGUGAUUAAAUUCUGAUGGUGGAAGACUAGAUACAACAACUUAAAAUAUUUAGGUGGUUGUUUGGUUCGAAAUCGGAAUCGGUAUCGAAAUCGGAAUGAGAAUAAGCUGGAAAUAGAAUCGGAAUGAUUUAUUAUCUCAUUCUAUUUGGUUCACCAACUGAAUCGGAAUCGGAAUGAGCCAUUCUCGUUGUCGAUGUUUGGUUUAGAUAGAUAUCAGAAACAUAAUCAAAUUAAUAUGUCAAUUUUAUCUUUAUAAUAUAUUAGUUUAAAAUCAAACUGAAAAUUAAAUAUUCAAAAUUUAUAUACAAAUUUUAAAAUGAUGUCAAAAAAUAUUCAAUUUCAAAUUUGAAAUUGAAUGUAUAAUUCAAAAUAUAAAACUAAAUUUUAAUUUAUUCAAAUUCAAACUUAAAAUUAUAAUUUCAAUUUCAAUUUGAAUUCAUAAAUUUAAUUUAAAAUUUAAAUAAAAUUUGAAUAAAACUUUAGAUUUUAAAUUAAAUUUAAAUUUAUAAAUUAGAUUUGAAAUGCUUGAUUGAAUUUUUAAUUUUUAUUUUAAGUUCAAAUUAAAUUUAAAUUUAUAAAUAUAAUUUUUAAAUUUAAACUUAUGUUUUAAUUAAAAAAUAAGAUUGAAAAAGUUAAAUUUAAUCCAAAUAAAUUUAUUCCGCCCGGAUUAAAUUUCCAAUCCGACGUCCUAAGCCUGAUUUAAAAAAGAGAUAAUUAGGGGAUUUCUAUUCACCUCGGAAUCAGAAUCGAAAUGAGAAUUACGCAUACCAAAUACGAACAAAUAAAUUCGUCUAUUCCGAUUUCAACUAAACACCUUUUAAAGUUUCUAAAAGUUAGGAUAAGAAUUUCUUUAAUUUAUCAUUAUUAUUAUUAUUAUUAUUAUUUAACUGAAUCAUGAAGAGCAUGAUUGUCAAUUCGCCAUGGGUAGAAACUAGAAAGAACAGGACAAAAUUAUUGCAUGCACGCCAUGUGUCAUGCACUGGCGCUCUGAAGCCUUACCGAAGAAAAAACAAGCCUUAAAAUUAGAAUUUAGCGUUUCGUAACAUCUAGAAAAUCUAUAGAUUAAAAGUCACAAGUUUGAAUAUAUAUAUAUAUAUAUAUACACUAUUUAUAAGGGGCAAUUACUUAUAUACCUCUAAAAAAUUUCUAACUUUCGAAUUUACUCCUUUUAGAAAGUUAAUAUUGAAAAUACCUUUUUUACGUUCCAACCUAUUUCAAAUAUACCCCUAGGGCAUAUUUGGUUCAUGAUUGGAAUAGGAAUGGAAAAUUAAAUUGAAUUGCUUAGAAAUGAAAAAUGGAAUGACGAAUCAUCCAAAAAUAUUUCGUUUAUUAUUGGAAUGGAAAUCAGAAUGAAAAUUUAAAAUUUUUUAGAGAGAAUUUUGAUUAAGAGACAGAAAAGUGAUAAAGAAAGAGGAGGUAGGUGUUGAUGAAAAAGAAUUUUGAAUAGUUUACUUUGGAAUGAGCCAAUCUGUGAUUCAAAGCCGGAUUAGAUCAUAAAUGGAUUUGGUCAUUCUCAUUCCGGAGUGGAAUGGAUCGAAAUCGGAAUCUGAUUUCUAUAAAACAAACGGUAACUAUUGAAAUCAAUGAAUUCCAAUCCGAUUUCAUAGUCUAAAAUAGGUGAACCAAACAUGCCUUAAUAAACUCUGUUAUCUAUAUAAAAUUACUAUUUUACCCUUUCCAAUAUACCCUUCCACCAUCUCCAAAUUUUCUUAUUUGCCCUCCAACCUAUUUCAAAUAUACCCCUAUAGUUAAAAUUUGUUAAUGAACUCUAUUAUCUGUAUAAAAUUACUAUUUUACCCUUUCAAAUAUACCCUUCUACCAUCACCGACUUUUCUUAUUUGCCCUUAAAUUAGGGGGCACAAAAAAUAUUUUGACUUUUUGUCUUUUCAAAUAUACUCCUCUACCAUCACCAACAUUUCUUAUUUACCCUUAGGGCCCGUUUGGUUCGAGUUAUGUAAUAUUACAAAGUAUCUCGACAUAUUCAGGUAUCUUGGAUUUCUGCGUGAGAUUACUACUAAUGCUGCAUUAGCGCGUUUGGUUUAAUGCAGUAAUGUAAUACUAGAUUACAGUGUUUAUAGCAUUAAUACGUUUGGUUCAGUUUAUAAAAUUUAGUAAUCCUAACAUAAAAAUAUUAUUUCUCCAAAAUUGCCCUUAUUAUGGUCAUUUGAAUAUUAUUUUUUGCGAAAAUGACGAGUGGAGGGAAGGAGAUCAUGAUGAUUACUUGGGAGGACGACGCAAUAGAAGAUGAUAGGUGUUCGUGCGCGAGAGAGAGAGAGAGAGAGAGAGAGCGAGAGAAAGUGGCGUGCGAAAGAGAGGGGGAAGGCGAGAGAGAGAUGAAAAUAAUGCUGUUAAUUAGAUUUGGAGUUGUUAGAGGAUAAAAUUGUCAUUUUACAUAAUAUGUAAUAUUAACGGGUUUCAGUAAUGCAAGAUACACGACCCCCCUCCCGUUAAUAUUUUCGAUGUAAUCCUGCUCGAUUUGUAAUGCUACAUUAACGACUAGAUUACAUAGCGGAUUAACCAAACACAGUUAUCCUGGCAGGAUUGUCUGCAAUCCUGCCAUGAUAACUCGAACCAAACGCACCCUUAAGUUAAGGACAAAAUUGAUAUUUUAAUUAUUUUUAAUUGUGGUAAAUAUUUAACCACGUUUAACCGAAGUUAACUUAACGAGUGGUAACUGUAGCGGUAUUUUGGAAUAACGGAGGAACAUAUUAGGGGUAUAUUGGAAAGAAAAAAAAAGUAUGGAUAAAUGAGAUAUUUUCAAUAUUUUGAGGGGUAUAUAGGCAAUUAUCCCUAUUUAUAAAUUUGAUUAGAUUUAAAUGUAAAAGGAUAGAUAAUUAGGGAAUAAUUUUUCCAUUAUUCUUCGGAAGUCAGUAAUAAUCUUACACCCACUCCAUCCUAAGGUUAUUCUUGUCACAUUAAUUUUUUAAAUUUUACUAAAAACUAAUUUAUUUUUUAUGGCAAAUUUGCAUAAAAAAUUUAUAAAUUUUGAGCUUUUGCAAAACUGUGCCACCUUUUUCUAUUUUGCAGAUUCGGUCCGAAUUUUCAGCGAACUGACCAAAAUACCCUCAUUGCUUUUUCUCUCUCCUCUUUCUCUCUUCUCUUCUUUUCUCUCAUUCAUUUUUUUUCUAUAGGCAGAGGCGGAGGCGGAAACGGCCCGCCUCGCCUCUCACCCUCAUACUCUCGCCCUCGCCCUCGCCCUCGCCCUCGCCCUCGCCCUCGCCCUCGCCGAGGCUACGUUGUGACUCUUUUUNUUUUUUUUUUUUUUCCCUCUCCGACUCUCCUCCACCGUCUCCGACGACCAACGCCUCUCUCACCCUUCCCCGCCCUUCUCGUCCUCUCCUCUACUGCCUCCGACGACGACGCACCUUUGCCGACGCUGACACCGUGGAGGUCGCUGUGGCGCUGCAACCUCGGAGUGGGGGUUCCUGAGCGGCAUCGUUCCGGCGCCGUGGCCGUUGGCAAAGAGGAAUGACCAAAAAAAUUGUAGAAGAAGGAAAAAAAAAAUAAAGACAAAAAUUAUAGAAAAAAAGAGAUGAAGAUGAAAUUGCACCGUUAAAAUAAAAUUGCAUUGUUUUAAAAAAAUGUUGUACUAUUAUGGACAUAAGUUGCACUACUUAGAUGUAAACUGCACCCUUUAAGAUGAAAAUUAUACUCUUUAAACGAAAAUUGCACUCUUUCAGAGAUAUUUACACUCUUUUUUCUCUUAUUGCACUCUUUUAGAUGUAAAUCGUAUCCUUUAAUAUGAAAGUUACACUCUUUAAACGAAAGUUGCACUCUUUGAGAGAUAUUUACACUGUUUCUCCUCUUCUUGCACUCUUUGAUAUAUAAACUGCACCCAUUUAAGAGAUAUUUAUACUGUUGCUCCACUUGUUGCACUAUUUCUCCUUUUGUUAUAAUAUUUUUCUCUUAAAGGGUAUAAUUUAAGAGGAGCAACAGUGUAACAAGAAAAGAAACAGUGCAACAAGAGAAAAAAUAGUGUAACAAGAGUAGAAACAGUGUAAUAAGAGAAAAAACAUAUAAAUAUCUCUUAAAGGGGUACAGUUUACAUCUCAAAGAGUGUAAGAAGAGAAGAAACAGUGUAAAUAUCUCCCAAAGAGUGCUAUUUUUGUUUAAAAAGUAUAAUUUUCAUCUUAAAGGGUGCAGUUUACAUCUUAAGUAGUGCAACUUAUGUCCAUGAAAGUGCAACGCUCUUUUAAAAUAGUGCAAUUUUAUUUUAGCGGUGCAAUUUCAUCUUCAUCUGUAUUUUUCUAUAUUUUUUUGUCUUUAUUUUUUUUCUUCCAUUUUCUACAAUUUUUGUUUGUCAUCCCUCUCUACCAACGGCCACGGCGCUGGCGACGACGACGCUAAGGACCCCCCGCUCCAAGGCUGCAGCGUCGCAGCGACCUCCACGGUAUCGGCGUCGGCGAAAAUGCAUCGUCGUCGGAGGCGGCAGAGGAGGAUAAAGAGGGAGAGGACGAGAAGGGCGGGAAAGGACGAGAGAGGGCGAGAAAAAUAUCGUCGUCGAAGAUGGUGGAGGAGAAUCGGAGAAGGAAAAAAAAAAGAGUCGCGGCGCGGCCUCGGCAGGGUCAGAGGCAAGGAAGGUAGGGGCUGCGCGGGCGAGGGCAAGGACGAGGGCGAGAGCAAGAGGGUGAGAGGCGAGGCGGCCGUUUUCGCCUCCGCAUUUGCCUCCGCUGCCUUCUUCGGCGAGAGAAAAAAAAAUGAACGAGAGAAAAAAAAAAAAAAAAAAAAAAAAGAGAGAAAAAAGAGAGAGAGAAAGUAAUAAGUGUAUUUUAGUCAGUUUGCUGAAAAUUUGGUUCGAAUCUGCAAAAUCGAAAAAAGUGGCUCACUUUUGCAAAAGCACAAAACUGGUGGAUUUUUUUGCAAAUUGGCCAUUUUUUAUCAACCCUGAAAUUACGGGUGUAAAAUAUACACUUUUUUUGAACUAGUGAAGGCCCGCGCUUCGCGGCGAAAAAUUUACGCAAUUUCUAAAAUAUUUUGAAUAAACUAAUAUAUUCCUAUGUUUCCGUUGUUAGCAUUCAUUUUUUUUACUUUUUUAAUUUUCAAAUCUAAUUUUAAAUUUUAAAUUUCAAAAAAUUGAAGAGAGAGAAAAAGUAAAAAAUUAUUUAAAUAGCGAGGAAUAAAAAAAAUUUGAAGAUUGAAGUGCAAUUUAUAUGUAUUAUUAAUAAAUUAAUUAAUUAUAUAAUAUAUAACUAAUUAUUAAUAAAUUUAAUUAAUUAAUUAAUUUUAUAGAGUUUAGAGAUUUAAAAUUUUAAACUCUGAAGCUUAAAAUUGAAAUAUAUAUUAUAAGUUAACAUUAAAAUUUAAAAGUGAAAUAUUUAAAUAUAAAUUGAAAUUUAAAAUUUUUUAUAAUUUCUCUUCGCCUCUCCUUCUCUCUCUCUCUCUUUCUCUCAUUGGCUCCCUCCUCUCUCUUUUCUCUCUCUACCUCUUCUCUAUCUUUCUGCUCUCUCCCCGCAUGCCUGCCCCCCCCUCCCCGGUCUCUCUCUCUCUCCCCCCUCUUUCCGCUCUUACUCCCUCUCCCACCCCCUGGGCUUGCGCCGUGCCACCACCUCGCGCGUGCCAUCCACACCGUGCACCCGCGCCCGCCCGGCGCGCAACCGCCGCCGGCCCCCGCACACCGCGCCUUGUGCCCUGCCCGCUCCCGCAGCCUCCUUAGCAGAGUACCGCGCGCGUGCUAAGCACGAGAUGAGUGCACGGGAAAAGAGGGGGGCUCCGCGCAGAUGGGCGCGCGCGGCGUUGCCGCGCCCCGCCCCCGACUGCUGGCGACCGACGCACCGUGCCAUGCCGUGGGAGACGCCCUCAGCCCGCCGUGUCCGCCGCAGCGGUCAAAAUCCCAUAUCAAUAAUAUUAGUUAUUUCAACAAAUGGAUCACUUUUAACUUUUAGUUUUAAUAUUUAUCUCCCCAUGUCGGAUUUGCUGUAAAUUUUAUACAUUUAUAUAAUAAGUUAAUGAUUUAUCAAAAGAAAUUUCUAUAAUAUAAUAGUGUUGAUUCAAGAUACAUCAUAUACCUUUUACUACUGAAUAUGAAACAAAAAUUUUUACGUUCUCGAAUUUGUUUGUAUGAGAGGGUCUAUCUAUGUGAAUAUCUUUUCCGAUCAUACCAAACUGCCUUUCCACCAAAGGUCAGAACAUAGUAUCGGUGUAGCAUCAAUACAUUUUGCCUAACCCCUUCUCCACUUGACAGCUCAGUUACUCUAUAUUGAUAAACCAAUAUAUCUAUAUUAUAAGGAGAUAUAUUAUAUAUAUAUAUAUAUAUAUAUAUAUUUGAUGUACAUAAAGUUUAAAAUUUCAAAUUCUGAUCUAAACUGCUUCAAGACUAAAUUAAUGACUAGAUUACGUAGCGGAUAAACCAAGCAUAGUAAUUUUGACAGGAUUGCCUGUAAUCCUACCAGGAUAACUUAAACCAAACCCACCCUAAAAAUUUAUUUUACCGCUUAUCAGUGAUAGAAUAAAUUUAUGCCGUUCACAUAUUAUGGUAGAAUUAACACCACGAAUUGUUUCUGUGUGCAGUGCAUGUUAACUGGGUAUCUAAUGAGAUACAAGAUCAAUCCUUGAUGAGUGCAUUAUUUUCUACUAAAUUUAUAUCGAGUACCCAGUUUACGGUAUGGACUAGAUUUAUAUGUUACGGACUUAGCAAAAUCAGUUGUCAAGUCUGUGCGGUGCUCACCUUCUUUUGCCAAUACGAUUAAGUGCAAGAGAGAGAGUUUUGAGAAAAAUAGUAUUAUUUUACUUAAAAGUAGAGAACUAUAACUAAUUUAUUCUGAGAGGGUGGAGGCCACAAGUAUAUAGAGACCAUUUGCGGACCAAGAGAGCAAAUAGAAAGACCCAAAAUGACGCAAAACUACAAGUAAAAAAAAAAAAGAUUGCGAGCUCUUAAGAGCCUACAUUUAUUACAUCUCACUUGGUUCCUCGACUUCCACGUCUGCAGUCUCGAUAUCCGUAGAGAUGCUUCUAGUAAAUUCUAACAAAACCUCUGGUAACAAUCUUCUCCGAAGUAGUUUGGGUGAUUACAAAGAUGAAAACUGGAGAAAAAUUGUACUCUGCUUCAUAGCAUAUACCAGGUCUAUGGAACGCAUUCUCUCUUUCUCUCUCUAAACCACUUGCUCCUUCCAUUGGAAGCACCUUUUUUUCUCAGAGAAGGAACCAAAACUCCGCUCCCUCCCUCUCUCUCCGUACAUUAUAAAACCUCUUCCCUUUCCCCCGCCAUUUUCCUCGUCGUCGUCUCUCUCUCUCUCUCUCUCUCUCUCUUUCUCUCUCAUACUACCCAAUUGCCAUUAAUGUCGUCUUCCAAGCUCAAGGUCGACGAGCUCCGCGCCGAGCUCUCUCGCCGCGGCCUCGACACUUCCGGAACCAAACCCACCCUCGUAAAUCCCCACUUUCUCUCUCUCUCUCUCUCUCUCUCUCUCUAUGAUCGAAAACCCUAACCCCGUUCCCCUCUUUCCUGCUUCUUUCUCAGGUGCGGCGCCUCGAGUCGGCGCUCCGCAAGGAGAAGAAAGCGGAGGCGGCGGCGGCAGCGGUGAGUGACGGUGCCGCUGCAAAUGCUGGGAAGAAGAGGAAGCGGGACGAGUUAGCGGGGGACGGGGACGUGGACGGGGAAGGGGAUGGAGAUAGGAAUGGGGUGAUCGGCGAUGUNGAGAGAGGGGGAGCCGAGGAGGGGGUGGGGAGAGAGAGAGAGAAAGACGAAAAAAAGGGGGGGCCCCACCGAAGCCCCCCGCCAAACGCGGGGAGGCUUUGGCAGGAACCCAUGAUUUAAUAUAUGUAUAGAUGUGCAAGAAACAUUUUUCUUUUUUUAUUGCAUAGAGACCCAUUCAAUUAUCAUUUAUUUUGGUUUAAAUAAUUCAUUAAAUUAAAUUAAUUAUUUUGUUAAAAAUCGAAAUGUUCCAUUAGCUACUAACUAUAAAGUAAAUCUAUAUGAUUUCUAUUGCCAUGUGGUGUGUCCACAUUGAUGGGUCUUAAUCUAACCCAAUCCAUAUAAGAUAUGGAUUGGGAUUUAUUCUAAUAAGUUAAGGAUAAGAAUGAAUUAUACGUUUCUUAUUAGUUAAGAAACUAUCUUCUAGUGGAUAUCUAUUAAGGAUAUUAUAGUGUCUAUGGGGUUUAGCUAUUGGGGCGGCUGCAGCAUCAGUGGUUUAUCGACACAUCUGUAGAGUGUCGGGACUAGUCAGAGACAUUUUGGUGCGAAAUAGAUGCGAAAACGGACUCAAAGCUGUGAGAGUUGGAGUUCGAACACUGAAAUUUGCAAAAGCAGGAUUUUGAGUGCUAUAUACCGGUACCUGAGAGGUGUAUCGCUACCCCAGAAGGAUUACGCAAAGGGGUGGCACGGGGUCGUGCCGAAAGCUUGCCGGCAUGGUACGACACAAUACGUGCCGAGCUGUGCCGAUGCGUGCCGGUCAAAAAAAUUCUUGUGUGCCGACAUAUAAUAGCAUGAAAUAUUUAUUUUCUUCAGCAACAAAAUUUCUAACUAUUUAUUAUGUAAUAUACCGAACUCCUAACAUUAUGAAGUUUUGGUGGGAACAAGUUUAAAAAGCUAGCAGAUAAGUUCCGGUGAAAUUUGGAGAGCAUUUGAGUACUUUCGGCGCAAACCGGAUGCGAAAAAGGGCUCCAAAAGCUAAAUCUGCCUAAGUUGCAAAAUUUGUACUAGGUACCGAUACUGGAAACUGGGUAUCGAUAUGCAGUGGUAAAAUGAGAAAUCUUGCUCUCGGGUUUUGAGGUACUGGAAUCGGGUAUCGGUACUGGAUUGGCCGGGUACCGGUACGCGAACCUGAGUACCGAUACUUAGCCUCCCAGAAUGCUUGUUUUGAGGGGUAUAAGUGUAAUUUCAGUUGGGGGCUUAUAUAAGGGGUCCCCAGCCCCUUCCCUAAGCACAGAACACACAAACGCACACGCGUACACAGUGAGGGAGCGGGAAGAGCUCAUCUCUCUCUCUCUCGUUCUUCUUCUUCUUCUUCGACUCGGAGAUCGCGGUGGAGAUCGAGUUCGGAGAGCUUGGAGGAGCGGUAGAUCGAGCUCUCCAGCGCUUAGUGGCUUAGAAUGCCUUCGACUCGAGGUUCGUAAUUGGGUUGGAAGUUUAGGGUUUGGAUUAAAUCCCUAGAAAUGAGGUUCUAGUGAACCUUAGAUAAUUCUAAACUAGUAUUAUCAUGAUUUCUCCAUAUAUUUUGGGUAUUUUGGAGAAAUAGAAAACCUAGGGUUAUGAUUUGGGGGUUUUGGGGUUUUAAGGUUUUGAACCAAGUUGAUCUCUUAAUUCUCUAAUUGAAUGAUAGGGGAGAGCCCCAAGCAACCAUAGGCUGGAAAUCGACGAGCGUUCGGUGGUCGAUUGCGGGUAGCGAGCCAAACCGGGCGACGUUGGUCGCGGGAGUCUAAUUGCAAGUGUCUACAAGCAAUUAGAAAGCAUUGUGAGAUGAGUUGUGCUUCACCGAAGUGACUAGGUCACUUCCUGUCUAAAGAGUGAAGUUUAAUAUUUACUACUCGUUGAUGCAUGUAUAUAAUGGUAGGUUUUUUAUGUUGUAUAUAUGGAUGCAUAAAACAUAUAUUGCUAGAUGGAAUUACCUACAAUUGAAUGACAAGAACAUAGAGAUGUGGAACAUAUAAGAUGUAUGUAUAUAUAGAUAUAUAUAUAUAUAUAUAUAUAUAUAUAUAUAUAUAUAAUAUUAUAUAUAUAUAUAUAUAUAUAUAUGCCUAGAUGUGGCACAAAAGACUAGAUGGCACGAAAACUAUGAAUCCUAGAUGUAGACAACUAGGAUAGAAAAUAAUUGAUUGGACAUUAAACCUAAUGUCAUUGAACAUAUGUUGGACAUUGAACCUAGAGUCGGGUGAACCUAGGUGGAAGAACAUAGGACCUAGUGUUGUUGAACCUAGGUUAUGAACAUAGUGGUAUUGAACCUAGUGUGUGCAUGUGGAAUGACCACUAGGAUAUGAAUGGCUUGAACCUAGAGAGAUUGACAUUAUAGGAUAUGUGACCAAUCCUUAAGACUUGGAAAGUGGAUUCCGAAAUCCCAGGACUUGUGAAUAUCGACAGUUUUUUGCCGUGGGUGCAUGUGGCAUGUUCCUCUCCCACUGCAAGAACUUCAAGGAUUGUGAUUAAGGAAGAUUCUUGGCCGUGGGUGCAUGUGGCAUGCUCCUCUCCUACCGGAAAAAUCUUCGAGCGCUAGGGUGUAUGUGGCAUAUUCCUCUCCCUAUCGGAGAUCCCGGCUGCGGGUGCAUGUGGCAUGUUCCUCUCCCACUGAGAGAUCCCUGACCAUGAGUGUACGCAGUUCUUCGCUGCCCGUCGGGCGACUUGGUAUAUAGACUGAAGGCUGAGGUGUAUGUGGCAUGUUCCUCUCCUCAGGCCUAAAUGUGAGCGGUAGUCCGUUGGUGAUUGACUCGAGACCGAGUCGGGUGGUACAGCUUGGCUAAGAUAAAAAAACCUUAGGAGCGAAUGGUAAAUAAUAUGGAUUGUGAAAUAGUAAGUAGAAACGGUAGAUCUACUUGUAUUACAUUAUGUUGCAUUAUUGCAUGUUGUGAGGCACAAGCAUAAAUUUAUUUCUCGCAUAAAAACUAUAUGUUUAAUUAUUGGACUAACUUGCUUUUGAUGCCUCCUUUGGACCUGGUGGGUCGAGCUCUUCCCUUGAGUGGCCGUACGCACUGGGAACUAUGUAUAUAGUUCUCACCUCACGUUUUUUAGGUCCACAAAUGUAAGGACUGAGAUUUUUUGCAGUGCAACUAAACUCUCUGUUGAUGAUGUUUAUGUGUGUAAUUUAAUUACAUAAGUACUCGUCAAGUUUCAGGAGAAAAUGAGCUAAAAUGGAGAAGUUACGCGAUUAUUAGUUUUCACUUAAGUGAAUAGUAACUCUGGUUUUUCGGUGAAGCCAUGGAGUAGAGUUGGCUUUCUACGCGUAUUGGACUCCGUUCAUAGCGAUCCAAUAGCUCGUUUUGAUCGGUUCAGCUAUUCUGGAACCAAUGGCACUGACAGAUUUCAGAUCUGAUGCACGGUUUUCGAGAAAAAGGAAUUUUAUCGAAAAGAGGAUUUUCGCUCUUUGCUGUUCUUGCAUAAUGAGACUCCUCGUGCUCUACGUUUGUGACCUGGGGUUAGGUGAGAGUUGUUUCUGGUACCUACUGGUGGUAGGGAAUUCAAAUUUGAAUUUGGAUUAAAGGUUUUAGGGUUUAUACAUAGGUCUAUGUGUAAUUUGUGGAUUAGUUGGAGAGCAGUUGGGUUUGGUCGCAAAUCGGCAAGUAAAUCGGAUGAAACGAAAUCGUAGUGGUUCGAGGUGCCGUUCGGUCGUAGCUGAACGCGAGAUGGUGCAAUCCGUUCGGAAAUCCGAUGAACGGAUUGCCGGAUAUUGCAUGAAGUUCGCUAAGGGGUCGAGAGUGGAAAAUCGGGAAAUUCGCAAAAGUCGUAAUAUUUUAUGCUGCCGAAUUGCGUGAGUCGGACAUGGAGGUGGUGUAUGUGUAAAAUACGGCAUGCUGUGAGGGACUUGACUGAGAAUAUUAUCCCUGGAGGACUAUCUUGCAAAUGUGCAUAUGUAAAUGUAGUUGCACUAGGGUUUCGUGAGGAAACCCUAGCUUUUGGCCUUCUCCUCAGCCGAACCGAGCCCUAGCCGCCCCACCUUCUCCCUGCCCAACCCGUGCGCACGCCCCCCGCCGGAAGAGCCACCCGCGACCUCUUCUCUUGCUCUCUCGGCCACCCUCUCCUCCGACUUCGCGAAGUUGCGAAGGAAGCUUCUUUCACCCGAGCUCACCAUCCCUGGCCGAGACCAUCUCCGGCAUCUUCCCCGCCGACUCGGCCAUCCGCUGUGCCUGCCGGAGCCCCACGAGUCCCCUGCGGCGAUCUGCGGUCAGCCCAGGCGAGCUUGAGUGACCUCGGUCUAGGCGCGCCGCGCGCUCCCAUCAGCCGCGCCGCCUUCCGGUGACCCCGGCAACCUCCGCUUGCCGUCCCGCCGUCCCUGCACACUGCGGCCGCCGCUGGAACCUCCUGCGGCCGCCCAGACCCGUGCGGCCCGAGGUCGGGCCCGCUCGCUCCCAGCGCCGCCACUGCCCACCGAGGGGUGCACACCUCCCCUCGGUCUUCGCCGCGGAUCCUUGCCGCCCCGACCUCCUCCGACCGCCGCCGCGCCCGCCAGGAAGCUCGAACCCGAGAGGAACUCGGCGCUUUGAGUUGAGCCGCCGCGACGGCCACCUCCGCCGCCGGCCAGCAGGUGCUCGAACCCACCGACCGCGCACCCUUCCCUGCCGGGCCGCCGCCUCCGCGUCGCCGACGACCAACCCUAGCCCUCCUCGAUCCGUAAGGCCGUUUUGUGUUCCAGCGCACAGUAGUUUAGCUCCGGCCACCUUCCGGUGAUCAAUGAACUCCCGACACCCGGGAAGUGAGCACGAUGAUCUAGGGUUCGUGCUGAACAUCGUGCUCACCUCCGACAGCGGCAAUGAUGCCCUGGUUAGCGAGUUAAUCGCAAUCUUUGCGCGUGUGCGCGCAGUCUCGCAGAGUUUCGCAUUGCUCGUGCGCUUCCCUCUGUGGCCGGAAUUGCUCCGAAAGGUGAGCACGGUUUCCGGCAUGCCGAGACCUGUCACAGGUGUCUCGGCUUCGCUGUUUCACUUCUGGUUUGUGCAGACGGCACUAUAAAAGCGCCGAAAUCGCAUGAAAUAAUGCGAUUUCGGGUAUUCGGACGGGCUUUUAUGCAACCUUGUUCGUCGCGGCUGCUGUUGGCAGCAUGGAUGAGUUGUGGGUGACCUCUGGACUGAUUGUCCAAGGCCCGGACCUUUCCGAAGAUCGAAAAGGGGCAUUCCGGUGCGUUUGUCGGCAAAAUCCGCCGACGGAACGCGGUUUCGGUUCGGAAUUAUUCCGACGGUGUCUCGGAUGAUUUAUUGUGUUGCUGAGCCUAGUUGGCUGGUCACCCGUGUCAUUCGAGGGUUCGGAAAUGACGGGUUGAGCGACGGUGGGUUCCGGUGUCGAAAUAGACACUUCCGGGAACCCGGUUCGGAACGAUUAUCGACGAUAAUCGUUUUGGAGUGAGUUAGGUCUUUGCGCCAAGUCACAUGUAAAUUGUAUUUAGUGGAGCGGGUGACUCGUAGUGCGAGUGUCGGUGAGUUCCGGGACUAGUCCGUGGGUCCCGCAGAGUCUCGGUGGGGUUUUCGGGACUUCCGGUUUGUUCGGUAAUUGGUUUCGGGAACCGAUUCCGAGGGCUAUGACUUUGGAAUUGUGAGUUAACGAUACGGUUUGAGGGUUGUGGAUUUAGUGGUUAUUAGUUGUGGGUUACAUACUAACCCAGUGGACCCUCUGUAGAUCCGUUGUCAUUCUUUCGCAGUUGGAGAGCAGGCGACAUCCUUAAAGGUGGGUACUUCGAUCCGACGUUGGUACAGUGGUGCACGCUCGGUGAUGGUUUCUUACCCUUGCUCUUUGUAAUUAUCCAUGCAUAUAUUAUAUGUUGAGCUUUGCACCUCUAUCGUUUACAUUACACCCACGUUGUUUGAUUAUACUCUACUCAGACGUUUCCAUGCUUAGUAUCAUGUGUAGGAGUAUAAUCUAUCUGUAUGUGAUACCAUGUUUUCUUGUUACUCUACUUAGCUAUUCUGCAUACGCUGUUUCAUAUUUAUAGUAGAGCGAUUCUGUGAUUAUCUGUGAGAUUAGCGAUCUAGUCGGUCGAUUCUAGUAUCAGUAUUUUGACUAUUCGGUGAGUUCCUCGACCUUUGUUGUCUGAUGACCGUUGAGGUCGGUAUACCCUAAGGGGUGGAUUGUCGGUUAGUUGCGCGACGGAUGAUUAUACUUUACUCAAAUCCUAUACUUGUGAUCAUGAUUGGUCGAGUUUCAUAUCCUAUACUUUAUGACGUGAUUGGUCGAGUUUCAUAUCUAGUUGAUCUGAGUGGUCAGUCCUUGUGGUUCAUUGAGCAGUAUUUGCAUAUGUUGUGAGAGGAUGUCGAUGUUGUCCAUCCUAGUUGAUUUGAGUGGUCGGUUCUUGUGCUUCUUUACAGUUGACGACUAUGCGGUCGAUGGGCCUUGUGGGGCAGGAUUGUCGGCUGGUUGCCGACGUUUGAUCAUUGAGCAUAUUGCAUUGAUCGCCCGAUACUGCGCAUUUCACGAACAUUGGCGGUCUGAUCACCGCAAGGAGUGUUCUUUUCCGGAAAAAGUGGUUUGAAUGGUGACAACCGUGAGCCCUAGAGGGGUAUAUGCACUGGAGAGUAGUAGUGGCACUAGCUUGAGGUCUGCGGUGCUGACCAAAGAGAGCAUUGGUUUCAGAUUGGGUACUUUGGACUUCUUGACCGGUUUGACGCAUAUGUCUAUAGUAGCAGUCGUUGUAUGCAUAUUUACAGUUCUUACUUUAUAGUUAUCUUGCUACUAUAGUAGAUAUUCAUGUAUGUUUUCGGUUCCAGUUACAGUAGCGGUAGCCGUUAUUCAGUCUAGUUCUUACUUUCUUCAGUUUAUUGCUACUAUAUUCGGUAUAUCUGCUCUUUACCUUAUUAUUGUUGCUACUGUAUUCGGUAUAUCUGCUCUUUACCUUAUUAUUGUUGCUACUGUAUUCGGUAUAUCUGCUCUUUACCUUAUUAUUGUUGCUACUGUAUUCGUAUAUCUGCUCUUUACCUUAUUAUUGUUGCUACUGUAUUCGGUAUAUCUGCUCUUUACCUUAUUAUUGUUGCUACUAUAUUUCACUGACCCUUGUUGUUAUUUAGCUCUUCCUGAUCCGGUGAGUAUCCUCGCCUUGCGGUACCCACUGGGAGGGGAGACAUGUUUACAUGUUCUCACCUCCCACCAUUUUUUAGGUAUCGCGGGCGAUGAAUAGGUGGGACGAGAUGUGAGGAUACGUGUGUAGCGGUCGAUAGCGCUUCCUGACUCAGGUUAUUUCGAUUUAGUUAUUACCCUUAUUAUUUCUGUUGAUUUAUAGUUUAGUCGGUUUACAUGGUUCAGUUUUGUGUUAUUAUCUGAAUAUCUGAGUUUUCAGUUGGUUUUGGAAUGUAAUAAAGGAUUUGUGUUUUCUUGAAAUAAAAGAUUUUCUACCCCUCGUGGUAGCGUUUUUAAAGAAUAAAGGUUUCCGUGUAGGAAACAGUUUUCAAAAGGUUUCUGUGGAUUUUGCAUCUUAGUAUUUCAAAACCUAUUUCUGUGGUUGGAAAUAUUUUAACUGAUAGGUGUGGAUUUAUGCAUAAAUGUGAAUCUGUAGUGAAUGGUGUAUGAAUAUAUAUAACGGUUGGUUAUUUGUAUGUUCGUUUGUUGUGGUUGUGCCUGGAUGACUUCUUGUACUUGUGCGACACCGUGCAAAUACAGGAGAGACUCUGUCCGUGUGAACAGUGGAUUCCCUGUAUUUGUGGCGAAUCUGGCAUACUCUGGGGUCAGGUUUUCAAAAAAAAAAUUCAGACGCUUUUCCGCUUUGUUUUAAACUGAAAAGGGACCCCGGGGCGUGACAACACGUGAGCGGAGCGGCAGCGCGAGGAAAGAGCGUAGCUUGGUAGAUAGCUCUUCCCUUGGAUCUACUCCUUGAUUACUAAUAGCCCUUGGAUUAAACACUAUUCCACCUACCACCAUCAUACCAACCUUAUAUUUCUCCAUCCAAGGGUUAAAAACUCAAAAGCACUAACCUCUUGAUGUUUUUGAGAGUAUUCUAGCUCAACUCUAUAUAUAUGUAGAGAGUUAUAUAUAUAUAUAGAGUUGAGCUGGAAUGCUAUCGGUAGCAAAUGGGCUCCGUUGUCACCCAUUUGUUUUUGAUUAUGGAGCCUCCAAAUCGACGAUUGGUACCGUUAAAUAUGAUCUAUACAACUUGAAGUGUUUAGAAAUCAAAUUUCAUGUAUAUUCGAUAUUGUUUUCUUAUCCAUCAAGUAGACACAAAAAUGAACAGCUAAAAAUGAAUAAUCUUUAGAAAGUGAUAAUAGGAGUCUUGUAAUCAAGAUCAGGAGUAUAGAUCUUGUUUUAAAUAGUUUAAAGAAUUUUCUAACAAAAAUUUAUUUGAUUUGGAUAUCUUUGCAUCGUUAAACGAGAAAAUGCAUCAUAUCGACUAUUAAAAUUAUGAAUAUUGAAACCCUUUGAUUAUUAGGCAAAUGAUGUCGAAAGGAUUUGAAAUUUAUUUCUAAACACCUCAAGUGGUAUAGAUCAUAUCAAACAGUGCCGAUCGUCGAUUUGAAGGUUCCAUCAUCGAUAACAAAUGGGUGGCAACGGAGCCCGUUUGCUACCGGUAGCAUUCCAGCUCAACUAUAUAUAUAUAUAUUAUAAGAUAUUAUAGAGUGAGGCUACUAUGCUAUCGAAAGUACGGAGCCUUCGUGCUUCCAGCUCGUUUUCGUAUGUGCGACUUUCGAAUCGUCGAUCGGCCCGUUAAACUUGAUCUAGAGUAUUUGAAAUACUAGAAAAUAAAUUUUAAGAUUUUUCGAUAUCAUUUGCCUAGUGAACGAAGGGGCUCAAAAUCAACGGCUGAAAAUAAAAAUCUUACAAAACGUAAUAAUAUGACAUUAAAAUUUUAAAUCAAAGAUAUUGAUCUUGUUUUAUAUAAUAUAAAGAAUUUUCUAUCAAAAUUUCACGUGAUUUGGAUAUUUCUACACCGUUAAACUUGCAAACGGCUCACUACGGCCAUUGAAAUUUGUUGAUUUUGAACCCCUUCGAUCACUAAGCAAAUGAUAUCGAAAAAUAACAAAAUUUAUUUUCUAGGUACUCCAAAUACUCUAGAUCAAGUUUAACGGAGCCGAUCGACGAUUCGAAAAUCGCAACAUCGAAAAUAAGCUGGAAGCAUGGAAGGCACCGUGCUUCCGAUAGCAUAGUAGCCUCACUCUAUAUAUAUAUAUAUAUAUAUUCGAGGGUAUAAAAAUCGUUAAAAUGCUUGAGCAAAUUAAGCCCAAUUGAUUUAAGCAGUAAUAUUGGGUAAUAGUGGUACAAUCCAUAUUUUAAUUUUAUUAGUAACUUAAAAUUAAUAAUAGUUUAAAAAAUUAUUAAAAUUUAUUCGAUUUUUUCAAAUAAGUGUGACGUGCAUUGCUCAUGUAUACGACUAUUUUAUAUAUUAUAAUAAAGUAUUUAUUUUAUACAUUAUUAUUGAAGCAUUUUAUAUAACAAUAUUGAAGUAUUUUUUAUAAUAAUAUGAUUAUUACAAUAUUAUAUAAUAUAUUAAUUAUUUAAUAUUUAUAUAAUUUAUUAAUUUAUAUGUGCAUUAUUAUUUGUAUAUUAAAAAUAUUUUAUAUAUAAGAGAUAUAGAUAAAAACAAUCUUGACAUUUUAUAUUUUUUUCACUAUCCAAACAUUCUCUUAAUAUUCUAGAAAUUUUAAAAAAAUUAAUCCAAAUAUAAAAUUUUUUAUUUUCGCUCUAUUCUAAAAUAAUAAAUUAUCCUAAAAAAUAAAAAAUUUAUUUUAAAAAUAUUAUUUUAUUAUCCAACGCAGCCUAAAAAUCAGUUAUAUGGAAACUAACAGCCAGCGUACUUCUCCGUUUUGGCUUACGUUAGCUAAACUAUCUGUUCAUCAUUAUAUGCAUGCUCCCAAAUAAGCCGCGUUUAAAUUUGCGCUCCACGUCCCAAGGCAGAGACCAUACUCUCAACCACAUUAAAUGUUCUCAACCUCCUAAGAUUAAAGUGGUGCUCCAUUGCACAAUAAAUGAACAAUUGCUGCAGAGUAAAUGCGCUACAACCAUUUAAAUUUUCGUCCUGUCCUCCAUGCCCAUCCUGUCUCAACAUUAGUCACCUUUAAAAAAAAAUGUAGCUAGCUAGCUGCUUCAUUCAUUAAAAAAAUAAACUAGACUUACAAAAUGAAAGCAGUCAGGACUUCCGAAAGAAAAAAGAGACGGAAAAUGUGAACAAAAGAACAAAAAUAAAAUAAUAAAAGACAACAACAGAACAAGUCAGCAAAGAACAAAACAAAAAGAGUAGGAAGCGGCCAAAAAGGCCGAAAAAGGAGAUGAGCCAGUCAGAGGCCGGCACGUGUUCCAGGCUAAUGUAAGGAGUAGGCCGAAAAAGGAGACGAGCCAGUCAGAGGCACGUGUUCCAGGCUAAUGUAAUGAGUCUGACGCGAUCAAGAGCUCGGGUAGGGUUGGGGAGCUUCUCUCGGAAAAGAAUAUCGUUCCUCUCAGUCCAUACGACCCACCAAAUAGCUGUCAGUAGAGUUAAGGCUUCUAAUCUCCUCUGGGCAUCUAGUAAACUAAGGAGUCUUGUCCACAGAUCUUUCGCCUCCUCCGAGGGCGCCAUCAAGUCUUUCGGACCUUCCACGCAGAAGAGUAGAUAUCGAACGAACACGCAGAAGGUCAUAAGGUGAACACAACUUUCCGGGGUGACGGCAAAGAAAACGCAGAGUUGUUCCACAAGCCAUCCGCGUUUAUGUAAUCUGUCGGCGGUCAAAAUUCUCUUUCGCAGAAGCAACUAUAAAAAGACUUUAAUUUUGACCGGAAUUUUAAGUUUCCAGAUAAAUGAACUUGUUACAUCCUGUAAACCAUCGUCCGUGAGGAACUGGUAUAGGGAUCUGACGGAGAACUGUUGACUUGAGGUCCAUUGCUAUUUGAUCGUGUCCGGUUUGUGACUUGGACAGGUGAGCUGAAGCAUGUCCUUUAGAAGGGUCACUUGUCUGCGACAUGCCGCUGCGGGGGGGCCCGUAGCGCCCCGACAUACGUAACGCUAUCGCCAGCUGUUCGGGUUCCAACAUUCGGCCACCCUAGCCUCCUUGUGCCUUAUAUGGUCAAAGAUAUCCGGAAAGAGAGUGCGUAAUGGGGUUUCGCCAGUCCAGAUGUCUAACCACAUCCUGAUGUCGCUGCAGCCUCCUAGCUCAUAACUUACAGUGCAUUUGAGAAUGUCGCGGCAAUGCAACAUGCCUCUCCACCAUUGUGAGUAAGGUACGAAAGUUCUACCCUCGUGUAAAGGCCUACGCUUGGUGUAAUAGAGAGUUCGGAUUAACUUGUUCCAAAGUAGGCUUGUCUCAUUAAAAAAAAAGCCACCACCAUUUGGUUAGUAAAGUCGUAUUCAUCGAGUUCAACUCCUUGACUCCUAAUCCUCCCUCUUUCUUGCUUUUAUAUAUUAUUUUCCAGUUGACAAGGCAACAUCCCCCCCUCCGGAGAUUUUGGUACCCUUCCAGAAGAAGGCUCUCUCCGCAAAGCUUCGAUUCGUUGCAAAACCCAUUGUGGAGCUUUAAAAAUAGAGAGGCAGUGGAGUGGCAGACUAGUAAGGACAGAGUUGACAAGGGUGAACCGCCCUCCUUGGGAGAGGAGCUUUGCCUUCCAGCCUUCAAUUCUCGUGUUGAUGCGAUUAAUGAUGAUAGCCCAGUCCUCUUUUCUCAAACGUUUGUGGUAAAGCGGAAGGCCCAAGUAACAGAAAGGUAGAUUGCCUACUGCACAGCCCAGAAUAAUAGCAAGUCUGGUCGCUCUAUGUGGGUUAGAGCCGACGUAAUAUAGCUCAGACUUGUCCAUGUUGAUCUUAAGUCCAGAGGCCAAUAUGAAGGUUUUCCAUAAGAAUCGCAGGUUUCUCAUGCAUUGUUUUGUAGAUUGACAGAAGAAGAUUAUGUCAUCUACAUAUUCAAUAAGGGCUAUUUGGCACUCAGCAGAUGGUUCGAUUCCACGUAGGAGGUUGUUCUUUCUGGCAGCAUCAGUCAUUCUUGCCAGGCAGUCAGCCACCAGGAGGAAAAGAUAGGGGGAGAGAAGGUCACCCUGUCUGAGCCUCUUCCGAGUUUUUAACCACUUAGUAGGUGUGUCGUUCACCAGGAUGACAACUUUGGUGUUACAAAUACAUUGUUCGAUCCAAGACCACCAUUUGCCGCUAAAACCAGCCCAAAGCAUUAUUGCCUUCAGGAAGGUCCACCUAACAUUGUCAAAAGCUUUUUCGAAGUCUGCCUUGACACAGACGCAAUCCAAGUUAGAUUUGGAACACCGGCUAACUAUCUCAUUGACAGUCACAUAAGAAUCAGUCAGUAGUCGUCCUUUAAGGAAUGCCGAUUGAGUUGGCGAGAUAAUAAAAGGUAAAACAUUAGCGAGCCUGUUGACUAGGACUUUGGAAAUAAUUUUUUGUAAUCCGUUGAUAAGGCUGAUCGGUCGAAGGUCUUUAAUUUUACGAGCUCCCUCUUUCUUAGGAAUGAGGCAGACGAAGGAGUAAUUAAUUCGGUCGGUGGAUAAUUUACCUUCCUGAAGUUUGGUGAAAAUCUUGAAGAUGUCAUCCUUUACUGUUUCCCAAAAUUUUUGAAAGAAUAAGAGAGGAAACUCGUUCGGUCCGGGAGCUUUAUCUCCACCAAGUUGGAAGGUUGCAUUCUUGACUUCCUCGAUAUUGAAGGGGGACGUAAGAACCUCAAGCUGGGGGAGUCUAUUGGAGUGAUAUAGCGAACUCCAAUCACUGUGGGAUUGAGUUCUCUCCUCCCACUGUCUAAAAAGCCGUCGAAAGUAAUGAUAGCAGCGUGAUCUCUUCAGCUCUUCGUUGCGUAAUUGAUCCCCAGCCUCAUCCUCGAUCACAGUGAUUGAAUUGAUGUGUUUCCUUCCGUUAGCCAUCGCAUGAAAGAAUUUGGUGUUUCUAUCGCCUUCUUUCAACCAAAGUUGUUUGAACCUGGUUUUCCAAAGUAUUUCCUCUUCCACCAGGAUUUGUUGAAGUUGUGAUUUAAGAUCCGUCCUCUUAUCCUAUGCAUCCUUGGUCAGAGUCUGCAGUUCCUCUAAGAAGUCGAUUUUUUGUAUCUCCUCAUGCAAGAGCUUUUUGGUUUUCGCAAUACUGUAGAAAUUCAACUUGCAUCAUUCUUUAAUUCUGGCUCUACAGUGUCGAAGUUUUGCAGAUAAAGUGAGGAUCGCAGUUCGCUUAACACUUACUUCAUUCCACCAGCGAGGUACGUUUGACAGGAAGUCGUCUUUGGUAAGCCAGACUUUCUUGAACCGAAACCUUCGCGUGGUCGGUUGAAGACCAAUGGACAGAAGGAUCGAGGUGUGGUCAGAAGUGAGCCUAGGGAGAGCAAAGACCUUGCUAUGGGGAAAGAUAGAUCCCAUUCCGUGGAAACAAGGAACCUAUCAAGCUUAGCUAAGGUGGGUCUCUGUUGCAUGUUCGACCACGUAUAGGUUUGGUUUGACAGUGGUAAAUCGAUGACCUCUAAGUUAUUGAUGAGGUCAGAGAACAAGGCCAUCGCUUUUCUGCUCCAAGGAAGACCUUUCCGUUCUGAUUGGUUCUUGAUGCAAUUGAAAUCUCCGCAGAUAACCCAGCUGUUAGUGCAGACAUCUUUGAGAGAUAGGAGCUCCAACCAGAAGGCUUCCUUUCCGUCCCAGUUUGGAGGUCCGUAGACAUUUGUGAGGUAGAAGGUCUUGCCACUUGUAAGAUGAGUGAGGAGUAGGGUGAGGGAGUAUGUUCUCUCGGAAACCUCGUUGCAAGAAAAACGAUUUGAGUUCCAGCAAGUGAUUAAGUCGCCCGAGGUCCCUGAAGCCGGUAGAAAUUAAAUGACAUUUAUCGAAGCUUGAUCCGCAACAAGAAUGAAAAAAUGACUGAGACACAGAAUCCACUUUAGUUUCUUGGAGACAUACUACAGCGCGAUAGUAAUUGGACACAACAGACUUAGCCAAACAUCUUUUACGGGGGGCGUUAACGCCUCAGACAUUCCAACAGAGAAUGUCUAACAUCGCAAAAAAACAAAACACAAGAAAAGAGCAACAGAGAGACAAGACUAGAAACCAGCAGAUAGUGACAUCUGAAGCUCCUUCACCUCAGCAGGAGACAGAUUCAUUCCGCAACGGAGACUUUUUUCUCUGAUUUUCUUGACCAAUAGUUUGCGUGCGGAGUAGCCAAGCCCCGAAGUCGCACCCUCACGAAGACUUGCUUUCCUGAUCAUUGCCUGCCCUAAAACACUGUCCUUUGCACUGUUGAAAAGUCUACUGCUGGUCCUGGGGGGGUUGGAGGCGACAUCGUUCAGAGGUGUAAGGUCAGAAGAGUCAACGCUAACGAAGAUAUCCGCAGAGCGUGAUUAAGGUUCCGAGGAGGAGAGGUGCGAACUCCCAAGGGAAGGCUUAGGACGAGGCCUAGUCGGAACGGGGGGGUCCGAGCAAGAGAGAAUCUGGUGCAAUCCUGUUGGGCCCCGCAGCCCAGUCAGCAUGCAAAGGGCCCGAUAGUGGUCUCCGGAGAGGCAAAUGAAAGUGGCCCAAUCUGAUGGGGCCCGAGCCCGGCACGUGGAUAAGAAUGGUCCACCAUGAUUCCAUCGUGUUAAGCCCUACUACAGAAGCAUUUAAAUCUAGGGUCAUAGAUGGCGUGGGGCCCAAGGGCAAAAGACGACAGUUGAAAUUAAUAUGCGGACGAGGCUCCAAGAUCUCGGGCCCCCCAACUUCCCCAAUCCUAUCUUCAGCAGGUGGGCACGAGUCUCGACAUAAGGCUCUACAGGCACGAGGUACUUGAAGGGGGGGCAAUUAAGGCGGGACAUAGGGGGGUGCAAAAAAGAUCGGAGUCAACCGAAAUAGGGAAGUUUAAUCCUGUCGGUCCAAUAUUAUCACCUUCUAUUUGAGCCAGUUUCACAAAUAAGGAAAGACCAGGUGGAGAAGCAAUUUGAAUAGUGUGCAGCAAACUAGCCAGAGCUCCAACGACCAGAGCUCGUCCAUCCUUUGCUCCGUCGGCUGGAGAGAGAGCAGUCGAGUGAAAAUCCCCAGAUUGAGGGGUCCAGCCUGAGGGACAGAGCUCGGACUCAAUGGAGGAUGAGGUGGCAGAGAGUCGAUACAUGUCGAGCGGGCGGUAGGGAAAGGACAGCGCCUCCUGUCUCUGAUCUCGGAGGAGUCCCAGGUGUCGUUCAAAUUGGAGUUGGUGUCGCCCGACACUCUCCUCCCUGAGCAGUCAGCCAAGUUGCGGCGAUCGACUUCGAAGGAUUCCGCUACAAGGUGGUGAUGAUCAGAUCUCUCGUUCGGAGAGACAGGAGGGUUCCCGCAUCCUACGUCGCCAUUGCGGGCCCACCUUUCGAGCUGAAUCAAGAUCGAGAUGGAGAUAUCCCUGAAGGCGAUCUCAACGUUCUUGGGGAUGUCCGAGAGAUGAUUGACGGUCAUGAGACAACGAAAACUCGACAGAUCCACCAUCCACGUGGUGAGAUCAUCCGCUCGGAUGAAACGGCCAAAGCCCCCGACAAGGGCCGCGACAAAACGUGAGGACCAACACUCGUACGGGAGGCUGACCAAUCGAAUCCAUGCUUUGUAUGGAGGAAGGAAUCGUCGGGCACCCCUGUACGGGUUCCACGCGAAGCACCUGAACCUAAGUUCACCCAAACUGAUGAGUUCCCUGCGAAUGAGGGACUCGGCAUAGACCCAUUCGGGGAGAAAGACAAUAAAGUCUCUCUCCCUGUACCUGGCGACCAAGCUCCAAAACGGUUCGCAAGGCCGUGAGCAAUAGUGUCUAGCGGGAAGUGGCCGAGGUACGCCGGGGGUAUCACAUCCACGAGGAUAGCAUUGCGACGCCUAUUUUGCCUAGCGAAGAAGUCUUCAGAUAGGGGAACAAAGGCGCACAUGUAGGCUCGGCGCGCACGCAUCGCACGAUAGGCUUUCAAAGGCAGACGAUCCAUGGAAUCCCGAGCUUUGUGAUCCAUUUUACAUACUGCCAAUUUAUUAGCAGUUGAGUUAAGCAUGUCAAACUAUUGACAGAGUUAAAAUACAUCCAAUUUACAAAUCGGCUCGCAAGAUGUCCCUUGAUUGUGACGACAUCAAGUGAUUCGAUUGAGAAAGGAUCCGCGUAACUAGGUUCCCUCUCAAUGUGUAAAACCUCUUUAUAGAUGAGAUGAAAAUUGAAUCGGCUGAAACUAGAGCGGAACUACUUAUGUUUCAUUAAGUGACGUGUUUGAAAAUUAUAAGAAAAAAUGCCAGGACUUGAUUACAAAGAACUAAAGGCUAAAAACUUCAAACUAAAAGAUAAAAACUUCUAGAAUUAGCAACUACUUCUAGAAAAGCGGUAGAUGCUAGGAAUGAAAAAAGAAGAUUAAAAUAAGCGGUCUUUGGUCUGGAAAAAAAAAACCUCUUACAAGUAACUUCUCACUAUUUAUAGCAUUCCUGCCAAUCUUCAGUUAGUCAUGUAGUUAUUGAAUAAUUCAUUUUUGUAGGAAGUGUUUCAACCACAUCUUUUCGGUUACGAAGUCACUCCCUCGUCUUUCAAACCGUUCCCGCCAAAGUCCAUUCGUUUUUGGAUUUUCUCUCUCAGCUCUUGGCAUACCACGUGUCAUCUCCCUAUUUGACCACAUGAGUCGAGCCGACUACCAGUUGGCACCAUAUUUUUUUUGUGCCAACAAUGUCCUUUAUUAACCUUAACUUUUCAUUUCACAUUAAUGUUGUCUUUAUCAUCAAAAACUUUUUCAAGGCAAAAACCCUUCAUUUUCUCCACCAUUUUUUCAACCUUAGGUUUCAGAGCACUUUUUCUUUUUCUUCCUAUAGACACUUCAAUCGAUUAUUUUCCUUCUUAGUCCACUAGGGCCCUACUCGGAUUCCUCCUUUUUGCCUAUUAGUAUUUGUCUACAUUGAGACUUAUUUAAAAUAUUCUUAGUCCACAUGUGAUAAAAAAUAAAUUCAAAAAGAUAAAUCCUACUAUUGUAACACCCCAUACUUUUAAAUCUCUUGUUUUGAUUCCUAUCUUAUUAAGUUUGGACCUUUUCGUAAUUUCCAAUCAUUGAGGGACUCGAUGGCAUUUUGUUACCUAAUUAGUACCUAACUUAAUUAAUUUACCCUAGACAACCCCACCCAAUCGAUCUCUCUUUUUCCCUCCCGCACGACUCUUUCUCUCUCCCCCUCACCGCGUCCGUACGACCUCUUCCGUUCCGCACGUGCGCGCGCGACAUCAUCUGAUCGCCGCCGUCAUCCGUAGCCGCCUCCGUCGCAAUCCUCUUUGACCGUUAUUUUUGGUUCGCUAUCGUCGGCAUCUUGUCGUCAUCUUCACCAUUUUCGAUAAGGUUUUUCUUUUUCUCUCAUUUUAUCUCUAUAUCGAAUCUUGUGAUCAUCCAACCUCUUUAUUCAUCGUUUUAUUAUUAUUUUGAAUACUUGCCUCAUGAUGAUUGAAAUUUGAAACCAUCAAAAUCUGAAUUCGUUAUAUCUAAUCUUCGUCGUUCGAACCGUUUAAUUUUAUAUCUUGUAUCUUCUGUAUGAUCUAGUUGCAUAAAACUUCACAUAUUGUACACACUUAUUGGAAUGUCCGCUAUAUAUUCGACAAAAUGCCUAAAAGAAUGCAUAUAUUGUUUUUUGUUCCCAUCUUGAUUCUAUCUAAUUAUUGAUUUGCAUAUCAAUGUUUCAACAUCUGAAAACUCUCUUUUUGAGCAUUAGAUCCUUCGUUUAUUAUCUAAAACUUCAUUUAUGUUAUCUUGCUUCUUUAAAAACUUUAAUAUUUGGAACUCAUCAUCCUCUUGAUUGUUAAUUGAGUUUCGUCGAAUUUAUUAUUCUAAAUCUCUUUCGUGAUCCGUCUCAACCUUUUUGCAUGCAUUUGUAGCAGACAUUGUCGACCUAUGUGAACCUAUCCGAAUUCAAAUUUUUGCAUAAGCUUGCUUUCUAAAUGUAUAUAUGUUCUCUUUGUAAGUUUAUUUUAAAUAGCUUAUAGAGAAUAGUGUAUCUCUAUUUUAGGUUUCGACAAUUGAUUUCGUGCAAUUUUUGACUGGAUAGCUUCUCAGCUUAGAAGCCGCUUUUGAGAUAAGCGACCGGACACCUGUUAGUUUUUCGUAAAAUAAUUUAGGAAAUACUUUGAUUAUAUGAAAAUCUUUAUUUUGUAGAUUUUAAAAAUUAAGGGUUAAGUGUAUAUUAAAUAUUUUUGUAAAUUGAGUGUCAACUAUGAUUAAAAGAUUCUUUUAACAGAAAAUUUUGAAAUUUGAUAAUCUGUUCUGUAAGUUAGUGACUAGAUAAUUUAAAUUAUAAUGUCUCUUGGUAUUCUGCUAUGCUAAUGUUGGCCAUGUCGACAUGUAUUUUGUUAUAGAAGCGAGCUUCAUCUUUGUAUUGCGCCUUCGGGUGCCUGCGCCUAUUUGCGCCUCUGCUUUGUUUGCGCCUUUGGGUGCCUUUGUUUUGUACAUGUACCUUCGGUGCCUCUAUUCUGUUUGUGCUUUCGGGUGCCUAUGUUCUGUUUGCGCCUUCGGGUGUCUCUGGAUCUCACCAACGGAUCAUAUGAUAUAGUGAGUUGCCGGAAACUUAAUAUUUGUUUUGUUUAUUUGCUGAAAGAGAAAUGCUUUGUAAAUUUAUAGUUUCGAUUCGAUCUAAAUUUUAAGUUUUGAUAAAUUCUUGUUUUCUGAAAUUUUGCAAAUUAAAAACCAGUCGCUUGAAUUAAUUUUUUGUAUUCAAUUAUUUAUUUGUAUUAUAUGCUUAAUCCGACUAAUGUGGUGUAUGGUUGCUUACCCAGGUACCGAGACUGAUUUGCCGGACGGGGCUGAGACCAAGUGAACGUUAGACGUUGCUAGUUUUGAUUUUAGUCCCUUUUGUUUUUACAUCUAGUAUUUUUGGAUUAUCUAUGAUCGUUUGUUAUCUAUUUUGUUUCAUUAUUUCUUCGUACCCACUUUUAUCACUUAUGGUACUUUGUAGACCGAAUCUCUCUUGUAAUUCGUAGUAAGUUUUAGUUUUAUAGAUGUUAGAAUUCCGUUUGAUUUUAGUUGAAAUUCAAUUUUUUAGUCUCAAGUCGUUCAAGCCCCUCUUCAUUAGGCUCUCGCGGAAUUCCACUUCGAUUCGCAAUCAAAGUCUUCGGCCAAGUUCGAGCCUACCGGACGCCUUGUCUCUUUUCGCUCGCAACUCGCCAUAUCCCAACUCUAGGGAAACCACCCUAAUAAUAAUCGCUGAACGGAACUCAGUUCACUCUCUGCUUAGCCUGAACCGCAAGUCUGAUUGCCACAGCAAUGCCGCCACCCUGCGCGCACCGCCCGAUUCUUUAGAUUUAGUGGAAAAAUUGGUAAUCAUUUUUUUGCUAGUUUCCGUCGGAUUCUGUAGCCUUGCAUAUUUGCUAGUUUAGCAGGUAUACAGCGUCUGUUACGCGCGGCGUCUGUUACGCCUCAGAUUUGGGCGUGACAACUAUAUUUAAAUUUCUAUCUUUGCGGGAUUUAGUUAGAAUCAGAUCAGGAUUAAUGUGUCCCCUAUGACCUAUAAAUAUAUGAGAGAUUGGCCACAAAAGAUAUACAAGAAAAAAAAUUAGAAUAAUCUCUUCGCAGAAAUUCUCUCUUCGGGUUCACUUUAGGGUACCAUCAGAAAUCCUAGGAUUUGGGUGGUGUGCUGCGAUCAACUCUGAUAACCCGGAUUGCGACAAGAAAGAACAAUAUUGAAGACGCAAAAAAUGCUAGAGAUCAAACAGAUUCUAAGCAAUUUAAAGAGCUCGUAAAACAAGACGAGAUCAGAUAAUUACAAUGUUAAUUCUGUGGCGAAAAAGUAUGCAAAAUCUAUGUGAUUUUUUUUUUAUCAUGAUUUGAUUAUUAAUUUUCAUAUGGUAUCAGAGCAUUCCAGUUCUUAUAUUCGCUCAAUCAUCUAUUUUGAUAUCGAAUAUUUCUUUUAAUUUCUUUUGGGCAUUAAAUUUGGCAUUGAUUUGUAUAAAAAAAAACGAAACCGACAUUGUCUCGGGUCGCAAUGGGCGAGAACACACAUAGGUUUCGCGAUUUUAGGCACGCUAAAUUGGCGUGUGGAUGAUGAACGUGAGUCUUCUCAGCCUUUCUCUUAAGCGGUGUAGCACCUAGCCCAAUUCUUGGGCCGCCUGCGAGGCCCGCUUAUGGAUUGCAUUGCCGUUGGGCCUACAAGGUUCCAUCCUUUUAUAAGCCUGCUCACGCAUUGGGCUGAGCAAAAAGGUCCCCCCAAGAAUUAGGCUGCAGAGCCAUUAUGCAUGAUAAGCCAGCCUGGUCACUGGGCCACCGGCACGCUGGGCUAAUGGGCCCAAUCGUGCAAUGGGCCGUGUUGGGCGAGCUUGUGUGUGGGGCCAACUGAGGCCCACUUGCGUUUUUGGGCUGCAUGAUGGGUUAAGCAUAGAGGUCUGGCCCGCGCACACUAGACGGCCUGAGGCCCGCAUGCUGGCCCAUAUACGGAAAUAAGCCACGCUCGAGGUCAGGCCGCAUACAGGCCAGCCUGCAUUAUAGGCCCCAUCCACCAGCCCUCUAUUACUAUUACUAUAUUUUUUUUUAAAAAAAAAAAGAAAAAAAAAAGAGAGAGAUUAAUUGUUGGUUAUGGAAUUCAAACCCACAACCUGUUCAUACAAUGACAAAAUUAUGCAUAUCGUUUCCUUAUAUAUUAUGUUAUGAUAUGUUAUAGUUUCUUGACUAAAUUAUAUUGUGUUUUUUAAGAAAUGUAUGACGUAGAUUUAUUCUUGACCAAUUUGUUAUAUUAUUUAAUCUGCAUUAGAUGAAGUGAUUAUUAACAUUUUCAGAAGCGAAAUUUUGAUCCGAAAAUACAAUGAGAAAUUUUAUUAUCAGAUUAAAAAUAAUUUAAAAUUAUGUGCAUUAUUGUGUAGUGAUAUAUAUAGCUUUCAAAAAAAUUUCCUUCGCUGAUUUGCUAAAUUAAGAUAGAUUUGGUGAAACGAAUUAUGACAUGUGGUAUAGAAAAAUCUAAUAUCUUCUUAAUGAGAAAGGAAUGCUAAACCAUCCGACCAAUACUAUGGUUUGGCUUGAGUAAGGUAUGACGGCUCAGUAUGUACCGUCAUGAUUUGCUUGAGAAAGAUGGGAGUGCACGCUAUACGUACGAUGACUUAAUGAAUUUGAAAAUUAUGAGACUCCUAAAAGUAUAUGGGAGCAGCUCAAAGUAAAAUAUAGUAACACAUCAGCCACAAAGCUUCAUGCCUUUGAAUCUCAAAUUCAAUCAAUACAUGAUGAACCCGAAGCACUCUAUGGCAGAGCACUUAAGGGUGAUAUCUGCUAUGAUUAGACAGCUUAAAGCAGUCAGUUGCGAGCUACUGACGAACAACAGGUUUAUUCAGUUGUAAAGUCGUUACCAAAGUCAUUUUGGGAUCAAGUCAAGUUAGUGUUGAUUCACAAUGAGGAUAUUAAGACUCUCAACGAUAUAGCUCGACAUCAAUUCAAAUCAAAUCUAACUAAUUCCUAACACAUAUACUUAGGAUUUGAUUAAUUUUCACCUUAGGGUCCAUACAUUGAGCUCUAAAGUAUACACUUAGGGUCCAACAAAUUAAUUUGAUUAAUCUUUAACACAUAUAUUUAGAGUUUAAUCAACCUCAGCACCUUAGAAAAUAUAAUUAGGGUGCAAUCAAAAUCCAACUCAAUUGAUCGCAAUCCAAAUUUAGUUUGACUGCUAUGUCAUUAAACUGAGCAACUCAAAUCCAAUUGAUCGCCUUGUAUUUAAAUUGAGCAAUCCAAAUUUAAUCAACUGUUAUAUCGUUAAACUGAACAUGUUUCUGUUGUAUUUAUACGUUAUACAUGUAUACUAACUGGUUAAGCCAUGAAAUGCCCCAACAAUUUAUGUAAUAAAAUUUAUUUUUCAAUCUAUUUCAUCAUCAAUAUUUUGAAAGUCUUUUAAUCAAAGGUUCCCAAUCUUCUGGGAAUAAUUAACAGUAGAUAUUUGUGUCUACUAGAAGCUAUGAAUCCAGAAUACAUGAUACUUCUAUAUAUGCAAAUAUUGAUAUGAAUCAUAAAUACUACCUAUAGGAACCAAAAUUAUUUAACUGUGCGAGAUGAGUCAUUCGUGGUCACAGACAUAUAUAAUGCAAUUUAAUUUAUAUAGAAAAAAUAGUGCAAUAUACUCAUCUAAAUGGUGUAACAUUGUUUCCUAAUAGUGCAACUUUUAAACAAAUAGUGCAAUAUUUAUUUAAAUGAUGCCGUAAUAUGCAUUGUUUAUCUAUAGAAAUAAUAAUUCUUAGGUUCCCUCCGGAGCCUCCUCGCGUUUGGCGGGGGGGGGGGGCUCCGCGGACCCCUUUUUUUCGGCCUUCUCUCUCUCUCUCUAUCACUCUCCUUCCUCAUCCCACUCCGGUCCUUUCUCGCUCUCUCUCUCCUCUCUCUCUCGCCCCCUUGCCUGUCUCUCUCUCUCUUCUCUUUCUCUCCCUCCCUCCUCUCUUUAUCCUUCUCUCCUCUGUCCUCUCCUCUCCCUCUCCUCUCUCUCUCUCACUUUCCCUCUCUUCUCUCUUUCAUCUGCUGGCGCACGAAGGGUGCCAGGCUGCCGCCAUGGACGCCCCCCUCCGGCCUUUAUCUUACUCUUUCCCCUCUCUCCCUUUACCCACCCAGGCCCCACGCGGCUCCGCCAACCCUCGUCUUUCUGCUCUUUCUUCGUCUUUCUCGUCUCUCGCGACCGCCAUGGCUAGCGACGCAACGGCGGUGUGGCGGCUGCCCACGCCUGCGCGUGAGCCGCUCGCGGGUCGCGCACGUCGCGCCCGCGCGCGACGCGGAGAGUGCGAGAGGAGAGAGGAGCUCUCUCUCUCCGGCACUGCGUUUACCUUCCCCCCCCAGCGCCCGUCGCGGCCGGGUUCUCUAUGUUCCCGCCUGGGCCGUCUCGUGCUCCAUUUUGUCUGCUUCCUCGGCGCGCGACUCUCCUGCUCUCGGUCUCGUCUCGUCCUCGUUGCCCAGGGCUUGGGCCGCGGCGAUCGAGAGAAUAGGCGGCUGGUGGGCCUGGGGGCAGGCGCGGCGGCAGGCAGGCGAGCGGGCGGCAGGCAGGCGAGGCCCCCUGGCUCUCUCUCUCUCCUCUCUCUUCCCUCUCCCAGCGGCGACUGCGCGGGGGGGUCGCCGGCGCGGGGGCAAUGGAGCGGGACGGCCGCAGGAGCGGGGCGGCCGCAGGCGCGAGCGCAGGCGUAGUCGUAGUCGCAGCCGCGGGCUGGCGCGGGUCCUCUCUCUCUUCUUCCUUUUUUUUCUCUUUUCUAAUUUUUUUAAAUUAUUUUGUAUGGCUGUUGAUAAAAAAAAUAAUAAUAAAAUCUAAAUUUCAAUUUUAAAUUAAAAUUUAAAUCCGAAUCCGAACUCGAAUCUGAUGGAUUUUACAAAUCCAUAUCCAAAUCUGAACCCGAUCAAGACUCCGAAACUCGGCCCUGAAAAUCCUAACCCGCAAUAAUAUUUAAAUAAUUUUUUUUAAUUUCUCUCUCUCUUCAAUUUUUUUGAAGCUUAAAAUUUAAAAUUAGAUUUGAAAAUUGAAAAAAUUAAAUUUUUGAAAAUAUUUUAGGAAUUGCGUAAAUUUUCUGCCGCGAAGCGCGGGCCUUCACUAGUACACAUAAUUGCAUCAUCUGUAAUAUAUUCUCAUAUAUUAUCCUAUAUGUACAUGAUAUAUUAUAUUAUUUGCAAUUCACUAUAUAAAUUAUAUAGUAUUAUGAUAAAUUGUGUAAAUAUUGCACCAUUAAUUCUAUACAAAAGUUGCACUUUUAUUAUACUAUUGAAAGAAAAUAUUGCACUAUUAGGAGAGAAUGUUGUAUUCUUUCGUCUUAUCAAUUAUAUUGUGAAGAUUGAAAUUUUUACGUUGUAUUUUCAUGUUUUCAGUGGUGUUUUUAUAGGUACCUUAAUUUUAAAUUAUCGAUUUAAUUUCAGAGAAAAAUAAGCUUUUAUUAAAGGUGUUUGGUGACUAGUACUAUUCACUUUAGUGAAUAGUAAUCGAUGUUUUAUUUUGAGGCAUUACCCUAAGGAUGGCUUCGGAUGUGAAUCGAACUCCGUUUCAAAUCAUCCAAUAAGUCGUUUUUCAAUGGUUUGGCUAUGCCGAAGGUGAUGGCACUGCCCGAUUUCAUGUUCGAUGCAUGGUUUUUUAGAAAAUUAGAGUUUAUCGCAGAUUAGCCUUUGAUUACUUGAUGUUCUUGCAUUUUUAGAUGUGUUCGAUGUUCUGUUUUGCGUGAAAAGGCAUGGGUCGGUGCCAUUGGGCAUAUUACACACACUGGUGAGUUUUUGGAACAAAAUUCAAUGAUUGGAGUGCUAAAGUGCUAUUUAUGCAAAGCGUCAAAAUUGAGCACUUUGUAAAGAAGCUAUCAUUUUAUGUAAGAAAGCUUACAGUUUUGGCGUGUGGGGGGAUCUAUUGAUAGUAGACUAAGAGAGGACUUUAUGUCUUAAAUUUAAUGGAAUUCAAGUUUACGUGUGCAUAUUGGCACUAUGUGGAAGUCGAGAGAGUGUUUUAUGAGCGAGUCAUAUUUCGGUACAAAAUGCGCAUUCGUGUAGCAAAACGCACGAAGGAGUAGGACUACUAUGUAAACGCAAGUACUUGAGAGGGCUUGGUACAGAUUUUAAUAAGAUUGUUGUAUUUCUUGCAGUUUUACAUAAGUUUAGAGGGGUAUUUACAUAUAUGUAUGAUAUAUAUAGAGAGAGAGAGUUGAGUUAGAAUACUAUUGAUAACAAACGGGCUCCGUUGCCACCUAUUUGUUUUCGAUGAUAGAGCCUCCAAAUCGACGAUCGGCACCGUUGAAAAUGAUCUAUACCACUUGAAGUAUCAAGAAAUCAAAUUUCAUACUUUUUUGAUAUUGUUCCCUUGUCCAUCAAGUAGGCGUAAAAAUGAACAGCUGAAAAUGAAUAUCCUCUAAAAAAUGAUGAUAGGAAUUUUGUAAUCAAGAUCAAGAGGAUAGAUCUUGUUCUAAAUAGUUUAAAGAAUUUUCUGACCAAAAUUCAAUUGAUUCGGAUAGCUUUACACCAUUAAACGGGAAAAUGUCUCAUAUCUACCAUUAAAAUUAUAAAUUUUGAAACCCUUUGAUCAUUAGGCCAAUGAUGUCGAAAAGAUUUGAAAUUUGGUUUCUAGAUACGUUAAGUGGUGCAGAUUAUGUUUAACGUUACCGAUCGUCGAUUUGAAGGCUCCAUCAUAAAAAACAAAUGGGUGGCAAUGGAGCCUAUUUGCUACCGAUAUCAUUCCAGCUCAACUAUAUAUAUAUAUAUAUAUCAUGUGCAAUGUACAAGUUUGGAGGGUUGAAGAAACCCUAGCCAACCACCCCCUUCCUCCUCUAUGUACGGCAGUCGCACCGUCGCCUUCAUCACCAUCGGUUCCCUUCCGGCGAGCGAGGGAGUAUCAAGAUCCUUCUCUCUCCCUCUCCAUUUCGCUUUUUUUCGCGCUUGCUCCCCAAGUUGGCUUAUACCUGCCGCCCCGCCGCAGCUGAUCGGGAUUGCCACCGCCAUUCCCCUCGGACCCCCGGCGACUCUUCCUGAGCUGCCCUUGGUGCUGUCGUGCGCUAGGAGUAGCUGCAACCUGAGGCGGAGCUCUGGGAGCUCUUGUGGCCGCGGGGAACCACCCAGCCUCCUCCGACGUGCCGCACCGCCGGUCCCGAGGAACCCAUCGGCGCCGCCCCCACCCAUCCCCAAGCCGCCGUAGUGGCGCUUGCAGAUACCCUAGUCGCGGAUCUAUUUUGGUGCUCUGCAGCCGGGCCACGCUGCUGCUGCCUCCCGCCAUUGACUAGGGCCGCCGAUCACCUUCCAUAGGUGCGGCGACCCUACCUUGGUCGGAGCCCGCCCUGCCAUGCCGCCGGCCGCUGGAUUUGAGGUGCCCUAGCCCUGCGAGUUAGGUCCUAUAGGACAAAAUUUUUUGGUGGGCUUGAUUUUUUGGCCACGGACGACGUUGGUGAGCUCCCGAAUCAUGAGCACCGCACUCCAGGGGUUCUGUGGAGUGUCGUGCUCACUUUCGUUGCGAUUAGCGAGGUCCAGUGAGUGCGACAAACUCGGUUGCUUCUAGGAUUAACCAUUUGGAGGGUUUUUUCACUAUUUCACAGCCUUCCGUAGUCGAAUUCACUCCGGAUAGUAAGCACGGUGUUCGGCAUGUCGAGACCUUCUGGAUCUUGCAUUUGUUUGGAUUCCGAAGUGCGGAAUCGGUGGUAUGCCUCUAUGUAUUUUAUAAGUAUAGUAUUUACCACGCACCGGGUGUUCGUUGGAGUGCUACUGUGAUGCUUUUCGAAUCAGUACUGUUCUGGACAGUAUGGUUCAGCUUUGGGAUGUUUGACCUUGAUGUUCGAGAUUUGAGAAUCUUACAAAUGGGAUUUUGUGGUGAGUGGCACCUUAAAUGUGGAUUUAAGUGUGCAUUGUGGGCAUUUUCAGCUUUAUUUUCGCAGAGUGGGUUGUCGUUGCUGGUUGCAGCAGUACGGUAGCCUCGUUGGCUGGCUGGGACCUCGCUGGUGCGGAGUGCGGAUCACCAGUGGACCCUAGGUGGGUUCGGAAACCGCAAAUAAUAAUUUUCAGGACCCUGUAUGGUUGAUUUUGGGGUUUUCAUACUUGGAUAGCACCACUCAGUGUGCGACUGUCCUAAAAAAGUGAUUGUUUCGGGAUAGCGAGGAUGGUUGAUUAAAUUUCAGAGUGUUUUGGAACACUUUCAGAGUGAUUUGGUAAAUCACUUUGUACUCAAUUUUUCAUAGUGGAUUGUUUUGUGUGAUUGGUCCCGCGGAUUUUUUACUCCGAGUUGGAGUUUUUCUAUGUAAAAUCUUGGUGUGUUGAUUUUAUUCUUUCGCAGUUAGUUUUAAUUUGCAUCAAGACGCAUCAAGACUUCUGUUUUGUCGUUUACACCUAUUCAAUCCCCUCUCUCUAUGUGUUAUUUUAUCUUUUAGAUUUUUGGGAUCCAUUACAGCUGCAACCCUCACUGCCCGCAUCACUUGAAAAAUGGUAGGGGGUGAGAACAUGCACACAUGUCUUCCCUCCCAGUGGGUACCGCAAGCCGACGAAGGCAAUGAAUACUCACCGAUAUAGAAAGAGAUAAUCAAAGUCAUGAGCAGAUAUCACAAAUACAGUAGCAAUAAUACCGAAAGAAAAGAGAACAAUAAUAGAAUAUAUAACUACCGCUACUGUAAAGUAGAAUAGAUGCAUACAUGGAUAUCGUAACUACAGUAGCAAUGAUGCAGGGAGUAAACAGCAGUACAGAGGAAUAUAACUAGCCGCUACUAUAAUACAGAACAAAGUACACGUAUGCAUCAACCGGACUAUCAGUCCCAAAGACACCCAAUCCAGAAGUUGCCAUAUCGAUCUGAAAACCUCAGGCUAUGCCACUACCGCUCUAGCAGGGAUUGACCCGAGCAAAUGACUACUGAGGUCUUCCUGGCAUAUAACCCAGCAAAUGACUGUUGAGCUCACGGGUCGGAUGUACGGUCACUUUUUCGAAAAAGAACACCUUCCUGCGGUGGAUCAGACCACUAGUGUAUGUGAAACACAUAUGAGCAGUGGCGAUCAAUGUAAUAUGCUCAAUAGCCCACUAUCCGCGGAUAGCCGAAGUAAAGUCUAACAAAGAGUAACCGACCAGCCAGGACAACCUCUAUCUCAAGGAUAGAACAAUAUCAGAGCAACCGAUCAAUCAGGUCAACCUCUAUCUCAAGGAUAGAACAAUAUCAGUAACCAAUCAGAUCAAAUAGAGCAAGUCAUGCAAUAGGCCACUAGAAAUGUCACCAACCACGAAGUCAACUAAUGUAAAAUAAUGUCAUGUAAUGAUACGAGUGUCACCGACUAUAAAGUCAACUAAUGUCAAAUCAUGUCACGUAUAAAUACGUGUGUUACUGACUUUAAAGUCAACUAAUGUAAAAUAAUGUCAUGUAAGGAUACGAGUGUCACUGACUAUGAAGUCAACUAAUGUCAAAUCAUGUCAUGUAAGAAUAUGAGUGUCACCGACUAUAAGGUCACUAAAGUCAAGAUCGUCUAUUAUAAACAUGUCAUUGAUGAGUCAAUCAUCAGGAAUACCGCUCUACUAUAAGAUCAUAACCAUAAGAAAUAGAAGUACCCGUAGAGCAACGAACAAUGAAGACAAGUGGUAUACGAAAGCUCAAUCAACAUCAAGUAGAUGAUGUCUGCCACCACGAAUGACGCACCUUGCACGGUCGAUGGAAUUUUCGGCCGUGGGGUAGUAUUCAUGAUUUAGAUGAGUAUUUAUAUGUAUGUGUGGGUAUCAGGUAUUGCGAGUCCAUGGCUUCCAAUAGAUGCAAGCAUCUAUUGUUAAUUACCCCCUGUAGAUUGGGGCACCUUCGAUUAAGAGACCUUUAUAGAUUGGAUGAAAUGGAUCGUAUCUCGGUUUAUUGAAUCCUAAGUAUAUGUAUUAGGAUUCAGUUGGAUUUGAGGUUGAUUAGGCCCUAAGUAUAUGUGUUAAGACCUAAUCGAUAUUAAACUCUAUGUAUUAGAGUCUAAUUGGUUCAUGAGAUAUGGGUUUGAGAUCUGGUCAUUGGUUCAUGAGAUUUGGGUAUUGGUUUAUGAGAUUUGGGUAUUGGUUCAUGGGAUAUGGGUAUUAGGUUGGAUGUAUGGUUCAUGGGAUUUGGUCCAUGAGGUUUAGUUGUGGUUCAUGGGAUUUGGUCCAUGAGGUUUGGUUUUGGCUCAUGGGAUUUGGUCCAUGAGAUUUGGUUUUGGCUCAUGGAAUUUGGCCCAUGAGAUUUGGUUUAUGGUUUAUGGAAUUUGAUCCAUGAGGUUUAGUUGUGGUUCAUGGGAUUUGGUCUAUGAACUUGGUUUUGGUUCAUGGGAUUUGGUCCAUGAGAUUUGGUUUUGGCUCAUGGGAUUUGGUCCAUGAGAUUUGGUUUUGGUUCAUAGAAUUUGGUCCAUGAACUUGGUUUUCGCUCAUGGGAUUUGGUCCAUGAGGUUUGGUUUUGGUUCAUGGGAUUUGGUCCAUGAGAUUUGAUUAUGGUUCAUGGGAUUUGGUCCAUGAGAUUUGGUUGGUUCAUGGAAUUUGGUCCAUGAGAUUUGGUUUUGGUUCAUGGGAUUUGGUCCAUGAGGUUUGGUUUUGGCUCAUGGGAUUUGGUCCAUGAGAUUUGGUUUUGGCUCAUGGAUUUGGCCCAUGAGAUUUGGUUUUGGUUUAUGGAAUUUGAUCCAUGAGGUUUAGUUGUGGUUCAUGGGAUUUGGUCUAUGAACUUGGUUUUGGUUCAUGGGAUUUGGUCCAUGAGAUUUGGUUUUGGCUCAUGGAUUUGGUCCAUGAGAUUUGGUUGGUUCAUAGAAUUUGGUCCAUGAACUUGGUUUUCGCUCAUGGGAUUUGGUCCAUGAGGUUUGGUUCUGUUUCAUGGGAUUUGGUCCAUGAGAUUUGAUUAUGGUUCAUGGAUUUGGUCUAUGAGAUUUGGUUGGUUCAUGGGAUUUGGUCUAUGAGAUUUGAUUUUGGUUCAUAGGAUUUGGUCCAUGAGAUUUAGUUCUGUUUCAUGGGAUUUGGUCCAUGAGAUUUGGUUCAUGGGAUUUGGUCCAUGAACUGGGUUUUGGUUCAUGGGAUUUGGGUUUUGGUUUUAUGUGUGGAAUGGGUUCGGAUUUUAUUUGUGGACUUGAUUUGUGUUGGGUUUGCGUUUGAUUUGAGUUUGGGUUUUGGUUUUAUUUGGGGAAUGGGUUUGGGUUUUAUUUGUGGACUUGAUUUGCUUUGGAUUUGGAUUUUAUUUGGAUUUGGGUUCAUAUGUGAACUUGAUUCGGAUUUGCAACUUGAUUUGGAGUCGGAAUUUGAUUUUCCCGUUUGAUUUUGAUUUGAUUUCGGGUCCGAAGAAAUUCCCGUUUGAUCUUGAUUUGAUUUGGGGUCCGAAGAAAUCCCUGUUUGAUUUUGAUUUGGAUUUGAUUUUUCAAUUCGAUUUGGGGUCCGAAGAAAUCCCCGUUUGAUUCAAUUUGAUUUGGGGUCUGAAUAAAUCCCCGUUUGAUUUUGAUUUGGAUUUGAUUUUCCAAUUCGAUUUGGGGUCUGAAGAAAUCCCCGUUUGAUUUCGAUUUGGAUUUGAUUUUUCAAUUCGAUUUGGGGUCCGAAGAAAUCCCCGUUUGAUUCGAUUUAAUUUGGGGUCCGAAGAAAUCCUCGUUUGAUUUGCAAUUAGAUUUGGGGUCCGAAGAAGUCCCCGUUUGAUUUGAAUUUGAAUUUGAUCUUCAAAUUUGGUUCUGAUUUGGGGUCCGAAAAAAUCCCCGUUUUGAUUCCAAUUCGGGGUCCGAAGAAAUCUCCGUUUUAAUUUUGAUUUGGGGUCCGAAGAAACGGGGAAUCAAAGAUUCCCCUCCCCUCUUCUUGCGAUGCUGCGGAUGACGUCGACGAAGUUGAUGACGGUGGCGUGGAUCUGUUCGGCCAUCGGAUUUGAUUUGACAUUUUCGAAUAAGUAUUGAAGGGUCCGAAGAAACGGGGAAUCAAAAAUUCCCCUCCCCUCUUCUUUCGAAAGUAUCAAACCGGCGAUGCUGUAGAUGUCGUUGGUGAUGGUGGCGUGGAUUUGUUCGGUCGGCAAAUUUGAUUCAAUAUUUUCAAAAUGUUUUGAAGGGUCCGAAGAAACGGGGAAUCAAAGAUUCCCCUCCCCUCUUCUUUUCGAAAAGAUCAAAACGGCGAUUGUAGAUGUCGUCGACGGAGUUGUUAACAGUGGCAUGGAUCUGUUCGGCCAACAAAUUUGAUUCGAUAUUUAUCGAAGAAAUGUUGAAGGGUCCGAAGAAACAAGGAAUCAAAGAUCCCCCUCCCCUCUUCUUUCGAAAGUAUCAAACCAAACAUGCUGGAGAUGGUCGCGGCAAUGUAGAUCAUCCAUUCCAUCAUCAACGACUUCGAAUGGGGUAUUGAGAGGUCCGAAGAAACGGGGAAUCAAAGAUUCCCCUCCACUCUCCCACCGAAGCCAUCUAGAUGAUAUGGAUGGCUACGAUCGUCGGACAAAAGAAAAAAAAAAAAGAGAGGGGGAAGAAAAGAGAUCUUUUUUUUUUGUUUUAUUAUUAUUUUUACUUUCUUUCUUUUUUUCUUUCUUUUUUACUACCUGUUGAUGGAUUCGAUGAAGCGGCUCAACGAUCUCUCUUUCUUUCUGCGGCUCGGCGAUUUCUCCUUCUUUCCGCGGCUCGAGUGAUCUCUCCUCCUUUCCGCGGCUCGGCAAUGUCUCCUCCUUUCAGCAGCUCGGCAAUAUCUCCUCCUUUGAAUAUUUUGAACUUGGAAGUGUGUAGCAAUCUAUCUAUCGUGUCGUCUCUCUCCAAAAAAAAAUUCCCUGAAUUUGAUUUCGGUUCCCGUAUUUAUAAUGGGAGGGGAGGAGUUAGUUAAGAAUUCAAAAUUCGAAAUUCGAAUUUUGAAUUAUUUGUUGGAUGGUUGGAGGAUAUUUGGGGAGUGGUUGGGAAUUCAAAAUUCGAAUUCGAAAUCGAAUGAGUUGUUGGAUAGUUGGAAGAUAUUUUGGGAGUUGGUUAGGGAAUUCAAAAUUCGAAAUCGAAUUUUGAAUGGGUUGUUGGAUGAUAUUUUGGGAAUUCAAAAUUCGAAAUUCGAAUUUUGAAUGGAUUAUUGGAGGAUACUUUGGUAAUUUGUUGGGGGUUCAAAAUUCAAAAUUCGAAUUUUGAAUAGAUUAUUAGAUGGUAUUUUGGGAAUUCAAAAUUCGAAAUUCGAAUUUUGAAUGGAUUAUGAUUUGAAAUCGGAUUUCGACUAGAUACUUUAUAAGGUGUGGGUGUGGGCCGUCGUUGAUCAGACCCACCUUAAUUUAUUGGGCUCAAAUUAUAACGGGCUGAAAUAAAGGCCCCCCCUCAUUUUUUCUUUUUUUUUUUUAUUUUUUAUUUAUUUGUUUAGGUUUUCGUAAGGGCUCACCCACUCACAUUUUUUUUUUUAUUUGUUUGGGCUUUCGUAAGGGCCCACCCACUCACAUUUUUAAAUGAACUUAUUGUAUAUUAUAAUUAUUGACCCGAAAAAAUUAAUGAUUAAUACGAGACCUAUUAGGAUUGUAUAAACUCGAAUCUAAUCAUUUUUAGGAUUAGGAUUGUUUCAACCUAUAUAUAUGUAUGACAAGUAUUAUUUUACUUCAAACAGAUGAAAAGAGGUAAAAAGGGUAGAAAUCACCGAGCAUGCACCAUUUUACCAACUUCGGAUCGAAGUACCCACCUGUCAAAGUUGCGUCAGAAUCCUGGAAGCGCAAGAAGUCAACCGGACCUACGAUGGGUCUACCAAGUCAGAGACAAACUUAAAAGACUCAAACUAAAGAUUCACACACUCAAUCCCAAAUCCCAAGAUUAGGCUUCCCAAUAAUCGGUCUUUGUAAACUGCCGGAAGUCCCAAAAUCACACCGGGACGACCUCGGGACCCACAAAAAGUCCCAGAAGGCACCGACUCGCCCUACGAGUCAACCGCUGCCCCGAAACACAUCCAUUUGGAUGUUCCAACAAGAACCACUACAUUCCACGCCGAAAUGGUUAUCGUCGGAUAACAGUCCCGAUCCGGGUUCCCGAAAGGGUCGUUUUCGACAUCGGAAUCCACCGUCGCUCACCCAUCAUCUCCGGGCUUUCGGAACGACAUAAGUGACCAGCCAAAAAGGCUCAGCAGCAAAACAUAACUCACUUUAGCACCGUGAGAAGAAAUCCAAACCAAAAUGGUGUUCCGUCGGCGAAUUUUGCCGAAAAACGUAUCGAAAAUCGAUACACGAUUUCCGCGAAGACUUUGGAUAAUCAGUCCAAAGGUCACCUGUAGCACACACGUACUACCCAUAGCACCCACGGAGUGCACAAUUGACAAAAGCCCUUACUAUUCCUUAAAAUCAUAUUAUUUUAUUUGAUUUACCGGGUUUUAUGGGUCGUUACAGCAAACUGAGGGCUUUCGAGGUCUGCUGAGACAUGUACUGACAAGUCUCAACGUGCCAGAGGCCGUGCUUAUGAUUCAGAGCACAACUGCCCAUUGUGGAGAGUGCGGGAGCAACUCGAAAAUCUGCGAAACCUGCGGGCUGAAAACUAAAACGCGACUAAUUCACCAAUCCGGGGCUCAUUGACCCUAAAUGAGGUGAGCACUGUGAUCAGCGCUGACCAACGAUCACUGUGCUGUCCUUCAGAGGCAUUGGAAUAGCCCCGAGUUACCGAAACAGUGAUCCCAAUCUGAAACACUGUACAAAUACACUAAAAUAAAGCUCACUAGGCAAAAGAGGCUAGGGCAUGGCCGGCGUGGCUCGGUGGUGGGCGAGUCGGCGAAAGACGGGUGCAGCUGGCAAGGAGAGGUAGGGGCACGCGUCGGCCGGUGACGGAAGGGCGACGGCGGCGGCGAGCAAUGAUGCCCUAGCCGCACGGGAUGACGAAGAGCUCGGCUCAAGUCCGACCGGCAGGGGGCUCCGGCGUCGGAAGCGCCGACGGCAGGCGGGUGCAGCCAACCAUGCAGGGAGAGCCAGUGCGCACGUCAGCCGGCGGCAGGAGGCAACGGGAGGGGUGAGCGACGAUGCCUUAGCUUGCACGAGGCGAGGAGAGCUAGGGCUCGGCUUCUCCUACAGCGAUGGCCAAGGGGCAGCGCCGAUCGGCUGCGGGGGUCUCCCGGGGUUGCGAGGAGGGGACGCAGGGCACCGAGUGACGGUGCGUGACCACACACAGACACCAGAGCUUAGCUCGGUCAGAGGGUGGCUGCGGUGGCGCCCUAGGUGCGCGGCGGCCACGGCGGCCACUCCGGUCGUGCGCGGGGAAGACCGAGGACCGAGAAGACGGUGGGGCAAGCUUCGGGACACACGGGGGAAGUCAGCGCAAGCUCCUGCCACGCGCACACUGCUUUAGCUGCUCCCUGCAGGCCGCAAAUGCAGCGGCAACACACGACGGGGAUGCGGCGGCCGCGGAGCCUAGACGGAGGUCCGGCGACGCCAACAUUGUCGAGAGAGGGAGGGAGAGGUGCUGGAUUAGGGUUGUAUGAAGAGAAACCCUAGAAACUCUCAUAUAUGGCAACGAGUAAAUCGUGCGUAACUCCCUCAAACCGCGACGUUUGCAGCCAAGACCCUGACCAUGAAUGUAUGACUGCCUCGCGCCACGAUCCACCGAGUUCCAUGAAAUUUCGCGCAUAAAAUAUAGGGUGUUUCGCACAAAAUACGAAAAUAAUCAAUUUGACCCUUCCUCGAUAAACGCGUGAUAUCUAGCGACCAGUCCGUCAGAUUUUCGAACGGGUUGUGCCAACAUAUUCAGCACGAUUGAGUCAUCGAACCCACAAUUUUGUUUUGUUCGAUUUGGUCGCUGAUUCGCGGCGAAAGCCAUUCUCUCUUUGAUUCUCCAAAACCCUCUUUGCGAUACAAUCCCUUUUUUCUCGAAAAUCGUGCAUCAAAGCCAAAUCCGUCAGUGCCAUUGGGUCCAAGACAGUCGAACCAUUGAAAACAAGCUAUUGUAUCACUAUAAACGGAGUCCAAUACGCACCAGACGCCAUCACUACUCACAGGCCUCUUCGGAAAAUCCGAGUUACUAUUCACUUUAAAUGAUUAGUAAAGAUCGCGUAACUUCUCUACCCUAACUCGUUUUCUCUCGGAACUUGACGAGUCCUUAUGUAAUUUAAUUACACACAAAAAUAUCGUUAACAAGAAAUUUAGCUAUAUAGCAAAAUUCUCAGUUUUCACACAUUGGUGGUGCGGUAGCUCUUUUGUGUGACCUACUGGGGCUGACCAUCCCAAGGGUAGUGCAAUGGUGGUAGGAUGGUGUAGGCUUGACCGAACAUGAUAGGCGGUCAUUCGGAUUGGAUUUGAAUAGUUAGUAACCGAUAGUUAGUUGAUACAUUCAUUAUACCUUAUAGUUGCAUUUUGAGCACUAGUAUUAAAGAUGCAUAGUAGCUAUAAUUUUUUUUUUUCCAGCUUUUAUUAUUUUUGGCUCUUUUACUUACCCAGCUCUUUAACUUUCACUUUUGUGGACCUAGUAGGUAGCCCUUUGUUACUAUCUGUUCUUGCAGAGCCUUCCGUCCCUAUCGUUGCUACUGAUCGAGGUAAGAGAGUCGCGAGUUAGUUUCCUAUUUUCUUGUGUUGGUUGGUUAGAAGAUCACCUAUUUAGCUGGUUUUGAAGAGUAGUUUAUUGUAUAUACUUUUAGCUUAUGUUUUUUACUUUCAAUUUUCAGAGGUGAUUUUAUACUUGAUGGAUAAACACCGAUUGUUCUAUUUUGAGACUUGUAUGUACAGUGGAUUACUUUUUAGCUUUUAGCAAUUUUAUUUCGUCUCUAAUAUUUGCUUGUAAUAGCUCUUGUAUUAUUUACAAAUACUUUUUUUGGUUCGUGUGCAUAAGAUUUUUUGUAUAAGCGGUGGUCUGUUGACGAGUCCGGAUUUGGCUGCAAUUCGGGACGUGACAAUAAAUUUUAAAUUAUUUUAAAAUAAACUUAAGCAAAAAAAAAAAAUUAUUUGUAAAUAGCAAAAAAAUUUUGCCAAAUAAUUUUAUAAAAUUAUUUAACAAAAAUUACUUUUUUAUCUAAAUUUUAUCACACGCUUUACAGCUUUUUGAUUAAAAUCAAUUCUUCAGAUUAAAAUUAAUUAUUAUGCAAAAAUCACGUUUUGACAUAAAUAGUCUACCCGCAAUGGGGAACUAAAUUUACCUUCCCUGGUCGUCCAGUUUGCGGUAAACUUUGUGAAUCAAUCGCACGAGUGGAAAGGAAUGGGCAUUUCGACGAGCACCAGCGAGGCGCCGCUGCAACAACCCUCCUCCUCCUCCUCCUCCUCUUCCUCCUCAGUUUCUCCUCAUCCUCCGUCGCCGUCGCCGUCGCCGUCGCCGACGCCGUCGCCGACUCUCCAUCAGACGGACGCCGACGAAGAGGACGAGAACGUGAAGCAGCUCAAAGAGUGCUCCUCCAUCUACCUCUCUCUUCAGGCAACUUUAACCCCUCUCCCUCUUAAUUCGCACUCCCAUUCCCCUCUCUUUUGUAUAUUCAUCAUUUGUUUCUCUAUUCUCUGUAUCUUCUUUCCCUCUCCCAAUCUCAUUUCAGGAAUGCCUCGCUGAAACCAACAGGAACUGGAAGGCCUGCCAGCGAGGUACUUAACCAACACACUCUUCCCCCCUUCUUCUCUCUCUCUGUUAUAAUAUACAUACCCAUGAUUUAAUUUACUUAGAUAUGCUGGAGGGCUCCAAUGAAUUGGUAGAUCAUGUCAUUCUUCUUCCAAUGCUGCUAAAAAUUUACAUGAGAAUUGUCCCGCACCGAAUAAAUUAAUAAAAGAAUAAAAGCCUCAUGUACACUAAUUAGGCUCAAGUUUUUAGGUCGAACAAAUUAUAUUAGAUAUGUCGCUUCCUCCGAAUCAUAAAAGCUGAUGAUCUAGCAAUCCUGGGCUACUCAUCUACCAAUGGACCUAGAACUGAAAGGCUUAAGCAUCAUUGCAACACAUGGGACUGGGCUAAUCUCGGGGAUGUUAUUUGAGAGUUCGCAUAUGUGCAAUUUCACUUAGGAAAUUGCUAUAGGAUUGAUAUAUUCUAGUGGAGCUACACACAACAAGCUUAAGCUUUUAGAUUAAAUGGAUUUCAUUAGAUAUGUCACAUCUCUAGAACAAUGUGGUACUGGGCUGAACCCAAAAUUCCUUAACAACCUCUAUAGUAAAUGAGCCAUAAAAUUUCUUGCUACAAUUGUUGGGUGAAGAUGUCUUUGUCGCUGCAACAGUAGGGCAAAGAUGACAAGUCUGAUGGGUACAAAAUCCAAGGAGAAUUAAGAAAAGAAAGAAGAAUUUAAAGAGCAUAAGUGCACAGCUGAUCUAGGUGGUCCCUGUAUAUAUAUAUAUAUAUAUAUAUAUAGAGUGAGGCUACUAUGCUAUCGGAAGCACGGAGCCUUCCGUGCUUCCAGCUCGUUUUCGAUGUUGCGACUUUCGAAUCGUCGAUCAGCUCCGUUAAACUUGAUCUAGAGUAUUUGAAAUACCUAGAAAAUAAAUUUUAUGAUUUUACGAUAUCAUUUGCCUAGUGAACGAAGGGGCUUAAAAUCAACGGCUGAAAAUAAAAAUCUUACAAAAUGUGAUAAUAUGAUAUUAAAAUUUUAAAUCAAAAAUAUUGAUCUUGUUUUAUAUAGUAUAAAUAAUUUUCUAUCAAAAUUUCACGUGAUUUGGAUGUUUCUACACCGUUAAACUCGCAAACGGCUUACUACGACCAUUAAAAUUUGUUGAUUUGAGCACAUUCGAUCACUAGGCAAAUGAUAUCGAAAAAUAAUAAAAUUUAUUUUCUAGGUACUUCAAAUACUCUAGAUCAAGUUUAACGGAGCCGAUCGACGAUUCGAAAGUCGCAACAUCGAAAACGACCUGGAAGCCACGAAGGCUCCGUGCUUCCGAUAGCAUAGUAGCCUCACUCUAUAUAUAUAUAUAUAUAUAUAUUAUAUAUAUAUAAUAUAUAUAAUAUUUUUUUUUUUUUUUCUCUUUUUGCUAAAUUUGCGGGAGGGUAACUUGGAGCUGAUAAUCCAAGAAUUUGAGAUUCAAUUAGCAUUUGUAUUUUUUUUUAUUUUUCUUCUUGUACAUACUAAGUAAGAAAAGAUAAGUAAAAGUAGGAAAGUGAAUCAUGGACCUAGGUCUUAGGCUUUUUGUCAUACUGCGGUGCUUAAGUGUCUCUCUAGAUGGAAGUAAAUUUAGAGAAAAAUAUGAAACAAUGAAAUCUUGAUCCCACGAACAAUACUUCUAUGCUAUGUGUUAUUCAUAUAGAAGUGAAAAGAACCAUUUGUUUUCAUUUGUUAGGUACGAUGAAAUUCUUUGAAAUAGAAAAUUCGAGUGAAAAGAUCUUCCUAACACAAAUAAAUUGAUUGUAGAAAAAGAGUCCCCAAGCUUUAGAUUUCAUUCUGAUGGCUUAGGAUACUAAUUUCGGGGGCUUGUUGAGAUAAACACUGUUUUUGAAGACUAAAAAAGUGUAUAGAUAUUUGAAGGACAUUCUUAUAUCCUCUAUGGCUAGAUAGCCGUUGUAUAGAGAGACAUAACAUUUAAUUUUUGAAGAAUACAGUCCAUCUUAAGAAACAGUUUUUUGCACUUGCAAAGAAGUGUUCACAUGUGCUUGAAUGAAGUUUUCUUGAAUUAGUUUAGUACAGGAAAUUGAAAGUGGGGUUUCACAAAUCUCAAAGGAUAACAAUUAUGAAACUUGACAUAGUUAUUUGUGAAAUAACAAAAUUGCUUGAACAAUGUGGACCUUUAAAGUUGCAUCCCAAUUCACAUUCACAGGUUCAUUCAGUAAAAGCUGUGUAAGUUGACCGGGUUUAAAUGUACGGAAACAUUUAUAUUUCUAAGAUCAUUAAAAAGUGUAGAAAAAGUUGUCAAUUGCCUGUUAGUUAUUUUGAUUGCUUUUUUUAUGUUUGUUAAGGCGGUUCUUAAUAAUAAAUGUCUAUGUUAAUACAUUAUGCGAUCUGUUAUUUUAUCUUAUUUGAGCUUAUGUACUGUUAGUCAAAUACUAAACUCUUAGUUUUAUUAUAUCAUCUCUUUCUUACUUCUCAAAUCUCUUAUUCUGCAUUAGAAGGAAAGUUUCAAAAUGUCCACAUUCAAUUUAUUCUAUUUCUGAAUCAUCCAUGCAGAGGCAAUAUAUUUUGCUUAAUGUUCUGUUUCUCUAGCAAAUCAUGUGCUAAUAGUAAUAAUAUAUUUUGACAUUGUAGUAUAUUUCGUUAGCUUCCAAUUAAGAGGUUCAUUUUAUUCUUUCUGGAAAAGCAGAAGUGCAAGCCUUAAAAGCCUGUCAUGCUAGGAGAAACAAGAGUAGAGAGAAGUGAAAAGCAUUGCAAGCUGCUUGCUGCAUAUCUUGUAAGUGAUUGCAGUUGAUAUAUCCACUUAUUUAACUUUUUUGGUGACGUUUGACAUCUUUCAUUUUUCAUUUUACAUAAUGUCAAAUGUUGUUUGCUUCCUGACAUAUAUUUAUUAUCUUAUAUCCUCUCUUGGCAAUGAAGAACAUUUAGUUACAAGCAUGUCUGUGUGGUGCUCAGAAAGCAAGGGAACCCUUUCCUUGAGUCACACAGAAAGCAAGGGAACCCUUUCCUUGGAUGACUCAAAUUGGUUGAUUAUAGUAAUAAUGAUUUUUCUGAAUAGUAGUAGUUUCUUUUUGAAAUAUUAACGAGUCUAGAAAGAAGUAUUUAUCAAUUUCAUAGAUUAGUUCAUUAGGGAUACACAAUUGUGGGUGGGCAUAACAUGUCUCAAAGAACAUUCAUAUUAUAUCAGUGAGAUUGGUCCGAAGUGAUAUAACUAGUUUGCUGGUAAACCAAUGAUGUGGCUAUAUAAUUCAAAUGCUUGUGGAUUGAAAUUUUCUACAGAGAUAUUAUCUCUUUGGCAAGCCUGCAGCACACAUUCAGUUUUAACCAUUGAUGCUCUGGAAAAGCGCGUGUGAAGCAUUUUGGCUGUUUUUCAUGGUUUUGAAUUUUAUGUGAACCCUGUGUUAGGUUUCGUGUGCUUUCAAAAGAACAAGCUGACAAUCACUUUAGGAAGGCAUUCUCAACAAGCAAAUCAAGUUUCGUGGUUUCUAUCUUAAAAUAAAUUCAUUUGGUAGAAGUUAUUGUGUGUCUUUGACAUCUAAAUUUCAUCAACUCUGCAGAGAAGAACAGCUGUUAGUCAAUAAUUUCCACUUUUUUUUUGGAAGGUGAGAGGUGCAUUUCUUGUUUGAAUAAUCUCUUUUUUGUCCUGUGUCGUGUAGUUUCCGAAUGUUAGAUAUUAAUUCAGCUAAACCUGAUGGAACUUGGAAGAUAUCUUAUUUUUCAGGUGCAUGUUACAUCAAUGCAUUGUUUGAGAAUAGGAAGAAAAUUGAGGUUUAGCAAGUUGUCUGCAAGUCAUUUAACCAUCUAUAAAUUAAGUGGUUUAUGUCAGUGUCAGAUACUUUUUUUUUUUUGUAUACAAUAUGAAUGUUAAUGGCAGUGUCGCAAAAAUAGUAAUAGUAGCAGCCUAAAAGUAGUGAUCUAAUUUAUCUAACGGGGUUAAAAUUACAGAGUAAAAAUACUUGAAAUCAAUUCCAGCAUACUUAUUUGGUGGUGUUGUACAAAAAUUUGAAAUUUAUAUAACUAGUCCUGUCAUCCAAAUCUACUCUUCAAUGUCAUCAUCACAUAUAGAACAAGUUAAUAUUAUAGAAUUGUGUAUCUAUCACCGCUAGGCCGAGUUUGGAUUGCUUUGCUUGCUGCAGCCACUCUGAAUGCUCUAGAAAUCCAUGGAAACACAAAGUCUCUAGAGCUCCACUGAUUUUGUGUGCCUGAUCAAAGUGGAAGGGUGAUGGAACCUUGGGUUGAGGAAGCACUGGCUCAGGGGCUUUUUCAAUAAAAGGGCCAACCACCUUCUAAUUGUGAUCUGACAUAUAAGUAGAACGGAUCUCUAGGGACUUUUAGACUUUUUAGUGAGCAAGAGAACCCUUAAAGCUAUUGCUGUAGACAAAGCCUCUUUUAGCAUCGUAGAUAAUACUCAUGCUCCGGCUGAUCCAAAUUGGCACAAACUGGCGUGGCAUCUAGGUUACAGUUACACAGACUCCUCUCCAAGGAAGCUCCAUCCACGUCCGAGGGGAUGCGCAGCGGAUGCGCAUCUGCUGCGCAACGACGUGCGUCCGCUACGUAUCCGAGAAUUUGAAAAAGAAAAAAAGACCUAGAGAGGACUCAUGUGUGUCACAUGAAUCCUCUCUGCACAAGUUCCCAAGACGUUCAAAGCGGGAAAUAUUUUUGCUCGCUCCCGGUGUAUCUUUUAUUCAUAAUACACCACAAUCAAUUUGCUUAAUGCUUUGGAGUUAAAAUCUAAAUUAACAUAUAUGAUGUACAAUAUCUAAGAGAUAUAUAUAUAUAUAUAUAUAUAUAUAUAUAUAUAUAGAGAGAGAGAGAGAGAGAGAGAGAGAGAGAGAGAGAGAGAGAGAGAGAGAGAGAGAGAGUGCAGCUACUAUACUUUACUGAGUAUAGUAGCUGCACUACUCAUAAGUUCUCCUCUAUCAGAUCUGUUUUUAGAUCCGUGACAGAUUUGAUGGAAAAGAGAGAUAACGGAUGGCUCUAUUAAACCCAUCCCGUUUCUCUGCUACCCAUAUUUUUUCCUUUUUUUUUUUCUUCCCCCCAAAUUAGACCUUCCAUUUUCCCAAUGCAACUCUUCCUCCUCCCUCAUCCCUCACCCUUAUCACAGAUAGCCUCGCCCUACCAGGCCUCACCACCUCUAACCUCCACGGGUGAAGUAGUAGCAGCGUGCGGCCGAGUCGGAGCUGGCCCCCCCCCCCAACCCCCCUAUGUGCUUAGCCACCUGGUUUGGUAUUUUGUUCAGACAUAUAGAACCAGGCGGCUAAUUCCCUGAACAAAACCCUAAUUGGGAACAAGAACAAGAACAAAACUCGUAAGAUUUUUCUGGAUUUUUUGGUAUUUUUUCUGUCUGGAAAUGUUGCUGUCGAAAAUUAAUGAAGUUACUAUGCACGAUAACUAUGCAUACAGUAGCUUCACGUGGGAUUUUUUUUUUUUUUUUUUUUUUUUUUAACUUUUUAAGUUUAGUAUGCAAGAGAGAGAGAGGCACUAAUAUGUCGGCUACUCUGACAAAGGGAGGUUCAAAACUCGGAGAGCGUGGGAAUAUUUCUGAUUUUUAAGAUUUUAUAUAAAUGUUAUACAACAAGAGAGGUCGAGAGAGGGAGAGAUGCGUAUUAGUCAAGUGACUAUGCACGGUGUUUUCUUUUUUUGUGUUUUUAUCUUUUUAAACUUUCGUUUAAGAGAAAGGCUUUAAAAACUUAAGUAAAGUGUUUUUGAAGGCGCGGAAACAAUGAUGUAACGUGGGUGUUAAAUACAAUAAAUAGGGGAAAGAUGUUUAAGAUAGAGAUUGUUAAUAAAUAGACAGUUGCAAGUAGACAUAAAGGAUAGAAGAAAUAGAUAGUAUGUCGUUAAUAGAUAAUUUUAGUAUUAACAUAAAUAGAGAAGUGCAAAUUAAUACAAUGAUAUUAAUAAGAAAAAAACUGUAUACAACUCUUUUUAAAGUAGGUCCCCGUCUGGCUAGCACAAACUUCUAAGAAAUCACGAUAAGAAAUCUUCUCAGAUGUUUUUAUAUUUCUAAAGGGACUCUUUAUCUCAGUAAAUCUUCUGAUGACUGUGCAAUUAUUUCUAAAAAACUGCGAACUACUAUUGAUGAAAUUUAAUGUUUCUAAUGAUAACACCACUCAAGAUACAGUGUUUGGUGUGGGCAAUCAAGACCCUCUUGGCGUACAGUUUUCAGAGAAUCUCUCCAUAAUGCCGGUGGCUGGGCAAAAGCAGCGUCUGCUAACAAGAGCGGGAAAUUUUAGAGCAGAGCAUUUUAUCCUCCUUAUCAAAAUCUGCCAAGGCCAUAUAGCUUUAGGCGCGUGAGGCUGAAAGAGAGAGAGGGAAGAAACGAGAAAUUUUCAUUCAUAGUCCAAGGAAAGGAAUCAUGGCAAAGAACAUGGCCAUGGAUAGAGAGAGUGCGAGAAUGAGAAUAAUUAGAGAAAUACGAAACUUACCAUUGUCAAGGCGCGAACGCCUUAUAAAGAAGGUUUCCUCUUCCAGGGACUGUCCGGGGGCGAAAGAAGAAGGCACUUGGUUUGUACAGGACCUUCACUAGGUCCAGAUAGUGCAGCGUCUGAGAAUAAGAUAGAAGUUUACAUAAGGAAGGGACAGGAAAAAUAAAGGCUGGAAUUAUUUGAGAAAGGAAGCUAAGAGGGUACCUCAUACAAGAGGCUUGGCUUCAUUCUUACACUUGAUCGUCGAAUGAUCUUCCCUUUACAAGCUUCAGCGCGAAUUUUUUACAUAGGUAAGAUGGCAAGGGAAUGUGGAAAUCCGGCUCUUUCUUUGGAUGCGUUUUUCAACGCAUGCUUAAGAGAGGAGAAGGCUUCCUUUAUAGCCGAUAUAGGAAGGAGGUUUUUGGAGGAAAAACAUGGCCGGGCCGCGAGAGGCCAGGGGAUGUCGCGUAGGGUUAAAAAACGCUAAGCGGGGCUCGGCAGGUUUAGGUAAUGGAUGGAAUGAUACCACGGCACUGAUGACGGUGGGCCCUACUGUUUUGAAAAACCUCAGGCGUAGGGUUAUUGGAGGUCAUACAUUGGCGAGACACAUUUGGUAUACCGGUGCAUAUGGACUUGGUGCAUGAGUGAUGUCCAAUGUGAAUAGCUUUCGAAAAAAUGGAGCUACGUGUCGGAGUUUUAUCUUUCAUUUUGCUUGAUUGGGCUGCAAGUAGGGAGGAGAGCGAGGAGAAUCAUUGCUGGGGAGGGAGAAAGGAGGGGACUGAGCAACGAGGGCAGUAGGGGAGCCAAAAUUGGCGUCUAGAGAGUGGAGUCACUGACUGGUGUCUGUUUGGGGCAACAGACUUUAGACACGCUUUUUUUUGGUGGAGAUGGAUGCACGAUAGGUGAAUUACGCGGCGAAAAGAUUUAAAAAGCGAAAAUAAAGACUGAUUAGCGAAAAAACCCUGAACUAAAAACCUAUUUUUGCCUGUGAAAGAAUCAAGGCACGCGGGUCUAAUUCUUAUUCCUUUUUUCUUUUUCUGAUUUUUCUCUUUCUUUCUUUCGAUUUUACAUCCGCCAGUCCUUUUCUUUUUUUUCUUUUUCCAAUUUUUUUCUUUUGAUUUUUCAUUUCGCAGAUCUUUCUUCUUUUUCAUAUUUCCCGACUUUCUCUGGAAUUUCUUUUUUUUAUUUUUCUCUUGCUUUUUUCUGAAUUUUCGUAGUUUCUUUUUUUUUUUAGCGCAGUGUCCAAUACAGGACUAGAUGAAAAAGCCGCAACGGAAAAUAGCAGAAUUGAAGAAAAUAUAUAACAAAUUAUGAUAGCAAUAUAUCAGAACCAGGUGGCUAAGCAUUUUUUCCCUAAAUUGUGCACAUUUGGCGAGAUUAGAUGCUUCUAGUAUCAUGGGAUCUCCUGUCCUUGUUUUUCUUCAGUGUUUCGCUAUACUAGAGUGUGGUAUGUUUUCUGAAGAGGGUUCAAUUUCGGAAAAGCGUUUGGACAUUGGCUGUGAUAUCUUUUGAGGAAGGCACUUUGGGUGGAAAAGGUGGCUGAGGAUAAAAAGGAUGGUUUUACUGAGAUAGACGGAUGGACUACUGGGGAUAGUAGUUGGAAAUGGGUAUUUUAUGUUUGUAAUAGAGGAAAGACCAAACUUGUAGUAUUGGUCAGUAUCAGAGAGGAUACUUAUGGAGGAGGAUAAGAGGAGAUUAGGUACGAGAUAACCGAUACCUUGUUGUAGGGAUGCAUGAGCUUUGAUGGCUGUUGUUCCCAGAAUAGCAAUCUUUGGAGAUUUUCUCUGCAUCCUUUGUUCGGCAUGCAUGUCACAAAUAUGUUCGCUUUGAAGGCCGUGUGCCAUUGUUGAGCAGUUUCAAGAGAAAUGUGUUUCUCGGAUUGUGGGUGAUGUAAAGCUUGAAUAUGUGAGCAAAGCGAACAUUUGAGACGAUAUAAUUUAUAAGUUUGGACCGCAAGUAUGUACGUCGCAGUGUCUAAGGCUUCGUUGAGAGAUAGAAUGAAAAUCUUUGUAGCGAGGUUUGGGCGAAAAUUUUAUAAGCGGGAUAAUAACAUCAAUCCAACGAAUCAAAUUUCAUCUGGUUUUAAAACCUUGAGUACCACAUCUACGAAAGGGAAAGAGUCUUUGGGCUGAACAGUCUGGAAUAUUCUAUUAAGGAAUUUAUGCAGCAACAAACCAAAUAUUUUUGUCUGGCUCUGAUGAUAUUGGACUGUCCUAAAUGAAGCAUAACCUAUCAAGAUUGUCAAUGCAACAUUUUUGUUCGCUGUAAUAAAAUUAGAUUCUCGAGGACGAAAAGUAACUUUGGGAAAAAUAAAGUGAGAUUUUCUUGUGCCAUCAAGCUACCGAGGUUGUCUUAUACUCAGGUUGGGUUUAUAGGGAAAUUUAGAAGCUUUUUGGAUACCAUGUCUGUGUCUGACCUGAAUAUUGUCUGAAUCGAAAAUAGAACAACUCCAAUGUUAAACUGCCUGCUUCAUCAUUCCAAUCCAUUACCUUUAAACCUGCGUAGUGCUCGGGGCUGGUUUUUUUUUAUAAACUGAUGUUUUUUUCUUGUUGAUUUUUGUCGUUUUUUGUCAAGGUGGCGCCGCAGUUUUCUCCAUGCCAAACCCUCCGCUUACUUCGGCCUAUAUAAAAAGGAAGCCUUCCUCCUCUCUUAAAAGCAUGGUGAAAAAAGCAUCCAAAGGAAAGAGCCUUACUCCAUAAAAAAGCAUUGCCUCUGUGCGCCUAUGUAAAAUUCCGCUGAACUUAAAGGAAACAUUUCGACACCAAGUGAAGAAUGAAGCAAGCCUCUUGUUAGAUAUAGCAUCUAGCUCCACAAAUAAUUCCUAAUGAUUUUAUUUUCCUGUCCUUCCUGUAACAAUUAUCUUUUCUCACUGCAUUCUGGAGUGAAGAGUUCUGUACAAACAAUCCUUUCUUAUCCCCCGCCGGGAAGUCCCCCGGAAGGGAAACCUUCUAGCAGUGUGAUGUAAGUUAAUAAUAAAAUCUCUUUUAAUAUUAUAGUCUCGAACUUUCUAUCGCAUGCCAUUUUCUUUGGCCGCCAUGAUUCCUUUCCUUGACUCUCUAAGAAAUUUAAUCGGGUUUUUCUCUGCGAUAAUUAUUCAGGGCUUAAGAAGUGUAAAGAUAUAUGCUUGGGCAGAAUUUGAUAAAGAAAAAAUGCUCUGUAAAUUCUCCAUUGAUAGCAGAUGCAGAGAUAGAAUGGUCUCUGAAAACUGAUCGCCAAGAGGGUUGUGUGGCCGCAACAUGUGUCUUUAAGUGAUGUUAUCCCAGCAUUAGAAAUUAAAAUUUUCAUCAAUAAGUUCGCUGACUUUUAGGAAUGGGCAUCAUCGAAAUUUAAUGAGAUAAAGAGUUUUAGAAAUAUAAAAACUCUGAAAAAAUUUUAUCGUGAUUAGAAGGGAGUAACGGCAAGACUUACUUUAAAAAAGAUUUGGAAACUUAGUAUUUCGUAAAACGGAAGAGUUUUAAAUUUGCCACUUCAUCCUAUUUUUGUUCAUACCUACAAUACUCUUUCAGACAUAUAUUAUUUUCUAGUCCUUUCCUUUUUUACUGGCGAACCUGUCUAAUCAAACAAUCUCAUCAAACAUCCAACCUAUCCAUCCGCCAUUAAAUUAAUAUUAAUAACACGCACAUCGUUUCGCCUUCCAACACGGAACUUUAAUUUAUAAGUUUAAAAGCUUCUCUUAAAAGACCAGUUUCAAAGAUCAAAAAAAGAAAAGAGAAAAAACAACGUGCAUGUCACUUGGGCGUAAUAGGCACUAAUUUACGUGCCACUCUAGAUUUUAGACCGGAAAAAUUUAUAAAAAAUCUUAAAAAAUCAGAAAUAUUCCCACGAGUCUUUUGCUACCCUUGUCCAGAGUAGCCGACAUAUAGUUUCCCCUUUGCAUUUUUCUGUUUGCAUAGUAAACUUAAAAAGUUAAAAAAAAAAAAAAAAAAAUUUCCACGUGAAGCCACUGUAUGCAUAGUUAUCGUGCAUAGUAACUUCACUAGUUUUCGACAGCAACAUUUCCAGACAGAAAAAAUACCAAAAAAUUCAGAAAAAUCUUACGAGUAUUUUGCCACCAUUCUUCAGAAUAGCCGACAUACGGUCUCUCCUGUAAAAAUCUUUCUUUCUUUCAAAUCACUAUUUGCAUAGUAACUUGCAUAGUAAUUUAUUUACGUACGCACUAUUUCUACUUAGUAUCCUACGCUAAUUAAGCUUUUUCUAGCUAUAUCAGAAAAAUUCUCCAAAAAUACCCAAAAAAUUGUUAAAAAUCCAACUUUCUCUUUCUUGCCCUUAUCUUUUUCAACCGGUAUUUUCUAAUACUUACUUUUCAAUAUAUUACAUAAUCUGACCCAACUCUACUAUUUCCGCAUUUCUCUAAAAAACCCAAAAAUAUUUGUAAAAUCCCUUUUUAGGUUUUUUGCUUCUUUCAAAGGUUUGUUUUCCUCAUACCUUAGGGUUUUCUUAAAUAGACAAGGGUUUUCUCCAUAAAUCCUAGGGUUUUUAUUUUAAGGGUUUUUAUAACAACAGUCUUGUAGUUUGUGUUUAACAUGGACCUUUCAUAGACAAAUCCCGUGUUACUUAACUUCUCCUAAACCCUAAACCCUAAAACCUAAACCCUAAACCCUAAACCCUAAACCAGAAAAAUAGUUUCUGUGAAAACUGCUCAACAAUGGCAACACAGCUUCAAAAGCUGAACACUAUUUGUGAUGACUUGAGAACAAAGGAUCAGAAAAACAUUCAAAGAAUUGCUAUUCUGGAACAGCAGAUCAAAGACCUCAAGCAUCCCUCACAACAAGGUAUUGUAUCUCUACCUCAAUCUUCCUCUUAUCCUCCUCCAAAGUAUCCUCCUAUAAUGACAACUACACCAAGUUUGGUCUUUCCUCCUAUUACCAACAUAAAUACCCCGUUUCAAAAUUCACUAAUCCCAGUAGUCCAUCCCUCUAUCUCAGUAAAACCUCUUUUAUCCUCAGCACCUUUUCCACCGCAAAGGCCUUCCCUCAAAAGAUAUCCACAGCCAAUUGCCAAACCUUUCCGAAAAAUUGAACCCUCUUCAGAACCAUUACCACACUCUAGUAUAGGAAACACUGAAGAAAAACAAGGAGAUCCCAUGAUACUAGAAGCAUCUUCUCCCAAAUGUGACAAUUUAGGGAAAAAUGCUUAGCCACCUGGUUCUGAUAUUUUGUACAUAUUUGUAUAUAUUUCCUUCAAUUCUGUAUUUUCAGUUGCGCUUUUUCAUCUAGUCCUUGUAUUGGACACUGCUAAAAAAAAAAAAAAAUAAAAAUUCAGAAAAAAGCAAAGAGAAAAAUGAAAAAAGAAUUUCCAGAGAAAAGUGGAAAUAUGAAAAAGAAGAAAGAAUCUGGAAAUGAAAAAAUCAAAGAAAAAAUUGGAAAAAGAAAAAGAAGAAAAAAGGGAAAAUCAAGAAAAGAAAGAAAAAAUCAGAAAAAGAAAAAAGAAAAAAGAAUUAACCCGCUGUGAUUCUUUCACAGGCAAAAAUAAGGGUUUUUAGUUAGGGCUUUUUCGCUAAUCAGUUUUAUUUUUCAGCUUUUUAAAUCUUUUCGCUAAUCACCUUGUGAUCCAUCUCCACCACCAAAAACAAGGUUCUAAAGUCUGUUCCCAAACAGACACCAUCAGUGACCUUCCAAAAUUUUAGAGCAAAUUUUGGCCCCCAUCAAGCAAAUGAAGAAUCGACACGUGGCCUCCAUUUUUUCGAAGCAUCACAUGGACAUCACUCAUGCACCAAGUCCAUGCACCAGGUCUACCAAAUUGUCUCGCCAAUGAUGACCAUCCAAAACCACUACGCCUGAGGUUUUUUAAAAAUUAGUGGGCCCACGUCAUCAUGCCGCGUCAUCAUUCCAUCCAUUACCUAAACCUGCGUAGCCGCGGUUUUUUUGAAAACCAGGUGCCGCCGCAGUUUUCUCCUCCAAAACCUCCCUUCCUUCGGCUAUAAAAGGAAGCCUUCCUCCUCCUCUUAAAAGCAUGGUGAAAAAAGCAUCCAAAGGAAAGAGCCAUUCUCCACAUUCCCUCUGCCCUAUGUAAAAUUCCGCUGAAGCUUAAAGGAAGAUCAUUUCGACGACAAGUGAAGAAUGAAGCAAGCCUCUUGUUAGAUAUAGCAUCCUAGCUCCACAAAUAAUUCCCUAAUGACCUUUAUUUUCCUGUCCUUCCUGUAAAAUUUAUCUUUUUCUCAACUGCAUUCUGGAGUGAAGAGUCUGUACAAACAAGUCCUUUCUUUCCCCCCGGGAAGUCCCGGAAGGGAAACCUUCUAGCGUUGUGAUGUAAGUUUUAUCUCUUGUUAAUAUUAUAUUUCUCGAACUCUUCUAUCCAUGGCAUUUUCUUUGCCCCAUGAUUCCCUUUCCUUGGACUCUUAAUGAAAAUUUAUGGGUUUUCUCUGGAUAAUUAUUUCAGCUUAAGCAAGUGUAAAGCAUAUAUGCUUGGCAGAUUUGAUAAGAGAAAAAAUGCUCUGUAAAUUUCGCCAUUGAUAGCCAGAAGUGCUUUGCGGCGUUAGAGCGAGGUUCUCUGAAAACUGUACGCCAAGAGGGUCUUGUGCACCAACACUGUGUCUUAAGUGAUGUUAUCCACAUUAGAAAAUUAAAUUUCAUCAUAAGUCCGACUUUUAGGAAAAUUGCAUCAUCGAAAAUUUAAUGAGAUAAAGAGUUUUAGAAAUAUAAAAAACAUCUGAAAAAAUUUUUAUCGUGAUUUCUAGAAGGGAGUACCAGACGGGACCUACUUUAAAAAAGAUUUGGAAACUUAGUUUAUUUUCUAAAACGGAGAUUUUAAAUUUGCACUUCAUCCUAUUUUUGUUCAUACUACAAAUAUCUUUCAAGACAUAUAUUAUUUUCUGUCCGUUCCUUUUUUACUGCGAACUGUCUAUCAAACAAUCUCAUCUAAACAUCCACCUAUCCAUCCCAAUUAAAUUAAUAUUUAAUAACGACCAACAUCGUUUCCGCCUUCAAACACACUUUAAUUUAAGUUUUUAAAAGCUUUCUCUUAAAGAAAAGUUUAAAAAGAUAAAAAAAAAAAAGAGAAAAGACAACGUGCAUGUCACUUUGCGUAAUUAGCACUAAUUACGCCACUUAAAUUUUAGACCGGAAAAAUUUAUAAAAAAUCUUAAAAAAUCAGAAAUAUUCCCACGAGUCUUUUGCUACCCUUGUCCAGAGUAGCCGACAUAUAGUUUCCCCUUUGCAUUUUUCUGUUUGCAUAGUAAACUUAAAAAGUUUAAAAAAAAAAAAAAAAAAAUUUCCACGUGAAGCCACUGUAUGCAUAGUUAUCGUGCAUAGUAACUUCACUAGUUUUCGACAGCAACAUUUCCAGACAGAAAAAAUACCAAAAAAUUCAGAAAAAUCUUACGAGUAUUUUGCCACCAUUCUUCAGAAUAGCCGACAUACGGUCUCUCCCCCCCUCUCUGCAGCAGGCAAGUAGCAGUAGUGCUUGGCCCCGUAAUACAGGGCAAGUAGCAGCAGUUUGCAGCAACCCCCCGCGGUGGCGCGCGUGUUUUGUGUGGAAAACAAUUACAAUCAACUACUUAAAAAGACUAAUAAAAACUAUGUCACGUGGUGCAAAGUGAAUAUGCUAAUGGAUGAAUAUUAUUUACUGUAUUCAAGUGUCGGAGAGGUUUUCCAUCAAUUGAAAAGAUUAAAUGUUUUAAGAAAAGAGCAGGGGAAUUGAUAAGAGAAGAAUAAUUGAUAAAAAGAGAUGAAGCAGACUGACAAAUUUUCUGUUUUCCAAAUAGCCAAUGCAUAUGGCAGACUAUCUCAGUUUGACCAUUUUCACUUCAAUUUGUAUUAUAGCUUUAUUAGUUAAGUCUUGAAAUUGAAAAACUCCAUAUCAACCCCAUGAAAUGCUAAUAAAGAAAAUAGGAUUUUGGAAGUUGAAUCAACACUACAAGCGAAAAUAGUUUCUUGAAUAAAUGAAAAAAAUUAUCAUAUAUAGCAUGUGUCCAAAACAUGGAGUUAUUUAUUUUCCAUCUCUGCUGAUAGUAAUGGGGCUAUUUCUCCACUUAUAUUCCCACCAUAUUUUCAGUACCUUUACAUAAAUUAGUUUCUUAAAGAUACUGCAUGUCUUUGAUCUAGGUAUUUGAAGUUCCUCCUUAUAACAAUAGGAAAGGCUUUCUUGAUGUUAAGUGACAGUGUACAAAAUGUGCAAAGGUUUUACUUUGAAGAGAAAAUGCAAGCCUUUAGCUUUUCUUUGAAUACUCAUACCUUACUCAUGCAAUAACAGCCUUCGAAUUGGACGUCAAAAUAGAUAGAUUGUCCAACAAUUUAUCUGAAAAUAGAGGGGUUAAGAACUUAAGAUCUAGUAGAGGAAAGGCCAUGAAGCUGAAUCUUCAUUAUAUCAAGUCGUCCCAAUAAUUUAUGCAUCUUAAUCUGUUGUAGCUUCUAGUCUUAUAUUGAUUCUCUUGAUAAGCUUUCUCUUAAUGUUGGAUCCCUUUUGAGGAAAAGACUUCAAUUCACUCUGCCAGAUUUGAUAAUGUGCUCAUACAAUAAGGAAAUGAGAAUGACAAAAAUAUGAGAAGAUUAGAAGGUACAAUAGAAUUAGACAAAAGCUGAUCAUUACGAGUUAAAAGCAGGGAUAAAAAAUACAAAAGUCAUUUUCCAAACUCAAUAGUGUAAUACACAAUUUAUUUCUAUUUUUCAACUAUCCACUUCACCCUCCCUUAGAAUCUCUAUAUGUCCCUCCACCUUAUCCUGUUCCGACUUGGCCGCACGCCGCCUGCGGGCUGCUAUUGCUUCGCCCGUGGAGGUUGGGGGCGGUGAGGCCUGGUGGGAUGAGGCUAUCUGUGAUGAGGAAAUGUGAGGGAGGAGAGAGGAGGGAGGAGAGAGGGUUGCAUUGGGAAAGGGAAGGGCUGAUUUGGGGGGGAGAAAAAAAAGGAAAAAAGGUGGGUAGCAGAGAAAUGGGAUGGGUUUAACGGAGCCAUCCAUUAUCUCUCUUCUCCAUCAGAUUUGGUACGGAUCUAAAAGUAAAUCUGAUGGAGGAGAACUUAUGAGUAGUGCAGGUACUAUACUUAUAAGAGUAUAGUAGCUGCACUCUCUCUCUCUCCAUAUAUAUAUCAGUCCGGCUACUAUACUAUCGAUAGUACGAAGCGCUUGAUGCUAUCAAGUUUUCGGCCGUUAGAUCUAUCCCUUUGACCAUUUUCAUCUGUUAGAUCAUACUAUUCAACCAACCACCCACUCAACCCUAGAGAACCAGUAUCAUCAUAACCGCACAUCUCUUCAUCCAAGGGCUGAAAACCUAAUAGUACCAAACGCUUGGUACUAUUAAUAAUAUAGUAACCUAAUUAUAUAUAUACGAAGGGCUCUAUACUCAUAAGAGUAUAGUAGCCCUACUAUAUAUAUAUAUGUAAUAUAUUUAAAAAGAAUCUAAUAUUUAGUCGUUAUAUAGCCCCAAAAUCAACAGUAUUAGAAAGGACCAUUGUUCAAUUUAUAAAAAGUUACUAUCCAAAAUUUUGUAGUAUUUUAUAUAAUAUGUUUUCUAGUGCCAUAUAAUACAUGAUGUAUUUUACAUUUUAUAAAUUAGUUCGAAAAUUUUGUUCUGUUGUGUUCAGUGAAUAAGAUUUACUUAUGAACUUGGUUUAGGUAAUAUGUUUUUGGUUCAUGCACCAAAUUUGUAGGGCAUAUAAUUAGAAUUUAUUUACUAUUUUAAAAUAUUAUAAUAUUUUAUACAUAAUAUAUUAUAGAAUAUUAUAUUUAAAAAAUAAUAUUUACUGUUGUUCUUGCCGUGUCUAUGUCCUAAUCUUUUGAAAUUUCCCGAGUCACCAUGUUCGAGUUGUGUCGUAUCUCGUGUUCUCUGUGUCCGUGUCUGUAUUCAUGUAACAUAAUGUGGCAGUCCUUUAACAACAUGACUGGAAAGUGCUAUUGAUGGGUCAUGCAUCAAAUACCAUGUUACCCAAUUGCGUUGGUGUCUUAUUGUUAACCUCUGCUUGUAUCUCAACAACAGCAUACGAUGGUUUAUGGUGAGUAGCCUAAUGUUCUAAGAGACAUUUUUGUAUUUUCCACUUUUGUACAUAGUGAUGUUAGUAGCAAUCUGGUUCUUUCCAAAUUAAUAUAAGUUUCCAAAUUAAUACGAGUUUAGUCAGCCGAUGGACUAAGCUUAUUUAUCUCUCCGACGGACUAAUGUUCCCAUUAAAAGCUUUAUGUUUCAAACUACUGCGAAUUUAGUCAGAGGUGCCCCAUUCGCAUUUCAUCAUUAGGAUGAUAAAGAGGUUUUGGAGUGUGCUCUAACUACUCGCUAACUUGUUGAGUUUUGACCCUUUUCAUGUUGUACAAGAGCUGCUGAAAAGUGCUGUAACUAGCUUCUUUGUUGUGAUAUGCAGAUAUUUGCUGUUUACAUCAACUUUCUGAAGAAUUAGGAUUACGUUUUGUCUCAUUUUAACUCUGUUUCCUAAAUCUGAUUUCAAGUUUGACAUGAGCUCUCCCGGUAGAUUUGCUGGCAACAAGUGCUGCAGUUACACACUGUUAAGUCCCUGUUUUUAUCUUUUCUUGGGAAUAGAUUGCGUCAUGCAAAUUUGUUGCUACAAUUGUUUCUUCAUUGCAAAAGUAUUCUGGAAAAAGGAAAGGCGGUAUUAAGCCCUACUUAUCCCUCAAUUUCUGAACCCCGGGGGGUCUUUGCUCCUUCUUUGUAGUUUUUAUUUGUAAUGGAAAAUCCAUGUUGAAUUUAUUUCUGUAAAAAAAAAAAAAAGGAUUAAGGUUUAGACAACUAUUGCUUUAUAUUCAGAACUCCAUCUACUGUUUUGAAGAAGCAUACCAGGCCUGUGAUUUUGAGGUUUGUGAUAUUAUUGCAUGGUGUAACGUUGCAAGAGAGAGUUCAUAUUCCCUGACAAAGAAACUCCAUCGCAUGUUUCCUUAGCUUGAAGCUUCUACUACAAAGAGAGCAGGAGAUCCCAGUGAGGAUCCUCAUCGCAUGUAAAUACCAAAAGUUAAGUGACUGAUGUAUUAUCAAGUAUCAAAUUUAGAUGUUCCAAAUGUCUUUGUUGACGAAAAAAUAAAAAAAUAAAAAAAUAAAAUCCUUUAUUGAUCAAAAGGUAAAGAAUUACAAUGGUAGGGACCUCAAGCAUUUUGGCCUGAGUUUUCUGCUGGGAGUUGCUCUUUUAAAACGCAUUAUGUUCGGCUGCUUGCUUUGGACCGAACUUGAUGGAUGAAUUCAAAUGGUCUCUUAGCUGUUACCGAAGAAAUUCAAGAACUCGCGGUUUUAACCUCAGUCUCAAGAAUGGCUGAAACAUCAAGAUGAUAUGCUACCGAAACUAUUGUUACUGAAACUACUACUAAAACUAUCGAAAAACUACUACCAUCGGAAGUUAUUAAAGCUACAUCUACAUACAUGUUGUUGUAUUAAAGACAGUGCCACUUUCUUUGGUCCCCUGCGCCAUAUUUAUAGUCUCCACAAUCCUAAUCAGAAUUCGAGCUUAUUUAGAAACAGAAUCCCGAGAAUUUCGUCAGAAUCCUAAAAUUCCGGAAUGGUUAUCUCCUGCCAAAUUUCAAAUGGCUAAGAUCGUUCAUUGCUCCUUUAAUCCCAUGGCCAAAAUUUAGUGUCCACAGUUUCAACAUGAAAUUGCAAUGUCUGCAACCAUUUUUAGUCCAAAAGGGCACCGUAUUUUUUGUAGGAGUCUAAUUAUUUAUGUAUUUACGUGAUUAGCGUUAUUGCCAAUUAUACUUUAUUUGUACAUGGUCUAGUUUAACACAACCUAUACUAUAAGGUGUUUUUGGUAAUUGUUUUCACUAUAUAUUCAAUAACAAUACUAAGAGAGGGUCUUUACGAUUUUAUCUAAUCUUUCAUAGUAUCAGAACCACAAAGUCUUUAGAAAAAAUCAACAUGAGUCAUGAUCCUUCUUUCUUUCUUGCCACAGUAGCACUGUGUCAUUCUUUCACUAUUUAUUACGACAAUCUCAGUACAACAAUACAUUGCAACCAAUACGGUAUUACAUGCACGGAUAAAUCAUAUUAAACUAGACCAUUAUUUUUUGCAUGAUAUGAGAAAGUACAAUAGGUGAUCUCUCUUUAAUUCACAUUCCUUCCAAUAAAAAUUGGCUGAUAUCUCACAAAGCCUUUAUCUACUGCUCUUUAGCGUGUUGUAUCAAUCUCACAUUCAGUCUUGGGAUACUUAGAUUGCGGGAAAUGAUAGAGUCUAAUCAUUUAUACAUUUAUGUGAUAAGUACUGUUGCUAGUUGUACUUGUACAGGAUCUUGUUUAACAAUAUAAGGUGUUUUUCGUAAUUGUGUUCACUAUAUAUUCAAUGAAAAUUCUAGAAGAGGAUUUUACAGUUUUAUCUAAUCUUUUUUUUAUUUAAAUCAGAAAAUAAUUUAAAACUGAAGAAAAUUCAAAAGAAUCCCAUUUGAGAAAACUUAAAUAUAUUAAACUUCCAAACAUUGAAGAAUAGUGAAAGAUUAAGGUGUUGUUUGGUUGCAAGAAAAAGAGCCCAAAAAAUGGGCCCUUUUUGCAAUUGACCCCCUGAAAAAAAAUUAAUUUUAAAAAUAGCUCCAGUAAAUUUAUAUUUACAAAAAUGGCCCUGUCCUUGCUAUGCAAGCCACGUCAGUGCCACACGAACAGGGCUGGAGCCAGGUGGUUAAGUUGAACACGGUGAAUCGUUCUCCGUGUUUACUGUGUGCCUUACAGCAUAGGACUUAGGACUUGGGGACUUGGACUUGGGUGUGGGUAAUACAUUAACACGGGAAACUGUUCACCGUGUCUAGACACGGUGAACAUUUCCCUGUGUUCAGUAGAGGUACAACACACUUACAAUUAAUUUUGCACAAUAAACCACUGAAAUACAACAUCAACAACACAACAACAAAUUCAAUACAACAACACAAGAAAUUCAAGAUUAAUAAUACAAUAACAAAUCCAACACAAUAAUAAAUCCAACAGAAGAUCAAUAGAACAUCGAUACCAUAUCAUCACAACAGAAUAUCAAAAAUUAAAGCAAGUUUUUCAAUAAUAUAGAAAGUUCGGUGUAAUUUAAAAUUUACAAAAAUAUAAUGUCAUGUUCUUCUCCUAAUCCCUCGACCACGUCUACCUGCACGUCUCCUACCACGACCGCGACCACGAUCAACACUAUGCUCAUCAAAGGGCUCUAUGACCUCCAACUGGUCGAGAUGUUUGAUAGUAGCACCCUCAAUAACUGUCUGAGUGUCCUGCGUCUCGAUCACCCGUUUGAUCUUGUGCUCAAUCAUAGCAGGUGUCGGUAGUAUGUCUGGCCGUGGAGGAGCUGAAGAGGAGGGUUGAUCUAUAUGGAAAGAAUGCAAUUGUCGUCGGUGCCUACGAUAAACAAUAUCGACUGGUCGAGGUGGAUCCUCUGGUACUGGUGCUGGUACUGUAUCUGGAUGAUAAGGUGGCUCCUCUAUCGAUGAAGAUGGCCUCGGUGGACUAUACAAUGGUACAUGGCCCGACGUCGAUGGUCCACCUGUUCUGUUAGCCGUGGAGGUACAGUGUGUGGAAGUGUAGGUAAAGUCUCCAAAACUGCUUCUAUUUGAUCGGCAACUUGUGAUAGGGCGUCUAAUACUCCACCAUAUGGAAUAUCUGGCAGGACACAUCUAAUCGUAUAAUAUGAUCUCUGCAUGAUAUCGACCUGAAAUAAAAACAUCAUCAUAAAGAUUACACUAAACUUUCUUUAUAUAUAAAAAUAAAUAUAAAGAGAUAUUAUAUAUUAAAAUCAUACCAAUACUCUCUCGACGUAAUCAUGUGGCUGAUACGCGAGGGGUGGCCGCUGUACUAGCCUAGAUAUCCACCUCCUGGUGAUCCUCCAAUACCACUGCAUGUAAGCAGUGAUAGCUCCUAUAGGAUCUGGAUUUACCUCAAGGUUCAUCUCUAGUAUAUCCAUCAAUCUAUCAUCCCAAUGCUGAAUAUAUGAAGCAUGAUACGCCGCCCAAUUCUCAUCUGCUCUACCCGUGAAGUGAUGCGAGAUAUGGCAACCACUGCUUCAGGUAUAUGUUGUAACAGACCAAACUGUCGAAGCACACGAGCACACGAUCUGGAAGAUGCAGCUUAAUAAUGUGGAAGCAGAUUAAGGUGGUCCUAGAUCGCCAAACCUGGGACCCCGCUAGACAAAAAGGUGGGAGCGUCUCCAAUGCUCUAUUUGUAUAAGUCCUCCAUAUAAUCUAUUAUGAAAAAUACAUAUGGUUGCUUAUCCAAAUGUUUAAAAUAUAAUGUGCAAUUAUAAUAAGAUUGAGUUACUUUCAUUUACUUGAGACUCUGGCUGUUGAUCAAGCUGAUCAUGAUAAAACUCAAUGUCAGUAGUCAUGACAUUCUCUUGAAAAGCCAGCCUAGUAUUCCACUUUAUUCAUUUAUAUCAUAUUAGUCACGAUUAAAUAGUAUAUAGAAAUAUUAAAAUAAAAAAAUACUUACAUACACCCUAGUGGCAUGUCGACAAGCUCAAGCUGCGGUCCAACUAUCUUAGGGCGGCCAAUGUGCAGGUGGUCCCAUGCCCAUAUCUAUACAAAAAGAUAGUUAGAAAUUACAACAAAAAUCAUGACUUAUAUAAUGCUAGUAAGGCAAUGUACCUGAAGUAAUGUCCUAAAACAACAGCACUCUACGUUCCCCCUCAUGCAAGCAUUUCCUAAUGCCCGACAGAGAUGACCUAGCGCAGCUGCACCCCAUGCCAACUCACCGCAGACGUCAAAAUUCUCUAACAGUGGCAACCAUUUCAAAUGCACUCUAUUCCCGCUUGGAUUUGGCACUACAAUAAGGAUUGAUCUAGCUGUAGGUGCCGCAAUCGCGAUACAUAAUAAAAUCCUACACGUCGCAAUAGGUCCAAAACUGUAGGACGCUCAAUUUGCCAUCGGUUCAUUUUAUGGCCAUGCUCCGUGAAUUGAACAGGAGAAUAACCCCGCAUGAUUGUGAAUGUAGAUCAAUAUUAGUACAUAGUUUAUAAGUAAAUAUGAAAAAAACAUCACCUCCUCUCUAAUCAAAGUGGAUCUAUGGUGUGGCUGCUCAGUCAGUACGGAUGUAUUGAUCGGUCCCGACUCCUCGUAAUCGUCCAUAUGAAAUAGUCAAAUAAAAUUAGUGAGAAACAAAAGGAUGAAACAUAAGUGCAUAAGCAUAAAAUAAAAAGAAAGUUAAGUGUAAUUUUCAUAUAAAAAAACCAAGCGACGACGUCUCUCGGUCCUUUGCUGAUUUUCAAGAUAUGUGCUUUUAUAAUGACCAGGCUGUUUACACAUACUACACUUGCCCCUUCUAUUCCCAGCGCUUUCGUCCAUAACAUUACAGAUACGCGUAGAUUUGGGUCGUUCCUUUUUCCUUCUCCCGCGUGGUGGAAGUAUAGGUGAAUCAUAUGAUUCGAUCCAAUAACGACGAUCGGGAACGGGGUGGAACUGUGGUUUAUAAGUCUUACGAUAGGAUACGGCAGUAUACCAAGGAGAACAUAAACCAUAAUAAUCUAUGUUCAUGUGUGAAGAACUACAACAUGACAAAAUAUGUGAGCAAGGGAUUCCUAUGAGUUGCAAACACAAACAUGAAUAAGUAGAAGCUCUUCCAUUGAUAAUCACUUGGUAUUAAUCGUCCCCGCUAGUAAGUACGUCGAACUCGUGAGCUCCAAAUCGUCGAACUGUAUAUGCUCUAACACAUUUCAUUCGGCUAUUGAUGGUGUUUUUAACAGUCGAUACAAAUUGUAUAGACAUUGCAGCGCCCUCUGCACGAUGUUUUAGGAAAAAUUUUACCACUCGAUGAAACAUUGCCAUCACAAAAGUUGUAAUCGGUAAGGCACGAACUGCACUCAACACCCCAUUUAAACUUUUCGAUCGGUUCGUUCUCAUAAUACUGAAUCGACGACCACCAUCAAAAGCUUUAGCCCAGUAUGUCCUAUCGACAUGAAUAUUGUCAACCCAAAACCAAGUUUCUUCAUCCAUAGCCUUUAAUUCUUUCUUUAAUGCAUAAUAUUCUCAUUCUUCUGAAGAUUCCCAAUUCUCCAAAACAUCUUAAGUAAGUGUUUUGCUUUGAAAUGAAUAUUCAUAUUGGCCUUCAUAUAUCGCAAACACCAUCGAUGAGCAUGACCUUCUGAUGGUGGGAAUACAAGUGCAACGAGAUUCGCUAGCCCUUUAAAAUGAUCUGAAAUGAGUGGAAUAACUCGAGAUCAUGUUAUAUACCUUCUUAGGCAACUUAGAAACCACUCCCAACUUAAGUCAUUCUCCCCCUCACAAAUUACAAACGCUAGCGAAAAUAAACCACUAUUGGCAUUGGCACCUGUGGCAAUUAAUACGUGGCCUUCGUAUUUUCCAUACAAAUAGAUAACAUCGAUACUAAGUAAUGGGCGCAAUACUCCCAACCAUGAAUCGACCGUCCAAAAGCCCAAAAGGCUAAUGAAAAUAUCUUGUAGUGCUCGUCACCCUAAUAAAAUCAAUCUUCGUAAUAGUUUUAGGAUUUGUUGCUUCCGACAUAGAGAAGUAUCAAGGAAGGUCGCAAUAUGAUUGCUCCCAACUACCGUAUAUAAUUUGUAGUGCUUUAUUCUGGGCCCGCCAAGCUUUGCUAUAUGAUAUACUAAUGUGCAUCUCACUCUGAACUCGAGAUUGAAUUUUCAUAGGACUCAUAGUAAGCCUUGCCUUCAGUGUAGGUAGUAUAAAUUGACAUAUAAAAGAGGAUGUACAGUUUCGAUGCGUUGUAUUCAGAAUUGGAAUCAUACAUGUGUGCGGAUGUCUAUAAGGUUUUACUUUAAAAAAUGAACUACUUUUCGGUUGAGAGGCAUGUAAUCUCCAUGGCAAGAAUCGACCACACAUCUCACAAUGUAUCUAGUUGUAUUUGACUUAAUAACUUGGGGCAAUUGCUUAUAUACCCCUGAAAAGUUUCUGACUUUCCAAUUUACCUUUCUUAGAAGGCUAAUAUUGAAAAUACCCUAUUUACGUUCCAACCUAUUUCUAAUAUACCCCUAGAGUUAAAAUCUAUUAAUUAAUUCUGUUAACUCUGUAAAAUUACUAUUUUGCCCUUUCAAAUAUACCCUUCCAUCAUCACUGGCUUUCUUAUUUGCCCCUAAAGUCAGGGGCACAAAAAGUAUUUUAACUUUUGAUCUUUUCCAAUAUACCCCUCUACCGUCACCAACAUUUCUUAUUUGNNNNNNNNNNNNNNNNNNNNNNNNNNNNNNNNNNNNNNNNNNNNNNNNNNNNNNNNNNNNNNNNNNNNNNNNNNNNNNNNNNNNNNNNNNNNNNNNNNNNCUUCAUUGCAAAAGUAUUCUGGAAAAAGGAAAGGCGGUAUUAAGCCCUACUUAUCCCUCAAUUUCUGAACCCCGGGGGGUCUUUGCUCCUUCUUUGUAGUUUUUAUUUGUAAUGGAAAAUCCAUGUUGAAUUUAUUUCUGUAAAAAAAAAAAAAAGGAUUAAGGUUUAGACAACUAUUGCUUUAUAUUCAGAACUCCAUCUACUGUUUUGAAGAAGCAUACCAGGCCUGUGAUUUUGAGGUUUGUGAUAUUAUUGCAUGGUGUAACGUUGCAAGAGAGAGUUCAUAUUCCCUGACAAAGAAACUCCAUCGCAUGUUUCCUUAGCUUGAAGCUUCUACUACAAAGAGAGCAGGAGAUCCCAGUGAGGAUCCUCAUCGCAUGUAAAUACCAAAAGUUAAGUGACUGAUGUAUUAUCAAGUAUCAAAUUUAGAUGUUCCAAAUGUCUUUGUUGACGAAAAAAUAAAAAAAUAAAAAAAUAAAAUCCUUUAUUGAUCAAAAGGUAAAGAAUUACAAUGGUAGGGACCUCAAGCAUUUUGGCCUGAGUUUUCUGCUGGGAGUUGCUCUUUUAAAACGCAUUAUGUUCGGCUGCUUGCUUUGGACCGAACUUGAUGGAUGAAUUCAAAUGGUCUCUUAGCUGUUACCGAAGAAAUUCAAGAACUCGCGGUUUUAACCUCAGUCUCAAGAAUGGCUGAAACAUCAAGAUGAUAUGCUACCGAAACUAUUGUUACUGAAACUACUACUAAAACUAUCGAAAAACUACUACCAUCGGAAGUUAUUAAAGCUACAUCUACAUACAUGUUGUUGUAUUAAAGACAGUGCCACUUUCUUUGGUCCCCUGCGCCAUAUUUAUAGUCUCCACAAUCCUAAUCAGAAUUCGAGCUUAUUUAGAAACAGAAUCCCGAGAAUUUCGUCAGAAUCCUAAAAUUCCGGAAUGGUUAUCUCCUGCCAAAUUUCAAAUGGCUAAGAUCGUUCAUUGCUCCUUUAAUCCCAUGGCCAAAAUUUAGUGUCCACAGUUUCAACAUGAAAUUGCAAUGUCUGCAACCAUUUUUAGUCCAAAAGGGCACCGUAUUUUUUGUAGGAGUCUAAUUAUUUAUGUAUUUACGUGAUUAGCGUUAUUGCCAAUUAUACUUUAUUUGUACAUGGUCUAGUUUAACACAACCUAUACUAUAAGGUGUUUUUGGUAAUUGUUUUCACUAUAUAUUCAAUAACAAUACUAAGAGAGGGUCUUUACGAUUUUAUCUAAUCUUUCAUAGUAUCAGAACCACAAAGUCUUUAGAAAAAAUCAACAUGAGUCAUGAUCCUUCUUUCUUUCUUGCCACAGUAGCACUGUGUCAUUCUUUCACUAUUUAUUACGACAAUCUCAGUACAACAAUACAUUGCAACCAAUACGGUAUUACAUGCACGGAUAAAUCAUAUUAAACUAGACCAUUAUUUUUUGCAUGAUAUGAGAAAGUACAAUAGGUGAUCUCUCUUUAAUUCACAUUCCUUCCAAUAAAAAUUGGCUGAUAUCUCACAAAGCCUUUAUCUACUGCUCUUUAGCGUGUUGUAUCAAUCUCACAUUCAGUCUUGGGAUACUUAGAUUGCGGGAAAUGAUAGAGUCUAAUCAUUUAUACAUUUAUGUGAUAAGUACUGUUGCUAGUUGUACUUGUACAGGAUCUUGUUUAACAAUAUAAGGUGUUUUUCGUAAUUGUGUUCACUAUAUAUUCAAUGAAAAUUCUAGAAGAGGAUUUUACAGUUUUAUCUAAUCUUUUUUUUAUUUAAAUCAGAAAAUAAUUUAAAACUGAAGAAAAUUCAAAAGAAUCCCAUUUGAGAAAACUUAAAUAUAUUAAACUUCCAAACAUUGAAGAAUAGUGAAAGAUUAAGGUGUUGUUUGGUUGCAAGAAAAAGAGCCCAAAAAAUGGGCCCUUUUUGCAAUUGACCCCCUGAAAAAAAAUUAAUUUUAAAAAUAGCUCCAGUAAAUUUAUAUUUACAAAAAUGGCCCUGUCCUUGCUAUGCAAGCCACGUCAGUGCCACACGAACAGGGCUGGAGCCAGGUGGUUAAGUUGAACACGGUGAAUCGUUCUCCGUGUUUACUGUGUGCCUUACAGCAUAGGACUUAGGACUUGGGGACUUGGACUUGGGUGUGGGUAAUACAUUAACACGGGAAACUGUUCACCGUGUCUAGACACGGUGAACAUUUCCCUGUGUUCAGUAGAGGUACAACACACUUACAAUUAAUUUUGCACAAUAAACCACUGAAAUACAACAUCAACAACACAACAACAAAUUCAAUACAACAACACAAGAAAUUCAAGAUUAAUAAUACAAUAACAAAUCCAACACAAUAAUAAAUCCAACAGAAGAUCAAUAGAACAUCGAUACCAUAUCAUCACAACAGAAUAUCAAAAAUUAAAGCAAGUUUUUCAAUAAUAUAGAAAGUUCGGUGUAAUUUAAAAUUUACAAAAAUAUAAUGUCAUGUUCUUCUCCUAAUCCCUCGACCACGUCUACCUGCACGUCUCCUACCACGACCGCGACCACGAUCAACACUAUGCUCAUCAAAGGGCUCUAUGACCUCCAACUGGUCGAGAUGUUUGAUAGUAGCACCCUCAAUAACUGUCUGAGUGUCCUGCGUCUCGAUCACCCGUUUGAUCUUGUGCUCAAUCAUAGCAGGUGUCGGUAGUAUGUCUGGCCGUGGAGGAGCUGAAGAGGAGGGUUGAUCUAUAUGGAAAGAAUGCAAUUGUCGUCGGUGCCUACGAUAAACAAUAUCGACUGGUCGAGGUGGAUCCUCUGGUACUGGUGCUGGUACUGUAUCUGGAUGAUAAGGUGGCUCCUCUAUCGAUGAAGAUGGCCUCGGUGGACUAUACAAUGGUACAUGGCCCGACGUCGAUGGUCCACCUGUUCUGUUAGCCGUGGAGGUACAGUGUGUGGAAGUGUAGGUAAAGUCUCCAAAACUGCUUCUAUUUGAUCGGCAACUUGUGAUAGGGCGUCUAAUACUCCACCAUAUGGAAUAUCUGGCAGGACACAUCUAAUCGUAUAAUAUGAUCUCUGCAUGAUAUCGACCUGAAAUAAAAACAUCAUCAUAAAGAUUACACUAAACUUUCUUUAUAUAUAAAAAUAAAUAUAAAGAGAUAUUAUAUAUUAAAAUCAUACCAAUACUCUCUCGACGUAAUCAUGUGGCUGAUACGCGAGGGGUGGCCGCUGUACUAGCCUAGAUAUCCACCUCCUGGUGAUCCUCCAAUACCACUGCAUGUAAGCAGUGAUAGCUCCUAUAGGAUCUGGAUUUACCUCAAGGUUCAUCUCUAGUAUAUCCAUCAAUCUAUCAUCCCAAUGCUGAAUAUAUGAAGCAUGAUACGCCGCCCAAUUCUCAUCUGCUCUACCCGUGAAGUGAUGCGAGAUAUGGCAACCACUGCUUCAGGUAUAUGUUGUAACAGACCAAACUGUCGAAGCACACGAGCACACGAUCUGGAAGAUGCAGCUUAAUAAUGUGGAAGCAGAUUAAGGUGGUCCUAGAUCGCCAAACCUGGGACCCCGCUAGACAAAAAGGUGGGAGCGUCUCCAAUGCUCUAUUUGUAUAAGUCCUCCAUAUAAUCUAUUAUGAAAAAUACAUAUGGUUGCUUAUCCAAAUGUUUAAAAUAUAAUGUGCAAUUAUAAUAAGAUUGAGUUACUUUCAUUUACUUGAGACUCUGGCUGUUGAUCAAGCUGAUCAUGAUAAAACUCAAUGUCAGUAGUCAUGACAUUCUCUUGAAAAGCCAGCCUAGUAUUCCACUUUAUUCAUUUAUAUCAUAUUAGUCACGAUUAAAUAGUAUAUAGAAAUAUUAAAAUAAAAAAAUACUUACAUACACCCUAGUGGCAUGUCGACAAGCUCAAGCUGCGGUCCAACUAUCUUAGGGCGGCCAAUGUGCAGGUGGUCCCAUGCCCAUAUCUAUACAAAAAGAUAGUUAGAAAUUACAACAAAAAUCAUGACUUAUAUAAUGCUAGUAAGGCAAUGUACCUGAAGUAAUGUCCUAAAACAACAGCACUCUACGUUCCCCCUCAUGCAAGCAUUUCCUAAUGCCCGACAGAGAUGACCUAGCGCAGCUGCACCCCAUGCCAACUCACCGCAGACGUCAAAAUUCUCUAACAGUGGCAACCAUUUCAAAUGCACUCUAUUCCCGCUUGGAUUUGGCACUACAAUAAGGAUUGAUCUAGCUGUAGGUGCCGCAAUCGCGAUACAUAAUAAAAUCCUACACGUCGCAAUAGGUCCAAAACUGUAGGACGCUCAAUUUGCCAUCGGUUCAUUUUAUGGCCAUGCUCCGUGAAUUGAACAGGAGAAUAACCCCGCAUGAUUGUGAAUGUAGAUCAAUAUUAGUACAUAGUUUAUAAGUAAAUAUGAAAAAAACAUCACCUCCUCUCUAAUCAAAGUGGAUCUAUGGUGUGGCUGCUCAGUCAGUACGGAUGUAUUGAUCGGUCCCGACUCCUCGUAAUCGUCCAUAUGAAAUAGUCAAAUAAAAUUAGUGAGAAACAAAAGGAUGAAACAUAAGUGCAUAAGCAUAAAAUAAAAAGAAAGUUAAGUGUAAUUUUCAUAUAAAAAAACCAAGCGACGACGUCUCUCGGUCCUUUGCUGAUUUUCAAGAUAUGUGCUUUUAUAAUGACCAGGCUGUUUACACAUACUACACUUGCCCCUUCUAUUCCCAGCGCUUUCGUCCAUAACAUUACAGAUACGCGUAGAUUUGGGUCGUUCCUUUUUCCUUCUCCCGCGUGGUGGAAGUAUAGGUGAAUCAUAUGAUUCGAUCCAAUAACGACGAUCGGGAACGGGGUGGAACUGUGGUUUAUAAGUCUUACGAUAGGAUACGGCAGUAUACCAAGGAGAACAUAAACCAUAAUAAUCUAUGUUCAUGUGUGAAGAACUACAACAUGACAAAAUAUGUGAGCAAGGGAUUCCUAUGAGUUGCAAACACAAACAUGAAUAAGUAGAAGCUCUUCCAUUGAUAAUCACUUGGUAUUAAUCGUCCCCGCUAGUAAGUACGUCGAACUCGUGAGCUCCAAAUCGUCGAACUGUAUAUGCUCUAACACAUUUCAUUCGGCUAUUGAUGGUGUUUUUAACAGUCGAUACAAAUUGUAUAGACAUUGCAGCGCCCUCUGCACGAUGUUUUAGGAAAAAUUUUACCACUCGAUGAAACAUUGCCAUCACAAAAGUUGUAAUCGGUAAGGCACGAACUGCACUCAACACCCCAUUUAAACUUUUCGAUCGGUUCGUUCUCAUAAUACUGAAUCGACGACCACCAUCAAAAGCUUUAGCCCAGUAUGUCCUAUCGACAUGAAUAUUGUCAACCCAAAACCAAGUUUCUUCAUCCAUAGCCUUUAAUUCUUUCUUUAAUGCAUAAUAUUCUCAUUCUUCUGAAGAUUCCCAAUUCUCCAAAACAUCUUAAGUAAGUGUUUUGCUUUGAAAUGAAUAUUCAUAUUGGCCUUCAUAUAUCGCAAACACCAUCGAUGAGCAUGACCUUCUGAUGGUGGGAAUACAAGUGCAACGAGAUUCGCUAGCCCUUUAAAAUGAUCUGAAAUGAGUGGAAUAACUCGAGAUCAUGUUAUAUACCUUCUUAGGCAACUUAGAAACCACUCCCAACUUAAGUCAUUCUCCCCCUCACAAAUUACAAACGCUAGCGAAAAUAAACCACUAUUGGCAUUGGCACCUGUGGCAAUUAAUACGUGGCCUUCGUAUUUUCCAUACAAAUAGAUAACAUCGAUACUAAGUAAUGGGCGCAAUACUCCCAACCAUGAAUCGACCGUCCAAAAGCCCAAAAGGCUAAUGAAAAUAUCUUGUAGUGCUCGUCACCCUAAUAAAAUCAAUCUUCGUAAUAGUUUUAGGAUUUGUUGCUUCCGACAUAGAGAAGUAUCAAGGAAGGUCGCAAUAUGAUUGCUCCCAACUACCGUAUAUAAUUUGUAGUGCUUUAUUCUGGGCCCGCCAAGCUUUGCUAUAUGAUAUACUAAUGUGCAUCUCACUCUGAACUCGAGAUUGAAUUUUCAUAGGACUCAUAGUAAGCCUUGCCUUCAGUGUAGGUAGUAUAAAUUGACAUAUAAAAGAGGAUGUACAGUUUCGAUGCGUUGUAUUCAGAAUUGGAAUCAUACAUGUGUGCGGAUGUCUAUAAGGUUUUACUUUAAAAAAUGAACUACUUUUCGGUUGAGAGGCAUGUAAUCUCCAUGGCAAGAAUCGACCACACAUCUCACAAUGUAUCUAGUUGUAUUUGACUUAAUAACUUGGGGCAAUUGCUUAUAUACCCCUGAAAAGUUUCUGACUUUCCAAUUUACCUUUCUUAGAAGGCUAAUAUUGAAAAUACCCUAUUUACGUUCCAACCUAUUUCUAAUAUACCCCUAGAGUUAAAAUCUAUUAAUUAAUUCUGUUAACUCUGUAAAAUUACUAUUUUGCCCUUUCAAAUAUACCCUUCCAUCAUCACUGGCUUUCUUAUUUGCCCCUAAAGUCAGGGGCACAAAAAGUAUUUUAACUUUUGAUCUUUUCCAAUAUACCCCUCUACCGUCACCAACAUUUCUUAUUUGCCUUUAAGUUAAGGGCAAAAUUGGCAUUUUAAUUUUUUUUAACUGUGGUAGAUGUUUAACUCAUAUUUAACCCAAGUUAACUUAACAGGAGAUAACUAUAGGGGUAUUUUGUAAUAACGGUGGAACAUAUGAGGGGUAUUUUAGAAAGAAAAAAAAAAGUAGGGGUAAAUCGGAUAUUUUCAAACAUAUGAGGGGUAUAUAGGCAAUUAUCCCUAAUAACUUUAAGAUGCAGAUUAUGUGCAAUGUGCCAAGCUUCCAAAGCAUUCUCCAAGGAUGAUUUGUCAGAAAAUGUUCGAUUAGCCUAUGCCUCAUCACUUGCAGGACCCUGAUCAAUAUUUUGUUCAGUAUAUGGAUCAACAAUGGUUUGAUGAAUUAAUUCAUCACCCAAGAGAAACCGUUGUCGUUGAUCUUCAAAUUUCUCGAAUUCCACCGGAUCCGGUACAUCAUCGUUGUUGACAUUUGAAUUUUCAAUCCAUUCAACACCUUCAUCUCGAAUGGCACAUGCGAGUGCAUUCAAACCACCGUCAUGAUCAUGAUCCAAAGAAUGCAGAACAAAGGAUUCCUCAUCAUCACUAGAAUCAACAUCAAUUCGCCUUUGAUCCUCUUCAUCACUUUCAAUAAUAUACUCCUUAUCACUUCUAAUUACGUCAUCAUUAUCAAUUGUAGUUCUCACUUUCCAAUUGGUCCAUUCAUGAACACUAGAUGAUGGACCUUCACUUUGAUUAUGAUGGAUAGUAAACCUGCAAAGAUUUUUAAGAUUAACUAUUCGCAUUGGUCCAAUUUUCAUAUAACUAAAUCAUAGAAUCACCUACCGCUCAUUUUGACAAACCAACGAAGACAAAUCCAUCAUAGUAGACGGCAAUGGUGCACUAACUGGCAUACAUGAGACUCCAAACUCUCUGUAACACUUACAAGACAAAGUUAUUAAUUUCGCACACCAAACUAAUUGAGGAAUUAUGAAAAAUAUUUAUAAAGAUCAUUACUCUAUACCUUGAUGUACGACCUCGUUCGCGAUUGACGUAAUUCUUUUGAUAAUCACUACUACACAUUUUCGUAUAAUUAACGGUACUUGGACGGUCUUGUGUCGUCAACACAUAUUUCUCCACGAAUAAUUUUAUACAUCCAUGGAACGGAAAAAAAUUCAUCACACCAGAUAGUGCAUUGUCACUUGAUAUGUUAACUAAUUCCUAUUCGUUGGCUCCCAUUGGAGAUUGAACCGUUAUGCAAAGACGGUCUUCCACUCGAUCAUAGUUAGUAACAUUGUAUAUUUCCAUCUCAAAUUUCCAAAAUAUAAUAUCACGUCGGAAAGCAACCAAUUCUUUACGGCCACCAAUAUAUCAUGGUACAUUAUUGUUCACGACUAAAUUUUCGUCCCAAUAGAUAUAGAAAGGAACACAUUCGCCGAAUAUAGAGUUCUAAAGUAAUAUAAUAAAAUGUACAAAAUUAUUACACUUAUGACAUAUUAACAUAGCACAUUUCUAACAUACAACAAAGGAGAGGGUGAGAGAUGGAAUUACCAUUUUGCGAUCACGGUCGGCGCCAACUUCUAUGCCGAUCAAGAGCUCUGGAGGCAAGGGAGUGAUGACAGAGAGAGAGAGAGAUUUGUGAGAGAGACAGAGAGAGUGAUCAGUGAGAGAAAAUUGUGAGAGGGAGAGGGAAGGGGUCAGAGAGAAAGAGAUGGGGGUUUUGUGAGGGGGACACAGUGAGAGGAAGAGGGAGAGGGGUUCUGUAAGGGAGGGGGCACAGUGAAAGGAAGAGACAGGUGGGGGGUUCUAGGGUUAGAGAGAGAAUGAGGGAUGGGGGGUUCUCGGGUGAGAGAGGGCGGUAGCGGCGGCGGCGGCUGGGUGGGCCACAAAAAGAGAAAGAGAGAGAGAGGUAGGGGGUACUAAAUUAGAGAGAGAAUGAGGAUGGGGAAACAGGUCGGGUGAGAGAGGCCGGUGGCAGUGGGGCGGGGUAGGCCACGGAGAGAGAGAGAGGGCGGCGUCGAGGUGGGCUAUAUAGAGAGAGAGCUAGAGAGAGAGAGAGAGAGAUUGAGCGAAAGAGGAGGGUGGGAGCUCGAGCGGGGUAGUAAUAUAAAAAGAACACGGUGAAUGGUUCACCAUGUUUGGACACGAUGAACUAUUCACCGUGUCUAUACACGAUGAACGAUUUAUUGGCCCUUUCGAAGUUUUGGAGCGGGUCAGGUCUAUGGCUUAUAGGAUUGCACUACCGCCGCGACUUGCAGGGAUUCACAACGUUUUCCACAUCUCGGCAUUGAGAAGAUAUGUUUUUGAUGCUUUACACAUGAUUGACUUCACUCUGCUUGAGUUGGGCAAGAACCUAAGGCACAAGGAUAGACCAAUGUGGAUUUUUGCUCGUGAGACAUUGGGUCAUACCGUACGUGAAGGUACGUUAGAGUAAUCACGAGGAGCGUGAAGCGACUUUGGAGCCAGUGAUGGUGAUGCGGUACUCCUACCCCUACUUUUUUUAGAGUUCUUCUUGACGUAUGAGUUUAAAUUUCGAGGACGAAACUUUUUAUAGUAGGGGAGGAUGUAAUGUCCCCAGGGUUUAACUGUUGGAAUGACUACAGUAUCAGCGACUGAUCGAUACAUCUGUAGAGUGUUGGGACGAGUUAGAGUUGUUUUGGCGCGAAAUGAAUUGCGAAAACGGACUCGGCACACUCAAAUAAGCCAAAACUGAAGUUUUGCUAGUUUAGGGUGGCCAUAAGUGGUUUAGGGCGCCCAUAUCCAGAGUACUAUUUUGUAAUGAAUGCUGAAGUCAUUUCGGACCUAGUUUUGGGCGCCCGAAAGUUGAGUUCGAAAAUUCACCUUGUGAAUAUCAAUUGUGCUGUGGCUUGUGGUAGGUGAGAUCCGCCGAAAAAGUUUAAGGUGCACCAGACUGGGGUGGAGUGAGCCCAAAUGCUCGGAGGAGAUUUAGGGCACCCAGAAGUGGUUUAGGGUGCCCGAAUAUAGAGUGUUCAGGAGAGUAACAAGUUAAUGUCCUUUGAUCUUGUGGCUCAUUUUAUCUAACCUAUACCUCUAUAAAAGCAUUUGGACAACCUCUGAGAACACUUUUCUCCUCUCCUUCACGGGGAACUAAGAUUUUUCUUACAACCCCCUUCAAAUUCCUCAAAUUCUAUCUUUUCCAUUGGAGAAUCAAAAUUUCUAUAGGAUUCUAGUAGCAACCUUGGAAGAUUUUGCUCCUGUGAGCCGUUGGUGUACUUAGUUGCUAUGGGGAGUUAACUCCCGGACUUUAGACUUGAGAGGGAGUGUAUGGGACAAAUCUAACCAAGUUUAAUUCAGGUUAGUAGUAUCUAAUUGCUGAAAUUCUUGGGAAAUUGGCGUUUUGAGCUGAAAUUGAGAUUUUUAUGAAUUCUUAGAUCUGAUUCUUGUAGAGACUGGAUUUUUCGUCCUUCUUCACUGGUUUAGAAGUUGUUCCUCACCAGAAUUUCAGAUUCAAAGAUGAGUUUAGCUUAGAUUUUGGAUGAACUGAGCUUGUAAUACAAUUUUUGGAGGUUUUGAUGAAAAUUCUUGGAUUUUUUAAUCCAAAUUUUGGUGAAGGCUUAUUGUUGGACUUGGAUUGCUUCUUCCCUCAUCUUUGGAGGUUUGUGACCUUAUUCCACUGGUUUUACAAGUUGGAAUUCUCAAAUUUGAGCUAUAGCAAGCAAAUACUUAAGUGAAGUUUUCUGGAUCCUAAACUGGACCUUUUUUUCUAGAUCCAGAUUGCAAGAAGAGACCUUUGUGGCUGUUUUGAGAGCUCAAUCUUUGUGAGGGAGUUGAGUUUUAAGUCCACUUCAAUUCUCUUCAUUGCAGGGAUAUGUUCGGUGAAGUUUUCUUGACUUUCAACAUAGAAUUGAGCUAAUUUCCAUAUGGAACUCAGGUAGACUUGGAGUUGGCAGUGAUCAAAUCUGGACUCAAGAUCUGGGCACCCAGAACCUACUGCUGGAGGAUUCAGAAGUGCUGCAGCUUGAGACAAAGUUAGCUAGUUUUUGGCUCUCGAGUCCUUUGUUCCGUGGUUGGAUUAGCACCUCAGGUGGGUUAAUGUCUACCGAGUUAUUCGGAAUUUCUCCUAAGUUUUAUAGAAUUUCAGCAUGCAUAAUUCAGUGUUAAUUAUCAUGUUAGUAACUGAAAUUUGCAGAUUUGCAUGCCGUAGUAUGAAAUCUGAAUUUGGAGCUUAAUGUAAUAAUUUUAGAUGAACUUUUGCAUGAUGAACUGUGAUUUGAUUUAGGAGAAAACUCUCGAAAUCUACACACCUCACUUCUCGAAAAGUUAAUAGAUUUAGUUUUAGGAGCUGUUUUCUCUUUUGUAUUACCGCUAUUAGUACGUUGUGGAUACUUAGACUAAUGUAAGUUGAGAUUAUGCUCGUGUUGAGAUGCUGAGCUUAUUUUUACAGCAGUGUUUAGGCUUUUCAUAUUGUCGAGUACCGUCCGGACUGAUGGUGGACCCAAAUUUUUGCUGCUUGUAUCAAAUUAUGCCGAGAGCAUGCGAGCGAUGGUUCUUCGAUCCGUUUGUGUCACGCCUCGAGACCUGCCACUUUGGUCGGAUUCAGGUGUGCCGACAGACCACCGAAUGGACAGAGUUUUCCUAUCCGCCCAAGGCGUCACAAUCAAUACAAUUCACGCGGUUCCAAACAUGAACAGAAUUCAUACAUAGAUUGCAUAAGAAAGGUACCAUAAACAUAAAUACUAAGCUAUUAUAAGCAUUCGUUCGCAUUCACAUUACAUUUCCAUUUACAUUCUUUUUGCUUUCAAAUACAAUCAACUUUAUUACAAUUUUGUUUCAUUCUUUCCUUUCUAUAUCCCUAAGCUAUGCUGACCUAUGGUACAUCUAUCUCUGGUCACAAGUGGUAGGAUGCUAUCUACCGAACUACGCCCUUUCCUCGCGCCGCUGCACCACUCACGUGUGGACCUGAAACAUAGGGUUGUGAACUAUAAACAUAGUUUCCAAUGGGUACAGCCACCCAAGGGAAGAGCUCGACCCACCAAGUCCAAAGGAGGCAACAUAAGCAAGUUAGUCCAACAUAUAACAUAUAGUUCAACUUUAUGCAAUUAAAUAAACAUCAUGCUUAUGCCUCAACAAAAUGCAAUAAUGAAAUCAAUGCAAGUGGGUAUCCUCUUCUAUUUUCUAUUUCACUAUCCAUAUCAUUUACAAUCCGCUCCUAAGGUUUCUCUUACCUUAGCCAAGCUAUUUCACCCGACUCAGUUUUGUGUCAAUCAUUCACAACUUACCGCCUCAGUGACUUAGCCAUUCGGCGGCAAACUCGCCGCACACGCCAGACAAUGACUAAAGUCGCCGAGCGGUGCAAUCCUUUCCUUGACUUAGCCAUCCGGCGGUGAACUCGCCGCACACGCCAGACAAUGGCUCAAGUCACUGGGUGGCGAAAUCGCCGCACGCACCCCAAGUAUCCAGCCUUCGGCGGUGAACUCGCUGCACACCCCUAAGCUAAUACCAAAAUCCCUUAGAUGUGCACGUCAUUUCCAUUCCAAGUCUCAAGGGUUCAUCAUUUAUCCUAUAUUGUCAACCUUUCUAGGUUCAAGUCAUUCAUGUCCUAGUGGCCAUCCUACCACUACAUUUUCAACCUAUAUUCAAUGACACUAGGUUUAAUGUCCAAUCAUGUUCUUUUCUAUCCUAGUUGUCCACACCUAGGAUUCAUAGUCUUCAUGCCAUCCAGUUCUUGAUUUCUCACUAGUUGAAUCCUCUAAUUUUUCUAGAGUUCAUAGACCUAUGUUCAUUAUUCACACCUCGGCAUACAUAUAUAUACAUCCUAUAUGUUUUCAAAUGCCUAUGUCAUCAUCCAAUGGUAGGUAACAUCAUCUAACAACAUAUGAUUUAUGCAUUCAUAUUUACAACAUAUAACCUACGAUUACUUACAUGCAUCAACAACAAUACCAUACUUUACUAUUUUGACAUGGAAGCGACCCAGUCACUUUGGUGAAGCACAAUUUUCACGCCCCACAUUACCACGUUUCUCUGGGCACGCCAACAGACCCGCCGUACACAUAGAAAUUUUUUGUGUAUACGAAGCGCUAGCUGUACCUGUAAACAAAUCAUAGCUACAACCAGAAGUAUAGAGCUGCUAAAACUGAAAAAUAUAAAUAAAAACAUACUAAACCCACUGUACAUACAAUAUUCACAACACGUCGCUCCUGAGAGUACAACAAAACAUAACAGUAUGUACAAGGUAACAACCCAAAACGACCUCUGAAGGGGAUACUCCUCUAGCAUAGUGACCAAGAAAAGUAGGGAUCUAGCUCGCGACUCCCUUACCACGGUCAGAAUCAACAGCAGUAGCGACGGGCGGCUCUGCAAAAAGGUAGCAACAACUGGGUGUGAGAACUACUGCAAAACAGAGUAGUCCUCAGUGGGUACCGUCACCGACCCCAACGGCCCACCCACUAAGUCUACAGUAAGGUAUACAAAGGAUAGUAAAAUAAGCUGGAAGAAACUCUACAGCUAUAUGCUACUAGACUACCACUAUCCAACCAUGCUCUCUGUAGACAUAGAAAUGCAUCACUAGCUACACACUGACCUAAUCUCAAGGGACUGCCGACUGGCCCGUCCAGCCUGUAUCUAAGCUACACCGCACACCACCCACGGGGGUGGCCGGUCCAAGAACAUUGUCCAAAUAGGACUGCUGCGACAUCAACGCAAGAAAAGCCUUACUCCAGAGCAGCACUCGUGGGAGUGACCCAAUCGAGUAUGCAAGCGUGUCUCUAUUGCGCUCAAUCAGGCUCACACAGGCUAUAGUCAAUGCAAAUGGUUCAAGCUGGUCUAACAACUAAGGCUCACGUGCCCUUGGUACAAUCUGAUAUAAAAUGUAAGAUCUGGGUCCACCAUUUGCCCCGACGGCACCCGACAAUACAGAACAGUCCAAACUCUACUGUAAAACGAGUUCGGCUCCUCAACACGAGCGUAAUCUCACCCUACACUAAUCUAAGUAUCUACAACGCACUAACAGCGGUGAUACAACAAAGAAAUUAGCUCCUAAAGCUAAAUCUGUUAACAUUUCGAAAGUGACGGUGUAGGUUUAAUUCGUUUUCUCCUAAGUCAAAUUUCAAUUCAGCAGAUAUGAUUUAUCUAAAAUUCUUAAAUUAUGCUCCAAAUUCAAAUUUCAUAUAAACAUGCAAAUCCAUGAAUUUGAGCUACUAAACAUGGUGAUCGAACAAGAAAAUACAUGCCGACAUUGCUAUGACUUAGAAAGAAUUCCGACGAUUUCGGUAAAUAUUAACCCACCUCAAAUGCUCGUCCAACACCGGCUAGGAGUCGAUAGGCGAAACCCCGCACUAGCUCGACCUCCAACGAAAAUCCCCCGAGGUGCGCGAGCAAUUCUCCAAAGACAAGGUGAACGAAACUGAGAUCAUUCCACAAAUUCACAAAGAAAAAGGCAAGAGAGCUAGAGAGAGAGGGGAUAGAGAAGCUACCGUUUCUCCAAGCUUCUAACACAAAUGAGAGAGUAAUAGGGGUCGCUUGGGAUUUAGCGCCAACAAAAAUGACCAAAAGACCCCUUACCAACUCAAUUUGCCACCUGGAGUACCGAUACUCAACUUGGGUACCGGUACUCGGCACUCAGCCAGCAAACCCUCACACUAGGUAUCGGUACUAGCCCGAUACAGUACCGGUACUCAAUCCCGGUACCGGUACUCACCAAUAGGUAUCGGUACUCAACACAAAGAUACACAAACCCGAGAGCUCCCCUUCGUGUAAUCCCUCUGGGGUACCGAUACACCUCUCAAAUACCGGCACACAACACUCAAAAUCCUGCUUUUGCUGAUUUUAGUGUCCGAAGUCCAACUCUCACAGCUCCGAGUUCGUUUUCGCGUCUAUUUUCGUGCAAAAGCGAAUCCGGCUCGCCUGACACUCUACAGAAGUGUCGACAAGCCACUGAUGCUGCCGUCAGUCCGACCACUAACCCCAGAGACACUACAACAACCCACCUCACAACGCUUUCGAUUGCUUGUAGACACUUCCAAUCGGACUCCUGCGGUCAAUGUCGCCCGAUUUGGUUCGACCCAAGCCUAAUGGAUGAAAUCCGGUGAUAUCUCCCAAUUGGACGCUGUAACCUCACUGUAAUCCAAAUCAAGGUUGUCCCUUGCGUCGAUUUACACUUCAAUUAGAGAUUUAUGAGAUCAAUUUAGUUCCAAACCUCUUAGGGACAAAAACCCCAAAUCCAAGUCCUAGAUUUCAAUUUCUCCAAAAAUAUUCCAAAUCCAUGGAGAGAUCUUGAUUAAACAAGUAUAAAUCAUCUAGAGGACUCUAGAAUCUCAUUUCAAGGGAUUUAACCAAAAAUCCUAAUCUCUUAACCCAAAAAUGAACCUCGAGUCGAAAGCGCUCCAAGCCACUAAGCGCCCGAGAGCUCGAUUCACCACUCCUCUGAGUUUCCUGAGUUCGAUCUCCAUCAAGAUCUCCAAGCUGGAGAAGAAGAAAAAGAGAGUGAGAGAGAUGAACUCCCCUCUCUCUCUCUCUCUCUCUCUCUUAGUGUACGUGUGUGUUCUGUAGAGAAAAGAUGAAGGGCACCCUUUUAUAUAGGCCCUCACAUAAAAUUACUCAUUUACCUCUCAAAAAUAGCAUUCUCCAUCAAGAUCUCCAAGCUGGAGAAGAAAAAAAAGAGAGUGAGAGAGAUGAACUCCUCUCUCUCUCUCUCUCUCUCUCUCUCUCUCUCUCUUAGUGUACGUGUGUGUUCUGUAGAGAAAAGAUAAAGGGCACCCUUUUAUAUAGGCCCUCACAUAAAAUUACUCAUUUACCCCUCAAAAACAGCAUUCUGCAGCACUGUGUACCGGUACUCGGGUUGGCGUACCGGUACUCAAUUUCCAGUACCUCAAAACCCGAAUGUUGGAUUCUUAAUUUUCUACUGCGUACCGGUACUCGGUUUUCAGUACCGGUACCCAAUACAAACUCACUACCGGUACUCAGGUUUGAUUCCUCAAAAUCCGAAAACUCAUUUUUCUCAUUUUGUAUUGCUUACUAGUACACAGAUUCCAGUAUCGGUACUCAAUACAAAUUCUUUAUUUUGAUAAAUUUUACCUUUCCGAGUCUGUUUUCACAUUCAGUUUGCGCCGAAAACACUCGAAUACUCCCCAAACUUUGCUGGAAAUAUUUUAAUAGCUUUUUAAGCUAGUUUUCCCCAAAACUUCAUAAUUGUAGAAGUUCGGUAUAUUACAGUUUGAGUAUUUGUAUUGAUUACAGCCUGCUCGAGCCUAAUUGAACUCGACAAAGACAUGCUUCUAUACUCGGUAGGGGUCGUGCUCCCCGAGUGCCACUCCAGAGUCUGGCUUUCUUACGUUGAUGUCGCAGCAGCCCCGUUUGGAAAUUUUUACUUGGACCGGCCACCCCCAUGAGUAGUGUGCGGUGUAGCAUGGGCACAGGCUAGACUGGCUAGUUGGCAGUCCCUUGGGAUUGGGUCACUUGUGAUAGUUUGUAGUUAGUGAUGCAUAUAUAUGUCUACUAAGAGCAUGACAUGGGUAGCUGUAAUGUAGUGACAUUUUAACUGUAGAGUUUCUUCCAGCUUAUUUUACUGACUUUUUAUCUAUCAAGUUAUUGUUAGCUUUGCAGACUUAGUGGGUAGGCUGUGGGGUCGGUGACAGUACCCACUAAAGACUACUCUAUUUUAUAGUAGUUCUCACACCCAUUGUUGCCACUUUAUUUUGCACAGCCGUUGGUUGCUGCUGCUUUUACUGAUCGCGGUAAGUGAAUCGCGAGCUAGAUCCCUGUCUACCCCGGUCGUUGAGCUAGAGGAGUACCAUUUUGGAGUCAGUUCAUAUUUAUUUUAGUCAUGUACAUACAGUUGUAUUUUAUUUUACCGGUUAAGAGUUCUGAGAUACUGCACUUUUGGUUUUUGUUGUACACCUUGGAUUACAUGUAUAUACCUUUGACUACGUAUUUUGGUUUAGAAGCUCUGUUACUCUCUAGAAGUUGUCUUAUAUUGUUACAGGUUCUUCUUUUGCUUCAUGUACACAGGGCUACUUGUGUAUGCAGCAGAUCUAUUGGCGAUCCUGGGGAAUCCCAAAACUCGAGGCGUGACAGUAUUUCCUUUCAUACACUAAUUAUAUCACUUUUAUUCUUGUCCCUUUCUUGGUUAAGUAUCUUAUUUAGCCUAGAUGAAAUGAUGCUCUGACAACUUGAUCGACCUAUGAAAUAAGGUGAAUCCUUUUAUUGUGAUUGUAUUUGGAUCAACUUUUAAAUGAUUUGCCUCAAGUUACGUUAAACCUUCCUAUUAUGAUUAACUCCCUAUCGCUUUAGUCUAUCUUUGCAUGAUGGAUAUAUCGUAGUUAGAUUUUAGCUGGUUGAUUUAAGGGAGAUUCAGAAUUCAAUUCUUGAUUCUCUAGACAUUGUAACUAUUAGUAAUCCGUCUAUAUCUUAUCGAGGUUAUAAUAUGUUUGUGGAGAUUAAUUCUAUGUUUGUAUAUGAAAUAAGUGGUUUGAUUAUAUUUUGCGCAUUUUUUUAUAGCAAUUGGCAUGUGAAUGUUGAUAUCAGAAUAUAAAGCUGAAAUAAGCAAUAGUCAUAUCAACUCUCUCGGAGAGUAAUUUAGAUUUUGAGGACAAAAGUUUUGUUAAUUUAGAAUAUGUAUUGCCUCAUUAUUAAAAUUACUUUUUAUCUUGACAAUAAAAUUUCAAGCACAAAAUUUUUAUUAGGGGGGGAAGAUUGUAAUACACCUAACUUAAUAAUUAUAUGUUUAGGUCCCUUUAUUUUGAAAUAUAGACUUUUUGGUAAUUUGAAUUAGUAGAAGGGCUUGGUUACAAUUUGUGCAUAUUAACCUUAAUCAAUUUUUGGUCGUGUCUCUCUCUCUUUUCUCCUACGUGGAGACCCUAGCCACCUUUUAUUUUUUCUCUUUUGAUCUGCUCCAUCUUUUUUUUAAUCUAUUGCUCUCCCAUCAUGCGCCGCACCUGUCACGUGCACCCGCGCGCUCGGACUCUUGUUCUUUGCUCGUCAUCUAACAUUGUUGCUGCUGUUGUCGGCCACCGUCGUGCUUCAUGAUCACUAUCGGCACUCCUUUCGUUCAUCAUCAACGGCAUCUUGAUCACCGUCUUUUUCUUCACCAUCUUUGAAGGGUUCCGUCGAUAGUUUGAUUUUUGGUAUUUGACCAAUCAAUAUUUAGAUUAUUUGGAGGUAAGCGACCGAACACCCGUUAGUUUUUCAUAAAAUAAUUUAGGAAAAUACUUUAAUUGUGUGAAAAUUUUUAUUUUGUAGGUUUCAAAAUUAAGAGUUAAGCGUAUUAUCACACAUUUUUGAAAAAUGAUUUUCAAUUUAGAUUGAUAGGUUCAUUUAGCAAAAGAAUUUGAGAUUUGAUAAUAUGUUCUGUAAAUUAGUGACUGGCAAGUGUUUUAAAUUAUAAAUGUCUCUUGGUAUUCUGCUUUACUAAUGUUGGCGAUGCCUACAUGUAUUCAGUUAUAGAAGCUAGCUUCGUCUCUAUAUUGUGCCUUCGGGUGCCUACGCCUAUUUGCGCCUCUAUUCUGUAUUUGUGCUUUCGAGCGCCUCUGUUAUGUAUAUGCACCUUCGAGUGCCUUUGCUCUGUUUUGCACCUUCAGGUGUCUCUGGAUCUCACCAACGAAUCACACUAUAUAGUUAGUUACCAGAGACUUAAAUUUUUAUUUCAUUUAUUUGCUAGAAGAUAAAUACUUUGUAAAUUUAUAGCUCCUAUUUGAUCUGAAUUUUAAAUUCUGAUAAUCUUUAUUUUCUAAAAUUUUGCAAAUUAAAAACCAGUUGCUUAAAUUAAAUUAUUUAUUUAUUUAUUUGUAUGCUUAAUCCUACUAAUGUGGCGUAUAGUUGUUUACCGAGGUUUCAUGAUUGUUUUGCUGGGCGGGAGUAAGAUCGAGUGAACGCUAGCCAUAGUUUGCCAUUCGAGUUACUUUUUGUUAUUUUUGUCUUUGUGUAGUUAGGUAUAUGUUGGUUAAUGGGUUACCUGAAUUAUCGAGAUUUAUUCAUUUCUGUUUUGUUCUUCUUCGUACUACGUAAUUUAGCAAAUUUUUGUGAUUAUCUUUUUGUUUAUUUCUUUGUUGGGUUUUGUAGCCUUACAUAUUUGUUAUUCUAGCAGGUGUGUACCGUUUGUUUUGCCUCGAGUUUGGGGAGUGACAGAAAAAUAGUUUCAGAGACUAGGUUUAAGGUUCAUAGGUUUGUAGAAACUAAGCAAUAGGAUUAUAAGGUUCAUCUUAGACAUGCGAGAACGUGUGAUAGGGGUAGACUUUUGGCUUUGGAAGGUUAAAGUUCUGAUGAUGUUCUUCCAUUCUUGUGUUCUCUCACCACUCUGUACUUUGGCUUUGAGAAUAUUCGAUUAGAUCCGUCCUUCUUAAUAUUGUAUGUAAUUUUAAUUGAAAUUCCUUAUUUCUGUUUUAGUAAUAUAUUUGACCUCAUAUAUAUCCUUCUUAUUCAUCCAUUUGACCAAUCUUUGUUAUUGGUUUGUUCAUGAGCUACAACUCUCCAGUUAAGACUUUAGUUUUGUUAGUUUUGUCAUUGUUGCUAAUCUUUUUUUUUUACUUUGAUUCUCAAUAUUGAUGUAUAAGCUUAGCAUUUUGACAUUACAUUUCUUUCUUCAAGUUCUUUUGACAUGAAAAAAGAUUAUGAUUAUAAAUUCAGUUUCUAAUAUGUGCUAUUUAUUCUUUGAUUAUCUGAUUGAGAAAUUAUUGUGUGUUCUCACAUGUGUCCCUCCUAUUGCAAAUCUUUUUUCUAUGUGAGAAGGUAUUUCCUUUCAUACACUAGUUAUAUCACUUUUAUUGUUGUCCCUUUCUUGGUUAUGUAUCUUGUUUAGCCUAGAUUAAAUGAUGCUCUGGCAACUUGAUCGACCUAUGAAGUAGGAUGAAUCCUUUUAUUGUAAUUGUAUUUGAAUCAACUUUUAAAUGAUUUGCCUCAAGUUGCAUUAAACCUUCCUAUUGUGAUUAACUCCAUAUAGCUUUCAUCUAUAUUCGCAUGAUGGAUAUAUCGUAGUUAGAUUUUAGCUGGUCGAUUCAAGGGAGAUNUGGCAACUUGAUCGACCUAUGAAGUAGGAUGAAUCCUUUUAUUGUAAUUGUAUUUGAAUCAACUUUUAAAUGAUUUGCCUCAAGUUGCAUUAAACCUUCCUAUUGUGAUUAACUCCAUAUAGCUUUCAUCUAUAUUCGCAUGAUGGAUAUAUCGUAGUUAGAUUUUAGCUGGUCGAUUCAAGGGAGAUUCGAAAUUCAAUUCUUGAUUCUCUAGACAUUGUAACUAUUAGUAAUCUGUCUAUAUCUUAUCGAGGUUACAGUAUGUUCAUAGAGAUUAAAUUCUAUGUUUGUAUAUGAAAUAAGUUGUUCGAUUAUAUUUUGCGUAUUUUUUUAUAGCGAUUGGCAUGUGAAUGUUGAUAUCAGAAUAUAAAGUUGAAAUAAGCAAUAGUCAUAUCAACUCUCUCGGAGAGUAAUUUAGAUUUUGAUGACAAAAGUUUUGUUAAUUUGGAAUAUGUAUUGACUCAUUAUUAAAAUUUCUUUUUAUCUUAACAAGAAAAUUUUGAGGACAAAACUUUUAUUGGGGGGAAGAUUGCAAUACCCCAGAGUUAAUAAUUAUAUGUUUAGGUCCUUUUAUCUUGAAAUUUAAACUUUUUGGUAAUUUAAAUUAGUAGAGGGGCUCAGUUGCAUUUUGUGCAUAUUAACCUUAAUUAAUUUUUUGCCAUGUCUCUCUCUUUUCUUCUACAUGAAGAUCCCAGCUACCUUUUAUUUUUUCUCUCUUUUGAUCUGCUCCAUCUUUUUUUUUUAGUCUUGCAUCUCUCACGCGCGCCCGCGCGCUCGGACUCUCGAUCUUCGCUCGUCCUCUGGCAUUGUUGCUGCCGUCGUCGGCCGCCAUCGUGCCUCAUGAUCACUAUCGGCGCUCUUUUCGUUCACCAUCAACGGCACCUUGAUCACCAUCUUUUCCUUCACCAUCUUUGAAGGGUUCUGUGGAUAGUUUGAUUUUUGGUAUUUGACCAAUCAAUAUUUAGAUUAGUUGGAGGUAAGCGACCCGACACCAGUUAGUUUUUCAUAAAAUAGUUUAGGAAAAUACUUUAAUUGUGUGAAAAUCUUUAUUUUGUAGAUUUUAAAAUUAAAGGUUAAGCGUAUUAUCACACAUUUUUGAAAAAUGAGUUUCAGUUUUGAUUGAUGGAUUCUUUUAACAAAAGAAUUUUGAGAUUUGAUAAUAUGUUCUGUAAAUUAGUGACUGGGUAAGUGUUUUAAAUUAUAAAUGUCUCUUGAUAUUCUGCUUUACUAAUGUUGGCCAUGUCGACAUGUAUUUAGUUAUAGAAGCUAGCUUCGUCUCUAUAUUGUGCCUUCUGGUGUUUGCGCCUAUUUGCGCCUCUGUUCUGUAUUUGUGCUUUCGAGCGCCUCUGUUCUGUAUAUGCACCUUCGGGUUCCUUUGUUCUGUUUUGCACCUUCGGGUGCCUCUGGAUCUCGCCAAUGGAUCACACUAUAUAGUUAGUUACUAGAGACCAAAAUUUUUAUUUCGUUUAUUUGCUGGAAGAUGAAAUAUUUUAUAAAUUUGUAGUUCUUGUUUGAUCUGAAUUUUAAAUUCUGAUUAUCUUUAUUUUCUGAAAUUUUACAAACUAAAAACCAGUUGCUUAAAUUAAAUUAUUUAUUUAUUUAUUUGUAUGCUUAAUCCGACUAAUAUAGUAUAUGGUUGCUUAUCCAGGUUUCGUGAUUGUUUUGCUGGGUGAGGAUAAGAUCGAGUGAAUGCUAGCUGUAGUUUGUCAUUCGAGUUACUUUUGUUACUCUUGUCUUUCUGUUGUUAGGUAUAUGUUGGUUAAUGGGUUACCUGACUUAUUGAGAUUUAUUCUGUUUUGUUUUGUUCUUUUUCGUACCGCAUAAUUUAGCGAAUUUUUGUGAUUAUCUUUUUGUCUUUUUCUUUGUUGGGUUCUGUAGCCUUACAUAUUUGCUAUUCUAACAAGUAUGCGGCAUCUGUUAUGCCUUGCGUUUGUGGCGUGACAUCCAUCUUCCCGAAUCAGAAAUAGAACUAACUUUUCAAUGUUAGUUGUAUGCCUUAGAAGCCUAUCAGGUUGACGCAUUUUAUUUUCUAUGGGACAUUUUUGUACUUAAUCUUUAUUUAUUUAUAUAAUUGGGACUUUUAUUCCAUUCAUAUUUAAUGUGUCCGUGAAUCGUCAUUUGAAUUAAUAAGAUGAUAAUAUGUAUUCUCAAGAGUUGAGAAUUUGAGAUACAUAAUUCUUGGUGAUUAAUUCCUAAAUGCUCUCAAUCGGAGGAUCAUUAUGGGAACGAUGAUUGAUCCAGUAAGAUUGAUGUGUGCCGCUUCCCUUUUGGGAUGAUGAUCUCGAGUCAUCAGUGUGGGGACACUAGAGCGAACAUACAGGUGGUUGUUAGAGAACAAGGAUACUGAGCGUGACCAACUACGAACAGUUACAUGAAUAUCUACUCGUCAGUAAUUAGUUCGAUGUUGCAGUGGUACAACUGAUCCUUAGACCUGGGACACCAUGGCCAUUCAAUGUGAGGUUACUGUAGUUUGACUAUGCAACAAACUCCGAUCCUAGCCAUGGUCCUUAGUAAUAUAUGUUGGCUGUAGUAGAUUCAUAUCAGGAAUGAGUGUGCAUUUAUAGGGGAUCUAUCACUCUCGGUAGAGAGAUAAAUAGUUGUAUGCUAUUUGUAAGGCAAAGCUUAGAAAUCCUCGGCCGGGAUAAUAUGGUGUAUGGAAAGAGGUUUCCAAAAGUAACCAUAAGAGCUUCUGUCCUAUCAAAUUUGUCAUAUAUCAGGUGAUAGGAUUUGACGAGUAUUCCAUAACUUCCACUCGGUUGGGACUAUGCGAUAGAAGGAUUGUAUUGUACAGUAAUUGCACCUAGAGCUUUAGUCCGAUAUUUACUUCUAACUGGAUUGCCACUACAUGCUGUUAGGCGUCACUGGUGGAUUGUGGGAACCAAUAGGAAUAAUUAUAGAUAAUUAAUUAUUCUAUAAGGGUGAAAUCAAAAGAGUUUGAGCCAUCGAAAGGAGUUUCGAUGAUGAUGUAGAUAAGAAUCACAUCAUAUCUUACUAUCAAACAAAAUUGAACCUAUUAGGUCACGCACAUAAGAAAUCGCGCAUAAUCAAUUUUAAGGAGACUUAAAAAAAGUUUAUCGGAUGGUUUAAUUGCAAUUAUAAUAUAGUUAAAUACUAAAACUUACCUAAUUUAUUAGUUAAAGGACUAAUUGUAAUUGUUGUAAAUUAGAGGUAUUUAUAUGUAACAGUUGCAUGGUGUAUUUAAUAAUUGUUAGUAAAUAAUAUGAGGACUUAUGUGUAAAUGUUACACACAAAUCGAAUCAGGAUUAGGAUUCGGUUAAUAUUAUAACCAAUUUGUGGGUUAAUGGACAAUCCAAUCGGACUAGGAUUUCGAUUAGGAUUAGAAUUAGGCUUAGUGUUUUCUCAUUAUAAAUAUACAUAUUAAAAUUAAUUAAUACAAGAGAAAUAGAAAACCCUAGCCAUCAAUCCUUCCUCUUUCCCUUAAAUCUUUCACAAUUAAUCCAUCGGUUUCGAUCUUUAAAGAGUUGCUAGCACAUCUAGAAGAUUGAUUCAUCUUCCUCAAAUCGAUUGAAGAGUUAAUUCGUGAUCGGAUCACGGAUCGAAACAGUCGUCUAAUUCGAUCAAGGGCGUGAUUUCGUGUGGAUGCGAGUAGAGGUUGGGCUCGUGCCCGGCUAAGCGAGGAUGAACAAUUUUUACCAAUGAUUGUCGACUUCGCGGUGAUCUCGACCUGCGCAAGGUGAAAAACUAGAUCCUAUUUGAUUAGAUCAAUUAGAUCAAUUAUUAAGGAUCUAAAGUGAACACGAGGUGAUCUUUGAUUUUAGAAAAUUUUAAUUGUGUUAUUUUCUUCCGCUACAUACACAUGAUUUUCUUACAUUCAAAAUGUAUAAAACUUACCUUAACAUCGUCCAUUUGGAUUUAACUACCUAAUCUUUCAAAAUUUUUACUUAAAAAUUUUUGAAUUAACGAUCCGACCUUCUUAAUCAUUUGACUUAAGCCAAUUAGUGACUAUUUAACUUUAAAAAUUUGAAUAGAUCAUUUAUCUCUUCAUAGUAUUUUUUAUGUAACUUACGUAACAAUAGAUUUAUUAAAAUAAAUAAUUAACUUAAAUUUUGUACCCGAAGAGCUAUUAGAUCACUUCAAUUCAAUCAAACAAAUUGAAAGAUUAGACACUAAAAUCAAAAUUUUCAAAGAUUAUGCAGCGGAAUCAAAAUGGGCUAUGAUUCCAGUAUGUUUUAUACAUUUUUACCCAAACCCCAUACUAUUUAUUAUCUUAUUGUAUCGAAGUACUGCAAAAGAAAAGAAUGAAGGCUGCAUGUGUCAUCUAUAUCUUUACCUCUAUACCUCUAUACAUUAUUUCUCCUAAAGUUACCACAUUGCAAUUUUUUCUUUAUUGUUGAGUGUGGGCUCCAUCCUGAACCAGCUCCGGUACUUUCUCUUCCUCUUUAUUCAGCUGUUACCUUCGUUCAUCAGCAAGAUAAAUCUCAUCCCUUAACAUUAUUUUUUUCAUCAACGUUUCCUUUUUUUUUGUCCAUGUUUUCUAUUUUUUUCGAUUAUCUAUCCAUUGUAACGCGUGGGUUACUACACUAGUAGAAACAUAAUGACCCGAGAGAAUGGUGGCUCUUAGCGUUAGGCCAUGCUUACUUUUUAUUAUUAUGGGAGAAUGAACUUUCACGGUAGUUUUGCAUAUGAGAAUUUGAGUUAGUAAGAAUUAUUUCACAGUUAGAGAGCUUCAAAAUUUGGUUACUUAUUGUUAUUCAUUCUGCAAAAGGAGGCGGCGGAAAAUAACUUUAUUGACAAGCUUUCACAGUACUUUUCACAGUAUUUUUCCAUUUUUAACAGAAACAGCCAGAGGGGAAAGCUGUUCAAGAAGCAGAAACAAACUUGAGCGAGAUGCUGUUGACACAGUGACGCUCAUUUGUAGGCGUUUUGAACCCCUCCCCUUUAAAGACAUGACCCAGGUGCCCCCCGCAAGCCGCACAUGUGAUUUCAGUUCUCAUUCCAUCAGGAUCCGGCUGUACUGACAAAUUCAUUUCAUUAGAACAUGCACAAAAGCGCGGCACAUUAGAUCAUAUAUCCAAAGAAACAGGAAAUGCAAGAAAGAAACCCACUGUCCGCUUUAUCGCUCCAGGUAGUCCCUCAUAGAAUGCUGGCCAGCCACAUCCGGAGUUGAACUUCGUAGUAGAUUUGUAAAGGGGCGUUCCACAACCAGCACAUUCGUAAAUUCCGUCACCAUAGAAUUUAUCAUAUUUCCCAGUCCCUGGGUACCUGAACACAAAUUAUCGCCUCCACGCUCAUUUCGCAAUCAGAGAAGAGUAACGAGACAGAUAAUAUCAAAGACUAUGAGAUGAACGGCAUAUCGAAUGAAUUAGACAAAGUUGAAUGUGAGGAAUCUAACGUAUAAAAACCUAAGCUUCACUUGUCAUGUAUUUUCCACAGGGUAUUUUGGACUAGGGCUAUUUAUCAUACCACCAACGGCCCAAAGUACAUUAGCCGUUCAAAUGCAGGCCUUCCACUCCUUUUACUCCACCUGAUUUGUAAGUAACAGGUACAACCGAUGAUUUAAGUGCCCAUUAGCAUAGGUUGCGCCACCGCAAUAAGGAAUCGGCAUGAUACGAUCCCCAUGCCAAUGGCACGGUUCAAAACUUCCUUUUUUCUAAAUUUGCAAGUAACUAAUCGAUAGACUGCAAAAGAUUUGAUAAAACAUAUACUAUAAGAAAUUCCAAUACGCUAGUAGUGCCAAAGAAAAUAAAUAUUUCAUGCCAAAGUGUGGUAAAAGGUAAUUUAUCAAUGACGCACAUUGACGCAGCAUGGCAUGCACCAUACCGUGCCUAGCAAGCGUUCAAUACAAAUCUCGUACCAUGGCACUUAAAUUCAUAGGUGCAACCACAUAAGCAUAAAAGAGAAUGUGGUGUUAGAUGCUUGAGCAAGUCAAGUGUGCAAGAUCGGUGUGAUUCACGCUGUGUACAAAUGGUAUUAGCCCCCGAAUUACAUAUCAAGUUGGAUCAUUAGCUGAUUGCCCUGUCCUUACUUCCUCAGCAGCAAGUCGCAGGCCCAACCUCUGCAUCAAAGAUUUUCUCACAAAUCAAAAACUCUCUCCAGAGCUCUCAUAUCCUAAAAGCUGCUUCUUGUUUGCCUCUGUUGUCCCUUGAAGCCAUGGAGAUAGAUUUAACAGGAAUCCCAAGCCUUGCACUUGGAGGGCCAACACAGGACAAAUAGCAAGUCAAUGAGAACAAACCUCUUUUCUUCAAAUUUAAUCUUUAUUAAUUUGAUUGCUGGAUGGUUCUAACACAAAAUGUAAGUGGUUUGAAAAUUCUGCUAAAGCCACUCAAAUGACAAUAUAGUGAACUUAUAAAUAUAUUCUAGGAUUAAGUGAGCUUAAAAUCUUCUUCCCUACACCUAUUGAGUUUAAACUACAUAGGACAAUUGGAAAAGUGGACAAGAUGUAUGAAUUCAAUGGAAAGAAACUACAUAGGGCAAUUGGAAAAGUUAUAAAUUCAACUACAUUCACCAUAUACUAGCUAACAGAUAUUGGAAAUUCAAAUUCAAUUCCAAAUUCCAAUCAUUUUCUCCAAAUGCAGAUGUCAGAUCCUAUAGAGUGGAACAAGCAAAUACCAUCAGGAUACUAUGUUCGCAACUCAAAAAUAUCACCUCAAGAAAGAAAAGAGAUCCAUAGGAAAAAGAACAUUCAUAACCAGAUAUCAAAAACACAAAGAAGCAGAAGCUUAAUAGAUGGGAUAUAAGUCAAUCUCUUCCUCCCCUUUUAGCUGAAGAACAAGGACGGAAUUAAUUUAGCAAGAGUACUGCCCUAGACUCAUUGGCAUUCUGGACAAUGCCCAACAACAUCAUACCCACAACAACCCUCUUGAAGACUAUCCCAAGCCUCCCGAGCUUACAACUCCAGAAAUAGAGAACCAUAUAGAAGGAACCUAUACUACUGUAAAAAAGAUGAGUUAUUUUGAACUACAUCUUUCCAAAUAUAUCCCUCUCUUUUCUAUUUCAUCCAUUUGAUCAAAAUAUCAAAUUCUAUCACAGAAAUUUACAUAUCAACUAUAACUUCCAAUCAAAUGCAUAUGUUUACAUAUAUGUCAAAUUUAAUUCCACACAGAACCCUAACAUAACGCGCUUCUAACUUCCUCUGAUUUUCUUAUGUUCACAACUAAACCAUCCAAGGAUUUAAGUGUCGUGACAUAGGUUUGUACUGAGAACUUGCCGGUAUAGUACGGCAUGGUGUGCACCGAGCCAUGCUGUUGUUUGCCGAUGACACAAUACCAGUGUGUCGUCACACUUAGGCAUGAAAAAGAAAAAGAAAUUUCUUUUUGGCCCCAGUAUAUUCUAAUUUCUCUUAUAAUAUCUUUGUCAAAUAUCUUGUACUACUAAUUUCAAGAAAAAAAGAUUUUGAGCUGUGUCACCAUUAUAGGGGUCGUAUUGUGCUAAUAUCUUGUCAGCCUAAGCGUCAAGGGUAUGGACACAAGACACGAUGCGAUUCAGACACGGUGAUUCAGCAGCUCCAAAAAAAUUAGGACACGAAAACAACAAGAACACAGCUAAUAAAAUAUACUCUUUUACUACAACAAUAUAUAUUAAUUAUGUAAAAAAUAUUAAUAUUGAGAAAAUAUUACUAUAUUAUGUAUAAAAAAAUUAACAGAAAGAGGAACCCUAAUGUACAAUAAAUAUAACCCUAAUUCAAAAAGAAAUAUAACCCUAAUGCAAAAAAUAUAUAACCUUAAUUCAGAAAAAUAUUAUAAACCUAAUGCAAAAUAAAAAUAAAUAAAUAAUUAGUUGAAAAGUGAAAACUCUAAAUAAAAAAUAAAAAAUAAAAAAUUUUAAAAUUCUAUUCGAAGUUGUAAGGAGAGGGAUAGGGGGAGAAAGAGUACCUUUGAAAAAUCCCAAACCAUCUAAAAACUCAAGAGAGUGGGAAAAAGAGAGUUUCUGUUAGCGAAUAAAAGAAUAGAGAAAGAAGAAAGGAGGGGUAGGUGAUUUUUUUGGUUUAUGUUUUUAAAUUUCAUAGAAGCUUUUUUUUUCUUUUCUUAAAUCGGUCUUGGUAGAUCCCGCAUGUCGCAACGCCGCGAUGGUCGCGAAGUCGCGAAACGUCCAUUUUCCCUUUUUUACUGGGACGUGCAUCUAAUGCAUCCUUUACUCUUUUUUUUUUUUUCCUUUUCACACAAUGAGCCAUGGAUGUGCGUCGAUCAUGCAUUCCAAGUCGGACGUGAGUCCAACACGGACAUGUGAGAUUUUCCCGUCCGUGAUACCUCGUUGUCAGCACAGUACGACAUAAUGGCCAUCGCUCAUGCUAACGGGCACUUAAAUCGUCAAACCUAUUUGUUUUUCCUUGCUCUCUUACUAAUAUGCAAAUCCUAUAAUUUUUUUCUUAGCUUUUUUCCACCUGUAUGCAUAAGAAUGGUCGGAUAUCAAAAAAAUAAGAAACAUAUAUUUAUUAUAGAUUAAGCUACAGUAAUAUCUUCGUCUUUGACCACAGAUUUAUCUACAAUAAUAACUUUAAUCUCUUUAAUCUAUACAAAGAAUAAAAAUAUAUUUGACAAUAGAUUUUUUUUUACAUAUAAAACAACUUGCAUAGACAUAUUUAAUACAUCGAUUAUAAAUAUUGACCAUAGAUUUCUUCACUUUAUUUAUAUUCCAACUCUCUCUCCUAAUAACCUCUAAUCACGUAUACCCCAGUUUCAACAGAACUCCCCUCUCUCUCCACCGAACCCCAUACUCCUCUCUCACUCACAAUUUCUCGUUCAAUAUUCAUUUUUUUCUUACUUGCUUUUAUAUUCUCUCUAUACUUUAGCAUGACACCGCUGCUGACUUGUUUCAUUUAGCCCUUAUUUUUUUGCAUGAUGCGGCCACUACCUACUUUUGCAUAAUGUCACCACUACCUACUUUUGCAUAAUGCGGCCACCGUCGACAUUUUCAAUCUCAUCUGGGCAAGAUUACAAAUAUAAAAAAUAAAUUACAGAUAAGGUUCAUAUUUACUCUCUACCUCUUACUUCUAAUAGUUCAAUUAAUCCUCUCCCUAACUCCUCUUUUAUUUAUUUCUUCUCUAUAGAACCACUAACUUUGCUGACAACGUGAUCCAUUUAUUCAUGAACUAUCCCCAACCACUAACAUUUCAGCGACAAAAUGGUGCAACAACAUAUCCCUUUUGCGAGAUUCGUUUAUGCGACCAAAAUCCUAAAAAUUCAACUAAGGUUAGAUUGGUGCCAUUAAUAUCUCCCAGCAACAACUUUCCGUCAGAUUUAAACCCUAAGGCUCUGUUUGGCAAUGGAAUUAUGUCACACAGGAUAAAUUUUUUUAUCCUUGGUAUAUCUCAAUAUUCUAGAAUAGAGAGGAAUAACAAUAAUUUUUUGUUUGGAUUUAUAUUAAUUUAUACUAGGGUAUAAGCAAUAUGAUGUUUGGUUAAUUUCUUGAAAGAAGAGAAGAAUAGUGAAAAAAGUUAAAUGAAUUCUUUUAAAUGCCAAUUUUACCUUUAUGAAUGUCUCACAUUCAUAGCAUAUGUUAUAGAAUAUAAAUAUAUUUUCAAUAAUUGUACAAAGUAAUUUAUUAAUUAAUCAACAUGAUUAAGAAAUAAUCUUCAUUAUAUAUACACUAUCAAGUAUUAUUACAGUAAUUAAAUUUAUACUAAUAAUAUAUAUAUUAGUAAACACUAUAUAUAGAAAUCGGAUAGGAGGAUGGAGUAAAGUGGGGGUGCGGGGGUCGAGGCGUCAUAAAUAGAGGGUGCAUGGGUCGAGGCAUCAUAAAAAGUAGGAAAAAAAACUACUUAUUCAUUGCCCCACCCUUGAAUUCAUGAGGGAUGAAUUUUAUUCUACGGGUGGGGGAGAAUAUAAUUAACGGGUUAUUCCAAGAUCAACUAGAAUAACCCGCUUUGACUAGAAUAAAUUAUCCAUGGCAAAUUUUAUUUUGUUUGGAAGAAUAAUAAGGAUAAAAAGUGUUAUUCUUCAUAUAUUCCGUUACCAAACGGAGCCUAAGAAUAUAUCCAAUGGAAAAAAUGUUGUUGCAUGCACGACCUUAUUUAGCUAUUCAAAAAGAUGGCAUCCAUCGCAAAAAUCGUACAAUUGUCUACAACGAUUUUUGUGUAUCUCGCGACACCAAACAUUUGAGAGUUUAACUCCCUUGACCAAUGUAUGAGAUGCGCUAAUUGAAGAUAGCCAUUUGCUUCCACACUUUUCAGUUCAUACUAAAAGGAAUUAUUCCAUCUAUUAAAGGCUAAUAGCAAUUUUAUAAAAAGUUAACUAACUUGUAUAACUGAAAUAAUAAAGAUAAAAAGUCAAAGGCCCUAUUCUUUAUAGACCUAGUGUUGAUGACGUCUCCCUACACUUUUACUAUAAUAUAUAUUGCAUACACCAAACAAACUACUCACCAUCUAUGAAACUAUAUUAUUCCUCAACUCCUUAAACUCAUGGCUGUACUCCGUUUCAUUAGGCCCGUGGGUCCCACGCCCAUUUAACGCUCGGGCCCAUCACUAAUCAACCCUGGCUCGUGGGUCCCACGCUCAUUUAACACUCGGGCCCAUCAUCAAUCAACCCUGGCUCGUGGGUCCCGCUUCCAUCGAGUGGAAUUGGGAAUUAUUCCUCAACUCCUUAAACAUGUGGUCGUGCUCCGUUUCAUUAGAGCCGUGGUUCCCACGCCGAUUUAAUCUCGAGCCCACCAUCAAUCAACGCUUGGCUCAUGGGUCCUGCUUCCAUUGAUUACAGGGUUCCAACCUCCACUCAAUGGAUGUGCUUCGGUUCCUCCCCCACCUCCACUCUAGCUACCGAUUCAUCUCCGCAAGCUCUAUUGUCGUCCCCUCUCUCACCUCGACACUACGUCACCUAGGCUCAUCUUGGGGUCGUUGGCCCAUAUUGAAUCAUUGCUUCCCUAUUGUAAUCGAUGUCCUCCAUUGUAUUGUCGUCACCUCCUAUCUCCGCCUUCUCCCAUAGCUCAGCUUCUCCGAUAUUGUCUAGUCAAUGUACAGUCGCCGCAGUACCCUUUUUUGUAAUGUUGGCUUUUGAUUUUUGUUGUGUACCUUAUUAAUGAGCAUGCUAUCCAUCCUCGAGUUCGGCAGCGCUCUCUCCUUCCCCUCUGCUGUAUCUGCAUCAUAUCACUCCUCUGGACUGGCACUGCCGUCUUUCAUGUUUGCGGUUAUAUAAGGGAUCCCUCCAUCUUUGCUGCCCCACCAGCAUCUGUUUCACUUCCUGCUUCAUCCCGACCCACACUGUUACGCUGCUUCAUAUGCUUGGCUCCACCUACGGCUUCUUUUGCUUUGGUUUGGUCCAACGAUGCUCCUGCUAUAUGUUUCUGCCCACUACUUGUGGUGGACCUUUUUCUUCUACUUUGUUGAUCCUUUUUUGUGACACCCAUUAGUCCCACAUCGGAUGGAAAUGGAGUUGUCAUUGGAUAUCUAAGAGGACUCCGCCCUAGUAAUAAUAAUUGGGCUUAAGCAUUUUGAGCCCGUGGUUUUGGCCCAACUAAUUAUUAUUGCUAGCAAGGUCGGGUCGUUACAUUUGGCAUCAGAGUCGAUUCACCAACCGGAAGUGUAAGAUGAGUCUUGGCUGAACCAGGGUCGAAAUAACAGACUAAGUCAAGGUUGGUGAAUGACAGGCUAAGUCAGGGUCGGUGAAUGACAGGCUAAGUCAUGGUCAGAAUGACAAGGCUAGCGAGACGAGUCUCACAUUGCCUGGUGAUCUUGGGUUGUGUGUGUGCUUAGGGCUGACGAGAACCUCAGGACCUAAACGGAGAGAGUAUGUAACACCCCAUUAGUCCCACAUCAAAUAGAAAUGGAGUUGUCAUUGGAUAUAUAAGAGGACUCCACCCUAGUAAUAAUAAUUGGGCUUAAGCAUUUUAACCCAACGAGUUAUUAUUCCUAGUAGUCGGAUCGUUACACUUUUAUUGCCAGGUGUUGAAAGAGCCUUCGUCAACCUCUUCAACGUUCGUGCUCGUAGAGGGAGGAGUUCCGAUCGUACCUUAUCGUGGUGUUUCCGGUUAAUCCCGCACGAAUAACAGGAAUACGCCUUAGGGCAGUGCUACGCAGGCUUCCGGAUCAGUUAUUUUUGGCUUCCUUAUUCAGCAACUUUUUUUGGAUUUUAGCACUCACUUGUAAGUUGAUUUUAUUAAUUUUUAUCACAAAAUUAGUAAGAUAAUUAAUCAGAAUCAGAUUUUUAGUGCAGUUUUCCUGACAAUCUAAGACAUAUUUCUUCCGAUUAGAUUGUGAUUAAAAAUCUAACAAGUGCUAAUUGGAAGGGGAAAUAGAAAAAUUCCAUACUGUAUAUAAUUUUGUUGACAUCUUAUUUGUAUGAUUGACAUACAAAUUUAAAUAAAUUGGGAUUAGCAUUUUAAUAUCUAAUUGCAUAUAGUUUACUUGCAAAAAAAAUUUCAUAUUUUAUUUGCUUUCUACUGUUAUUUAAAAAAAAUUAUUGCAAUUAAUAUAUAUAUAUAUAUAUAAUAUAUAUAUAUAUAUAUAUAUAUAUAUAUAUAUAUAUAGAGAGAGAGAGAGAGAGAGAGAGAGAGAGAGAGAGAGAGAGUAGGUCUUGUGUGCUAUUAGGAACACGGAGGCCUCCGUGCACCUAAGCCGUUUUCGAUGAUGGAGCUUCCGAAUCGACGAUCGGCUCCGUUAGGCUUGAUCUAGCGUAUUUAAAGUAUCUAGAAAAUAAAUUUUGUAAUUUUUCGAUAUCAUUUACCUAGCGAGCGAAAGGGAUCAAAAUCAACCAUUUUUAAUGGUUGAUGUUUACCGUUUGCAAGUUUAACGGUUUAGAAGCAUCCAAAUCAAAUAAAUUUUGAUAGAAAAUUCUUUAUACUAUCUACAGAAAGAUCAAUAUCUCUGAUUGAAAAUUUUAGUACUAUAUCAACACUUUUUGUGAGAUUUUUAUUUUCAGCCGUUGAUUUUGAACUCUUUCAAUCACUAGGUAAAUGAUAUCGAAAAAUCGCAAAAUUUAUUUUCUAGAUACUUCAAAUACGCUAGAUCAAGUCUAACGGAACCGAUCGUCGAUUCGGAAGCUCCAUCAUUGAAAACGGCUUAGGAGCACGAAGGGCUCCGUGCUCCUAAUAGCAUACAAGAAUCUGUAGACUGUAGGUCUUGUGUGCUAUUAGGAGCACAGAGCCCUUCAUGCUCCUAAGCCGUUUUCGAUGAUGGAGCUUCCGAAUCGACGAUCGGCUCCGUUAGACUUGAUCUAGCGUAUUUGACGUAUCUAGAAAAUAAAUUUUGCGAUUUUUCGAUAUCAUUUAUUCAAAAUCAACAGUUGAAAAUAAAAAUGUCACAAAAAGUGGUGAUAUAGCACUAAAAUUUUCGAUCAGAGACAUUAAUCUUGCUGUAAAUAGUAUAAAGAAUUUUAUAGCAAAAUUUCAUUUGAUUUAAAUACUUCUACACCGUUAAACUUGCAAACGGUAUACAUCAACCAUUAAAAAUGGUUGAUUUUAAACCCUUUCGAUCGCUAGGUAAAUGAUAUCAAAAAAUCACAAAAUUUAUUUUCUAGAUACUUCAAAUAUGCUAGAUCAAGUCUAACGGAGCCGAUCGUCGAUUCGGAAGCUCCAUCAUCGAAAAUGGCUUAGGAGCACGGAAGUCCUAAUAGCACACAAGACUUACUCUAUAUAUUAACAAUUUUUUAAUCAAUUUCUCUACAAAACUCUUUUUUGUUUACAAUGUGAAGGGGUUUUGUUUCCGAAAUCUCUAAUGGUGGAUGUUUAAAAUUUUUUGUAGGAUUCGAGUUUUUUAAUGAAAAUUUUUGUGAAGAAGGGUUUGCUGGGCUCAAAAUAAUUUUCUUUCCAUUGUGAGCAGAAACAUAGGUAUUGGGUCGUCCAUAGUGAAUGACAGACAUAUCAUAUAGCCAUGGUCUUCCUAAAAGAACAUGAGCGACGUCCAUAGGAAGGACAUCGCACCAAAUCUGGUCGAAGUAGGUGGCAAAAUGAUGUGGAACCAAGCAACGCCAUUUUACCAACAUAGUGGUCUUGUCUACCCACGCAACACAAUAAGGGUUAGGGCGAGGCUCUGUUUUCAAGUUUAAACGACCUACAACGGCUUCUGAUAUUACAUUAAUGCAAGUACCACCAUCAAUGAUAACCUUGCAACUCUUGUCUCCACAUUUCGUAUAGGUGUGAAAUACGGAAGUGCUCCUCCAAUCAUUCUCUUUCCUAGGUCGGGUCAAAAUACAACGCAUGACUUGUAAGGUGACGUUUUCUUCAAACUCCUCAUUCGAUUCCAACACCUCUUCAUCACUAAGAAUUUCAUCGGUUGUGUGUGCGACUUCCUAAGUUUUCCAACUCAUCGCUAUCCGGCUGAACAAACAUGUUCCGUUUGGAGCAUUCAUAAGCGUAAUGACCCAUCCGACGACAGUUAUAACACCUACCCUGUAUGUUCCCUUGUUUAGUGCCGUUUAUAGCUAAACCCUUGCCUUUAGAAUCGGAAUUUUGAUGAUUUUGAAAAUUAUUCGCUUUAGUAACAUUUGGAUUUGCGUUAGGCGUAUUGAAUUUUCCAACAAAUCGUCGAGCUAGUGUUUUUAAAUAUUUCUCAUAUAUUAAGGCGAGUUGAAAAGCUUGCUCAACCGUUGCGGCCCUGUGCGGCACAAUUUCGCGCUGUAACUCCUCGCGCAACCCGUGGCAGAAUUGCGAGACAGUCUAUUCCUCUUCUUCUUGAAUAUCGCAACAGACGUUCAUCUCGUCAAACUUGCCCAUAUAAUCAGCAGCUGACAGAGAACCUUGCCACACAGUGUUCAAUUGAUCGUACAAUUGCUCUUUGUAUGUAGAUGGCAAGUACUUCUCUCUCAGUUUAGCCUUCAUCUCUGCCCACAAAGUGAUGAGCUCCUGACCAAUCCACUCGAAGUGUCUUUCAACACCAAUCCAAUAUUGCUUGGCGUCGCCGAUGAGUUUCAUUUUAGCAAAACGAACUCGUCGACUAUCAGACAUUUCAGAUCAGUAGAAGUACGGGUCUAUGUUGACGAGCUAGUCUGUGAAUAAUUUCAUAUCAAGUUUUUCGUCAAAAAUGGGUGCAUCAAUUUUAACCCUUUUUAUGAUGUCAUCUUGAAAAUUAAAAUUUUCGUUUCCUUGGAAAAGAGGAUUGAGUCUCGGGGGCAUUUGUUCAAAGACAUUUCAAACAUUGAUAUCACGUGGUUGUGCAGUGUGUGCAACAGAUCCCUAUUGUUCUACUCCUAUAACAUCAUUGUUUUGUGUUGUGACCCUAUCAGGAUUCGUUUCCAGCCUUCCAGGUUGGUAACACGGUUCCCUAUGUCGUCUAGUUUGGCGUUCAGAACGGCUAAUUGCUAUAAAAUUUGUUCCAUUGUUGCAAGGUCUGAGGACAUCGGUGCAGUUUGAUAAAUCCUACCACUUCUAAGGUUCAGUCAUUAACUUAGUGCUCUGAUACCAAAUCUGAUGUAGGAUGAAUGUAAACAUGAAAUAUUUGUCUUGAAGCCGAGUGGCUCAAGAACCUAUUGUCAUCAAUUCCUUUGAUUACUUCUCCUAUUCCACCUAUUUCUAUUCAGUGUAACUCUCGAGCUGCAAUUGAUUUUUGUAAAAUGAAAUUAGUGAAUUCUAAGGCUAAUAGACAUAUUAAAUUGAGGCAGAAGUCUGUUAGAUGACUAACUUCUCAUGAUGUUAUUUCUUUGAGCUUUAUCAGAACAGAAUCUUGCAGAUUGUUUGACAAAAGGCGCAUAAAGGACUAUUAAGUCCUAGAGUCAUCGAGAGGGAUGGGACUUUGCCAAUAAAGGGCCUUCCUGCAGUGAAAAUCCAAUCUUUGUGAUAGGAGACCCUUUGAAAAAGGUUCAAUGUGGUAAAAACAAGUUGUGUCAGGUUAGCUAAAGAGCAUUUCUACAAUCUAUAUAAAAAAGGAGCUUUAGCUCCAAUCCCAUCCUUAUGGUGAGUAAUACUCCAUGUAGUGGUUGAGAUUGAGCUUGUAGCUCUUAAUUGGAUCUAAGGCGGUAAUUUCUGCGAGAUAUGACUCUACACACAUCUCUAGAGGAAACCACCAAUAUGAGAGUAUCCGUAUAUGACCACGGCUAUGAGAUAUGGGCUAUCUGUAGAAACUCUUAUGUAAAAUCAAGAUAUUGUCUAUGGCCUUCAACGCACCGACCCACGACGGAGAAUUUUAUACUAUGUGUGUGGUAGUUGAAGUUAAGGUCAAUGGAAUGUAGUUCAAGACCUGAUUCACUCCGAUUCCUUUUGAUGAAAACUGCUAACACUAAGUGUAGUUAAGUCUUUUAAAGACACCUCGCCUAUUACAUAAUAUAAACACAUGAUGAUUUAUUUAUUUAUUUAUUUUGUGUUUAAUUUUUAUUUCAAAGAUUUUGAAUUUUGUGAGGGAUUGUUCUUAAAAAAUUCAAUAUCCCCUAAUUUUCAUUAUCAUUUUAUUUAAUUUAUUUUAUUAAUUUUGUUUAUUUAUUAUUAUUAUCUAUUUUAUUUAUAUAUUUAUUUAACGUUGCUUUUCGCGCAAACGUUGCGGCUUCUGCUCCAUAUGUGCCCGCUCCAUGAGAGCACGCACAAGCGCCUUUUGCGCACCGACUACCAACGUUCCAUGUGGAACGUUGGGAGCAAUGUUUUAAUUUCAUCCAGUAUAUGUAUACAAGAUGAACUCUUGGUUUUUCAAUUCUUAUAUGACAGAGUCCCUUUAAAGGAAAAAUUUUUUUUUGGAGAGUUGACUAUUCUAAUAUUUUCUUCUACUUCGUUUGAUCCUUUUAUCGCCAGGUGUUGAAAGAAUCUUCGUCAACCUCUCCCACGUUCGUGCUCGUAGGGGGAGGAGUUCCGGUCGUACCUUAGGGCGGUGUUUCUAGUUAAUCCCUCACAAAAGACAAGAAUACACUAUAGGGCACUACUACGCACGCUUCCAAAUCAAUUAUUUUUGGCUUCCUUUUUUAGCACCUUUUUAUGGAUUUAAGCGCUCACUUGUAAGUUGAUUUUAUUAAUUUUCAUCACAAAAUUAGUUGGAUAAUUAAUCCCAAUUGGAUUUUUAGUGAGGUUUUCCGAACAGCUACUUUGUUCUUCGUCUUCUUUCACAGAGUCAUCAAUUCACAAAAUAUUCAUAACUAUAAAUUUAUUAAAGUAAUCGAUAGCUUAAAUUUUAUAUCCGAAGAGUCAUCAAUCCACUUAAAUCAAAUAAAUUGAAAGGAUGGAUACUAAAAUUAAAAUUUUAAAAGAUUAGAUAGCAGAAUCAAAAUGUUCUAUAGUUCCGGCAAGUUUUAUACAUUUUUACCUACAAAUAUCCCAAGUAAUGAAUUGCACAUAGAAUUACCGUGUGUUUUGCGUUAAAAGAAAAUGAUAAUAAUAGUAAUUAUUAAGCCUGAAAAAAAAAAUGUCGACAAGAAGAAUAGAAAAUAGAGGAAAAGAGCAAGAAGGCAAUUGGCCUUACUCGGUGCCCUUGAGGCGAAGGAUGCGGAACUGCUCGGGCGAGAGGAUGGCUCUCCACUCCUCCUCGGAUUUCUGAACUGAGCCCGGCGGCGACGACGACGACGACGACGACGACGACGAUGACAUGGACACGACCAUCACCCUCCUGCUGCUCGGAGGAGAGAAGCCCCCCACUUUUCUCCCAAGCCCACAAUAAUGGAGAGAGGAGCUGAACUUGGAGGAGGAAGAGGAGGAGGAACGGGCGGCGUUUGUGACGGAUUUGGGGAGGAUUUGGAGGGAAGUGGCACGGAGAGAGUGGGCUGCGACGGGGCUGGCAGCGGGGCGGGGCGCCGCCAUCCUCGACAGUUGGUGGACUGCCAUCCUCUGCCCUUCUUGUUAACUCGCCCGUUCCUCUUCGUUCGUCUAUUUCCCACGGACCGCUCUUAUUCGGAUGCAGCCCCGACUCCCGAAUUGCAUGGUUCAAAAUAACGCCCGUCAUCGCUCGAGCGAGAAGAGCGAUUUUCCCGAUGUGGGCAUAUCCAAUGUAUCUAUCGGCUUUAAUCGGCCUAGAUUUCGAGAAAGUAAUUUUCACAUGGAUUAAUUUUAGUUUCGAUAAUUAAGCUUGAUUAAAAGUUGUAGAGUGUUUAUUUAAGGCUAGCAGAAAAAAUAAUUUUUUUGAAGUUGUUUUAUUAAUCUGCUUUAACAGAAAAAUUUUUCUAUUUGCAAAUAAUAAUUUUUGUAGCUGAAUUUUAUUUUAAAAUUUGAGUUCAAUAUCUGAAUUUGAUUCUAAAAAUUUUAAAUUUUAAAUCAAAAGUGGAAUUUUAAAUUUGAUAUUUAAAUUUAAAUUUUAAAUUUUAAAAUUUAAAGUUUAAUAUGUAGAAUUUAAAAAUUUUAAUUUUAAUUUUAAUAUGCAGAAUUCACAAAUUUUAAAUUUUAAAGUUUAAAUCUAAAAUUAAAUUUUAAGUGGCUAUUUAAGGCCUGUUUGAUCUAACUAUGUGGAAAUAGUGUGGUUGAAAAAAAUACUGUUCGAAAUAGUGAAGGUGCUUUUAAAAAAAACUAUAUAAUAGUGUUGAUGGCCGAAUUUCCUAAUACUUUGACCCUCCUCGGGAAGCGUGUCGAAGUGGAAAUCGGCUACUGAUCGUGACCCUCGAAGUUUGCGCCCACGACGGGUCAAGCGAUUCGACCGAUGAGGGAUCAGAUCGGCCGGGUCCGAAAACCUCCUUAAGUAAAUUCGCUUCGGCAAAAUGAGCCGAAUGAACAGGUGGGGCCUAUAUUUCGGCUGAGAGAUGAACCGAAUAGUCAGGACAAAAACGAGAUCUGGUCGGCCUGAGGAGCCGAAAACGACUUUUCUAUUAAUAAGAAGGGAGUGAUGCCCGGAGGGCAGACAGACUCCGAAGUGUACAAGGGAGUGAUGCCCGGAGGGCAGACAGACUCCAAGGCGUUUACAAUGAAGUGAUGCCCGGAGGGCAGACAGACUUCACAGAGGCUAAGUUACAAGCACUACUCCUAGUAAAAAGCGAGGAAAAAUAAAGGUGGUCUCUUGUGCGCAGGGGCGAAGACCCCUUUUCAGGGUACUACAAGUCUAUUUAUAUAUUUUCCCCUUGUGUUCAGUUAUUGCACGAUCGGCCAUCUUCUCCGGAUUGGAGGACCACGUUCGGCCGAUUGGAACUGCCAUUGGGAACUGCCCAUAACCGCUUACGGUUGUCACGUUUUUCAAACAAACGCAGUUCAUAUCUCCUGGCGCGUUUUCCGUGCUCCCGAUCCAGCGCUAUCCUGAAUAUGAACUCAGUGUGCCAACUGUCUGCGCCGGAUUGGUUCAACAAAUAGUGUUUGGCUAAUUUUGUUAUAAAAAUAUUAGUCACUGUGGAAAGAUGUUUGGUAAAAUUUAGAUAAAUUAUUAUAAACUAAUAUAAAAAAAUAUAAUAAAGAUAGAUUUAAUUAAAUGGUCCCAUUAAUAAUUUUAAAUUAACAGUCCCUAAUUUUUCAUGUUUUAAAAUUAAAUGAAUUGGUAAAUUAAAUUAACACUUUUGUCAAAAUUUCAAGAAUUUCAUAAAUUUAUAAUUUUUAACUGCUUUUUAUCAAACAAAACUAAGACAAUUAAUUCCUGAUAUUUAAUAAACUUAUUAUAUUCAAUAUUAAUUUUUAUUUAACAAAAAAAAUAAUUCAAAUUAAAAAAUUAGAAGUUCAACCGAGUUAAUUGUGAGUAAAAAAUUAAAAAUAUUGGAAACUGUUAGUGCCACAAAAAUUGCGCCACGUGGUAAGCCGGGAUGCACCGCGGAAAUGGCUCCCAAAGCCAAACAUAAAAUGACAUGUGGUGCACCAGGAUUUGAGAAGAAUGCACCCAAAAAUCAAAAAUCGGUUAGAGUUGAUGCAAUUAGCAUUGGCUAAGAGUGACCCGCAAAAAUAGGGAUAUGGUCGAUAGUGAGAAAUAACUGAAUAAGUAACAGAUAAAACUAUAAAUAGUCAAAAGACGCUUGAAAAAGGGUCUUUCCCCCCUAAGAACAAAAAGACCAAUUUAUUUUCGCGCACUUUUCUGCUUUUCUAGAAGUAGCCUACUUGUAAUUUCUCUUUCCCUUGCAUUUCUUGCUUUUCUAGUAGUUCUAAGUUAGUUUCCGUGAAAAUCAAACGCCUUAGCGGCACCUACCUUUCUGUAAACGUUCUUCUUCUUCGGUAAUAUAUAUUCAUAUCAUUCAGCUCAUUUCAGCCAAACCGAAUAUACAGUGUAGCAUUUGAACUCGGCUGAUCAGAUCCUUUAUCGGCCGAAUCGCUUGAUUCUUUUGUAGAUGCAAACUUCGAGGGUCACUAUCAGAAGCCACUCCACUUCUUUACGCCCUUCCCGAAGGAGGGCAUUUGACCGAGUCAACGGUCCAGGAGUUCAAUUCAUUACAAAUACCUUGAGCAGCAUUAAUUACUCGUAUUUAACCUAUGGACCGAUUGUCCUAUGUUCGCAAAUCGUCCGAAAUGGGGCUUUCAAUGCUGUUGUCACCGAGAUUGUAAAGUAGAGUGUAAGAGAGAUAAGAAGGACCUUUUAAUUCAGAAGAUCCUUGACUGCUACUAUCAUCACCGAGUGGGAGAAAGGAUGAGCCGAAGGAAUUACCCAGAGAAGUCCUUCGGCAUCCAGCAGAGAUAUUCAGAAAAUCGACCUAAUUGGCAUCAUCAGAGUAGGCCAAGACCAGAGCCAGAGUUUGAAGGAAUGACCGAGGGUGAUAUAGAAUUCCUCGGUCGAAGGUUGGCUAAUGAACUCAGCAUCUAUCUAUGGCCGAGACCGUGGGAGUGACGAGAAAUCCUGAGAGAACACCUCAGGACCGUCAAGAUACCUGUCACACCCCACGACCCGCCAAUUUGGUCAGAUCCGGGCACAUCGAACAGACGCCGGACGGACAGCACCUCCCCUGUCCGCCCAAGGCUAAACAACAACAAUAUCAUGUACAAGAGUUGCUCAGGAAAAACUCAUUCAAUAUACACGAUACAUGAAAGUGUAAGAAGCACCACAAGUGCGAUACAAUUAAGAGCAAGAAUUACAAGUAACAUACAAGUGAAUAAAGAGAGACGGUUCUAGCUAUUAUAUCACAUUCAAUAUUUACAUACUGAUUUACAUUUUGACUGCAUUCUUUUCAUCUACCAAAAUGAAUACAUAUUCUUCUCAUAAUACCAAAUGGCUCUCCAACUAGCACCCUCACCAAUAUACAACACAUAUCACUCAUGUACACGAGAGUACUCUAAUGCAAAAUGGAAGCCGCUAAGUAAUUAGGGUGCUAUGCCCUUACCGCGAUCAACUGCCGGUACGCUCUCGCUAGGCCCUGCAACAAAGUGGGGUGAGAACUAUAUAAAUAUAGUUUCCAGUGGGUUCGGCCGCCGACUCCGCCGAUCUUCCCAUUAGGUCUAAGCAGGUAUAAACAGAUAGAUAGAUAGAUAUGAAAUUGAAGUGCAACAUAGUAAAGUAAUCUGCAACAUUCUACUAUGCCUUCAAUAAUCCAAUUCAUGAGCUACUAAAUAGUAUGCAAUCUACAACAUGCUACUAUGCCUCAAUAAUCCAAUGCAUGAGCUAUUACAUAGUAUGCAAUCUAAACAUGCUACUAUGUCUCAACAAUAAAAGAAAUGAGGUACUAUAUAGUAAUGUAUUCUACAACAUGCUACUAUGCCUCAAUAAUCCAAAAGGAACGAGCUACUACAUAGUAUACAAUCCACCACAUGAUACUAUGCCUCGAUAAUAAAAUCUCAUGGCUAACCCGAAGGUUACUACCCAAGGCCAACUCGAAGGUUGCUACCCCGACUCACAUCUCAAAUCUCACUAGUAGGGAGACUUUGCGCUACUCCAACCCGAGACCCUUCUACGGGACAACUAUGUCUGCCCCAACGCGACUACUGCUCCGAAGCUCACUACUUGGGUGGACCGACCACGCCAAGGUUACACAGACUAUGUGAGUAUGAUCCAAUCCCCUCACUGGGGAAUACCCUGUCUAAUAGGGUCAUAAUGCCUCUAUUGCACAAACUCAAUGUCCACAACACGACAAUCGAGAAUCUACUAUCCCUAGGUUCAAAUGCCAUAGUGUUCUGCCACACUAGAUUCGAAUGCCACUCAUUAUGUCAUAAUGUUGUAAGUGUCUCACUACACUAAGUCGACAUGCCACUCGUUCUUGUUAUAGUAUCUCUACUACACUAGUUCAAUGUCGCUUGUUUUCAUCAUCACAAGUCCAAGUUCAUCAUCAUUCUUGCCACUAUAGGAUUCAUGUCACAAGACCCAAUCCUCAUGCAAACCUAAGUUCAAGUGUCAAGCCCACAAUGCUACACUACCUAGGAAACAUGCAAGGAAAUGGAAAUGCAACCAUCCACUAAUCCUAUAAUGCACAAUGUCAAUAUAUGAAUAUGAUCAAUAUACAAUUUAGACAAAAAGGAAGCCCGGUUGCUUCGGGAUGGACACCCCCCACCUUUAGUUGAUGCCACGAGUCCACGAAUCCGAUCUCGUGAUUUUUGGAAGCCUACGCCGCGUGCUGCGGCAAUCUGUACCGAAACAGGCCUUUUCGCCAAUAUCUUCGCGUAUCUUCGUCGGAUUGCCGAACCGACUUAGCCAACGCGUUAAAAUACCUAGCAAUUAGGUUUACAUAGGUUCAAUUUAGAUCAAACCCAUAUAUUUACAAAAACCCCAUUUGGUACCCUAAAAUAAAACCAAUGCAAGAAUCCACCAUUAACUCUCUAGAUUCAAGCAAUAAACAUCUACUUAGCACCCUAGGGUUCCAAAAAAUCCAUUUCUAAGCAAAAGAACUUAACCCUAGAGAUCUACCAUUGUUGAGCAUCAAGCUUACCUCAAAAGCUAGCUCCAACUCAAGGAAGAAGAUGAAGAGGAUCAAGGUCCACUCCUUAGCCUUCUUCUCCACCAAUCCCUCUCCUACUUCCACCUUGAAGAGAGAGAGAAAAAGAGCUUAGAGAGAGAGAGGGAGAGUUUAGGGUUUUGGAGUAUGAGGGAGUGAGAGAAGAGAGCUCUAACCCACUCUUAAAUAACCCCACUUACACACAAUUACUGAAAACCCCCUCCACUUGGCAAACUGUGCACAGCCCAAACUGGGCUAUUUUCGAGUACGGGGACCGGUCCUUGGCUUCAGGGACCGGACCCCGUAGGUCCUCUCAGCCCAGUAAUUAAGAACUUUGCCAAAUUUCAGCACUUUUCAGCUUUAGCCCGUUUCUUCUCCGUUUUCGCUCGUUUUUGCUCCGUCAGUCUCCGAUUCCUCUCAAAUCGCACCGAGACUCCUAAAACAUAUUUUCGAGCGCGUUUAAACCAUCUUUCCAUCCACGCUUAUGCCGGAUUUAGUCCACAGUCCAACAUAGCCUUUCGGGUUCCAUUUUCGCGCCCAACGCGCACCGAAAACGCCCAAAUGCUCCCGAACUUCGCCAGAAUCAUUCCAAUGACUUUCCAAACUAACAUACACCGUAACUUCAUAACGAUAAAAGUUCGGUAUGUCACACCCUCCCCUUCUUAAAAAGAUUUUUCGUCCUCGAAACUCAAAUCACUCCCUAAUUCGAGUUAUCGAGCAACAGAGGGUACCAAUGCACUUUCCCACUCCAAAGUGGCCUUACACUCAUCAGAACUGUCCAAAGGCCCACUACGGAGGAUGUGAGACCAUCCUCACACACAUUUGCCAUGCACAACACCAAAAGUGCAUUACGGUUCUGCAAGUCUCGGUAGCAGUGUAAGUCGACGCUCGACGACUCUACACGCUCCAACACCACUCGCUACCGAAUCUUGGGAACACACUUUGAUUCGAUCACCGGCAUUGCUUAGAAGCAAUAUCGUUGGUGACUCGAUCAAUCGCGAGUGCUCCAAUCAUAACUGGGUCUUUGCUCUACUACGAGAUGGCACACUCCGGCACAUCUCCGAUGUCAAUCCUCCAGAGAGCAUUAUCCUCAACCUCGCAUGGCUAUCUAUUAUUCAAGGGUCUCCUAAAGACCACAUUAUUUUCUUUCUCAAACCGCCACGGCUAAUAUCAAUUUGUUCUUGCAACGAAUUCACACGAAUGCUCUGUUCGUGAAUCCAAGCCAAACUCAUCAACAGAGUUAUCGGCCUAACCGCUCACCUCGGUUUCCACAGGUAGAUUACCGGCCACCAACUCUACGUAGGCCUACUGCCUAAACUGUCUCGAUACUCGCAACGUCUCUCGCUCGCAAGCGUAGACCCAAUCAUGAUUGGGUGAAAUUCUCACUUGAAAAUUCGCACACACUUCAACCAGAAGCAACCAAGACCCCAAAUCACUACAAAUCAUCGGGUUGGGCCACCACCACAUCUAUGGUGCAUCAUCGAUCAUACGAUCCAACACGUAGCAUUCCACGGUCCCAGGUCUAAGCUUGAACUAUCGCCCCGACCAAAAUCUCUGCCCUACCGGUAGGGACCGGGCCGCUGUCACUCACAGCUGACUGCCCCUGCCCAAAGGGUCCAGGCUCCACAGUCCACAAAUGGUCCAGGCACGGGUCGUCCUCAAGCAACACCCGCCGUCGUCGUCCUACACGACACACUCUGCCGAGCUAUAUACUACUAGCUCCUAGGCACCUAGUGCGAGCUACCAGCCCUACGAGUGAUCUGUGGCCUGCUUCACACUUAGCAUCGCUGAAGUACUGCUGCAAACUCACUCUCUAGGCUGAAUCCACAUCCGCACUCCACGAGUAUCUACACUCGAGCGUCACAUGCUUCCUAUACUAAAUCCAGCAUCAGGCAACCUUGCCUAUGCACACCGGCCACACAAGCACGACUCACCUACCUCAAUUAGAGAUACUACUAGGCCCACGUGCUCGUACCCGGCAACUAAUUGGCUACUCUCACAACAGUGAUUCUACUUUCAUUAUUCGAUCUACCGGAACAACAUUCGAAAUGCUCGGACUACUAGGGUAUCUACAAGUAUCAUGGCUCAACUCUAGCAAUCUGCUGAUCACAUUGCCUUGAGAGUCGCUUCACCAUUUCCUCUCUACCACAAGUCUCAUCUCCUGUCCAAGAAUCAUCACUAGCAAUUUGCUAGUGCCGUCUAGCUCUCUACCUGCUCCAGCAGGCACUACACUCCCACACGCAAGCAUGCCUGGGUAUCUAUACUUACCCGUCCACCGGUCCCUACUAAACUAAUGCAUAAAUAGUAGCAACUGACCAUGACAAUGCAUGCAAUGCACCAACUUAAUAUCAUGCAGAAGUACAUGCUUGCUUCAAUUAACUCAUACCUGCCAUGACGUCGUCAGCAGCAGCAGGUUCCUCGACUUGAGCGGCAAACACCUAGCCACUCGGAGCCAACCGGGUCACCUCAAGCUGACGAGGUGCCAUAGCACGUCCAACUAAUGCAGCAGUAGGUGAAGCUCCUCCAUAAUGGCCCGGAGUCGUCGGAGCCGAUGCAAUAGACGGGGCAGGCGAGGGUGUAAUAUACCGAAAAUUCGGAAAAUAAAAAUGUCGAACUUUAGUCAAAUUGACCAAAGUGCGAGGAUGGAACACUUCGGAAAGUCCGAAGGUGUUAAAAUGAUCUAAAGUGAGUUGUGGAAGGUUUUCGAGAGCUAAAGGAUCAAAUUCUGCGAAACUGCAGAUUUUCAGCUCUCGGGGACCGGUCCCUGGUGGGAGAGACCGGUCCCCGAACGCGUAUGAAAUGAGACAGCCGAAAAAUCGGCUAGGUCCUGAGAAAGUAGCUCUCGGGAACCGGUCCCUACCCGAGAGACCGGUCCCCCCGAGACCGGUCCCAUCAGAGAGAGACCGGUCGCAUCGCGCGCAGCGGCUCUGGCUGCGUAGAGUGGACGUUCGGGAACCGGUCCCUGCUCGGGGAGACCGGUCCCUGCCUGCGCGAACUGCCCAGUUCGGGCAGUGUAUUAAAGUGAAAGUUGAGGGGUUUUAUUGCAUUUUUGCAACCCAUUGAGCUAUGUUAGAGGGUUAAUGAGAUUUUCUCUCAUUCCCACCCUCUCAAACACUCUCUUCUCUCCCUCUCUCUCUCUAGAAGGCAAAGGAGAAGAAGAAGAAGAAAGAAAGAAAGGAAGGAAAAGAAGGAGAGAAAAGUGAAGAAGAAGAUCAAAGAGCAAAGGAGCUUCAUCUUCUUCCUCUCUAGUGCGAGAAAAGGAAGUUUACAAGGUAAGCUUUGAACCCUAAUGUAGUAAACCCUACAGAAAUGGGUUUUGAAUGACCUAGAAAUGAGUUUUAGUGAAAUGUUUAAAGAGUUUUGAAGCUUUCUUUUGCUUCUAAAGAGAUCAAAACCUAGAUUUGUUAUAGAGGUGAGCUUGGACCACCUCUCAUGGUGAAAUCCAAACUAGGGUUUUGGAAAGCCUAAGAAUGGUUCUAAUGGAUUAUAUAGAGUAUAAUGGAGCUACUUUUGCUUCCCAAUGAGAUCAAACUAGGUUUUGUAUAUGCAUUGGAGCUAGGGCACCCAAAUUGGGCGCUUUUGCUCAUAGGGGUUUCUAAGUGCAAUUGACCCUCUAGAAACCUAAUUGGGGGUAUUUCCGACGCGUUGGUGCGCUCGGAAUAGCAUUUCGAAAAGUGUAUGUAAAGUUAUGGCCAAAUAAGCCUAAUUAGGCUUCUUUAUGCCGCAGGUAAAGAAAGAAACGUCUGAAAAUCCCCGAGAAAAUCGUCGGAGCACCUAAAGAGACCUACAAGGUGGUGUGCUUCUCAACUUAUUGAACUUCCCUCUAUGCCUAAUGUGUCAUUCUUUGAGCAUAUGUUCUAUAUAUUGUUGCACAUGCAUUUAGGUAAAGUAAUGAUGAAAUGUGAUGAUUGCAUGAUUGUGAGUACAACUGCAUAAUGAGAUGGUUUGAGAACCUGAUAAUGUAAAAACCUAUGUGUAUGCAUGAGAGAAAAGUGAGCACCCAAAGUGAGCAAAAGAACCGAGUGGCACAAUGACAUAGAUCGAGUGGCAUUCGAUAAAGCUAAUGUGAAAUGACACUAGAGUUAGUGUGAUGUAAAGAACUAAAGUGAUGUAAAAUGAGAAAGUGACAACGUGUAAAGUCAAAGUAAAAUGGGGCAAUAAGAACAAGAAUUGUAACGAACAGAAAUGCUAGAGUUAGCAAGAGAAAUGAAAAUGUAAAGAAUGUGAUUGCAUGAGUUUGCAACAUAAAGUGAUGUAAAGAACACUAGAGCUAGUGUAAAGUCAAGAUUGAACUUAUAAAUCCUUUGAGUUAAGGAUAUGAUCAUACUUGCUAUGAGUUCCGUGCUCGAGCGGUCGCUUCCCCUGGCGAUGGCGCUCCGGAGUUAUGCAUCCGGGUUGGAGUAAACCGUAAGGACGGUCCUAGCUGGUGAGUUCCUGCGAUGAUGGACUUAAUGUGAAGCAAGUUAAUGUGGAGAACCCCCGGGUUACCUUAAUGAUUAAAAGCAAAGAGUAAAGAACAAAGAGCCAAGAACAAAGUGUAAAGUGCAAAGAACUAAAGAACAUGCAUAACCUGCAUUUAGUAAUGUUGGGCAUAAUUCUUGCUAUUUUUCAGGCAUAUUAGCAUUAUGUAUAGUUUGGUUACUAUUUACAGCCUAUUUCUUCUAUUAUGCUGAGUUAGUCCUAGUAGGAAAGUCGGUGAUAGUUGAGGCCGAACCCACUGGGAGCUUUGUUGUAGUUCUCACCCCACUAUUUCCACAGAGCCGGGACCGAGCGAGCCGGCGAGCGACCGAGGUAAAGGUAUCGCGCCUUAGUCAGAGGCCACCAAAGUUGGGUUACAUUUUGUUAGUAGCUACCCCCAUGUUCAUCUUUUUGUACUUGAUGAUUAGUAAUGUAAAGAAAGAAUGUAAGCUUAUUUUGAGGUAAAUGUGAUGUAAGAAAGAAAUGAUGAAAUGAUAUAAUGAACGUAAGAAUCGAUAAAUUACUAGAUGAAUGCAAUGCAUAUGAUCUAAAAUGAAUCAUAAUUACCUGUGAAUGUUUAGUUUCCUUUUUUCUUUCACUAAUGGCUAUUGCUUACCCUCGUGUAAGCCGUUUGUGUAUGUUUCCGCUGUGCUUUUCUCUAUUGAUGAAAAUGUACAUGUGAUGAGCCUUGGCGGAUAGGGGAAACUCUGUCCCGUUCGCGUCUGUUUGACGUGCUCGGGUCGGGCCAAAUUGGCAUCGGUCCCGGGGCAUGACAGAUAAGUUGGUAUCAGAGCCAAUAGUGAAAGAAUAGGAAUGGACCUAGAGACCCUUAGGAUUGGAAGGCCUUAAGGAUCUAGGAAACGUGAGUGACGUGGAAUCAAAGUUAGCGAAAGCAUGUGAUUGGGUUAAGUUGGGAUGUCUUUAAUGUGAUUAGAGGCUAAGUUUAAUUUUCGUUUAUCCUUUACUUCUAGUGUUGUGCCGGGCGGCCGACGACAUGACGCUUGAGGCAAGGAUGAAUGUGCAUGUUGCUUUCGCCUAAUUGGGUAUGGUCAAGUAAUGUUGGUCAAGUGACUAAUGCGAGUUGCUUCUUUUCAGGAAGCAAUGGCACCUCGACGUCGAUCGCAAAUAAGGUCGAUGCCGGAGGAAGCAAAUGCGAUGCCCGAGCAAUCCGGAGCGAGUGGCGACGGAGAGCUUAGGGAACAAAUGGCCGCGCUCGUCGGAGUAGUGCGGCAACAAGCGGAGUCUGUUCAGCGCCAAGGGGAACAGAUUUAGCGGCUCCAGGAGACCUUGGAGCGCCAGUAGGCGGCGGCGGCCCAGGCGGGCGUCGAGCAUGUCGCGCCCCCUGCGGUAGUGCCGAGCGUGGACGUGGGAGCGGCGGCAGCGGCGGCUGUUCCAGUUACGGUAGUACCGGCCGGGUCGGGAACCUCGAAUCCCGAUAGCGCGGCAGUCGAUGCGGAGCGAGAGCGCACUCUGGCGGCUCUCAUUCAGUUCAAGAAGUUCGACCCACCUACCUUCGAAGGCGGUUUGGUGGAGCCAGCGGUUGUGGAGUCGUGGAUCGACUCGAUGGAGACCCUCUUCGAGGAUUUGAAUACCUUGGAGAAGGAUAAAGUGUACCUCGCCACCCAUUGUCUAGGGAAGGCGGCGACGGUGUGGUGGAAGCGAGUUAAGCGGGAUCGACCUGCCGAUCUCCCGCUCAUGCUUUGGGAAGAGUUCAAGAGAUCAGUGUUCGCGAACUACUUCCCCGACACGGUGAAGCGGAGGUUACAAGAAAAGUUCCGCAAGUUGAGACAGGGCGAUCGUUCGGUGGGAGAGUAUGAGCAAGAAUUUUCCCACAUUAUUGACUGCGUUCCCGAUGUUGUUCGCGAUGAUCGGGACCGGGCGGAUUGGUUCUUGCGAGGACUCCAACCCCGGAUUUAUGAAAAAGUGCAGAUCUUGAAGCUGUCGACCUUUGCGGAGGUCUUCGAUAGAGCUUUGUGGGCGGAGCACGGUAGCGCCCAUGUGCGUGAAGAACGAGAAGCUAUUGCCGAGUCCAAGGACAAGGGCAAGAAGAGGACGGCGGGUGGUGCCGGGGGCCGGCCAAAUGCUAAGAAACCCCCUCGGUAUCCCCGACAGCAGUCGAGGAAUUGGAGACCAUAUCGAUGCGUUAUAUGUGGCGGAAAGCACAAGGUGUCGACUUGCCCGCAGCGAGACGGCAAAUGCUUCAAAUGUGGCCAACCGGGACAUCUUAUCCGGGAGUGCCCGUCGUGGACGUCGUCUGCGCCAACGGCAGCAUCAACACCGUCUACCCCGAGACAGCUUGCGGGUUACCACCGGCGAUGUCGGCUGGACGCGCGUCAGCACCGCGUCAGCCGGAGGGAUCGAGAGCGCCUAGCGGUCGAGUCUUUGCCGCUCAGGUGGAGGAGCAACAACCUGCAGCACCCGACGACGUCGUGGCAGGUAUAAUUGUGAUUAAAGGCACUAGAGCUAGAGCCGUGUUUGACACAGGCGCAUCUCAUUCAUUCAUUAGCACUUCAUUUGCUAAGACUCAUGGCAUAGAGAUGGUGUACAAUGAGGACUACUGGUGGGUGAAUGCCCCAGAACAUUCAUUCAGUGUCCACAACGAGUGUUUGGCGUGUCCAGUGCAAAUAGGCGAUUGGAUUAUGCCGGUUGAUCUGCUAGUGCUAGAUUAGAUGUGGGAAUUUGAUGUUAUCUUGGGGACCAACUGGCUCUCACAAAUACGAUGCAGUGAGAAUUGUGAAAGCAAGGUAUCACUUUUCGUCGAACCUAAUCAACGAAGAUUUAGUCUACCAAGCGUGGCAAAAGUAGGACCUUCAGGGGCACUAUAUCGCUUAAGGGGAAGAAAAAUCAAGAGGAGUGUAAGGCUAUUUGCACCAUGUGGAUUCUGAAAGAGUACCACUUGGGAGAUAUUGAUAUGUUGCGAGUACUCUAUAUUUCCGGGAUCACCCAUGGACUUUGCACCGAAUCGGUGAUGAGUUUGUCAUUGACUUAAUUCCGGCGGAACUACAGUUUCGACUCGCUCUGUACGAAUGCAGCCAGUGGAGUUAAAGAGAGCUAACGAAGGUCAAUUACAGACUCCUAUCAUAAAAGGCUCUGUGAGACCGACGUGUGUCACUGGGGACUCGGCUGAGCUAUUGAAAAAAAGUACGGUACAUGGCCUUCCGACUCUCGUAGAUUUGAGAAUUGAAACAAUAGUAACGAUAACAAGAACAAGUACCUCACUUGCAGGAGAUAUGAUGAUCCUAAUUCGAUCAGUUGCAAAGGUCCAAGGUGUAUUAAGAUCAUCUCCAAUCGGGAUAUCAAUCAAUAAAAAUCAGGCCAAGAGGAUUGCACCAACGCAUACGGCGACCCGUCCGCGUAUAUGGCAUAUGAUUCACUUAUAUUCCGAGUUUGGGCUUACUAAUGCGACCAGCAGGCAUUUAUAGACUUUAUGAAUCAGUCUUUAGGGCCAGUUGUUGGAUGCGAGGUGCGUCGUGUGUUUUAUAGACGACGUAUGGCUACCUUCGACCAAGCGACAGAGUAGCAUGAAAGAGCAUCUGAGAGCUGUGUUCCAAAUAUCAAGACAAAGAAGACUCUAUCAAAAUUGAAGAUAAUGUGACUUUUGGCUAAAGGAGGUCCAUCAGUUCUUUGGUUCUGGGUAUUCUGGCGGACGGAGUUUCGGUAGACCGAAGAAAGUGAAACGAUGAACAUGAUUGGCCUCGCCCAACCGAUUAUCGGAGAUCCGCAGUUUUAUCUUGGACUAGCGGGCUACUACCACUUCAUCGGUUUCGUGAGGUCGCAGCAAACAUAACCACUCCACUAAUCAGGCCACCAUAAGGAUAAAUACGUGUGAUGCCGAGCGAUUGCGAUCGAAGACUUCGGAUUAAAGAACAUUGACGUCGCCCCUGUGUUUGCCUGCCGACUCGGGAGAUCUUUUGUAGUGUACAUGAUCUUCUAGUUGUCUCGGUUUGCUGUAUUAAUGCAAAUGGCGUCUACUUGCAUAUGCCUCGCUGCCAUUAAAGAUUACGACGAAGAACUUAUACCCGAUUCACACUACUCUUGAGUUGCCGCCCAUCGGUUGAAAUUCGAUUCCGCGCCUAAAAAAUGUAACAUAUAUGGUAGCAAUUGGUAGGUAUAUAGCUCCGCGAUCACUAAGAUCUCAGGAGUGACUACAAAAGAUUUAAAUAUGGGCUACAUUACGACGUGGUAUAAGUUCGUAAACGUGACUAUGAUUCACUAUAUAUACCACCUGAUACCACCCAUCGAAAACCAAUGUCUGCCAAGGCCUAAGUAGAAGAAUUCGCGGCAGAACCUAGCGACGGCAAUGACCCCAGCCGCUAUUACAAAAGCGAAUGCAACAUUCAGGAGUGAAGUGGUACUCCCGGAGUGCCGCUACCCUGCCACAUUGGUUGCAACCGACCCUAUUUGAAAAUAUCAAGAUUACAAGCUUCGACCAUUAUCUCCAAAAGUCUCGGGUGAUUUGAACAUGGAUAUGCGAAGACAUCUUGUCGUUGAGUUUUGGCGCAAUUAACGAUUUCGAAAAGAAUAGUUUUGCCUAAAGAUGAUGAUUAAAGGCGAAUCAUGCACAGAACCGCAUCAACUCCCUAUAGUGAUACACUCCGUCACUAAAUAAUGUACACAGCGAUUGAAAAGCACUAUUGUGGCCGCGGAUGAAAAGAGAUAUUGGGGAGUUCGUUGCCAAUUUUAACCGUGCCACAGGCUUUAAAAGCAAGCGCCGAUUCUCGGCGGGAAAGCACAAAGUCUACCAAUACCUCAGUUGGAAAAUGACAAGAUAUGAGCAAUGUACUUUGAUACCGUUUGACCUUGAUCGUCAAUGCGACACGACCGAUAUGGUAAUAAGUGAUCGAAUUUGACAAAAGUCGCACAACUUGUCUGCCGUAUACCGACCUGACGGGUCGGGAGACAGCUAGUCGCAAGUUUUACUCGAACAGAAGUUGUGAGACUUCAUGGGUCCAUGUUGAUCGGUUCGGAUACGAAGACUACGCCCUAGGUUCACACCCAGUCUUUUUAACGAGUUUGCAAGACGGCGCUAGGCACUAGCGCUCGACUUCAGUACAGAGACGUUUCUAUCCUCAGCAGUGUAUUAGACCAUACAGACGCGAAACAAUAACAACAUCCUUGAGAUUUACACUUCGGCGUUUUGUGCUAGAUUACACAGGAGAGGCUAUGACUUCUUGCAUAUUUCGAGUUCCUACAAUAAAUACUACCAAGAAGUAUAACGCGAUGGCUCCUUUCUGAGGCACUAUAUAGUUCGACUAAGUGUCGUCCGUCUAUCCAUUUGAGCGACGGGGCCGAGAGAACGACUCUUUGGCCCUUGUGUGCGGAGGCGAAAGACGAAAGUCCGCUUGCCGUCAACGUGCGAUGCGCAAUCUCCUUGCAAAACGAUUAUGCCGACAAGAGCCAAAAAGAUUUAAGUUCGCGUUGGGUACGUGUAUUCUUAAUAUGUCUCGAUAUCGGAGGAGUUAAACGAUUCCGGGGUCCGUGGAGUCGAAGCCUCCGUUAAUGUUGCGACCGUUUGAAGAUAAUUGGAGGUGUUGGGUGCGGAUGCGUAUAACUUCGCACACACCUGAGACUGCAAGGAAGAGUCAGCAAUGUUUUCAUGUCGAAUCUUCGAGAAGUAUACAUGCCAAACUGCAACACAUGAUUGAAUAACGAGCCGUGAUACUGAAGACAUUCCCUAUGAGAGCAGCCCGGUUUCCUCGAUCGAUCCGAAUAAAAAUUAAGAAUCGCAUCCAAAUCUUAUGUAAAAGUCAAUGGACAACCACCGCGCGCGAGAACCCUGGUGACUCGAGGAGUCAAUGUCAAAGAGUACCCGCAUUGUUAAAUGACGAUAAGGUUGCGUAAUUUCGACGACGAUAAUAUUUAAGGGGUUGGAAAAUAGUAAUCAUAUCCCGCGAAAAUUCGGUAAAAUAAAAAUGUGAACUUUAGUCAAUGACAACAGUGCGAAGACGGGAACACUGGUUCGAAAAAAUCCGAAGGUGUUAAAAUGAUCUAAAGUGAGUUGUGGAAGGUUUUCGAGAGCUAAAGGAUCAAAUUCUGCGAAACUGCAGAUUUUCAGCUCUCGGGGACCGGUCCCUGGUGGGAGAGACCGGUCCCCGAACGCGUAUGAAAUGAGACAGCCGAAAAAUCGGCUAAGUCCUGAGAAAGUAGCUCUCGGGAACCGGUCCCUACCCGAGCGACCGGUCCCCCGGAGACCGGUCCCAUCAGAGAGAGACCGGUCGCAUCACGCGCAGCGGCUCUGGCUGCGCAGGGUGGACGUUCGGGAACCGGUCCCUGCUCGGGGAGACCGGUCCCUGCCUGCGCGAACUGCCCAGUUCGGGCAGUGUAUUAAAGUGAAAGUUGAGGGGUUUUAUUGCAUUUUUGCAACCCAUUGAGCUAUGUUAGAGGGUUAAUGAGAUUUUCUCUCAUUCCCACCCUCUCAAACACUCUCUUCUCUCCCUCUCUCUCUCUAGAAGGCAAAGGAGAAGAAGAAGAAAGAAAGAAAGGAAGGAAAAGAAGGAGAGGAAAGUGAAGAAGAAGAUCAAAGAGCAAAGGAGCUUCAUCUUCUUCCUCUCUAGUGCGAGAAAAGGAAGUUUACAAGGUAAGCUUUGAACCCUAAUGUAGUAAAAUCCUAAAAUGGGUUUGAAUGACCUAGAAAUGAGUUUUAGUGAGAUGUUUAAAGAGUUUUGAAGCUUUCUUUUGCUUCUAAAGAGAUCAAAACCUAGAUUUGUUAUAGAGGUGAGCUUGGACCACCUCUCAUGGUGAAAUCCAAACUAGGAUUUUGGAAAGCCUAAGAAUGGUUCUAAUGGAUUAUAUAGAGUAUAAUGGAGCUACUUUUGCUUCCCAAUGAGAUCAAACCCUAGGUUUUGUAUAUGCAUUGGAGCUAGGGCACCCAAAUUGGGGCUUUUGCUCAUAGGGGUUUCUAAGUGCAAUUAACCCUCUAGAAACCUAAUUGGGGGUAUUUUCGACGCGUUGGUGCGCUCGGAAUAGCAUUUCGAAAAGUGUAUGUAAAGUUAUGGCCAAAUAAGCCUAAUUUGGCUUCGUUAUGCCGCAGGUAAAGAAAAAAACGUCUGAAAAUCCCGAGAAAAUCGUCGGAGCACCUAAAGAGACCUACAAGGUGGGUGGUGCUUCUCAAACGUAUUGAACUUCCCUCUAUGCCUAAUGUGUCAUUCUUUGAGCAUAUGUUCUAUAUAUUGUUGCAUGCAUUUUAGGGUAAAGUAAUGAUGAAAUGUGAUGAUUGCAUGAUUGUGAGUACAACUUGCAUAAUGAGAUGGUUGAGAACCUGAUAAUGUAAAAACCCUAUGUGUAUGCAUGAGAGAAAAGUGAGCACCCAAAGUGAGCAAAAGAACCGAGUGGCACAAUGACAUAGAUCGAGUGGCAUUCGAUAAAGCUAAUGUGAAAUGACACUAGAGUUAGUGUGAUGUAAAGAACUAAAGUGAUGUAAAGAAUGAAGAAAGUGACAACGUGUAAGGUCAAAGUAAAAUGGGGCAAUAAGAACAAGAAUUGUAACGAACAAGAAUGCUAGAGUUAGCAAGAGAAAUGAAAAUGUAAAGAAUGUGAUUGCAUGAGUUUGCAACAUAAAGUGAUGUAAAGAACACUAGAGCUAGUGUAAAGUCAAGAUUGAACUUAUAAAUCUUUUGAGUUAAGGAUAUGAUCAUACUUGCUAUGAGUUCUGUGCUCGAGGGCGGUCGCUUCCCCUCGGGCGAUGCGCUCCGGAGUUAUACAUCCGGGUUGGAGUAAACCCGUAAGGACGGUCCUAGCUGGUGAGUUCCUGCGAUGAUGGACUUAAUGUGAAGCAAGUUAAUGUGGCGAAACCCCCGGGUUAGCCUUAAUGAUUAAAGAGCAAAGAGUAAAGAACAAAGAGCCAAGAACAAAGUGUAAAGUGCAAAGAACUAAAGAACAUGCAUAACCUGCAUUUAUGUAAUGUUGAGCAUAAUUCUUGCUAUUUGUUCAGGCAUAUUAGCAUUAUGUAUAGUUUGGUUACUAUUUACAGCCUAUUUCUUCUAUUAUGCCUGAGUUAGUCCUAGUGGGAAAGUCGGUGAUGUUGAGGCCGAACCCACUGGGAACUUUGUUGUAGUUCUCACCCCACUAUUUCCACAGAGCCGGGACCGAGCGAGCCGGCGAGCGACCGAGGUAAAGGUAUCGCGCCUUAGUCAGAGGCCACCAAUGUUGGGUUACAUUUUGUUAGUAGCUACCCCAUGUUCAUCUUUUGUACUUGAUGAUUAGUAAUGUAAAGAAAAGAAUGUAAAGCUUAUUUUGAGGGAAAUGUGAUGUAAGAAAGAAAUGAUGAAAUGAUGUAAUGAACGUAAGAAUUCGAUAAAUUACUAGAUGAAUGCAAUGCAUAUGAUCUAAAAUGAAUCAUAUUACCUGUGAAUGUUUAGUUUCCUUUUUCUUUCACUAAUGGCUAUUGCUUACCCUCGUGUAAGCCGUUUGUGUAUGUUUCCGCUGGUGCUUUUCUCUAUUGAUGAAAAUGUACAUGUGAUGAGCCUUGGGCGGAUAGGGGAAACUCUGUCCGUUCGGCGUCUGUUUGACGUGCUCGGGUCGGGCCAAAUUGGCAUCGGUCCCGGGGCGUGACACCGCUAGUGCAUUUCUUGUUUGAAUUUGUACAUGUGAUGAGCCUUGGGCGGAUAGGGGAAACUCUGUCCGUUCGGCGUCUGUUUUACGUGCUCGGGUCGGGCCAAAUUGGCAUCGGUCCCGGGGCGUGACAGAGGUCCUCCCUGGACAGUGGCGAUUGAUGUGCCCCGCCUGACCAUAUGUGAAGCAUCUCCCCUCCUUCUGCUUGCAACGGUUCGGGUCAUGGUUACCGCCGCAACUGACGCACUGCUGAGUCCCACGACUCUAGGAUAGCGCUCACGGGUACUUCGGAGGCUUAUUCGACCUCGACUGACCUCCCGAAUCAUCUGGGGCUCGCUUUUUACCCCCGUCCCUCUCGAACGCCUCUUGCUUCUCAUGGAUGUGGGCAUUGCCAUGCCCCCCCCAAAACGCUCGAUCGAGCACCUCCGCGAAUGUAGUAAGCUUUAGGAUGUGAACCGCCCUAUAGAUGUUCGACCAGAGCACUUGCUCGAACCAAUCGGCUCGAUCCCUGUCGUUUCGCACCACGUCGGGGACGCAGUCAAUAAUGUGUGAGAACUCCUGCUCGUAUUCUCCAACCGAGCGGUUUCCUUGCUUUAACUUUCGGAACUUAUCUUGGAGCUUCUUCUUCUCACUAUCGGGAAAAUAGUUGGUACACAUCAAGCUCCGAAAUUCCUCCCACAUCAACGGCGGAAGAUCGAAAGACCGAUCCCGCUUGAUCCACUUCCACCACACCUUCGCCACCCGCUCUAAGCAAUGUGUGGCGAGGUGGACUUUAUCCUUCUCUAGUGUAUAGAGAUCUUCGAAAAGAGUCUCCAUCGAGUCCACCCACGACUCGACCAUCCAAGGCUCAACCUUCUCCCCAUUGAACAUCGGGGGACUAAACCUUCGAAACAUCAUAAGAGUCGCAAGCCCGUGCGCUCUCUCUCCGCUUCCAACGCAACACCUUCGGGAUCAGAGGUUCCCGAACUAGUAGCUACCAUUGCUGGCGCGGUUGCGCCAUAACCAGCACGGCCGCCAUAGCCACGCCCUCCGUCACGACAGGCGCAACAACAAGAGGCGCAAGUCGCUCAACAUCCGCUUGAGCCGACGACUGUUGCACCACCAACUCUCGCAGCCUCGCAAUCUGGUCCUCCUGGCGCUGCAUCGCGCCGACCAUCGAAGCAAUCUGCGCUGGCAAUUCCCGCACUUCUUUAGAUCCCGACUGCUCGGGCACCUCGGGAGGUGGUGCCGAAGCGAAUCUAGUCACGGGGCGUCUCUUUGGUGCCAUAAGCUCCUAAAACGUAACAACUUGGUUAAUCUUCUUAACCCAUUAACUCUCACAAUUACGAGACAACGCGACUCAACAUUGCAAAUUAGGCGGAAGCACACAAGUGUACUUGUUCUAAACUCUUAGCGUCAUGUUGUCGACCGCCAAACACAAUCACUUCAAGUCAAGAAUGCAUACCACUUAAAUCCGUCUCUAUCACCACUAGAGACAUAUUAUCAACAACUUCGACCCAAUCGAAUCAACUCCCGCCACAACGCAUAGGUUCACGUCACUCACGCACCUAUGUCCUUAAGGUUUACCGUCCUAGGGUCUCCUAGGUCAAUCCUAGACUCUCUCUUUACUUGCUCUGAUACCAUUUUAUCUGUCACGUCCCGCGACCCACCAAUUUGGUCGGAUCCGGGCACGUUGAACAAACGCCGGACGGAUAGCACCUCCCCUGUCCGCCCAAGGCUAAACAACAAUAAUAUCAUGUACAAGAGUUGCCCAGGAAAAACUCAUUCAACAUACAUGAUACAUGCAAGUGUAAGAAGCACCACAAGUGCGAUACAAUUAAGAGCAAGAAUCACAAGUAACAUACAAGUGAAUAAAGAGAGACAGUUCUAGCUAUUACAUCACAUUCAACAUUUACAUACUGAUUUACAUUUUGACUGCAUUCUUUUCAUCUACCAAAAUGAAUACAUAUUCUUCUCAUAAUACCAAAUGGCUCUCCAACUAGCACCAUCACCAAUAUACAACACAUAUCACUCAUGUACACGAGGUUACUCUAAUGUAAAAUGGAAGCCGCUAGCUAAUUAGGGCGCUAUGCCCUUAUCGCGAUCAACUGCCUGUACGCUCUCGCUAGGCUAUGCAACAAAGUGGGGUGAGAACUAUAUAAAUAUAGUUUCCAGUGGGUUCGGCCGCCGACUCCGCCGAUCUUCUCACUAGGUCUAAGCAGGUAUAAGCAGAUAGAUAGAUAGAUAGAUAUGAAAUUGAAGUGCAACAUAGUAAAGUAAUCUGCAACAUUCUACUAUGCCUUCAAUAAUCCAAUGCAUGAGCUACUACAUAGUAUGCAAUCUACAACAUGCUACUAUGCCUCAAUAAUCCAAUGCAUGAGCUACUACAUAGUAUGCAAUCUACACAUACUACUAUGCCUCAACAAUAAAAGAAAUGAGCUACUACAUAGUAAUGUAUUCUACAACAUGCUACUAUGCCUCAAUAAUCCAAAAGUAAUGAGCUACUACAUAGUAUACAAUCUACCACAUGAUACUAUGCCUCGAUAAUAAAAUCUCAUGGCUAACCCGAAGGUUACUGCCCAAGACCAACCCGAAGGUUGCUACCCCGACUCACAUCUCAAAUCUUGCUAGUGGAGAGACUCUGAGCUACUCCCACCCGAAACCCGUCUGCGGGACAACUACGUUUGCCCGAACGCGACUACUACUCCGGAGCUCACUACUUGUGUGGAGCGGCCACGCCAAGAUUACACAGAUUAUGUUAGUAUAAUCCAAUCCCCUCACUGGGGAAUACCUUGUCCAAUAGGGUCAUAGUGCCUCUACUGCACAAACUCAAUGUCCACAACACGACAAUCGGAAAUCUACUAUCCCUAGGUUCAAAUGCCAUAGUGUUCUGCUACACUAGAUUCAAAUGCCACUCAUUAUGUCAUAAUGUUGUAAGUGUCUCACUACACUAAGGGCGUGUUUGGUUCACUUCGUUUUCACCCUAGAAUCGGAAUCGAAAUGGGUGAAUCUGUUUGUAGGUGUUUGGUACGGGGGAGUCCUAUUCCGAUUUCGAUUUCUAAGUGGAAUGGAAAUCCCCUAAUCACCUCAUUUUUCAAUCCGGCUCGGACGGAAUGGAUAUUUAUUCGAAUUAAAUUUAUUUUUUCAACUUUUUUAAUUAAAAUAUGAGUUAAAAUUUAAAAAUUAAAUAUAUAAUUUUAAAUUUUAAUUUGAACUUAAAUUAAAAAUUAAAAUUUAAUCAAGUAUUUCGAAUCUAACUUAUGAAUUUGAAUUUAAAUUAAAUUUUAAUUUAUAUAAAGUUUUAUUCAAAUUUUAUUUCAAAUUUAAAUUAAAUUUAUGGAUUCAAAUUAAAAUUUAAAUUGUAAUUUUAGUUUGAAUUUGAAUAAAUCAAAAUUUAGUUUCAUAUUUUGAAUUAUCCACUCAACUUCAAAGUUUAAUUUUUUUAAAAAAAUAUAGAUUUAAAAUUUUGACAUUAUUUCAAAAUUUUGAUAUAAAUUUUUAAUAUUUAAUUUUUAAUUUGAAUUUAAAUUAAUAUAUUAUAAAGAUAAUAUUAAUAUAUUAAUUUGAUUACGUUUUUUAUAUCUAUCUGAACCAAACACUGACAAUGGGAAUGAUUUAUUCCGAUUCCGAUUCAGGUGAUGAACCAAACAGAAUUAGAUAAUGAGUCAUUCUGAUUCCAAUUCUAACUUAUUUUGAUUCCGAUUUCGAUUCCGAUCCAACUUCGAACCAAACACGCCCUAAGUCGACAUGCCACUUGUUCAUGUUAAGUGUCUCUGCUACACUAGUUCAAUGUCGCUUGUUUUCAUCAUCACGAGUCCAAGUUCAUCAUCAUUCUUGCUACUACAGGAUUCUUGACACAAGACCCAAUCCUCAUGCAAACCUAAGUUCAAGUGUCAAGCCCACAAUGCUACACUACCUAGGAAACAUGCAAGAAAAUGGAAAUGCAACCAUCCACUAAUCCUAUAAUGCACUAUGUCAAUAUAUGAAUAUGAUCAAUAUACAAUUUAGACAUAAAAGGAAGUCCAGUUGCUUCAGGAUGGACACCCCCCACCUUUAGUUGAUGCCACGAGUCCACGAAUCCGAUCUCUCGAUUUUUGGAAGCCUACGCCGCGUGCUGCGGCAAUCUGUACCGAAACAGGCCUUUUCGCCAAUAUCUUCGCGUAUCUUCGUCGGAUUGCCAAACCGACUUCGCCAACGCGUUAAAAUAUCUAGCAAUUAGGUUUACAUAGGUUCAAUUUAGAUCAAACCCAUACAUUUACAAAAACCUCAUUUGGAACCCUAACAUAGAACCAAUGCAAGAAUCCACCAUUAACUCUCUAGAUUCAAGCAAUAAACAUCUACUUAGCACCCUAGAGUUCCAAAAAAUCCAUUUCUAGAGCAAGAAAACUUAACCCUAGAGAUCUACCAUUGUUGAGCAUCAAGCUUACCUCAAAUACUAGCUCCAACUCAAGGAAGAAGAUGAAGAGGAUGAAGGUCCACUCCUUAGCCUUCUUCUCAACCAAUCCCUCUCCUACUUCCACCUUGAAGAGAGAGAAAGAGAGCUUAGAGAGAGAGAGGGAGAGUUUAGGGUUUUGGAGUGUGAGGGAGUGAGAGGAGAGAGCUCUAACCUACUCUCAAAUAACCCCACUUGCACACAAUUGUUGAAAACCCCCUCCACUUGGCAAACUGUGCACAGCCCAAACUGGGCUAUUUUCGGGUACGGGGACCGGUCCUUGGCUUGAGAAACCGGACCCCAUAGGUCCUCUCAGUCCAGUAAUUAAGGACUUAGUCAAAUUUCAGCACUUUUCAGCUUUAGUCCGUUUCUUCUCCAUUUUCGCUCGUUUUUGCUCUGUGAGUCUCCGAUUCAUCUCAAAUCGCACCGAGACUCCUAAAACAUGUUUUCGAGCGCGUUUAAACCAUCUUUCCAUUCACGCUUAUGCCGGAUUUAGUCCACGGUCCAAUAUAGCCUUUGGGUUCUGUUUUCGCGCCCAACGCGCACCGAAAACGCCCGAAUGCUCCCGAACUUCGUCAGAAUCAUUCCAAUGGCUUUCCAAACUAACAUACAACGUAACUUCGUAACUAUAGAAGUUCGGUACGUCACAAUACCAGCAAAUGUGCCAAUUGAUCAAUGGCACACAGCAAGAGCAUCGGCCAAAUGGUAUGGACCAAUGUUGACGAAAACUCAGUAGCGUUAGCAACAGAGAAUGCAAGCUGAGGCGAGACACCAUUGGGAAGAGGCAAUAGGGAUGAGUUCGAAUAUAUGGAAAUGGCCUGAAAUACAGCCAUCCUUUCGACCUAUGAAAAAUGAUCAUAAGGCGGGUGGCUAAACACCCGUACUGUGGCUAAAGUCCAAGAUUGAGCGAUUGGCUCUAGUUGAGCCGACUAAGAAGGUGACUCGAAAGGCAUUGCAGGAGAAAAUCGCCUUUUUGGAGAUGAUUAUCAAACGAGAUAGGUGGCCUCCUAAAGAAAGAGAGGUUCCGCCAGAGAGUGACUCCUCGGCCGAAGUAGCCAAAGAAUCGGAAGAGAAGAAGCAAAAAGUUCAAGAAAGAUUGGCCAAAGAAAGCUCAGGUGAUGUGAAUAUAGUGUAUGCUCUACUAUAUUCAUUCAGACCAGAAUCCACAUAAUUCGAGAAGCAAGUAUAUGCAGGGGAGGAGCUGUCAGUGGCUCAACUCCAACUUGAAGAUGUGAAAGUGGCCGAUGCAGUGGUAUUUGAGAAGCCAUCGGCCUUGCAAACAAGAUUUGUUAGGCCUUUAUUCAUAAAGUCCUUAAAAGAACGAUGGCCUAUGGGUCGAGUUAUGAUCGACGGUGGGGCAAUGGUCAAUGUCAUGCCUACGUCAUUUUUUUAAGAAACUGGGCAAAGGUGAAAACGAACUCAAGCCCACCGACAUGACUAUGACCGAUUUCACUGGGAACGGUCAACAGGCAAUGUGUACUCACGACCGAGCUCACGGUCUGAUCCAAGACCCUUCGGAUAGCCUUUUUUGUAGUGGAUGUAGAUAGCCACUACAAUUUAUUGCUUGGGCGUGACUGGAUUCAAGCAAACAAGUGCGUACUAUCCACCCUACAUGGCAAGCUGUUUCAAUGGGUCGGGGACAGUGUUGAGAAAAUUAUGGCAGAGGGAUGGCCUCAAAUGAUAGAUAUUAACGUAGAAUAUGUCGGCCAUAUCAACUGGGCCGACACCGACCCGGAUCAAAUCUCGUUCAUGAGAGUCACUGAAGAGGAAGUGCAAUUAGUGCUCCUGAAUGAUGCAGAGGCGUUGGUGGCUGCGGAAGAGCCACCAGACUGGUUGAAAUGGAACGUCAAAGGCCGGGAACCAAGGCUCUAGACGAGCUUCGGCAAGAUAAGCCAACCAAAAAAGCCGGCUACUUCAUCGAAUUGGCCGAGUUGGCCUAUAAAAAAUUAUAUAUUAGAUAGACCAAAUUGGCCAAGGAAGGAUCAUGCAUUGAAUCGGCCAGGUUGGCCGACAAAAAAAUUACUUGAUGAAACUCCAAGUUCAAGAGCUGAUUUAGAUAAAAAUGAUAUGACAGAGGUUGUGAUAAGACCAGAUCAAACUUGCGUUGAAAUUCUUGAGAGGGUCAAGACGGAUCAUUGGAUCACUUAUCAAAGGGCAAUGAAUUUUAUUUUUCACGAUUUGAUCGGUAAAAUGUUGGAGGUAUACAUCGAUGAUAUCGUUGUAAAAUUCAAAUCACAAAUCGAUCAUUGGGCUGAUCUAGAACUUGUUUUUGAGCGCAUGAGAAAAUACAACUUAAAAAUGAAUCCCUUGAAAUGUGCUUUUGGAGUAUCAGCGGGGAAUUUUCUUAAGUUUAUAGCAUAUAAAAAAUGGAUUGAGAUAGCUAAAACAAGGCAAAGGCAAUUAUGGAAUUAUCACCGCCUAAAUAUAAAAGGGAACUACAGAGGUUAUUAGGAAAGAUUAAUUACCUGGUACGUUUUAUAUCAAACUUAGCCGGUAGGAUAGGAAUAUUCACUUCAUUGCUUCGGCUUAAAAAUCAAAAGGAGCUUAUUUGGACAGAGGAGCAUCAUAAAGCAUUCGAAAGUAUUAAAAGAUAUUUAGCGAGUCCUCUAGUCCUCGUCCUUCCUCGGCAGAGCUAGCCGAUGAAGUUAUAUAUAUUAGCAGCAGAAGAAAAUCUAGGGUGUUUAUUGGCUGAGGAAAACAGUGAAAAGAAAGAACAUGCUAUUUACUAUCUUAGACAAUGUUUGCUAGAUGCCGAAAAACAUUAUUCGGCAAUAGAAAAUUUGUGUUUAGCAUUAUAUUACAUAUAUACUAAGUUAAGAUAGUACAUUUUACUAGUAGAAGCGUUAGUUGUUUGUAAGACCAACCUUGUGAAGUACAUGUUAUCAAAACCAGUGUUAAGAGGAAGAAUCGGACGAUAAAUGUUAGCUUUGUCCGAAUUUUCUCUUAAUUAUAAUCCAGCGAAGGCGAUUAAAGGACAAGCAAUAGCUGGCUUCUUAGCCAGCCAACCAUACAUUGAAAUUGACGAGUCGAUGCAAAAUUCGGUCAAGUGCCAGUUUUAGACAAUCUACUUUGACGGGUCUAGAACAACCAAAUCAGCAAGAGUUGGAGUAGUCAUAUGAUCUCUUGAAGGUCACACUUACUAGUUUGCCUUCAAGUUAGAUUCAGUUGGUCUAACAAUCAAGCCGAAUAUGAGGCCUUAAUAAUUGGUCUUGAGAUUUUAUAAGAGUUAGGGGCACGUUCAGUGAAAGUUAUCGGUGACUUGCAAUUAGCGAUAAGGCAUGUAAACGGAGAAUACCGAUGCGAGAACCAAAAUUUGCAAAAUUAUUUGACCAAAACGAUAGAGUUACUUAGCAGUUUCGAAGAAGUAGAAUUCGUGCAUUUAUCAAGGGAAAUAAAUGAGCAAGCUAAUAACUUAGCUUAAUCGACUUCAAGAUACAGGGAGCCGAAAAGAAAUCAAGUCAAAAUAGAAAGGAGAUUAUUACCAUCGGUUUACAUGCAAGAGCCGAUGAUGAUCGCUCCAAUAGAGGUACAAGAGGAUUGGAGAAAGCCUUUAAUAGAGUUCUUUAGUAAUCCGAAUAAACAGGUCAAUUAUCAUUUAUGAAAAAGGGCACUCAGCUAUUAUCUAUUGAAUAUGCAACUUUAUAAGAAAAUAGCCGAGGAGGUGUUGCUGAGAUGCCUAGGGUCUGAGGAAGCCUUACUAGUUAUGGGCGAAGUCCGUGAAGGCUUAUAUGGAGCACACUUAACAGGAAAAAAACUAAGGUGGACUAUUCGGUACUUAGGUUAUUAUUGGCCAACUAUGCAUGUAGAUUGCAUAAAAUAUGCUAAAGGGUGCAAGGUGUGCCAAUUCCACAACUCCAUACAGAGAGUUCCAGCUUCAGAAAUGCAUGCAAUUAUCAUACCUUGGCCUUUUCGAGGGUGAGCUAUGGAUUUAAUUGGAGAAAUUCAACCGAACUCUUCAGCUAGAUAUAAAUUCCUGAUAAAGGCUGUAGAUUACUUUACCAAGUGGAUAGAGGCGAAACCCAUAAGAUUGAUCACUCAGAAAGACAUAAUAGAUUUUGUAGAAAACUCUAUUAGUCAUCGACUCGGAAUUUCCGAAAUAAUUAGAACCUACCAAGGAACGAUGUUCACAGGAGAACAGUUUUUGCGGUUCAUAGAGUCGAGAAAAAUUAAGUUGCUUCAUUCGUCACCUUAUUAUGCUCAGACCAAUGGACAGGCCGAGACAGUAAACAAAGUUAUUAUAAACCUUAUAAAAUGGCACAGUGGGAAACAUCCAAGAAAGUGGAGCGAAAAGUUCUUAGAAGUAUUAUGGGUAUACCGAACUACUGUCAAAACAGUGAUAGAGCUUACACCAUUUCGACUGGUCUAUAGUCAUAAAGCUAUAGUACAUGCCGAAAUUAUAGUUCCUUUUUUAAGAGUAGAAGGACAAAAAGAGCUGACGGCAAAAGAAUAUGAGACGUUAAUUAGUGAGAAGUUAGAUGAAAUAGAUGAAAUUCAGCUGCUAGCGCUUGACCAUUUAUAAGCUUAUCAAAGCCAAGUAAGCAAUGCGUACAAUAGAAGAAUUAAGGAUAAUUUUUUUUCUAUUGGAGAUUUGGUCUUAAGAUUAAUACUCUCAAUCGGUCAAAAGGACCGAGUAUAUGAAAAAUGGUCCCAAAAUUAGGAAGGACCAUUCCGGAUACAUAAUGUUGCAUGAGGCAACGUAUAUUUCCUAAAAACAUUAGACGGGUCAGAAAAUGACAAGCCAAUCAAUGAAAAAUAUUUAAGAAAGUACUAUCCAUCUAUGUGAAAAAUUGAAUGAAAAGUCAAAGAUAAAUAUACAGAAAUGUUAAAAUAUAUUACAGCCGAUUUGAGAAUGAAAAACCAAGGAAAAUUAAGAUAAUAAGCCUUUAAGUUGACUCCAUUCGGUUUUCAGAUUAAAUUGAGCAAGAUCGGCUGCUCGCUUUCUUCGCUUCAUCAUAGGGUGGAGUUUGCAUAAUUGGGAGAGUUGGUUGUGUAACACCACCACUUCGUCUUUUUUGGCCUGUAGUUGAGCCUGCACAAUGGCACGCUACUCGAAUGUCUGGGCUAGGGCUGUUUCGACUGCAGCAAGUUCUUCUUUAAGAUUGAUAAUGCAUUGUCGAAGAGUCAAUUCUUGGUCUUUUAGAGAAAUAUCUUACUUGUUCAGAUCAGUGAUUGGAGCUGCUACUUUAGAAACUUUCAUCUUUGAAAUGACCAACCCGUGAAAAAUAAUAAUCUAAAGCCAAAUACUUGGUAGAAAGUGUCUGUUGCCAAGUCAAGAAAGAAGAGAGUCAAGAAGAUAAAGUCUCUGCAAAACAUUUACUUGUAGAAGAGAGAUAAGGUUGGUCUAGGAGAUCUAAGAGGAGUGCCCCGAACCGAUCAAAUUGCUCCAAGUUUCGGGCCAGAGUCGGAAGACCGCUACUAUACAAUCUUAAACAUUCCUCAAAUUUCUGUUGGGUCUCAACUGAAGUAGUGGUGGGAAGAACUUUCUCCUUAUAAGAUGUUGGGCUUGAAGCGGCGAAAUUUUGAAGAGAAAUGGCCAAUAGAUUUGUCGAUUCGGAUGCUAGCAUAGGAGCCAAAGUAGAAGCUUCGGCUAGAAGUUCGACAGGAAAGUCUACACCCAUUUCUUCAGUUAUACUAAUCUCCUCUCUUUUCUUCCUAUUUUCCUCGUCUUUUCUUUCUUGCUCUUUUCUCUAUUCUUUUUCUUCUUUCCUUUUGCAUUCUUCUUCUUUUCUUUUUUGCUCUUUUUCUCUUGCUCUUCGCUCUUUUUUUCUUUUCUUUUCUGAAAUUUUUCUUUUUUAUUUCUUUCUUCCUCUUUUCUUUGUUGAUUUUUUUUUUUCUUCUUCUUCGCUUUUCUUCUCUUUUUUCAAUUUUCUUCUUAUUUUUUGCUCGUUCUCUCUUCCUCCUACUUCUUGUCAAGAUGAGCCACCCGAUGGGCUUGCCUUCUAGCAGCAGAAAUUGCUUUCCCCAGUGCCGAAGCAAACCAAGAAUGCGAGAUUUUUCCUAUAGAAGCUUCUUUCGGCUGUUUGAUUGAAGGCGAUAAUGUGGAUGAUCCAAUUGAGGAAUAAGAAGAAGAAGAAGAAUCAAUUAAGAUAGUCUGAGAAUUUACCUUGGUCGAUGUCUGAUUAAGGGCUGAACAAAAGCUUAUUCCUCUGCUGAAGUUACAGCCGAGGGAACUUUUAUGGAAGGUAGAUCCUCAGUUGGAGCAGAGAAAGGUUAGGAAUGAAUUUUUAUUGCGAAAGUCUUACGCUGUUUCAGUUGCGGCUAUCGACUUAGAGAGUGUAGCUAUCGGCCGCUUCUCUGUACGUUGGGACGAUGGGUUAGGGACAGUUGUCGGCUGGAAAAGCAUGUAUUAGUGAGUUCAGCCAAGUACGUAUUCAAAAGAAAAUAUAUUGAAAAAUAAAAUUUACCUUGGAAGUGUGGAGAAAAUCUGCUGGAUCAUAGUCUGAGUGUUCCUCAGAAUCUUCCUGUCUUUGGGAAUUAGGAGAGAUUUCUGUUCCUAUAAAAGUUACUGAAAAAAUAAUUAAAUUAGAUUAAGGGCAAAGAAGAGAAAGAGAUACAAAUCGAUUAUAAAAUAAUGUACCUUCUGCAUGACGAAUUUUGCGAAGAACAAGAGACGUCAUUUGGAAAAAGACUUGUUCAUAAAAAACAUCCCAAGCUUUUGUGAAGUGAAAGUCCAUUGCCCAUAAGUGAUUCGGCCUAAAGCUUAUGAGCUUGAAGAAACGUUGGAGAUGAUUCCCUAUGGCUGAGAGCCGAUCAGCCUUGACUGCACUUUUCGUAAGAGGACGGUUGUUGGUGGUAUUAGCCGUGAAAAAUUUAGCCAGGACUGGAAUUGCCUGAACGAACCCGAAUUGACGCGCCACAUACUGAGGAGAAUACACUUCAAUGCUGGGCGUCAACUUGGAACAGGUUUUCAAUCCAAUGUGCAAGUCUCGAGAAGCCAGUAAGGAAUACUAGACAUCGGAGUACUCACUGGUGAGACAAAUGGCCAGUUGGCCCUUGAUGGCUUCAUACCGAGUGAGAAGCCAGGAUGGACCAGUAACACAUUCUCCAAAAGAGGCCCACGUGAUGAAACGACGUUGGCUCAGUUCAUAGAAAACUUUAAAAUAUGCGGUGAAGUCAACCGGUUGGCCCGAAGACAUAGGCUAUGGACAGUUGAGGGCUAAACCAUAGGUGUCAAAGUGAGGAGCCGAGUCCAAAUCUAAAGGGGAUUGGUAUAAAAAAGGAAAGUAAAUUUGCAAACACAUUUGUAAAAACCACAAAACACCGCAAUCGGAACUAAUUACUAAGCCAUUCCCCGACUAUAGUGGUUUGAUGGAUUCAAAAAAUUUUCAAUGUACAAAAGUAAGAAAAUAUGUGCCUAAUGCUAAUUUCUCAUCGUUGGCCAAAGCAACGGCGAUCAGGACAAAAUCUUGAUUAAUUUUCUAUGAGCGGGCAGAAAAAGUUAUGGCAAAGCCAAUGAAGAAGAAAAGUAGUGUGCUCCUUCUUAGUAACUGGACUAGGGGAAUGACCUACGAACCGGCGAAUAAAUUUGGUAUAGGCAAGGUCCGCCUUUGGGUCAAAAUAUAUAGGCCUUAAAAUCAUCCACUCCAUAAGGGUUGUAGCCCAUCGAAAGGGUAACGCCGUGAGGACGAAUACCAAUUAUUGCUGCCACAUCCAAAAGAGUCGGUGUUGAAGGGUGCUGAUCUGAAAGGAAAAGUGUUGGAAACAGAGGACCAGAAGCACAAAGUCGCAGCUAGAAGAAGGUUGUCGGCCUGGAGAGAAGUUCUCGAAAGUUGGAUGGCUUCGUAAAUUCCAACAUUAUGCCAGAGAUCAGAAUAAGAUUCUUCGACUCACUCUAGCCACGCCAAGUAAGCGUCUAAAACGCUAGGCCAAGUUCGAAGACUUUUUCCUGAUGACUUCGAGGCAUACCAAGAAUGCAGAUGAAUGGCAUCAGCCAUUAAGGGAAGAGCAUUGGUCGAGAAAGGAAAAUUCUCAAGAGCAGGGGUCUCUACAAAAAAAAGCUGAGCACAAGUCGAGAAGGAUCCGAUUCGACAUAUGGCUUGAAGAGGCUAUAUUCAAGAAAAGGAGAUGAAAAAAGAGGAGGAAUCGGCACCAUAAAAAAAAAAAGAGGCGUGAGGAAGAGGAAUCUCAGAUUGAGGGACAGUUGUAAAGAUGAAGAGGUGUGAAAGAAGAAAUCUCAGAUGAAAAAGCAAGAGAAAGAGGAGAGGAAAACGAAGUGCAAAAGUAGCAAAGGAGCUGCCGGAUGAAAUUUUAAAAAAUAGUCUUAAUGGUGAAAAGGUGGUGGCCAUAAAUGACCUAAUUAAUGUCUCAAAAGGGACAAAAAGAACGUGGCAAAUCGUGACCGUCAAAAGUGAAAGGACGGCUGGGAGAAGUAAACGGUAUAAGGCGAUUUAAAAUGUUGACCUUGGAAUCCGAGCCCUUGGAGGAGAUUAUGCCAGCCACCGAACUGAUCAUUCGGAAGCUAUCGAGGGGGUAAUUGUUGGUGAAAAACAAAUCACGCCACAUGGUAAACCGGGAUACACCGCAAGCAUGGCCUUUGAAGCCAAGGACGAGUAACAUAUGGUGCGCCAGGAACAAAGAAGGAUUCACAGCAAAUCGUAAAGUAGUUAAAGGGUUAUGCGGUUAAGAUCGGCUAGUCAUGGCCCACGAAAUCAGGGAUGUGGUCGAUCAUGGGAAUAACUGAAUAAUAAUAGACAUAUUAUAAAUAGAUAUGAGACAUCUGACAAAGGGGUUUUUUUUCCUAUGAACGAGAAGACCAAUUUCUAUUCUCCCCUGCAUCUUUUCUUACUUUCUAGGAGUAGUCUACCUGUAAUCUUUUUUACUUUUCCUGCAUUUACUGCAUUUCCUAAGAGUAGUCCGUAGUUUAGAUUUUUCUCUGGGAUCAUACACUAUAGUGGCGCGCGUUCUUUUCUAUAAACAUUUCUCAAAUUUUGAGUAAUAUAAAAGCUUUUCGGCUCUUCAGCCGAACGGAAAGUACAGUGUUGUUCCCUUGACUCGGCUGAUCCAGUCGAACCGAACUUACUGCGCGAAACUUAACUCGGCUGAUCUGAUCCCUCAUCAGUCGAAUCGCUUGAUCUAAUAGUGGGCGCAAGUUUCGAGGGUCAUCAUUCGUAGCCAUUCUGCCUCCUCGCACACUUCCCGAAAAAGGGUUUUGACCGAGCCAGCGGUCAAAGAAAUUGGCUCGCGACACAUACAAAGUCAACAAAUAUACAAAUUCCAUGCAAAAAAUUAGGGAGGGAGGGCACAAAAAGUAAAUAGUGCAUAGGUGUUAAGAAGCUAUUGCAUAAAACUAAAGAAGGGAGCAUAACUUCUUGAAAAUUGUAGGAACUUAAAAACCAGAAGCUAAUAAUUAUAGUGUGAAAGGGAGGACACCAAAAAAAACAUCCAAAAAAAAAAGAGAGGAGGCAUAACACAAUAGCAAACCUUGCUAUAAAGACUUGGAGGAAAAGCUAGCAGUGGGAAAGCGAAACCUUACAGGCACUUAAGGCAGAAGGACAAAACAUUAAUUUUCGGACAUUUAAUAUACCUAUACAUAAUGGAAUAGUAUAAGAAAAAGUAGAAACAUAGAUUAUCUCUAAGCAGGCAAUAAAAAUAGAGCAAUAUUUAGGGCCUUACGAAAUAGUAGAAUCGUAGAAUCCUAGAGAGAAAAUAAAUGUACGAGUGAGAUGAGUAAUAUUUUAAAUAAGGAAUAUACCUUUGUGAGUAGGCAAUAAAAAUAAUGAAAAAUGUAGGGACCCAUAAAAGACACAACCAUUAGAAAGGUGUAGAGGAAGUUAAUACAUCAGUGAGAUGAGUAAUUAUUGAAAUGAAGAAUAUACCUUUUAGGUUAAGAGAGAUGACACUACUGUGCUAUAUCAAACAGUGAGCAGUAUUUAUAACCCCUGAAGCUGCCUUUAUGGAAAUGAUCAUCACAAAGCAAAGAGGAGAAGAAGAAAAAAGAAAGAGGAAAAUAAGUGGACUAUAAGUAAUGCUUAAUGAUUAUAGGCAAUCUCAUCACUAGCAAGUGGCCCAUAUGGGAAAAUCAUUCAAGAUCUUUGAUAGUAUAGUGCAAAUACUUUGCAGCAUCCAUACAAAUAUAAUAAUCAUUCAAUAAAUCAUUCAAUAAAAUCUAAAAAAAAUCUCAACAAAAUCAGGUGAUUCAUUUCAUUAUAAUAAUCACAAAAACCUUUAAAAAGUCUGUAAAAUAUCUUAAGAGAUCUAAAAAAGUCUGUGAAUAUCCACCGAAAAUAGGGUAGUUUUAGGGUGUUGCAACUAGUGGAUCCAUCCAUCCGUCGGUCGAAUCGGGUAGUAUGGAAAUUGGGAGAGGGGCGUUGGAGAAGGGAGACAUGGGAAAAGGUCAGGACAAUCACACCUCUAUUAUAGAUUAUCUUUGUAGGUAGUAGGGGCUAGGACACAGAGAGGAGCGAGAAUCACACCUGUAAUAUAGGUUGCCUUCGAAAGCAGAGGGCGCAAUGAGUUCACCAUGAUGUUCAAUCCGACUAUGGUCAUUAGAUUAACCGUCGUGAAGAGAGAAGGGGGAGGGGCCAAGAGAGCGUGGGAACGAGAGAGUAGAGAGGGAGAAGGACAAAUAAAGAAGAGAGAGACGAGUUGGUGUCAGAGAGGUGCAUAAUGAGAGAGAGAGAGAGAGAGAGAGAGAGAGAGAGAGAGAGAGUAAGUAUAGAGCUAGGGAGGGAGAGUCCUGUAUAGGAGGAAAGAGAGAGAAAUAGAGAGACGGCAGAGAGACAUAUAGGAAGGAGAGAGAGAGAGUAUUUUGUCAAGGAGGCAUAAGUAUGGAUAGUUGAUUAGCAAUUUCAUCCAACACUAAAAAGAAAAGAAAAAGAAAGACAAAUAACUUCACACUUUCCCCUAAAGUUUCCAUCCUUGUAGUGCCUAUUCCAAAAAGAGUGUUGUCACUCGUAAUAUAGAAUAGUUGAUUAGCAAUUUUAUCAAACACUGAAAAGAAAGAAGAAGAAAGAAAUAAUUUCACGCUUUCUCCUAAAAUUUCCGUCCUUCAAAGAAAGUAAUGCCACUCAAAUUGUAGAAUAGCUGAUUAGCAAUUUUCUCAAACACUAAACAGAAAAGAAGAAAGACAAAUAACUCCAUGCUCUCUCCUAAAAUUUCCGUCCUUGGUAGUGUCAAUUCCAGCCGCCAAUUGUCGCCACACGGCACAUCAUUUAUACAUUUUCUGUCCCCGCCAACAAGUAGUGAGCUACAGGUUGAAUUAUUCUUGGCUCAUGUUACACAUCUUUAUGGUCUAUUACAGGGAAUUGAAAUUUAUUUUCCCCUACAGGAUAAGCUAGCUCCACUGGCAACUGAAAUCCAUCAAAACAUUUACGUAUGUGUUCCAAUUAGACAGAAUUAUGAGAACUCAUCUGUAUGAAAGGACAAGCUGUUAGCAGCAGAAGCUUGGAAAUUGAGAAUUUCUGGUACUGGAGAAUGAUGAGCUCGAUAUUUAAUCCUCCCACUCAUUCUGAAAGACCUUUGCCAUGGAUGCUCAAAAGUAAUGAUAACAUGCUGCAUGAAAGGAAAAGAACAGACAAAAGAGAAAGCAAUUAGAACACAUUUCAAUUAUCUAACAAAUGAAAAUAGUGUUCUUUUUUUCCUUUGCUUGUGUCUGGAAAAAGAAGUUGCAUCGAGCAAAUGUAGAUGCAGAUUACAUGAAGAAGUUGAAUGAUGUGAGGCAUGGCAUUUGCUCUAUUGCUCUGGACUACUCACUGCCAUAAAUAGUAAACAAUUAGAGAUACUGAACUUGAUAAGACGAACUUGAAUGUGAAGGGAUACAGUAAUACAAGCAUUUACCGUUUCAACAGAUAAAGGGUGUGUUAGAGAAGGAGCAACACAUGCUGAGCUUGGCUCUUUUGGCGAGCCAGGAUGAUGAAAUGCUUCUGACAUUCGCAACACAAUUUUCUCAUCCUUUACCCUCUCAACAACUUGGGAAGCUUUGCUGCUUGUUUGAAGAAUACCAUUACUUCCGAUGGGUCCUGACUAGUUAAGAAUUUAUAAGAAGAGAGGUAAAUCACUAAGAGAUCUAAGAAUAACAAAAGUUUUAUAUUCACAUGACGCAAGGUUGAAUCUACAUGACUUAAGUCUUUGAUGUGCACAACAAUGAUUGUUAUAUCAUCCGUCCGACUUUCGUGCUCUAACCAAUUCUUAUAAGACUCCGAAACAACUGCUGAGCAUGCGUCCCGAGGAUCUUCAAAUUUAGACACCUGAAGUAAAGGGAAAAAUCCUUUAGGAAAAGCAAGACUUAGAAAAAUAAAUCAUUACUUCAAACCUGACAUAUACAGAAUGUUGAAUUUUGAAUAUCAAAAUCGAAAUUAAACGGACAAUAAACUUCCUGUACUUAUGGAUUGAAGCCAUAAAUAGCUGCAGGUCACACUGCUGAAUUAUAGUUACUGUAUUUUGUGCCACGAUUAGUUGACCUACAGCUAUUCGGAAAAGAUUGUGAAGAUCUCCAAGAAGUGAGGGUGCCGAGCCCAGUACUUUAAAAGAGUCAAAAAAAAAGUGUAUCUAGUCAUGAAAGAAACUCAACACCACUCAAUAACAGUUUGAACAACAUCCAUCUCAAAAUGUGCAACCAUCCAUCUCAACACAUGCAGCUCAUGUUGUCAACAAUAUAGCCUAACUAACCCUAAUCGUAAACUAUAAACAAGUACUAGUACUACGAUCCCUUUACACAAGUAGAAUCUAUGAAAGCACAGGCACUUCAAAUAAUUGCUAAGUCCACACGUGUCAGUGAUGGGGUGGACACAUUCUUGCUCCAGUUCUUCUUUGGUGCGCCUCUAUCAACUCUGGAGUCAUCUAGCAUGGACUGGAAUGUAUCUAUUUAGGAUUUGGUAGGUUCCUUGGGACAUGUAUUCCCAUGGAUCAAGGCCUCAUUUGGUGCUGCUUCUAUUUCUUUUUCUUUUUGAAAUCCAAAUUCUAUGCGAUUAAAUGGGCCAACAAAUGGCAGAUCGUUUGCAAUCAAUAUACCUAGGGAUUCUGUUCAGCGACAAAAAAAAAAAAGAAAAAAAAAAAGAAAAUGGCAACAAAAAAAUAAAACCAAGUAGCAACAUUUUUGCGCCUAUUUAAGAUUUUUAAGAUGCCAUUCUGCAUACAAAAGCAUCCAACAUAAUGUUCCAAAAGGCGGUACGCGGUAUCCAUGCGAUUACCUACCGCAAAACGCAUAUGCGGUAUGCGGACACAUACAUGGAUGCAUUGCGGUCCAUGUAAAUAUUAAUAAAACAUUUAUAGGUAUUAAAAAUAAAUAUAAAUGCUUCCAAACAAGGCUAAAUAACUAAGGUAAAAUUCAGAAUUCACAAAUUAAAAUAAUUAAUUUCAAAUAAAUGACCUCAUAUGCACACGUAUUCACAAAACUAACAAUUAGUAAUCUACUUUUAACUAUUAAAUAGAGAAAUAAAUACAAUUUUGAUGCAAAAUCAUAAAAGAUGUCAAACAAAAAUCAAUCAAAAGCGGUAUGCCAAACUUUUAUGAAAAAUAAUAAUUUUUUCAAUAAACUAGCAUUCACAUCAUUUGAGAGUCCAAAACUUGAAAAAAAAAAAAUUUCUAGUAUAAUAACAUCUAACAACUACAAAAUUAUUUACCAAUAAUUAUAAAUAAAUAUUAGAGAGAUUAGGAAUAAUACGACUAAAAUGAGAAGAGAGAUAGUUAGAUUAUAUUUAUAUAAAGAUAAUUAUAUUUUUAUGCAUUAUUAUUAAUUAAAAUUGAAUGAAAGUAGUCAUAUGUAUAUGUAUUAUUAUUAAUCAAAUAAUCCCAUUCAACAUUGUAUUUCAAUCCUACUUUUAAAAUAAAAAUAAAUGAGUAAGAAAAGAAAAACUUUACCCCAUAUGGGCAACAUGUGUAGUCCGACCGCAUACCUCACCACAUAUUACAUAUGUGGUGCCGUUUAUAGUCUGAACCGCACAAGCGACUGCAUGAACCGCUUAUUGGAACAUUGAAGAUACCAAGGAUGGAGAAGUCCAGCUGGAUAUGGACAACCUCAUAAAUAAUUCUCAAGUUUCUCAAGGAAUAUCAUUUCAAUUUUUGAAAUUUGGGACUAUAAAUAGCAACUACUAGUUCAGAAUUGGACUUAAAAUCUCAACUCGUGAACUUCAAUAUGUGUCAGACAUAUUUGUAUAGCACCAUGAAAAACCAUGAAGAUAGUUAAAUACUUAUGUCAUCUCAGAAAUUGAAGUGGCUUGGUGAUGCAGAAAGUAGCCCUAAAAUAGCUCUUCCAACUAAUAUUAAGCAAAACUGCAAAGUAAUUCAAUAUGGUACAUAUUGCCAGCUGUUGUAUGUCAAAAUCCAUUCAGCUAUAUAUGUUCCCUUAAAAACUUUCUCAAGAAUUUUUCUUUUCUUUUCAUUUUUAUUUUUUAAAGAGAUUUCCAUUAGGCAUCAAUUCAAUUUAGUGUGAGGGUGAUACAUAAAUAGAGGGAGGUAAGAAAGAAGAUUCCCUAAAUCAGGACAAGUAGAUGAAAAUAUUCAGGGAAGAUGAAAAUAACAGGCCCCAAAACCUACACAGAACAAAGGAAAAUAUUAUUAAUGUGCUUUCCUAACCUACAAGUGAAAAUCAAACAACAAAUGGGGAUGAUUGUAGGCAGUCGCCAACCUAAGCAUACAAACAACAAUGUACCAAACUCAAGACAAGAAGUGCAGAUCAGUCGAGUUUAGCAAAAGAAAAACAAACAUGAAGAAAGAGUAGACAACAGCAGUCUCUGCUUCCUGCACCUCCAGCAACCAGCCCUAAGAGCUCCAGACCAUCAACCAAAUCCGCAAGUCAAAACCCUGCUUCCACUCCAUCGGACGUCAACUUUGAUAGAUACGAACAAGACAUACCAUUUCGAUAGCAGGUAGCGAUAAGAACUAAAGAACCAGGAACCAACAUUUUGGAGUAGAACUAGAAAGCUGGACAAAAGCUACAGUAAAACAAGAGAUUGUGACUCAAAGAAAAUGAAAGAUAAAAAAUACUUAGGUUAGGUUGAUACCAUGGAUUUAAGUACCGUGGCACAGGAUUGUGCCGGAAACUUGCGUGCCGGGCUGUGCCGACGCGUACCGGUCACAAAAAAUAUAUAUGUGCCGACACAUAAUAGCAUGAGAUAUUUAUUUGCUUUAGCAACAAAAUAUUCUAACGAUUUAUUAUGUAUCUUUAUCAAAUAUUUUGAACUUUAUUGAGAAAAUUACUUACUAAUUUGAAGAAUAGAGAGUUUUGAGCUCUGCCAUUAGCACGGGGGCUGUAUCGUGCCGAUAUCUUGUUGGCACGAUACGACACAGUAGAUACGGCCCGUACUGAUGGGCAUUUAAAUCCUUGGUUGAUAUAAUGGUAAAACUAUGGGUUGGACCAACAAUCGGCCGGUAGAAACGAAAGGCACAUGAUAGCGAAGAAGAAACAUAAAGCCACCGGCCAGUGGAAAUGAAUGGUACAUGAAAGCAGAGAAGAAAACACAAUGUCACCUGGAGAGGAGAACGAGCAGAACAAACGAGGAUCAAAGGAUUAACUUUUCUAAUGUCCAAUGUCAGGAUAUGCAAGACCAAUAAAAUUAGGAAGAAGAAGGCAUAAACACUAUUAACAAAGUCAAGGUGUCUCUUUCAAUCAUAAUAAAGACCCUAACAGCACUGGGUUUGUUGUAGAAAAUAUACUUGCAAAUAAUUUUUUUUUAAGGCACGUUAUGGUGGCAACAAGUUUAUCAAAUACUAUUAGAUUACAAUGUACACAAAGAAGUACAUUGCAAGUAACAAAUGCCCAACAAUAAGGCAGAGAAAACAAGGAAGACAUUGAUUGCUUCCUUUAGUUCAUACCGAAACUUCCAAUCCAUUAAGUGUAUUGCUCAAAUAUAUAUUUGCAAUAUGACAAGCUACAGAUUAGUAGUUAUAACAUACAGUAAAGUAGGGGCAAGUUUUACAAACACCAGACGCUUGCAGCCUUGGCUAAAGAGGAAAACAUGGGACCAAUUUCAACGCCAGCUCCAUUUUUAGCCCUCCAUAAUUUUGUCUUCAUAACAUUUUCCUACUCAUUUGCAAUACUACUACAUGCUAUGAAGCACAGAUAUUUCAAAUUUCAUGCCGUACCCGUAUCGGACACGUAUUGGAUACCGAUACGUGCCCGAUACGUGUCCAAUACGGCAAUGAAGUAUCCGGCAUAUUUAAAAAAUAAAAAAAAUAUCGGAUGCACCUCGGAUACGGGAGGGAUACAGGGGGAUACAAGGGGAUAUUGCCAGAUUCUUUUUUGGUCUAAAAUGAUCAGGCGCAAAUUUUUUGAAAAGCCCACAUCCAAACCCAUCGGAAAUAAGAAAAAGAGAGAGAAAAAUGUCAAUCUUUGUUUGUCAUUUCUUCUAUCUUUUUGCUCUUGAAUGGUUGAAGGCUCUCUCUCGUCUAUUUUCACACAGUAUUAAGUUAUGAUUCAGUCUUUUACCACUUCUCUUUCACUUUUUUUAAUGUAAUUUGUCAAUCUAGCACUAAUCAACAAAGGCCAUAUAGAAUGAUUUUUUUUUCUUCUAUUAAAUUGUUAGCAUAUUUUCUUUUAUUACUGUUGUAUAUAAUAGAACAUAAUAAAACAGACAUAUAUGUUGAAUGGCUAAUUAUUUAGUUUGUGUGACUAAAUAUCUAUUGGUAUCAUUUGAUCAAGUUGGAUGAUAGUUGGUUGAUACCUUUUGAAUAUUAUUUCAUUGAUUAUCUUUUUUUAUGAACAGAUGUAGAACAAUUACACAAGUUGAUGUAUAUCAGAAUAUAUUCCUUCACAUAAUCCAGAAUUUCAGAUAUCAUGAUUGUUCUCAAUAUACCAUUACAUAUAAUAAACAUAUAUUUAAAUAUAUUUAAAAUAAUAUUUUAUUCAAGUAUACCCCAUGUAUCGUAUCCUAGAAGUUUUAGGAAUUGCCGUAUCGUGUCGUAUCCGUAUCUGUAUCUGUGCAACAUAGACUAUAUGUAAUUUCAUUGCAAUUUUUGAGAACAAAUUUCUCAAUGUUCCAAAACUAAUUAUAUUUCACUGAAGAAGUUUUUGUUGUACAAAUCAUGAACCAGGCUUAGUAAACAUUUGACAUUCCUAAGAUUAAGGAAGAUACCAAAAUUGCAAGAUUAGACUGCUAACUUUUUAAUAAACCAAGAAGUUUAUAGUGUUUUCCGGCAAUCAACAGGUUCCACGCAGUUGUAACCAAAACCACUUGAAUUUAGCCUUUAAUCUAGGUUAUUGGACGAAGAUGACUAGCUAGUAAUAGGUUAGCCAUAUAAGGGUAAAGACGCAAGAUUCAAACAAACACAAUUUAUGGAUAAAAUAGUUACAAAAGAAGUCUAGGAGUGAUUUAAUUGUUGCCUUUUGUAGUGGCCUCAAAAGUGUUCUUAUUUCUACUACUGAAACAUGACUACUAGUCCCUUAGUGUCAGUGAUAAGUCCACUUUUUAAGUACAAAAAUAGCAGCAAACCAUGUUACACAAAUGCAAAUACAUGAAAGGGUUUCGACAUAAUACGGAUGAGGCGAUAUGGUAAUUUCUAAAAAUCUUAGUAUGUAGUGUACGGGGGAUAUCGGAGUGCGAUAAUCUUAAAUUCAUAUACAUUCAUAAUGGAGUAUAUCAAAAUAGUUUGGACAAUUAGAUAACAUAGAGCAAUAAAUGCACAAGCUUGUGCAAAGAUAAAGUAUUUGAUUUUGUUAAUGAAGAAUGAUGACUAAGCUAACCAAACAAUAAUUUUGAGUUUCAAUCAUGAACUAAUGAUGCAAGUGUCAUCUCAAUGCGUAAGUAAGGUAACUAAUCAUUACAUUUUUAAAAAAAUUUAAGUCAAUUAAGAAUGAGUCCAAUCUGCGUUAGUACCAAAAGGAGCACUCCAUGCCCUUCCUGCCUGCCUCCCUUAUCUAGGCAUUUUCCUAAAUUCUUGAGAUAUCAAAUACUCCUACAAGCAUCUGACAUGUACUGGGAACAUAUCGCUAUUCAAUGCAUACAGACACAGUGAAAAUGAAGCAUCCAAGUAUCAAAAGUAGCAACUAUAAAACUAAUAAGAGUUAACAAGUCCUUGGAGAGUGUGGAAGGCUUUGCAAUUGUGACACCCCGAGGAUUUGAAAUUGUCUUGUUUAUGAGGUAUAGUACGACUAAACCUCCAAAACCUGACUAUAGCAUUUUGGGCGAUGGGUAAUCCCAAGAGAUUAAGAGGGUUGAGCGAGUCUAGGGUUAGAAUAGUUUUAGAAUGGGUAACCUCCGUGGGAAGCAGGGUGUCACAGUUGGCAUCAGAGCCAAUCACCAGCCGAAAGCGUGAGAUAAGUAUCAGCUAAGCUAGGCUCAUACAGCAGGCAAAGUGCAGCUCUCCAACUGACGACCGUUAUAAGUAGAGUGCGGCUCCCCACAAUGUCGAUUAAGGCUAGCAUCAUGAGUCUUUCAUCGUCUAGUACUUGUAAGUAUGCUCAAGCCUGACAAGAACAUCAAGGCUUAAGGGAGGGUGGGGGGCUUAGUUCUAUAUAUAAGAUAUAGUAGGGUAAGUUUCUUAAACCCGGCAAUACCAUUUUAGGCAGUGGUUAAGCCCGAGAGGUUAAGAGGGUUGAGCGAGCCUAGGGCUAGAUUAGUUCUAGAAUGCAUAAACCCCCUAGAAAGUAGAGUGUCACAGCAAUAAUAGAUAAGAUGAAAAAAUGAUAAGAUAAGAGGAGGCAGCAAGAAAAGAUCAGCAGGGUUGAAAAAUGGACUGCAAAGAAAACAGCAUAGAGGAAAACUUCACAGAGACCUGAUGAGAAAGGACCAGUUGAUAUACAGCAUAACAGGAAGAAAGGAUUUCUCAUCUCAUUGGAAUUUGGAAUGUGCAAAGAAGAAAAAAAAAAUCCCUCUGACUUUUUUAGGCCAUUCUCUUUAUAAGGGGAUUACUUUUACUCCUGAAAAGAUUUUUAGAGUUAAAGACUUGUUUUCAAAGGUUCGAUAUCAUAUAUAUCUUGACCCAAAAAAUGUUCCAAGGAAAUUAUAAAGUUGGGCAUUAGCCAUGUAUACUGACAACUGAAAAAAUUGGUGGCAAAAAUAAAUUUCCAACAAGAUAAAAGUAAGUCAAAUUUUGUAUUGUCUCUCCUUGAACUGAACAAACUUUGGCUUCCUAACUAUGGGUCUGAUCCAAAUCGAGAACAUAUAUGAACCAGGUGAGUCUUGAUCAAUUGAUGGUAAAUUGGUGAUUUCUUUAUUAACGUAUUGAGUUUAGUUACCAAAAAAAGGGCUUUAAGAUGGGCAGUUUCAGAGCCAACUUAAGAACCUGUGUCAGACAAAACUUAGCCUAGCUUAAUUUUAAUAAAUGAUCUGAUUACCAUAUAUAUUCAACUAUGAUGUGGACAGCAACAAUGAGUAAAAAAAAAAAAAAAAAAAAAAAAAACGAUCGAACCCCUAAUUGACAGAAGAAAGGAAGUUCUAAAUGAAUAUCUACAUCAUCUCUAAACCACUCUUGCCACUAAUAUAGAAGGUGUUAACUGAGUUAGUCACAUUGUUAGCUCUACUUUUUCAACUCAUUGCAAAUUCACUAACCAUCUUAUCUGGAAAAUAUUUUAUAGUCAAAUUAAUGAUUAAGUAAAGAAAAUGGAGUUAAUGUAAUUGACACCCAAAAUUUUCUCUAACAGGAAAGAUAAAUAUAGAAAAACGACAACCUGUGUAAGUUCAAAUUCAAGUUCCAAAGGAAAAAAACUUGUAAGCUUAUGCAAAGUGAAAAUUGCAAAACAUACCAUGUCAACCACAGCUUGACUAGAAAGGAAUUCGAAAACCCCAUCACUUGCAAUGACAAAGAAGAGAUGGUGCGACGCAAUCUUCAGCACCUUCACCUCAGGCUCUGCAAUAACGCCGAUACUCUCGGCCGUUGAGUCUCCCACGCUCCUCGUGAACGCAGUCCCCGGGUACAUCCCAUUCGGGACCCACAGCCUCGGUGGGUCCCCGUCAUCGUUCUCCUCAUUCCCCCAGUGUUGUAUGUUAGGGUCCUUAACCCCCUCCACCUGGUCCACACUCAAAACCCGAGCCCCACACUGCUUCACCCUCUCAUACUCGUCCUUCCUGAACGGCGUCUGGUCGCAAGACAGAUCCUCGGCCACCACGGCGGAGCCAUUCCAGACGCCUGCAACAGCCCGGGAGUCACCCACAUUGGCCACAUAGAGCGUGUCGCCGCUGACGAGCACGGUGAUGGCUGUGGUGCCGCUCAUCGUGUCGUCGAUGCUGCUAUCGUGGAGCUCGGUGUUGGUGGCGAGGAAGGUCGAGGCGUAGGCCUCCGCGGGGGAAUCCAGCAGGCGGGUGUCGGCAGACAGGAUGUCGACGAGGCGGUCGCGGACGAAGGCGGCGCACUGGGCGCCGAACUGGCCGUGGCCGUCGAAGACGCCGAAGAAGUGGAGGUUGGGGUUGUCCUGCAGGCGAGUGCGGAUGCAGAGGCAGUCCUGGUUCUCGCGGUCGGGGGAUUCGGGGUAGUGGCCGCGCUGGCUGAGGGAGGAGUAGACGAGGCGGAAGUGGUGGGAGGGGACGGCGGCGGAGCCCAGCGGGGCGCCUAAGAGGACCUGCCGGCGCUGGCCGAGAAGGCUGCCGUCGUUGUGGAGAACAACGCCGCAAGGGGCGACGUCUGCUGCGCCGCCGCCGCCUCCCUCGCUUCCGGCAGCCGAAGAGUCGCCGCAACACCAGCAGCAGCAGCAGCAGCAGCAGUAGUCGUCCGCGCCGCAGCACUUGCCGUGGACGCAGCCCAUGAUCACAGAUAGGGUUCCCACGAGAGGAACCUGAAGAAGAAGAAGAAGAAGAAGAAGAAGAGGGUGAAAGGGGGGGGUGUCAAAGGAAAUAAACAACAAGUGGAAGCAAUCAUUAGCCCAUCAAGAAAUCCCUAGAAUCUGCUGACGAAACAGAGAGAGAAUAGUGCGCCAAAAGGGUCAAAAAAAGGAAAGUGAGGAAGGGAUGGGCGAAAAUAGGCUCUCUUCAAUGGAGGGGUUGGGCUGGCUUAUGCCUUCUCCCCUACAGAGGGUUUGUGCCUUUGCCCACUACCUAGGAAAAGGAUUAAAUAACCCCAUGAGAGAGAGUGAGGGAAAUGCUCAUCUCCUGAAAUCCCUACUUCAAGAAACCAAUGGCUGAACUAAUUAAUAAUCAGACAGAGAAAUGGGAACGAGACGGGCAAGACUAGCUCAUUCAUUUUAUGCUUAUUAUUAUUAUUAUUAUUAUUAUUAUAAAAUAAAACCAGAAGAGAACUCCCGAGUGUUAGGGUUGGGGGACAGUCGCAGCAGCAGCUUGGCGUUUGCUCAUCAGUCGCCAUCAUUAUUGACGGAUGUGGAACCAGAAAUCAACACGAAAUCUUUCACCCUUUUCGGGCAAAUAAAGAAAAGAUUAAAAGAAAAUGGGACUACGCGAGCGCGAAUAUAGAUUUUUUUUUUUUUUCCUUUGUUUUUUUUUUUCCUUCUUUCUCCUGGAGAUUCGGUGAGUGGGGAUGACGGGUGUCACGCGUGACCGUGGGAAGCUAGAAACCAGAAUGGGCAAAAUAGCAUAAAUUAUGCCAUGCACCUUGUUCUAUCCACCGAAAUUUUUUAACAGUUAAAUUUUUUAAAAAAUAGAAAUAACUGUAGAAAAUAUCUUUUAAAUUCUGGUGCUCUUGCAGAUAGACUCUGAGCUUUAAUUUUGAUAACUAGAUUUUUUCCUUAAAAGUAUAUUACUAAAUACCGAACUGAGUCUGAUCUUUCUGCCUGAAAAACUCUGUAGUCUAACCUCGUCUGAAGGAAGGAUUUUGAUCUUCGUUACCAUUCCGAAGUGGAUGAUUUAGAUCCUCUUGAGUGGAUGUUAAGUGGGCAUCUCAUCUAUCUAGUCGGGACUCUGAGCGGAUCAAAGAGAGUGAGAAACUAUUUUCUCUUCUAGCAGCAAUAAUUAAAUAUCCUAGUUGAUUGUCCCUAGCACAAGUUGCAAAAGGCUUGAUGGUUGAUACCCGAGGUCCCAAAUUUGAAUCCUAGUUGAUUCACAUUUCCAGCUAAGUUUAUUUCUAAACAAAAUAAAACGAAACGGGAUGAAAGAAUAGGAUAAACCAUUCUUUAAUUUUUAGAGUUAAUUGCAUACAGGUCUCUGCAAACAUGAUGAAUUACAAAUAUAUUCCUGCAAAGUUCAACUUUCAUAAAUUAUCCCUACAAAAGCCCUAAUGUAUUCAAAUAUGUCCCUCUGGUUAGCAUCCGUUAGAGAACUGUUUAGUUUUUAACAGUAGAUUCGUGAAAUGACUUUUUUUUCCCUCACAAAUAUGUCUCUUCAAAACUUCAGCUGGUAUACAUUUGCAUAAAUGCCCUCACAAAUCUCCAUUUUCCUCUUUCUUUUUUUUCAGGCUGCAGGAGCGGACAGCGGCAGCGGCAGCGGCAGCGGCGGCGGCGGCGACGGCACGGAGCUUGUUGGAGUUGCGGCCGACGAGGACAAGGUUGAGGCCCGCAAUGACGAGGUGAAGGGCGAAGGUGCGGCCAAUUCGAAGAAAGAGGAGGAAAAUGAAAAGGAAGAAGUAGGAGGAGAAAAGGAGGAGGAGGAGGAGGAGGAGGAGAAGAAGAAGAGGAAGAGGAAGAGGAAGAGGAAGAAGAAGAAGAUGAAAAGGAAGAGGAAGAGGAAGAAGAAGAAGGAUAAAAUUGUCAAUUUUCCUUAUUAAUUAAACAUGGUUAAGUAUUUUAAUUAUGGUUAAUUAAAUUUUUUUAACGGAACUUAACGGCAGGGACAUAUCUGAAUACAUUAGGAUUUUUGUAGGGAUAACUUAUGAAAAUUGAACUUUGCAGGAAUAUAUCUGCAAUUCACCAUAUUUGCAGGGACAUGUAUGCAAUUAACCCUAAUUUUUAUUACUUUUUUCAUUCCUUCGAAUAGAAAAAAUAAAUUCUCUUUCUUUUGUGUUGUGAACCUUUGUAGGAUAAAAUGCAAAAAAUACAACAAAUAUAGUUGUUUAGUAAGGCUUAGUUUGAUAUUGAAGUCUAUCUAACGCUACUAGAUAAAAUAGAGUUGAGGAAAAAGCAUAUAGGAAUAUGCUUCUACGUUCUCUGGUCGGAUCGUUGAAAAUAUAUCGUUACCGACUCAUCGCGAUAUGCGGAACGUAAUAUUACGUACGAAAACAAACAGGGUAUUUUUUCAACGUACUUUCUCACCGCACGUAACGUAAUCUCCCGGCAAUCCCAAACGAAGCCUAACUUCGCUUGAGAAGAAUAAUAUAUGAAAAAAUCUCGUAAAGUUUAAAAAUUUUAUUAUCAAAAUUAAAAGUUCAGAAGGUUUACUUGCAAAAGUGCUUAAGCUUUGAAUUUGUUUGUACAUUUAUUCCAAAAUUUUAAACUAUGAGUCAUUAGAUGAAAUCUACAAUUUAAAUUAUAAAAUUUAUAAUUUUUUUUGGCUUUUCUUCAUGUGACCAAGAAUAAACUUUGGAAAGACAUAAUAAAUUCACAUGAUAUAAAAUUUUGUUACCGGUAGGUGAGGGCUUAGAUUACCUUUCCCGACUACUCCACAAUAUUUCUAUACAUUCUAAUAAGAGCAGCAUUAUUAAUACACUGUAAAGUGAGAUGUAUAUUUUACAUUAUUUUUAUUCAAGAGUCAUUUUUUUUGCUUGUCACAUUUUUUUUUUUACUGAAAAUCAUUUGGAUUAUUGCGAAGCCCAAUCAAAAAAUGGUAAAGUUGGUAAAAUUCAGAUUAAAUCUGAUUGUUUUUACCUAUAAUAUAUUCAAAAUUUUCUUUCUCGUCAAAAGAUUUGUGCACUUAAGUUAUAAAAUUUGAACGCUACUCUCCAUUAGUUUAACAAUAUACCUGUCUAUAUCUUUGAUAUUUGAGAUUAUUUGAUGUUCAGGUACUGAAUUUCCAUUUGGAAAUUAGCCGAUAAGAUACACACACGUACCCUACCUUUUUCUUCAAGCAGGAUCUAAAUUUAAAGCCCACCAUCAAAUGGUCGAGAAUACCUACUAACAAAUUACUGUAGUGUAGUGUCUUAGUGACACAUUUUCAGAAAUUAUUAUUUAAAUAUGAGAGCCUUUAGAUAUAUUAAUCACAUAUAUCGUACACAAUUUUAAAUUUAAUAUUAUUAUUUUUUUUUUUUAUUAAAUAUUAAAUGUCGUGUGUAAAGACAAUAAUUUUACAAAGGCUAGAGAUCUUAGAAAUAAACCGCCAAACACAAUUAAAAAAUUCUAGAUGGUACAAACAAAAAAUUACGUUGUUUUACAUGUAAGCUGAUUGUGUUACAUUUUUUUUUUUUUAUGAGAGAAAGAUAAGUAUGCUACCCGCUUUGCUUAUUUCUUUUAAAAAUAAACUUAGCUAGAAAUAUAAAGUAAAUAGACUUCGAACUUAAACCUGGGGUACCAACCAUCAAUUUCUUUACCACUUGCGCUAGGACGGUCAGUUUUUGUGUUACAAAUCUUGUCAAAUAAUCUAUAUUUAUUAUUUAGGUAACUUACCCGGCUAGAUCAAGAACUUUUCCUAGAACUCUACUGUGUUCCUCAACAUUUUAGAUUUAAUAUUUGAGAUUCUAAUUUUUUUUGGCAAUGUUUUAUUUUAGUUCCAAAACUAGCAAAAAUAUUUUAUUUUUUAAAGAUAGAUAGCACGCUACCCGCUUCGUUUUCUUCAUUUAGAAAUAAACUUAGCUGGAAAUGUGAAUCAACCAGGAUUCGAACUUGAGUCUCGGGUACCAACCACCAAGCCCUUUGCCACUUGCUUUAGGAACGGUCGGUAGCAAAAAUAUUUUAUUGUUCUCCUUAUGGUGAAAUGAACAAUAUUGCUUCCACUAGUGCGCUUUAUGUUCUUAUAUUACGGCUCUGGUAGAUCUUUAGUCCCACAAAUACUUUUAGGUUAAAAGUCAUGUUUAAUACGGUAAAAAAAUUUAUCACCUAAUUAAUAUUAAGGUAGAAAUAUUUGAUUACUUUUAGGUUAAAAGUCAUGUUUAAUACAGUAAAAAAAAUUAUCACCUAAUUAAUAAUAAGGUAGAAAUAUUUGAUUACUUUUAGGGUGCGUUUGGUUCGCAUUAUGAAAGAUUACUAGGAAUAAAAGAUAUCCGAGAAUCUUAUUCCUAUUCAUCAUAUUACUAAGAAUGUGGAAUUCCCGCGUUUGGUUCGCACGGUAAUAUUAAUUAGCCAUGUUAUUUAAUAUUGCAAAAAAUAUGCAAUUAAUUAAUUUAUUUAUUUAAUUAAUUUUAGAUAAUGUUACCAAAAGUUUCAACAUCUUUUUAGAAAAAAGGAAGAGAGAGUAUAAGUUAGAGAGAGAGCAUAAUUGAAAAAAUAGAAAGAAAAAUAUAGUCGAAAUUAGAGAGAGUGAGAGUUGAAAUUUUAGAAAGAGAGAGAGAGAGAGAAAGCUUAGUUUAGAGAGAGAAAAAAAAUUGAAUUUAGAGAGAAAAAUAAGUUUAGAGAGAGAUAUAAGGUUAGAAUGUAAAGAAAAAUAAUAUCAAUUAGCCGCGGGUAGGAAGAAAUAAAGAGAUUAGACAUAUUAUGAUUACCUGAAUCCAUUAAUAUGAGGAUACCCACCUUCCUUCAAGGGAAUGAGAUUAGUACUUUGGGGUGAAUCAUAUUUCCAAGUGAAUCCAAUAUUACUAAUUAGAUUACUUAGUGCGUUUAGUCAAACACCGUCAUAUUUUUUUAUUCCCAUUGGAUUACUAGGAAUCUUUAAAAAAUAGCGCGAACCAAACGCACCCUUAGGUUAAAAGUCAUGUUUAAUACAGUAAAAAAAAUUAUCACCUAAUUAAUAAUAAGGUAGAAAUAUUUGAUUACUUUUAGGUUAAAAGUCAUGUUUAAUACAGUAAAAAAAAUUAUCACCUAAUUAAUAAUAAGGUAGAAAUAUUUGAUUACUUUUAGGUUAAAAGUCAUGUUUAAUACAGUAAAAAAAAUUAUCACCUAAUUAAUAAUAAGGUAGAAAUAUUUGAUGAGAAAGAAUCGGUAAAUACAUAGUAUUAAAUACACAUGCACGGAGUGGAGGUGACAGUUCAAGCUUCAAUACUAAAUAGAUAAAAAACAAAUAGAAUCUCAAUUAAACAAUGAGUAAUUUUGAAACAGCUAUCCAACCUAUUAAAAUUUUAAUUUUACUAUUCAAUCUUUCAAUUUGUCUGAUUUUAGUCAGUCAACGAUAUUUUAAUUUCAAAUUUUAAGCUAAUUAUUUAGUUUAAAAAAUUAAUAAUUGCAAGAAUUGUAUGAAAUAUAUUAAUUAAAUCUGAAAGGAGAAACAAUGUAUUUAAAUUUUAAAGCCAAAUUGUCGUUGAUUAACUGAAAUCAAAUGAAUUAAGCAGUUGGAUAGUAAAAUUAAAAUUUUUAAAGGUUGGCUAGCCAUUUCAAAAUAGUCUAUGGUUCAGAUAAGUUUUAUAUAUUUUUAUCUAGUACACAUACAUAACAACUAAAAUAAAAAUCUUUCAAGAGUUUAAAAUCUCUAACAUUAAAAUAAAAAAUUUGAAGAUCAAAAUAAAAUAUAGUUGAAAGCUAAGAGACAGGUAGUGUAUUUUUACUCUCUAGAUUCCGGCAAUAUUUUAAAAAUAGAUUACAUAGCGACUCGAAAAUAUUACUGGAUAAAAAGGAUCACUUGUUGAACUAGUAAGACAACCAUUAGUUGAAAAAACCAGUGACAUCAACAUAUUUAAUAGUAUAUUUAAGUAUAAAAUAUUAAUUUUUAGAUCAAAUUAAAGUAGAUAUAAGUUUUCAAGCAUUGUUUUUUAUAAAACUAACACAUGCUAAUAAAAAAUAAAAUCAAUUAAGUUAAUUUUAUGUGGCAAAAUAUUAAUAUAAUUUGAUAAAAAAAGCUAGUUGAUCUAAUUAAAAUUGGAUUAAUUUAUCUGUUCCAUAGUUUUUUUUUUAGAAAAAGAUAGCGUGCUACAUGCUUCUUUUAUUUUAUUUAAAAAUAAAUUUAACUGAAAAUAUGAAUCAACUUGCAUUCGAAUUUGGAUUCUCGAAUAUCAACUAUCAAGUCAUUUAUCACUUGCGCUAAACACGGUCAGUGUUCCAUAGUUGAACAAUUGGUUCAAAUAGUUUAAAGCAAAAUUUUAAUUUAUUUAGUUCAAAUAAUUAAACCGGAUGGCUUCAUAGAUUAAAUUGCGGUCGAAUCGAGAUUUAAGCUGAUUUUUAAGUCAUUGAAUUUUUUAACCUUUAUGUUCCAAAAAAUGUGUCAGUUCUAGACUGACGUGGCCGACAAUCGCGAGGGGAUAAUUUCUACGCAAAAUGGAGUUUGGACGUGCUUGCGGGAUUUUUCUUUUUUUUUUGGCGUUUUCUUAUGGGAAACAUACCCUAUCUGUCCGGAAAAAGCGACGCGUGUCUGCAGGGGACGGCUAUGAGACAUUCUUUUCUUUUGGAAAGAUACUUUAGCUGUCCUGUCUCUCAUUUGUUUCAUUAUAAUAAUAAUAUUAUCUAUAAUCUAUAACAUCUAUUAAUCUCUGUGGGAUUCAAGCUCUCUCCUUAUUUUAAGAAAGAGAUGAGACCCACCUCCUCUCAAAUUAUUUACAAUAAUAAUUUAUUUGAUGACCUUAUUUUUUUAUUUUUUUAUUUUAAUUUCCACUUCAAUUCACACGAGACGUCCCUCCGCUUUUUUUUUUUUUUUUUUGGUGUCCGUCCCUCGAUCUCCUCCUCUUUUAGUUUUUUUUUUUUUUUUUGCUCUGGCGCUGACUCAUCGUGAAUCCUUUCGCCUCCUCUUCUCUUCUCAUUUUUUUCACCCUCUCCCUCUCUAACCUGCAACCAUGACGUCGGCGUCGCCGCCUCCUCCUCAACCGCGUCCAUGUCGCUCACCUUCCACGGCGCCGGCCUCCGCCUCGACCGCGUGCACGUCUGUCAAUGACGCCCCUUGCCGCCAUCAACCUCCACCUUUGCCUCCGUCGCCGCCUCUGUCAGCUACCACGGCCAGCCGCCAUGCCAAUGACGCACCCAAAGACGCGCGGUGGGUGUCGUGAUCUAAAAACUUUUUUUUUUUUCCUUUUUAAACUUUUUCAUAAAUAAAAUUAGAAAUUAGAAGCCUCCAAGAGCUUAUGUUCUCAUCUUCAGGUCUUACUCACUAUUAUUACCCCAGCACUCAUCUACUGGUCAUCAUCAACAAACCAUACUUGGAUUCUUAAGGUAAUAUUAUUUUAAACAAAAGUUAUUGGGUUUUUCUUUUUUUAAAAUUUUUUUCUUUGAAUUGACUAAAGUGUUAAUUUUUUUUCUCUAUUUGUUUCAUUUUUGUGAUAUAAGAGGAGAGAAAAAUGUAGAUACAAAAUUUAGAAGAAUAAUGUUCUCACUAGAGAACAAAAAUUAGUUGAAGAUUGCAACAACUUUACAUACAACAUCGUGGGCGUCUUGCUAGCACCGGCAAUGGUACUAUCACCAUCACCAUUAUCCAUGAGAUGGAAUUAUACAAUGAGGUAAUAGGGAACUUACUGAGUUUUUUUUCUCCUUUUUUUUAUCCUUUUUUGGGGAACAUAGAGAAAUAAGUUUGUAAAAGAAUGGAGUUUAUUAUUUUAUUUAAACUAGAUUUUAUAGAAAAGGUUGAGUGAUUACUGCUUCUAUAUUUGUGAGGAGUGUGCACUUUUAGUUGUUUUUAUUAUUACUUUUGCUUUUUUCUUUUUUUAAAAUUUAUUUUUUCUUUAUUUCUGGCUAAAUUCUUACAAGUUUAUGAGUUAGUUUUUUUUUUUUACUUUUUAUUUUUGCUUCAUUGUUAGGUAAAACUUUAUGAGUUGCAUUAAAAGGUUAGUUUAAUCAAACUUAAACUAUCCGCUUCUUUUUUUUUUUGAAAAAAAACUCUUUAUGGUAGUUUUGAUGCAAUUUAUUUUAUCUUCCUCUCAAAGUUUGUAAUAGAAGGAAAUAGAAACAAAAGAAGUGACAUUUUUAUUUUUAUCCAGUAUAGGUGGGUCCAAAACGACCCGCAAUUCUGUGCGACAGCAAACCACGUUUCUGGUUGUGUGUCAAAGUUUCGUUCUUGCAGUAGCAAUUGAAUAGUAAUAUUGAACGCACGAGUUAGAGAAAAUUUGCAGUGGUUUAAGGACUGUGUCUUUCCUGUAAGAAAAGGACUUUCCCUUUUUAACAAGUUAUUGUAACUCACGAAAUAGAUUUAGUUGCCCCUGGUUUUUCUUUGUAGUAGCAACAAAUUACUAUAUAACUGUUAUAGAUAGCACGAGGCUCAAAACUUUUAUAGAUAAUCCAUGGUGACCAUUGCAAAGUGUUUUGUAUAGUGUCUUUUUCCUUGGAUAAAUUGUAGUGUUGGUUCCUGUACUUUUUGUCAAGUUUUGAUUUAGUCCUCGAAAUAAAUAGUCAUUCGGUAGUGCCUUCUUUUCUUCUUUUUUUUUAACACUUGCCUUGCACGUGUUCGUUGGCUCUUCAUCCCUCUCUUAUUUUUGCAAAUUACUUCUUCUUAUCUACUCCAAUCUUUUUUUGAUUUUAUUUUUAUGCAUUAUUGAAUAUAUAUGAAGAAGAAGCAACAUCAUAAUAUACUUCUUAUACUUUAUGUUUUUCUCUUCAAUUUACUAUUGUAAGCUUUUGAUUACUUAUGAGGCUGUGAUGAUUCUGUCUUCCACUCUUUGCCUCUUAAUAUAAUGUAUAAUGUCUUGAUAAGAAUUCAUAGUUUGCUUCUCUAUAGGAAACUACUUACAGUUAUUCUUUUUGCUUGAACCAAACGUUAUAUCUUUUUUGAAAUAUUUUGGCAUAUUUGAUAAAAAUAGCUAACAAUGCUCAUAAGUGUUUGAUGGAUGUGUGCAUUUAAUUUGUAUUUACUGAACGAAUGAUAGAUGAUUCUUUUUUGCAUAUCCAAAAAUAGAUAGUAAUAAGUAUAAGAAUUUUAGAGCUUUCUGUUCAAAUAGCAUAAUCAUGUCACAACCUUAGUUUUAGAUGAGUUUAACAUGCUCAUUUAACCCUCCGAUUUGUAAUCAAAACAAACAGAAAAAGAAACAGAGCAUUUGCUAUCUUAGAAUGGAAAGGUACUUAAUAAUAUUUCUUAUUUCGUUUUGUAAUUUUUUACUUCGUAUUCGCUUUCUAGAUACUACUGCCACUCUUCUAGCAUUUGAUCUAUAUUAAUUUGUUUUUGUUUGCGCAUUCAUUUUAGGUUGAUGAGAUAUGUCGUUUUAUGUAAUUUUUAUAGAAUUUUUUUUUAUCAUUCGACAUGCUAGAAAGGCAAAGAUCAGCUACUCAGAGAAGAUAUUUAGGUAGGCAAUGAUGACGGAUUGAAUCAUCGCUAUGCAUUCAAAUUAAAGGUUGAUGAGAUAGCAUCCCAUGAAGUUUCAUAACGUCCAUUUCUUCUCUUCAUUUUUUUUUUUCGAAUUCAUAGUAGAAGAUUUAAAUGACAUAGGAAUAUGGAUGUCUACAUGGCAACCAUUACAGCCAUUUACCUUUACAGUAGCUUGAUUUUCAACUAAAGAGAAGGGAUUGGAAACUAUUUGAUGUCAACUAAUAUUAAUUCAGAUGAUUAACUGAGCCUUUGUUUGCCCAAUUAUUUCUAAAUUUUUUAUAAUUUUUGAUUCUACAGAAUUGUUUUCUCCCUUGGUAGCUUCUUCAAGAAUUUGAAAAUAUUAUAUUUUCAGUUGGCUAAUGCCUUCAUCAUUCAUUUUUUAAUUUUUUAGUUCUUUUUCUUUAUACUAUUUUAAUAUAAUUUACUAGGCAAUUGAAUACUUAAAUAGAGAAUUACUUGCUAAAGUUUUCUUUUGGAAGCAAAUAAUGAGAAAAGGAAUUGGUUUCUUACGACAGAAUAAUCCCAAAAGAACUUGAAGUGGUAUUUUUUUUAUUCUUUUUUCUGUUGUUUAUUUUAAAUCAUCUAUACUUACAACUAAGUAUAUACUAAUUGGUUUGUAACUUAGGUUGCUAGAUAUGGGGGACAAAAAAGACUUGCUAAUCUUGGAUGUGAAAGCGCUCAUUGGGUUAAUGGUGACCUUUUGAUUCUUGAUGGUAACCGGUAACGUAUUUAUCUUUCCUAUUAACUAUGUGUUUGUUUAUUUUAUUAUGGGGCGUAUUUUAAGAUAAAGCUACAUUGAAUUUUGUAGUUCAUCAAAUAGGGACCUUUUAUUUCUUUUGUUUGCUGGCACCUAAUUUUUAUUUCGUCGAAUUCUGCCACCAGUUGAAAUUUUGUAUCUAUAUGCGUUAAAGAGGCAAAGGAUGAGAGAAACUAUGUAAGGUUAUUGAGUUAUGUUUUUUAUUUAUUUGUUUGUAUCAUAUUAUUAAUAUUUUGUCACCAUGUAAUUUGAAAAAUUUCUUUACAAGAUCUGUGCGUAUAAAGUCACCGAGAGAAUAUCUUAAUUUUGCCAGUUGGAAAUUUACUUAUAUAAAUUCUGUACAAAUGAAUUUUUAUUUGACAACAAAAAGUUUUUUUUCCCUCUUUUGUUACUGUUGUUCUUUUUCGAAAAGUGAAUUUACAAAAUAAUAAAGUAACAUAAAAAUACAUCUCUAUGAGUCCUCAAUUGUAUUAAAAACUUGAGGUAUAAAAACCAUCGAUAAAGUCAAUUAUGCAUUAAUAUGUAACUUCUUCCUUUUACUUUUUUUUAAUUAUUUUAUUUGCGGCUUUCGUGUUGCAUAUAUAAAUAUUCUAUUUCAGUUUAUUGAAUUGAUAUUUACUUUUUAAAUUGCAAUAUGUAUAUGUAUAUAAAUUACUACAAAGUUGUUUAUUUAUGUAAUAGCUUAAAAAGCAAACGGCACACUUAUAUUAUAUUUUUAUCCUCACUUGAUAUUAAAGAAAAUUUAAAAUUUUUUUAUUUCAACAAUAUCUACCCGCCGCAACGCGCGGGUCGCUUCACUAGUUAUUAUUAUUUUAUUAUAAUAAGGGAAGCUGGGAAAGUGUAUGAAGAUCCCUUCCACUAGUAGAUGAUUCUUAAAUAGGCCACUCAAACGUUUUUUUUAGCAAACUUAAACAUGUUUCUAUUUAGUUCAGAACGUUUUACUUUAUCAUCCUGAAGUUAAAAAAUUUAUAGCUAACUAUAUUAUAAUUUUACAUUUAACUAUAUUAUAAUUAUAUUUUUAUUUAAUUUCAAGUAUCCAUCAUUAAAUAGAAGAGUAGCAAAGUUGGAUUUUUUAAAAAAAACUAUAAAAUCGUAUAAUGUAACAUCUCACUAUUCUACAAUCUACACUUUACAGCCUUCUAUUUAGUUGGGGACGUUUUUUACUUUAUCAUCCUAAGGUUAAAAACUUUACAUUUAACUAUAUUAUAAUUUUGUUUUUAUUUAAUUUCAACUAUCCAUCAUUAAAUAGAAUAACAAAGUGAAUUUUCUUUUAAAAAAACUAUAUAAUCACAUCUCAUUAUUCUAUAAUCUACACUUUACUGCUUUCUAUUUAGUUCAGGACGUUUUUACUUUAUCAUCCUAAGGUUAAAAAACUUUACAUUUAACUAUAUUAUAAUUAUGUGCUUAUUUAUUUAAAAACUUUAUCACUAUUCUACAAUCUACACUUUACUGCCUCCUAUUUAGUUCUAGACAUUUUACAUUAUCAUCCUAAGGUUAAAAACAUUACAUUUAACUAUAUUAUAAUUUUACAUUUAACUGUAUUAUAAUUAUAUUUUUAUUUAAUUUUAAGUAUCUAUCAUUAAAUAGAAUAGCACAGUGAGAUUUUUUUUAAAAAAAAAAACUAUAAAAUCAUAUAAUGUAACAGCUCACUAUUUUACAAUCUACACUUUACUGCCUAUGAUUUACAAAAAUUACACCUUAUUGUCCAACUAGUGAAAUACCCGCGCGAUGCUGUGGAUAUAAAAAUAUUUUUAUAAUAAAUUUUAUUUUUUUUAAUAUGUUUAUAUAGUUUUAUAAGUCUAAUUAUUAAUUAAAUAAAAGUUAUAAAAAACUAAUUUAAUCGUUAAAUCUAUUUAAAUAAAAGUCAUUAAAAUCGGUAUAUGCGCAAAGCAAAUUUAUACAAUAAUUUAUUUUAUAAAUACUUAUAUGAAAAUAAUUUGAGAUAAAUCUAUCAAAAUAAUUUUAAAAAAUCAAUAAAUAGAAGAAAAAUAAAAUUGUAAAAGAAAUUGUUUAAUAACAUUAAUUAUAUAUACACAGAAAUAUACUAUAUUUCUAAAAUUUUACUUCUCAAAUUUAAAUAUUGUAUUUUUUUAUACAAUGAUAUUUUACGUGAUUUAAAUUGCAUCUAUUAGGUUAGAUUUUAUUACGCAAUUUAUUAUGCGUAUUAUUAAUAAAAUUAAUUAACUAUAUUAUAUAUUAUGAAUUAUUAAUAAAAUUAAUUAAUUAAUUUCAUAGAGAUUAGAGAUUUAAAAUUUUAAAAUUUGAAAUUUAAAAUUUGAAAAUAAAUAUUAGAAAUUAAAUUUAAAUUUUAAAAUAUUAAAUAUAAAAUUUAAAAAUUUGAAAGUAUCAAAAUUUUAAAUUUUGAUAUAUAUAUAUAUAUAUAUAUAUAUAUAUAGAGAGAGAGAGAGAGAGAGAGAGAGAGAGUAAAGGGGGGUUUGGGGGGACACGUGUCACCCCUUGGUCCCCCCAAACCCUCCUUUAAUGUAGAGAAAAGAAAUAGAUUUUUAACAAUAAGUACUCAUAGUUUAAAAAAUAAAAAGAAAACAACAAAAUAAUUAAGUGCAAUAUUUUGAACGAUGUUAUGGCCAAAUUACCCCCAAGUUUGAGUCGCGACAGCUACAUCUCCAUAUGAUUCAAACCUGAAUUCUCAAAUUUGAAUCAUAUGGAGUUGCAAGGCUUUGGGAGAACCUAUGUCCAUGGUGUUGUUCAGCAGCUUGUCCAGUGUCGGACUAGGGCUGCAACAGCGGAAGCGAGUUUGAGUGCUCCCUUGCCGACUAUUGGUGAUGUCGGAGAUCCUGCAGUGUUGUUCCUUCUGCCACAGCGACGUCUCCUAUUGUGACUUCCCUGGCACUAUGGAGGUUGCGGCGACUACCCUUUCCCUAUCCACUUCCCACAUGUCUGCCAUUGACUCUGCGAUGCUCGAGGUGAAGAAGCGCGAUCUCAAGCAAGCCUCACCAAUUUUGAGAGCACCGUUUGUGGAAGCUUGGGUCCACGAUAUGGAGAAGCUCUUUGUAAACAUUUUUAUCUUUGAGUAGAAGGUCCAAUUGGUUAUCCAUUUCCUCAGUGGAGCAACGUACCGUUGGUGGAGGUAUAUCAGGGCAGAUCAUUCCACCAACUCCUUCUAUCAUGUGCCAAGUUCUAGAUCCUACUCUUCAACAUCUUUUUUUUUUUUUUUAUUUUGGAGAGUGUGAUGCAACAACUUGAGAAGGAUUUUGAUAUCAUUCAUCAUGGGGCAAAGACGGUGUUGGAGUAUAAGUGGGACUUCUCUCACCUCGUGUAUUUUACGUCGUUCAAUUAUCCAGGAUGAGAGGCAAGUUCUAGAAUAGGCUCUGGCCUAGAUCUUUCGAUUUGUCUAGUUAUAGAAUCUCCAGAUUUACAAGGAAGUGAUGGACUAGAUGCUCCUAGUUGAGAGAGGAGCCACCCUUGAUCGAGAAAAGAGAGGCGGCUAGUAAAAGGAAAGGAAAAAAGAGACCUUUCCACCAGACUCAAGCCGGGCCAUCUUGUUCUACAAGACUACCGAGACAUCCCCGAUCGCACUUCGGUUCUAGGGCUCUCGACCUCACAACCAGUAGCAGGGGUAUGUGAUUUGUGGUAGGCCCCAUUGGCCAUCUGUCACGCCCCGGGACCCAGCGAAAGUCCGCCCAGUGUGUGUCCAGACCUGCCAUAUGCCUACAACAUAUAAAGCGUCUACAACAAUAUGAUAAAUAAAAGAGAGAAAGUAAAAACAUCUAGUAGGAUAUCAGAGCAUAAUUACCACUAAUUUCUAAUGACAAGUAGAAGUAAAUAAAACUGAACAACUAGAGUAAACCAUCAAGUAGUACAUACAUCCUAAGAUCUACUAAAAUAAAACUAGAUACAAAAGUGGUGGUCUCUGUACAUAGGGUACAAAAAGUCUCUCUCCCAAUAAAAUAAAAAGAGAGAUUACCACCUAGUACAAUCACCAAUCUGUCUAGCUAGAGGCAACUCUCUUGCCGCGGUCCCUAGCCUCUCCCGGCGUGGAAGGCUCUGUAAAUAAAAACAACAACAUAAUGAGAAUGAGAACUAUUAGUCAAUAGUUCCCAGUGGGUAACCCGUCGACAUCAGCGAAAUACAUCACUAGGUCAUGGAGGCAUAAGUAGUAUAUUUAAACGUGUACUGAAAUAAACAAUAUGUACUUUGAGCAAUUAAUAAAAUUUACUAAACUAAUAUGCCUCUACUUAGCAUGAAGUUUCAUAUGUAUAGUGCUAUUAUAACAUGAAUGAGCAUGUACGACUAGUAUGCACUAACUAGUAUGAUGUCCACAUUUCACUUUCAUUUAUCAUUAUUCCAAUCCACUAGGACCUACACAAGUGUAGUCCGGUUUGCGCCAUACCUAAUGGUCCCGUGGUAAUCAACAUUUCCACUCUAGGAAUGAGCCUCCCCCGCGGCAUCCCAUUUCGGCGCCCAAUCCCGCACAGGUGAUCUUGUGUCGCGUUGGCUAUCUCCGGAGUGUCGGCUUGUCGGGAGCAACCCUCACAAGCAUGUGCGAAUGAGCACAAUGACAAGUAAGCAUGAUCAUCCCUCCCAAGUCCACUGUCAUCAUAUCUAAAAUAUGGUAUAAAUACUAAUGACCCAACGGUCUAUCUCUAUGUCAUCAUGUAAAGGUUUAACCAUUUACUAAGUUAAGUGUCACUAUAUGACAUUAAUGUUUACUAUGUCAAGCUUAAGUUCUAUAUCCAAGAGCAUGUACAAUUUGUCAUUUUCACUAAAUGAAACAUAAUUCCAACCAUAGAUAAAGAGUGUCAUUCACAUACAAGUUUACUAUAUACUUGUCUCUCUACUACAUAGAAGUUAUAAAGCAUGAUGCAUAAUAUAUGCAUUUUAAGUAUUCAAAAAUUUAUUUAUACUCUAUCUAGUAUGAAUAUGCAUGAUUUUCCAUUUUACAAUAAAAGCAAUGACAUAGAAGGAGUUAACCCAUUUCGGUGAGGUCAAACCCACCGAAUACCCCUUGAAUCUUCUUCGUUUGCGCGAACGAGGACGCCCACUAGACUCCUAGCUCCCUAACAAAAAUUCUAAGAGGGUUAGGGGUUUCGAACGAACACCCCACAAGAUCCACAAAAUUCAACCCAUAAAUAGGUAGAAAAUUACCUUAUAUGGUAAAGAACUCUUCCAAACUCCAAAAGAGAGCUAGAACACUUCCAACCUAAAGGAAGGCAUAAGAACCAUCAAUUAAGCCCCUAAGACUCUACCAAGAAAAACUCCAAAAGAAACUCUAAUUUCCAAAACUAGGUUUUCAUCUCCAAAAAUCCAACAAAAUAUGAUCUAAAGAAGAGAUCAAAGCUACCAACCUCUCUUUAAGCUCCAAACCAAGCUAGAAAGGUGCUAGGGUUGGAGUUCUUUCCUCAAACAAGCUCAAAUCCUUCUCUCCAAGGCUGCUCCAUGGACCAAGAAGCAACACCCAUGAAGAAGAAACAAAAAGAGGAGAUCAAUCCACCAAAAAUCAUGGAAAAAGAGAAGAAAAAUCAAUGGGGGAAAGGGAGGAGCUCCUUACCUCUCUUCUCUGGUUUCCAGCACAGAAAACCCUUCAUGAGGGUGUGGGGAUAUAUAUAGUGUUGCUACAAUCCCAAAAAGACCCCUCAAAAACUUGCAGUCUGCAACUGCACCGCGUACCGGUACGCGGGCUGGAGUACCGGUACCCCGUGACCGAAUGCGCAAAUCCGAGUCUCUGUCAAGCAGACAGAUUGCAAGGUACCGGUACCCGCGCAAUGCAGUACUGAUACCAAGCACCAAUACCGAUACUCGAGCAAUGCAGUACCGAUACUCAGCCUCGCAGAGCCUAAACCCAAGAGCAGCCCUCUCAAUUACGCGACGGGAUUCCGGUAUCUCCCUCUGGUACCGGUAGCCAGCACCCCAAAAUCUGUAGUUUAGAGGUUUUGGUGCUAAGUACUCAUCCUUGCUCCUCACGACGCGAGUAAUGGGUCGGAACACAGUCAACGACCCACAAACACUCCAGCAAAAGUACUAAAUACUAUUCGAACACCAAAACUUUACAAUUUGCUAAAAUUCAGUAUGCUAAUUCAAGAGUUGAAGGAACGAUUGAUGACCGCUCCGAUCUUGACCUUGCCAGUUGCUGGAGCAAGGUAUGUGAUUUAUGGUGAUGCUUCCUUUAAUGAAUUGGGAUGUGUUUUGAUGCAGGAUGGAAAAGUGAUCGCGUAUACUUCUUGCCAGUUGAAGGAGUAUGAAAGGAAUUAUCCUACACAUGACUUGGAGUUGGCGGCCGUAGUCUUUGCAUUAAAGCUAUGGCGUCACUACCUAUAUGGCAAGCGGUGUGAAGUACACGGAUCACAAGAGCUUAAAGUAUUGUUUCACUCAGAAGGAGUUGAACUUGAGACAGCGCAGAUGGUUGGAGCUGCUAAAGCAUUAUGAUUUGACGAUUCUCUACUGCCCGGGUAAGGCUAACGUGGUGGCGGAUGCUCUAAGCCGGAAGUCGACGGAAAACUUGGCGAUGCUUGUAGCCAUACAACCACUGUUAAUUGAAGAGAUGAAACGGUUAGAGUUGGUGGUGGUGGCUCCCGAUACACCCUUGAAAUUGUUGGCUUUAGUGGUGCAACCUACCUUAUUGGAAAGAAUAAAGAAAAAGCAAGCUCAUAAUGUGGAAUUGCAAAAGAUUCGGGCUAAAAUGGUCGAUGGUUGCACCAGUGAUUUUCUUGUGGAUGAUCAAGGGUUGUUGCGUUUCCGCGAUCGGAUUUGUGUACCGGCGAAAUCGGGAAUUAAAGAGGACAUUCUUCUUGAAGCUCACCGUGCACCCUAUGCUCAACAUCCGGGAGGCACCAAGAUGUACAAGAACUUGAAGUUAUUGUAUGGUAGCCCGGAAUGAAAACGGACGUUAGCGAGUUUGUAGCUCGAUGUUUAACUUGUCAACGAGUGAAAGCUGAGCACCGAUUACCCGUGGAAAAACUUCAGAGUUUAUCUAUUACCGUGUGAAAAUGAUAGGAGAUCACCAUGAAUUUCGUUGUUGGAUUGCCUCGCUCUCAAGCAGGGCAUGAUGCUAUUUGGGUGAUCAUGGGUAGGUUGACAAAAUCAGCUCAUUUCAUUCAUAUUCACACGACUUGGUUAGGAGAAAGACUUGCACAGGUAUAUCUUGAUGAGAUCAUGCGACUUCAUGGAGUGCCCGCAUCGAUAAUAUCUAAUCGAGAUCCCCGAUUUGUAUCUCACUUUUGGAGAAGUCUGCAAUAUGCAUUCGGCACUCAAUUGAAUUUCAGCACUGCUUUCCACCCUCAGAGUGAUGGGCAAUCUGAGCGCACUAUUCAAACUUUAGAGAAUAUGCUUCGAACGUGCGUGAUAAACUUCCAGGGAGGAUGGUCACAGCACUUACCCAUGACAGAGUUUGCUUAUAACAAUAGUUAUCAAGCAAGUAUCAAGAUGGCACCGUUCGAAGCACUUUAUGGACGGAAAUGCAGAUUGCUUCUUCAUUGGAGUGAAGUUGGCAAAAGAUUGGCAUUAGACCCUGAUGUGCUACAGGAAGUAGAGGAUAAAGUUCGCCUUGCUCGAGAGCGUUUGUUGACGGCUCAAAGUAGGCAAAAGAGUUAUGCUGAUAAACGUCGACGAUAUUUGGAAUUCCAAAUUGGAGACCAUGUCUUCUUGAAAGUCUCGCCGAUUAAGGGGAUUAGAAGAUUUGGCAUUCAGGGUAAGUUGAGCUUCCGGUUUAUUGGACCUUAUGAGAUCUUGGAGCGUGUAGGCCCGAUAGCGUAUCGGCUUGCAUUACCACCGAACCUAUCGGGAGUGCACAAUGUAUUUCAUGUUUCGGUACUUCGGAAGUACAUCUUCGAUCCGGCUCACGUUUUGGAUGUUACACCAUUGGAGCUAAGGGACGAUUUGAGCUUUGAAGAGUAACAUGUGAGGAUCUUGGCUCGCGAGUUGAAAAAGCUUCGCAAUCGUGAUAUCCCUUAUGUGAAGGUUCUUUGGAGCAACCACGAUCAAUGCGAGGCCACAUGGGAGUUGGAGAGCGCACUGCAGGAGCGGUAUCCCCAUCUUUUUUAGAUGGAGUCUUGAGGUAAUUUGCUUUCUAAUUUCGCAGACGAAGACCUCGAGAUCAUCUCUUGAGGGCCGAAUCCAAUCGGAUCGUUUCCUUUUUGAUCCACGCUUGACAAAAGUCAGAUUCGGCCUACGUAGCAGAGAACAUCGCAAGGCAAAUGAACCAUAUCGCGCCUUGUGUCCAGCAGCAUUUUCUCUGCCGACACAAUGCUGGUCAUUCUUAUCCCUCCGUCUCUUUUCAUAGACGGAAUACUUCUUAUGAAACCAAAAAGAGAUUUUCAAAAUGACCCAAACAGAGUUUUUUCAUCCCAAGUAAUGUUAACUAGGUACGGAACCCGCGCGAUGCAGCGGGAUGACAAUACAACAGUAAAUUAUUAUAACUAUUAAUAUCAUUUUUUUUCUAUUAUGCAUUAGUAUUUUUAAAUAUUAAUAUUUUGAACCUAUAAGGGUUUUGAUUAAUAGGUUUGAUGUGGUAAGAAGAUAAAAUUCCAAGAGAUAUAUAUAUAUAUAUAAUUGAUCAACAAAGAGGGAGAGAGGGGUCCACUACCCUCUCUCCCUCAGGCUCCCUCAGCCGGUCCACCAUGAGGUACCCGCCCUGCGGACCACGUGUAGGAUUGCGGAGAUGGCAGCAUUAGCAUUCCCAAAAUAAAAAUUUAGAUUCCAUUUAAAAUUCAUUUUAAAAUUUGAAUUCAAAAAAGAACUAAAGUUCUAUUUUUGGUCUCCAAAGAAUAAAAAAUUUAAAAAUUAAUUAAAAUGAAAGCAGUAUUUGAGAAAUACUUUCUCAACAAUGUCCUGUUUACGAUCUUACUUAACAAUAUCUGCUAGGAUGUCUUUGCAAAUUGGAUGGCCCUUCCGGCAAUUAUUGCAUAAAUAUUAACAAUAUAAGUUAAUAUAAGACAGAUUAUUUUGACAAUAAUAAAAAAAUAAAUAUGAAUCCAUAUAUAUUAAUUCCUAGAUAAUUAAUAAACCCAAGGUAGCACAAAAACGACAUCUAACACAGUAUAUACAUAAUAACAAAAGCAAUAGGGAGGAAGAUACUAAGAUAGCAAAAUCAAAAAAGGGCGAAAAGUAAAUACAACAUUGGUUAAUCUGAUAGAUUGUAAAAAACAAACAUGAAAAGGCAAGUACAUAAUUAAAUAGUAAAGCAGAAGAACACAUAAGCUAACGCCAAAAACCUCACAAAGUUUAUCCCUCUUACAAUAACCCAAUUUGAUUUUACUGCUUACAGAAUCCAAAAAGUCCCUAUUCUUUUGCAUCAUAGUCUAUUCUUAGCAGCUAAGAGCCCUGUCGCAAGAGCAGCAAGAACCCACUGGCUACCGUAUUAGAUACUAACACAGUAACAGUAGCCAGAGACCUGCAUACGCUGCAGCAGUUCUCCUAAAAGUAAAGCCAAAAUACUAUGCAACUGCAAGCAAUUUUUCGAGGGACAAACCCAAAACCUGUGAUGACCGGCAAAGAGAAGUAACAACGCCUAGUCUUCAUAAGAAUUCCCUAUAUAUAUAUAUAUAUAUAUAUAUAUAUAUAUAUAAUUAGCAUCAAGAACCUCAUCUUUCUUCAUCCUCUGAUUCAGAAUGCUCAAGACAACUGUGAUAAAAAAUAAUGUAUAUUAUUAUUUUUUAUCGGCCAAAAAAAAAGAACUUGUAAAAUGCUAGAAUUGAUACAUGCUAAAUUUCAAAAUAUUAUUACCUAAAAGCUCUUUUUCGCUUUAAAUGUGGAAUCUCAGAUACGCUUCUACUUAAUCACAACAUGCAAAUCUUCUCCUCCCUUUCCAAAACUUUAUUAAGAGUAAAUGGCUGCCGCGGUUGUCUUAGACCAUCCAAGUUGCCUUGUCAUAAAACUCUUAUGGUAUUUGAAAGAAUUCUAAGAAAAUGAGAGGGACUCGGAUUUAUGCCACCCCUAAUUAGUCAUGCAGCCUACAAAAUUAGUAUUAAAGUUCAAGGAAAAACCAUUUCAUCAUCAUUGUCUCUUAUACCUUAACAAUUAAGGCCAACUACAUAGAACUCCUAAUUUAUGUAGGAGUUUCAAUCGACAUUGAUGCAUGAGUGCAGCAUUUCAUCAAAAAAGUGAUGAAUAGAUUCAAAUCACUAAAUCCAGAAAACCUAUAAUUUUGUUCGUCCUGAAAUGAAUAAAAAUUCGGAAAACAUGUUCGAUUUUGUAAUUUUAUCAAACAGUCAUAGGCUUUUCACAUUGUGACUAUUCAUAAGGAAAAAUGUUGCACAAAACUGCUUUGGAUUCCCAAAAGAAAGCACCCAACUUAAGUUAAUACCAAUAACAGGUGCUCCUAUUGUCACCAAAAAUGUCAGAUUAAAAGAAAGUUCAUAAUAACAGGAAUAUAAAAAGAGAGGAAUUAAUCCAAUUCAUAGGGUAUGUAGAUUCUUUUUAAUAUAUAUAACUACAAAUAUGUAGAAGCAAGUUGUUGCAUCGAAAAAUUGAUGGUACUGAAGAUGAAAACUGCUUUGAAAUCUAGCUUUAUAUAAUCCAAUCUCCCUAUGGUAUGAAAAUCACGCAAAAUCAAUAGAAAUAAAAAAAAGAAUAAGAAAUAUAUAAGGCUCAAAUUUAAUCAGCAAUCAACACUAAAAAUGCUCCGACUUCAAGUCCAUAUUUCAAGAAAACAGGGCCAACUGGUUGCCUACAGGAUAGGCCAUCCAAAGGUUGGGCACUAAUUAUCACAUCUCCACACGACCACCCUUAUGGAAACAAAGAAGAUGCUGAAAAUGUUCCAGCCAAAAAUGCUCCAAGUUCAAAGCUAUCAAAACUGGCAUACAUAAUUCAGUAGUAAGGCAGAAGAACACAUAAGCUUAUGCUAUUAUUCUUAGCAUCAUAGUCUAUUCUUAGCAGCAAAGAGCCCUCCCGCAGGAGCAGUAGGAAGGAUAGUUUUACAACAGAUAAGCAAAAUUCAAAAAUGAGAAGACCUUAGACAGGACACUUAGGAAAAAAAUGUCCAACUGAGAAGAACCAUAGACAAAAAUUGGAGUAAAUUACUAAGCUGGGUGUAUUAAGCAUCUACGUUCGAAAACUGCGAAGAGAUAACAAAAGUUAUACUUUUUAAUAUAGAUAUCAAAUCAACAUCAUCAGCUUAUAUAUUACAUAAAAUCAUAUUAGAGCAAGAGAAAAGCGGCAGGGAGGAGAAUAAUGAGAUACGAAAUCGAAGAAGGUCCAAAACCGAAUAGAACACCGAGUAAUUUCACAGAGACUUUAAAAAACAAACCAAAAUGACAGGUACAUUAAAGAACAAAUUCACAAAGGUAAGUACAUAAUUAAGUAGUACAGGAUUUUUUUCCCACCAACACACAGUAGGUUUUUUUCAAACAAACCCAAAACCUACGAGUACUUCCUAAGCAAAGCAACGCGAAACAGCUACAAACCCUAUAACACGACGUAGUUGCAUAGUAUGUUGGUUUCGGAAAAAAAACUCCUGUAGUUUUGAUAUAGCCGCGGAUUACUUUGUAUAAUCACAUAAAUCUUCGCGAUUUUUUGGCUUUUACCUUAAGCAGCACUAUUCCUAAAUUGACGCAACGCUAGUUUUUUAUUACUAAACAAAACAUUUCGCCUAUGGAUACCUUUUACAAUCAAAUAUAAAGUAGAGAAGGAAAAUAUAUUAAUAAACAGUCCAAAGCAAAAGUCUAAGGAGAUAAUUCAAGAUUUUGUUGAACAGUAGCAGCAUGUUGUUUGUGUAAUGUUUUUCUGAAUAAGAUAACCACACUUUUUGCAGCAAAAUAUAAUAGAAGAUUCAUUUGACUCUUUGUCGAAAGAUAAAACACUAUCUAUAUUUCCACCGACUCAUAAUGAAGCAACCAAUGUUGUAUGAAAUUUUUGCAACUGCACAUGACAUUUCUACCAUGGCCAAAUAUAUUAGAUAUCUUUUUUAAAAAAAACUUAGAUCUGGCUAUACCAUAUAUUUGGUCACGGUAGGAAAAUAUGUGGAGUAACAAAAAAAAAUCCAUACUUUCAACAAUAGACUAUGCAACAAUAUCCUCAAUAUAGUCGAGAGUUGUGCAUAUUGUGCAUACAAUGUUUCUCUGAAUAAGUUACCUCUAGUUUUUGUAGCAAAAUAUAUGAGAAGAUUCAUUUGACUCUUUGUCAUAAUUUAGCCUCACCAUAUACUUUGGCACAAUAAGAAAACAUAGGUCGAAAGAUAAAACAACAUCUACACUUCCACUGACUCACAAUGCAGCAACCUAUAUUGUAUGGAAUUUUUGUAACUACACACGACAUUUCAACUGUCGCCAAAUAUAUGAGAUAUUUUUUUUAAAAAAAACUUAGAUCUGGUUAUACCAUAUAUUUAGUCACAAUCGAACAAUAUGAGUAACAAAAAAAAAAAUCCAUAGUUUCAACAAUAGACCAUGCAACAACAUUCUCAAUAUAGUCUAGAACUGAUUUAAUAUGUUUACAUAAAUUACUACCACAUAUGAAGUUUCAAUCAUUCCCUAAGCCAAUCAAUCACCUAUUGUCGUAAUCUAUAAAUUUUAACAUACAUGUUGUGCAUGUAAUGUUUCCCUGAAUAAGAAAACUCUAGUUUUUGCAGCAAAAUAUAUGAGAAGAUUCAUUUGACUCUGUCAUAAUUUAGCCUCACCAUAUACUUUGGCACAAUAAGAAAAUAUAAGUCGAAAGACAAAACAACAUCUACACGUCCAACGUCUCACAAUGUAGGAACCUAUAUUGUAUGGAAUGUUUCCAAAUACACGGGCCGUUUCUACUGUAGCCAAAUAUAUCUAUACUUCCAAUGCAGGAGCCUAAAUUGUAUCGAUUUUUUGUAACUGCACAUGACAUUUCUACUGUGGCAAAAUAUUUGAGAUAUCUUUUUUUUUUUAACUAAAUUAGAUUUGCCUAUACCAAAUAUUUCGUCACAGUAGGAAAAUAUGUGGAGUAACAAAAAAAAAAAAAAAAUCCAUACUUUCAACAGUAAACUAUGCAACAACGUUCUCAAUAUAGUCCAGAGUUGAUUUAAUAUGUUUGCAUAAACUACUACGACAUAGGAAAUUUCAAUCAUUCCCUAAACCAAUUAAACACCUAUUGUCAUAAUCUAUAAGUUUUAGUAUACAUGUUGCGCAUGCAAUGUUUCCCUGAAUAAAAUAAUUCUAGUUUUGCAGCAAAAUAUAUGAGAAGAUUCAUUUGAUUCAUUGUCAUAAUUUAGUCUCGGCAUACACUUUGCCACAAAAAGAAAAUAAAACUCGAAAGACAAAACAUCUAUACUUCCAACAUCUCACAAUGUAGGAACCUAUAUUGUAUGGGAUUUUUGUUAAUACACACAACAUCUAAGCAGCAGGAAACUAAAGUCUAAGGGCAUAAUUCAAGAUUGUGUUGCAAGUCUAUCAACAGUACUUUUGUAUUAGGUAUUUCAAAGUAAAUCUAAGUUUUUCCAAAGAAACACCACGUCAUGUUAUACUAUAAAACAAAUCAAAGAACGAAGAACAUGUUAUGCCAUAUUAUAAAACUGGAACCUAAAAAUAAAGAGAAUAUAAUCUUAGACAAAGCAAAAAAUAUAAUAAUAAAAGUCCCCGAUCGUCAAGUAAAGAAGCUGAGAAGAUUCUUGAACACAAAGACUGCUCAACGAAUGUAACAAAGACCAAAUAAAUCUCCCAAGUUCAGAACUAAUCAGACCUAAACUCAGAGCCUCACGAAUCCAACCAAUAGAAAAGUACUACAACCAAACAUUACCAAGACUUGAAGAAAAACUGACUAUCCAACUAAGAGAAAAGUACCACAGGCAAGCAUUAGCAAGAUUUGCAUAAAAACUGACUAUUACAUCCACAAUAGACAAAAGGCAUCCUACUGUCUACUUAUGUUUCAUUUUCUGCAGUAAUUAGCGUGAUAUGUACUUUCUAAGACCUUAUAUAGGAGACUUAGAAAAAAAAAAAAAACAGAACCAAACAUACAUCUAGCAACAAAAUAAUAAGGAAUUCUUUCUACACAUUGGCUGCCAAAGAGCGGCCCAAUUUGCAAACAAAUCGUAAUACUAAAAUUUAAGUUUGUUUUUAAAUUUUGUCUAAGUACACAGUACACGACUUUGCAAGGAUCCGACAAUGAAAAUAACGAAGGCCAAUAAAAUUUCCCAAAUUAACUUUCAAAGACUGCUAAAUGGAUGCUUCAAUUACAUAUAAAUGUAAUUUUUAAGAUGUCACACAGAAUUCACGAACAAUGAACAAAAUUCACAAAAAUAUCCAUAAUAAAAUUGCCGCUCAAUCCACCAAAGGCAUUAUUAACCUUCAAUUUCGAUGUAUAUUAAUCUAGCAUAUCUUUACAACAGAUAAGCAAAAUUCACAAAUGAGAAAGUUUAAUAAAAUAAACAAUAAGUUCAGAUAAUUUUUCCUAUAAAAGCAUGCACUAUAUUAUGCCACAAUAUGCAGUGAAGAAGUUUAAGCCCAAAAAAUUGGUGGGGAAAAAAACUAUCACUCUCUGUAAUAAAAAACACACGCAGCCACCAUCAUUUUUUUAAUAUAAAUAAACGAUAAGCUCAAAUAAUUGUCUAAAGAAGCAGCCACCAUCUUCCCCCCCUCGCACUACCGAACUGUUUGUAUGCAAUGGUUGCCCAACGGCCAUCAAAUUUGCAAUGGACCAACGAAUUGCUUGCAUGCAAUAGUUGCCGAAGGGCCAUUUGUAAGGACUGAGAUUUUUACAGUGCAACUAAACUCUCUGUUGAUGAUGUUUAUGUGUGUAAUUUAAUUACAUAAGCACUCGUCAAGUUUCAGGAGAAAAUGAGCUAAAAUGGAGAAGUUACGCGAUUAUUAGUUUUCACUUAAGUGAAUAGUAACUCCGGUUUUUCGGAGAAUCCACGGAGUAGAGUUGGCUUUCGGCGCGUAUCGGACUCCGUUCAUAGCGAUCCAAUAGCUCGUUUUGAACGGUUCAGCUAUUCUGGAACCAAUGUCACUGACGGAUUUCAGAUUUGAUGCACGGUUUUCGAGAAAAAGGAGUUUUAUCGAAAAGAGGGUUUCCGCUCUUUGCUUUUCUGUGCAUUUUAAANAGAACAAAAAUUAGAGAAAAAAAUAUACAGGCUCAGAUUUGCUACGCAAUGAAGGCUAAAAAUGGUCCGACUCCAACAUGCAGGAAAAGAACGCAGGCGAAAAAAUAAGCAGUCAUUACAUAUAGUUCUAAUUCAUAUUUAAAGAAACAGCACCGACCAGAGUUCUAAUCUAUAUUUCAAAUAAAUAGCGCCAACUGGUUACCUACAUUAUGGACCAUUCAAAGGUUGCACACUACUCAUAUUUACCAAGCAAUGAAGGCUAAAAAUGAUCCAACUUCAACACGUAGGAAUAAGUUUAGAACAAAAAAAAAUAGUUUUCAAAAAAAAAAGGGCAGAAAAAUGCAAAAAAAGAAUCAAGAGAGUCUCACAUGACGGAGUGGAACAUGAGAGCAUCCAAGAAUAGAAGAUUAUGCAGCUCAGAAACUUGCACUGAUAAAUACCCCAAUCCACCAUCUCAAGAAUGGAAGGGAAAACAAAAGCGCCUCUGGACAUAUAGCGGCAACAGGGGCGGAGGAUGUUAGGGCUCCAACAGCAACAGAAGGAAGAGGUGGCCGCAAGCUCGGGGAGAGGGAGAGGGAGUGAGAGGAAAGCCCGAAACCGCAGUUAGAGAAAGCCCAAACCGCAGGCGAGGAACAAUAGGAAAGCAAAAUUCAGAAAUGAGAAAGUUUAAUAAAAUAAACGAUAAGAACCAUAGUCAAAAGAUAGAGUAAAUCACUAAGCCAGGUCUAUUAAGUAUAGAAAUGCAUACAAUCCACCUGGUAUAGCUUUACAAUAGGAAAGCAGAAUUCAGAAAUGAGAAAGUUUAAUAAAAUAAACGAUAAGAACCACCUGAAUAGAACCAAAAAUACAUAUAGCCACAAAACAAUAAAGAGAUUAUGGCAAAACUUAGAAAAAGAUAGAGCAAAUCACUAAGCUAGUUCUCUUAAGUAUAGGAAUAUAUCCAAUCUACGUGAAUAGAGCCAAACAUACAUAUAGCAACAAAACAAUAAAGAGAAUAUGCCAAAAAUUAGAUAAAGCUGAUUCAAAAUCUGAUCUGGAUCUACAUUGGGAAACGGGGGAGAAAGUAUUAGAAAAAGUUGAUUAAAAAUACGAUCUGGAUCGACAUCUGAAAACGGGACAGGAAGUUUUUUGUGAUCUAGCUACACAGUCUGAUGUUCAUCAUUUGAUUCAAAAUACCACAUGUUAUGUAAUACUUAAUAAUUAGUAUUACAGAAUGAAACUGAAGCUUCCCAAAGACAAUAAUGUAAGCUUGUUUUUAAAUUUUUUUAUUUGUGUACGGUUUUUUACCAUGUCAUUGAUUUCUUUUUUAUUUUUUUUAACUUAACAGAAAAUAUGCCUCAAGAAAGUUUGAGAUUAAUUAUUCACAGAUCCUCAAUAAAUGGACAAUGAAUAAAUGGUCUCUUAAAUUUACAAAUUUUUCACUUUUUUAUUUUACAUAUCAAUUUUGGUCUCUAAAAUUUACAAAAUUUUCACUUUAGUCUCCAGAUAUAAAAAUUCAAAAUUUUAAAUUUAAAUCCAGAAUUAUUCUUAAAAUUUAAAUUUUGAACUAAUUAGUAAUUAGAAUUUUUGAAUCUAAAUGUUGAUUUUAAACUUAAAUUUUUAAAAUUUAGCUUUCAAACUUAAAUUUUGUAAAUUUUGAUUUCAAAUUUAAUUUUUUUUAGUUUGAUUUUGAUAUUUGAAUUUACAUUUAAAAUUAAAAUUUUAAUUUACUGUUGCUCGAAGGGUCGAAAUCAAAGAGGCGAAAGGGCCGAAAUCAGUAAAUAUGGUUAAAUCAUAGUUUGGCCUUAUUUGCUUUAGAAUAAUGUCUAUUAAUUCAAUAAUCUUAAAAAGUGAAAAUAGCCAAAUUACAAUAAAACAAUUGUAUAGUUUUAUUACAAAACUAUCCAAUCUAUACCAGCUGAGAAGAAAGUCAUGGCUUGUGAAUCAAAGCAUGCAAAAAACAUCAUACUGUUAAGAAGUCAUGUAUAACAAUUCUUACAUCUUGAUGAUUGAAAGAUUAAAACUAUACUACCAAGCAAUUAAGAGGUAGAAAACAGCAUAGCAAGCUCAGCAAUGAAAAGCAAACACUUUGAGAAAAAAGACCACAUAACUUCACCAAAAUCUACCAGUGAAAAAAAGAAAAGCAAAAGUCAAUUUGCACUUUCAAACUAAAAGCAUAAUAUUUGCUCUCUUCAAUGUUCCACUUAUUUCGGACGCUCUUUUAGUUUCAAAAUAAGCUUCAAUAGACAAUCUUUGAGCUUCGCUUUUUAGAAAACUAACCCCUUUUUUGUGGUGGGUAAAGUAACAAAAUAUAAUAUAAAUAGUAAUACUAAUAAGAAUAAUGUACAAUUAACCAAAGCAAGUGUGAUGAAUGAACGAAAUAUCUAAAGGCAAUUAUUUUUGUCAAACAAACGAAAAGCAGACAAAAAAUAAUAAUAGCGCAAAUGAUAGAGACUCAGAUAUACUUUUGCUUAAUCAUAACGAUAUAUAACCGCAAAUCCUCUCCUCUCUUCCCAAAAUAUUUUUAAGAGUAAAUGGCUGCAACGGUUGCCUUAGGCCAUCCAAGCUGCCUUGCCAUAAAAUUCUUAGAUUAUAUGUAAAAAUUCUAAGAAAAUGAGAGGGGAUUCGAAUUUGUAUCAACCUAAAUAAGUAAGGGAGCCUCCAAAAUCAACAUUGUUCAAGGAAGAAUCAUUUUUAUCAUCAUUGCCUCUUAUACCUUAACAAUCAAAACCAAAUAUACAUGAUGCGUAAUUGAUCCAUGAGUGUCAAUUGGCAUUGAUACAUAAGAGUCAAUCGGCAGUUCAUCGAAAAAGAUGAUGAACGGGUCCAAAUCACUCAAUCAAGAAAACUUAUAAUUUUGGUUCAUCCUAAAAAUAUCAAACAAUAAAGAUUGGUUAAUAUUGGAUAAAGAUUGAGAAAACAUAAACAAUUUUGUAUUUUCAAAACAAUAAAAAAAAUUUCACAUUGUGGCUAUUCACAGUAAGUGUUCGAUUUUAGUAACGGAAAUGCAUGUAGUUUCUCUUAGUUGUGAUAGACUUAGUUUCAUUGUUAAAAUCGUAACUUUUUUUUUUCGUGUAACUUUUUUGAUGUUUAGAAAUCCAAACUUAGUUUUUUUUUGUUUCAACAAUUCGAUUUUAGUACAGGAAUCCGAUAAGUACAUGUAUUCUACAGAUUAGUUUUGAGAUUCCAUUUUUUCAAAUCUUUUAAGAUAAAAGUAAAUACGCUUUCACAUUUUCUGGUGGGUGUGAAUACAUUUUAAUCAAUUUACUCUAUUACGGUUUGUGUACACAAUGACUGAACAAAAUGAUACAACAUAAGUGUGCUUUUUAUUAGAUUUCACCUCUUGAUACUCAAAAAGGGGGGAAGUUGUAGAAUUGCUUUUGCAUUGAUGAAAGAAAUUGUAUUUACAUUUAUUUGCAAAUUCCUGUUCUGUACUCUUUGUGCUAACAUUCUCUAGGUCUGUUACUUUUCAUUUAAGAGUUGGAGAUGUUAAAUGUCCACAAAUGUAGUUAGCAUCAAAAACCCUUUCUCUAUUAGCAUUGUAAUCAGUCUCUGGUUGUUUUCCGCAUAUUGUCUUCUAUGUAGUAACUUGAUAACAAAUUCCUAUGCAGAACAAAAAUUAGAGAAAAAAAUAUACAGGCUCAGAUUUGCUACGCAAUGAAGGCUAAAAAUGGUCCGACUCCAACAUGCAGGAAAAGAACGCAGGCGAAAAAAUAAGCAGUCAUCACAUAUAGUUCUAAUUCAUAUUUAAAGAAACAGCACCGACCAGAGUUCUAAUCUAUAUUUCAAAUAAAUAGCGCCAACUGGUUACCUACAUUAUAGGCCAUUCAAAGGUUGCACACUACUCAUAUUUACCAAGCAAUGAAGGCUAAAAAUGAUCCAACUUCAACACGUAGGAAUAAGUUUAGAACAAAAAAAAACAAUUUUCCAAAAAAAAAAAGGGCAGAAAAAUGCAAAAAAAGAAUCAAGAGAGUCUCACAUGACGGAGUGGAACCUGAGAGCAUCCAAGAAUAGAAGAUUAUGCAGCUCAGAAACUUGCACUGAUAAAUACCCCAAUCCACCAUCACAAGAAUGGAAGGGAAAACAAAAGCGCCUCUGGACAUCUAGCGGCAACAGGGACGGAGGAUGGUAGGGCUCCAACAGCAACAGAAGGGAGAGGUGGCCGCAAGCUCGGGGAGAGGGAGAGGGAGUGAGAGGAAAGCCCGAAACCGCAGUUAGAGAAAGCCCAAACCGCAGGCGAGGAGCGAGACCCACAACCUCUGCCCAAGUUGAAGAAGAAACCAAACAUCUGGAAGAAGAAAAGAGAAACAACAUAGUGGGGCAGCAUCAGAGGAGAAUGAGAGAGAGUGCAGAAGAAAGGGGACUCCCACCUUGAUAUAGUGAUCAGCAUCAGUGAAGAAGGGCCGAAAUCAAAGAGGCGAAAGCGCACUCCCACCUUGAUAUGGUGAUCGCCUCUUCCGAGUGGGUGUCGCCUCAAUUGAUCUGAAUCAUUCCUCCCUCAUCCUUCGCCUCAAGCUAGAUCCCUCUAGGGUUUCUUCUACCUUCACCUCGAGCUCUUCAUCCGAUCGGAGCUUAGAAGAGCAUUUAGGGUUUGGGUAGUUGUGGAAAUUUUGGAAGGAGGAAGGAGAUUUUGGUGCCCUUUUGCCGGGCGGUGGUGAAGAGGGCAAAGAUAGAGGGGGCUGACAGGAGAAGAAAAGAGGAAUGGUAUAAAGAGAAGGAGAGAAGGAAGGAGGACAGAGGGAAGAAAAGUUCUGGGAGGAAAGAGGAGGGAAAAAAAGAAGAAGAGGGAAUGGUUGGGAUAUGGAAAAAAGAGGAUGUCAUGGGGUAUGGGUAGAGGAAUGGGUGGGAGGUGGAAAUGGUAUGGGCAUAGGUACCCACAGUACUUGCUGUUGCACGUUGCCAAUUCAUCAAAAAUAAAUUUAAAUAAGAAUUUUUUGUAAAUUUAAAUACACAAAUAAGAGAAAAUUUUGGUUUAAAUAAAAAAAAUUUUCUAAAAUUUUUUUAAAAAUGAAGUAUAUUAAAUUUAAUUUAUUUAUCUAUAUGCACUUCAUGACACUAAAAAAAAAGGUGUUAGAGAAGGAAAAAAGAAAAAAAAAAGCAAAGCAAGCUCGCGUCCGCGCCGGCUCGCAUCGCGUCCGUACCGGCUCGCAUCCGGGCCAGCUCGCGCCCGCUCCGGCUCGCGUUCCCCUGCUCACGCCCGCGCGCGCCCGCGCCCGCUUGCCCCCACCCGCUAGCACCCGCAAAGCGCGGGCGGGUGCGAGCUCGCGCAGGCGGUUAAAAUUGAUGGCCGGUUAAAUAAAAAAAAUUUUGGUUUAAAAUUUAAAUUUAAAUUUAAAAUUUAAAAUUUUAUUUUUUGUACUACCUCAUUGUGAGAAUCAAAUAAUUCCAUCAAUUGCCGAACAGCAUAACAUCAAACCAAGUCGAUAAUAGAAUGCUGGCGUUUAAUACUUUUGAUGAGCUUCAUGAUAUUGACAAAGAAAUUGUAGAAUGCGGGCCUUUAAUACUGUUGAUGAGUUUCAUGAUAUUGACAAAGAAAUUGUUCGGCAGUUGAUGGAAUUAUUUGAUUCUCACCCACAAAUUUAAAUUAAGCCAAAUAAGCGACAUUCAAAACAAAAAUUUUAAAUUUAAAUUUUAUUUAUUUUUUUGUAUGCGGUCCACGGCGGAUCGCGCCCCUGCACCCGCGCCCAUUCCCGCUCGCCCGUGCCACCCGCACACGCACCCGCUCGCCCGCCGGCGCCCGUGCACAAAUUUAAAUUAAAUUUAUUUUAAUUUUAAAUUUUUUUUUUGUAUGUGGCCCAAAACAUUCGGGUCCGCAUCCGCGCCGGCUCGCGCCCCUGCGCCCGCGUUAAUUUUUUUUUUUUUUUUGUAUGUGGCCCAAAACACUCGGGCCCGCAUCCGCGCCAGCUCGCGCCCCUGCGCCCGUACCCACUCCUGCUCGCCCGCGCCUGCUUGCGCAACCGCACAUGCCCGCUCGCCCGCUCGCGCCCGCGCACAAAUUUAAAUUUUAAAUUAAAUUUUUUUUUUUCUGUAUGCAUCCCAGGACACAAAAAAAAAGUGUUAGAAAAUAAAAAAAGGAAAAUUUUAAUUUAAUUUUAAUUUAAUUUAAAUUUGAAAUUCAAAAAAAAAAUUUUAAAUUUAAUUUUUUUUUUUUUUUUUUUGUAUGCGGUCCACAACACUCAGGCUCGCAUCUACGGCGGAUCGCACCCCUGCGCCCGCGUCCAUUCCCGCUCGCCCGUGCCCGCUCGCACCCGCACACGCACCCGCUCGCCUCCGGCGCCCGCGCACAAAUUUAAAUUAUAAAUUUAAAUUAAAUUUAUUUUAAUUUUAUUUUUAUAUUUUUUUGUAGGUGGCCCAAAACACUCAGGUCCGCAUCCGCGCCGGCUCGCGCCUCUGUACCCGCGUUAAAUUUAAAUUUUUUUUUUUUUAUGUGGCCCAAAACACUCGGGCCCGCAUCCGCGCCGGCUCGCGCCCCUGCGCCCGCACCCACUCCUGCUUGCCCGCGACCACUCGCGCAACCGCACAUGCCCGCUCGCCCGCUCACGCCCACGCACAAAUUUAAAUUUUAAAUUUAAAUUAAAUUUAAAAUUUAAAAUUUUUUUUCUAUAUGCAUCCCAGGACACAAAAAAAAGUAUUAGAAAAUGAAAAAAAGGAAAAUUUAAAUUUAAUUUAAAUUUUAAAUUUUAAAUUUUUUUUUUUCUGUAUGCAUCCCAGGACACAAAAAAAAAAAAAAAAAAGUGCUAGAAAAGGAAAAAAAAGGGCAAAAAAGAAAGCAAGAAAGAGAGAGAGGAGUGGGUCACAGGAAAAAAAAAGAAAAAAAGAAAAAGAAAAAAAACCCCAAAAUAAAGCCGCGCGCAGGCUCGCAUCCGAGCCGGCUCGGGGGCGCGCCGGCUCGCCCGUGCGCCGGCGCCCGCUCACGCUCAACGCCCGCUCAGGCUCGCGCGCGCCCGCGCACGCACGCCUGCACGCCCGCUCGCCCGCCAGCGCCCUCGCCCUCGCCCUCGCCCUCGCCCUCGCCCUCGCCCGCCCGCGCCGCUCGCGCCCACCCCCGCCCGUCGGCGCCCGCUCGCCCGCCCUCCCCCGCUCGCGCAGAUUGCGGAGGGCCCUGCCGUACCCCUUUAGGAUUCCCUCGCGCCAGCCCGCGCCGGCUCGCGCCCUCGCGCCCGCGCCACCCCGCGCCGGCUCGCGCCCGCCCCCGCUCGCGGAAAACGCGGAGGAGGCUGCCGUACCCCUUUUAGGAUCCCCGAUUCAAAAGGUUAUAUAGAUUCUAGGGUUAAAUGCAUACAGGUCCCUGCAAACAUAGUCAAUUGCGGAAAUAUCCCUGCAAAACGGAAACUCCAUAAGUUAUCCCUGCAAAAGUCUAAAGUUAUGCAGAUAUGUCCCUGCCGUUAAGGACUGUUAGAAAAUUUUCGUUAACCACGGUUAAAGUACUUAACCAUGGUUAAUUAUAAGGUAAAUUUACGAUCCUACCCUUCUUCUUCUUCCUCAUCUUCUUCUUCCCUCUUCUUCAUCGCCGACGAGGGCGGCGGCGGCAGCGACGGCGGCGACGACGGCGGCGACGGCGAACCCUCUCUCUUUCUUUUCCUCCUUCUUCCUCUCCCUCUUCCCUUUUCUCCCUUCUUCUUCCUCUCCCUCUUCCUCUUCCCUCUUCUUUAUCGCCGGCGAGGGAGAAGAUGCGACGGCGGCGGCGAACCCUCUCCCUCUCCCUCUUCUUCUUCCUCCCCCUCUUUCUUUUCCUCUUCCUCUUCCUCUUCCCUCUUCUUCGUCGCCGGCGAGGGAGGAGAUGCGGCGGCGAACCCUUUCUCUCUUCAUCUUUCUCUUCCCUCUUCCUCUCUUUCUUCCUCUUCCCUUUUUUUCUUCCUCUCAUUCUUUCUCUUCCCUCUUCUUUGUCCCCGGCGAGCUCGACCCGCGCCGUCGCCGCCAUCCGUUCCGGCAGCCCGAAGAGGAAGAAGAAGAGAAAGAGAGGGGGAAGAUACUUUUGGAGGGAUAUAUUUGUGAGGGCAAAAUGGUCAUUUCACAUGAAAACUGUUAAAAAAUAAACAGUUCUCUAACAGAUGUUAAUCAGAGGGAUCUGCAUAACUUUAGACUUUUGCAGGGAUAACUUAUGAAGUUUCCGUUUUGCAGGGAUAUUUCCGCAAUUGACUAUGUUUGCAGGGACCUGUAUGCAUUUAACCCUAGAUUCUAAUACCACUGAGGAAAAAAAUAAAUAAAAGACUGAAAUAAAAUUCCAUAGUAUUUUUUUCCACAGUAAUCGGAAGGCCUACCCAAACAAACUCCCCACAAGUUAUACCACCUACAAUUUUAUUAGGCAUUAUUUCUCUGCAAGCACAAGUAUAAUUUCUCCCAUUAGAUAUAUCACCUACAAUUAGGCAAUAUCUCUGCAAGCACAACUAUAAUUUCUCGGCAAGCACCAUAGAACACUCUUAUUUUCUCAACAAGCACCAUGGAUUAACCAUACCAGCCAGCAUUUCGUGAAGUAUCACUUAUUAACAUAAAAAUAAGAAAAUAUGCAGAAAAUCCAAAAUUGGCAACAAAUAUAGCUCCUCCAUUUGAACCGGUGAUAUCGACACAAUGAGGGAAACAAAACAAAAAACUGAGGGAAACAAAACAAAAAACUAUCACAAAACCUAAUGAAUAACCAGAAACAAAAUAGAUCACAGAGCUGGCAAAGGCGCUUUUGAUUGACUACCAAAUAUUAUCAGUUUAGCAGAGAAAAGGAAUCCUACUUUGGGAUUCAUAGCGGCCUGUGCAGCAUUAGAGGCAUACGAGGAUGAGAAACCUGACUUGGGAAUCGGGACAGUUAGGGUUUGUUUUCGUUGUGAUAAUUAAUUCCUUAAUUAAAUUGCUAAAAACAUCCUCAACAAAGAAGUAUUAUGACUCCACUUAACAAAGAAAGGCAGUGAGUGAGUUUUCCUUUCCGAGUAGGCAAGUCAUCGAUCGGUUCACUGUUUAGGCGGCUGCACACUUCACCAUAUUGGCUAUCUUACAUGAUAUCAGGCAGUUAGAGAUCAAAUUUCCUUCUCUGGUUGAGAAGAUGGACUAAGGUACAAUGAAAGUGAAAGAAAUCUGCAAUAGAUCAAAUACUAUUUCGAAAGGAAGUGGCACAACACGCCCUAAGCAAGGAGAAUCGAUAGCUCUAAAAGAAGUUAGCAAAGAUACUGCAGGGCAUAGAAUGAAUAUAAAACUGCACGUGGCUAAUGAAUAAAAAAAUAUUUCAUUUUCCCUCGCAUAUCUAAAAUAAUGUUCUAGAAUGCAGUCUAUGUAACCGCACAUGCGGCCGAAUAUACGGUGAAGACGGUGAAUCGCACCACAUAUUGUCUAGGCCACCAAUAUGCGGUGGUCCGCAUAUUGUUUACAAGCCCAUAUAAUUUGUUUUUAAAUAACGGGUUGGGUUUUAGCCAUAUUCAAAUGUCGCAUCAUUGAGAUCCAACCUAAGGCAUUUAAAGGAGGCAAAAAAAGAAGAAAUUUUGGUUAUUCAUUAACAACAAUUAUACAUCUAAAUGUUGGCGUAUACUUUUUAUUUGGUAUAUUUGUUUGUGUAGAUAUUAAAUUAUGUAGAUUUCUCAGAUAACUAAGAAUUGUUAAUGACAGUUUAAGGAAAAAAAAAAAAAAAAACUAUUACUCAUCAUGCAUUUUAGCUAAUUUUUAGUGCAUUAAUUUAUUUCUAACUUUUAACAGACAUGAUUAUAUACUUUUGUAAUGAUAUGUACCUUUUUUAGUACUUUUAAUAGCUAUACAUAUGCAUAAUUAUAUGUUUUUUGUAAUUAAUUUGCAAGUAAUUUGCAGGUUUCCAAGCGCUCUCAAGGGUUCCUCAUCUGCAAGCCGAGAACCCAAUGAAACAUAGAACUAGUUGAAAUAAAACAAGUUUCAGUGGCCCGUGCAUUCGAUAGUAGAAGAAUUCCACCAUCAAAUUCCAAGUCCUGAGGAGAGCCAAAGAAAGGAUAGUGCUAACCAUUAUAAAAGGAGGGUUAAAUCUGUUUUAUGACGCUAAAAUACAGGAUACCUAAAGUAAACUGAUGCAAAGAGAAUGCAAAUUGUUAGAGUGACGCAUAAUUUCAAACUGAGGACACAUUAGAAAUUCUUGUUUCGCAAGAGAACUUAUGCAUGCAUGUUGAGCAAUAUAUAUAUUCUUCGGAAUGAAUUAUUCCUGUGGAACCAGUGAUCAACUUUUUGAAAAAUGCAGGAAUAAUGAAUUUUCUUUCGUCCGCCUUUCUCUCAUAUGCUGACAACGCCUUUCUCUCAUAUAGACAGCAAAGUAUCAUGAAUAACAAUUUGUACCUCUGAGUGUUGAUGUAGUAAAUCGUCUUGCAUUAUGGGCCUGGAGCAUUCAACGAUCAAGAGAAUUUGCCGAUUUUACUUUGCUGAGGACAUAUAACAUCUUCCUGACAAAAGUAAAGCCUCAUUGGAGAGAUUGUGACUUGAAAGUAGUGGCCAUGGUAAUAAUUUAUCAAAAGGAGUCAUCAUCACUAUCUUCAUAAUCAGCAUCUUCAUCGCACUCAGAACCAGACUCAUCUUCUUCCCUGGGCUGUAACAGAGUUUUCAUGUCAAACACCGGUUCUGCUUCUACUUCCUCAAUCCCAAUAGAAUCGUACUGCAUCCGCUCUUCAAACUUUGCAUCACUGCAAUUAAGCAUCCAUCCAAGAGAGCACUUCAGGCCCUUCUUGACUAUCAUCUGAUUCCUGGGUCGUAUUGUGGACUCCAGACCGUACGUAAAGAAAGCAGGGAAAUCGACCAGUUCCUCUAAAUCCCUAUCCAUCUCACUAUGGAAAUACUCGAAGCUCAUCUUCAUAAUAUCCAGAUUCAAAGCAAGCAACUGCGGACACCCGAUAACCAUCUUACUCACCUGCUUCAACAAAAACCCACAGCUUUUCAAGAACUCAACAUGCUUCAAUAUGGCGGAGCGGCUGAGACUAACAGCCUGAGGCAUCUUCUCGAUCACCCUCCCGAAUUCAUCACGAUCCACGAGAACGCUCGAUUCGAACAAGCUCUGCUGUGCGGCAAGCUUAGCCCUCAGCUCCAUUCCUAAUAUAUCCGGAUACUGCGCCACCACAGAAGCUAAAGACUCCUCUUUUAUGCCAAACUCGACGAGAGCCCCCACAUUGGGCUUCACUUGAUCUUCCAAGCUGAACCCUAGAAUGUGCGGCCUUUUCUCGAUCAAUCUCGCGACGGCGAGCGUCGGCAAACCGAUGCCCUCAAGGUGCUCGACGAAAGGCUUGAUCACCCUCCCCACCCGCAUACCCAGAACUUCCGGAUAGCGGGUGAGAACGCCGCCCAACUCUCUCCGCGCCACUCCGAUCCCUAUUAAAUAAGCCACUGACGUGCUCAUAGUACCCUCCAAUUUGAACCCCAGAAGCUCGGGAUAGCGCUCGAGCACGCGGGGGACGUGGGCGGGCUUGAUGUCCAUCCCUUGCAGGUACUUGACGACGGGGGCGAGGUCGACGACGACGCUGGCGUGGAGAACCUGCGGGUAGCGGCGGAGGAAGUCGGUGAGGGCGGAGCGGCGCACGCCGAUCUUGCCGAGGUAGUCGAGGACGGGGACCAUGUUCUUCUUGACGCUGCAGCCGAGGACGAGGGGGUAGGCGUUGAUGUCGGCGACGGAGAGGCCGAGGGAGCGGAGGAAGUCGACGCGCUCGCGCAUGACGUCGACGGUGGCGGGGAGCUCGAGGCCGUCGAGCUCGUCGGGGACGACGCCGAGGGAGCGGAGGAAGUCGUACACCUGGGCGCGGGUGGCGGCGCGGGCGGCCUUCAUCUCGGCGAGGCUGGGCCGGGCGUAGAGGGAGGACGCCCGAGGGGGGUUGCUCUUGGCCUGUUCCGAUUUGCGCCGCGGCGGAGGAGGGUGGCGGGCCGGAGCAGAUGGUGCCGACGCGGCGGCGGAGAUUGUUCUGCAGUAUAGGAUUUUGAGGGGUGCUUGGUGGUGGUGGUGGUGGUGCGGGGUGAGGCGGGGGAAGCAGGGGAUGGGGGGUUUGGGGUGGGAGGAGAAGAGGAGGGCCUUCAUUGCUGUGUUGUGUGAUAAGCCGCUGGCUCGCACAAUUCUUUCUCUCUUUUGUGGAAUUGAUAAGUGAAGCGAUGAGGCAAUGGGGAUGAUAAAGAGCUAACGAAGGGGAGAAGACGGCGGGCCUCAGCAUUCACCUCUCUCGGCCGGGGGCAGCAGGCUGCGCGGACAGUAAACGAUCGAUUAGAUAUUUGGAGAGCCAGCGAAUUUGCUAAAAGAGGCCGUGGUUUUAUCAAUUUUCUCAGAACCUCCUAACCCAUUAUCCAACCGGGGUUUCACGAUUGAGUUUUUUUUUUUUUUUUUGGGAAAACUUCAAAAAAACCCCACGUGGUUUCGUUGUUUCUCACUUUGCCCCCCUGUGGUUUAAAAUGUAUCAAAUUGUCUCCAUGUGAUUUCGUUUUUAUCUUUUCGGUAGCUUUUUCGUUAAUAUUUCAUUAAAUUAUAUACAAAAAACUUCAGAUACCCAUCUAGAUUUAUCAAAUAUUUACUUUAGUACCCUUUAAUUUUAACUUUAUCACUGAUUUAAGAAAAAAAAUAAUGAAAUUGAUAAGAAAAAGAGAAAAAAGAAACCACGGGGGGGCAAAUUGAUACAUUUUAAGGAAAAGUCUACCUGUACUCCUAUAGAAAGGUGUAUAUCCUACAACUAUCAGAUCCAAUGGCUGAUAUUAAUCCACUAGCACAGUAGCUUCUAACCUCACACCUUUUUUACUUCUUGCUAAGUACUAAUUUAAACCCUACUACACUUCUCUCUUCCGCACAGUCUCUCGCUAUCUCUGUUUCUCGCUCUCUCUCGCUUCCUCGCUUCUCUCGCUCCCUCGCCUCUCGUCAUCUCGCGCUUUCCCCUUUCUCUUCUCUCACUCUCGCUCGCAGGGCACUCCACUCCAUCGGGCAGAAGUUGGCAGCGCUCGUUCACACAUCUCGUGUCCGAAGCCGUCUCGAAGGUGUCUCUGCCUCGCCUUUCUCCAUUGGUAGGAGGUCGCCUCUCAACUGCUCCUGUCACAUCCAGUACCUGUGACGCAUUCCUUCAGUCGUGAGCGUCCGAAAUUGGGAACGAAUUUCGGAGCUAAUUCGGCCACAACCGAAACAGAUGAUUCAACUCAAACAGAGCAUUUUUUAAAAUUUCUAUAAUCUUUUAUUUUCAAUUUUUAAUUUAAUACAAAAUGUAUAUUUUGGGGUUUAAGGUGCAGCUACGGAUUGUCUUUGCGUGCUCCCGAUUUCGUCACGAAUAGGUGAUUAAUUUAUUUUAGACACCGUGGUAUAUUUGCUGGUAUAUUAUAUUUUAUGUUGCAUUUUUAAGAAUAAAGAAUUUAUAGAUUAGGAUUUAGGGUUUAGGUUUACAAUGUUCUAUUAUGCCAGCUGAUAGGAGUGUCACAAUCCAUUGAUUGUGAAUUCUAUUAUGCAAGCUUGUGGUUAGAAUGUUCUAUUAGGCCAGCUGAUAGGAUAUUCACAAUCCAUGUGACAGUGAGCAGUUCUAAUAGGGUUUAGGGUUUAGAUGUUCCUUUUUUAUGGUUCCGAACAUGUAUGAGUUGCAUCGUACCCUCUUAUGGCAUAAUAUAACAUCCUAGGGCAUAAUAGAACACUCCUAUCAGGCUGGCAGAUUAUGAACACUUUGACUAAAUAAUAGAAUAGAUGUAAAGGUAAUAGAACACUCUUAUAAGUUUAUAGUUGUGAACACUGUUUUAGAAUUUAGAAACAUUUCUUCCUUUUAGUCCAGAGGAAUAUCCAUUUUGGUAGGGCUGCCAGCAGAGGGGAAACCAAUAGAAUGGCAGAGCAAGAGUGUAAAAGUCGAGCACCGUUGAUAAAUAUUUUGAUGGUGACUAUCGCAUGCCGAUAGGUCGAAAUUAAGACAUAUUUUGUACAGUAUUAUAUAAAUUUAGUCAACGCGUAUUUUCUUGCGAACUGAAGUUGCGGUGAGUUUGAUGCCUUCACUAUUAUAUUAGUUGUUAUCUAUUUUGUUUUCUGUUUCUAUGUUAUCUUGUUUUCUGAACAUGCUUUCUUGUUCCGCAUCUAUACGUCACUAUUAUAUUAAUCCAGUAACAGCUAUUUUGUGAGGAGUGGCAUUUGGAUCCGCAUCUAUACGUCACUUUCUAGAUGAAAUAAAUACACAAACCUGCAACACUUGUAGAUAUGUACUAUUCCGUUACAUAGUAAUUGCGUUGGCAUUUGCUAUCGAUUGAUUGAAGGACGGCGUUUUAAGAGUUGGAACUCUUUGUGGAGCCACAGCGGGGCACAGGACGUCGGCACAGCUGGCUGUAUUAUUUUAUUAUUCUCAGUAGACAGAGUGUUUUAGUUAUUUAUUAACGCAACAGUAACAUCUACUAUUUACUCGUUUGAAUAAUUAACCAUUUUUUUUUGUCUUGGAAAGGCGAAAUGGUUUGCGUUCUAUUUUGAGCAAUCCUUCAAAUCCCUGUCGGCGCUCCUGACAUCAUAUUUCAUAAGGAAUGUCAACAACAGGGUUCCAUCGAAGUUGAUUUAUGGCAUGUACACAUGCCUUUUUGCCGAAAAGAAUCGUAGAGAAACGGCCUCCCCGAUCUAUCAUUCUGUACGAUAAUGACCCUCCCUCCUUCUGCUCCAUAUGGUCAGUGCGAUCUUAAAGGAACCAUGUUGUCUGACAUAUACUUCUAUGAUUGAGUGCAUAGUCGCAAAAGAUGAUGUCUGAAUGUUAUAGGAUUUCUGCAAUUGUUACUGGUACUGUAACGUGUGUUUUAUAUAUUAUUGUGCAAUGUGAAUGGUACUGGGCAAUUGUAUAUAUAUGAUUGUGAAUGUACAAUUGUGCACAUUGUGAGUGGUCGUUCAUAAGAUUUUCAUAUAUGAUGUGAUGUGCAAUUGUGAAUUUAUGACUGGUAAUCUUGUAUUUUGCUUAAUCAUAUUCUUGAUUUAUUUUGUGUAAUGUUGAGUUGUUGAUAAGAGUCUAGUUAAUUUAUCCUAUUGAUGUAAUGUGUCAAUACCGGAUGUCAUUUUCUCCGUUUUAUCAUAGAUGGAGAUUACUCAAAUUUUAUUAUGUUUGCAAAAUAAUUUAUGAGAGUAUUCGUAUCGGAGAUAGACAUUCGAAAAGUGCAAUGGCACCUGUUGAGAUUGAUGAUGUCCCUGUGCCGGUUAGGAGGUGCAGGUAAGUAUUGAGUGUCGUCGCAACUACAAUACAAGCAACGAAAGGGUCAGAUUCACCUUCUGUUAGCGCUCAAGUCCUUCUUAAAUCACUUAUGGGUGUAUCUUUAGCCCUAUAGAUGUUCCCAGAAGUGGUAUAAACUGUCUAUUUUAAGCUAUAACAGCACAGUAAAGGGUACCAUAUAGAAAUGGUAAUAAAGAUGUGGCUGGUAUUUGGUGUGCUCUUAGUCUUACAGAUGUUCCGGUGUGAUAUAACUAUUCUAUUUUAAGCUAUAACCGCACAACCCAAAGCUACCAUAUAGAAGUAGAUAGAUGAGAAGUGGCAGGUAUAUGGGUGUACUUUUUAGCCCUACAGAUGUUCCGAUGGUGGUAUACACUGUUCUAGCUUUUUAAGCUAUAACAGCACAAGCAAAGGAGACCAUAUAGAAAUUGGACAUAUAAAUGUGGCAAGUAUUUGGGUGUGCUCUUUAGCCCUACAGAUGUUUCGGGGUGUGUAUAAACUGUUUCAUUUUAAGUUAUAACCGCACAACCCAAGGCUACCAUAUAGAAGCAGAUGAUAGAAGUGACGGGUAUUGAGUAUACUAUUUAGCCCUACAGAUGUUCCGAGGAGUGGUAUAUACUGUUCUAUUUUAAGCUAUAACAGCAAAAGUAAAGGGUAUCAUAUAGAAGUGGACAUAUAGAUGUGGCAGGUAUUUGGGUGUGUCUUUUAGCCCUGCAGAUGUUCGGGGUGUGGUAUAACUAUUUUAUUUUAAGUUAUAACCGCACACCCAAGGCUACCAUAAUAGAAGUAGAUAGAUAAAAGUGCAGGUAUAUGGGUGUACUCUUAGCCUACAGAUAUUCCGACGAGUGGUAUAACUGUUCUAUUUUAAACUAUAACAGCACAAGUAAAGCGGACCAUAUAAAUUGGACAUAUAAUGUGGGCGGAUAUUUGGGUGUGCUCUUACCCCUAUAGAUGUUCCAGGGUGUGGUAUAAUGUUCCAUUUUAAGCUAUAACCGCACAACCAAGACUACCAUAAUAGAAGUAGAUAGAAGAAGUGGCAGAUAUAUGGGUGUAAUCUUUAGCCCUACAGAUGUUCCAGGAGUGGUAUAACUGUUCUAUUUUAAGUUAUAACAGCACAAGUAAAAGGUACCAUAUAGAAGUGGACAUAUAGAUAUGGCAGGUAUUUGGGUGCGCUCUUUAGCCCUACAGAUGUUCCGGAGUGUGGUAUAACUAUUUCAUUUUAAGCUAUAACCGCACACCCAGGCUACCAUAUAGAGUAGAUAGAGAUAAGUGACAGUAUAUGGGUGUACUCUUUACGCUACAGAUGUUCCGAGGAGUGGUAUAACUGUUUAUUUUAAACAUAACAGCACAAGUAAAGCGGACCAUAUAGAAUUGGACAUAUAGAUGUGGCAGGUUUUAGAUGUGCUCUUUACCCUACAGAUGUUCGGGGUGUUGUAUAAUUGUUCCAUUUUAAGCUAUAACCGCACAACCCAAGGGCUACCAUAUAGAAGUAGAUAGAUAGAAGUGGCAGGUAUAUGUGGGUGUACUAUUUAGCCUACAAGAUGUUCCGAGGAGUGGUAUAACUGUUCUAUUUUAAGUUAUAACAGCACAAGUAAAAGGUACCAUAUAGAAGUGGACAAAUAGAUGUGGCAGGUAUUUGGGUGUGCUUUUAGCCCUACAGAUAUUUCAGGGUGGGUAUAACUAUUCAUUUUAAGCUAUAACCGCACAACCCAAGGCUACCAUAAGAAAUAGAUAGAUAGAAGUGGCAGGUAUAUGGGUGUACUCUUUAGCCAUACAGAUGUUCCGGGGUGUUGUUAUAACUGUUCCAUUUUAAGUUAUAACCGCACAACCCAAGGUACUAUAUAAGAAGUAAUAGAUAGAAUUGCAGGUAUAUGGGUGUACUCUUUAGCCCUAAAACACGAUGUUCCGAGGUGUGGUAUAACUGUUCUAUUUUAAGCUAUAACAGCACAAGUAAAGGGUACCCUAUAGAAUUGGACAUAUAGAUGUGGCAGGUAUUUGGGUGUGCUCUUUAGCCCUACAGAUGUUCCGGGGUGUGGUAUAACUGUUUCAUUUUAAGUUAUGACCGCACAACCUAAGGCUACCAUAUGGAAAUAGAUAGAUAGAAAUGGCAGGUAUAUGGGUGCUCUUUAGCCCUACAGACGUUCCCAGAAGUGGUAUAACUGUUCUAUUUUAAGCUAUAACAGCACAAGUAAAGGGUACCGUAUAGAAGUGGACAUUUAGAUGUGGCAGAUAUUUGGGUGUGCUCUUUAGCCCUACAGAUGUUCCGGAGUGUGGUAUAACUGUUCCAUUUUAAGCUAUAACCACACAAUCCAAGGCUGCCAUAUAGAAGUAGAUAGAUAGAAGUGGCAGGUAUAUGGGUGUACUCUUUAGCCCUACAGAUGUUCCGAGGAGUGAUAUAACUAUUCUAUUUUAAGCUAUAACAGCACAAGUAAAGGGUAUCAUAUAGAAGUGGACAUAUAGAUGUGGCAGGUAUUUGGGUGUGCUCUUUAGCCCUAUAGAUAUUCCGGGGUGUGGUAUAACUGUUCCACUUUAUGCUGUAACCGCACAACUCAAGACUACCAUAUAGAAGUAGAUAGAUAGAAGUGGCAGGUAUAUGGGUGUACUCUUUAGCCCUACAGAUGUUCCGAGGUGUGGUAUAACUGUUCUAUUUUAAGCUAUAACAGCACAAGUAAAGAGUACCAUAUAAAAGUAGACAUAUAGAUGUGGCAGGUAUUUGGGUGUGCUCUUUAAUCCUACAGAUGUUCCGGGGAGUGGUAUAACUGUUCUAUUUUAAGUUAUAAUAGCACAAGUAAAGGGUACCAUAUAGAAGUGGACAUAUAGAUAUGACAGGUAUUUGUGUGUGCUUUUUAGCCUUAUAGAUGUUCUAGGGAGUGGUAUAGAUGUCUAUGGGUCUGCUCUUUUGCCCUACAAAUGUUCCGGAGAGUGGUAUAACAGUUCUAUUUUAAACUAUAACCGCACAUUACAUAUAGAAGUGGAUUAACAUUAGAACAAAAUUUUUUUUUUCGCCAUAAGUUGUAAUAUGAUAUUACAAUAAAACGUAGAAUUUAAAGCAACAAAACCAUAUUGCAUCAGGACCAUUGAUAUAAUAUAAAAUCUAUCACAAAAUACUACAACAUGUUAUAUUUGUACAACACAACGACUAACAUAACAAUACUAUUUUUUUAUUAUUACAGCCUGCAUGAUACAGGGUGGUCAUGUACCCUUACCACACAAGUUAUAGCAGGAUGACCACAUUAUCCCACUUACUAUCCCAUACAUGACAAAAAUGGUCAAUUUCCGUCUUUUUCUUUUUGCUGCAGCUGCGGCUUCUUCCCGCAACUUAUUAUUGCUUUCUAGUAAACCAUUAACCAUUGAGAUACUCCGGCUCGUAAAUUGUGGGUCGUACCACCCAAAAUAAUUACAAGUGUUACUCUCUUGCAUCUGAAAGAUAAGACAAAUUACACAUAAAAUAAUGUCCAUAUAUGAAUCAACAGGUUUAUAGUAACUAGCUUUACCCUAUAUCUUGGACAGCCAUAAAAUCUCCGACCCGGAUUGUUUUGUGUCCAAGAGGUCUUAAUCGUACAUGGCAAUCCACAAUGGCAGAGCGGUGUGGAUUGGUUGCUUCGACUGCUCGAAGUUGUAAAGCUUGAAUCCAUCUAACUUGUAAUAUUAUAAAAAUAAGAAAUGCAUACAAACUGACGCAAUAUUACGACAGAUAGUUAGUACAAAUAUUGAUUAUAAAUCUGGCACAUACCGUAAAAUAAUUUAAAAACUUUAAAUGCCAGAGUUAUAUGUACAUAACAUCAAUAGCGGAGCUUAUUAUCUAAUAUAUACUAUUGUAGGUGGAGAAUCAACAAAAUUAUCAUCACUAUCACAACUAAUAUAUGUCCUAAUCAGUCGAGGUUCACUAUGCACAGUUCUCUUCGUUCGAAAUAUUACACUGUUCUUUGGAGGUGGAUCAACAAAAUUGUCGUCGCUGUCACCGGUAUCAGAGAUUGUAGUUACAGUGAUCCGGAAGAGAUUGUUGAUUUUCUCGAAACCGACCGUUCACGUGAUCGUAAAUUGAUUGACAUCUGAUGUGACGCAAAGCACAUUUUCGGCCGCGUUAGCUCUAUAAUUAAACUUGGAGUGGCGAUUUUGCUGUUAUUCAUGGACUUUGCAAAGCUGCGGCCGACCUACAACUUUGUAGGAUCAAUUACAACAAUGUUAGGCACUUAGGGCGAUGUAAACGCGAGCGAGAAACGCGAGCGCGAUGCUGGGGGUCAUGGCGCUCGUGUUCGGCGAGCGUAGCUCGUCUAAUAAGGUAUACGCAGCGAGGGCCGAAACCAUUCAGCUCGGCGUAGUUUGGCUCGUGUUUUAUAUAUAACGAGCCGACCAGAGCGCGGAGCUUUGAGCUUCGACGGAGCACGAAACAGUCGGACAUCAAGGCUCGUAGUUUUUGUGCCAUGACGAGAGGCAUGGCGAUUAAUUAACAUAUGCUAACCUUCAGACCAUCGCGCGGGAAGGUCAUCGUUUUGUGACUCGCUUCAGGCACAGCCUGCAAUAUUCUAUUUCUGUGUUCGCAUAAUGCUUAUAAGAUUAAAAACAGGGCAUCAAAGGGAGUCCAAAUUGAUAAGAGUCAGUGCCGCAAUUUAGUGGUGCCUUGACCGAUAUAUUUAACAGUCGGCUAAUAGCGCUCCCCUCUUUCUUUCUUCAUGGCCAUCUCAAAAAUAUUAAAUGGCGGGGGCAAAUAUAAUAGGCACUCGCAAACUAAACAAAAUCUUCAAGUAAACAUUCCGCCAGCCGCGUGCUAAGAGUCAUAGUAUAAGUACUGAGAGUUGGUAAUACUAAAUUAGAAUCACAUCGUGAGCAGAGGAACUAUUUGUCAAAGAUUUAGCACAUCAUACAAAUUCUACUAUGCCCUAAAAAAUAUAUCUUAUCAGCUAUUAACAGUAUAGACUCAUUCAUAUACGAGCAUCCAAAUGCAGUGAUUGAAUGUAAUCCAAAUAAUUCAUCAAGCAAUGUCAACAAAUACAAAAUAAUAUACUCUAAAAGAAAUGUAAGGCAUCUCAUACGGCUGUUAUAGUAUGCGUCAGGCAGUGUACGAAUCGUUGAGUUCGGACGGUAAACCACCUGUCGGUUCAAUUUUGGCCGCAUUCUACGAUUGUCGGCCUCCGUACUUUGGCCCGCGUCCAAUUUGAUGGCGCAGAAAUGCCGGGCAUUCGGCGAUGCUUCUUUCUCCUUCCUCUCGUAUCUCAGGAGCCUGUAUUUCUAGCACAGGCACAAACUGCCUCUCCGCUCCCAAUAUGCUCGCGGCCCUGGCCCUCGCUGCUCAUUCUCCGGCGCCGCUGCUAACCCGCCGCCUGCCCAGCUCGAGCUUACUUCUCUCUCUGCUCCGCUCCGCUGUCGCCACCUCGGCGUCACGCGCUCUCUCUCUUGAUAGGGCUCGGGACAGCUGGACAUGCGCUCGCUCGCCGCCCUGCUCUCGUUCAGCGCUGGGCCGGGCGUGUGCGGGCGCCUACUCCUAACGUCUCUUUAGGCUCGCUGGGCGCCAACAAAGCAGCGAGACAAAAGAGGGAAAAGCGUGAGANNNNNNNNNNNNNNNNNNNNNNNNNUUUGAACCACGCUUCACUCGUAAUUAUUUACACUUUGUACGCAAAGCACAUUUUCGGCCCGUACUUAAUUAACUUGGAGUGCGAUUUUCUGUAUCUAGCUUUGAAACUCGUACCUACAAUAUUUAGGCAUCAAUUACACAAUGUUACACUUAGGAGGUUAACGAGCCGAACUACGAGCGAGCUGGGUCGCUCGUGUUCGGCGAGCGUGCUCGUUAAAGUAUCAGAGCCGAAACAUUCAGCUCGUGUUUGCUCGUUUUAAUUACGAGCGAAGACGAGUUGGCUCACGAGCCGAAACAUUCAGCUCGUGUUUUUCCAUGACGAGAGCAUGCGAUUAUUACAUAUGUACCUUGCCAUCGGUCAUUUUUG